GACUGUCUCAUUCGAUGGAUCCCCCUCCCAGUUAAUUGAAUGUUCCGAAUAUAUCCGGGUCCAAUAAAAUGAUCCAUGAAAGUGGUUCGAGUACGAAGAGUAUAGGAAAACAAAGAAGUUUCAUUUAAACUAUUCCAGUAAGAAAAACAAUUCUUAAUGCUCCCAAGUGAAUCUUUAUUUCCAACUUCACUCUUGGUCAUUUUCCUGCUCUACAAACGUUUGGAGCAACAACAUGCACCAUUACGGCAGGUCCCACUUCCCUUACAAUCUUGCUUGCAGUAGUGAUCACACGCGUUAACAUUUGGACAAGGGGAAGGAUCGUAGGGUUCCUGGUAUCCACCGCAAGUGGCGUCUUCCAGGUCUACAACAAUAAAAAACAAAAGGUGCCAUCAGAACCUAUUGCAGUUCGUACUUAAACUCGGAUUCUAUGAAAACCAUGUACUAUGUAAACACAGGCAAAACAGCUACUGAUCGAUAUCUUCUAUGUCAUCGCUACUACCUUCCUGAUAUUUAAUUACUACUACCUCUGAAGAAAUUUCAAAUCACUAUAACCACAAAUUCCUAUAUACUACUCCCUUCAUAUCAAAAUAAGUGUCUAGUAUAGUUUGUCCCAAAAUAAGCGUCUCGUAGUUGAUAAGCUCUGUUAAAUAUAUAUAACUUUACCUAUGUUCCUCCCUGAUGCUUCACACGACAAAAAAGUGUUUGAAACCAUCAAGAGUGCCAUCAAGCACAGAACACUUGUGUUGAUCCGGAUUAGAGCCAUAUCAAAAUUGUUUACUCUUUUCUUCUCUUAAGUCCUUUUGGUUGUGGUUGUUGUAGACUUGUACUACCUAGCUGGUUCCUUCUGCUGUUUAUAUAAAGGCACGGGCGAUUCUUGGAGUAUCAAUUUUUGCCAUUUUAUUCAUUGCUGCUUUGGUGUGUUUCCUUCCUACAAUUCACCUUAAUUAAUUAGGAUCCUCAUAUAAUAAGCACAUCAUGGAAUAUCUUGUUGGUAUGGAUUGACCGACUACAAAAAUAUCCAAAAGGAAUUUAUUAGCAUUCCAUAACACAAUUAUGAAAUUCAUUACCUCGUAAAAAUAACCACUCAAAAUUAAUUAGUUUUCCAUAACAACAUUAUGACAUUUAUUGGCUCCCAAUAUUAUUUACGGAUGAAAUUGAUUACUAAUACUCCAUACCAAAAUUAUGGCAUUUAUUUGCUCCAAAAUUACAUAGGAAACUAAUUAGUAUUCCGUAACAAGAUAUACGGUGUAUAAAAAAUGUGUCUGUCCGAAUAAAAAAAUGCACUAAUCGUCAACCCAUGCAUUUGCAGGGGCUGGGAUGCUAAUUUUGAGCGUUUUUUACACUAGUGCAGUGUCAAACACACUCUUAUUUUAUGGGAUGGAGGGAGUAUGUUUCUAUAAUAGUAUAAGACCAUUUUUACACUAGUAUAAGAACGUUUUGACAUCAGUGUAGUGUCAUAAUAUAAGAGCGUUUUUUACAUUAGUAUAGUGUCAAACACUCUCUUAUAUUAAGGGACGAAGGAAGUAUGUUUCUAUCAGUCUGAACAAACAAAUGCAACCACAUAAUAUUAUGAGAACACGUCUUAGGACAACUCCCCUCAAAUGGACGUCCGUUUUGCUUGGAUUUCGUCUGUUUGGGGUUGGCAAUGGGGCGGCGUCCAGCCGUUUUCCUGGAUGUGCUGGUCAUGCGCCCAACGCGCGAACGCAUCUCGGCCGCUUGCAUGCAAAACUAUUGACAACAAAGACAUAGCUCCAUGCCAGCAGCCAUAGUUCAUGCCAGCUGUCAUGGGCAAGGUUGGCCGUAGGAAUCGACCGGGGCUGCUUCCUCUGCAUCCCAUCGGACGAGUGUCCAGCGCCACUGAACCCAGGCGUCACGUUGAGGUCGACGGCGGCCACGGUCAGGACGAAGGGGGUGGCUGGCGCGAUCACGCUGUCGUCCGGGCGACAUGGAGAACCGGGUCUGGCCAUGCAGCGGCUUUGGAUGAAACCCAGGCGUCUCCGGUGUGACGGACAAGCUCGGGGACUACUAGUACUGUGGAGGGCGAACAACCGACAAGCUUGUGCUAGCCGCGGCCAUGGCAGCCACCGAGAGAAUGGUCGGCCUGGGUCGGCACAACCCUAACAUGAGGAGGGUGUGUGCCUUGGCGAUGAUGGCCUCCUUGUCCUCGAUGUCAGCAUUGUGCUGCGCGGCACGCAGCGCGGCUGCCUCAGCGGCGAAGUUGGCGAAUGCUUUCUCUCUGCCGCAACGAUGCGGCUGGCACUUCUCUUGGCCAAUUCAUUGUUGAGCUUGGCGACCUCCUGCGGCAUGAGUUCCACCCACGCCUUCUUGGGGCCCUUCUUCGCCGCAGGGCGCGUGGCGACUGCCAGGUCGCUGGGAUUCUUCGGGGUACCGGCCAUGGACGAGGGAGGGGAGGGGAGCACUACAUGGUUUCGGGGCAAAUGGAGGGAAAGAGGGCGUCUGUGUCCAUGGCGGGCGGGCCAGGGAAGGACAAGGGCGCGCGUCGCACCCGUCCGCACACCAUCCGUUUCGACGCAAAUAUGGCCUAAAUUUGGGCCAUGAAUGGGUCGAAAGCGGACAUAGAACAGACAUUUGUCCGUUUGCUCCCACGCGUUGGGUCGCGUUUUCUAUCCAUUUACCCCCAAACGGACGCGUCCGGACCAUUUGGGGUUGUGCGCUGAAGUUGGCGUUACUACCUAGCCAUGCCAACAUUUGGAAAUAGCUCCAACUUUUGUAUUAGAUUGGAUUAAGACUUCCGUGUUUACAUGAUUUCGAGACAAUAUAUAUAUGUAACAAAUGUACACCAAGGGACAUGUUUAUUCUGGCCAUUCAAUGAAACUUGUCCAUUUGUUCAAGGAGGAUAUAACAGGGACAAUGAAGGUCCGAAGUUGAUCACCUGGUCAUAGUUUCCCCCUUCCCACUGUCUCCACUACUCUUUCCCCAUAGAAAAUAUCCAAGAACUAAAGGAGGUGGUAACCUGAGACCACCAGUGCUCGUUGUCGUGGAGGGGGAGGAGCUCAGAAGCAUGCCUAAGGAGCAAAUCAGGAGUAGAGACAAAGCCAGCAACAACAAAAAGGAGCAAUUGCAUCAUAGGGAGGUGUCUUUUUUCAUGCCAUCAUGAUUUUUUUUCUCACGUACAAGCACAAAUCCCAUGUCACCACAAUGGUUUCAUUAACGGAAAGCUGACGACAUGAAGAAAAUAGUGAAAUGGUUUAAGGUAAGUAAAAUACUUAGGACUUAACGACACCAUCACCUUAGUUUUAUAGCAGAAACCAUUGAGGAGGGAAUCUUUCUCUAAUAAUAAAGCACGGGUUGAGUCUGUCGGAUUCACCGUCGCGGCAUUUUUACACAAAGGUCCUUGUGCUUUUUAGGAAUAAACCCGUCGUCCCUACUUUAGUUAAACGAUUCGUCCACGUCGUCUUCCUUUUCAGCCGCGCCCCACAAGGAUGAAUAAGGCGAGCGCUCUGCAGUCUGAGUUGCCGAGGAGUGGAAGGAGCGCCGGGGAGGGGGACACUCCACGACGGCGGUGCUUGGGGCUCCGACGAGCGGAGGCGAGCGGCGACAGGAGAAGCUCCGCGGCGACGCCCUGAAGGCCAUCAGCCAUGGCCGUUGUGGCUUCACGUGCGCCCGUGAGCGGCUGCGCGUGGCUGGAUGGUACGAAGGCGGCCGCCGACCUUCGCCGACCGGACUCCUCUCGUUGCAGCAGCUGCGCCGCCGUCGCACCAAGGCUAGGUUCGCGCACUGCCGCCGCCUCUCCCGUCCUCAUCCCCAUGCAGCUGCACGCUCUCGUCUGCCCCCACGGCGAACUCCCCCUCCUGCGUGCGGUCGCCGCCUCCCUCAUCCUCCACCACCUACUGCAAGUUGUUGCUGAGGGUGUCGAAAGCUGCCAGCGGCGGCAGAGUUGAUGCUCCCGUUGUCGGUUCUAUAUCCGGUAUAUCUAGUAGUAGGGGUCCUAAACUAGGCGUCUUGGAGCGAUGGUAACAUGGACACAGGAUUUUACCCAGGUUCGGGCUCUCUCAAAGAGAUAAUACCCUACAUCCUGCUUUUGAUUGUAUUGAUAUGAGUGUAGUACAGGGUACAUGUAUCUACCACGAGAUUGUUCUAAUGAAUAUUAGAUGUCCCAUAUUGACUAGCCUGGCCUCGGUUUAAUAACACACCAGAGGCCUAGGGUUUAGGAGAGUCCUCGUCUUGUGCGCCAAGUCUUGUGGGAUCUUCCUUGUAUGCGGCAUGGGCUACCCAAGGUGGCCCAUGAGUGAACCGCCAUGGGGGGUCCUCGGCCCGAUCCAGCAGGUUGGGAGACGACGUGGUGAGUACCCCCUAGUCCAGGACACCGUCAGUAGCCCCCUGAACCGGUCUUCAAGUUGGGGACGCUCCUAGAUUCUUCUGAACUAUUCUUCAUCUUCGGUCGUCGGUCUUGAAAACUGGUUCAACAAAUCUUCCCAUCUUCGAUCUUGAGGAUCGUCGAAGUGAAUCCGAAGAGUUUACACGUCGGGUAUCAGAGGAGCUCCUUUAAGUUUUCGGCGUUUAGCAAUGCCUUCUUAUUUUUUACGCCACACCUCGGGUUUGAAGUUUUUCCCGUGCGGCAGUGUCCUCUUGCGUCCGAGCUCCAAGGCAAGACUGCAUCCAAGGUAUCUUUCGCAGCCGAACAUCAAUGCCGGACCGCUUCCGGGCUCCAACGUCGGAAUGUAUCUGAGCUCCAACGCCGGACUAUAUCCAAAGUGUCAUAGAUUACCUCAUGUUUGAAAAUGUUUGAAGGAGGUUACCCGAGCUUAGUGCUGAAAAGUUCUCUAUGGAGCCAACCGCUCGCAGCCGAGUGUUAUGCCGGACUGCUUCCGAGGUGAUGCACCACCACGGGCUUGGGCUGAUUGUUUGCGGAUUUUAUUUCCGAUUGAUGCAAUUUAUUUACUAACUAGAUAUAUAGCUAGUAGCCCUCAAGGUGUGUGUCGGCCUAAAAUCUGAGAUGCAAAUUAGAGGAGAUAGUGAUCGGCGGACGGGCCCUUGAGAGAGUGUUUUGAGAAGUCGCCGUAAUAUAUUAGCUUGAUGCCGGAUAAGUCCCAGAUGGUACCUAUUGUUGUCCAAAGACGCUUUGCCCAUAGUUCGGUCAAGCCGAACAUUGAGCACUUUGAAUUUUCUGUAUUGAAUAGGCAAUGCAGUAGCCCCCGAGACACUGGUCGGGUGGCAACACCAGAUGUGAGGGGAUCGAUGUGCCCCUUUAAUAUUAGUAAAUGAUAAGCCCGAAGCCCAGUAGCCCCCGAGCCUUAAUGUGGGCACGGGUGGCCAAAUUAAGGAUCGAUAUCCGGAGUAAAAUCACAAAUUAUGUGUAAUGAUUCUACAUAUCCAAGUACUCUACAUUAUUAAUGCUCAGAUCCGCAUUGUACAAAACUUUGAUGAGCGACCAUCGGCUUCAACUUCCUUGGCCAGUAGCCGGGGAGUGUUUGUCCUACUUUAUAAAGCCUUUAUAACGGCAAAGAUUUACGACAAACAAGGCAAUCCAGCCCUAUGGUUUUAUUAACAAAGGUACACUAAGAGAUAUGUUAUAUUACGUUUUAACGUAAGAAACAUCUUUCGAAGAAAAUAGUCCCGCUAUCAGUUCCUUUCUUUGGGUUACCAUACUGAUCAUGAUCAUGAAACCUCNNNNNNNNNNNNNNNNNNNNNNNNNNNNNNNNNNNNNNNNNNNNNNNNNNNNNNNNNNNNNNNNNNNNNNNNNNNNNNNNNNNNNNNNNNNNNNNNNNNNNNNNNNNNNNNNNNNNNNNNNNNNNNNNNNNNNNNNNNNNNNNNNNNNNNNNNNNNNNNNNNNNNNNNNNNNNNNNNNNNNNNNNNNNNNNNNNNNNNNNNNNNNNNNNNNNNNNNNNNNNNNNNNNNAUUUAGUGUGGGGAAAGUUCCCAAACUCUAUGGUCUUAAUGAACCAAAAUUUUCACUUCCGUCGUUGCCGACCAAUUAUAUUCUUAAGAUAGCUAGCUUUCGGCUUCACCCAGUCUGAGGUACUAAUCCGGAUGACCCGGUAGUAACAAUCACAGAGGUGCUCCCUUUACCCCUAGCCGAACAAUCGGGAAUGUAGCGUUAAACACAGGAGCCAGGCAACCCAGCUUGGCCAAAAUCUUAAGUCAAAUUUGAUGCAUAUUUAUGGCUUUAUAACGAUAAUUAUAGAAGGCAGUGCUUGUAUACUGAAUACAAACACUGAUGAUAUAUGUUUAUUUUGACUCCGUUGCGACCGUUUAUCAGUUGAAAGUGACCCAUCGUCGGCUUCUACCCCUUUUUAGAUACUACGCAGGCUAUUUCCGCAGUAACAAGACAACCCUUAGCCGACGUCUCGGUGCCCGAAGGCGGUUGUGUUAGCAGAAACAAGGCAAUCAGAUAUGCGGGCUUUAUAAAUUUCACUUAGUCAUAGGAUCUUUAAAAUGGGGAAGCUAGCUCCGAGCCCCUGGAUAGUGUUCGGCACCAACCGAAGUCUAGCCAUUAACACAUCGCCCAAUGUUAUGAAAGGCCCAUCGUUUAUUGAUCUAUACACUAUAAAAAAAACACAUCCAUGACAUUUUGGGCCGAACAAAUUUUUUUCUAUCAUGCUUAUGACACUUCUAUGACGAUAAUUGUGACAAAACCUGGUAUCAUCGUAGAUGUGCUGGGCUCAUACUUCUAUGACAAAAAACCAUGACAAAAAUGGGCUUUUUGUCCUGGGCGGGCCGGAGAUGCAGCUGCAUGACAUUCCUUCAUCCGUCCAUGACGGAAAAAACCAUGACUGAACCCGAGCGAUUGAUCGAUCCCUGGCUGUUAACUGAACCCGAUCGUGCGAUUCCUUUGCUACUGCUGCUAACUGAAGCCGAUCGAACCCUAUUGCCUCCUUCCCUUGAUNNNNNNNNNNNNNNNNNNNNNNNNNNNNNNNNNNNNNNNNNNNNNNNNNNNNNNNNNNNNNNNNNNNNNNNNNNNNNNNNNNNNNNNNNNNNNNNNNNNNNNNNNNNNNNNNNNNNNNNNNNNNNNNNNNNNNNNNNNNNNNNNNNNNNNNNNNNNNNNNNNNNNNNNNNNNNNNNNNNNNNNNNNNNNNNNNNNNNNNNNNNNNNNNNNNNNNNNNNNNNNNNNNNNNNNNNNNNNNNNNNNNNNNNNNNNNNNNNNNNNNNNNNNNNNNNNNNNNNNNNNNNNNNNNNNNNNNNNNNNNNNNNNNNNCCAGUGGGGGUUGGAUGAACAGGACCCUGUGGUAGUAGAGGCCGUUGCCGCUGGAUGAACAGGACCCCGAUCGAGCCGGUUGGGGGUGGAUGAAUAGGACCCCAUUGAGGGCUGGAUGAACAGGACCCCGUGGAGGGCUGGAUGAACAGUAGCCGAUGGAUGGCUGGAUGAACAGUAGCCCGUGGAGGGGUGGUUGAACAGACCCCGUGGAGAGGGCUUGUUGAACAGUAGCCGGUGGUGGAGCGGUGGAGGCUGGAUGAACAGGAGCCCGUGGAUGAACAGUCGUAGGUGGAGGCUGGAGGAGGUCAACGGUGGAUGAACAGUAGCCCAUGGAGGCAGUCGACGGUGGAGAUGAACAGUAUCCCGUGGAGUCCCGUUUUGCGGUAUGCCACACCCCUCCCGAUGAACAGGACCCCCGUUUCAACCGUCACGCUCCGACACAAGUCUAUUUCCUCCGUUUUGCGGUAUGCCACACCUCUCCCAAUCAACAGGACCCCGUUUCGACCAUAGGAGGUCUAAGAGAAGUCCGUUUCCUCCAUUUUGUUGUAUGCUAGACCCCUCGUGAUGAAUAGGAUCCCGUUUCGACCGUGGCCGGUCGAACACAAGGCCAUUUCCUCCGUUCUGCGGUAUGCCUUGCCUUGUUUCGAUCGGCUGUUCCAUCCAAGCCGGUUGGCUCCCGACGAACACGACGGUGUAGUUUCUCCAUUCCGACCUAGCCAUGUACACGAGCCCUGGCAGUACAUAUGCGCGAGUAGGCGUUCGGGACCCCGCCCGUAUGUACGUACGUGGCCGUAUUUACUUUCUUGCACCCUGGCUGUACGUACGUGUACACGAUAUUUAACGGGACUACGUGACUUGCUACGUGUGCGCCUCUAUUUCGACACGUGUGCGCCUAUACUACGACACGUGCCCUUCCUUACACGGCCAUGGUUCAUCGCUGCAGCGUGUAGUCUGCAGACCGACGAACGUAUGUACGUACACGUUCGCGACAAGAAUGACAAUGCUACAUACGCUUUGACCAGGUGGGUCCCGACUGUGAGGCACUUCCACUACAAAAAAAUACACUUCCGUGAUGAUACGUGUUUGUCAUAGUAGGUCACAUUUUCUGUCAUGCAUGUACAUCCAUGACAAUUUUAUAACAGAAUCAAGAUAGUCAUACCUGUGUUGUCGUAGAAGUGUUUCAUGACAUUACCAAAAUUAUCAUCACAGAAGUGUCCACUUCCAUGAUGAUAAAUCGCGCGUCAUAGAAGUGCUUUCGUCAAGGGUGAGCGACACGUGGCAUCGACCGUAAGUGGGUCUCCAUUAAGCUAUCGGGUCAGGUUUUGGAUCCGAUAACCCGUUAACAGCCCGGACCAAUGGGAAUUUUCCACGUGUAAAAUUCUCAUUGGCCGGAGGAAAAACGUGUUGGCUCACCGUUCGGGCAUAUGUCAUCCACUCAUUGGACAGUAGGCGCCUAUGGUACGUCGACAUGUGGCACGGCCCAACAGAGGCCCAUUUCGGUGAAAAGGCUGGCCCAGCUAAUGGCCCACCAUGUUUUUUCAGACACUAGUGGGCUGGCCCGUUAAUAGCCUGCCAUGUUUUGGGUCAAAUUGAGACCCACACCAGAUCAGGCCCGUUCACAGCCUGCCGUGGUUUGGGCCAAAUUACGGCCCAUAUCGGAUCAGGCCCGUUAACAUGCCACUGUUAUUUUAGGCCCAUACUAAGAUAGGUUUGUAUUUCAGCCUGUUAAAUGCCCGUUUACCAAUUCGGCCCGAUAAUAGUUUCGACCUAUUAGUGGCCCAUGGUGCAUCUGGGACGUUGUCGGCCCGGUUUAACUUUAGGCCAUUUAACGGCCCAUGCAGAAACUGGGCUAUUUCUUGUCCGAAGUAACUUUAGGCCUCUUAACGGCCCGUAGUCUUCGUGGAUAAAUUUCAGCCCAACUGGCCUAUCGGCCUAUUAAUGGCUUGUGUUAUAGUUGGGCCUAAAUACAACCCGCAUUGAAUCCGGCCUGCUUACAACACAUAAGAUAAUGGCCCGUGACACUUUUAGGCCUAUGGCCCGCGUAGAUACCGGCCUGCUUAAAGCCCAUAAAUUCAUCGGCACAAAUAGGCCCGAGAUAUAUUUUUUCCUGUUAACUACUCAUCCUAUUUGGGCCAAACAUGGGCCUUAGGCAAUUUUGGCCUAUAUUGGCCCGUGAUUUUUUUGGCUCAACGCUAGCCAAAUCUAGGUUUUAGCCUGUUAAAAGCCCAUGGUAUUCUCUGGCCCAGCUGGAGAGAACUUUACUCAGGCUGUUAAAGGCAUGAAACAACUAUAGGUUUAGACCUGCUAAUGGCCCAAGAUGAUUAUAGGCCCAGGUAUUGGCCCAUAUGAGUAACGGGCCGGCCUGAAGACCGACAACACUGAGAUACACUAAACCUUCCGCCUAAAUUACAGCAUACCGACCAAGAAUAAACCUAGACUAUACAACAAAGAAAUUACAGCAUAUUACAUCCCCUCGGCAUCAAAGUUCGGCGCCAGUGAUAAUAAAGGACAACCAGACAGCAGAUUACAUAAACUUGGUAGGUCGCCACCAGUGGAAGUCAACACAGUUCAAGAAAGGUUAGCCCGGCCCAGGAGCUACAGCGCAAGCAACUUAGUAACCUGAUGAGACUGCGCUUCUUUGGCACUCAUAUCCACCAACUUAAGUUGCAUAGCAUCAAUAAACUUCAUGUACUUACGGUUAAUCUUGCAUAGAGAUUGGAGUUCCAGUCGUAUUUGAGCGGAAGCAUGUAUUUCUGCUUGAAUUUCAGACUGAAGAAGUCGAACAGAUUCAGGUGGCGACUUCAUCGAGCUUGUGUCACUGAGUAAUUUUGACAAUACAUCAAGAUGUGACUUCGUGGUUGUAUCCCCACCCUCAAUGUGUGUUGCCUUCUCCUCUAGAAUAUGUGUUCGAGGGACAAACACUGGGUUCGUCUCAUUAUCAUUGUGGCAGUUCUUCCUAGCAGCAAUGUUGUCACCCUGAAAGAUAAACAAGUAGGUAGAUAACAGGUUUUGCACGUCUAAGAAUCAGCGUUAUCAAUUCAUCUCAUUUCUUUGUCAGAAAUAAAGAGACACGGUUUAAAAUAGCAUUAACAUAAUAGCCAUUGUUCAUAGUUAAGACGGCAGGAAAUGGCAUUGUGCAGGAGCGGCCAACUUCACCAGACCACUAGAUUACAGAUCAAGAACACAAGCAUAGAUGUAGUUCUAAGCAUGAAUGGUGAGUGCACUGUCAAUUUAUACCAUUUCAGAUUGGUAAAUAAAGAGACACGAUUUAAAUAACAUUAAUAUAAUAUGGCAUUGUUCAUAGUUGAGACAUAGUAGGAUAUGACAUUGUGCUGUUGUUGGUAGUCUCACCACAUCACUGGAUUACAGAUCAAGAACACAAGUAUACACAUAGUUCUAAAGAAGAUAAAUUGCUAUGUUUAGUUUAAUUUACAUGGUACGAAUAACGAACUAGAUUGUACAACUAAAGACUGAAAUUGAGAAGGACAAACUUAUGUUUAUAUACUUCUACUUUAUAAACCUUGAACAAGCAAUUUGAUGCAGACGACAAAAAUAAACAGCAUUUGCACUCAUAGCUAUCCAAAUAUAAACAACAAAGUUUGAAGGCUCGAGGAGGACAAAUUUACAUUAGUAGUGAAGACAGGCUCUAUAAAGGCCUUGUCCAUAUUGAUGGGGCGCAAUUCAAGAAGUUUACCGCACACUCUUUUUCAAGAGUAUUGCCUUUAUUCUACAUUUUAUUAAGUGUAAAUAUAGAUGUGAAAAUAUAGGAACAAAUGGCGAUUAUUUAACUUAAGAUGCAGAGUACAAACGUAAAUAUAGCAUAGAGGCAGAAGGUACAGACAAGAGCAAUGCGGAGAUAAACUUCUUCAGUAACAUUGGUUUUAUUCAAUAUUUGGCAAGAGUAAAUGUAGAUCUAAUGUGUAGAAAAAUGGAGGACAAGGGAAAUAGCUGCAACGUGUACAUGAAGAACAAGCUGACAAAUAUAAGUACAGUGAUGAAGGACAACAGAUACUUACAACAACAAUGCAGAACUAAAUUUCUUCAUAGGCAUUGGGUUUAUUCUACAUUAAUUUAAGCAUUAAUAUAGAUCUGAUAAUUUGGAGCGAACAGUAGAUAAGCAAGCUAUAAUGCAUAAUGAUGUCACAUAAUUCACCAGGUAUGAAUGGAAGGACAACGAUAGGACAAUAGGUACUCACAAGAGCAAAGCAGCGACCAGCAUAGUUGUGAUAUCCUAGGUUUUGCGGCGCUGGUUCGAUCGCCAAUAUACGUCGGGUGCUAUGUGAUUUCUCCAGUAGCACCACCUUUUUCAAGGACUUUGCUUGUACUCCUUCAGGUUCUGCAAUCACCCUCUUCCUUUUGGAUGUCCGAAACACAAGAACAUCAUUUGAAUGGAAAAACAUGGUAUGACGACAAAUGGAAUAGGUGUUGAUAAUGGAUGGGCAUGGAAUCUUCACAUAUAUCAUGAGUAAACUAAGCAAAUGGCGGUGCAACGAAGCAAAAGAAAUGUAGGACACCUUAUGCAAGAUCUGUGCAACCAAUAAAACCUUGCCAAAUUGGAACAGGCACCUUAUUGGGUGAACAGGAUAGGCCAUCUGCCUUUGACUCCUUGAGCUCAGAAUAGUCAUUAGGAUCAUAUUCUGAAUAUGAAUAUAUAGGUUGGGAGCAUGUGGGUUUCAUUGCAUCCACAAUGGACCUCAAUACCUUGAUGCCAAGUUUGUUACCCAUUGAACUGUUCCGCAGUAUUCUUCUGAUGUGCGCAUUCUUAUAUUCAUUGUGAUUACGUAUAAUAUCUGUAAAGCAUGAAAACACAAAUAGUAGUGAGAUUAUCUUUGUAAUGUAGAGGAUAUUGUAAUAUAAUAGAGGCUCCCUGUAAACCCUUGCGUGCUAUCACUGGAUUCUGAUGAGAGAGCCCAUGUUUGCUGUAAUAUGGUGAGUAGAUUAAUAUAAUCCUGCACAACUACACAAAAAAUAAGCUACCUGUUGGGGGGCCCAGAUGUAAGGACAGUUGGCAGACGAUAGGUUCAUAAUAUACCGUAUAGAAAGUUUAUUGCCAAACCAUGAUAACGAGAGCGCAGAGGCAGUAGGCAGAUCGUAGUGUAGAUAAUAGGGGUACACCAUAACCACCAUUAAUAAAUCAGGAAAGCGGAACUGGCUGGAAAACAUAGGGUUUUGCCGCUACUAAUGUGCAGCCUAUCGUUCACCUACAGGCCAGCUCUAUUCAUCUGAAGGCACACAACUAUUACUAUCAGUUUAGUCUAUCAAAGACCACGCGGCUCCCACCAUUUCCGGGGUAUUAUGGAAGACCAACCCAAAGUGCGAAAUCAUUUAGCAGAACCGGCCCAAUAGAGGUGUCGACGGCAGAUGUCCUUGCUCCCCUUCCUGACAAGGAACAUACUGUGCUUACUAAAGAAGAACAGAAGAGGAACAUGUUAAAGAACAGAAGAGGAAGCAUAUUCUUCAUGUCUGCAUGCAAGUCGCGUGACUUUUGUCAUUUGGGUCAGUCGACCAUUUCAGGCAGUUGGAUGAAGAUCCUACGUCUCCUAACCCUUCUUCUUCCUCGUCUCUGAUUCUUCCCAUACAGAACACUACACGGGCCGCUGGCCGAACCACCGGCCCCCAUCGACUGUGUUCCCCCACACCCCCACCCCCACCCGCGUCGAGUUAUCUUUGUUCGGCGAGGCCCCACCACCGCCCCCACAACCACCGUCCCCACACGAGCCCCUUCCUUCGCACCGGCGAACUCCGGCAAGCUCUCAAAAAUUGACUGGCCCUAUUUUGAAAUUUAGUCUACUGGCAUUUAACUAGUAUGGAAUAUAAAAGGGCAAAACCAUAAGCAUUGCGAGUAUAGUGUUGAGCGUGCCAUGGCGGAUCUGAAGGUGCAAACCGGACAAAGGCAACUUCGCAACCAAUGUUUUCUUUCAACUAGCAAGUAAGUGAUGGACAAGAAAUCAGAUUAAAGCAGUGGCGAUCUAUUUUCUUGCUGCGAUAAAUAAGUUGAGCAGAUAUGAAAGAGUACCGCCUCUAGUGCGGCACCGUGUAUGCAUCUGCUGAGAAUUUGAUGGUGCUGCGGUAGCGAUGGCUAUCGGUGGCAUGGAAGCAGAUCUAGGAGGGUAGAUGGUGGUGGCGGGCCACGAUUUUUGAGACGGUCGUAGGAGUGGCGCCGGCAAGGUGGACAACAGCGGGGAUGAAGCGAGAGGACGGGAUGCAAGGAUCCGGUCCGAAGCCGUGGAUGAGAGAGAUCGAUCUCUUGUAAUGGUCGAUGGCAUCAGGGUAUAAGCUCCGGCAUGGUGGAGGAGGACGGUGGUCGAUGGGGUGGUGGAUGGAGGAGGCUGGGGUGGAGAGGGUGUUUUGGCGCCCACGGAGUACGAAUGGGGAAAUGGAGGGAGAGAGAAGAAGGGGGGAACCAUGUCUUUAGGGCGCGCUUGUCUCAAAUGCGAGGAAAUUUACAAACUUAGCCCCCGUUUAAAAUUUCCUACAUCACAACAAUAUUACUCGGUUGGGGAUGGGAUGGUAAUCUCGCAUACACCGAAUAUUUGCCGACGAGAGUUUGUUUUUGGCGCCCACCGUAUAUGAAUCGGGGAGGGAGUCAAUUUCGGCCGAGGAGACAAUGUGUUUUGGCGCCCACCAUGUAUGAAUCUGGGUGAGAGGUGGUUAUGUCACGUUUGAGUGAAAUUACAAACCUACCCCUAUCGAAACCUAUAGAAAUCGAGCAGAUAGGCUUUGCGUGUCAGGGAUAGGUAGUAAUUUCCAUCUCGCAGAUUUUGGUUUCGGGCGGUUACUGUGACUUUCCCCGCUUCGUUCAAAAUUUUGCAGAGCAAGAGUGCACGUUUACCGUGCCAACUCAAUUCCAAUCCAGUUUGUAUUCUAUUUUUGUUCGAGCAGGAUCCAUUUGCGAUUGGAAUAAAAUUCUAUAUACAUCAUUCUUUAUGUAUACUUUCAAAAGCACAACACCCUUUAUACAUAAAUAUGGUUUACAAAUGGCAUGAUCUCAGAUUCAUAAGGCUGUAUGGAUCUUAAUUUGGAUUUCCAAAUAUUUGAAACCACUUUAUGUUGAAAUCCAAUGUAUGCAUUCCUUGCUAAUUGUCUCCAAUUAAUGUGUGUUUCAUGCGGGUUUUUUUACUUCUCAAACAUGUAUAAUGUUUUUCACACACGCAACAUAUAGUGUAAUCCCGUUUAGACAUUAAUUGCAUAUAAAUCAUGCAUUGUCUCUGAUUAAAGAAUCUAUGGAUCACUAAUAUUGAUAAACUAUAUAACAUUACACGUGUCCCCAAAUUCAAAUGAAUAUGCAUGUUUCAUACACCAAUUUGCGUUAUGAUAUUAUCGAUGUCGUGAUAUCCAGUUUAAAUAUUUGAAUCCCCUUUAAUCCAGAUAUUCAUCUCAUAUAGCAAUCACUCAUGCUUAUAUAGCAGUAUCUCUCUAGACCUAUACGUGUUCAUCGUCUCUCGGGUAUCUCUCAUGCUACCUGUAUGUCGACAAUGAUAUUUUAUCUUCGCAACACACUGACAGUACUCUCUCCCUCGACCUUCAUCACUCUAUCUCUCUCUAAGUAUAUCUCGCUCCCUGCUAUGUGUCUCUAACUAUGAUUCUCCAUGUGAAAUCUCUUUCUCUCACACAAACACAAACUUCAUCUCCCAGGGUCUCAUUUCUCUCAACUAUUCCCCUAUGUGCCACUCCCACCCCCCCACUCACACAGAGAUGUCUUUCGCUCCUUAGAUAUGAGAAGCUAUGACUCUUCCUCUUAUAUAUCUCUUGCUCACACACAAACACAAACUCUGUCUCCCAGGGUCUCAUAUCUCUCCACCAUUCUGUUGUAUGUCGCUCACACACUCUCUCUCCCUAGAGAUAUCUUGUGUUCCCUCAUAUGUCUCUCUAGCUAUCACUCUCGUUGUGAAAUAUCUUUCUCUCUCGCAGACACAAAACUCCGUCUCUCGGGAUCUCAUUUCUCUCUGAUAUUUGUUUGUAUGUGACUCACAUGCACACUCUCUCUAUCUCUCUCACACCCACACACAUAGCUCAGCCUUCUGAUCCACUCGACUCCUAUCUCUAACACACACUAGCUAGCUAGCAUCUUUAUCUUUCUAUUUAUCUAUUUCUCCAUGAACCUUCUUUCGCCCUCACUCUUGCUUCCUAUCACACACACUAUAUAUGUUUCUCUCUACAUGCAGUCAAGUGCCCUCUUUUUAUCUUUCUCUCACAAACAUAACUUCACCCUCUGAACCAUCCGGCGGUCAUCUCCAACACUCAAACUAGCUGAUGUCCCUCUAUCUAGCAUCUCUAUCUCUGUAUCUAUCUGUAGUUUCUCCGUCAACAUUUCUUUCUCGCACACACUCUUGCUUCCUAUCACCCACACUAUAUAUGUCUCUCCAUACAUGCAUUUAUAGGUUGAUCUCUUUUGCACAAUCGUUGUGUCUCGCUCCCUCUGCUCGCCAUAGAUGCAUUCUUUAGCCCACGCUACUAUCUCUUAAAGACAAAAACACAUGCUCAAUUAUCAAGCCUUCUUCCCUGCACUCUCAGAUUCAUGCAUAUUGUCAUACCAAUCUCUCCCAUAUCGUUGAUCUUAUGACUUAUGUCUUCUUUCUUUUAUCUCGAUCAUGCUCGCGCGCACACACACACAUCCCACGUAUACAUGUAUACCUCUCGCACAUACACGUUCAAGGUCUCCUAUGUCUCCAUACAUAGUUAAUUACCCUCAACCCUAACGCCACAUCGAAUCGUUCUCUUCUUGUGUGCACAUAACUUCCUCCUAGAUGGGUAAAACACAAACUCACACUUAACAAUCUCCUUCUAGCUACCCCCCUUCUCUCACUCUUCCCCUAUAUCCCCGAAACCAAUAAGACCAUCCCUUCAUUUAAUUCCCGCCUACAUGCACCAUCGAUAUAUAGUAGUAUUCCUCGGUGUCUCUCGAACAAACACGUUCUCUCGAUGUCGACUCCUCUCACGCGCACAUGCCUUCUCUUCCCUCUCUACGGGCCAUUUAUCUCUCGCACCCCCUCGUACACACACACGCACCCACCCCCACCCCCCACACAGAUUAAGACUCCAUCUCACACACACAUGCUCUAAGCGGAGCAUUUGUUCCUACCACCCUUCGUCCAACCUUACCCGCAUGAUAAACAAUCACCUUAAUUUACUUGUAUAACAUGGAAAAAUUCCACUUUACUUUAGUAGUUAGCAAACUUAUCAUCUUGUAAUAUAGACCGUCCGAUCUAUAUCUGACGGAUAGAAAGCAAACUAUGACAAUUUUACAAAAGAUGCCCGCACUUCUCUCCACAUUUACACACAAGGCCUUGCCUCGUUCAUAGUCCCUAUCUCCCACAACCUCAUUGCUGAGCCAUUAAAAAAGGAAGUCUCUGGAACAAUCUAGCAUGGUGGCCGCUGCCGCCUGUCGGCGCCGUCCAUCCCCAUGCCUCCGCCCAAUCCGACCACCAGUCACCACCACGCUCCACUCCUCCUCACCUUAUCUCUCAUCUUUCGUUUUUUUGCUGAAAUUGUCGAGAUACCAGUUUUCUGAUAAAAUUCUUGAGAUAUCAUUAGUUUUUUAACAUGGCCACGUAAGUCACUAGCUAAAGUGUAAUACCAUUAUACUUAUAUCCCAAUGCAAAAGGUUGAGUACAUGUCCGAAGAGUAGAGUCGCACACACGCACUCUGUCUCUCAGAAUCUCUCACACACACCAGUUACGUGACGCCCACUUAAGGAGAAACGUAUGUUACAAUUUGUGCACCCGCGGGUACACGUGAUGGUGUGCAUUUCUUUAAGCCGGACGGUGAACCCAAACAGUAGCUGCAUUCAUUCCCCUCCCGCCGCCUCUUCUCUGGUUGCCGUAGCCUGGUAUCCAUGGCCCGGCCAAAGGUAACGACAUACGCCAUACUCCCGCCGGAGCGACGCUUUAAUCUAGAAAUUUUAGUGGUCAUGCAUGCAUCUUUUUGUGCUAGCACUCCUAUAUAAGGGUUGAGAGAUUCGCUUCCCGGUGCACGCGACUGCUCUGCGUCGAGGCUGGCCAUAGUUUGGAUGAGUCUCCAUCGUGGGGAGCCACACUAACUGCGAUGAUAUGGACACCCGUUGCCCACAGUUAUGGAUCGUUCCAUCUAUGAAGAACACGUGGGACUGGAACUACAAGACGGACAGGUACCCAGGAGUGGACGUACGAACCUGAGUAAUGUAGCGCAGUAAGUGAAGUAGAAAGGCACAAAUAGUAUGAACAUGCGUGGCAUAUAGGCAUUUGUCUCUUACUAUCACUAAAUGUUGUACGUGCAAUGCCCGGUGAUGUUAUGGAGUACGUGCCUAAGUACUCUACUACUACUAUAUUAAUUGGAGGCACAUAUUAGGUUUUUAUAUUUGUUUACAUCUAUGCCCCAAGACCUUCCAACUAGACAUGUCUUUCUCUUCGGGUCGCACUUUGUAUUGUUCAUACCACUAGUACUACUACGUGUGGUCUCUGACCCAGAAGUGGAGACGCUGUUCAUGUCCCACUCCUUUUGCUGACGUGUGGGACAUCCAGCACGUGCCGUGUUUGGCACUCCUUCGUCAUAAGAGUUGAAACGCUAGCAUUCAUCAGAAAUAAAAAAUAAAUAUAAAUCAACAGUGAUACUAUACCACGCGGUUUCCUUGCUCCUCGAUAUUGGAAAGAAUACUUCCAUUCGCCGGCAUGUGGGACAUCGACCAUCCUGGUCCACUUGCCAUGCCCGCAGAACUCCAAGGGAGAGUCACCCCGGUCGUCGCGCCGUAGUAAUUACUAAUGAGCCGUCAAAUCAUAGGCCCAACCUUUCCCACUAUGAAGUUGCUCGGACGAAGUAACCAUCAUGACUUCGUUGAAUUCCGCUUCUUGAAGAAAACUAAUGUACCGGCAGUACUGCUAGCUACAGUAGUUACUCCAGCAGAGGCCUCCUUUGGUUCAUAGGAUAGGAAUUUUAUAGGAAUAUGAAAAUCAUAGGAAGUGAGAUGACAUGCAUCUCAAUUCCUAUAGAGAAAGAGAUGCCAUUUGAUGCAUAGGAUAGGAAUUUUUCCAUUGAGUCUAGGCUAAUGUACUCGUAAUUUGCUCUAAAAACUACAGUAGUAACUAGUAGUACUGGUACAUGCUCGUAAUUAAUUAAACAGACGUACGGGCGACAGAGACACACACACUAACUACUAGUACUACUACUUCUCACAUGCUGGCCAGACGCCGUCGUUCUCCUUCCCGGCUUUGUCGACGACACCCCACCGUGCUUGGAUCUCCGCCGACCUCUCCGCAGCAGUGCAUGCGUCCUCUUCUUUCUUGCGGCGGCGGGCCUCUCUUUUCUUGAGUGCUUUAUGACUUUUCCGCUCCCUCUGUGUGGCUUUGGCCACCUGUUUCUCUAUGACCCAUUCGGCCUUGGCAGCUUCAAAUUCCGCCCACAUAGGUGUGAGGUCGCGAGCAGCGAUGAAAUCGGCACGGUGGGAUGCCAUCGCUUCCCUACCAUUCUGUGUGCGGUCGUGGGUGGCGAGGAACUCGGCGCGGUGCGAUGCCAUCGCUUCCUUACCGCUUAGUGUGCGGCGCGGUGGCAUGAACGACGCUUGGUGACAGCUCUGGGGUGGAGUGGCCGAACAACCGUAAAGUGCAUUGGUUUGUCUAGAGCUCAAGGUUAGAAGACGAAGGAAAUUUGGAUUUCCCUUGGAUACGUCUCCAACGUAUCUAUAAUUUUUUAUUGUUCCAUGCUAUUAUAUUAUCUGUUUUGGAUGUUUAAUGGGCUUUAUUAUGCACUUUUAUAUUAUUUUGGGACUAACCUACUAACCAAAGGCCCAGUGCAAAUUGUUGUUUUUUUUGCCUAUUUCAGUGUUUCGCAGAAAAGGAAUAUCAAACGGAAUCCAAACGGAAUGAAACCUUCGGGAGAAUCAGUUUUGGAACAAAUGCAAUCCAGGAGACUUGGAGAGGACGUCAAGCAAGCAACGAGGUGACCACGAGGUAGGAGGGCACGCCCAGGGGGGUUGGCGCGCCCCCUACCCUCGUGGGCCCCUCGUGGCUCCACCGACCUACUUCUUUCGCCUAUAUAUACUCAUAUACCCUGAAAACAUCGAGGAGCACCACGAAACCCUAUUUCCACCGCCGCAACCUUCUGUACCCGUGAGAUCCCAUCUUGGGGCCUUUUCCGGUGCUCCGCCGGAGUGGGAAUCGAUCACGGAGGGCUUCUACAUUAAAACCAUUGCCUCUCCGAUGAUAUGUGAGUAGUUUACCACAGACCUUCGGGUCCAUAGUUAUUAGCUAGAUGGCUUCUUCUCUCUCUUUUGGUCUCAAUAUAAAGUUCUCCUCGAUAUUCUUGGAGAUCUAUUCGAUGUAAUACUUUUUGCGGUGUGUUUGUCGAGAUCCGAUGAAUUGUGGGUUUAUGAUCAAGUUUAUCUAUGAACAUUAUUUGAAUCUUCUCUGAAUUCUUAUAUGCAUGAUUUGAUAUCUUUGCAAGUCUCUUCGAAUUAUCAGUUUGGUUUGGCCUACUAGAUGUUGGAAAUUUUCGCCAUAGGAUCGAUCACAUCAAAUCACACGAACGCACGCACACAAAAAUUGAUAGACAAGGGGCCCUUGUCGUGCCCUCUUUUCUUCCUCUUUAUUUCUUUUUCUCCUUUUUUCUGGUGUGUUACAAAACGCACGGCUGGGGCUGUGUAUAUAUACACACGAGGCCAUGACCGACCAGACAACCUGACCCUUCACGUACAUGUAUGACCCCUAGUCCUACAUGGAUACAACCAAAGCUAACCUAGCAUACCUACCCAAACUGGGACUAGUACUCGUAAAUGACACCCAAGAUCAACUUUGCUUUCCUAAACUAAUCACCGGCAACGCUGAUCACACUACUAAACCUAACGGGACUCCACCCUGUGUAUCACGCAGCCUGCUAGCUAGCUUGCACAUAACUAGAACUCACCUAGUUAAAACAAACUUAUAUUUGGAUUACCUAACAAUCACCCCCUAAUCCAAACAUCUGACUUUUUACUCGACGAGACACGCAGACGAUCGCCUCUUCAUCUUGUCCUGCCGAUUGCCUCCGGUGACGCGACUUACCGGACCACAACUUCUCUCUUCUUGCAUGGCCACCACCUCAUCGCCAUAUUUUGCUUCUUAUGCCGACUUGUAGACAAGAACCAACGAUUAACCGGACUACUAGCCACGCUGCCACAUCUUAGUGUGCUACAUGCCGACUAAACGCAUAGCCUCAUGCAGGAACUCAACUUAACUGGUGCGCGUCCUCUUCACAUUGAUCUUCAUCUUCUCGUCGGUUGCCUGCACACGGGGAGACACAUCUCGUCACCCGCCGCAUCUUUUCUUUCUCUUUGUCGCUGCUCACACAACUUACCAAACGAUGCUUCUCGUCCGACGCCAUCACAACUCGCCACAUACGCGCAACUCAACUUCACCGUAUCUGAACUCGCCGGAACUUCCUGAUCACGAACGGAAACGCAAGGCACAAUUUCCUUUUUCCAUCCGCUCUCGUUCUCAAUUCUCUUCUGCAAGUGACGCAUCUCAACUGCGGGAGAAGACUCACACCCCCGAGCUCUUGGACACGUCUUACAAGAACUCAUGUGCACACCUUUGAUGACGGAUCGCAACUUCGCUAUCUCCCCGUUGCAUCCUCCAAUGAUGAUCUCGAUGAUUUCCUCGAUGUCGCAACUUCAGCACCUCCAUAACCAUCAACAAUCACCAACGCCUUGUCAACGACAGCCUAUCGCCCUCCUCCAGAUUGUUCUACUGAACAACAAUCUCUUAUCCUCCACGUCGCUGCACCCCAACGACUAUUUCCUUCUACACCCACUACAAAAAAAUACACUUCCAUGAUGAUACGUGUUUGUCACAGUAGGUCACGUUUUCUAUCAUGCAUGUACAUCCAUGACAAAUUUAUGACAGAAUCAAGAUAGUCAUACCUGUGCUGUCGUAGAAGUGUUCCAUGACAUUACCAACAUUAUCAUCACGGAAGUGUCCACUUCCAUGACGAUAAAUCGCGUGUCACAGAAGUGCUUUCAUCAAGGGUGACCGACACGUGGCAUCCACCGUAAUGGAACGCCGUUAAGCCAUUGGGUCCGGUUUUGGAUCCGAUAACCCGUUAACAGCCCCGACCAAUGGGGAUUUUCCACGUGUAAAAUCAUCAUUGGCUGGAGGAAACACGUGUCGGCUCACCGUUGGGACAGAUGUCAUCCACUCAUUGGGCCCAAAGCGCCUAUGAUACGCCGGCACGUGGCCCGGCCCAACAGAGGCCCAUUCCUGUGAAAAAGUCGGCCCGUUGACUUGGUCAAAAGGUGGCGGGCCGGCCCACGGCAAGCCUCUUAACGACCUGUUCGCAUAUAGCCCAUUUACAGCCUGCUAUCCCAAGGCCCGUUUAUGGCCUAUCCAAAUUAGGCCCAGUAGCGUCAUCUGGACCGUCCAAUAUAAUUCCAGCCCGUUUUAACUUCCAGCCCAUGUAUGGCGUAUGACGUCUUUCGGCCCAUAUGAGGCCCUUAAUAACCCUCGGCCCCUUAAUGGCCCGUGGUAAAACUGGCCCGUAAUGAACAGUUUAUCACUUUAUACCCAUUAAUGGCUCAUUAUUCCGUUGGGCCGUUUCCAGCCCAUGAUAUCUUUCGGCCUUCUCAGGGCCCAUUUAUUCUUGGGCUCAUUUCCAGCAUUCGGUUACUUACGGCCCGUUACUGUCAUUUUCUACUUGUGGGCCAAAUUCAGCCCGUGGUUACAGUCGGCCCGUUUGUGGCCCGUUAAUUAAUACGUUGGGCCGUUUUCAUGUCGGAAAAAACCCGUUGGGUUGUUUUCAUAGAGUUAUCAAAUACGGCCAAUAAACGACCCGUUAUUGUCCACGAAUAGUACGGCCCAUGAUUGGUGAAAUGACGAUACGCCCCGUAGAAGGCCCAUGGAUCCUACGGCCCGUAAAAGGCCCAUGGAUAGUACGGCCCGUAGAAGGCCCAUGGAUCCUACGGCCUGUAUAGAAGGCCAGUGGAUCCUACGGCCCAUAGAAGGCCCAUGGAUCAUAUGGCCCGCGGGAGGCCCAUGGUUACAACAGUCCACGUGUUGCCAUGAUUAUUUUGGCCUAGUUUCUGAAAAUAGGUUAUUGUGGCCACUAGAAAAACACAGAAAAAGAACGGCAGUGACUACAAGCAAACAACUAAACAAGACAAUAAGGAAAUAAAUAAGCAAGCAAUUAACGCUAGCCUAUUGCCGCUAUUACACAUAUUACAUCCACUGGGCAUCAAAGUUUGCCACCAGUGCAAAUAUAGGGAACAAAGCAGCAUAUUAAAUACAUUGGCCGUCAAAAUUGCCCACCAGUGCAAAUAAACGCAGCAGCAAAACAAGAGCAUAACUGAAACAACUUCAGAAGAGCUCAAGAAACGUGGUAUCCACCAUGCUGGCAAUAAGCUUAGCAAGCUUAUUAGCUUUGUCUUGUUUGGCGCUAAAAUCCGCCAACGCUUGCUGUUGCACCAGAAAGUAUGCAUCUGAAUGCUCCAGGGACUUCCGCAGUCCUUCCACUUCUUGUCGCAGCACAACUGAUCAAUGUCUUUCAGCUUGUAGUUGAGACUCAAGAAACCGAAGUGCUUCAGACAGUGAGUUUGAAUAGCUUGUGCAAGCGGUAGUGGCCAGUAAAUCCAACACUAAACCAAGACAGGACUUUGGGGUUGUCUCACUGUCUUCGAGAUAGUCUUCCUUAGCUGUUUUAUCAGCUUUGUUGGAGACCAACAAGGAUGUGUCACUAUCCUGAACCUUAUCUGCAUUACUUCCUUUACCAUUGCUUAAUAAGGCACUCUUCCCCAAUAUUCUGUCAGCAUUCUAAAAGAAGAAACAAACAGACACGUAACAGUUUAGCAUGUACUAGUAUAUGAAACUCAUUUCGGUGAACCAGUUCAUUAGUAAGGUGGACAGGAUUAAACUACCAAGUCUUCUAUUGCCAAGUACUAGUACAUAAUAAAAGCAUCAAACAAACAUAUAUCUAUGUCCUAUGGUCACUGCAUUGUCUUUCCAAAUCAAAAUAGAGACACAGUUCAAAUCAUAUCAGUUGAAGACAAAGCAGCAGUGAAAGAAUACAAAGCAUGGGAAACUACACGACACAACAAGAUUUCAGAUGGGUACCACGGGUCUAUAUGUACAACAACACUAUUGGCUCUGUUGUGAUGCUAGUAAUGUGCAUGAUAUGAGAAGUCAACUGUAUACACAAUUGAAAUUGAAAUCAACAGAGCUAUUGAUAAGAGCAAGCAUGUUAAAGAAACAUGCGUGAACAUACCUGCUGUGCCAUUGAAGUUUCGAUUGGAUCCUUCAAUUUAAAAAAAAGUUUGUAUGAGUAAAUACAGUGAUGCAAGAGCAAAGCAGUAUUCACGAUAGCAAUCAUAGUUAAAAAAGGCACGCCUAAGCGAGCUCUUAAGCACGCCUAGGCUCUAGGCGUUGGCGAAACGCAUUGCGCAUAACUACGCUUAAUCUGUGCAUAACUGUGCAUAAGCAUGCGCUUUGGUCAGUAAAGCGCAAGGCGGUGGCACAACACACAAUUAACGCCUAGCGCUUUUUUGAAUUAUGAUAGCAAUGGAAUCUUAAAUUAGAACAGUUUUUCUUUACGUUUAGGCACUUGUUCUACAUGAACAUAGUACAGUAAGACGCAAGAAUAUAGUACAUAAAAAUAGAAAAUGAGCUCAUAGACCUUACCACAUUCUUGGUUCGGGACCAGUACAGAACAAGGCGUUCCCAGUCAUCGUCCAGGAAAUGUGUCUCAGGACAACGUAAGGGAAUUUUAUGAGUUUCUUUGCCGGGGAAGUAUGUUUUCUUUAGGUAAUUCCGAUACUGCCACCAAGCAUUCUUGAAGAUAGCAGAGGUAUUAGCACAAGUUACCUCAUCCCGAGUUUCCAAAUCGGUCCUUCUCUAUAGAGAAAAAGGGGAAAAUUUGCUGUAUUAUAACCAUCAUGGAGGUAGGAUGUACGGGACAAAGCAAAGUAAUUGCCAUGAAUAACAUUACUUACACAUAACUCCUGGACAAACACCUGCAACUGGUAUUUCCUUCAUCUUCAGUAUAAUGUUUCCAAGAUGGGAAGAUACGCACAUACGAUUUAACAACAUCAAAUGCGAUAGAUGCUAAACUACGACUAGCUGGUUGUGCUUCCUCCACAGGAAUAGGCGUACUAACUGGUGGAGUUGGGGUUCGCUAUUGUAGUACUGGCCCUUUGGGCACUGGAGCUGCCUUACUAACUACUCUUGUUUGGGAGCUCUGUGGUGGAGAUGGUGUUGUGUCAACAGGAACUGGGUUACUAUCUGCUGGGGUUGGGGUUAGAUUGGGUGAAGCUGGUUCUUUGUCCAUCGCAGUAGGGGUACAAUCUGCGAGAGUUUUGGUUAGGUGUGGUAGGGCUGGUUCUCGUGCAUGUACAACCGGGGUGCUAUCUCCACCAAGAGGUAGCACUGUUUUAUUUGAAGACCGUGUUUUUAGUCCGCUGGAUGCUGGCAUCACCUGCUCCAAUUCAAAUGGAUGAUAAACAGGAAACAUAGUUGAAUGUAUAGACAUUGUAUGAGAGACAGAUGCAAUAGAUAGUGUGGAAAAAAGAGGUCAUGAAAUAGUUGACAUGUAUAUUGUUUAACUAAAACGGAUAGCAUGACAUAAUUUCACAUAUAUGAUGUCUAUCUAAACUGGAUAGCAUAGCAUAACAUAAUUCAAAGAAAUGAUGAAUAACUAAACAAGAUUGCAUGACAUAAUUCACCUACAUGUUAUCUAAGCAAUCAGGAUCGCAUCAUUUAAUUCACAUAUGUUAUUUAUAUUCUAAACAGAGGGCAUUAGAUAUGAUGUCUGAACUAAGAACAUGGUGUUGAAUAUUGUGUAUAUGAUGUCUAAUCUAUGCAAUGCAAGACACCAUAUGCAUGAUAUGAGCAGUAUAACCGUGCCAAGUUAGAGCAUACACCUCGGUGGGGGAAUAGGACUAGUCAUAUAUCUCUGAAUCCAUCUCUGAGGAGCUAUCGGGACCCAACAAUAGAUCUGCUUCGACAGAUAGCACUGUCUGCACUGAAGGCCUUGUUUUCACUCCAGAUUUUUCAAUCUCCCACCCAAAUGGCUGAUUCAAAGGAAGAGUAGUUUAAUGUACAAACAUUGUCAACAAAUGGAAAUGUAAAAAGGAUGGGCAAGAUAUCAUUCAAAUAUAUGAUGCCUGGUUAAACAGGAUGGCAUUGCACAUUUCACGUAUAUUAUGGCCAGCUAAAAGACAUGAGACUGCACAAUUCCCAUAUAUGAUAUAGAAACUAAACAGGUGGCAUUAUAGAACAUGUCUAAACUAAGCAGAUGACAUACAUGAUGUCAUCUGUAGGCACUGCAAGGCAACAUAUGCAUGAUAUGACUAACAUCAUCAUGCCAAGGUCGAGCAAACACCUUGUGGGGUAAAUAGGAGUGGUCAGUAGCGUCUAAAUCCGCCUCAGAAUAGAUAUCUUCCUCUGGAUUACAAUCUGGAGAGGGGUGGGGAGGGUUUGCCAUUGAACCCACCAUGGAGGGAUGUCUGCAUGACAUUGUAUUGCCGUGCAAAACUCUUCUCUUUUUCUCUACAUGUUCAGCAUCACUGUGUACAAUAUCUGACAUGCAUACGAAAAAAAAUAUGGUGAGAUUGUGUAAGGAGAACAUGCAGAAACUUAGAGUGAUGGUAACAACGAGUGGAUGGAUCCAAAAAUAAUGAUAGCAGGCUGAUGAUUGCUUUAAUUUAAUAAAAAGACAGAUGAUGAUUGCUUUACUAUUUGUUUCCCACCCAAGAUGAACAACAUAGGCAUACCCUAGGUGAACCAGAUAUUAGACAGAGAUACUAUUCAUUGCUUCCUCGAUAUGUGCCGUAAGACGUCAAGGCUGAAGGAGCCCCGGUGAGCCGUAAGACGUCAAGGCUGAAGCAGCACAAGACAGACAUCGUCAAUCUCAAGUGGGAUUCUAAUAGCAUCUCCAAUAAAUGAUGUAAAAUAGAUGUAAAAUUUACAUCACCAAAAACCACCUGACUACAACAGAUGAGGUAAAAAUUGUUGACUCUGAACAUAAAUGUUGAAACUGAAAUUUACUGUGGAAUCUGAAUGUUCCUGUCGAAACUGAACGCAAUGGUAGCAGAGAGGCACUUAACAUGUAGUUUAGGGAGGGCCUGCAGUUCAUCUUCAACCCGCACCCCCUGAACCACCAGCCACCGCCGGCCGAACUGCCGGCUCCAGCGCCGCCUCGCCGCCUCGAAACAACUCCCCACCGCCGGUCCGCCGCCGCCCCGGCCAGCCCUAUAGGCCCCCCGCCCCCACCUUGAACCCUAAGAUAGAUAGUGGGGUACCUCUCUGGCGAGACCCCGUCCUUGCCGCGGGUGGUUCUUCCUUAACUCCGGCGAGGCCCCCACCCCCUAAAAAUCGACGACCCAAAAGUCGAUUCAGUCGACUGAAGUGUAGCUAAAUCGGAGCAGAGCAGCAGCACGAGCGAGGGGGAGAGCAGCAGCAACAACAGCACGAGCGAGAGCCGGAGCAGCAGCAGCUGGGCGAGCGAGCGAUCGACACUACUAGGAAAAGGGCUAUAGAUAAUAUGGACACUAAUGGCGCACCACACAUGUGGUGCGCCACUACUAUAUACUAAUGGCGCACCAUGUGUUGGUACGCCAUUAGUGUCCAAAUACUAAUGGCGCAUGCACCAGAUCCACAGUGCGCCACUACUCACAAUUUUUUUUAUUUUUUUUCAAAACUAGUAAUGGCGCACCAGGAGAUAGUGCGCCAUUACUAGUUUAACUAGUAAUGGCGCACCACACCCUCGGUGCGCCACUACUAACAAUUUUUCCAUUUUUUUGUCAAAACUAGUAAUGGCGCACCAGGGGAUAGUGCGCCACUACUAGUUUUAACUAGUAAUGGCGCACCACACCCUCGGUGCGCCACUACUAACAUUUUUUUAUUUUUUUUUCAAAGUUAGUAAUGGCGCACCAUGGGUGUGGUGGCGCACCACACCCACGGUGCGCCAUUACUAACUUUGCCCAAAAAUUCCACCGAAUGCACCCCCCCUGGUGGACCGCCUUUUCAGUUCUAGAAAAAAUAAAAGAAAAUGAUGGAAAUGUCAAAAAAAUAAAAUAAAAUUUGUUUCCCAUGUGAUAUGUGGUCUAGUUGUUGGGAAAAUUUACAAAUAUGAAUUUCGACUUUAUUUGCAAAAUCUCUCUGGAAUUUGUAAAAUGGGCAUAACUUUUGCAUACGAACUCGGAUUAAAAAGUUUUUUAUAUGAAAAAUCAUCUACUCGAAAAGUUACAUACCAAUGAAAAUCUCCAAAAACCUAACAGCACGAAAGAUAUGGGGCUUUUAAGAUCUGGAGGGGGGAAAAUGAAAAAAAAUCAAACUUUUUGCGCCUAACCGAAAAAAUAAUUGGUUUCAAAAAAACUUUUUUUUUGGAAUUUUUUUUCAAAAUAUGAUAUGUAAUAUGACUGGGAAGUUUGAAAUAUUUUUUCAAAAUUUCAUCACACUCAUGAACAUGAACAAAGUCCUAGACAUCAACAAGGUUUAAUAGGAUUGAUAUGCUAGAUAUAUCAACAAGUGCCUGUUAAGUGAGCUAGUGCUGGGGUUGGAUAGAACUCUGAAGUUAAGGGUGCUUGGGCUGGAGUAGUGUGAGGAUUGGUGACCUUUCGGGAAGUUUGACCACGGAGUGCGAUUUGACUUGAGAUUAAGAAUAUUGACCCGAGAUUAAGCCAUAGUGACUCGAGAUUAAGAAAAAAAACGAAAAAAAGGAUUUGAAAAAAUUUGAAAAAAAAAAUUCGGAAAAAAAUUUGAAAAAAAAUGUUAGUAAUGGCGCACUUCUAUGUGGUGCGCCAUUACUAAGUCAGAUAGUAAUGGCGCACCGUGUGAUGUACUAAUGGCGCACUUCCUCGUGCGCCAAUAGUAUCUGGCGCACCGUGUGAUGUACUAAUGGCGCACUUCCUGGUGCGCCAUUAGUAUACCAGAUACUAAUGGCGCACCUGUGGUGCGCCAUUAGUAAAAAAUUCUAAUGGCGUGAUGCUAGUGGCGCACCUGUAGUGCGCCAUUAGUAGGCAAAACAGGUGCGCCACUAGCAGGCCUUUUCCUAGAAGUGCGAGCGAGAGCCGGAGCAGCAGCAGCGCGAGCGAGCGAGAGCUGGAGCAGCAGCAGCUGAUCCGGCUGGUAUGGAUGCUGCCGCUGAAGGGGCCUCACACUUGGGGAGAGCCGCCGUGGAGAUGUCGCCCGCGGCGCCGGCUUCAAGGUAGCCGCUCCAUGGGGGUGCGGGAUGGAGCACCGUCGGCGCCGGGAGGUCGAGCUAAGGAGAAGGUGCGAUGCGAUGAGUGUACAACCUCUGGUGGCGUCGAGUAGGCCUCGGCUUCGUCCGAGGAGUCGGUGAGGAUGCUGCGGUUCCGGUGGAGCAGGUUAAGGCGGCGCUGUGGGGAUGGAGCAGCCGCGAUAGAUGAGGCGAUCGUCGGAGCAGCUCCUUGGAGGUGGAGGACGGGGCGGCUGAACCGGCGGGACGACGAGAUGGACGACGGAUCCUCAUCCAGGGAGGUGGACGAGGGACGUCGAGCUGUUGCGGUGGACGACGUCGUCGGGGAAGAGGCUCCGGCUGGGCAGCGGUGAGGUGGCGGAUGGAGGAGGGUGGGGUUUCGCGGCUGGAGCGGAGAGGUUAUGGCAGCCUGGGAUUUCGAAUGGCAAAAAGGAGGCGAUGGGAGGGGGUGAACCAUGACUUAGGGACGCGCUUGUCCAAAAUGUAGGGUGUGUUACAAAAGUACCCCGCACCGAUUUGAACUAGCGGCCCUUUUGGCUCAGGGUUAGAAGGGGGAUUUCGCGUGUCGGGAUUUGGCAGCUGGAGGGAGUUUUCGCGCGCGUUGUAAUUUCGGGAUAGCAAGACGCGGGUUGUGAAGGCGCCAGUUUUGGGAGCACGAUAUCUGAAUUUUUGGGAUAUAACAAGGCGCGGGUUGAAUUUUAGGGACAAGCCUAACGUGUAAUAUUGUACUUGUACGUACCAAAUCAAUCCGCACUUCCCUCAACCAAAAAGAAAACGAAAAAAUUAAAACUAUUCACACCACACAAAGAGAGAGUCUUGCCCGGUUUUACUAUAAAAAUGCUAUUUAAAGCUACUCAUACCAACAAUUUAGUGCAAUUAAAUGCUAUUCGGUAGUAUGAAUCCAUGUUAUGUCCAAUUAAAUUUUUUCGCUUGCUGUAUAAUGCAUGUAACCUACUCAUACCAACAUUUUAGUGCAUUCCAAAUGUCUAUACUACCGCUGCAAUUCGAACUGAAUUUGAAUUCGUUUCUCUAUUUCAAUAACAAAUCUACAAUCAUGAUUGUUGCCAACUUCAACCAUCAUUUGUGUAUUACCUUAAUAACACACCACAUGAUUACUAUAGAGAUAGAUAUGAACUAUGUGUACUACAUGAACUUGAAUUCUAUUUUUUGAAUACACUUGAUGUUGAUUCCAAAUAAUAGUACAUUUGAUGUACUAACUAUAUAUUCAUAAUCUAAACCAUGUUCCAUACGUGUACACUGUGUUUAUCACACAUAGUAUAGUGCCCCGCCCCCUACAUUAUGACAAGUAUUUAGACCUGAGCUGCAAAAGCCACACAUUAGCCCAAAUUAUGAUCAAUGUUCUAUAUGUUAUACGUAGUACUAGCAAGAUGCACAUGCGUUCCACAGAACGUCAACAUGAUCAAGGGGAGGCCUAAUUUGCAAAUAUGGUGAGGGGUGUGGGUAUCUUUUUUGAAAAUUGCCAUAGUUUCCUUCCUAUCCGUCAGAUAUAAAUCAGACGGCCUAUAUUGAAGGAUGGCACCAUCAUCAACAACUCCGUUUUUUAUAAGAGUAGAAAUAAAAUAUAUUAUAUGUAGUAUAACAUGUUCAUAACCACACCAUGUGUAUCACCGUUAUAUAUAUUCACACAUGUGUCGGUUUAAAACACUAUGAUAAAUUCUUCAAAUAUCGGAAUUCGCUUUUUAUAAUGAAGUAUGAUCUCCAUUCGUCUUUUACACCCACACAAUCCUAUUAUCUUUGUAGCUAGCUAGCGCUAACUUUCUCUCGUGCAUGCAGACGCCCGCAUCCCUCUAACCCUCCCUCAGCAUUCUCUAGCUCCAUCGCGCAAAUUCGUCUUUUCACUUUAGUUCAUUCACCCACGGUGUGUGUAGGCCUCCCAGCUCCUUCGUUACGGCACACAUCGAUCGAUAUGCCUCUCUAGCCAGGUGUGCCUAGCACAAAACACAAGCUUCCCCUCUUCUCUUAUCACCGUCCAUGCCUCACUCCCACCACUCUUCUCAUCGAUCUCGUACUCGCACACUUCUCCCCCUCGAUAUAGUAUGACUCUCGCACCACCUCCUAGAUGCAUCCCUCUCUCUCUAUCCUUCUCCCUGUGCCUCAUUUGCUUCUAACACACACAUGCAUGUAUACCGAUCAAUCUCCCAACAUAUACCUAGGUCGACUUUAAAUAUUCCCCCCCGCAUCGAUCGACGUACCUCACAAGUUAUGUUUCUCCUUUCUCUGACAAAGGACGAUUGAUCUUCCUAUGUAGUUAUGUCUGCUUACCACAUCCAUAUCGCCCCCCCUCAUCAUUCGUGCAUGCCUCCUAACCCGUCUCUCACACGCACGUGCACAGACAGGCAGCCAUCCCCUCUCUUAUUGAUAUUGCAGGCGUGCCCUCCAGUUGUCUAGCAAGCCUAUCCUACCAUUUUUAGAAGCAACUCCACUACCACCCCCUCCAACACUCUAGCUCUGUCUCUCUGCCAACCUUAUUCCUCUCCUACACAUAUGCAUGGAUCCCAAUCGAUCUCCCUUAAUACAUGAGGUAGAUCGAUCUCCCUUAAUACAUGAGGUAGGCCUCUCUCCUCCUCCACACAUAUACCACCCAUUGUACCUCUAUAGUUAAUUAGGGCUCCCUCCCCCCCACCACACACCGAUAGUCGAGCGAUAUAGGUAGGUAUCCAUGCCACAGAGACAAACUGCACCUGUCCCCUCUCACAUUCCAGUAGGCCAGCCACUCUAUAUCUUUGACGUGAGCACACACAAAUUCGAUGGCACUCUUUAUCGAUCAUGUGCGCGCGCACACACACAUCAUCCCUCUCUUAAUUCUAUGGACACCUCAAGCCGAUGAUACCUCCACUCUCUUCUCGUGGAUCGCCCCCUCUAUAUAUAUGAUAUAUCCAGGACUCUAUUUCACACACAUUGCAUAUGUUACAUUUUUUGAUUGACCCCACCCCCCCCCAAAAAAAACUCUCACGAACCCACACACUAUAUCUCUCUACGUUUGUAUCUCUCUCACACAACCCCACGUAGGUGGUGUACGUAUACAAGAAGAGAAUAGGUGCACCAUGCACGUACUCAUGCUUCGUGCCCAGCCACCCCGCGCGGGUACACGGUGGAGCUCAUUUCUCUACGAAAUGGCAGCCCACGUGCUAAUUUGAACGCGUGUAGCGGUUGUUUACCUACGAAGGACGUCUACCAUGCGUGCACGAAAAAAGUUUGACUUGAUGCGUUGGCGCGUUAUUUUUAAAUAAAGUAAUAUAGCUCAAUGGCACGUACACAGAAUAUAAAACGAUUUUUAUGGAGAAAAAGGUAGUAUGCUCCACUAUAUACAAUGGAGCCUGCCUGCCUGGUUUCUCUCUCUUCAGAGUAUCUCACACAAGGCUGCGGUGGCCUCUCUCUAUCUCACCGUUGGUCACUGAUCCGGCCGCAUCCUGUCCGCCGGCGGAAAGGGAGGACGUGCAUCGUUUCUCCAUUCGACGGCGCCGAGGCAACACGUCCCAAUCUGCGGUACACGCGGUUCUCUCUGACCAAGCUCCGACGUGGUAGGGCCUACGCCACCUGCUCGCUGCCGCAGUAUGGGCAGAUUCCGCCCGCCGCCACUCACCUAGUUACAUCCCGACGAUCUCCAGGUAUCCCCUCCGGCCUUGCUCCACUGCCCUUCUUCCCACGUCGCUGCAUGUGGAUCUUGCAUAGUUCUUUGCCCAAAACGUAGCUCGUCCGGCAUACUUUCCAUAUUGCAAUCUCGUCCUCACACCGUUUUAGACAAACACAACCGUGUUGUUAUCUUCCCUUAGGACAAGGAAUAUGCUUCUUUUUUGUCGUCGCAUGUGUCAUCAACUGUUAUUGGCCAGUAAUUGUUUCCUUUCUACCUCCUUUUUGCAAACAGGGCUAUCCAUUUCACCUUGUUGCUCUUGCGACCUUUUGGUGAACUGCACAAAUCACAUUUUUCUUAAGAGUGUUUUGUGUGCAGUUCUGCCAAAAUGUCACACGGGCAACGUCUCUACAUUUCAUUGCGACUGCACAAAGGGAGAUUGGUUUUGCUCUAUCCUCCUCAUCCAACUCCGAGCCUAAUCUUCUCCAACUAGUUAGUCUUAAGAGAGACUGCAAAGGUGACCGGCUUCUAUUUGUGUGUUUAUUGUUUCAUCAAUAGUCCUCUAUUAUCGUAAUCACACUUAAUAUCUUUGGAACAGGGACGCUCAGCUCUAUUUUAGUGGAACUGCACAAAAUGAUCGGAAUGUUGCAUGCUCCAGACAACUACUUUUUUUCCCAACAUGUCUUGUUGAUUUAGACAGAGCUGGGGGGACGUUGCUGCCAGUGAAAGCAUGGAUCAAUUUUAAUUUAACACCGUCUCACAACUUUGUCUUCAGUUGUGAUGUAAAUAUUAGCUCUGAUUAGCAAGGAAGUUAGUUUUUUGUUGUUUCCGAAAGAGCAUCGAUGGCAAGACACACGAAACAAAAGCUGAAAGCUCACACCAUUGUACAAUUUCAUGUCACUGGAAAAUUAUUUGUAUAGUACGUCAAUUAUGUAAAGAAAUGCUGGAAGCUUGAUAGCAUUGCCAGAAGCCUCUUCGGCAUCCGGGUCCAUGUGCCAUGCACAAAAUUAUAAUCCUUCGUUCCUAAAUAUUUGUCUUUUUACAAAUUUCAAAUGGGCAUAUUUUAGAGUGUAGAUUCACUCAUUUUGCUUCGUAUGUGUACUCCCUCGGUUCAUAAAUAUUUGUCUUUCUAGUGAUUUCAACAAGUGACUACAUACGGAGCAAAAUGAGUGAAUCUGCACUCUGAAAUAUGUCUAUAUACAUCCGUAUGUAGUAGUCCAUUUGAAUCUUUAAAAAGAAAAAUAUUUGAGUAGUCACUCGUUGAAAUCUCUAGAAAGACAAAUACUCCGGAGUAUAUUUAAGAACCGAGGGGGUAGUGCACAGCCGCAUGGGAGACUCAGACCGGUCGUUGUGCCGCAUUAAUAGUGAGUAAUGAGCAGUCAAAUCAUAAGCCUGUCACAUCCCUAGUUCUGGUAUGACCUAGGCUAGCCUUGAUGUGUGCAUCAUGUUUAAAUUUCAUUUAAUUUGAAAUGGGGAUUUGUGAAACCCUCAAAAAUUAUUUCUGGAAAUAACCCAGAUAAAAAUUGCUCCAAAGAGGUCCAAGAAAAUGUUCAUGUUGCUCUCUGAAAAUAUUGGUCAUAGGUAAAAUUCUAACAAAUAUUUUUAGGAGCUCAUAAAUAUUUAUUUUGGCCAUUUGGAAUUAAUGCAUAAUUAUUUGCAUUGGAUAUAUAUAUGUUAUAUAUAUAAUAUAUGUCCAAAAAUUAUGCUAGUUGUUGAGGAGCUCUGAAAUAAUACCAUUAGCUCCUACAAAAAUUGGCAUAAGGAAAUAAAUUAGUUUAGUAUUAUUUUUAAGCAGAAACAAAUGUAAGAAAAUAGAAAACAAAACAAAGUAGAAAGAAAGAGGGUAGGGGAAACUUACCUGGGCUUCUUACCUGGUAGCCCAGUGGCGCAACAGGCCGGCCCAACCGACUUGCCAGUGCCAGUCGUCGUCUCCACCGCGCCAGGAGGACAGGGACGGGUGCCCGCGGCGCGCACGCACGCGUCCGGCCACCUCCUGCCUGCCUGUCCUUCCCCUCGUCGCUCUGGAUGCCCCGCGCGACGCCACGCCACGCGCCGCCCUAUACCCCUCUCACUCUCCCGUGCCCAUUCCCCUCCUCUCCCUCGCUCUCUCGCGCGACACCCGAGUAGCACCGUCGCCGCCGCACGCCGUUGUCGGGCCCACCGCCACGGCCUCGCCUCUCCGACAAGCUCAGAAGAUUCGCCGCGUCUUCCUUGUCCCCUCUGUCGAGCCACUCGCCCCAGGAGGCCUGGAUCGCCUCCAUCACCGUCGUCUUCAUCUCCGGCCGCCGUGGAUCCCUAUCGCUGCCCCGUCGCCCUCAGCGCGUCCCCGAACUCGCCGUCAAGCCCAUCGAGAUCGUUGUGAGCUUCUGCUCCGUUCCCCUCUCUCUGUUUAGCCGUUCGCACGCUGUAGCCCCGUCUGCCACCCUGGCCGUAGCACCUUGCCGCCGUUCAUGUCGCCGUCGUUGUCUUGGCGACCGCAGCUCGCGCCCGUGCAGGCCAACACGCUCAGCGCCCCCCCGAGCAAGCCCACUUCGCCAACCGCAGCCCCUGCCGUACAGCGCAGCGAUGCACGCACACUUGGCCGUGCUCCGGCCGCCGCCCCGAGCUCCGCUCCGGUGAGCUCCGGCCGUCCCUGCCUCUCCCACCUUCUCCAGAUGAUGCAUACGAGCGCUGGCUCCUCGCCAAUGGUCUCCGCCGCCCAAAUGGUCGCCGGAGCGACGAUCACGAGACCCUCCGCUGCGUUCGGCCUCGCCGGCGGUUAAACGCCAGUGGGAUUGAUGAGGUCUAACCCCCCCUGUUGACCCAGCUUUGACCCGUGUGGGUCAGCGACAUGUCGGGCCCGGCGCUGCUAAUUUUUAGUUUAGCAUUAGUUUAACAACUAAUUAACUCUGUUAACUAACUAUUACACGGAAGUGUGGACCCCACACGUCAGAUUUGACCUGGACAGCCACGUUGACUCGCUGACGUAGUGAUGACGUCAUGCUGACGCAGUUAUUCAUUUCUUGGAUUUUAUUUAGUCGGGAAAUUCCAGAAAAUUAGCAAAACUUCUAAAAUUCAUAUAAAUUCAACCGUAGCUCAGAUUGAAAUAAUUUAUAUAUGAAAAAUUAUCAGAAAAAUUCAAUCUAUCCAUCUGUACCAGUUUCAUGCAUGAUAAACCAACUUAUACUUGCUGUAUAGGUGAAAACAUAUAAAUGGCAUUUAUAAAGACUUAACUUGGAGUUGCAUUUGAAUUCUUGGUUCUAAUGGACCUCUUCCAAGUUGAAUGCUAGAUGCAUUAGCACAAACAACAUCACAUAUUCAUGCCAUGUUCAUACAUCAUAUUGUUGCAUAUCCUUGUGUAUUGAUUGUCGACACCGUUCCUUCUCGAUAGCUUCUGCUCCGAAGAGUGCUCCAGAGUACCUAUCUGUGGAGCAGUGCCCCCCUGUUGAUCUACCAGGCAAGCAAACCCCCCUUGUUCAUUCCGAUACAAUCCCACUCUCUCGCUCAUGCUCUCUUUUAUUGGAUUAGGACAACAGCGAUCCAACUGCUACUUUAUGCUGCGGUAGUUGAACCCAUUCCUCUGCAUGACCUGUCAUUGCCACAGUAAAUAGUUGAAACCCACUAGGAUGUGUAGGAGUUGAUUGAGCCAUGUUCUGUUCCUACCAUGCCAUGCCUGCUAUUGCUUAGAGUUGUGUCAGGUCUGAUUCAUUGGGAAUGAAUUGGAGUGUUACGAUAUGUUCUAGUGCUGAGAGUUACGCGUGUGAACACGUUUUGGUAAAGGUAGCGGUGAGAGGCCAUGUAGGAGUACAUGGUGGGUUGUCUCACUGGAACCGUCCUUAAGCACUGAGUUCUGUGUAUGUUGUGCAAUGACCAGCUACUACCACACAUUGGGCUCCGGGCGCUCGAAGCUCUCUCGACUUAUUAACCAACUUGAUCUCUGUCCAGGAGUUGCAAUUAGUUUCUAGUGUUUGUAGGUAGUGUUUGUAGUCUACCAAGUGGCACCCGGCCAGGUGGGCUUGGGACAGACUAGGCACAAAUGGCACGGUGUACCGAUCGUAGAUCCAUCCGGCGAGGUGGGCUUGGGAACCCUGCACACAUCAUUUGGGGCCGUGAGUGAAACCCCGACCGGAUCUCCUUGCGGAUGGAACACGAAUAGGUGAUAAACCUGGACUAGAGUCUUGUGUGGUUAGUUAGGUCGUGGCCGACUCCCUCGCCAGGCUUCCGGUUGAAGGUUGCCGAGAUACAUGAAGUGUACAUGGCGGUAAGUGGCGAGAGCGUGUGUGAAGAAGUACACCCCUGCAGGGUUAACAUGAUCUAUUCGAAUAGCCGGGUCCGUGGUUAUGGACUUCUUGGAUGCUUACGUGGUACAUAGACAACUUAAAGUGGAUACUCUAAAAUGCUCAAGGCAAGUGUGAGUGCUAUGGAUGGCCUUCUCGUAGUGAGACGGGAAUGAAUCCAUAAUGGUGUAUUGAGGUGGUGAUUAGUGGACUCGUGUGCGCUUUCUUACCUCAAAGAAGUUACUCGUAGUCGUAGAAUAGGUUAGCCACUGAGUCAAAGCUGGCUUGCUGCAACUGAACCCCACAUUGCCUCCUUGAUACUAAUGCAUGUCUAAUAGGAUCUGAUGUAAGUCUUGCUGAGUACCUUUGUACUCACGUUUCUUAAUUUAUGUUUUUGCAGAUGAGACUUCUGUCUCAGUAGUAGUUCUACAUGGACUUCGACGAAUAGCUUGUUACCUCAGCUACGAUCUUGUACCCUUGGGAGGGUCUUGUAAAUAGUCAGGCUUCUCAGCUUUUUCUUUUGUAGUUGUCUGUACUCAGACAUGUAAUGCUUCCGUUGCUUGUAUGCUCUGAAUGAUGGGUCAUGUGACCCCUGCUUGUAAUUAUUGCUAUGUGGCUCUUCUGGGCCUUUAUCUAUAUGAGUUUGUGUUAUGUUGUGAUGCCAUGUUGUACAACACAUACUUGCAUGUUAUGCGUAUGUGUAACGUGUAUUGCUAUUUGUGGGAUCCGACAACCUAGUUGUCUAUCCUUGGUAGCCUCUCUUAUGGGGAAAUGUAGUCUAGUGCUUCCACCGAGCCAUGGUAGUCCGCUACAGCCCGGUUUACCGGAGUCCUGCUAGCCCAGCACUACUGCUCCGGAACACUUAGACUGGCCGGCAUGUGAUUCACUUCGUUCCUGUGUCUGUCCCUUUGGGGAAAUGUCACGCGGUGACAUCCGGAGUCCUGCCUAGCCUACUACAGCCCGGGUUCCCGGAGUCCUGUUAGCCCAGUUGCUACAGCCCGGAUUCACACGCUGCUGACCGACAUGCUCGAUGUUGUUUCAUGUAUGCAUGUCCCCGUAAGUUAGUGCCACUUUGGGUUAACGACUAGUCAUGUCGUCCCGGGUUCUCUGUCAUAUGGAUGCUAGCGACACUAUCAUAUACGUGAGCCAAAAGGCGCAAACGGUCCCGGGCCAGGUAAGGCGACACCCGUGGGAAUACCGUGCGUGAGGCCGCAAAGUGAUAUGACGUGUUACCGGCUAGAUCGGUGUGACUUAGAAUCGGGGUCCUGACAGGCGAGUUGUCACAUCCCUAGUUCUGGUAUGACCUAGGCUAGCCUUCAUGUGUGCAUCAUGUUUAAAUUUCAUUUAAAUUUGAAAUGGGGAUUUGUGAAACCCUCAGAAAUUAUUUCUGGAAAUAACCCAGAUAAAAAUUGCUCCAAAAAGGUCCAAGAAAAUGUUCAUGUUGCUCUCUGAAAAUAUUGGUCAGAGGUAAAAUUCUAACAAAUAUUUUUAGGAGCUCAUAAAUAUUUAUUUUGGCCAUUUGGAAUUAAUGCAUAAUUAUUUGCAUUGGAUAUAUCUAUGUUAUAUAUAUAAUAUAUGUCCAAAAAUUACGCUAGUUGUUGAGGAGCUAUGGAAUAAUACCAUUAGCUCCUACAAAAAUUGGCAUAAGGAAAUAAAUUAGUUUAGUAUUAUUUUUAAGCAGAAACAAAUGUCAGAAAAUAGAAAACAAAACAAAGUAGAAAGAAAGAGGGUAGGGGAACCUUACCUGGGCUUCUUACCUGGCAGCCUAGUAGUCCAACAGGCCAGCCUGCCGACUGGCCAGUGCUAGUCGUCGUCUCCACCGCGCCAAGAGGACAGGGACGUGUGCCCGCGGCGCGCACGCACGCGUCCGUCCACCUCCUGCCUGCCUGUCCUUCCCCUCGUCGCUCUGGAUGCCCCGGGUGACGCCACGCGCCGCCCUGUACCCCUCUCACUCUCCCGUGCCCAUUCCCCUCCUCUCCCUCGCUCUCUCGCACGAUGCCCGAGCACCACCGUUGCCGCGCCCACCGCCACGGCCUCGGCUCUCCGACAAGCUCAGAAGCUUCGCCGCGUCUUCCUCGUCCUCUUCGUCGAGCCACGCGCCCCAGGAGGCCUGGAGCACCUCCAUCACCGUCGUCUUCAUCUCCGGCCGCCGUGGAUCCCCAUCGCCGCCCCGUCGAUCUCAGCGCGUCCCCGAGCUCGCCGUCAAGCCCAUCGAGAUCGUUGUAAGCUUCUGCUCCGUUCCCCUCUCUCUGUUUAGCCGUUCGCACGCUGUAGCCCCGUCUGCCACCCUGGCCGUAGCACCUCGCCGCCGUUCAUGUCGCCGCCGUCGUCCUGGUCACCGCAGCUCGCGCACGCGCACGCUAACACGCUCAGGAGCCCCCCAGCAAGCCCACUCCGCCAACCGCAGCCCCUGUCGUGCACCGCAGCGAUGCGCGCACACUUGGCCAUGCUCCGGCCGCCGCCCCGAGCUCCGUUCCGGCGAGCUCCGGCCAUCCCUGUCUCUCCCACCUGCUCCAGAUGACGCGUACGAGCGCUGGCUCCUCGCCCGUGGUCUCCGCUGCCCAAAUGGUCGCCGGAGCGACGAUCCCGAGCCCCUCCACCGCGUUCGGCCUCGCCGGCGGCUAAACGCCGGCGGGAUUGACCGGGUCUACCCCCCUGUUGACCUAGCUUUGACCCGUGUGGGUCAGUGACAUGUGGGGCCCGGCCCUGCUAAUUUUUUGUUUAGGGUUAGUUUAACAACUAAUUAACUCUGUUAACUAACUAUGACACGGACGUGUGGACCCCACACAUCAGAUUUGACCUGGACAGCCACGUUGACUCGCUGAUGUAGUGAUGACGUCAUGCUGACGUAGUUAUUCAUUUCCUGGAUUUUAUUGAGUCAGGUAAUUCCAGAAAAUUAGCAAAACUUCUAAAAUUCAUAUAAAUUCAACCGUAGGUCAGAUUGAAAUAAUUUAUAUAUGAAAAAUUAUCAACAAAAUUCAAUCCAUCCAUCUGUACCAGUUUCAUUCAUGAUAAACCAACAUAUACUUGCUGUAUAGGUGAAAACAUAUAAAUGGCAUUUAUAAAGACUUAACUUGGAGUUGCAUUUGAAUUCUUGGUUCAAAUGGACCUCUUCCAAGUUGAAUGCUAGAUGCAUUAGCACAAAGAACAUCACAUAUUCAUGCCAUGUUCAUACAUCAUAUUGUUGCAUAUGCUUGUGUAUUGAUUAUCGACACCGUUCCUUCUCGAUAGGUUCUGCUCCGGAGAGUGCUCCAGAGUACCUGUCUAUGGAGCAUUGCCCCCCUGUUGAUCUACCAGGCAAGCAAACCCCCCUUGUUCAUUCCGAUACAAUCCCACUCUUUCGCUCCUGCUCUCUUUUAUUGCAUUAGGACAACAGCGAUCCAACUGCUACUUUCUGCUGCGGUAGUUGAACCCAUUCCUCUGCAUUUUCUGCUGCGGUAGUUGAACCCAUUCCUCUGCAUGACCUGUCAUUGCCAUAGUAAAUAGUUGAAACCCACUGGCAUGUGUAGGAGUUGAUCGAGCCAUGUUGUGUUCCUACCAUGCCAUGCCUACUAUAGCUUAGAGUUGUGUCAGGUCUGAUUCAUUGGGAAUGAUUGGAGUGUUACGAUAUGUUCUGGUGCUGAGAGUUAAGCGUGUGAACACGUUUUGGUAAAGGUAGCGGUGAGAGGCCAUGUGGGAGUACAUGGUGGGUUGUCUCAUUAGAACUGUCCUUAAGCACUGAGUUCUGUGUACGUUGUCCAAUGACUAGCUACCACCACACAUUGGGCUCCGGGCGCUCCAAGCUCUCUCGACUUAUUAUACAACUUGAUCUUUGUCUAGGAGUUGCAAUUAGUUUCUAGUGUUUGUAGGUAGUGUUAGUAGUAUACCAAGUGGCACCCGGCCAGGUGGGCUUGGGACAGACUAGGCACAAGUGGCACGGUGUACCAAGCGUAGAUCCAUCCGGCGAGGUGGGCUUGGGAACCCUGCACACAUCGUUUGGGGCCGUGAGUGAAACCCCGGCCGGAUCUCCUUGCAGAUGAAACACGAAUAGGCGAUAAACCUGGACUAGAGUCUUGUGUGGUUAGUUAGGUUGUGGCCGACUCCCUCGCCAGGCUUCCGCUUGAAGGUUGCCGAGAUACAUCACGUAUACAUGGCGGUAAGUGGCGAGAGCGUGUGUGAAGAAGUACACCCCCGUAGGGUUAACAUGAUCUAUUCGAAUAGCCGGGUCCGCGGUUAUGUACUUCUUGGAUGCUUACGUGGUACAUAGACAACUUAAAGUGGAUACUCUAAAAUGCUCAAGACAAGUGUGAGUGCUAUGGAUGGCCUUCUCGUAGUGAGACGGGAAUGAAUCCAUAGUGGUGUAUUGAGGUGGUGAUUAGUGGACUCGUGUGCGCUUUCUUACCUCAAAGAAGUUACUCGUUGUCGUAGAAUAGGUUAGCCACUGAGUCAAAGCAGCCUUGCUGCAACUGAACCCCACAUUGCCUCCUUGAUACUAAUGCAUGUAUGAUAGGAUGUGAUGUAAGUUUUGCUGAGUACCUUUGUACUCACGUUGCUUAAUUUAUGUUUUUGCAUAUGAGACUUCUGUCUCAGUAGUAGUUCUGCAUGGACUUCGACGAAUAGCUUGUUACCUCAGCUACGAUCUUGUACCCUUGGAAGGGUCUUGUAGAUAGUCAGGCUUCUCAGCUUUUUCUUUUGUAGUUGUCUGUACUCAGACAUGUAAUGCUUCCGUUGCUUAUAUGCUCUGAAUGAUGGGUCAUGUGACCCCUGCUUGUAAUAACUGCUAUGUGGCUCAUCUGGGCCUUUAUCUAUAUGUAUUUGCAUUAUGUUGUGAUGCCAUGUUGUACAACACAUACUUGCAUGUUAUGCGUACGUGUAACAUGUAUUGCCAUGUGUGGGAUCCGAUAACCUAGUUGUCUAUCCUUGGUAGCCUCUCAUAUGGGGAAAUGUAGUCUAGUGCUUCCACCGAGCCAUGGUAGUCCGCUACAGCCCGGUUUACCGGAGUCCUGCUAGCCCAGCACUACUGCUCCGGAACACUUAGACUGGCCGGCAUGUGAUUCACUUCGUUCCUGUGUCUGUCCCUUCGGGGAAAUGUCACGUGGUGACAUCCGGAGUCCUGCCUAGCCUGCUACAGCCCGGGUUCGCGGAGUCCUGUUAGCCCAGUUGCUAUAGCCCGGAUUCACACGCUGCUGAUCGACAUGCUCGAUGUUGUUUCAUGUAUGCCUGUCCCUGUAAGUUAGUGCCACUUUGGGUUCACGACUAGUCAUGUCAGCCGGGUUCUCUGUCAUAUGGAUGCUAGCGACACUAUCAUAUACGUGAGCCAAAAGGCGCAAAUGGUCCCGGGCCAGGUAAGGCGACACCCGUGGGAAUACCGUGCGUGAGGCCGCAAAGUGAUAUGACGUGUUACCGGCUAGAUCGGUGUGACUUAGAAUUGGGGUCCUGACAAAGCCCCACCUUUCCCACUGUAAGUUGCUCGGAAGAAGCAACCAUCAAUACGCUCUUCUUUGAAUCCGCUCAUACUAUUCCAUCCGUCACUGUUUAUAGAGCACGCUUCAGAAAAAGAGAAAAUCUCUGGGACCAAGGUGACUAGUGAUCGGCCUGAAAAAUAGCAUUGGUAGUUAUAGCACGGCGUCUAUUACUAGAGGAAAUAAUGCGUACACACAUGCAUGCAGUGCUUCCACCCCGGGUAGACACAUGCAUGCACUUACUCCACUCCAUACACUACUAGGAAAAGGCCUACUAGUGGCGCACCAGUUUUGCCUACUAAUGGCGCACUACUGAUGCGCCACUAGUACCACGCCACUAGUAUUGUUUACUAAUGGCGCACCAGUGGUGCGCCAUUAGUAUCUGGUAUACUAAUGGCGCAUCACUGGUGCGCCAUUAGUAUAGGCCACGGUGCGCCAUUAGUAUAGGCCACUGGUGCGCCAUUAGUAGGCCACGGUGCGCCAUUAGUAUUUUUGAAUUUUGAAGGCGGGAAAAUAGUAGUGGCGCACCGUCUGACCCCCACCGUGCGCCAUUGCUAUUUUUGAAUUUUGAAUUUGGAUCUGGAUCGCGAUUUUUUUGCCCAUUUUUUGCUCGUUUUUUUGCACGAUAUUAUUUCAAAUUUUGUUCCUAUUUUUGGAUCUUGUACGUUCUUUUGCCGUGUUCUUUUGCCGGAGAGGAGUUCGCCGGAGAGGAGGAGGAGGAGGUCACCGGAGAGGCGCUCGCCUACAUCGUCGGAGAGGAGGAGGAGGUCGUCGGAGAGGAGUUCACCGGAGCAUCGGAGAGGAGGAAGGAGAAACCAUGAGGGGAUGGGAGGAGAGGAGGGAGGAGGAGCUCACCGGAGAGGAGGGAGGAGGAGCUCACCGGAGAGGAGGGANNNNNNNNNNNNNNNNNNNNNNNNNNNNNNNNNNNNNNNNNNNNNNNNNNNNNNNNNNNNNNNNNNNNNNNNNNNNNNNNNNNNNNNNNNNNNNNNNNNNNNNNNNNNNNNNNNNNNNNNNNNNNNNNNNNNNNNNNNNNNNNNNNNNNNNNNNNNNNNNNNNNNNNNNNNNNNNNNNNNNNNNNNNNNNNNNNNNNNNNNNNNNNNNNNNNNNNNNNNNNNNNNNNNNNNNNNNNNNNNNNNNNNNNNNNNNNNNNNNNNNNNNNNNNNNNNNNNNNNNNNNNNNNNNNCGCCGGAGAGGAGGAGGGUAGUAUGGUGGAGGAGAGAAGGGAAGAUGGAGUGGAGGAGAGGAGGAGAUGGAGUGGAGGAGAGGUGGAGUGGAGGAGAAGAAUGAAGAGGUAAGGAGGAGAGGACCACGCCCAGCCAUAUAUACGGCAUAGUAAUGGCGCACCGUGGGCAGGUGCGCCAUUACUAUUUUUUUAUUUUUUUAUUUAUUUUGAAUUUUGAAGGCGGGAAGAUACUAAUGGCGCACCAUGGGCAGGUGCGCCAUUAGUAACUUUUUUUUUAUUUUUUUGACUUAUUUUGAAUUUUGAAGGCGGGAAGAUAGUAAUGGCGCACCAUGGGCAGGUGCGCCAUUAGUAACUUUUUUCUUUAUUUUUUUGACUUAUUUUGAAUUUUGAAGGCGGGAAGAUAGUAAUGGCGCACCAUGGGCAGGUGCGCCAUUAGUAAGUUUGAAUUUUUUUGCCUCUCCAGAUCUUAAAAGCCCCGUAUCUUUUUUCUGUUAGGUUUUUGAGGAUUUUGAAAAUGUUGAACUAGUAAUGGCGCACCAUCCCACGGUGCGCCAUUACUAGUUUUGAAAAAAAAAAUUACUAAUGGCGCACCGUGGAUAUGGUGUGGCAUUAGUGUUUGCACACUAAUGGCGCACCAACACAUGGUGCGCCAUUAGUAUUUAGUAAUGGCGCACCACAUGUACUGUGCGCCAUUAGUGUCCAUAUUGGCUAUAGCUGUUUUUGUAGUAGUGAUAGUACUACAUCAAGAGAAAAUUGCGGUUACCAUGCCCUAAUUAAUUGAGCACUAAACAAAAUGCGUCUAAAGUCUCUCUGGUGGUGGAAAUGCAUUGAGAGAAAUGCAUCAGAAUGAAGCGCGCCCUGUAAACUGUGACGGAGGGAGGAGUAGUAUGAAUGUGCAAAACCAAGUACGCGUAUGGCCAGUCGGUCAACACACCUCCUCUUGGCAUAUCACUGACAUGUGGGACCGGAGUGUGAGCAAACCGAUCUCAAUUGAUGGCAAAAUGGCCAACCCGCCGUUCCUUCAGAGAGACGAGGAGCGAGAACACACAGACGGGCUCGCACGGAGGCCAAGAUAUAUUCGAGCAUGGUUGAUCGAUAUCAUCAUUACAUGUUGGGCUGCCGUUUUCCGCCCUUCUCUGGAAUAAAUGUGUACUUUAUCAAAGAUUAAGAAAAAUAAGAGUACAGAGGCUCCACCAUGCGGUUCCAGUAGUAGUACUAGUCGUACUACUAAACCUUGCGCUUGGCCCUUCGCCUCUUCGUGAAGUCGAACAAUGAUGGUACUCCGCAUGUUCGGUACUACAGUGUAUGCCACUGGCAAUCUGACACCGAAUGAACUGAUGCAUGUCCACCGCCUGGGCGAGGGUACGUUGCAUUAGCACUACAAAAAAAGACACAUCCGUGACAUUUUCGGCCGAACGAAUUUUUUCUGUCAUACUUAUGACACUUCUAUGACGAUAAUUGUGACAAAACCCGGUAUCACCAUAGAUGUGGUGGGGUCCUACUUCUAUGACAAAAAAUCAUGACAGAAAAUGGGCUUUUCAUCUUGGGCGGGCCGGAGACGCAGCUGCAUGACAUUCUUUGGGCCGUCCAUGUCGGAAAAAACCGUGGUAGAAGCGAGGGCGCGGAAAAUAUCGGGGAGUCCCCGGUUACGGUGGGUGGUCGGGGGCCGAGCGAUGCGCGUUUCUCUCGUACGUACGCGCGUGUGUGCGAGGCCUUGGGCUCUAACUGAACCCGAGCGAGGCGUUGGGCUCUAACUGAACCCGAGCGAUUGCACUGUAGGCUACGAGUUACUGAACCCGAGCGAUCGAUCGAUGGCUGUUAACUGAACCCAAUCGAGCGAUUCCUUCGCUACUGCUACUAACUGAAGCCGAUCGAUGCUGCCUCUGGAUGAACAAUGAGCGUUGCGGGGGGUUUGGAUGAACAGUUCCCGGUGGGGGUGGAUGAAUAGGACCCCGUGGUGUUGCCUCUGGAUGAACAGUACCCCGAUCGAUCGAGCCGGUUGGGGCUGGAUGAACAGGACCCCGUGGAGGGCUGGAUGAACAGGACCACCCCGUGGAGGGCUGGAUGAACAGUAGACGGUGGAGGGCAGGAUGAACAGUAGCCCGUGGAGGGGUGGUUGAACAGGAGCCCGUGGAGAGGGCUGGUUGAACAGUAGCCGGUGGAGUAGCGCGCGAUGAAGGCUGGAUGAACAGGAGCCCAUGGAUGAACAGUAAUAGGUGGAGGCUGGAGGAGGUCAACGGUGGAUGAACAGUCGCCGGUGGAGGCUGGAGGGGGUCGACGGUGGAGAUGAACAGUAUCCCGUGGAGUCCCAUUUUGCGGUAUGCCACACCCCUCCCGAUGAACAGGACCCCCGUUUCGACCGUAGCGCUCCAACACAAGUCUGUUUCCUCCGUUUUGCGGUGCGCCACACCCCUCCCGAUCAACAGGACCCCCAUUUCGAGGUUAGGAGGUCCGUUUCCUCCGUUUUGCAGUACGCCAGAUCCUUCCCGAUGAACAGGAUCCCGUUUCGAACAUGGCCGGUCGAACACAAGGCCGUUUCCUCCGUUCUGCGGUACGCCAGGCCUCGUUUCCAUUGGGUGCUCCGUCCAAGCCCUCCCGAUGAACACGACUACGCAUUCCAUUCCGACCCAGCAGGUUGGCUCCCCAUGAAAACGACGAUGACACUGUUUCUCCGUUCCAUCCCAGCCAUGUACACGAGUCCUGGCCGUACGUAUGCGCGAGUAGGCGUUUGAGACACUGCCCGUAUGUACGUACGUGGCCGUAUUUUCCUUCUUGCACACUGGUCGAUGUACGUACGUGUACAUGCUACGUGCGCGCCUCUACUACGACACGUGCGCGCCUCUACAUCGACCAGUAUGUACAUACACGUUCGCGACCAGAAUGACAACGCUACGUACGCUUCAACCAGGUGGGUCCCGACUGUCAGGCACUUCCUUGCGUGCGAAGAUGUAGCUGGUGGGUCCCAGCAGUCAGGGGAGCGAAUCAUUUUUUUUGCCCGGACGCACUUCCUUGGGUGCGAAGAUGUAGCUGGUGGGUUCCAGCAGUCAGGGGGAAACGUUUUUCGUGAAAUACGGUGGCCCGUCCGGUGGGUCCCCGCUCUUAGGUGGAGGAAUAAUUAUUUUGCACGUAAUAAGGAGGCACUUCCUUGCUGUGGCCAUGGACCCAGCUGUCAGCCUCUCCACGUACAGUCCACGUCCGAUGGAAGCCGUUCCUUCACCACGUUGACCACGCCGCGCCGAGAGCACCAGGGCGGUGGACGACGGCGAGGCCUAGGAAGGGGACGACGCGGAGCCAGGGAAGACGUGGCAAUGGAUGCCCACACGUAGAGGAGUAUGAGGGUUCACUGGUUCGCUGUGGUGUGAGGCUGCCGUCGCCGCAGUAUAACAGGGGGUGUGGGUGAGUAGAGGGAUGGCCUGGCCAGCGGUGGGAGUAGUAGGGGACGGUGAGGCCUCUGCCGCAUCGCAGCCAGCCACGGGAGGCAGGAGCACGAGGCACGACCGGCGCUGGUUUGGGCGGCUGGAGCAAGAAGACCAGAGGUUGAAGAAGCACUAGGGCCGUUGGAUGGACAUCGUAUGGUCAGUGGAGCUGGAAUCGUGCAUAUUGACUAAGUUGAGAAAGCCCUCCGUCCCCGUCAACUUAGUAGGCCCACAAGUCAGCCUGCCACUAUACUGGGUCCCAGCUAGCAGGGGGAGUAUUCAUUUUUUUGUGCGUAAUAAGGAGGCACUUCCUUGCGUGCGAAGAUAUAGCUGGUGGGUCCAAGCUGUCAGCGGCGGUAACGUUUUUUUCGUGAAAUAAAGCGGCCCUUUCGGUGGGUCCCAGAUGUCAGGUGGAGGAAUCAUUAUUUUGCGCGUAAUAAGGAGGCAUUUCCUUGCGUGCGACCGUGGAACCAGCUGUCAGCCUCUCGACGUAUUGUCCACUUCAGAUGCAUGUCGGUCGUUAACCACGUUGACCAGGCCGCGCCGAGAGCACCAGGGCGGUGGAUGACGGCGAGGCCUAGGAAGGGAACGACACGGAGGAAGGGAAGACUCGACAGUUGUUUCCCACACGGAGGGGAGUACGACUGUACGAGGGUUUACUGAUUCGUCUGCCGUCGCUGGAGAAUAACAGCAGGUGUGGGUGAGUAGAGGGAUGGCUAGGCCAACGAUGGGAGUACGGUGGGGUGGUGAGGCCUGCGCGGCAGCACAGCCGGCCGCGGGGAGGAGGGAGCAGGCAGUCCCGCCGGCACUUGUUUGAGCGGCUGGAGCAGGAAGAGCAGAGAUUGAAGAAGCACGACGGCCGUUGGAUGGACAUCCAACAGUCACUACUUGUGCGUCAACCUUUUUUUUAAGGAAAGCCUCAAAUCUCUGGAAAACAGCAUACAUCCCAUCUGCCAUUAUUUCUAAUAAUUUACAGCCAUUUGCUAAUUCUUAAGGUUUUUUGGAGCCCAUAUUCUUUUUGUUAGCAUUACAGCCCAUAUUGUGGCCACGGUUAAAAAAUUAUACGAAAUUUUGCAUAUUUCGGUGUGGUCCGAACUGUUUUUAAUCCCGAAAUUUCAAUUCACAUUCAAACUGAUUUUAAAAAUAAAUGUAUAUCAAUAUAAAAUCCAACAAAUUGUCCACGCAUAAAAAUCAAUGCAAUUUAAAAUCUCGAAAUAAAAAAAGAAAUUUGGAACUAAUUGCCGGUUUGAUGUGUUUUAAAAAUGUACAGCCCAUUUCUCGUGAGUGAUAGGCCAUUUUCUCGACCAGCCAAAUGAAGCUCUCCUCCUCUUGAAAGAUUUGCAGCCCAACAGGCCUGACAAAGCGACUUACAUGGCUAAUCACAGAAAAACUAGGCUGUGGCAGUGGACCCAGCUGCGGUAGUGGACCCAGCUGUCAGCCUUUCCACGUACAGUACUCUUCCGAUGAAAGUCGGUCGUUGACCACAUUGACCACGCCGCUCCGAGAGCACCAAGGCAGUGGACGACGAUGAGGCCUAGGAAGGGGACGACGCGGAGCCGGGGAAGAUGCGGCAGUGGAUGCCCACGCGGAGAGGAGUACGAGGGUUCACUGGUUCGGCUGCGGUGUGAGGCUGCCGUCGCCGCAGAAUAACUGGGGGUGUGGGUGAGUGGACGGAUGGCCUGGCCAGCGGUGGGAGUAGUAUGGGGGCGGUGAGUCCUCCGCGGCAGCACAGCCGGCCACGGGAGGCAGGAGCAGGCGGCACGACCGGUGCUGCUUUGGGCGGCUGGAGCAAGAAGACCAGAGGUUGAAGAAGAACUAUGGCCGUUGGAUGGACAUCGUACGGUCACUGGAGCUAGAAUCGUUCAUAUUGACUAAGUUGACAAAGCCCUCUGUCCCCGUCAACUUAGUAGGCCCACAAGUCAACUACCCACUAUGGUGGGUCCCAGCUAGCAGGGGGUAUUCAUUUUUUUGUGCGUCAUAAGGAGGCACUUCCUUGUGUGCGAAGAUAUAGCUGGUGGGUCCGACCUAUGAGCGGAAGGAACGUUUUUUCUGUGAAAUACAGAAGCCCUUCCCGUGGGUCCUAGCUGUCAGGUGGAGGAAUCAUUAUUUUCGCGUAAUAAGGAGGCAUUUCCUUGCGUGCGGCCGUGGACCCAGCUGUCAGCCUCUCCACGUACAAUCCACUUCCCAUGGAUAUCAUUCAUUGGCCACGUUGACUAGGCCGCGCUGAGAGCACCAGGGCAGUGGACGACGGCGAGGCUAUGAAGGGAACGACACGGAGGCAGGGAAGACUCGGCAGUUGUUUCCCACGUGGAGGGGAGUACGACUGUACGAGGGUUUACUGGUUCGUCUGCCGUCGCCAGAGAAUAACAGCAGGUGUGGGUGAGUAGAGGGAUGGCUAGGCCAGCGAUGGGAGUACGGUGGGGUGGUCAGGCCUGUGCGGCAGCAUAGCCGGCCGCGGGAGGAGGGAGCAGGCAGUCCCGCCGCCCCUUGUUUGAGCGGCUGGAGCAAGAAAAGCAGAGAUUGAAGAAGUACGACAGCCGUUGGAUGGACAUCCAACAGUCACUGCACUCGUGUGCAUUAUUUCUAAUAAUGUAAAACCCAUUUGCUAAUUCUUAUGAAUUUUUUUGGAGCCCAUCUUCUUUUUGUUAGCAUUACACCCCAUAUUGUGGCCACGGUUAAAAAGUAUACGAAUUUUUUGCAUAUUUCGGUGCGGUCAACGGUUUUUAAUCCCGAAAUAUCGAUUUACAUUCAAACUAUUUUGAAAAAUAAUUUAUAUAAAUAUAAAAUCCAAAUAAUUGUCCACGCAUAAAAAUCAAUGGAAUUUAAAAUCUUGUGAUGAAAAAAAAUUGAAGUAAGUCCCGGUUUGAUGUGUUUUAAAAAUGUUCAGCCCAUUUCUGGGCAAACCGAAUGAAACUCUCCUCGUCUUGAAAGAUUUGCAGCCCAGCAGGGCUGAUAAAGCAAGUAGGCCUCGUUUGGGUAUUUCUUUAAAAAGAAUAGAACUGGGCUAGCCAUUUUCAGCAAGAAAAAAACACAACUAGGCUCAUGAUGUGGUAAACAUAAAUAAUACCCUGGCUAGACGGGCCACAGCCCCCGCACAGCCCCGUUGUUACCCUAAUCCAUCGCUAAAACUAGUAUAAAUAACAACUGCUUGUUCCUCAAAAAAAAAACUACGCGACCUGCUGGGUCCCUAGUGUCAGCCGCUCGUAGUGUAAUUCUCUCGUUUAUUGACUACGUUGACAAUGGCGUGAGCCCCAGAUGUCCAACCAUUAGGGGGAACCGUAUUUUUUGGCUUGUAAUAUAGAGUCACUUGCUUGCGUACUGCCAUGACGCUAGUGGGUCCCUACUGCCAUCCUCUCCACAUAGAGUCAUCUCCUUGUUCCUCUCGGUUGUUGACGACGUUGACAACGCAAGAGGGCGGCGCACCACGCACGGCGAGCGAACCAAGGCCGCAAGGCGGAGGAUGAUGGCGAGGCCUCGGACGGAACGAACAGGAGCCGUGGAAGAUGCGCCGGUCCAGUCGCAGGCGGAGGGGAGUACGAGGGUUGACUGGUUCGGGUGCGGGUGCGUGUUGGGGCUGACAUCGCCGGAGAAUAACAGGACGUGUGGGGGAAUAGAGGGAGGGACUGGCCAACGUUGGAGGGUACGUACGGUAGGGCGGCGGAGGCGCAGCCAGCCAUGGGAGGCGGGAGCAGGCGGAGCCAACGGGGUGGUUUGGUUUGGGUGGCUGGAGGAAGAAGAAGACAAGAUAUAGAAGAUACACGACAGAUGUUGGAUGUCAAUCCAACGGCUGGUAGGCAGAAUCGUUUGUUGACUGGCUAGUAAGUCGACACCACCUUGGAUAGGCUAUUUCCUCGUGGGUCCCAAAUGUCAGAAUCCAAAUCUGUCACGGUCAUGCAGCCCUUCCUAUGAAAAUUUGCAGCCCAUUUGAUGUGCUAGAUGGAAAUAAAUUUGUGGGUGCUGGUGGGGGCUAAUCACUUGGCUUCUGUAAUGCACAGUGAGCUCAAGCAGCCGGCGAGAGUGAUGUUAUUUCCCUUGGUUGGGAUUUGUUAGUUGUUACAAUAUUUCCCUCUAAAUUAAACGACUGGCAAGCCAUUUGCCUUGCUUCAAAGAAAAUAUGACAGUCACAACCGAGUUGAAAAGGGCAAGAACAUCUAACUCUAGCUUACAAACUGUACAAAAGCACGAGGGUUAAUUGUUCAUCAGGUUUACAAAAAAACCCAGGUUGAAAAGGGCAACAACAUCUAACUCCAGCACUGUUUUUGCCAGUCACAGUCAAAUGGAUCGGUCAGGUCCAUAGAAUGAACAUCCUGGGUAGUAAAAUUUACUGGAUUAUGACCACAAUAUGUUGUCAAUAGAAGCCCGGCACAUUCAGAAGCUCUUUUGCCCACCUGAAACUCCUUUUUUUGCUCUUCCACAUACCCAUCCGUCAAAACCAUGCUGCUGAUAAACUUAAGCCUGAUGGACAAUAGUAACCUCGUAUUCAGCAGGAAGAAUGUGACAAAUCUAGUGUUUGCACGGUUGGCUACAUAUCGUUCUAGCGUUAUUGUCUUCAAUCGAAUCUCAUGAGAAGUGAGAAAAUCCCGAUGCUUACGAAUCCACAGAUUGGUUAUAACUUUCUUGCCCCGUCAUGUUGCCUAAAUAGACAUGAAGAUUGAAAACAGUUAAGGUCUAAAAAAAGGAGUGUCGAAAGAGCAACAGCUGAACGGUUAAUUCUAGUACACUAUAUGCGGGCUUCCAAUGUGCGUGAAAUUAUCACCUUUAUAUACAACUUCUCCAGACAUGGAAAGCAUUGCAGCAAACCAAUAAUCUUGUUCAUAUCAGAACUAUUCAUUUGGAUAUAUAAGAUCUUGACAGAAUGCAGCACCAUUGAUAGGCCAUCCAUGGAGACCUCUUCAUUGAGCAUAGAACAUAAUAUUAGUACAAAAUGUGUACUCCAGGAUGACAUAUAACUUAUGCGCAGAAAUUUAAAAUGCAGCUUAUGGUUACAAGUGUAGAUGAUAAUGUAAAGUACCUGAAGAACUGUGGAGCCAAACACCAUAUUGAAAUGAGCACAGAGAUCAUGUAUUACACCCAUGGUCUCCAGUUUAGGCGCAGAGAGGACGGUUAUUUGCAACGGUGAAUAACUAGAAUCAAAGAUCAACCUUUGAAGUGAAGGGGCAUCUUGGAUGAUGAGCUGCCUUCCAUCAAAACAAAUUCCAAUUCUUACAAGGUUAGGUGACUUUAAUUGGAGACAACCGAUUCUAACUAUGAAAACAAGCACCAAGCACUCCAGGGCAGGGCAACUGGAGUGGAUGAUGAUGUGCAAUGAGGCCUCCGAUACGAACCCGGACAAGUGAAAGUUUCUUCAGAAAUGGGAGUCGAAGGUUUAGUACCAGAUUGUCUGGUAGGUCGCACAGCGCAAAGGUGGCGAUGUGGAGAGAGGAGGAAAACCGCGAGAUGGACAUCGGUGCUGAGGGCACAGGUAGAUGGCGUUCGGUAUCUGGUAGGUGAUUUCUAGGGGAACAGUAGAACUCAAGCAGCUGUAGUUUUGUGAAUUCAGGGGAUUUCAGCCAGGCGUCCAUGAUGCAGGGCAUGAUGCUUGCUCAGGUAGCAUGACGGGAUGCAGAGCUUUGAACGGAGCCCUGGUGGUAGGAGAUGAUGGCUCUGGGGAUUUCAAAAUCAUUGAAGAGAGAUAGCUGAUGACAGUCGAGAUUAAGGGGCACGGCGCGCCAUAGAGGGCGCCACCGAAUUGAGAGGACUUCGGUGCGGCAGCAAUCCUUCGUGGGGAGAAGCGAGAUGAUCUCCCCAAGGACGGCGUCCGGGAGAUCGCUGAUGCGGUCCACCCAAGAUUCUACGGGUUCCUGGGAUCCGGUGGGGGCGGGGUCACCGCUUCUCCCCGCGCUGCCGGGUGCGGGAUCUACAACAGGCGCCGCCGCUGGCGGGAGCCUCAUCUUCUUGGCGCUGGGGUCAGCCGACUCCAUUUUCCUCCAGGGCGCCGCGUCGCGCUCACGGAUUUUAGCAGAGUAACGAAUGACGAGCCUAGUUGUAGUGCGAGUGAAGAACAAGGGGAGCUGGGGUUUUUCUGUAGUAGUGAGGAAGAAGGGGAGCUAGGGUUUUCUGUAGGAGUGAGGUGAGGAAUUUGGGGGUACGAGUGGAGCGAGCUGACGUGAGGUGGGUGGGAGUGAGGAGGAAGAAGAACACCUAGGGUUUUUUGGGGGGCGGUGUGCUGGGUGUGGGUAGCGCCUCUCACACCUAGUAAAUAUAUGGACUUUUGAAUUGAUUUUACUAUUUACUAGGGUGGAUGGGCUGUUUUGUCUUGGGCCCAGAGAAACAAUUACUGUAGUACGAUGGAGACACUCUACAGCUACCCAGAAAAACAAUUACUACUAGUACAGUGGAUACAAUACCGCUUCUGGCUCCUCCUAGAUCUUCAAAACGUCUCCCUCUACUGAAUGUCGUUAUACCUUUGUUCACCGACAUGCGGGCCAUGCAGCGCGCGGGCCCAAAUGCCAUCCACCAAAUUAGAAGGCAAUAUGCAGGCGGAGAGUCACCCUGGUCGUAGCGGCAAUAACGAGCCGUCGUAUGACAAAACCCCACCUCCCCGGAGUCUAAGUUUGACGGACGAAGCAACCAUCAUUUCACUCUUCGCUGAAUCCCCUUCUCCCUCACCGUCUUCAAGAAAGGAAACACUCGCAUCUGCCACUGUUCUUCUCUCCCAACGAAGGGAAGGUAAGUGGAUCCAUGAUGUUGGUAUAUUUUUGUUCAGAGAAAAAAAAGAGCUUUUGCAGAGCAGUAACCGAUCCUCACUCUCUUUUUUGUUUCAUUGUCAUUGCGAUUGUGUUUUACUUUCAGUGGUCUCCUAGUAUUCGUCAGUUUCAUGAUGGACCAAGGAGAACUAGGCAAAGAUCUGCCGAUAUUGGAGCAGACGCGGGAGGCUAAUCCCCACGAGAUAGAGAGCUCCAAGAAGAUGGAGGCAGCCACCGAGCCGACCCCAGAUACGCUCAUGGCCACUACUGAGAUGGCCAACGCCCCGUUUGAGGUUACAGCCCCCGUGGCACUGCAGGAGCAGUUUCCCCCCUUCGAGGAUGUGUCCCCCCCCCCCGCUGAGCUGCCCAAGGUGAUUUUCUUCUUUGCCGAUCUCGAUUGUGGUUUUUCAUCUAAGUAUGUGGUGAUGAAUAAUGCAAAAUUUUAUUAGCUUCGAUGCCAUGCUAUACAUAGUGGUUUAAACAACUUGUGUUUCUUAUGCUGGAAAGUAAUUCAGAAUUUGUUUCUGUUUCAAUUAGAGCCCUGAUGCAGACAAGGAUUGUGUGGUUGUACAUGUCACUCGCUAUGAGGCGGAUGACCUGAAUAUACGCACUGGGAAAACAGAGUUUUUAGGCUGUUGGAUCCUGGAAGCCAUUUGCGCUUAUACCAAUGAAGAGUUGUAUUCCAGCCUCACUGUUGUCAGGCGUGUUGUCCAGGGUGUACUGAAGCACAAGAAGUUCAAAGCUACUCCUUCAUUUGUGAGGCAUACUGUUCUUGUCAAGCUUACGCAGGAAGAUGACGUGGCAUGCCUCCACAAACAAGUUUAUGAGUGGCAAGGCCACAAGGUUGUAUUCAUGAAGGUUCACAAGAUUGAGCUGCUGCCGGACGUCCUCGAUGAUGUUCAUGGCAAGGUCCGUCUUGUGUCCAGCCCAAAUUAGAUCGAGGCAUGAAAUACUUGCCCCAGCUAGUGUUUAAUAGUAGUUUGGAUUCUGUCUAAUUAUCCGAACCUUGCCUGUUAUCGAGCCCUCUGGGGCUAGUACUCCGUUUGAAUCCGUCUAUGGGAACUGCUGCUACUUUUGUGUGCCCGUGAAUCAUCGUAAUUGUUGCCGAAACAUAUGCGUCCUCACUAGUUUUAUCAUACGAGCAGUGUGUUUUUUGAUGAAAUAGAGUACUCGUUCGAGAACUGUGCGCCGACGUAUACAUAAGUACUUGUAAGGCUUCUCUGAGCAAAGGGCCUCCUGGCAGGCUUAAAUUUCCUGGAGUUCACUCUGGUUUUUUCUUGUUGCCACCAUCCAGGGUUAGGUUCUCUCAUUCCAGAAUAACCAAUUAUAAUUGUGUUCUCAGCUGGAAUGCUGAACUGAACCAUGCAGUGUACUGACCAGCUGAAAGUCUUGCGCAUUCCAUUAAAUUUAAGCGCCGCUAUUUGCAGAAAUAAGCAGACCACAAUGCCUCUUGUCCGCGCACGUGUCCCAAAAACCUCCGGGCAGCCGUGCCAGCUUGUCCUCGGUCCAUGGAUGAACUAGAGGAAAGAGCAUUCCGGACUAGGAUGCAGAUGUUUUCGCUCGUCCCUGCACUGCAAUCAGGAAGUAAAACGUAUGAAUCAGCUUCUUUUAGAUUGCAUUGGUCAUUCUACCUAGUAACUACCAAUGUAUGAAUACCUGGAAGACGGGUGAUUAGACGACGACAACGAGGGAUAGCCAUCUCAUUUUGCGCAGUUAUACUAAAACUGAGGUGUGUGCUUUUGAUUGCGCGGAUAGAAACGAUACAGAGAUAGACAUCCUGAAACGAUAUGGAGACAGACAUCCCUGUUUGCGCAAAUACGAAAUACGGUUAUUUAAAUGGUGACAGAUAUUUGGAGUGGCGUAUGAUUAACAGCAGCAUCUAUUGUGUUAUAAUUGGCACUAGAUUGACAGUAUGAAAGUGUCCUUAAGUAAGUAGCAUCGCAUCACAUCAACACUGCUACUAGAUUAACAUGCAGAACAAUAGCAUUAGUAUUACUGUCAUGAGAGUAGCACAUGGUCAGUAAAUGUGCAAUCAAAUUUGUGCAGUUCCACUGGGAUGAAGCAAUGUUAGCGGUGUGAGAUUUAAGUGUAACUGCAAAAACAUAAUUCAUGGGAAAUAAAGCAAGACGGAAGCACUUCAUAAAAUGGUGGUGGCAUUGCUUCAAUUUAUCGACGGCACUAGACCAUUACUUAUAGUGACACUAGGUGGCAUUGCUUAAUGCUUCAUGUGAUUUUACAUUAACGGUAGCGAUAUGGGCGUAGGGACAGCAGAGGCAUAAAGUGGUGAGGCAGAUGUGGUUGCCGAGAUCGGCAAACACUCAGGCAGCAUGUCUGCAUUUGUCCCAUUUUUUAUCUCCUCGGCGACAUUUUCCUAUGUGAGCACAGGAAAUCUAGACCUGCUCAUUCUCAUUUGCGUUGUCCCCCAACACCCGUCACUUUCUUUCCUUUUUCAACCAAGAGAUAGGUCCACUUCCUCCACCCUUCGCCAUCCACCAUGCUUUCUUCGUCUUUUCAACCAAGAGACCGGUUGGGUAGCCAGUAUCUACUACUUUCCCCGUUUCCUCUUAGAACCAAGUCCUAGAUUCAUGCUACAGCUUUCCCACUUUCUUCCCUGUUUGAACCGACUCGUAGAGUCGACUGUAUGAACUAGCUUUACCUCUAAUAGUAGUAAAAGUCUGGGUGGCUUUGGAACAGCGGACGGAAGUAGAAAAAGAUCCACACGAAGCCAAGUGGGGAGCUGGGGCAGUAGAGCAAGGCAGGUUUCGAAGGAAUAUAUACCUGAUGGUCGUCGGCAUGUGGCAAAGAUGGCGUCGGGAGGCCGUAUCUUGGCCACAAUACCGCAGGGAGGAAGAAGGGGUUGGAGGCCUGUCGGUGUCAAAACCGGUGGAUCUCGGGUAGGGGGUCCCGAACUGUGCGUCUAAGGCGGAUGGUAACAGGAGGCGGGGGACACGAUGUUUACCCAGGUUCGGGCCCUCUCGAUGGAGGUAAUACCCUACUUCCUGCUUGAUUGAUCUUGAUGAUAUGAGUAUUACAAGAGUUCAUCUACCACGAGAUCGUAGAGGCUAAACCCUAGAAGCUAGCCUAUGGUAUGAUUGUUGUUGUCCUAUGGGCUAAACCCUCCGGUUUAUAUACACACUGGAGGGGGCUAGGGUUACACAGAGUCGGUUACAAGGGAGGAGAUCUACAUAUCUGUAUUGCCAAGCUUGCCUUCCACGCUAAGGAGAGUCCCAUCCGGACACGGGACGGAGUCUUCAAUCUUGUGUCUUCAUAGUCCAACAGUCCGGCUAAAGUAUAUAGUCCGGCUGUCCGUGGACCCCCUAAUCCAGGACUCCCUCAGUAGCCCCUGAACCAGGCUUCAAUGACGAUGAGUCCGGCGCGCAGAUUGUCUUUGGCAUUGCAAGGCGGGUUCCUCCUCCGAAUAUUCCAUAGAAGAUUUUGAACACAAGGAUAGUGUCCGGCUCUGCAAAACAAAUUUCACAUACCACCGUAGAGAGAAUAAUAUUUCCACUAAUCUAAUGUGUUGACAUAUUCUGCAGCAUGGCAUCACACCAUGGCACGGUCAUUAUUCGAACCGUUUUUCUCAACCAGCCACUGCACAUAUCGCGAGGCGGUUUUCUUGGCACAUCUUGUCGAAGUAGAGAUCGUGUCCCGUUAUCACGGGAUUCUCAUCAAUACGGGUGUGGGUAACCUAACCGCACCAUCAAUUACGGCGCUUGGGGAAUAAGCGAUUUUACUAGGCAGGUGGGGAGGCGCGUAGUUCCUUCCGCCCUUAUAAAGAGAAAAGGAUUCAUCUUUUUCACCCACGCCCUCUCCCUCCUUGCUCAUCCAUUCUUGCGCACUUGAGCUCCAGCACCCAAGUUCACAUUUUCUCCUCAAACCACUCCAAGCAUGUCCGGAGCGGGAGGCAAGUGGAUGGUCUCCUCCAUUACGGAGGAGGACAUCACAAAGCUACGGAGAGCCGGAUACCUGGCCGCAGAUAUCGCGCACCGGCUACCAGAUGCGGGGUAGAUCGUCCCUACUCCAGAACCCCAUGAGAGGGUGGUAUUUCUUACCCACUUUGUCCGCGGACUGGGAUUACCCCUCUACCCGUUUGUCCACGGGCUCAUGUUCUACUACGGGCUGGACUUUCAUGAUCUGGCCCCCAAUUUCAUCCUCAACAUCUCGGUGUUUAUCGUCGUGUGCAUCAAGCCCCACUUCGGCCUGUGGCUGAAGACCUUCAACGUUAAACCGAAGGUGGUGGUUGGCCAGCAAGCGGAGUGUGGAGGCGCCAUGGUGGGCAAAAUGCCUAACGUCACCUGGCUCGAAGGCUCCUAUGUGGACACCGUAAAGGGGUGGCAAUCAGGGUGGUUCUACAUCACCGAGCCGCGCGACACCAACUGGCUGGCGGCCCCCGAAUUUCGAUCCGGAAUCCACUUGCGGCUCACCUCCUGGAAAGAGAAGGGCCUAUCCUGGGGUUCCUCGGUAGAGAUGACCAGACCCCAGACCUGCAUCAAAAACAUGAUGAGCAAGAAAAUCAAGCUUGUCAACGUGGUCCAAGUCAUGCUCUUCCGCCGGAUCCUCCCGUGUCAAAGACGGGUAGUCAAUUUGUGGGAGUUCGACCCGCCCGAGCACCAGACGCUGCGAGAGCUCUUCGACACGACGCACAAGGACGUCUGGAAGGUGUUGUUCAAGCGCGCCGAGGUACCUCCUCCCCUUACAGAGGACCGCGGACUCAGCGCAAAGUGUCCUGCCAAUCCGGUAAGUCUUUUAUAUCUCAUAAGAUGUUCUUUUCCCUAGUAUAACCACGCGCGGGAUCUAAGCCUCCACGCCAUUUAACAGGAUUGGGUAGCGACAGCGGAGCAGAUCGAUUGUCCAGCCCCCCCUUCCCGAAGAUCCAGCGGAUGCUCUCCUAACAGAGAUGCUGGUUCUGGCGCCUUAUGAGGUGCCGGAGAAGAAGGCCAAGAAGAAGGCCACGGGGACCAGGAAGGGUAUCCGGCGCAAGGUUAUAUCGGACUCAUGGUCCGAAAACACCGAGGCGCACUCCUUCCACGAAAACGAGGAGGAGGAAGAGGAAAGUUCUCCCCCCAGUCGGGGGGGACAGGAAAAGGAAGGCCGCCCCAUCAGGGGAGGCCGAAGGGUCCAAGAAGGGAAGGACCCACCUCCCGGACGGCUCCACGACGGCCACUUUCAGCGACGAGGAGUGGUUACCCAGGGACAAGCCCCUGGCAAAGUCGUGAGUAUCCGUCGACGUGGGUAUCCCUACCAGGACUGGGGGUGUCCCUUGUUUAGUGCCAGCUAUCCGCAAUGAACGUUUACCCAAGGACUUCAAAGGCCCUAGGAAGGUGCCUAAUUACAUAGCAGACUUGCAACCCGCAGCCUGGAUCGAGAGUUACGAGAUGGCUAUGGAACUACUGGAGGUCAGUGAGGCGGCCAUGGCUAAGUACUUCACCAUGAUGUUAGAUGGGACGGCCCGCACUUGGCUGAAAGGGCUACCACCGAAUUCCAUCGGGUCUUGGGCUGAGAUGAAAGCCCGGUUCAUCCAAAACUUUAAAGAUACCUGUAGGCAGUCUAUGUCAAUUGUGGAUUUGACUAACUGCAAGCAGCAGGAGGGUGAAUCCACGACUCACUCGGUUCGCCGGGUCAAGGAGAUCAUACAUUCGUCAGAUAAGAUGGAUGCCGGCUCUGCGGUCUUAAUGUUGGAACAAAAUUGUCGUUUCGUGCCCCUGAAGAUGAAACUUGGGCGGCUUAAGCGCGACAGCAGUGAUAUGGGUACGCUAAUGGCGGCUCUUGUCAAGUACGCCGAUUCCGAUGGUACCAAGGAUCCCCCUUCAGAUGAUGAAAUGGCAGGGAAGGUAAAGAAGAAUGGCAAUGGCAAGGGUCCUCAGCAUAACCCGGGGAACCAAGGAGGAGGCAAGCGCAAGGCCGAUGGCACCCUAGAGUUUGUAGCCAACGCCAGCUCACAAGGUAAUAACCAGCGACGCAAGGGGAGGCCCCCUCCCCGAGGCGGCGGGUCAGGCCCGACAUUGGAGCAGCUGUUGAAUGAGCCUUGUCCAAGGCAUGGCUCUAGAGAGAAGCCAGCGACUCAUCUAUGGAAGGAUUGUGCAAUCAUGAAGGCCUUCAAGAGUUACAAUGGCCCGGGCGGCGGCUCAGGCGCCGGCGGCUUUCAUGGCCCGGGCGGCGGCUCAAAUUCUAACCCUCAGAACGGUCAAGGGGGCUUUAAUCAGCAGUCUGGCCAGGGUCAUCAACAGCAGUAGGGAGGCUAUCAGACCAAUCCAAUGCAGCUUAGCGGUGGGCAGUAUCAUGUGUUUACCACCAGUCUGUGUAAGCGAGAUCAGAAGCUUCAUAAGAGGGCUGUGAACGCUGUUGAGCCGGCAGUUCCACGCUACUUGCGGUGGUCAGAGCAACCUAUAGUGUGGAGCAGGGAGGAUCACCCUCCCCGGGUGGAUAACCCGGGCCAGUUGGCCUUAGUGGUGGCUCCUCAAGUGGGAGCAUAUAAGUUCACUAAGGUACUCAUGGAUGGAGGCAGCAGCAUCAACAUCCUCUAUUAUGAGACUUUUCGCCGUAUGGGGUUGGUUGAUAAGAACCUCAGCCAGUCAAACACUAUCUUCCAUGGUGUGGUACCUGGUAAGUCGGCUUAUCCAGUCGGCAAGAUCGAGUUGGAAGUGGCCUUUGGAGAUGAGAACAACUACAGGGUGGAGAAAUCGACCUUUGAGGUGGUCAAGAUAAGAAGUCCGUACCAUGCUAUAUUUGGGCGGCCGGCUUAUGCCAAGUUCAUGGCACGGCCGUGUUAUGUUUACUUGCAGCUCAAGAUGCCGGGUCAUAAUGGGACCAUUACGGUUCACGGCAGCCGGAAGGUGGCCUUGGAAUGCGAGGAAGGCGACACGGCUUAUGCAGAAUCUGUUUGUGCAACAGAGGAGUUGAAGUUUUACAAAGACAACGUUGACCCAACAGAUAUGACCUCUCUGAAAAAACCGACUACGGAGCAUGAGCCGGCAAUGAAAUUUAAGUCGGCUGAUGAGACUAAACUUGUUGAUUUCAUUCCAGGAGAUUCAUCUCAGCAGUUUAGCAUCAGUGCCAACCUGGAUCCAAAAUAGGAAAGCGCGCUCAUCGAGUUCAUUCGUGAGAAUAGGGACAUCUUCACAUGGAAACCUUCUGAUAUGCCAGGUGUACCUAGAGAACUCGCUGAGCACACUCUCAAUGUUGAUCCGAAAUUUAAGCUGGUCAGGCAGUUCCUUCGGCGGUUCAAUGAGGAGAGGCGGAAAGCUAUUGGUGAAGAGGUGGCCCGGCUCUUGGCGGCUGGGUUUAUCGUUGAAGUCUUUCACCCAGAGUGGUUAGCUAACUCGGUGCUCGUGCUCAAGAAGAACGGCACUUGGCGGAUGUGUGUGGACUACACGGACUUAAACAAGGCGUGUCCAGCUGAUCCUUUUGCCCUUCCCCGUAUUGAUCAAAUUAUUGAUGCUACGGCAGGUUGUGCGCGCUUAAGUUUCUUGGACGCUUAUUCCGGAUAUCAUCAGAUUAAAAUGGCAGUUAAGGACCAGGAGAAGACAGCAUUCAUCACUCCCUUUGGAGCCUUCUGCUAUGUCUCCAUGCCCUUUGGGCUCAAGUGUGCACAGGCGACUUAUCAACGUUGCGUGCAGAACUGUCUUCAUAAAUAGAUUGGGCGCAAUGUUCAUGCUUAUGUGGACGACAUUGUGGUUAAAUCCAUAAAGGAGGAAACCCUGAUAGAUGAUUUGAGAGAAACCUUUGAUAAUCUCCGGGUCUACAAGAUGAUGCUUAACCCGGCCAAGUGUGUCUUUGGUGUUCCUGCAGGCAAACUCUUGGGUUUUUUGGUUUCUGACAGAGGCAUUGAAGCUAACCCGGAGAAGAACAAGGCCAUCACCUCCCUGGCUAAGCCGGCGUGUAUAAAUGACGUUCAGCGCUUGGCGGGUCACGUCGCUGCUUUAAGCCGGUUUAUAAGCCGUUUGGGUGAAAAGGCCAUGCCAUUAUAUCAGUUGAUGAAGAAAACUGAUAACUUUGUCUGGAAUGAUGUAGCUAAUACUGCCUUUGAGGAUUUGAAGAAGCAGCUGGCAGAGCCUCCAGUCCUUGCUGCUCCGGUUGAUAAGGAGCCCUUAUUAUUAUAUGUGGCGGCGAACACACGAGCCGUCAGUGUGGCUAUGGUGGUGGAGCGCAAGGAGGAGGGUAAGGAGCAUCCAGUUCAGCGGCCGGUUUAUUAUGUCUGCGAAGUGCUCGUUGAGUCCAAGCAGAGGUAUCCGCAUUGGCAGAAGCUUGUUUAUGGUGUGUUCAUGGCAAGCCGGAAGCUUAAGCAUUAUUUCCAGGGUCAUCCUAUAACCGUUGUCAGUUCUGCCCCUCUUGGUGAUAUCAUUCAAAACAGAGAGGCCACAGGGAGAGUGGCUAAGUAGGCUAUCGAGCUCGGACCUCAUGAUCUCAAAUACGUGCCACGCACUGCUGUUAAAUCUCAGGCCCUGGUGGAUUUCAUCAAUGAUUGGACAGAGUCACAGGUGCCUGAGCAAAAGCCGGAUAACACGUAUUGGACUAUUCACUUCGAUGGGUCCAGGUAGUUGGAGGGCUCGGGGGCUGGAGUUGUAUUGGCUUCCCCUAAAGGUGACAAGUUCCAUUAUGUGCUACAGUUGAUGUUUCCUUGCACUAACAAUGCGGCUGAGUACGAGGCCUUGCUCCACGGUCUUCGGAUGGCUAAGGAGAUGAGCUUGAGCCGGGUAAGGUGUUUCGGUGACUCAGACUUGGUGGCUCAACAAGUAUAGGCAAGUGGGACUCUAAGGACCCUCUCAUGGCGGCUUAUCGCAGCGAAGUUGAUGCCAUUGCUGGGCACUUUCAGGGCUACCAAGUAGAGCACAUUGAUCGCAGGAAGAACAAAGUGGCUGAUGCUUUAAGCCGGCCAGGCUCUCAGCGAAAGCCGGUGCCGCCUAAUACUUUCCUGGAUGUCCUGUAUAAUCCUUCUGUUAAGUUGCCUACAGAGGAGAAUUUGGCUGUCCCUGACCCGGAGGCACGGCUGGUGGCGGCUCUCCAUAUCAUACCAGAUUGGACAAUGCCCUAUCUGGCUUACAUGACCCGGGGUGAGUUGCCUGAGGAUGAGACUUUGGCCAGGCAAAUAACCCGGCGGGCUAAGUCAAUGAUUGUUAUCAAUGGUGAGUUGCACCAUCGCAGUGUUACGGGAGCGUUUCAGCGUUGUGUUUCCCUUGAGGAAGGGAAAGAGAUCUUGCGUGAGAUCCAUGAAGGGGAUUGUGGCCAUCACGCCGGCUCAAAGUCCCUUGUGGCCAAGGCUUUUCGUCAUGGUUUUUAUUGGUUGACGGCUCAUGCUGAUGCAGAGGACUUGGUCAGUAAGUGUGAUGGUUGUCAAAGGUUCUCGCGACGGGCUCAUGUACCGGCUCAAGAGCUAAGAAUGAUCCCAAUUACUUGGCCCUUUGCGGUCUGGGGGCUAGAUAUGGUUGGGCCUUUCAAACGAUCCAAGGAUAAGAAGACCCACCUUUUGGUGGCAGUUGACAAGUUUACCAAGUGGGUUGAAGCGGAGCCAGUUAGCAAGUGUGAUGCAGCCACGACGGUUCAGUUUAUGAAAAAGGUGAUCUUUCGCUUUGGUUUUCCACACAGCAUUAUAACUGACAAUGGCACCAAUCUCUCCAAAGGCGCCAUGGAGGAGUUUUGUCAACGAGAGCAUAUCCGACUUGAUGUUUCCUUAGUGGCUCAUCCUCAAUCCAAUGGUCAAGCUGAGAGAGCUAAUCAGGAGAUUCUGAAGGGUAUCAAGCCCCGGCUUUUGGUACCUUUGCAAUGGACGCCAGGUUGUUGGGUGGAGGAGUUGCCCUCCGUGUUAUGGAGCAUCAACACUACUCCUAACAGGUCUACAGGUUUUACGCCUUUCUUCAUGGUUUAUGGGGCAGAAGCAGUCCUCCCCAGUGACAUUCGUCAUGACUCACCUCGAGUGGCGGCUUACGUUGAGGCGGAUAAUGAACAGGCGCGCCAGGACGCUCUUGACUUGUUGGAUGAACAGCAUGAUGUGGCAGCAGCCCGUUCAGCAAUUUACCAACAAGACCUGCGCCGUUAUCAUAGCCGCCGGGUUAAAUCCCGGGUCUUCCAGGAAGGUGAUCUUGUGCUCCGGCUCAUCCAGGAUCAAACAGAUGCACACAAGCUAUCCCCACCUUGGGAAGGCCCUUUGUGAUCAGCAAGAAUUUGCACAACGGGUCAUAUUACCUCAUCGACAUUCGGGAGCGCAAAGAUUCACGUAAGUCGGAGGAAGAAACCCGACGGCCGUGGAACAUAGCUCAGCUUCGGCCUUACUACACUUGAGCCACCGCCUCUCAUGAUGUACAUACUUCUCUAAGCCAUGUAUAUAUUAUGAUAAGCAAUAAAGCAUGACCUCUGUCCUUUUUUCUCCUCCAAGUGUGCACAUGUUGUUUUCAUUGCCAGGUUACAUGAUAACUUGAAGGAGGAUCCGGCGUAUGAUCAUAUUCGGAUCUAGCCGUAGACGAUAAGGUCAUUUGGGGGCUUCCUGUUCAAACAUAGGUCGUAUUCGAACCAAAGAGAACACAACUGUCGAUACCCAUUUGAUUGGCAAAGUGCCGAGCUCAUUGAGGAGUUUUCUUUGAUCAUAUUUGAAUCUUAGUUUAACCCCUUUGAGAGCCGACGUGGAUCGUAUUCGAAUCAGCGUCGUUAAACAAUUCUUAAAGUCAUUUGGGGGCUUCCUGUUCAAACAUGGGUCGUAUUCGAACCAAAGAGAACAUAGCUGUCGAUACCCUUUUGAUUGGCAUCGCCACACCCACUGGGGGCUACAUGAUCGUAUUCGAAUCCUAGCAUAACCCCUUUGGGCCGGGUCUCUGGUCGUAUUCGAACCGGAAGCCCCUAAGUUCUUUUGUUUCAUAGCAAGUUUCUUCUGAUUAUUUCAAAGUGUGUACGGCCGGGUCUUACUUUGCCGGCUUAACUUUGUUUACAGUGUUAGUUGAACACAAUGGGUGUCAUUAAGACAAGUAAAUCGGAAUUAAGGUACCAACCUUAUUAUUCGGGUUAUCUAAACCGGAAGAAUGCUUGCAGGCCGCUAAGUGUGUUAUUACGGCUGUAAUUGAGGACCAGUAUUUUUUGAUUCAUAUUCCGGGUUAUACAUCUCAAACAUAUGAUUCUCAGGGCGGUAAGCCGCCUGGAGACUUGUGAUUCGUCUUUCUAUGCAGGAUAGUUAAAGACAAAUAUUUGAGACUAAGGAGAAUGAAUGACCCGGAGAAAUAUAAAGGAGACAACUUCAAUAAAAACUUCAAGCAUUUAAGGCGUGCACGAUGGCACGGCAAAGAUAAAGUGUUGGUCCUACUCUAUUACAAGACUCGUUGAGUCCAAAAGGGUGAGGCAUUGUUUGGUAAACCGCCAGCAGAAUUACGACGCUUGCUGGGUUGAUGUCUCCGGCUCGUCUCUUUCUUCUCCUCCGGCUGUCCCCAAGGUCUGGAAGGUCGACGACUUCCAGUCGAUGCCGCUCAGCGCCUCGAAUUGGGCUUCCUCGUUAAUUAACCCGGCCGGGUCAAUCUCUGGGGCAAAGGUGUGCUGACGAGCCGGCGGAAUUAAACUCAGAGCUUCAUAACGAGGGGAUGGAAUCCUCUGAUUUUCUGCGUUAUAACCCGGCUGGUACUUGGUCAGAUCUGUGUCGUUGCCAAUAAGAGUGGCCACCGGGCGUACAGUCUUCACGCAAGCUGCGAAGUCCUUCUGAUCAAAGGCGGCGUCGUCUUCCUUCAGGCUUGGGUAGCCGAGGGCGAUGUCCGCCUUGUCUAGCUCUGGCAAGAACGCCUUGGCCCGGCUCAGUGCAGCGAUUGCUCCGGCUCUCGCAGAGGCCCGUCGCAGCUCUUGGAUCCGCUGAGGCAGAACGGCGAGACGGCGGAGGACUUCCGCCAGGUGAGUCGGCACCUCGUUGGAUAGGGCCACCACAGCUAAGGCACGCUGUGACCCGGUGUAGAGCUGCUCCACCAGGGUAUACACGGCCUUCACCUUGGUUACCACGCUCUGGUUAAGGUUGGCACUUCUGGGACCUGUUUAAACAGAAUCAGAUAAGCUGCCGACAAGGAAGAAUUAUGAGAUAUAAAGAUUCUCAACUUGAUGAAAGCCGGGGAGGCGACUUACCGAAGAUUGCGGCCACCAUCUGGGACACCUGGCGCUUUAGGCCGGAGAGCUCGGCAGUUUUCUCGGAGAGAGUCUUCUCCGCCUGUUCAGCCCGGUUCACCAAUGUGGCCUUCUCUUCGGCCCACGCCUUCCGCUCAGCGUCAAACUCUGUCUUCAGUUUCUCUUGAGCGGCGAUGCUAGACACAAAUUUGGCAUUUGCCUUCCGGGUCUCCAUCUCUUGCAUCUGCAGCCGGCUCUUGAGAUCAGCCAUGUCAGCCUCUAGCUUCUUGCCAGCAGCCUGCAUACAUUUCUGGGUUAUGACAUGAACAGUUACUAUAUAAAUUUUAAGUCCCAAGCGUUUUCCAUGCAAAGACACUUGGCACUUGGGGGCUAAUGCAUAUUGAAUAUAUCUAUCUACAAAUUGCUGGUUCAACUGAGUAAGCCGGAACCUAAGUCUACAACAUACAUAAUCAUAAGUCAUCGACUUGGGGGCUAGCAUGAUAAAGGUAACUAUGCAGUAAGUAGGAGGAUAGCAGAAGGAUACCUCAGAUUUUUGCUGGAUCUGGUUCCCCAUGGCAACCUCUACGUCCCGGCUCUUGUGCACUUGGCUGAUGUAGCCAGAGACGAGCUCUCCAAUGCUCAGGUUCGUGUGGUCGGAGAGGUCCAGGUUCACCCGGUGGGGCUGCAGCAACUCCCCCUUAGCGGAGCACUUAGCCAGUGCGGUAGGUCUCCCCGGCUCAACAAAUGCCGUCCGGGUGAUUACCACGUCCGGUUCAUUUGUUGGUUGAGCCGAGCCGGAGGCCUCCGGGUCAGCAAAAGCUUCUACAGGUGCCGUGUCCAUUGGAGCGGUGGCUUUGGGGGCGGAGGCAGCUGGCGGUUCUUGGACCGUCACCUCCGGCUCAGGCAAAUCCAGCUCUCCGGCCGACUUGGUUUUCUUCGCCCUUUUGGUGAGCUUUGCCUGGGCACUGAAAGAACAACAAAGGUUAGUAUAAAAAAUAUGAGCAAGGACCAGAACAAAUAUAAGAGGGUUAUCAUUACCCGGGCACGGUUUUGAAAGCCGGAAGACUCGACUGCAUAGAGUCGCCCGAAGAGGGGGAGGUCUCCUGAUAAUUGGAGUCAGAAGAAUUGAGUGGCUGACGGAUAACACCCGCCAACGGAUGAAAAGGGUACAAAUGGGAAAUAACCUCAGUUCGGCGUUUCCUUGAUGCGUCAGGUAACCCGGAGGAGAGGUCGGUGUCCUUGUUGGUCCGGGUGUGACGCCGGCUUUCAUGAACCUGUCGCUUCAAAAUAAAUUGAGGGUCUUGGUAAGCUAAAGGAUGUGAAAAGCUUACUUUACGAGUUACCCUUCGGACUUUCAGCUUUGGCAAGGGCUCCGGGUCGGAGGAAAGUGACAUUAUCUCUUCAACCACCGGGUUACUUGCGCCGGUGUCAUCCUGUCAAUGAGCAAGUAUUGAUAAGGCGGACAGCAACAAACAACAAAUACAGCAAGGAUUUAAAGGCUCAGGGGUUACCUCUGACUCGGAGCUGUCGCUUAAUUGCAUCAGCUCUGAAGCAGUAGGCCUGCUUCCUUUCGUGCGAGGGGCGGCUUUCUUCGCGGCUUUCUUCGCCUUCCUGGCCUUCUUGGCCGCUUCAUGGUCGUAUUUGACCCGCCAGAACUUAUCAUCAGCCUGAAAAAUGCAAUGAGGUUUUCUUAAAACAAUUCAGAUGAAAGUCAUGUACAGAAGAAGAUAGGAUGUUCAGAUUGGCAGCUUACCGCUGGGGCUGGGUUGGUCUUGCAGAAGGGGGCUAACCCGGUCCUUCCGCAGUCUGCCAGGCUCUCGUUUAAAAGAGCCUUGGUCAUCUCCUCUGCAACGUCUUCAGGAAGAUCAAUGCGGCUGUGUCUCUGAGGGUCAUCUUUUCGGCCCGUAUACUCACACAUUAAGCCGGGGCGGCGGCUCAAUGGGAUCACCCGCCAUGAGAUCCAGACCCGGACCAGGUCGAUUCCAUUCAGACCAUUGCCCAGGAGAGCCUUGAUCUUGUUGAUAGUGGGGAGCAGCGGUUGGCGCUCCGCUUGAGUCAGCUUGUCUGACAGUGGGUGAGUCGGCUCCAGACGCGAGGGGCGAAAGCCGGGCAACGGACUCUCGUCAGCCGGCGACGUGUCUUGGCAGUAAAACCACGUCAGAUUCCAGUCCUUGGGGUGGCUAGGCGGCUCUGCGUAAGGGAAAAGGCAGUCCCUACGCCGCUGGAUGGAGAUGCCACCUAACUCCAGACUUGGCCCAUUGGCGCACUCGUUCUGACGGUUCAAGUAAAAAAGCUCUCUGAAGAGCAGCAGACUAGGUUCUUCUCCAAGGUAAACCUCGAAGAAUACUUGGAAGUUGCAGAUGUUGGACACUGAGUUGGGUCCUAUGUCUUGAGGCCGCAAAUCGAAGAAGUUUAGAACGUCUCUAAAAAACUUUGAGCCGGGCGGUGCGAAGCCCCGGCUCAUAUGAUCUGCAAAAAUCACUACCUCCCCGUCCUUUGGUUGUGGUCUCUCUUCUGACGGGUCGGGGGCACGGUAGGACAUGACGUCCUUCUUGGGCAGGUAUCCGGACUUAACAAAAUCUGCUAGUGUCUCACUGGUGACAUUGGACCUCAUCCAGUUGCAAGUGAUGGAGGCUUUGGGAGCUUUGGGAGGCAUGGUGAAAGUCGGCAGUCUAUGAUAAAAGGAAAAAUGUCCGGGUUAAUUAUGAGCCAGAAGAAAUCUACAGUUCAAUGUCAAGGUGGCGGCUUAUGAAGGGGACUAAUGGUAUACACUUAAGUACAUCGGGCUAUUUAAGCCGCCGAGGGAUUGAGAGUAAUUUGAUUGUCUACAGGCCUUAUCACAGCUAAGCCGGAAAUUUUUAUGGCGCAUGGCUUUCUUUAAGACGGACGGUUCUACGGCGCGUGGUUUCUUUAAACCGGAACUGUAAACCGCCGAGAUUCAAUGAUUGCAAUUUUUACCAAGUGUGGUAAAACAGGUUUCACACAUCGCAGUAAAUUUUUUGGAUCAAAACAGUCGGGCAAAAGAAAAGUUUCUAGAGCUAGAAACAGACGCUGGAGAAGUUCUUGGGCUCGAACAAGGUUCUUAUUCAGUAAAAAGAGAGCUGCUCGCAUGUAAAAUGGGUGCUAAACAGUCACCGCAAUGGUUCUAUGCAAGUCUAAGAUCAAAAGGAGGCAGCAAAAAUCAAAUCUACCGAGGCCCGUGAUGAACUACGAAGAACACGGACGAACUACUCGAGCCCUAGUGCGGAUCUGCCCUAUGGAGUGGCGAGGACUCAUCGGACCUGAAGAGGAGCGGAGUUUGCCGCCGUUUGUCUGGACCGAGUCAGGGUGAUGCAGCGGCCAAGGAUGACGAAGACCGGGGGCGCGACGGUGGCGGCAGUAGCAGAGCUCGGGCAGAGGAGCAGUGGCGCGAGGAAUAAGAUGGAGAGAGAAGUGGCUGAGAGCCCGUCGGGCCGGCCUAUUUAUAAGGCGAACUCAUAAGUGGGCGCGAAAAUCAAGGAGACCACGGCAUGGUUAUCUCCCCACGAAACGCCUCGAUUCUCGGGAUGACAGUAAAGGUAAAGAUCUGUUGCGGAUCUGGCGGAGUAAAAAACGGGCUUAAUGGAAGAUGACGUCACGGCGGAUUAUCCGGAGUCCAGAGGAUGACGUCACGCCGGGUUAUGGCCUUCACACAAUUGUAAGCCGGAGGUUUUCUGUUGAAGGAAUGGAAGAUUGACAUGAGCCGGCUCAAAUCAAUCUGGGGCCUAAUGUUGAGGAUAUAGACCUUAGAGUCACCCGCCAGGAGGGGCCGGGUUACUCAUAUGGUCAUUGCUAGAAGCCCAGCGCCAAGCUUAAAGACGGUGGGCCAAGGAUGGGCUUAAGACCCGGAUAUGGCUUAAGGCCCGUAGUUACAAUCAUUAUUAUGGUAGAACUUGUAGUGUAAGGCAAGAAUAGUUGAGAGUCCGCGCCGGACACUCUUAUGAGCCGGCCGGGACUCUGAGAGCUGCAGGGCGUCCGCCUCCCUAUGUAAAGGGACGACCCGGCAGCAGUUUAGGGCAGAGAACAAUCUCAUCGAGAGCCGGGCAUAGCAAUUUAGCUCCCUGGUGAUCGUAACCCUAAUCAAUACCACCUCAAACUGGACGUAGGCUUUUACCUUCACCGUAAGGGGCCGAACCAGUAUAAACCCUCGUGUUCCUUGUCCCGCAUUAACCCCUUCAAGCUUCCUAACUGCGAUGGCUCCACGACUAAGUCCUAGCUCGAGGACAUCUGCCGUGACAAUUCCACGACAGUACGUCUUAUUGUAUUGUUUCUUAUCACGCCGCGCAUGAUUAUGCAGUCCGUCCCGAGCCCAUAUCGACGUAUCUUCGUCGGAUGAUUCUUUUGGCCCGUCAGAUAUGAACAGCGAUUCACUCCCGACUGCCUCCUCCCCUCGCCCAUGGCGUCGUCUCAAAGGGAACUGAACCAAGGGGAGACAGUUCCAGAGGCGCCCCAAGGCGACAUUAUAGGCGCUAGGCGCACGAGGGGCAAGACUUCCCUGGGCCCUAACGCCGGGGGCAGCAAGUCUAGCCCCAAGCCAAAUACGGCGCCGGAACCUCCAGUGGUUCCGGAUUCUGUCAGGCAACCCCUCGCCAAGGGGGGCAAGCCGUCUGUGCCGAUGGCCUCUAUCCAUCCAGAGGCAUCGGACAACUUGCUGGAAGUGCUUCGCGGCGCUUCCAUUGACGAAGAGCACCGCACUAUUAUGAGUGCGGUAGUCAAGAAGGUUCAGUCCGCUAAGAGCGGACUUACUGAAGCCUGUGCCAGCCUCCUAACCGGCUUUGAGGUAAGUAAUCAAAUUGUAAGAAAAUGUUACAGCAUAGACAGUAGCCCCUGAUGCUCUGUUUGGCAUUCGCGGAGAAAGGCCGAAUAGAGGAUCAAAUAAUAAUCGCAGGAGUCUAAUCAGAAUGUGUCUAUGUGAAUAAGUAGGCUUCACUUCUGGCCGCCGCCGCUCGUACUGCGGAGGUCGCCGCACUGAAGCGGGACCUUGAGCGGUCCAAGGAAGAGCUCGGCCUUACCAAGAGGCAGCUCAAAGAGAACAAAGGUAAGUGACACCCCGUCUGAAUAUUGAUAAAGAAAAAUUUGGUUUUGGAAUAAUAGGAUCGUCAUGAAUUUUGCUAGGGGCCAUGACCGAAGUGGCGGCCCUGCAGAAGGCGCUAUCUGAGGCCGAAGACAAAGCGGCCAAGGAGCGCAUCGAGCGAGAGAAGCAAGAGGCUCGAGUAGGCGAGCUGCAGAAAGAGCUCCAGGCUCUCGUUUAGAAACACGAGUCCUUGGAGCUUGACUCUAGGACGCAAGGGUCCGAGCUUGCGAAGGCCCUCGAAAGCGCACAACAUGCCAAGGCCGAAGCCCAAAAGGCCCUCCAGGAAAAUGAGGCGGUUAAGAAGAUAGCGGCGGGUAAGGCAUUCAUUAUGCAAAGCAAGCAUGUGAAGGAAACUUUCUUUUUACUUACCCGAGUUCGGAGCUCUCCAAGAGCGUUCGCAGAUCUACCCCGCAGUGUGUCGGAUGCCGUGGAGUUCUACCGGGCCGAGGAGGGGAGAUCGAGGGAGAAGUUGUUCUGGUCUCAGUAUACUGGGACCGAACACCCAAUGCCCUUGAGCGACCAGUUGAAGCAACUGGUCGAGCUUCACAAGGCGGCCGAACAGGCCAUGAAGGGUCUUAUAGCCCGGAUGUGGCCUGGCGAGCCCCUGCCUGGUAGCUACUUCGGUCUGGUGAGGCGGCUUGUGAAUGCCUGCCCACGGUUUGAAGUCAUAAAGUGGUUCGUCUGCAUUGAGGGUGCACGCAGGGCUUUUUCCCGGGCGAAGGUGCACUGGGCGAAGCUGGACGCCGAAAAGCUGGUGAAGGAGGGGCCGCCGGAGGGCAAGGAGCAUCGCCACCCAGAAAAGUAUUAUGACAGUGUCCUGAAGGGUGCUCGCCUUGUGGCGGAUGAAUGUGCUAAGGAUGUAAUAUUUGAAUGAAUGUACUCAUGUGAUCCUGUAAUAUGAAAUGAGUUCAUUUGCGCUAUGCAACGCUUGUUAAUUUAAAAUAUUAGCUUCUGUGCGGCCGUUUAUAAAAGUUGGCCAGUCGUCGGCUUCUGCCCCCAUGUAACUAGUACUGAGGUGUUCGGGGUAAACCUGAGCACUCUUUAUCCCAAUUUUGGGUCCUUCAAAGGAGGUGUUCAGCACAACGAACCAGGCAACCGGACUAUAAAGCUUUAUCACUCUCACUUAGCAAUAGAAGUCUACAAUUUUAAAUUUUGGCGAAGCCCCUAGUAUUCAGAAGGCCGAAUUUGGGGCGCUAUAUACGCCUAAGUCGGGAAAUGCCGACUCCUCGCCCAAAGCGGAAAAGUCUUUAAGGACUUGAGACCUCUCGAACAGCGACCAGCUCUCGCCUCAUCUUGACAGUCAGUUUUCAGCUUUCUCUACUGAGGUGCUCGUCCGGAAGAACCGGUACACAAUCGCAGUAGUUCUCCCAGUGCUACCUUAGCCGAUAUUGCGGAACGUAAGGUACCAAAACAUGGGAGCCAGGCAAACCCAACUAUUGACCGAAGACAUGAUUCGGAUCUGAUGCAUAUAAUGCUAUAAGUUCGGGGUGCCGCACUGUCGAAAGUGUUCGGACUUCUCACGCCGUAUUAUGGGGUAUACUGAAGCCCCUGGCGCACAGGUCGUACUAGAAUGUACGGGUGCAAUUUGUCGUAAAUAAGCAGACAAGGAAAAAAUAAAGGGGAAUGCAAUAAUAGACUAACGCUAUGCAUCGUUAUUAAAUAAUACGUCAACGCGUAUGGAUACAAGUAGUGCAAUAAGCAAAAAAUAGGACUAUUUGACAUGUCCUAUCCAAGGGCAAGCUGCGUAUGGGUAAGUAAAACAGGUAUUUCGAUCGUUAUCAGAGACCACCUGGAUUCCCUUGUACGUCAGAGGGUCUUGCUUCCUUGGUAUUUCCUUACCGCGAUGGGUCCAACAAUUAGACUGCCGGAAAGGGCUUCCAGAGAGUAAGGUCCUGAUAGAGAGAAAAUGAUAAAGGUAUAUGGCCCCUGGGGCGGUUGAGCCGCAUUGUGGGACGUGUCAUAGCUGUGCCUCCGCCUAUGCCCAUGGUAUCUUGAGUGCGUAGUUAUGUACGCGUGGCGCAAAUUUCGCCACUUGACUGUGACUAGGACGGAGGACGAAUUGCUAGGCGAGCUCAAAACGUACCUGGCGAUCCUCCUGCGGGGUACCCCGGACUCGCUUGAAGGUGUCCGGGGUCUUUUUCGCCAAAUUGGCGGUUUGCCUAAUAUGGCUGCUUUGCGCUUCUGCUGCGAGGGCCGCAGUGUGCUCCUCCGUGCGGAGCGAGCGCUCUGUGUUUCCAUUAACUGUUAUAACACCGCGUGGUCCUAGCAUUUUGAGUUUGAGUUAUGCAUAAUGCGGUACCGCAUUGAAUCUGGCAAAUGCGGUUCGUCUGAGCAGUGCGUGAUAGCCGCUGCGAAAGGGGACGAUGUCGAAGAUUAACUCCUCACUUCGAAAGUUGUCAGGAGAUCCGAAGACCACUUCCAGUGUGAUUGAGCCCAUGCAACAGGCCUCUACACCUGGGAUUACACCUUUAAAGGUGGUUUUGGUGGGUUUGAUCCUCGAGGGGUCUAUGCCGAUUUUACGCACUGUAUCCUGAUAGAGCAGGUUCAGGCUGCUGCCACCGUCCAUAAGGACGCGAGUGAGGUGAAAUCCUUCAAUGAUGGGGUCAAGGACCAAUGCGGCAGAUCCGCCAUGACGGAUACUAGUGGGGUGGUCCCUGCGAUUGAAGGUGAUCGAACAAGAGGACCAUGGGUUGAACUUUGGGGCGACUGGCUCCAUCGCAUAGACGUCGCUUAGUGCACGCUUCCGUUCCCUCUUGGGAAUAUGGGUUGCGUAUAUCAUGUUCACCGUUUUCACUUGUGGAGGGAACCUCUUUUGUCCUCCUGUGUUCGGCGGCCGAGGAUCCUCCUCGUCAUCGCUAUGCAGCCCCUUGUCCUUGUUUUCGGCAUUCAACUUGCUGGCCUGCUUUAAUACCCAACAUUCUAUGUUGGUGUGAUUGGCUGCCUUAUUGGGGGUGCCAUGAAUUUGACACGAGCGAUCGAGUAUACGGUCCAAACUGGACGGGCCCGGAUUGCUUCUUUUGAACGGCUUCUUCCGUGGACCGUAUUUAGAGCCACUGAAUCCGGCAUUGACUGCCGUGUCUUCGGCAUUGUCGCCAUUUUUGUGGCGCUUGUGUCUGUUGUGACGUGGUCUGCCGUUAGUAUCUUUGGCGUCUGAAUUGCCAGGAUUUCUGGAUGUGCUGUUGCUGCGAGCCAGCCAGCUGUCCUCGCCCGCGCAAAAGCGGGUCAUGAGUGUCGUGAGGGCUUCCAUGGACUUCGGCUUCUCUUGGCCAAGGUGUCGGGCGAGCCACUCAUCCCGGAUGUUAUGUUUAAAUGCGGCUAAGGCCUCGGCAUCUGGAUAGUCGACAAUUUGGUUCUUUCUAGUUAGGAACCGAGUCCAGAAUUUCCUGGCCGAUUCCCCUAGCUGUUGGGUUAUGUGGCUCAAGUCAUCAGCAUCUGGUGGUCGCACAUAAGUGCCCUGGAAGUUGUCAAGGAAUGCGUCUUCCAAAUUCUCCCAACUGCCAAUGGAGUUUGCUGGCAGGCUAUUCAGCCUAUGCCGAGCUGGUCCUUUGAGUUUUAGUGCAAGGUACUUGAUGGCAUGUAGAUCGUCACCGCGGCCCAUGUGGAUGUGGAGGAGGAAAUCCUCGAUCCAUACCUCGGGGUCUGUUGUGCCAUCAUAUGACUCAAUGUUCACGGGUUUGAAUCCUUCUGGGAAUUCAUGAUCCAUUACUUCAUCGGUGAAGCAUAGGGGGGUGUGCGGCACCUCUGUGCCGGGCUAUGUCACGACGUAGUUCAUACGAGUCUUGUCUGCUGUAUUCGGCCCGGCCGGAUUUGCUUUUAGUGUAUCCGGCGUGACGAUCAUCGUCACGCGUUGGGGCGAAACCCCGUGAUCCAUAGAUCGAUCUUGUAUGUCCUGCUUUGUUUUCCAAUACGUCUCGCGGGUCCCGCGUGUUGCCCCGGGCCUUGGUAUUUUUGUUUGAAUGGCGGCGGGUGCGGGCUGGACUUCGGGCUGAUAUGCCCCUCUGUCUCGGCCACGAGGUGGCCGAUCAGCCGCAUCAUACGCUGGUGAUGUAGGUUUUAAUGCUUCCUCAUCGAGUUGGGGCAGCAACCUGCGCUUUGGGUAACUCUUGGUUGGGCGCUCGAGUUCGUAUUCCUCGGCCGCCAGGACUUCAGUCCAUCUAUCUGCUAGCAGAUCUUGAUCAUCUCGAAGCUGCUGUUGCUUUUUCUUCAGGCUAUUUGCUAUGGCUAUAAGCCGGCGCUUGAAGCGCUCCUGCUCGACGGGAACCUCAGGCACGAUAAAUUCUUCGUCGCCGAGGCUCACCUCGUCUUUGGAGAGAGGCAUGUAAUUGUCAUCCUCUGAUUCUCCGUCUGCUGCCUGUUCCGGAGGGCUAGCUUGUUCAUCCUCCCGCUCGAGGUCUGGCGGGAGGGGAUUGUCGUCGUCUUCGGCACUAUCCGGAGCGUUAUUGUCUCUUGUGCCGGUAUCGCUGCUUUUGCUAUGGCGGGACUUAGAGCGGCACCGCUGACAUCGGUGCUUGGAUUGCUUCUUGGAGGGAUUAUCCUCCGUUGUCUUAUCGCCAUCGCCUUCUUUAGGGGUGUGCACCAUGUAUAUAUCAUAUGAUGAGGUGGCAGUCCAGCGCCCUGUGGGCGGUGGUUCCUGUUCGUCUCCUGCAUCCUCGUCCAUACCGUCGAUGUCUUCGACACCGAAAUCGAGCAUGUCGGUUAAAUCGUCGACAGUGGCUACUAAGUGGGGGUGGGUGGGGAGCGAAUUUCUUCGUCGUCCACAUCCCAUUCUAGCCGAACAUAGUUCGGCCAAGGGUCUCCUGAAAAGAAGAGAGACCUCAAUGAGUUUAGCACGUCACCCAGUGGUGAGUGCUGAAAGAUAUCCGCGAAGGAAAACUCCAUAAUCGGUGCCCAGUCGGAUUCGAUAGGCACGGACGCUGGCGGCUCAGAGCCCGUGGCCGGGGACGAAUCCAGGUGUCCGGCAACACGGGUCUCAUAGGAAGUGAAGUGAGCAUUCGGCUCUAUCGCCGCUGAGUGCGCGGCCUUCGUGGCGGGGUCCAUCCACCCGUCCUCGGACGGCGCAAUCUGCUCCGGGUUGAGGGCCGGAGUAGUUGCAGGUGUGAUCUCCCGAGCACUGUCCGACGGCAGAGCUAAGUCAUGCCCGUUGUGACUGUGCGGCACACCUGACAUGGGCUCGAAUCAGUCGAAGAUCAAGUCUCCGUGGAUGUUGGCAGUAUAGUUCAAGUUUCCAAACCUGGCCUGAUGGCCAGGGGCGUAGCUUUCGAUCUGCUCCAGAUGGUCGAGCGAGUUGGCCCGCAGUACGAAGCCGCCGAAUACGAAGAUCUGUCCGGGGAGGAAAACCUCGCCCCGGAUCGCAUCGUUGUCGAUGAUCGGAGGAGCCAUCAAGCCUUAUGGUGACGGCACAGUGGAACUCUCAAUGAAAGCACCAAUGUCGGUGUCAAAACCGGCAGAUCUCGGGUAGGGGGUCCCGAACUGUACGUCUAAGGCGGAUGGUAACAGGAGGCGGGGGACACGAUGUUUACCCAGGUUCAGGCCCUCUCGAUGGAGGUAAUACCCUACUUCCUGCUUGAUUGAUCUUGAUGAUAUGAGUAUUACAAGAGUUGAUCUACCAUGAGAUCGUAGAGGCUAGACCCUAGCUAGAAGCUAGCCUAUGGUAUGAUUAUUGUUGUCCUACGGGCUAAACACCCCGGUUUAUAUAGACACCGGAGGGGGCUAGGGUUACACAGGGUCGGUUACAAGGGAGGAGAUCUACAUAUCCGUAUUGCCAAGCUUGCCUUCCACGCCAAGGAGAGUCCCAUCCGGACACGGGACAGAGUCUUCAAUCUUGUGUCUUCAUAGUCCAACAGUCCGGCUAAAGUAUAUAGUCCGGCUGUCCGAGGACCCCCUAAUCCAGGACUCCCUCAAGGCCCUCCGGAGUCGGCGCUCUCUCAGAGAGAAAGGCACGGCCGUCGAUCGGGACGCGCGGGCAGCCGUUGGUCUCCUCCCUCGCCGCCGACGACAGCGUGAACGAUGCACCUACACCCCUGCCCCGGUCGAGGUUGUCCGGCCGGAUUUGUGACCAGCCGUGAGCUGAGAGAGAGUGUGGUAUCUCUUUCUUAGAUCUGGAGAGCAUGAGAGAGUAAACGAGAGGAACCCUAGUAAAGCAAGCGCUAAGGCUCCUGCUUAUAUAUGUAGUGGAGUUAUUUUGUUGUACCAGCUUCAAAAAAUGCGCUCCUACGUGUACCCGCGAGUGGGUGUGAGAGAAUUAGUGCGUGCGUGCACCGCUUCUCUUUGUGAGAGUACAAUAUACUAUGCCCAAAGAACAUUCGCCAAAAGAGUAAUAGUAUAAGUGUGUGACGUGUGAGCUAAAAUAAAAUGUGCGCGAUGUCUUUUGCUUUUUAGAAGUUCUGAGGGUAGGGUGUGAAGAGCACAUAUGUGUGUGACGUCUACCUGCAGAUAGACGGUGGGUGUGAGAGGACUCGGGAGGGUGCGUGUGCGUGAGAGAGAGGGGGACAUGUAUCAAUGCAAUGCAUGUGUCCGUAAAUCAUUAUCCGACAAACGUUUGCCACAAGCCUUUUCCUGACGAACGCCGUAAGAACCGUUAGAUCGGCAUCCGACAAUGUCAGUUUUGCCAUGUCAUUUAACAGAACAACCACUCCUCCUACACACAAAUCUUCCACGUGAGUGUUAGCAACUGCCAUAUGCUCCCUCCGUUCCAAAAUGCAGUGCAUAUAGCUUUAUUGAAAAUUCGAACCUCGCAAACUUUAACCGAGUUUUCGUGUAGCAAAUUGCACAUGUAGAAUACCCUUUAUAUAUCAUUUCAUUCAUCUUCGAGAGGUAACUAUAAAGAUGGGGGAGGGGUCUACAAAGAAAGACCAUCGUAUCACCUGCAGCAAUUUGAACCAUCCUUUGGUGUGGAGGAAUAUCAUAGGAACUCUAUAUGAUAUGAUUUUUAUAGGAUUUUUUCCUUUAGAGCCAAUUGGUUCAUAGGAAUAGAUUCAUAUACUCCACAUUUCAACGGAAAAAAACAUGAUAUCAUUUCUAUAGCUUUAGAGCCACUUGGUUCAUAUGAAUGGAUUCCCAUACUCCCAUAAUUUCAAAGGAAAAUAAACAGUAGCGUAUAUUCAAUAGAAAAGUUCCUAUGAUAUGAAACAAAUUACAUCUCUUUUCUAAUCCCUCCUCAUAGGAAUUGAGAUACAUGUCAUCUCUAGAUUCAAUAGAAAAGUUCCUAUGAUGUCAACCAAAUGACAUCUCUUUUCCAAUCCCUACUCAUAGGAAUUGAGAUACUCCAUGACAUCUCUUUCCCUACAACCUCCAUGUAUACAUCUUAUAUUCCUAAAUAGCUAGUACAACCCACUAGUAGCUAUUUUCCAAGACAUGCAACUAUGGCACAAGAACUAUAUAGUGUGCGAAUAACUUGAAAGAUGGUCGCUGGAUGAAGCUAAUCCGACAGUGGAGAGAUGGAAAAUCCGAGCAGUACUGGCCAUUGGAUAUCAUCAACAUUCCACCAGAUCUGCCACAUGUACAAUUUAUAAGACUCCAUGGUUGAACUUAAGCAUAAUGCACAAACCUCAAAACACAUGCACUUCUCCUUUGUUCUUGAAUCUUUCGUAUCAUAAUUGAUUUUUUUUUUCUAAAUGAAAUGCCAUUAUUUGUUUUUUACUUUAUGCUUUACAAUGCACAACCCCAUGAAUCUUAACAUUUUUAUAAAACUAAUUGAUUUUGAAUGAGAUGAACUAUAAGAACUAAACGAACAUCUACAUCAUGCAUAUAUGACUCAAAGCUUUACAUGAUAUAGUGUGUAUUUAUUCAUAAUUUGGUUUCAAAAUAUCAUGCGUUCAAUGCAUGUGUACCUCACUAGUUUUGAGUAGAGUAGCAAAUUUCACGCGGCCCCGGGUAUAUCAAAAUGCAGGGCCCAUGCAUCAUUGCCUUUCUGUCGAACCUACGUCCACAAUUUUUUGUACGUACUAUAUCUCCACUGGUCCCCGGACCCAAAAUGCUGCCUCGUUCCCCUAAAACCAAGCGGCCCACACAUAUUUAAGGCGUCGACUCGAACUCAAUCCCUCUCCCGUUUACUAUGAUGUGGCCCCGCAUGCCCUAGUAGUACUCCUACAAACCCUACCGCCGCACACAUCAUCGGUUGAUUUGUAGUGGUGGCGCUUUAAAAAAAAUGAUCUGUAUUGGAGACCCCUACCCUAGGGUGCCCUAGGUAGCUGCCGCACGCAUCAUUGGUUUUCUCUUUUCUUUAUGCUCUUGCGCCCUAGAGUGAAAUGAUGGUUGCUUCGUCCGUCCAGCUUAAUGCGGGAAAGGUGGGGCUUUGUGAUUUGACCCCUCAUCGCUCGUUUUCUACUACUGCGGCACUACGACCGGGGUGCCUCCAAUUCCAACCGCUGCUCCAAACUGUAAUUUGGUGGAUCGCACGUGGAACAAGGCGAUGGAUGAGCCACAUGUUGGCCAAAGGGGUCAUGUUAAGUGUGUCGCCAUUUCGUGUGCGGACUGACCCUGCUUGAGUCGCUACGCCAACACGACAAGUGCAGCCUACCACUUGGUUUUGCUCCUUGGUGAAUCCAGACUAUAUUGAUCUAAAAAUAUACGUACUGAACUACCCUCUCCGUCUCGGUUUUUUUAGACGUCUCGGUUUAUAGGGCAUGCACGUAGUUCUAGGUCAUCCAUUGGACUAACUAAAUCUGAGUUACUAUGUAACAAAAAGUAUAUCAUUGGAUUAUUAAGAGGAUGUAGUUUCUAAACAUAUAUUGUUCAUCACAUAUAUAGCAAGUUAAAUUCUCAACCUAGAACGACGUGCAUGCCAUGUAAACCGAUACGGAGGAAGUAUAGUAGUAAAAAUGAGGUGAUUUUACCGAGCGAUCGGCGGGGGAGCAUGGCAUGUCAUGCGGUCCCAUGUGUCAUGAUGUACCAAGGCGAUGCGCGUGUCCCUCUUGAGGCAGAAGCAAUACUACGUUGUUUGAGAUGAUGGCAAACCGAAGUGUGAAAUAAUGGCUGCUUCGUCGGUCUGGGAAGGUGCGGCAUUGUGAUUUGACGUCUCAUUGCUCAUUACUACUACUACUGGGGCGGUACGACUGGGGUGCGUCCCCCUGCUGUUCCGCACUAUUAUUUGGUGCUUGACACGUCGACCCGGUUGCUAUAUGUCCCACAUGUCGGCGACAGGAAGUAUAAAAUUCAUGAAAGCGAGUGUCGACCAAGGAGUACAAGACACGGCUUGGGUUUUUGCUGCUUCACGCGAUCCACCGAUACAAACCCGGACUAAAAAAAGGUGAGCGCGGGUCUUUUCCCGCGUGGUAGGCAGGGGAGUUUGGCAUAGUCUGUUUGAGGCAAGUAGGCAGGAAGGGAAACAAGCAAAUAAAGGUUCAGCGACUUAGUUUUGGGAAAAUCUGAUUUUACGGAGUACGUACCCUCUAGGGUUUAUAGGGCUCAUCUACAAAACAUUCGUUUUUCCGUUUUAUAAGUCUCAAUUCUACUACUAGUAGUAGUACCAUCACAUGUUGGAUUUCGAGGUGCGUUAGAUCACCCGAUGCAAGCAGUGUCAAUAGAAAACUCACCAAUGCAUGUACAAGUUAAUGGAAAUUUAGUGGUCAUUCAUGCAUUCGUUCUAAUUAAUGCCUCGGUAAACAUUACUUCUUGAGAAAAACGAGCGUACUAAUUACUUGUGCAAACUAGGAGUACGAAAUUAAUUCGACCACUCACCGGCGUACUAAGCAAGCUUCUCCUCGUUCUGCGAGUUGACGGGACACAUCAAAAGUACUCAAGUGUAUAGAGCCUUGCCUCUAAGGUAGGCCCCACAUGGUUUGCCUCUUUUUUAACAUAACGCGUCAAGUCGCAAUUUGUUUGUUCACCCGUGGUAGACGAUCCUCCCUCCAUCUAGCGGACAACCAGUAGACGUGUCAAGUUACCACGUGGGCUGCCUUUUCGUACAGAAAUGAGCUCCACCGUGUACCCACGCGGGUGUGGUUGGGAAAGAGAUGGGAGUACGUGCGCCGUGUGUGCACCUCUUCUCUUCAUGCACGUCCCCGACCUACUGAGACGCGGUACGAGGCGGCGGUGUGGAUGGCAGCAACGACUCCCGUGCACCGCUCCUCGUCGAGCUGGCCUGGAGCGGCGAGUUGCUGAACCGCGCGCCGGCUUGGGGCGGCAACUAGCUCCAUCGGGCGACGGGAGGGAGGUGGAUCAGCGAGCUGCAUAGCUCGUAUCCGGCGGGCUCGGCGGGCCACCCAGCCGGCUUGGAUGUGGAAUAACUACUCUUCGUAAGCCAUUGUAAGAGUGGACAAAAUGGUGAAGGAGGAGAUAGGGGAGCGGCGGAGGUGUGCGAUUCUUGGCCGGCGUUUGGCCUCGUUUAAAUAGGAGAUUAAAUAGACGGCGGAAUGGAGGAGCUCGGCCGGCAUUGCGUUUAAUGCCGGCCCGGUCAUGAACGACGUGUGUCCAAAGUGGGUUUCUCGGCUUCCACGCGGGCGAGUUUCAUGGAGGCGUUUGAAUGCGGCAAGGAGGCCUAUUUAGCCGGGCGUGCAGCGAGUGGCGCCCUCGACUCUGACGUAGGACAGCGCACCGUUCUUCCACUGACGUGUGGGCUCUUUUGGUACAUGGCCUGCAUGUCAGUGACCCAACACAGCUAGCGCAUAGUAGAGGAACCUUUGGUGGGCCAGGGUGGUCAGAAGCGGGCAUUUCAUAAACCGAUGAUUAUUCAUUGAGUGUGACGUCAUCCUUUUCAUGUAGAUAAGCCUACUAUGUUGAUAGCCCGUUCGAUACAUUGUGAUUCAUAAAGACCGCUACAAACAUUAAUGUUCUGCUUAUCACAGAUAAGAUUGAUUAAUACCUGUAACAAUCCAUGUCCUUAACAAAGGGUGCAUGCCCGUAUAGGUUGAGCGUGUGUCUUGCGUCGUGUGCUGUGUGCAUGCAGGUGUGCGAGUGUUGCGUGCGUGCAAGGGUACGUUUCAGUGUUGCAUGCAUGUGUGCGUAUGUGCAUGUGUUCGUGAGUGCAUGUGUACGCGUCAGUGUUGCACGCCUGCAUGCGUGCGUGUGUUCGUUAUGUGUACGUGUGAGUGUUGCACGCCUGCAUGCAUGCGUGUCUUGCAUGCAUGCAUGUGUACGUGUGGGGUGAGGCUACACGUCAGUCGACUGACUUUUUCAUCUCUGGUCAUUAGAUUUUCCAGCCGUUGGAUACGAAAUAAAGGGCCUGCAGUUUAUCAUCAAACUCCACCCCCCUGAGCCGCCAGCCACCAUCGCCAGAACCGCCGGCCCCCGCUGCCUGUGGCCGGCCCGCCCGCCCCGAAACCACUCCUNNNNNNNNNNNNNNNNNNNNNNNNNNNNNNNNNNNNNNNNNNNNNNNNNNNNNNNNNNNNNNNNNNNNNNNNNNNNNNNNNNNNNNNNNNNNNNNNNNNNNNNNNNNNNNNNNNNNNNNNNNNNNNNNNNNNNNNNNNNNNNNNNNNNNNNNNNNNNNNNNNNNNNNNNNNNNNNNNNNNNNNNNNNNNNNNNNNNNNNNNNNNNNNNNNNNNNNNNNNNNNNNNNNNNNNNNNNNNNNNNNNNNNNNNNNNNNNNNNNNNNNNNNNNNNNNNNNNNNNNNNNNNAAUCAACGCACCCCCCACCGCCGGUGUCUGCCAACCAGAUGUCUCACAACUUCGAGUACCCACCGACCACUAAUUUAUUACCAUUUUUGUCCUUCAUAUACGCGCUGACGGGUGGGCCCUAUGGUAAUGUGCGCUGCUGAAUGUGGACCGUUUGACUGGUCAAUUGAUCAUGUCAUCAACAAAUUACGGAGCUGUAUGGUGAGCCAGUGACCGUAUGUGUCACGACCGGUUUUUCAAUAAAAUAAUUAUUGAGAGACCAAUCCCUUUUACGGACCAGUAAGGAAGAAUCCCUUCCCACUGGUAGACAAUAUCUUGGUCACAGAAGAAAAAUACCAGGAGUACUUAAUAUAAUACAAGGUUGAGUGGAGACUGCCCAACAAUUUAUUAUAUGCACGCCAAUAAAACAAGACGGCGGAUAGGGUGGCAUAACUACUAACUCACGAUAAUAACGGUGGUGGAAAUAUCACCGCGAAGCGAGUGAUAUGACUCCUGAAGACUACAGCUCUUCGAGCGUCGAAGCGAGGCUCGAGGAGACUUAUUGCGGGUGGCGGAAGCGUAUAUAAUACAAGUGACCAAUAUCCGGGAUCGCACAGGAUUGACUGGAACUCCUCUAGGCGUCGGACGCGCUAUCAAACUCUUCAUCCAAAAGAUCGCCUUCGUCAACAUCUGGCCAAAACAACAAGCCAGGUGAGUACUAUGAAAGUACUCGCAAGACAGUUCGGACAUAAGAUAUAACAAAUGUAAACAUGAAGCAUAUAAACAAGUUAACCAAUGCGUUCAGACAUAGAGAUAAUAAAUACGGGGUGCCAAACGAGGGUCUGAAAGACUCCUCGAGAGGAAACUGCAAGAAUAGUAAUACUGGUGCCAAACGAGUGUCUGAAUGACUCCUCGAGAGGAAACUGCAGAAUAAUAAUACUGGUGCCAAACGAGUGUCUGAAUGACUCCUCGAGAGGAAACUGCAGAAUAAUAAUACUGGUGCCAAACGAGUGUCUGAAUGACUCCUCGAGAGGAAACUGCAGAAUAAUAAUACUGGUGCCAAACGAGUGUCUGAAUGACUCCUCGAGAGGAAACUGCAAGAAUAAUAAUAAUGCCACAGUCGGACGUCUGAGCGACAUCACAUAAAGGGCUUAUAACAGAAAAUAAAAGACGAACAUGCCACAGUCGGACGUCUGAGCGACAUCACAUAAAGGGCUUAUAAUAGAAAAUAAAAGACGAACAUGCCACAGUCGGACGUCUGAGCGACAUCACAUAAAGGGCUUAUAUUGUAGCUCAAAAAUUCAUUAGCUCAAGAGUAUAAAUUAUCACAAGUACGAGACAAAUAUAAGGUUAGUCCGUCCACAGAAAUAAUAAUUAAACUGGGUUUACCACUAGAGUUUGUUCACCGGGGACAAGUUUUCCACGCAGAUAGAUAUGGAUAUACUGAUUUCACUACUUGAUCAUGGAUACGAUGACUUGGAAGAAUUUGACUCUGCAGAGUUUGUACUUAACCACAGCCAACGGAUUUCAGUAGUCAUGGGGACUAGUUCCGUUUACGGUGUUUUAGAAGAAACACGUCUAACCAGUACACACCCAUUCAACAUUCCGAAGCCAGGGAUCACCCUCGGCAACGUUCAACAAAAACCUUGAGACGGGGAGGCUACAACCUCGCGUAGCAUGGGAUCAAAUUUCUAUACGCGCGCUCUAAGGGGGUGCCCCCCUCUCGGUCCCAACCGGAAACACCCAUGCCCCCUGACCGGAUGACUGGCUUUAAUCCUGGGCCAAGGUACCAUCAUCCCGGGCCCUCUGUUUGGUGUGUACACGGAAAGAGGUUACCAACUUACUAAACCGCAUCUUGGCAAAGAAACACGUGGUAGCACGGAAGGGGAAAAGAACGAUAACGUGACUCCAUCCACGUUAACGUCGGAAGUAGUCCGACGACGCAAGGCUGGUAUGCUACAACAGUACCACCUUGCUGCCCUUCAUGUCACCACAUGAUUAGGCCAUCUCUCACCAGAGAUCAUCGCAACUUUGGAACAUACGGGUGGUUGCCUCGCAAGCAACGGGGAACUCACCGAUACUCAUAUGCCACGCACAAACCUUCGCGCAAACAUGCAAAACACCUAUUCGGAGUCUAGCUCGGCGAAGUUCGCGGCUCCGUCACCUCUUCCGGAACCUACGGCAAUACGAAAACGGGUACUAACGUGAAAACCAACGCGUGGACAGAAACUUCUCCAAAAAAUUUCCAAAUAAAUCCCAUAAAAAACUAGACACAAUUUUAAGACUGUCAGAAAAAGAAUCACUCAAAAAUUACUUUUUAUUAAAAAGUUAUAAAGGUUUCUGUCCAGGGACCCAUCUGUAAUGAAACAGAAAAGUUCCAGGGUUUAAACUGAGAAACCAGAAAAUGGUUCGAUUGGAAAUGCGCAAGCUCAAGAGGGAAAGCGUAUUUGCCCGAAGGCGCCAACAGAAAAUGUUUCGCGUGGGGAAACAGAGGAGAGGCUGACAGGGGGGUCCCACAUGUCAGGUUUAAAAAGCUCGCCGGCGCCCGAAGACUGCGGUGGACGCCGGCGUCGAACCACGGCGAGUCAGGAAGAUCGGAGGGUACCAAGAGCUUCAGCGUGUUCUUCCGCGUCGGUGGGCGGUGGACUCGACCGUCGAAGAGCACCACGUCGACAGCGACACUUUCUCCGGCGGGCGGCGGCUCGGGUGAUGGUGGAGAACUCCGGUGAAGGGCUGCAAACUUCGAAUUGAAGCGCGGUUCAGAAGGAGGGAUGCAUAGUGAAGCUACUGGCAAGAGAUGGGAGGCAGAGGCGCACAGACGGGAGCGAAUCGAGCUGGAUCCCGUGGCGGGCCGCGGCGGCCGGAGUUGAGGAAGGAGACCUCCUCGGGGCUCUUCCAGUGGCUAGGCGUGCUCUAGGUGGAGUGCAGGGAUGGUGUGGGUUCGAGUUGAGGCUCGGGGCCUCUAUUCAUAGGCGGAUCAAUGGGGUGGCCGUGAACAGAGAAUCUCCGGCGAGCAAUUACGGCGAUGCAGUGGAUUGGCAGGAGGUUUGAGUGGCCAGGCAGCAUCAGUGGAGGUUACUGGUGCCAUUCCCGCGCAAAUCUCGGUUGGUCUUGGCGUAAUGGCGCCGGUCCACGGUGGGGUGGCCGCACGGGCACGACGGCGGCAGAGAGCGCGCUCCGCGCCCUGCGGUUCACGACGAGAGUGGCAGCGCGUUCAGGGGAGUGGAAGGCCACGUGGCGAGCUCCGGAGGCUUGGGCGGCGCUGGGUGGCGCCGUCGGCGCCGCGCCUCUCUCUGGCGGCCGCAAAGCCGCCGCUGGCGUCGGUCACGGGGCGGCGCACCUUCUGCUGCUCGUCGCCGACGUCCGCAAGGUGCCAGAUGUUCGUGCGGUGCAGAGGACAAGGGGGAGGGGACAGGGCACACUGCGACACGGCGGCACUGGCGAGAUCGACGUCGGGUUCUGAAGAAAACGACAGUGCACUGAAACUGUUCUCUGAACUUAACUGAACUUGAUAUUGACAAUGCACUGCAGGUGUUCGACAGAAUGAUUUGGCAAUGAGAAUUUUUUUUUCUGGAGCUGGUACUUGGUGAGGUGACCACUCAAUGCACCCAGAGGCUGCCUGAUUUUACUUGGAAUUUUUGGAGGAAGAUUUGAAUGAAUUUCACCAAAUUUGACAAAUCUGGUCCAAACUUGCAGCAAGUGUAGUUUGAAAAAUUUGAACUGAAGACCAGUGGAUCUUCAUGGAUCUUGGUUGAGGGUUCAGAGGACUAGGAAGGGAAAAAGGUUUGGGGGCAAAAAUCCAAACAGAAAGUGGAGUUCCUUUGUAAAUCACCAAUGGCUAGAAUAGAAGACAGAAAUUUGUUUGAAUAUGAUUUGAAUGGAAAAAUAAUCAUAUGGGGAGGUUCAACUUGCUGGAUUUGAUGCAAAACAUGAUCCAAAGGUGAGGGAAGGUUUAGGAGAGUGGAUUUGCACUAAGGCCAUGGCAAGAGAGAAAAGUUGAAAGUGGUAAAGGAUUAUUCCAAAAGCCAUAGUGCAUUUUCAAAGAGAUUUUCAAAAGGUAUUUUUCUCAAGUGAAAAGUAUUUUGUCUUGAGUUCAAAUAAAAAGGCAAGGACCUCCAAGACCAAAAGCAACUCUUGGGUGAAUCCAAAUAAAACUCUUGUUAUGAGAAAAAUAUUUGAAAGGGAGGGUCCCUUGAAGAAAAUAAUUUUUUAAUUCACCUCCCUCAAGUCAAAUAAACUCUUUUGAAAAUCCAAAUAAAACUUGGGUGUCACAACACCUAUCCCCUUAGGAAAAAUCUCAUCCUCGAGAUUUCUGCUGAUCCUCAAAUAGAUAUGGAUAUUCUGCCUGAAGAAAAUUUUCCCUUUCCCAUGUGGCUUUAUCCUCAGUGUGGUUGCUCCACUGAACUCUGAAAAACUUUGUUGUUUUCUGACGGGUCCUCCGUUCAGACUCUUCUAAAAUAUUUACUGGCCUCUCUCUGUAGGUGAGGUCUGGAUGCACAUCAAUGCUUUCAUGGGGUACAUGCUUCUCCGGGUUACUCACACAUUUUCUUAGUUGAGAGACGUGAAAUACGUCAUGGACGUCUGAUAGCUCCUUGGGUAGAUCUAGUUGGUAGGCUACCGUGCCUCUUCGUGCCUUUACACAAAAUGGUCCAAUAAAUCUUGGGGCUGGCUUCCCCUUAAUUUUGAACCGUUGUAGACCCCUCAUAGGAGACACUCGGAGGUAUACGGAAUCACCGGGUUCAAAGCUGACCUCACGAUGCUUUUGAUCAUAGUAGCUCUUUUGUCGGCUCUGCGCUGUCUUCAGUCUGUCCCUGAUUUGCUUAACUUUCUCCUCGGCCUAUUUAAGCAUGUUGGGCCGAAGAUACGGCUGUCACCUGUUUCUGACCAAUUCAGGGGGGUACGACACCUCCGUCCGUACAAUGCUUCAAAGGGUGCCAUUUGCAAGCUGGCUUGGUAACUGUUGUUGUAAGCAAAUUCGGCAUACGGUAGACUCUCUUCCCAAUUGGAUCCAUAGGUGAGCACACAGGCUCUUAGCAUAUCUUCUAGGAUUUGGUUUACACGUUCCGUUUGUCCAUCAGUCUGAGGGUGGUACGCUGUACUGAAAGCUAGUUGCGUGCCCCGAGCUUGUUGUAGGUGAUCCCAAAAUUUGGAGACAAAUUGUGUGCCUCGGUCGGAUAUUAUAGUCUUUGGGACUCCAUGCAAACAAACUAUACGGGAGAGAUAAAGUUUGGCCAGCCUUUGUGUGGAGUAGGUAGUCUUCACGGGAAUGAAAUGAGCAACCUUGGUUAGUCGGUCUGUGAUGACCCAUAUGGCGUCAUUUCCGCGUUGUGAUCGGGGUAAUCCGACAAUGAAGUCCAUUCCUAUUUCAUCCCAUUUCCACUCCGGUAUCCUGUUUGGCUGGAGUAGCCCUGCUGGCUUUUGAUGCUCGGCCUUGAUGCGCUGACAUGAAUCGCAACAAGCAAUAAAUGUGGCUAUAUCUCUUUUCUUACCGUGCCACCAAAAUCUUUCCUGAAUGUCCUUGUACAUUUUGGUUCCUCCAGGGUGGAUAGAGUAUGGAGCGGUGUGGCUUUCGGUUAAGAUUUGUUGCUUGAGUUCCUCAAUGUUAGGUACGCAAAGUCUGUCUCCGUACCAUAAUGUCCCUUCACUGUCUGUGAUGAACUCUGAAGCCUUACCAAGGUCCAUUUUCUUCUUUAUGCCUUCGAUGCUGGGAUGUCCCUGUUGAGCCUUCUUAAUUUGUUCCACCAGGGUGGGUUGUAUCUCCAGAUUUGAUACGGUGCCCUCAGAGACUAACAUCAUAUUGAGCCUAGCGAACUCUUGCUGAAACUCAGGCCUGAAGUUUUGUGGACCGUCAUUGUCUGGGCUGGGGUUUCGACUAAGGGCAUCAGCCACUACAUUUGCUUUCCCUGGAUGGUAGUGAAUACCGACAUCAUAGUCCUUGACCAGUUCUAACCAGCCUCGUUGGCGUAAAUUUAGCUCCGGCUGUGUGAAAAUAUAUUUGAGGCUCUUAUGGUCUGUAUAUAUUUCACAGCGAUUUCCCAACAGAAAGUGCCUCCACUCCUUGAGUGCAUGAAUAACUGCUGCUAUCUCCAAGUCAUGUGUUGGGUAAUUUUCCUCAUGUUUUCGCAGCUGCCUGGAGGCAUAUGCGACAACUUUUCCAUCCUGCAUUAGUACACAUCCGAGACCUUUUCGGGAUGCGUCACAAUAUACUUCAAAACUCUUGUGUAUGUCUGGCACAGUUAAGACCGGUGCGGUUGUCAGCUUAUUCUUGAGUUCUUGGAAGCUUUUCUCGCAUGCUUCCGUCCAUACAAAUUUCUUGUCUUUCUUGAGCAACUGUGUUAUAGGUUUUGCCACAGUGGAGAAUCCUUCAAUAAAUCUUCUGUAAUAUCCGGCCAUUCCUAGGAAACUCCGCACAUCUGUAACGUUGGCGGUGGCUUCCAGUCAAGUAUGGCUUUGACUUUUUCUGGGUCUACGGCCACGCCUUCUUGGUUCAAUAUAUGGCCUAAGAAACCAACUCGUCUUAGCCAAAAUUCGCACUUGCUAAAUUUGGCGUACAACUGAUGUUUCCUUAAUUCUCCCAAAACAAUUCUGAGGUGCUCAGCAUGCUCUUCGGGUGUCCUUGAGUAAACCAGAAUAUCGUCAAUGAAUACCACGACAAAUUUGUCCAUGAAUUUCAUAAACACUUUGUUCAUGAGGUGGACGAAAUAUGCGGGGGCGUUUGUUAGACCAAAAGGCAUCACUGUGAACUCAUAUAAUCCAUAUCUGGAAGUGAAUGCUGUCUUGGGGAUAUCUUCUGUCCGUACUUUCAAUUGGUGAUAUCCCGAUCUCAAAUCAAUCUUUGAGAACACCUUGGCUUGUGCGAGCUGGUCAAACAAAUCAUUUAUCCGUGGCAUCGGAUAUUUGUUUUUGAUGUUGACCAUAUUGAGGGCUCGAUAGUCUAUACACAGUCUCAGUGUCCCAUCCUUUUUCUUGGCGAACAACACUGGCGAACCCCAAGGUGAGGAGCUGGCUCGAAUAAAUCCUUUGUCCAACAAUUCCUUUAUCUGCUUCUUUAACUCCACUAAUUCUGAGGGUGCCAUUCUAUAAGGCUUCUUAUAGAUGGGAGUGGUGCCAGGUGCUAGUUCGAUGCUGAACUCUAUCUCUCGGUCUGGUGGCAUGCCUGGCAGUUCUUCAGGGAACACAUCAGGAAACUCGCAUACCACUGGAACUUUUCUAAGUUCAGAAAUGCCCACUUUGUUCAGUUUUGGUUGUUGUGUUCGUGGCCUUUCUUGAGCUGUGACCUUAAUGGUCUUGCCAUGAUGGUGGGUGAGAAUCACGGUCCGAUUGAAACAGUCAAUGAAUCCUUUGUUGGUGGUCAACCAGUCCAUUCCUAAAAUGACAUCCAGUCCUUUACUCUCCAACACGAUGAGAUUUGCUUGGAAUUGUAGUCCUUCGAACUCAAUGACCACUCCUUGGCAGUAACCCUGAGCAAUUUGCUUAUUUCCGGGGGACUUGAUGAUCAUAUAUUUUUCCAAGGAAGUAUCGGAAAACCAUGUUGUAAAACAAAACUCUUCGAAACGAACGAAUGGGAAGCUCCAGAAUCAAACAAAACUGUGGCAGGUACUGUGUUGACAGGGAACGUACCGAGCACGAUGUCUGGGGCAUUCUGCGCCUCUUCCCUGGUCACAUGGUUCAGGUGACCCUUCUUGUGGUUGUUGUUGGGAUUGAAAUUGUUGCGCUUGGGGGCUGGAUUGUGUCCACCAUUGUUUGGUUUGGGGGCCGCGUUCCUCGGCUUUGGGCAUUGUUUAGCAUAGUGCCCUUCUUGCCCACAAGCAUAGCAUGUGACCCCUGGACGGUACGUGAACUCUCUGUCCCUGGCAUGAAACUGUCCGACGGGCCUUGGAUCGGUAGUCGUGGAUUUCCUUGCUCCUGUCCUUGGAACCUCAGUCUUGCUUCGGUUGUUGCGAGAAAGAGUCGUCUUGUCCCUCUUUCGCUUACGGAUAUCUUCAAGACUACGGCGCUCAUUCUCCAAGGUAAUGGCCUUGUCCACCAGAGUCUUAAAGUCCGGAAAGGUGUGUACAAUCAGUUGGCAUCUUAGUGCUGGUGCCAGGCCGUCCAGGAAUUUUUCCAUCUUCUUGUUUUCUGUCAUGUGCUCGUCGUAGGCAUAACAAUAUAGCUGAGUAAACUGACCAUUGUAUUCUGUCACUGACAUGCCUCUCUGCUUCAGGUCAUCAAACUUUGUCUUCUUGAUUUUUAUGAUGCUCCUGGGGAUGUGUGCCCCACGGAAGCCUUCUUUGAACUCUUCCCAGGUGAUGUUGUGUUCACUGGGGUGCAUGUGUAGGAAGUUUUCCCACCAUGCUGCAGCUGCUCCAGUGAGGUGGUGUGGUGCAUAAAGUACCUUCUCGUGAUCUGAACACUGAGCAAUAAUUAGUUUCCUUUCAAUGUCACGAAGCCAAUCAUCGGCUUCCAGCGGCCUAUCAGUGUGAGCAAAAGUUGAUGGGCGAGUCUUCUGUAGCUCAGAUAUCUUGGAAUGCGGUUGAUAGGGUUCGCGGUGGUUUCCCAUAUUGAUGACAUGAUUCAUCAUCUCUUGGUGCUGUUGCUGGCUUUGCUCGAAGAGACGGCAUACUUGAGACAGGGCUGCUUCGCUGUCUUGUUGACUGGACUGACCCUGAGUGAAAUUGUUGCUACUCUGUGUCCCAUAAACCUUUUCUGGUUGAUUGGGCAUGGAGCGAGUCCACGGACGAGACAUUUUUCCAGUCUGGGGUAUUAUUUUGCAAAACCCAUGAGAAAAACAGUGUAGUACCAUGAAAAACUUGCAAGGCAACAACUUAAAAGACCUCAAGGUUUUCAAGGAAAACAUAAGCGGUUUUUCAUGUAGAAAAGACUGCUUAACACAAAUCUUACACGCGAAUUACAAACACAUGAUACAGCACUCAGGAUGCGCGUACGCAUUCCUGACAUGUUAUUUAGACUAGCGCACUCCUCCGGAAAGCGGCAAACACAACAAUACAAACUAGCGUACAGAGGAAACACACCAUACAAGCAGACAUAACGCGCGGCUACUCGGCGCUCUCAGUCGGAGAUGGUGAAGAUUUCCUUCCCUUUGCCGAUGGCAAGACUCAGCGGUCCAGGAGAAUCAACCUCCACCUCCUCUCUAGCUGGCUCCUGGCGCGUAACGCUGCGCUGCGGUGAUGGUGUGGGUACGACGGGUGGUAGAGCGGGUGCGGCAGGCGGUGCAGCUCUGACUGGAGUAGGGCGAUGACUCGGUCGAACUCCUUAGUGGUAGGCAGACGGCGAGCGGUGGCCAAAACGGCCGGUGCAUAAGAGGCUGAAGACGAGACGAAAGUCAGAGGCGGUGCCGUGUGGAGAAGCUCCUUCCUGCUGGCAGGACCGCCCCGGACUAAGUCCAUGUGGGCAGCCACGAGAUCGUCUACGAGGUUGUCGAAAGACUCCUCCAGAGCCUUGAGAUACUCCACAACCAUCUCGAUGGCUUCAUCUCGCUCUCCCCGAUGGCAGGCGAAUGCAUAGUGACUGGUGUAAGGCACAUGGCAUGGGAGGUAGCAGUAGCGACGAGUCUUCAUCGUUGGAAGGAUGUCCCGAAGACGAGCUAUCGCCUCACGGGCAGCCAUCUGCAUAGCAUGCCUCUCCGUAGGCAUGGCCCUUCCCACAAAACGGAAGUGGCGAGCUGCAGAACGUCCUCCCUUGAAUUGCACCACAGCUUGGUGCAUAGACACGUCGUCGCUGAGCUUGUGCUGAUAGAGCAUGAACUCCGGGCGGGCUGCUGGCCCGAUCGCGAGCUUGGUCAUGGAGACGAGGAGCUUCACAAACCCCUCGGGCACGUUCGUGAACACUCGAUUCUCAUAGCUACUGCCAGCCAUCUACAAAAGUAGGCAAAAAUUCUGAGUAGUCAUGUCAUAAAUUUAUGAUGACCAACAGAAAAUAGCUACAAUUUGCAAAAUGCUGAAAAAGCACAAAAGACGCUAAUAACCGAUUAGCGAUCGCUCCUAGUGGCUUCCUACAGUCAGCCUGGCUCUGAUACCAAGCUUGUCACGACCGGUUUUUCAAUAAAAUAAUUAUUGAGAGACCAAUCCCUUUUACGGACGAGUAAGGAAGAAUCCCUUCCCACUGGUAGACAAUAUCUUGGUCACAGAAGAAAAAUACCAGGAGUACUGAAUAUAAUACAAGGUUGAGUGGAGACUGCCCAACAAUUUAUUACAUGCACGCCAAUAAAACAAGACGGCGGAUAGGGUGGCAUAACUACUAACUCACGAUAAUAACGGUGGUGGAAAUAUCACCGCGAAGCGAGUGAUAUGACUCCUGAAGACUACAGCUCUUCGAGCGUCGAAGCGAGGCUCGAGGAGACUUAUUGCGGGUGGCGGAAGCGUAUAUAAUACAAGUGACCAAUAUACGGGAUCGCACAGGACUGACUGGGACUCCUCUAGGCGUCGGACGCGCUAUCAAACUCUUCAUCCAAAAGAUCGCCUUCGUCAACAUCUGGCCAAAACAACAAGCUAGGUGAGUACUAUGAAAGUACUCGCAAGACAGUUCGGACAUAAGAUAUAACAAAUGUAAACAUGAAGCAUAUAAACAAGUUAACCAAUGCGUUCAGACAUAGAGAUAAUAAAUACGGGGUGCCAAACGAGGGUCUGAAAGACUCCUCGAGAGGAAACUGCAAGAAUAGUAAUACUGGUGCCAAACGAGUGUCUGAAUGACUCCUCGAGAGGGAACUGCAGAAUAAUAAUACUGGUGCCAAACGAGUGUCUGAAUGACUCCUCGAGAGGAAACUGCAGAAUAAUAAUAAUGGUGCCAAACGAGUGUCUGAAUGACUCCUCGAGAGGAAACUCCAGAAUAAUAAUACUGGUGCCAAACAAGUGUCUGAAUGACUCCUCGAGAGGAAACUGCAAGAAUAAUAAUAAUGCCAUAGUCGGACGUCUGAGCGACAUCACAUAAAGGGCUUAUAACAGAAAAUAAAAGACGAACAUGCCACAGUUGGACGUCUGAGCGACAUCACAUAAAGGGCUUAUAACAGAAAAUAAAAGACGGACAUGCCACAGUCGGACGUCUGAGCGACAUCACAUAAAGGGCUUAUAUUGUAGCUCAAAAAUUCAUUAGCUCAAGAGUAUAAAUUAUCACAAGUACGAGACAAAUAUAAGGUUAGUCCAUCCACAGAAAUAAUAAUUAAAUUGGGUUUACCACUAGAGUUUGUUCACCGGGGACAAGUUUCCCACGCAGAUAGAUAUGGAUAUACUGAUUUCACUACUUGAUCAUGGAUACAAUGACUUGGAAGAAUUUGACCCUGCAGAGUUUGUACUUAACCACAGCCAACGGAUUUCAGUAGUCACGGGGACUAGUUCCGUUUACGGUGUUUUGGGAGAAACACGUCUAACCAGUACACACCCAUUCAACAUUCCGAAGCCAGGGAUCACCCUCGGCAACGUUCAAGAAAAACCUUGAGACGGGGAGGCUACAACCUCGCGUAGCAUGGGAUCAAAUUUCUAUACGCGCGCUCUAAGGGGGUGCCCCCCUCUCGGUCCCAACAGGAAACACCCAUGCCCCCUGACCGGAUGACUAGCAUUAAUCCUGGGCCAAGGUACCAUCAUCCCGGCCCCUCUGUUUGGUGUGUACACGGAAAGAGGUUACCAACUUACUAAACCGCAUCUUGGCAAAGAAACACGUGGUAGCACGGAAGGGGAAAAGAACGAUAACGUGACUCCGUCCACGUUAACGUCGGAAGUAGUCGGAUGACGCAAGGCUGGUAUGCUACAACAGUACCACCUUGCUGCCCUUCAUGUCACCACAUGAUUAGGCCAUCUCUCACCAGAGAUCAUCGCAACUUUGGAACAUACGGGUGGUUGCCUCGCAAGCAACGGGGAACUCACCGAUACUCAUAUGCCACGCACAAACCUUCAUGCAAACAUGCAAAACACCUAUCAUAUCAAAGGUUCAAACAUGCUUGCCUGGUUCGGGGAAGUCGGAGUCUAGCUCGGCGAAGUUCGCGGCUCCGUCACUUCUUCUGAAACCUACGGCAAUACGAAAACGGGUACUAACGUGAAAACCAACGCGUGCACAGAAACUUCUCCAAAAAAUUUCCAAAUAAAUCCCAUAAAAAACUAGACAAAAUUUUAAGACUGUCAGAAAAAGAAUCACUCAAAAAUUCCUUUAUAUUAAAAAGUUAUAAAGGUUUCUGUCCAGGGACCCAUCUGUAAUGAAACAGAAAAGUUCCAGGGUUUAAACUGAGAAACCAGAAAACGGUUCGAUUGGAAAUGCGCAAGCUCAAGAGGGAAAGCGUAUUUGCCCGAAGGCGCCAACAGAAAAUGUUUCGCGUGGGGAAACAGAGGAGAGGCUGACAGGGGGUUCCCACAUGUCAGGUUUAAAAAGCUCGCCGGCGCCCGAAGACUGCGGUGGACGCCGGCGUCGAACCACGGCGAGUCAGGAAGAUCGGAGGGUACCAAGAGCUUCAGUGUGUUCUUCCGCGUCGGUGGGUGGUGGACUCGACCGUCGGAGAGCACCACGUCGACAACGACACUUUCUCCGGCGGGCGGCGGCUCGGGUGAUGGUGGAGAACUCCGGUGAAGGGCUGCAAACUUCGAAUUGAAGCGCGGGUCAGAAGGAGGGAUGCAUAGUGAAGCUACUGGCAAGAGAUGGGAGGCAGAGGAGCACAGACGGGAGCGAAUCGAGCUGGAUCCCGUGGCGGGCCGCGGCGCCGGAGUCGAGGAAGGAGACCUCCUCGAGGCUCUUCCAGUGGCUAGGCGUGCUCUAGGUGGAGUGCAGGGAUGGUGUGGGUUCGAGUUGAGGCUCGGGGCCUAUAUUCAUAGGCGGAUCGAUGGGGUGGCCGUGAACAGAGAAUCUCCGGCGAGCAAUUACGGCAUUGCAGUGGAUAUGCAGGAGGUUUGAGUGGCCAGGCAGCAUCAGUGGAGGUUACUGGUGCCAUUCCCCCGCAAAUCUCGGUUGGUCUUGGCGUAAUGGCGCCGGUCCACGGUGGGGUGGCCGCACGGGCACGACGGCGGCAGAGAGCGCGCUCCACGCCCUGCGGUUCACGACGAGAGUGGCAGCGCGUUCGGGGGAGUGGAAGGCCACGCGGCGAGCUCCGGAGGCUUGGGCGGCGCUGGGUGGCGCCGUCGGCGCCGCGCCUCUCUCUGGCGGCCGCAAAGCCGCCGCUGGCGUCGGUCACGGGGCGGCGCACCUUCUGCUGCUCGUCGCCGACGUCCGCAAGGUGCCAGAUGUUCGUGCGGUGCAGAGGACAAGGGGGAGGGGACAGGGCACACUGCGACACGGCGGCACUGGCGAGAUCGACGUCGGGUUCUGAAGAAAACGACAGUGCACUAAAACUGUUCUCUGAACUUAACUGAACUUGAUAUUGACAAUGCACUGCAGGUGUUCGACAGAAUGAUUUGGCAAUGAGAAAAAUUUUCUGGAGCUGGUACUUGGUGAGGUGACCACUCAAUGCACCCAGAGGCUGCCUGAUUUUACUUGGAAUUUUUGGAGGAAGAUUUGAAUGAAUUUCACCAAAUUUGACAAAUCUGGUCCAAACUUGCAGCAAGUGUAGUUUGAAAAAUUUGAACUGAAGACCAGUGGAUCUUCAUGGAUCUUGGUUGAGGGUUCAGAGGACUAGGAAGGGAAAAAGGUUUGGGGGCAAAAAUCCAAACAGAAAGUGGAGUUCCUUUGUAAAUCACCAAUGGCUAGAAUAGAAGACAGAAAUUUGUUUGAUUAUGAUUUGAAUGGAAAAAUAAUCAUAUGGGGAGGUUCAAAUUGCUGGAUUUGAUGCAAAACAUGAUCCAAAGGUGAGGGAAGGUUUAGGAGAGUGGAUUUUCACUAAGGCCAUGGCAAGAGAGAAAAGUUGAAAGUGGUAAAGGAUUAUUCCAAAAGCCAUAGUGCAUUUUCAAAGAGAUUUUCAAAAGGUAUUUUUCUCAAGUGAAAAGUAUUUUGUCUUGAGUUCAAAUAAAAAGGCAAGGACCUCCAAGACCAAAAGCAAGUCUUGGGUGACUCCAAAUAAAACUCUUGUUAUGAGAAAAAUAUUUGAAAGGGAGGGUCCCUUGAAGAAAAUAAUUUUUUAAUUCACCUCCCUCAAGUCAAAUAAAAUCUUUUGAAAAUCCAAAUAAAACUUAGGUGUCACAGUAUGAUCACCCUAAAAUGUACUCCCUAUUUUAUUAACACAGUACAGACUCAAACUACCAUUUCUUUCUUUCAUAUACGGGCUGACAGGUGGGCCCCACGGUUACGCGCCCCAAUGGUGCAACACUAGUUGCGCCACGUGGAACGUUUGACUGGUCAAUUGAUUGUGUCAUCAACAAAAUACGAAGUUGUACGGGUGAGCCAGUGACCGUAUAAUCAUGACAUGUAUUUUUUUAACAUGGUACAGACGCAAGGGCUCACAUAUACGCGCAAGCACUCACCGCUAUAAGCGCACACACGCAGACCCUACCCCUAUGAGCACCUUCAUGAGAGUGGGCCAGCAUAUGAUCUUGAGAUUUUACGAAGUCACCAUAGGUGCCUCGUGGUCGAGUGGAACGUCUCCUCCCACUGAACGCACAUCGCCGGAAAAUACUGAAAUUAACCUAGGAUAAAUGUGAGCACCUGGACCUUAUCCCUGAUGGGCUCGAGAAACCACUGUCCUCCUAACCAUCCAACCACAUGUUGGUUAGCAGGACAAAAUGUAUGUGGUGAUCGUGAUGAGCUUAUUCUGAAGUCCAGUGACCAUAUCGUGCUUUCGCUUCAAAUACAAUGACCGUAAGUGUCGUCAACAAAAUACGGAGCCCGCAUCAAAUGCAAAGUCCGUCAGUGUCAUCAAGAAAAUACGGAGACGUAUCGUGAGCUAGAUACCGUAUGAUCACCACGAGAAUGUAUACGGUAACCGUAGUGAGCACAUUCUGAACUCCAGUGACCGUAUAGUGCUUUAGCUUGAAAUACAGUGACCGUCAUGCGUGAAUGUGUCGUGGGCAUGCAUACUUUUAGAGGGCUGAGAGAUAGUUUGUGUGCGUACGUGAAAGUGGUGUAGAAAGAGGGGAUGUCUGAUACGUCUCCAACGUAUCUAUAAUUUUUUAUUGUUCCAUGCUAUUAUAUUAUCUGUUUUGGAUGUUUAAGGGCUUUAUUUUACACUUUUAUAUUAUUUUUGGGACUACCCUAUUAAACCAGAGCCCAGUGCCAGUUCCUGUUUUUUCCCUUGUUUCAGUGUUUCGAAGAAAAGGAAUAUCAAACCGAGUCCAAACGGAAUGAAACCUUCAGGAGAGUUAUUUUUGGAACGGAAGCAAUCCAGGAGACUUGGAGUGUACGUCAGGGAAGCAACGAGGUGGCCACGAGGCAGGGAGGCGCGCCUGCCCCACCUGGGCGCGCCCCCACCCUCGUGGGCCCCUCAUGGCUCCCCUGACCGACUUCUUUCGCCUAUAUAUAUCCAUAUACCCUAAAAACUUUGGGGGACAGAAUAGAUCGGGAGUUCCGUCGCCGCAAGCCUCUGUAGCCACCAAAAACCAAUCGGGACCCUGUUCCGGCACCCUGCCGGAGGGGGGAACCCUCACCGGUGGCCAUCUUCAUCAUCCCGGCGCUAUCCAUGACGAGGAGGGAGUAGUUCACCCUCGGGGCUGAGGGUAUGUACCAGUAGCUAUGUGUUUGAUCUCUCUCUCUCUCUCGUGUUCUUGAGGUGAUACUAUCUUGAUGUAUCGCGAGCUUUGCUAUUAUAGUUGGAUCUCAUGAUGUUUCUCCCCCUCUACUCUCUUGUAAUGGAUUGAGUUUUCCCUUUAAAGUUAUCUUAUCGGAUUGAGUCUUUAAGGAUUUGAGAACACUUGAUGUAUGUCUUGCAUGUGCUUAUCUGUGGUGACAAUGGGAUAUCACGUGAUUCACUUGAUGUAUGUUUUGGUGAUCAACUUGCGGGUUCCGCCCAUGAACCUAUGCAUAGGGGUUGGCACACGUUUUCGUCUUGACUCUCCGGUAGAAACUUUGGGGCACUCUUUGAAGUUCUUUGUGUUGGUUGAAUAGAUGAAUCUGAGAUUGUGUGAUGCAUAUCGUAUAAUCAUACCCACGGAUACAUGAGGUGACAUUGGAGUAUCUAGGUGACAUUAGGGUUUUGGUUGAUUUGUGUCUGAAGGUAUUAUUCUAGUACGAACUCUAUGAUAGAUCGAACGGAAAGAAUAGCUUCAUGUUAUUUUACUACGGACUCUUGAAUAGAUCGACCCGAAAGGAUAACUUUGAGGUGGUUUCGUACCCUACCAUAAUCUCUUCGAUUGUUCUCCGCUAUUAGUGACUUUGGAGUGACUCUUUGUUGCAUGUUGAGGGAUAGUUAUAUGAUCCAGUUACGUUAUUAUUGUUGAGAGAACUUGCACUAGUGAAAGUAUGAACCCUAGGCCUUGUUUCCUAGCAUUGCAAUACCGUUUGUGCUCACUUUUAUCAUUAGCUAGCUUGCUGUUUUUAUAUUUUCAGAUUACGAAAACCUAUAUCUAUCAUCCAUAUUGCACUUGUAUCACCAUCUCUUCGCCGAACUAGUGCACCUAUACAAUUUACCAUUGUAUUGGGUGUGUUGGGGACACAAGAGACUCUUUGUUAUUUGGUUUCAGGGUUGUUUGAGAGAGACCAUCUUCAUCCUACGCCUCCCACCGAUUGACAAACCUUAGGUCAUCCACUUGAGGGAAAUUUGCUACUGUCCUACAAACCUCUGCACUUGGAGGCCCAACAACGUCUACAAGAAGAAGGUUGUGUAGUAGACAUCAAGCUCUUUUCUGGCGCCGUUGCCGGGGAGGUGAGUGCUUGAAGGUAUAUCUUUAGAUCUUGCAAUCGAAUCUUCUAGUUUCUUGUUUUAUCACUAGUUUAGUCUAUAAAAGAAAACUACAAAAAAUGGAAUUAAGUUUGCCUCAUACGCUUCAUCUUUUUAAUAUCUUUUGUGAGUAUGAUGGAAAGGAAAAUUGUGCCAAAGUGUUAGAAGAAGAAUGCAUUAAAAUGUUUGGCACUAAAUCUUUGAAUGAUGAGCAUUAUUGCAAUGUUGUUAGUAUGAACUCUUUGAAUAUCCAUAGUACUAAUGAUGAUUGCACUAGUCAUGAUGAGAAUGUCUCUUAUAAGCAUGUCGAUUUUUGUGGAGUGCAUAGAGCUUGCAAGUAGACACCAAUUAGGGAAAAUAGAUUUUGCAGGAGGCAUAAGUAUUUGGACACUAAAUGGUUGCAAGAAAGGCUAGAUGUUUGUGCUGACAAUUUAAACUUUCUUAGCCGUACUUGUGAACUUUGCAAUGAACAUGGUCAUUUAACUAUCCGAUGCAAAUUGUUUCAUGAUCUAAUCGUUUCCAAAAAUUGUGAUGACUUGAUUUCCCUUGCACAUCAUAAUGAACUUAGUUUGCUUAUGGGUUAUGAAGAAAUAAACGUAUAACUAAGUAUCUUCCAGUAUUUGCCCGUGAUAAACUUCUUGAUUUUGAUCUAGAGGAAAUUUAUAUGUAUUGUGCAGUGAAUUGCAUUGAAAAUCCUUAUAUUGCCAAUUACAUAAAGAAAAGAAAGCAAGUAGAAGAUGAAGAGAACACUAAUGAAAGGGAAGAGACUUCCCAUUAUCCUCCUAUUAUUUCUUAUGAUGAAUCAGGUAAUGAGGAGGAGCUUUCUAUUCAACCAAUCUCAUCAAUAAGGAGCUAAAAAAAGAGGGAUAACCCCGCACAUGAUGUGAAGAAGAAAAAGAAAAAAUGGAGAAGCAAUGGUAAAAAGGUAUCCCUCCCAAAUGAUGUUGCUCCUACUACUCAUUGUGAUGAUGAUAAUUGCUAUGCUAUUGGUGCUAUCCAUACUAUUAAUAAUGAGAGUGAUUCUGCUUAUGAUAUGAAAAGGCCCAAGCUUGGGGAUGCUAUGUUUGAUGAGGAUGACACAUUUGAGAAUAUAUUUGUUGAAAUUAAUGUUUGUCCCAAACUUGGGGAUGCUACGUUUAAUGAAGAUGAUAUUUUUAGCCUCCCAAGUUUUGAUGCAAAUUUAUAAUGAUGAAAGCAUGCCUCCUACUUAUGAUGAUUAUAUUGAUGAAAGUGGGUUUGGAAGAGUGUCAACUUUAGGAAGUAGUGAUCCCACUAUUUUGGAGGAUGUUGAAUCUUAUUGUGAUAAUUAUGAAAGUGGAUUUGGAGAUGUCAUGACUUUAUUUAGUGAUGAAUCCACUAUUUCGGAAGAGGUUUCAAUUGAUUAUGAUGAGAACAAAGUUGCUACUUAUGAUGAUUAUUGUGAUGAAACUUAUGCUAUAAAGAGUAGUGAUGAUUAUAUUUAUAAAACUUGUCAUGAUUAUGAUUACCCUUUUUCUGAACGUUACUCAUUUAAUGUGGAAACAAUUUAUAGUAUUCGAGUCUCUUAUGAUACUCUCACUGUUCCGAAUGAGAAGAAUUUUGCUUAUGUGGAGAGUAGUAAAUUUUCUAUGCAAGUAGAUCAUGAAUAGAAUGCUUUAGGUGCUGGUUAUAUUAUUGAAUUCAUUCAUGAUGCUACUGAAAAUUAUUAUGAGGGAGGAAUAUAUGCUUGUAGGAAUUGCAAUAAUAUCAAGUUUCCUCUCUAUGUGCUUAAAGUUUUAAAGAUAUGCUUGUUUUGCCUUCCUAUGCUAGUUGAUUAUUGUUCCCAUAAGUUGUUUGCUCACAAAAUCCCUAUGCAUAGGAAGUGGGUUAGACUUAAAUGUGCUAGUCAUAUUCUUCAUGAUGCUCUCUUUAUGUUUCAAUUCUUAUCUUUUAUGUGACCAUCAUUGAAAUCAUCGUGCCUAGCUAGGGGCGUUAAACUUUAGCGCUUGUUGGGAGGCAACCCAAUUUUAUUUUAGUUUCGUGAUUUUUGGUUCUGUUUAGUAAUAAAUAAUCCAUCUAGCCUCUAGUUAGAUGUGGUUUUAUGUUUUAAUUAGUGUUUGUGCCAAGUAGAACCUUCGGGAAGACUUGGGUGAAGUCUUUAUGAUCUUGCUGUAAAAAACAAAAACUUUAGCGCUCACAAGAUUAGCUAAAACUUUUUUACUGGAGAGAGAUAUUUAGUUGAUUAUUUUUGCAGAUGAUUACUAGACAAAUUCCUUAGGUCCACCAAUUUAUUUCAGAAUUUGUGGAGUUACAUAAGUAUUCGAAUGAUACAGAAUACUACAGACUGUUCUGUUUUUGAUAGAUUCUGUUUUCAUUGUGUUGUUUGCUUAUUUUGAUGAAUUUAUGAGUAGUAUCGGAGGGUAUGAACCAUAGAGAAGUUGGAAUACAGUAGACAUUACACCAAUAUGAAUUUAGAAGUUCACAACAGUACCUAAGUGGUGAUUUAUUUUCUUAUACUAACGGAGCUUACGAGUUUUCUGUUGAGUUUUGUGUUGUGAAGUUUUCAAGUUUUGGGUAAAGAUUCGAUGGACUAUGGAAUAAGGAGUGGCAAGAGCCUAUGCUUGGGGAUGCCCAAGGCACCCCAAGGUAAUAUUCAAGGAUAACCAAGAGCCUAAGCUUGGGGAUGCCCCGGAUGGCAUCCCCUCUUUCGUCUUCGUUCAUCGGUAACUUUACUUGGAGCUGUAUUUUUAUUCACCACAUGAUAUGUGUUUUGCUUGGAGCGUCAUUUUAUUUUCUUUUGUUUUGCUUGCUGUUUGAAUAAAAUACCAUGAUCUGAAAUUCUUAAAUGUUAGAGAGUCUUCACAUAGUUGCAUAAUUAUUCGACUACUCAUUGAUCUUCACUUAUAUCUUUCGGAGUAGUUUGUUGUUUGCUCUAGUGCUUCACUUAUACCCUUUUUAGAGCACGGCGAUGGUUUUAUUUUGAAGAAAUAGACGAACUCUCGUGCUUCACUUAUAUAAUUUUGAGAGUCUUUAGAACAGCAUGGUAAUUUGCUUUGGUUAUGAAUUUAGUCCUAAUAUGAUGGGCAUCCAAGAGGGAUAUAAUAAAAACUAUCAUAUAAAGUGCAUUGAAUACUAUGAGAAGUCUGAUUCUUUAUGAUUGUUUUGAGAUAUGAAGAUGGUGAUAUUAGACUCAUGCUAGUGGAGUAGUUGUGAAUUUGAGAUAUACUUGUGUUAAAGUUUGUGAUUCCCAUAGCAUGCAUGUAUGGUGAACCGUUAUGUAAUGAAGUCGGAGCAUGAUUUAUUUAUUGAUUGUCCUCCUUAUGAGUGGCGGUCGGGGACGAGCGAUGGUGUUUUCCUACCAAUCUAUCCCCUAGGAGCAUGCGCGUAGUACUUUGUUUCAAUAACUAAUAGAUUUUUGCAACAAGUAUAUGAGUUCUUUAUGACUAAUGUUGAGUCCAUGGAUUAUACGCACUCUCACCCUUCCACCAUUGCUAGCCUCUCUAAUACCACGCACCUUUCGCCGGUAUCAUACACCCACCAUUUAUCUUCCUCAAAACAGCCACCAUACCUACCUAUUAUGGCAUUUCCAUAGCCAUUCCAAGAUAUAUUGCCAUGCAACGUUCCACCGUUCCAUUUUAUUAUGACGCAUACCAUCAUUGUCAUAUUGCUUUGCAUGAUCAUGUAGUUGGCAUCGUAUUUGUGGAAAAGCCACCACUCAUAAUUUUCAUACAUGUCACUCUUGAUUCAUUGCACAUCCCGGUACACCGCCGGAGGCAUUCAUAUAUCUUGUUCUAAGUAUUGAGUUGUAAUUUUUGAGUUGUAAGUAAAUAAAAGUGUGAUGAUCAUCAUUAUUAGAGCAUUGUCCCAGUGAGGAAAGGAUGAUGGAGACUAUGAUUCCCCCACAAGUCGGGAUGAGACUCCGUACGAAAAAUAAAAAUUAAAAAAAAGACAGAAAAAAGAGGCCAAAAUAAAAAAGAAGGCCCAAAAAAACAAAAAAAAUGAGAGAAAAAGAGAGAAGGGACAAUGCUACUAUCCUUUUUCCACACUUGUGCUUCAAAGUAGCACCAUAAUCUUCAUGAUAGAGAGUCUAUUAUGUUGUCACUUGCAUAUACUAGUGGGAAAUUUUCAUUAUAGAACUUGGCUGGUAUAUUCCAAUGAUGGGCUUCCUCAAAAUGCCCUAGGUCUUCGUGAGCAAGUGAGUUGGAUGCACGCCCACUUAGUUUCUUUUGUUGAGCUUUCAUACACUUACAGCUCUAGUGCAUCCAUUGCAUGGCAAUCCCUACUCACUCACAUUGAUUUCUAUUGAUGGGCAUCUCCAUAGCCCGUUGAUACGCCUAGUUGAUGUGAGACUAUCUUCUCCUUUUUUGUCUUCUCCACAACCACCAUUCUAUUCCACCUAUAGUGCUAUGUCCAUGGCUCACACUCAUGUAUUGCGUGAAGAUUGAAAAAGUUUGAGAACAUCAAAAGUAUGAAACAAUUGCUUGGCUUGUCAUCGGGGUUGUGCAUGAUUUAAAUAUUUUGUGUGGUGAAGAUAGAGCAUAGCCAGACUAUAUGAUUUUGUAGGGAUAACUUUCUUUGACCAUGUUAUUUUGAGAAGACAUGAUUGCUUUGUUAGUAUGCUUGAAGUAUUAUUGUUUUCAUGUCAAUAUUAAACUUUUGUUUUGAAUCUUAUGGAUCUGAAUAUUCUUGCCACAAUAAAGAAGAUUACAUGGAUAAAUAUGUUAGGUAGCAUUCCACAUCAAAAAUUCUGUUUUUAUCAUUUACCUACUAGAGGAUGAGUAGGAAUUAAGCUUGGUGAUGCUGAUACGUCUCCAACGUAUCUAUAAUUUUUGAUUGUUCCAUGCUAUUAUAUUAUCUAUUUUGGAUGUUUAUGGGCUUUAUUUUACACUUUUAUAUAAUUUUUGGGACUAACCUAUUAACCCAGAGCCUAGUGCCAGUUCCUGUUUUUCCCUUGUUUCAGUGUUUCGAAAAAAAGGAAUAUCAAACAGAGUCCAAACGGAGUCCAAACGGAAUGAAACCUUCGGGAGAGUUAUUUUUGGAACGGAAGCAAUCCAGGAGACUUGGAGUGUACGUCAGGGAAGCAACGAGGUGGCCACGAGGCAGGGAGGCCCGCCUGCCCCCCUGGGCGCGCCCCCACCCUCGUGGGCCUCUCGUGGCUCCCCUGACCGACUUCUUUCGCCUAUAUAUAUCCAUAUACCCUAAAAACUUCGGGGGACAGAAUAGAUCAGGAGUUCCGCCGCCGCAAGCCUCUGUAGCCACCAAAAACCAAUCGGGACCCUGUUCCAGCACCCUGCCGGAGGGGGGAACCCUCACCGGUGGCCAUCUUCACCAUCCCGGCACUAUCCUUGACGAGGAGGGAGUAGUUCACCCUCGGUGCUGAGGGUAUGUACCAGUAGCUAUGUGUUUGAUCUCUCUCUCUCUCUCUCUCUCUCUCGUGUUCUUAAGGUGAUACGAUCUUGAUGUAUCACGAGCUUUGCUAUUACAGUUGGAUCUUAUGAUGUUUCUCCCCCUCUACUCUCUUGUAAUGGAUUGAGUUUUCCCUCUGAAGUUAUUUUAUCGGAUUGAGUCUUUAAGGAUUUGAGAACACUUGAUGUAUGUCUUGCAUGUGCUUAUCUGUGGUGACAAUGGGAUAUCACGUGAUUCACUUGAUGUAUGUUUUGGUGAUCAACUUGCGGGUUCCGCCCAUGAACCUAUGCAUAGGGGUUGGCACACGUUUUCGUCUUGACUCUCCGGUAGAAACUUUGGGGCACUCUUUGAAGUUCUUUGUGUUGGUUGAAUAGAUGAAUAUGAGAUUGUGUGAUGCAUAUCGUAUAAUCAUACCCACGGAUACUUGAGGUGACAUUGAAGUAUCUAGGUGACAUUAGGGUUUUGGUUGAUUUGUGUCUUAAGGUGUUAUUCUAGUACGAACUCUAUGAUAGAUCGAACGGAAAGAAUAGCUUCAUGUUAUUUUACUACGGACUCUUGAAUAGAUCGAUCAGAAAGGAUAACUUUGACGUGGUUUCGUACCCUACCAUAAUCUCUUCGUUUGUUCUCUGCUAUUAGUGACUUUGGAGUGACUCUUUGUUGCAUGUUGAGGGAUAGUUAUAUGAUCCAGUUAUGUUAUUAUUGUUGAGAUAACUUGCACUAGUGAAAGUAUGAACGCUAAGCCUUGUAUCCUAGCAUUGCAAUACCGUUUGUGCUCACUUUUAUCAUUAGGUACCUUGCUGUUUUUAUAUUUUCAGAUUACAAAAACCUAUAUCUAUCAGCCAUAUUGCACUUAUAUCACCAUCUCUUCGCCGAACUAGUGCACCUAUACAAUUUACCAUUGUAUUGGGUGUGUUGGGAACACAAGAGACUCUUUGUUAUUUCGUUGCAGGGUUGUUUGAGAGAGACCAUCUUCAUCCCACGCCUCCCACGGAUUGAUAAACCUUAGGUCAUCCACUUGAGGGAAAUUUGCUACUGUCCUACAAACCUCUGCACUUGGAGGCCCAACAACGUCUACAAGAAGAAGGUUGUGUAGUAGACAUCAAUGUCCGGUGGAGACAAGGAGAGAUAUGCCCUUCGUUUUCUCCUUCCCGUGACUAAUAUUUUAGGAGAAUAUAUAAACAUUCACAAUGCAGAACAAAUAUUUUUGGAUGCACCAUGCAAUUAACUUUCAUGUAUAACAUUGUACUAUUGUAUAUGCUUAUUUUCUUAGUGGCCGAUUGCGUGUGUGGUGUGGUGGGCACAUCAUUUCUAGUUGUUGUGGGUCAACAUGAGGACUCAUGGGUCGGUUCCAUCCUGUGCCACAUAGGUUGGAUCGAGACGCGUUAUACGAAGACCCAUGUGGAGGACUCGGCCUACAACACAAAUCUAGCUACCAGAGUCGCGGAGGACUCUAUCCCUACUGUUGAUAAGCCAACUAUAUAUGAUUUGUAACCCUAGGCCCCCAGUAUGUUAUAGAAGCUUGGGGGCUAGUUCGUCGAUAGUAUACACACACGCACAAUGCCUGUUAUUCACGUGUACUUUGUACACACCCCUAUCACUAAUAUACAGUACCAGGAGUAGGCUUUUUCCUCAACUGCAAGGGUCCGAACUAGGGUAAAACUUCGCCUCGUAUUACCAUCCAACCUAACAGUUAGGGAUAUCCUACCGAAUGAUAUGAUGGAAUCAUAUCUGCCAACUANNNNNNNNNNNNNNNNNNNNNNNNNNNNNNNNNNNNNNNNNNNNNNNNNNNNNNNNNNNNNNNNNNNNNNNNNNNNNNNNNNNNNNNNNNNNNNNNNNNNNNNNNNNNNNNNNNNNNNNNNNNNNNNNNNNNNNNNNNNNNNNNNNNNNNNNNNNNNNNNNNNNNNNNNNNNNNNNNNNNNNNNNNNNNNNNNNNNNNNNNNNNNNNNNNNNNNNNNNNNNNNNNNNNNNNNNNNNNNNNNNNNNNNNNNNNNNNNNNNNNGUGUGCGAGAGAGGCCUAAAGAUAAUGUGCGUGCGGAAGACACGUAGGCACAUAUAUGUGCGUAUAGAGGGCUAGUAGAGACCGUGCGUGUGUAUAUAUGCAUGUGAGAGAAAUAGUGUUUUCCAACUGAGAUUAGUGAAAAGAGUGGUACAUAGUAGUCAGAAAGAGAGAGAGAGAGAUACAGAGAGAGCAUGUGCGUGAGACUUCCCGACACCUCGAGAGAGAUUGUGAGCAUGUGUGAAAAAGAAAUGCCGAUGCAUAUAAAAUGUGUGCACUUAUGCGGUAGAUAGAGAGAUAUAUAGCACGUUUAUGAGAACGGGCCGAGGCAUAGUGCAUCUACGUGUAAAAGGCGGUUCUACACAUUAAAUUAAAAUAUAAAUGGCAUUAUUAUUUUUGGAUGAGAUCAUGAAUUUUGCAAAUUGCGUAUGGACGAAAAUUGGUCUAUCAGACACCCAUACUCUAUUGAAUUCUAGCAUGUGCAUGUGUUUAUUUCAUAUUAUCGAUCCAUAGAGUGAAAGCGGUUUGAAAUACAGGCAAUGGAUGCUUUUGCAAUUCAUAUAUAAACAUUAAUUAGUGCACUCCAUGUUGUUAGUGUGAAGCACUUUAUACAUUUGUCACUUGCAUUCAUAUAUAAACAUUAAUUAUAUUCCUUUUUCUUGUCGGUUUGACCUCACAGUGCAAAAUCAAUAAAGCUGAAGGAAGUUGGCAAGGCAUUGGAUGAUGGUGGUCCUUCCGAGCAACUGAAACGGAGGUUCUCUACAGAUUCUACUCCGCCAUCCUCCCAACAAGAUUCGCAAGACAACGCAAGGCUAGACAGUCAAUGUAGUUGUGUAGAUGAUGAGCACAUCUCCCCUACUCCACCAUCACAGGUGCUUGCUCUAACUUGGCACUAUUAUAUGUGGUUGCAUGUUGCGUAUGAUGUCUAGCUUGUAUUGCCUAAGUUUGUUGAAUUGCAUCUGCUUACUUUACACAUAAUGCCUAUGAAUAUGACACGUGUUCCUGUUUCUAGAACAUACGUGUACAUGAUGAGCACGUCUCCCCUACUCCACCAUCACAGGUGCUUGCUCUAACUUGGAACUGUUAUAUGUGGUUGUGUUUUCCGUAUGAUGUCUAGUUUGUAUUGCUUCUGAUUAUGUUGAAAUGCAUCUGCGUAGCUUACAACUUAUACCUGCAAUGAUCACUUACCCAUAAGACACAUUUAACUUAGGACUCUGAUGUAGGUUGCAUCUUGCAUUGUCUUCUAGCUUGUACUGCUUCUAAUUUCUUGAAAUGGCACUUACGAUGAGACACUUUUUACCUGAUAGAGUGAUAUUGGUUGCAUGUUCAUAUGGUGCCUAGCUUUCAUUUCUUCUAAUUUUGUUGAAAUGCCUUCGGCUUAAUGUUUUUUCAUACAUAUUCCAUCCUCCUAUCAUACGUGUGAAUAUGAAUCGCUGUCUUUUUUUGUAUAUAUUCCAUCCUCCUAUCCUGCGCUUGCCUUACAUCAAAGUAGUGUUCGUCUGUAUCAUGCAUCAACCAGUUAUGCAGAGCUAAUUUUAUUCAUCUUCUUGUGGUUUUGACUUCAUAAGGUAAUAUCAGAAAAUAGGAAGGAAAAGAGUAAGUUAGGGGAUGUUGGUGGUCCUCUGCACCGACACAAACAGAGACUCUCUAAAUUUGCCACUGCUACUGCUAAUGAAGUUGAAGUCCCAAGUCUACGUGAUGAGUUCAUCUCCCGUACUCCAUCGCAGGUGCUUGCUCUAAGUUGACAGUGUGAUAAUUGGUUUCAUGUUGCAUAUGUUGUCUAGCCUGUAUUUCUUCUAUUUUGAUUAAAUUGCACCUGCUGAGUUCAUACGUUAUACAUGUGCAUAUGACAUGGCGUUCUGUGUCUAAAAUACACUGCAUCUAUCUAUCAUACCAUGUUCUUACAUCAAAGUAUUGCUGUUGUGUAUCCCGCAUCAGUCACUCAUGAUUGGACACUUUUAACAUGGCAGUUUGAUAGUGGUUGCAUCUUGCAUUGAUUUCUACGUUGUACUGCUUCUAAUUUUUUGAAUUGCCACUUAUGACAAGACACUUUUAACUUGGCAGAGUAAUAUUGGCUGCACCUUUCAAUUGGUGUCUAGCUUGCAUCACUUCUAUUUUCUUGAAAAUCAUUCUGCUUAGUUUACACAUCGUAGCUGUGAAUAUGUCAUGUCGUCCUGUUUUCCUUACAUAUUCCAUCCUCAUACGAUUGUCUUACAUCGAAGUAUUGCUUGUCUUUAUCAUGCAUCAAUGAGUUUUGAAGAGCGAUUUUAUUCUUUUGUGUUGUGGGUACGGCUUGACAUGGCAAAGUCAAAAAAGAGCAAGGAAAAUAAUAUAGUAGGGAGUGGUGUUACUCGUCGGGUGAAACGGAAAAGGAUCGGCCGUCCAGAUUCUGCUGGUACCUAUAGUGCAGUAGAAGGUCCAAGUCCACCGGCUAAAUCUACAAACACAGUAUCACCUGCUCCACCAGCUGCAGCAUCCGCUUCAACUGUACCAGCAUCUCAACGAGUUACUUGUUCGUUUGCUCCGGAACUGGCCAGUUCCCAAGCUGCCUUCACACCUAACACUACUUCCGAAGCACUGCUGACACAACAGGACUUGGCAAGAUCAGAUAAACCUCAUGAGCAUCAACACCAAGACGGUACCUGACCGAGUCAAGUUGUAGUUGCAUGCUCCUUUAUAUGUACUCUCACAGUUUGAUGUACACUAACACUUUCCAUAUUCGUUGUUGAACUAGCACCACGACGCAAGCGGAAAGAGACAUCAGGGAUAAUGCUUGACAGAUUAACAAAAUCUAAAGGAGGUAGAAUGGAGAUCCAUUUUGAGGCAGGUUUAAAAAGGCCACGUGAUCCUACAGAGUCAGCCAAGUUAGUAUCAGAGGCAGCCGUUGCCGUUAGGUGUCAUGCACGUAUCCUCCCAACGUGGAUCCAGUACAGGAAUGAGAAAGACAAUACCCAGUUUAACACCUUCCUUGACCAUUUAUCCAUAAGUAAUGUUAUUCAUCGCAAUUAGUAAUAUUGUCUUGCUCUGUCCCAUACUUUCUAGCUUCCUCCUAAUAAGAAUCACAUUGUUUUUUCAACAGAUGAGGUUCAAGUUGGAUCCGAAAGAUGAUGCAACUAAACAAGCAUGCACUCAUGUUUUUCGGUCUGCUCUGCGACAGUAUCGGUACCACCUUAGAAAAUCUCACUUUGAAGGCAAGGCUAACAAUGAAAUCGCCCAAACAUCUCCAGUGGAAUAUAUUACAGAUGAAGACUGGACAACCCUCAUUAAACACUGGUCUGAUCCAAAGUAUCAGGUAGGCUAUAUGUAUUUGAUCAGACCACAUAUUGAACUUGUAUUUAUGUAUGUGCCUUACAAGUGUAUCUUCUUCUAGGCUAACUAUUUGAAGAACAAGACCAACUGUUCUAAAGUGAAAUUCCAACAGACAACAGGAUCUCGUAGCUAUAUUGCACACUGUGAGGCUCUUGUAAAUAGCUGCUACUUCCUUCUUUUUUCUGUGCCAUAUUAUUGUAUCUAUAUUGACUUGUUCCAAAUACAGAGGAAAGCCUGUGCGGACCAAAAAGAACCUGAGCCGAAUGCAGUGCAAAUCUUCAAGGAUUGCCACACAAGCAAGAUGAAGGGCAUUAGCACACAAGUUCAAGCCGCUGUUGUAAGUCCUUACUCAUCCUGCCUUUGAACUGAUUGGUAUUGUGAUGUGUUCAUUUAACUACUUGGUUUGCAGCCAAUGUCAGUUACUCUGUUCACUUUUAUACACAGUUGUCUUAAUGUAUCAUUUCACCUUACAUGGUUUAAAAGAGAUGAAGGAUAUUCUUUUGGCCUUGAUCUGUAUUCUAGUUGUUAUGUUCACGUGCGCACACAAUGAUAAAAUAGCAUGUUUGUUUUAUAUCUGUUUGCCCAUGAUAGGAAUGAUGUCAUACUAUGUUCAUCCUACUUUAAACCAUGUCUCUUUAUCCUUAGAUUUCAAUGAAUGUGAGGAAAUAGACAAUACAGUAGGCAUGCUACAUGGACAUAUGUUCCGAAAGUGAUUUUAUUAUGUAGUUGGGACUACAAUACAUGCUAAUGUAUUACAGUAGUUCACCAAAAUAAGUUAUGUAUAAACGUGUAACCUACUUUGUUUGUUUUUGUCUCAUUAGUAACUUAUCUGGUACACUAAUCUACAAGUUCAAACUUUCAGGAAGCUAUGGAAAAAAUGAUUGAACAGCCACAACCACCUGAUGGUGACGAGGCUACCACAGGCACAAUGUCACCUCUUGCUGCAGUGCGUCGAUAUCUCUCCACUAGCAGUGCAAAAAGCACCUUCCUGCGUAAUUCUGGGUUGGUUGUCAAGGUAACCUCGUCCAAAUCGCCUAAUGAACAAAAUCUUCCUGCUAGAUGGAGUGAUAUAUCUGUGCUCCAGACACAAGUCCAAUCCCUAAUGGACGUCGUUUUUGAAACAAGAAUAGUGGUUGACAAAUGUCAUCAAGAUAUGAAUGGUUUUAAAACCAGACUAUCAGACAUUCGCUUCAUUGUUCAAGAGCAAUGGCGGAAAAAAGGUGAAGAUCGUGCUGCUCCAUCAGAUUCUACAGCCUGAAACAUUAGCACUCAGGUCAAAUGAUCUGUGCUUCUAUACAUCUGAUGGUGCUUUUAUCUGCAAGGACUAUAAACUUUAUGCCAACAUGCCUUUUGUUGUGAUACAACAUUUAUGCUGCUGCCAAAGGCUGCAAUAAUUACGACGCUAUUUUUGUAUAGUGUAGGUUUAUCUUAGUAAUGUAUUCGGUCGAAAGCUUCGUAGGGGCCCAACAUGCCAACAUUCGUCGGGCCCAUUCCAAUUGGGCUAAAAACGAUUAUGGGCCGAAAUUUGCAUGUAGCCCACUAAAAAUAUUUGGUCCUAAAUCAGCAUAAGAUUUCAUAUUUUUCUGGUAGGCCUGUGCCCAUAGUGGGCCUUUAACGGGCCUAAACAUAAUUUGGGCCCUCAGUAACAAUAGGCCGUUUAUAGGUGUAAAUAUCCCGAGCCCAUAAAAACAUGGGCUUUAAAAGACCGAAAGUGAGAUUGGGCCCAUUUACGAUGUGGAUCUUUCACAGGCCGAAAUUCGGAUGGGCCGUAAAUGCGCCGACCUAAUACACGGGCCUUUAACAGGCCGGAAGUUCGGUCGGGCUAGAUUAUCGUCAUUUUUAUAUGGGUCGUUAAUGGGCCCGAUGUGACGUUGGGCCACAUAUGGCCCAUGGAUCUCGUCCGAUGUUAAUAGGCCGAAAAUCACAACAGGCCGAAAGUGGCCCAAAUCUAUAGUGUGCCGCUAACAGGCCGAAUGUCAGACAUGGCCGAAUAUGACCCAAAUCUUUCACGGUCGUUUAUGGGCCGAAAGUUUCAAUGGCCUAUAAAUGGGUCCAAAUGAAGCAGGACUUUUAACAGGCCGGAAAUACACCGGGCCAUAAUUCGGCCCAUAUACUUAGCGGACUGUUAACGGGCUAGAAGUGAUCAUGGGCCACGAUGAUGACAAGUUUAGGACAGGGCGUUGACGGGCCGAUUUGACACUAGCCGUACGGGCCUUAACUGAGAAUGUUGGGCCUUUAUCUGGGCCGACCCAUUAUGGUCUGCAAAAUCUCGCGGGCCUUUAGCUGGGCCGGCCCAUUAUGGCCCGCAAAAUCUCAUGGGGCUUUAGCUGGGCCGGCCCAUUAUGAUACGAAAAUUCUCGUGGGCCUUUUCUGGGCUGGCCCAUUAUGGACCGCAAAAUCUUGUGGGCCUUUAGUUGGGCCGGCCCAUUUAAACUUUAUGGGCCACUUUUGGGCCAGUCCAUGGGUCAGCAUAUCAUAGGCGCAUCUCGCCCAUUGGAUGAGUGACACCUGUGCCAACGCGGAGCUGACACGUGUUUCCGUCAGCCAAUCAGAAUUUCACAUGUGGAAAGUCCCCAUUGGUCCAGGCUGUUAACGGGUUAUCGGAUCCAAAACCGGACCCGAUAGCUUAACAGCGUUCCGUUACAGUGGAUGCCACGUGUCGGUCACCCUUGACGAAAGCACUUCUAUGACGCGCGAUUUAUCAUCAUGGAAGUGGACACUUCCGUGAUGAUAAUUUUGGUAAUGUCAUGGAACACUUCUACGGCAGCACAUGUAUGACUAUCUUGAUUCCGUCAUAAAUUUGUCAUGGAUGUACAUGCAUGACAGAAAAUGUGACCUACUGUGACAAACACGUAUCAUCACGGAAGUGUAUUUUUUUGUAGUGUAGUCAAAAGGCGUAAGCGAGCUUCACCUUGUCCUGCAAGCUUCUCCUCGUUCUGCAAGUUGACGGGACACACCAACAAGUAGUGCUAGUCCAUACUCCCUCCUUUCCGGUUAAUAUGGCUUAAUCUUUUUUGCGGGUAAAUGAGAGAGCUUUAUUCAUAUAUAAGCAUUCUUAGGACGGUCAGCCAAGACACUGGUCACUAGGAAGCGAGGUACCCCGCAAAAAAAGAAGUAGGAAGCGAGGUGUUUCAUCAAGCCAUCUCUCGGCCACAUUCAAAGUGCAGCAAGCACGGUUCGCACAAAGAUGCGCCGCAAGGUUUGCUGACCUGUUUACAUGCUAAAUAACAAAAAAAAGAGGAAAUAUUAUCGAGCGCUCCUAUUUGUAACAGGAUAUGAGCCAGAAUUAUGCGAGAAUUGUGGCGAGUGUUCCAUGCAAUCAACUUCCAUUAUCACAUGCAAGAACCCUCGAAGAGAACCAAAUGUGUUGAAGAUUGCUUUAUCUCAUUUUAAAAAUAUAAUAAGAGUGCAGACGCUCCUCCAUCCGGUUCCUAGUACUAGUAUAGUACCUCUAUAGACUAUAGUAGUAGUAGUAGUAAACUUUGCGCUUGGUUGUUCGCCUCUUCGGGAAGUGCAACAAUAAUAGUACUAGUAUAGUGUGUGCUUCUGGCAAUCUGACACCGAAUUAACUGUUGCAUGUCCACCGCCUGAGCGAAGGACAGCUUGCAUUAGUCAAAAGUUUCUCCUUGUCCUACGAGCCACCGCGCGCAAGCUUCUCCCGUCCUGCAAGCUUCUCCUUGUUCGGCAAGUUGAUGGGACACAGCAAAGUAAUGCUAGUCCAUAGUGCCUCCUCUCCGGUUAAUAUGGCUUAAUUUCAAACGAGAUAGAUACACUGUCUCUCACUGUAUAUUUGUAAAAAUACAGUCAGUGGACUUCAUAAUACGCUCAUUGCGCUCAAUAUAUACAUUUUCCGGUGUUUAUACGGUCACUAGCUCACCCUGGCUGAGUAUGUGUGUGCAUGCACGUCUAGGUUGAGCACUUGAGCGAGACCGUGUGUGUUCCGUCGUGUGCUCGGAGAUGCAUGCAUUAGGGCGUCGCGCGCGUUUUUGCGUCCAUGUGUACGUGUGACUGUUGCAUACACGUAGGGGGAGUACGUGUAGGGGACACUAAAGGAGCAGUCAAAUCACACAGUAAGUUAGUCAGAAGAAGCAACCAUCAUUUCACUCUUCAAUGACACAUAUGCAAUAUAAAAUGGUUGAUAUGGAGAGAAAAAGAAAACCACUAUAUAUACACUAGCAGGAGCCUAAGCUACAAGCCUGCUUGCUUGGGUUGCUCUCUUCACAAGCAUAGAACGACGGUGGCCACACCGCUGGUCACAUAUCCGGCCUGAUCCCGCAGCUGGGGGAAGGGAACAAUGUUCUGCGUAGACGCGGUCGACAUCGGCGAGGGAGAAAAUCCACAGUCGGUGCGUCCCAAUCGGGGGUCACCGCGGUAUGGGCCGAUGCCGUGUCCCAACCGCCCUUCUAGCUACAGCCCGACAUCCCAGGUAGUCCAUCUUCCCUUUGGAGCCGGCUUGCUCCACUGCCGCAGCUCCCCACGUAGCUCCAUCUCCAUGUCGAUCUUUCUCUACUUCUACCGGCUUCUACUUGUGAUGAGUUUAUGUCUCAUGAACUAGUGCCAGUACUAUUAUUCUAAUCACACUUCUUCAAUAUCUUUGCAAUCAGGGAUGCUCAGCUCGAUUUUAGUGGAACUGCAAAAAAGCAUCAUAUGAUCCGAGGGUGCCAGCCGUCUUUCCUUCGACAGGUUCUACCUGGCUAGGAAAUUAAAUCCUGUUUUGGGUUUUGGGUUUAAGUCACAGUGACCCCAUCAGUAGUUUUUCUUUCAUACACGCUCUCACAACUUUUGUCUUUAGUUGUGAAGUAAAUAUUGGCUAUGAUCUGUGAAUCAUUGAGAUGCAUCAGCAUGCGUGUUAGUUUUCCUUUGUAUUUGAUGGAAUGUUGUAACGGGGCAACCUUGGAGUAGGAAUGAAAAUGGAGUGGAAAGUUUUCGUUUUUCCAGAGAAAAAAUGGAAACGGAGAGAAACCAACGUUUUGUUUCGUUGGAUCGCGCCAUCGAGCAAAACUAACGUUUAAAUCACGUCUGUCGCGUUCGUGUCUCACCCUCCUCCACGGCUCGACCCCACACGGUCGCUCGGCAUGCCACUCACCGCAAAACGAGUAUACGAUAACUUUCCCACCUGCUUGUCGAUGGAUCGCGCCAUGGAGUACUAGUACUACUGGAAUAGAUUGACGAGUUGGGGAGGACAGCUACCUGUAGCACGGACUCCCAAGAACUUUUUACAUGCAUGUUGUGGCCGGCUAUUGCGACCUUUGAAUGCGGAGCAGUCGCGUGCACCAGGAAGCGGCGCGGGCGACGCUCUCUCGGCCGGCGCGUCGCUUCAAUGCCGGCGCCAGUGAGAGGUCGCGUCCGCUCUGGCGGGCAUGAAUGCGACACUGACCAUUUCGGGCGGAAAGCACGCGCGGGUAAUGAAGAGGGUUCGGGUUGGUCAGGAGCGGCCGUGGCAGCGGUCCGGACGCCCGCAAACAAGAGAUGUUGUACGUUAAUAUUGUCGCGUAUAUAAUUAACAAUGUAAAUGAUGUGCGAGUUGGACAAAUAUGAUUGGAGAUGGAGAUAGAAAUGGAAUUUUACGUAAACACAGAUAUGCAUGUCUAUGUCUAUGUGUGUGUGUGUGUGCGACGACUCUCAUGCGGGGGAGUGUUUUUGAUCGAGUUUUCUUUCUUGGUACAUUAAAAAAUUGUCCGCCAGUUUUCGUUUCUUUUUUCUGGGAACGCGCAUAUUCUAUUUAAAACCACUGCUAUGGAGAGAUUGUUUUACUCCAUUAUAGCCUCUUGUUUGAUAGAGUUUCUCGCGUCUCGCUCUCUCACCCUCUCCAUAUCAAAACAAGAUGACAGUGUCCACACUAUCUCUCUCCUCACCGGUGGUCACAGAUCCGGCCGAAUCCCGUCCGCUGCAGGAGGUAAGGAGGUGCAGCAUUGACGUUGUCGCCGUCGGCGAUGGAGGAAGCCGAUGUGCACCGUCCUCUCGGAGCCGGCGCUGGCACGGACGAAGAUCCUCCGCGCCCUUGUUCGCUGCCGUCGUGUGGGCAGAUCCCGCCCGCCCGCCUAAGCAACAUCUCGCCCACCUGAGGUAUAACUUCUUGUACUAGUCCAGCUCCCCAGGUCGCUGCAUGCGGGUUUUCUUCUAUGCGACUACUCCCUACCUCCCCAUGUAUAGUAGCUAGGGUUCGUUGGCUGGUCCAACAUCACCUACUAUUAUAGAGGAAAUGCCACUCGAAAAGUUGUCCUGAUUUAUGCCUCGAUGGAGGUAUACAUUUUGUUUCGACAAAAAGUACAUGGUGGUUGUGCGGUCAUUGUCCAUAUGCUCCUAUUGCUGCUGCUAAUCUAGUACUAUCACUGGUUAAAUGAAGAAAUGCUUUUUUUCUCAGGUAUCCUAGUUUAGUUCCCAUCAAGAUAAUCAUGAUGCUUCUGUUUGUUGGUGUACUUUUCAUAAUUCUUAUUGACAAUUGAGAUGUCGUUGUUAAUCUUGUAAAACAAAGUAACAACACUAUAUCCCUUUUUAUAUUUUUGGAAACAGCGAUGCGUAUCUCCAUACCCGGGCAUGUCUUCCUCAAUUUUAGUGGAACUGCACAAAAUUGGAUGGCCAUUGUUGUUCCGCCUCACUGUCCUCUGCCACAUGGUUCUUCCUUCCUCGAGCUUGACUACUGAGAAGAAACAGACCACAGUGAGGAUUUGUCGAACUUCAUAGGUGCCUCACCCAAACUUGAUGCCAAACGGAUGAUGCAUCACCACGAUGACCUAUCGAUGCUCAUGGUUGCGCCUCAUGGUUGCGUCGGCUGGUGAAGCUGAUCGAUUUUCAAUGAAAAACAUGUUGUCUUCCAUCUGUGCUCUUUGCUUGUUACCCACAAAGAUGAUAUCCUUCGUCAGUUCACCUUGGUUGCGUUGGAGACGCAGUCGUCUUUCACGUUGGUGCAAUUUAUCACACAAUUGGCUAUGAACCAAAGGUUUCGUCGAAGAAGGAUCGACGUUGGUACUACGAGCAUAAGUUUUGUAUUGAUUUCUAAGCCUUCUCACAACUUUGUCUCCAGCUCCCCUGUAAUUUUAUUUGUCCAGCUAUUAACUUUGAUUAAAAAAAUGGUGUGGACUAAAAACCCGGAUGGACGUAGUAGCCCUCCAUUUUUAUUUACUCCGCAUAUUAGAUUUGACUGAAGUCAAACUUUGUAAAGUUUGACCAAGUUUAGGCCGAACACAACAAACCAUAAUUAUUAGAGAGGGCAAACUGUACAUACACUCAAACCUUUCCGAUAAUUGAAAUUAAAAUUCUUUAUUUGUACACACUCUCACAUGUUUCCGAUAAUUUGGUGCAUGUGUGGUUGUUCACUUAAGGGAGGGUAGUGUACCGCACGUGAAGGACAGGAAGUGCGACCAGGACGAGUGGAUCGUUAGUUCAUCGGAAGUACUCCCUUCGUUCCUAAAUAUUUGUCUUUCAAGUGGUUUGCAAUGGACUACCACAUACAGAUGUAUAUAGACAUUUUUUUACAGUGUAGAUUCACUCAUUUUGCUUUGUAUGUAGUCAUUUGUUGAAAUCUCUAAAAAGACAAAUAUUUAGGACAGAGGGAGUAGUAGUUUUCUUCACUGGUACGUUAAAUAAAGAGUUUCGUUUCGUACUUACACAAUUUAAAACGAUUGUUAUGGAGAGAAUAAGAAAACCACUCCACUAUAUAUUAGUCGUAUACACGAGUACUAUAUGGACGCAACUUCAUUGACUUUAGUGCACCUGCAUUUGGGUUUAUGACAGGUGGGCCCAAUAUGUGGCUGGCCCACCUGUCAUACAGCCAAAAGCAGGUGCAGUUAAGGCACCGGAGCUCAGUCAGUACUACAGUAUAUAUAUAUAUAAGCUGGAGCCUCAGCGCUUGUUCGCUAGGGUUUGCACUCUCCACACUCUCGCCGCACUACAUAUAUAUAUAUAUAUACAUGCUGGAGGCUCAGCGUUCCUUUGCUAGGGUUUGCUAUAUUCACUCUCUCUCACCCUCUUCACCAGAUCUAAACAAGACUGCGUUGUGGCCUCUGUCUCUCUCACCCCCUCACAAAUAGCUGGCGAAGGAGGCAUCCGGAUCCCGUCGCAUCGGGAAGGGGAGGAGGUGCAGCGUUCACUCUAUCGCCUUCGGCGAGGGAGGCAAUCCACUGCCGGCUGCGCUUUUCUCUUUUCACCCAGCGCCUGUGCGGGAGGGCCACCGACCCCUUCUUCCUCGCUGUCGUACAUAGUGUGGGCAGAUCCAACCUCCCGCCGCACGCCUUGCCACAUCCCGAUGACCCUAAGGUAUAAGUUUCUUUGAAACCGUCAUUGGUCUAGCUGCAUGCUGAUCUUUUUCGAUUCUUUAGUUGAAUCUAGGUCUUGGUUCAAAGAGGAAAGAAUGGUGCGGUGGGGUGGAGCAUGAAUCUAGGACAUGGUUCAAUGAGGAAAGGAGCGAGGGAAAGUAGUAUAGACUAGCUAUCCAGCCGCUUUAUUGGUCGAAAAGGGAAAAAGGGGGUAACCCAGUACACACAUCUGUAAGGAACCCAACUCUUUGUUGAAAAGGGAAAGAAACUGGGGGGUCGGGUAGUUUGUGCAGGACUAGAUUUGCUGCCCUCACAUCGGAAAAAGUUUCAAAGAGAACAAAUAUGGGACCAACGCGGAUAUGGUGCUUGGCUACAUACUCUGCAUCACCCAUUUAUACGUGUGGACGCACAUGGUGCUGGCAUGUCCCAUGUCCCAUCCACAUGAUCGUGCAGUGUGUUUUGAGAUGUUGUGCUACUUGUAUUGGUACUGUUUUAAAUAAAUGUUGAAUUGAAGCUACUGUAUUUUAAGCAAUGCCACUCUCAUAAUUAACUACUGAACUAUUUUAAGAGAAUUUCUUUGUUAAUAUGAAUCAAUGCAACCAUUUUAGAAAUGCUACUGUCCUAUACUUUGUUUUCCAUCAAGAUAAGGUAGAUGCUUCUUUUUGUGGCCGCAUGUUUCAUCCUCCUUUAUUGGCAGUAAUUGUUUCCUUUUUUGCCUCUGUUAAAUCAGGGAUAUCUAUUCAACUUGUUGCUAUAGCAAACUUAAAUGUCUCACCGGCGACUUUACUUGAUUUCAGAGUAACUGCACAAAACGAGAUUGGAUUUCCUAUUCGUGUGGGCAGAUUCGUACGUGAUCUUGUGUGCGUCAUGACAGGUUGGUACUUGCCUUCAUCCACAUGAUCGUGCAGUGUGUUUUGAGAUGCUGUGCUACUUGUAUUUGUACUAUUUUAAAUAAAUGUUGAAUUGAAGCUAUUGUAUUGCUGUCUUUUCCCAUUAAGUAGUGAACAAAAAUGGGACCAACCCAGACAUUAUGCUUGUUGCUUUGUUACAACAAACUCUGCAUCACCCCCUUUAUAAGUAGAUGUAAGCACAUGUUGUUGUUGCUCCCACUCUCCCCUGGAACUGUUUAUGCUUUUUGUUAGUCUAAUGCCGCUGGUAAAAUUAAGCAAUGCCACUCUCAGAAUUAACUACCGAAUCUUAUUUCAAAACUGCAACACUUGUUAGGGAUUGGCGGGAUUACCAUUUUUAUGGUCGCAUGUUUCAUCCUCCUUUAUUGGCCAGUAAUUGAUUCCUUUUUUGCCUCUGUUAAAACAGGGAUAUCUAUUCAACUUGUUGCUAUUGCGACAUUUUGCUUCACUUAAUUUUGGUGGAACUGCACAAAAUGAGACCGGAUUUCCAUAUAUGUGUUGAGAUCUCUUUUAGAUCCACCUCAGGCGUUGUUUCAAAUCUUGGUCUUGAAAGGUCAGAACCUACUUUCCUCAGAAUUAACUACUGAAUCUUAGUUCAAAACUACAACACUUGUUAGGGAUCGGCGGGAGUACCAUUUCUGUUACGGAUCGGCUGGAGUACAUGUUUAAGAAAUGUAUUCUUCAGAUAAUGUCUCUGUUAUUAUAUAUCAGUUACAGUGUUUUACAAAUGGUACUAUCCUGCUUUGUAGUUCUUUCUACAUGUUUAACCAAGGUAUUGUUAAGAUAAUGUCUCUGUUAAAAUGAAUCAGCCGCAUUGUUUUAGGAAUGAUACUUUUCUGCUUUGUCGUUCUUUAUACAUGUUGAAACAAGGCAUUGUUAAGAUAAUGUCUUAGUUAAUAUGAAUGAAUCACACUGAUUGAGAAUUGCUACUCACCUGCUUUGUUUCCCAUUAAGAUAAGGUAGAUAAGUAGAUGUUUUUCUUCUGGGAGUACAAGUCAUCAACCGUUAUUUCUCAGUAAUUGUUUCCCUUAUACCUUUUGUUGCUUACAGGGAUAUCAAAAUUAAAGCUUGGUUUUAUUCCGAUUUUGAUUUUAGUUGAACUGCACAAAAGGAGCCAAUGUGUCUAAGGCAAACUGCUGCAUUAGUGGGUCCAGUUGGUCUUACCACUUUGCAGAAAGAAGCAGUCACUGUUUGCGCUACAUUACACAAGGAAUGAUCGAGAAGCUUUACAGAGUAUUAGUAGACGCUGGUGACAUGACUAGUCUGCAGAGAUGGCUGCUUUACUUGUGGUUCGGAGGAACACUGGGCAAAAAAGUGCCCAAACAAGUACCAAGAGGCCAGGACAGGACUCCAAGUCUGUCAAUGUCACUCUAAGCAACAAUGAUGGGGCAUCUGGGUAUGGUAAUCUGUUUACCUUACUUUCAGUUUGUUAGUCAACCGAUUGGUGGGUUGACACUGGGGCCAAUAUUCAUGUGUGUGCUGAUGUGUCUUUGUUUUCUGGCAGCAUAUAAAUACGAAAUCCACAGGUAUGCUCAGCUUGAUUUUAGUGGAACUGCACAAAAUGUUCAGAUGGUUCAUGUCCUCCAUAAUAAUACAGCAUCAUGCACAAUACAUCGAAUGGUUCUCUAAUCAUUCGUCGCCACCUUGAGCCACCGGACUAUCAGAUGACAAACUGAUGACAAACCCUGCCCGUUCCACAAUCAUAGGCAUUACAUAUUUUGAAUGGGAAAAGCUUGUCAAAGUUGACAUUAGUUUAAUAUAUUGGAAUUGGAAAACCUUGUCAAUUUUUGCUGAUUGAUGUUAGCGAGAAGACAUGCAUUUGAUAUUUUUGAGUGGGACGCCCUUUGCUGUGAGCAACGUCGAUCGUUUCUUCCUAUUCCGGUCUUCAGUUCAGAAGUAAAUAUUUACUCUGCUGAGAUGCAUAGUGCCCUCUUGAGCACUGCGUUGGUUUUCCCUUGAAGAGGAAAGGGUGAUGCAGCAAAGUAGCGUAAGUAUUUCCCUCAGUUUUUGAGAACCAAGGUAUCAAUCCAGUAGGAGACCACGCAGGAGUCCCUCGCACCUAGACAAACAAAUAAAUCCUCACAACCAACGCAAUAAAGGGGUUGUCAAUCCCUUCACGGUCACUUACGAGAGUGAGAUCUGAUAGAUAUGAUAAGAUAAUAUUUUUGGUAUUUUUAUGAUAAAGAUGCAAAGUAAAAUAAAAGGCAAUAAAAAUAGCUAAGUGUUGGAAGAUUAAUAUGAUGGAAAAUACACCCGGGGGCCAUAGGUUUCACUAGAGGCUUCUCUCGAGAGCAUAAGUAUUACGGUGUGAACAAAUUACUGUUGAGCAAUUGACAGAAUUGAGCAUAGUUAUGAGAAUAUCUAGGUAUGAUCAUGCAUAUAGGCAUCACGUCCGAGACAAGUAGACCGACUCCUGCCUGCAUCUACUACUAUUACUCCACACAUCGACCGCUAUCUAACAUGCAUCUAGAGUAUUAAGUUCAUAAGAACAGAGUAACGCUUUAAGCAAGAUGACAUGAUGUAGAGGGAUAAACUAAUGCAAUAUGAUAUAAACACCAUCUUGUUAUCCUCGAUGGCAACAAUACAAUACGUGCCUUGCUGCCCCUACUGUCAAUGGGAAAGGACACCGCAAGAUUGAACCCAAAGCUAAGCACUUCUCCCAUUGCAAGAAAGAUCAAUCUAGUAGGCCAAACCAAACUGAUAAUUCGAAGAGACUUGCAAAGAUAACCAAUCAUACAUAAAAGAAUUCAGAGGAGAUUCAAAUAUUGUUCAUAGAUAAACUUGAUCAUAAACCCACAAUUCAUCGGUCUCAACAAACACACCGCAAAAGAAGAUAACAGAAAAUAUAUCUCCACAAGAGAGGGGGAGACCAUUGUAUUGAGAUCCAAAAAGAGAGAAGAAGCCAUCUAGCUAAUAACUAUGGACCCGAAGGUCUGAGGUAAACUACUCACACAUCAUCGGAGAGGCUAUGGUGUUGAUGUAGAAGCCCUCCGUGAUCGAUGCUCCCUCCGGCGGAGCUCCGGAAAAGGCCCGAAGAUGGGAUCUCACGGGUAGAGAAGGUUGCGGCGGUGGAAUUAGGUUUUUGGCUCUGUAUCUGGUAGUUUGGGGGUACGUAGGUAUAUAUAGGAGGAAGAAGUACAUCGGUGGAGCAACGUGGGGCCCAUGAGGGUGGAGGGCGCGCCCAGGCGGGUAGGCGCGCCCCCCUACCUCGUGCCCUCCUGGUUGAUGUCUUGACGUAGGGUCCAUGUCCUCUGGAUCACGUUCGUUUUGAAAAUCACGUUCCCGAAGGUUUCAUUCCGUUUGGACUCCGUUUGAUAUUCUUUUUCUGCGAAACUCUGAAAUAGGCAAAAAACAGCAAUUCUGGGCUGGGCCUCCGGUUAAUAGGUUAGUCCCGAAAAUAAUAUAAAGUGUAUAAUAAAGCCCAUCAAUGUCCAAAACAGAAUAUAAUAUAGCAUGGAACAAUAAAAAAUUAUAGAUACGUUGGAGACGUAUCAAGCAUCCCCAAGCUUAAUUCCUGCUCGUCCUUGAGUAGGUAAAUGAUAAAAACAGAAUUUUUUAUGUGGAAUGCUACUUGGCAUAAUUUCAAUGUAAUUCUCUUAACUUUGGUAUGAAUAUUCAGAUCCGAAAGAUUGAAGACAAAAGUUUAAUAUUGACAUAAAAAUAAUAAUACUUCAAGCAUACUAACUAAGCAAUUAUGUCUUCUCAAAAUAACAUGGCCAAAGAAAGUUAUCCCUACAAAAUCAUAUAGUCUGGCUAUGCUCUAUCUUCACCACACAAAAUAUUUAAAUCAUGCACAACCCCGAUGACAAGCCAAGCAAUUGUUUCAUACUUUUAGUGUUCUCAAACUUUUCAAUCUUCAUGCAAUACAUGAGCGUGAGCCAUGGACAUAGCACUAUAUGUGGAAUAGAAUGGUGGUUGUGGAGAAGACAAAAAAAGGAGAAGAUAGUCUCACAUCAACUAGGCGUAUCAACGGGCUAUGGAGAUGCCCAUUAAUAGAUAUCAAUGUGAGUGAGUAGGGAUUGCCAUGCAACGGAUGCACUUAGAGCUAUAAGUAUAUGAAAGCUCAACAAAAGGAACUAAGUGGGUGUGCAUCCAACUCGCUUGCUCACGAAGACCUAGGGCAUUUUGAGGAAGCCCAUCAUUGGAAUAUACAAGCCAAGUUAUAUAAUGAAAAUUUCCCACUAGUCUAUGAAAGUAAUAUCAUAGGAGACUCUCUAUCAUGAAGAUCAUGGUGCUACUUUGAAGCACAAGUGUGGUAAAAGGAUAGUAACAUUGUCCCUUCUCUCUCUUUUUCUCUCAUUCUUUUUAAUUUCGUCCGGAGUCUCAUCCCGACUUGUGGGGGAAUCAUAGUCUCCAUCAUCCUUUCCUCACUUGGGACAAUGCUCCAAAAAAUGAUGAUCAUCACACUUUUAUUUACUUACAACUGAACAAUUACAACUCAAUACUUAGAACAAAAUAUGACUCUAUGUGAAUGCCUCCGGCGGUGUACCGGGAUAUGCAAUGAAUCAAGAGUGACAUGUAUGAAAGAAUUAUGAACGGUGGCUUUGCCACAAAUACGAUGUCAAGUACAUGAUCAUGCGAAGCAAUAUGACAAUGAUGGAGCAUGUCAUAAUAAACGAAACGGUGGUAAGUUGCAUGGCAAUAUAUCUCGGAAUGGCUAUGGAAAUGCCAUGAUAGGUAGGUAUGGUGGCUGUUUUGAGGAAGGUAUAUGGUGGGUGUAUGAUACCGGCAAAACAUGCGCGGUAUUAGAGAGGCUAGCAAUGGUGGAAGGAGGAAAAGUGCGUAUAAUCCAUGGACUCAACAUUAGUCAUAAAGAACUCAUAUACUUAUUGAAAAAAUGUACAAGUUAUCAAAGCAAAUUAUUACGCGCAUGUUCCUAGGGGGAUAGAUUGGUAGGAAAAGACCAUCGCUCGUCCCCGACCGCCACUCAUAAGGAAGACAAUCAAUAAAUAAAUCAUGCUCCGACUUCAUCACAUAACGGUUCACCAUACGUGCAUGCUAUGGGAAUCACAAACUUUAACACAAGUAUUUCUCAAAUUCAAAACUACUCAACUAGCAUGACUCUAAUAUCACCAUCUUCAUAUCUCAAAACAAUUAUCUAGUAUCAAACUUCUCAUAAUAUUCAACACACUCAUAAGAAAAAAAUUACUAAUCUUGAAUGCCUAUCAUUGUCAAAGCAAACUACCAUGCUGUUUUGUAGGACUCUAAAAAUAAUCUAAGUGAAGCAUGAGAGAACAAUAGUUUCUAUAAAACAAAAUCACCACCGUGUUCUAAAAGAUAUAAGUGAAGCACUAGAGCAAAAACUAUAUAUAACUCAAAAGAUAUAAGUGAAGCACAUAGAGUAUUCUAAUAAUUUCCGAAUCAAGUGUGUCUCUCUCAAAAGGUGUGUACAGAAAAGAUGAUUGUGGUAAACUGAAAAGCAAAGACUCAAAUAAUACAAGACGCUCCAAGCUAAACACAUAUCAUGUGGUGAAUAAAAAUAUAGCUCCAAGUAAAGUUACCGAUGGAAGUAGACGAAAGAGGGGAUGCCUUCCGGGGCAUUCCCAAGCUUUGGCUUUUUGGUGUCCUUAGAUUAUCUUGGGGUGCCAUGGGCAUCCCCAAGCUUAGGCUCUUUCCACUCCUUGUUCCAUAAUCCAUCAAAUCUUUCACCCAAAACUUGAAAACUUCACAACACAAAACUUAACAGAAAAUCUCGUGAGCUCCGUUAGCGAAACAAAACAAAACACCACUUCAAGGUACUCUAAUGAACUCAUUCUUUAUUUAUAUUGGUGUUAAACCUACUGUAUUCCAACUUAUCUAUGGUUUAUAAACUAUUUUACUAGCCAUAGAUUCAUCAAAAUAAGCAAACAACACACGAAAAAUAGAAUCUGUCAAAAACAGAACAGCCUGUAGUAAUCUAUAACUAACGCAAACUUCUGGACUCCAAAAAUUCAGCCAAAAUAGGAAGACCUGGAAAAUUUGUUUAUUGAUCAGAAGCAAUUGGAAUCAAUAUUUUAUCACGUUCUGGUGAUUUUUAACAAUUAUUUUCGUGAACAUAAAGUUUCUGCAAUUUUCAGCAAGAUCAAAUAACUAUCAUCCAAGAAGAUCCUAUGGGUUAAACUUGGCACAAACACUAAUUAAAACAUAAAAACACAUCUAACCAGAGGCUAGAUCAAAUAUUUAUUCCUAAACAGAAGCAAAAAGCAAAAAAUUAAAAAUAAAAUUGGGUUGCCUCCCAACAAGCGCUAUCGUUUAAUGCCCCUAGCUAGGCAUAAAGCAAGGAUAUAUAUAGGUAUUGCCAUCUUUGGUAGGCAAUCCAUAAGUGGAUCUCAUAAUAGAUUCAUAAGGUUAUUUUAUUUUAUUUCUAGGGAAGUGUUCCAUGCCUUUCCUUAACGGAAAUUGGAAUCUGAUAUUCCCUUCCUUCAUAUCAAUAAUUGCACCAAUCGUUCUAAGGAAAGGUCUACCAAGGAUAAUAGGACAUGAAGGAUUGCAAUAUAUGUCAAGAACAAUAAAAUCUACGGGCACAUAAUUCCUAUUUGCAACAAUAAUAACAUCAUUAAUUCUUCCUAUAGGUUUCUUAAUGGUGGAAUCCGCAAGGUGCAAGUUUAAAAGCAAUCAUCAAAAUCACGGAAACCUAGCAAAUCGCGCAAAGUCUUUGGAAUCGUGGAAACACUAGCACCCAAAUCACACAAAGCAUAGCAUUCAUGAUCUUUAAUUUUAAUUUUAAUAGUAGGUUCCCACUCAUCAUAAAGUUUUCUAGGGAUAGAAACUUCCAACUCAAGUUUUUCUUCAUAAGAUUGCAUCAAAGCAUCAACGAUAUAUUUAGUAAAAGCUUUAUGUUGACUAUAAGCAUGUGGAGAAUUUAGCACGGAUUGCAACAAGGAAAUACAAUCUAUCAAAGAACAAUUAUCAAAAUUAAAUUCCUUGAAAUCCAAAAUAGUGGGUUCAUUAAUAUCUAAAGUUUUGAUCUCUUCAAUCCCACUUUUACUAAUUUUUGCAUCAAGAUCUAAAAACUCCGAAUUUUUGGAACGCCUUCUAGGUAAAGGUGGAUCAUAUUCAGUCCCAUCAUUAUCAAGAUUCAUAUUUCAAAACAAAGAUUUAAUUGGGUACACAUCAAUAACUUUUAGAUCUUCAUCUUUAUUUUCAUAGGAAUUAGAAGAACACGCUUUCAUAAAGCAAUCUUUCUUAGCACGCAUCCUAGCGGUUCUUUCUUUGCACUCAUCAAUGGAAAUUCUCAUGGAUUUGAGAGACUCAUUGAUAUCAUGUUUAGAUGGAAUAGAUCUAAGUUUUAAAGAAUCAACAUCAAGAGAAAUUCUAUCGAUGUUCCUAGCCAAUUCAUCAACUUUAAGCAAUUUUUCUUCAAGCAAAGCAUUGAAAUUCUUUUGCGAAUUCAUAAACUCCUUAACACUAGUCUCAAAUUUAGAAGGCAUCUUAUUAAAGUUCCCGUAACAAUUGUUGUAGGAAUUACCAUAAUUAUUAGAGGAAUUACUAGGAUAAGGCCUAGGAUUAAAGUUUCCUCUAUACGCGUUGUUACCAAAAUUAUUCCUACCAACAAAAUUCACGUCCAUAGAUUCAUUAUUAUUCUCAAUCAAAGUAGACAAAGCCAUAUCAUUAGGAUCAGAAGAAACUCUCUUAGUAGUAAAUAAUUUCAUAAGUUCAUCCAUCUUUCCACUUAAAACAUUAAUUUCUUCUAUCGCAUGCACUUUUUUAUUAGUAGAUCUUUCAAUGUGCCAUUGAGAAUAAUUAACCAUAAUAUUAUCUAGGAGUUUAGUAGCUUCUCCUAAAGUGAUUUCCAUAAAAGUGCCUCCCGCGGCCGAAUCUAAAAGAUUUCUAGAAGCAAAAUUCAAUCCGGCAUAAAAUUUUUGUAUGAUCAUCCAUAAAUUCAAGCCAUGUGUAGGACAAUUACAUAUCAUUAAUUUCAUCCUCUCCCAAGCUUGUGCAACAUGUUCAUGAUCAAGUUGCUUAAAAUUCAUAAUAUCGUUUCUAAGAGAGAUGAUCUUAGCGGGGGGAAAAUACUCAGAGAUAAAAGCAUCUUUGCACUUAUUCCAAGAAUCAAUAGUAUUUUUAGGCAAAGAUGAAAACCAAGCUUUAGCACGAUCUCUAAGCGAAAAAGGAAAUAGCUUUAGUUUAACAAUAUCAUUAUCCACAUCUUUCUUCUUUUGCAUAUCACACAAAUAAACGAAGCUAUUUAGAUGGGUAGCAGCAUCUUCACUAGGAAGGCCGGUGAAUUGAUCUUUCAUGACAAGAUUCAACAAAGCAACAUUGAUUUCACAAGAUUCAGUAUCGGUAAGAGGAGCAAUCGGAGUGCUAAGAAAAUCAUUAUUGUUGGUAUUGGUGAAGUCACACAAUUUAGUAUUAUCUUGACCCAUCGUGACAAGCAAGCAAUCCAACACACGAGCAAACAAGACGCAAGCGAAAAAAGAGGCGAACGAAAAAGAGACGGCGAAUAAAACGGCAAAGGUGAACACUACUAGGAAAAGGGCUAUAGAUAAUAUGGACACUAAUGGCGCACCAUACAUGUGGUGCGCCACUACUAUAUACUAAUGGCGCACCAUGUGUUGGUACACCAUUAGUGUCCAAAUACUAAUGGCGCACCACAUCCACGGUGCGCCACUACUAACAAUUUUUUUUUUUCAAAACUAGUAAUGGCGCACCAGGGGAUAGUGUGCCAUUACUAGUUUAACUAGUAAUGGCGCACCACACCCUCAGUGCGCCACUACUAACAAUUUUUUUAAUUUUUUUGUCAAAACUAGUAAUGGCGCACCAGGGGACACUGCGCCAUUACUAGUUUUAACUAGUAAUGGCGACCACACCCUCGGUGCGCCACUACUAACAAUUUUUUUUAAUUUUUUUCAAAGUUACUAAUGGCGCACCGUGGGUGUGGUGCGCCAUUACUAGUUAAACUAGUAAUGGUGCACCACACCCACGGUGCGCCAUUACUAACUUUGCCCAAAAAUUCCACCGAAUGGCCCCCCUGUGGACCGCCUUUUCAGUUUUAGAAAAAAUAAAAGAAAAUGAUGGAAAUGUCAAAAAAAUAAAAUAAAACAAGUUUCCCAUUUGAUAUGUGGUCUAGUUGUUGGGAAAAUUUACAAAUAUGAAUUUUGACUUUAUUUGCAAAAUCUCUCUCGAAUUUGUAAAAUGGGCAUAACUUUUGCAUACGAACUCGGAUUAAAAAGUUUUUUAUAUGAAAAAUCAUCUACUCAAAAAGUUACAUACGAAUUGGAUCGGGGGAACCUUGUUCAACAUCUUCAAAAUCCCAAAAACCUAACAGAACGAAAGAUACGGGGCUUUUAAGAUCUAGAGGGGGGAAAAGAAAAAAAAUCAAACUUACUAGUGGCGCACCAUUUGCUAGGUGCGCCACUAGUAACAGAAAAAAAAUUGGUUUCAAAAAAACUUUUUUUUGGAAUUUUUUUUCAAAAUAUGAUACGUAAUAUGACCGGGAAGUUCAAAAUAUUUUUUCAAAAUUUCAUCACACUCAUGAACAUGAACAAAGUCCUAGACAUCAACAAGGUUUAAUAGGAUUGAUAUGCUAGAUAUAUCAACAAGUACUUGUUAAGUGAGCUGGUGCUAGGGUUGGAUAGAACUCUGAAGUUAGCGUGCUUGGGCUGGAGUAGUGUGAGGAUGGGUGACCUUUUGGGAAGUUUGACCACGGAGUGCGAUUUCACUUGAGAUUAAGUAUAUUGACCCCAGAUUAAGCCAUAGUGACCCGAGAUUAAGAAAAAAACAAAAAAAUUGAAAAAAAUAUUUCUGAAAAAAUUUGAAAAAAAAUGUUUGUAAUGGCGCACUUCUAUGUGGUGCGCAACUACUAAGUCAGAUAGUAAUGGUGCACCGUGUGAUGUACUAAUGGCGCACUGCCUGGUGCGCCAGUGUACUAAUGGCGCACCUGUGGUGCGCCAUUAGUAAAAAAUUCUAAUGGUGUGAUGCUAGUGGUGCACCUGUAGUCCGCCAUUAGUAGGCAAAACAGGUGCGCCACUAGCAGGCCUUUUCCUAGUAGUGGAAGUGGGGGAGAGGAAAACGAGAGGCAAAUGGCAAAUAAUGUAAUGCGGAAGAUAAGGGUUUGUGAUGGGUACUUGGUAUGUUGAAUUUUGCGUAGACUCCCCAGCAACGGCGCCAGAAAUCCUUCUUGCUACCUCUUGAGCACUGCGUUGGUUUUCCCUUGAAGAGGAAAGGGUGAUGCAGCAAAGUAGCGUAAGUAUUUCCCUCAGUUUUUGAGAACCAAGGUAUCAAUCCAGUAGGAGACCACGCACAAGUCCCUCGCACCUACAUAAACAAAUAAAUCCUCGCAACCAACGCAAUAAAGGGGUUGUUAAUCCCUUCACGGUCACUUACGAGAGUGAGAUCUGAUAGAUAUGAUAAGAUAAUAUUUUUGGUAUUUUUAUGAUAAAGAUGCAAAGCAAAAUAAAAGGUAAUAAAAAUAGCUAAGUGUUCGAAGAUUAAUAUGAUGGAAAAUAGACCCGGGGGCCAUAGGUUUCACUAGAGGCUUCUCUCGAGAGCAUAAGUAUUACGGUGGGUGAAUAAAUUACUGCUGAGCAAUUGAUAGAAUUGAGCAUAGUUAUGAGAAUAUCUAGGUAUGAUCAUGUAUAUUGGCAUCACGUCCGAGACAAGUAGACCGACUCCUACCUGCAUCUACUACUAUUACUCCACACAUUGACCGCUAUCCAGCAUGCAUCUAGAGUAUUAUGUUCAUAAGAACAGAGUAACGCUUUAAGCAAGAUGACAUGAUGUAGAGGGAUAAACUCAUGCAAUAUGAUAUAAACCCCAUCUUGUUAUCCUCGAUGGCAACAAUACAAUACGUGCCUUGCUGCCCCUACUGUCACUAAGAAAGGACAACGCAAGAUUGAACCCAAAGCUAAGCACUUCUCCCAUUGCAAGAAAGAUCAAUCUAGUAGGCCAAACCAAACUGAUAAUUUGAAGAGACUUGCAAAGAUAACCAAUCAUACAUAAAAGAAUUCAGAGGAGAUUCAAAUAUUGUUCAGAGAUAAACUUGAUCAUAAACCCACAAUUCAUCGGUCUCAACAAACACACCGCAAAACAAGAUUACAUCGAAUAGAUCUCCACAAGAGAGGUGGAGAACAUUGUAUUCAGAUCCAAAAGGAGAGAAGAAGCCAUCUAGCUAAUAACUAUGGACCCGAAGGUCUGAGGUAAACUACUCACACAUCAUCGGAGAGGCUAUGGUGUUGAUGUAGAAGCCCUCCGUGAUCGAUGCCCCCUCCGACGGAGCUCCGGAAAAGGCCCCAAGAUGGGAUCUCACGGGUACAGAAGGUUCCGGUGGUGAAAUUAGGUUUUUGGCUCCGUAUCUGGUAGUUUGGGGGUACGUAGGUAUAUAUAGGAGGAAGAGGUACGUCGGUGGAGCAACGUGGGGCCCACGAGGGUGGAUGGCACGCCCAGGGGGGUAGGCGCGCCCCCUACCUCGUGCCCUCCUGGUUGAUGUCUUGAUGUAGGGUCCAAGUCCUCCGGAUCACGUUCGUUCCGAAAAUCACGUUCCCGAAGGUUUCAUUCCGUUUGGACUCGGUUUGAUAUUCUUUUUCUGCGAAACUCUGAAAUAGGCAAAAAACAGCAAUUCUGGGCUGGGCCUCCGGUUAAUAGGUUAGUCCCCAAAAUAAUAUAAAAGUGUAUAAUAAAGCCCAUUAAUGUCCAAAACAGAAUAUAAUAUAGCAUGGAACAAUAAAAAAUUAUAGAUGCGUUGGAGACGUAUCACAUAGUCACAUGAAUGUUGACUUAUGUAAGAUAUUUUAAGAGUUUGUUCUGAAUAUUGUCUAUGUAAUGCCAGGCCUUGUGUUUGAUUGCAAAUUUGAGCUUGGAAUAUUGUGGCAUGUGGCAUCACGAGCUGUUUACCGUGCCUCCUGAGAAUAAUUCUUCGUAUUGUUUUGCAUGUCGAUCUAAUGCCAGUGAUUUGCUUUUUAGAAAGAUCAUCCUAUUCUGUUGUUUCCAUGCUUAAGAAGUUUAUCGUCUUAUGUUUCAUUCAUAGCCUAUACGACAAGUCGGGUUGGUUAGACAUGAAACAAUAUGAUCUUCUGACCAACUCAUCAUCUUAGGCCAUGAUUGGAUCGUUGUUUUCCAACCAAAACCGCUUGUCAAACUGACGCUUGUAAAUAAAAGCAGAUGGUCUCGGGCGAAGCGCUUGGUUGGUCGAUUUCGACUAGUAUAAUAUACACAGGUCUCUCAAAUUACACGCGUAACCCGCCAGUUUUACUUACAGACCUUGGGCCCUCGGUUUCAUUACGCCUAUAUUUUAUGCGUUGUUUCCGAUGACGAGUAAGUUACACUUGUAUCUUAAUACAGUUGUGAAAUAAACCAGAGCUCCCAAGCGCGGCCGUACCGUUUCAUGCCGUUUCAGUCUCUUGAAGGUGCUCAUAGGUGUCCGAUGAUCCUGGCUUCCUGAAUGAGCAGCGGGCGCUGUAUCAGACCAUCCGUAGGGCCCGCGAGGCCCUCUCCGUCGUCCUUCGAGUUGUUGUGCUCACCGUGGCGCCGAGCAUUGUUAACAUGGUCAAUGAACAUGAGGAUUCAGGAGAUGACUUUAUUUUGACUCGUUGACAGUAGGGACCCACUAGGGCCAUAGCCCUACGUACGCAAGUGCCUCCUUAUUAUGUACAACUAUAUUUUUUUGCUUCCUCCUGGUUUCCUGACGUCACGGUCCCACACAAUUGUCAACCUAUGUAGUCAAUAAAUGAGAGACUUGCACAAGGUGCGGCCGACAGCUGGGACCAAGCAGCUCUAGCAGUAUUUGUGUUUUUGAGGCGUGAGCACUGCAGAGUUUUUCUUGGCGAUGUUUCCGUUGUUGUCCAGAGGAGAGCAGGGUAUUAACUGGGCGGGCUGUGGCCCGUCUAGCCCAGGACAGAUAUCCUGCCCAGAUAUUAUUAUUUUUCAGGAUGAAAAUGGCUAGCCCAGCUAUACAUUUUUUUGAGGAAUACCCAGGCAAGGUCAACUUGUUAUUCUCCGCCCCGCUGGGCUGCAAAUCUUUCCUAGGAGGGAUGCAUUAGGCUUAACAGGAAAAUGGGCUUUAAAAAUAAUAAAUGGGAUGUAAUUAUAAAAACUGGGCAGUAACUAUAAAAAAAAGCACCAAGCACGGAAUUAGUUUAUAAAGUAUUAUGUAUGGAUUUUCAAAAUCUUAAUUUUUAAUUAUUGCGCGCGCAACGUUUCGUUAGAUUUUUACGUAAUACAAAUUUAUAUUUAAUCUGACUAGAAAUUUCGGGAUAAAAAUAUUUCGGAUCCCAUCAAAAUGUGGGAAAUUUUAUUGAAUUCUGUCUUGAACGGUUGUUUGAAAUUAUUAAUCGUUGUCCUAGCUAGAAAAUGGGCUAUACUUUUAACAAACUGUAAAUGGGCUGUAGUAAAUUCCAUUAGAAUUCAAAAAUGGGUUGUACAUUCUUACAAAUCGCAAAUGGGCUAUAAGUUCUCUCCCACACACUUGUGGGCCUACUAAGUUGACGCGUCCCCUAAAAAAAGAAGUUGACGCCUAUGCAAGGCUUUGUCAACUUAUUAUAGUCAACACACAGUUCUAGCAGCAGUGCCCAUUGGAUGUCCAUCCAACGGAUGCCGUGCUUCUUCUUCAAUCUCAGAUAUUGUAGCUUCACCCGCCCAAAAAAUGAUUCCUCCCCCUGACAUCUGGGGCACACCCUUUCGGAAGCUGACAUGUGGGCCUACUAAGUUGACGCGUACCAAGGGCUUUGUCAACUGAGUCAAUAUGAACGAUUCUAGCUGCAGUGACCGUACAAUGUCCAUACAACGGCCGUAGUGCUUCUUCAACCUCUGGUCUUCUUGCUCCGGCCGCCCAAAGCAGCGCCGGUCGUGCCGCGUGCUCCUGCCUCCCGUGGCUGGCUGUGAUGCCGCGGAGGCCUCACCGCCCCCUACUACUCCCAUCGCUGGCCAGGCCAUCCCUCUACUCACCCACACCCCCUGUUAUUCCGCGACGACGGCAGCCUCACACCGCAGCCGAACCAGUGAACCCUCGUACUCCUCUCUGCGCGGGCUUCCACUGCCGCGUCUUCCCCGGCUUCGUGUCGUCCCCUUCCUAGGGCUUGCCGUCGUCCACUGCCCUGGUGCUCUCGGCGCGGCGUGGUCAACGUGGUCAAGGAACGGCUUCCAUCGGACGUGGACUGUACGUGGAGAGGCUGACAGCUGGGUCCACGACAGUAGCAAGGAAGUGCCUCCUUAUUACGCGGAAAAUAAUGAUUCCUCCACCUGAGAGCAGGCACCCACCGGACGGGUCACCGUAUUUCAUGAAAAAAACGUUUGCCCCCUGACUGCUGGGACCCAUCGGACGGGCCAUCGUAUUGCGUGAAAAAAACGUUCCCCCCGCUGUCAGCUCGGACCCACCGGAAGUGCCUCCUUAUUACGCACAAAAAAAUGAAUACUCCCCUUGCUGGUUGGGACCCACCUUAGUGGGAGGCUGACUUGUGGGCCUACUAAGUUGACGGGGACGGAGUGCGUUGUCAAUUUAGUCAAUAUGAACGAUUCUAGCUUCAGUGACCGUACGAUGUCCAUCCAACGGCCGUAGUGCUUAUUCAACCUCUGGUCUUGUUGCUCCAGCCGCCCAAAGCAGCGCCGGUCGUGCCACAUGCUCCUGCCUCCCGUGGCCGGCUGUGCUGCCGCGGAGGCCUCACCGCCCCCAACUAUUCCCACUGCUGGCCAGGCCCUGCGGCGACGGCGGCCUCACACCCCAGCCGAACCAGUGAACCCUCAUACUGCUCUCCGCACGGGCUUCCACUGCCGCGUCUUCCCCGUCUCCGCGUCGUCCCCUUCCUAGGCCUCGCCGUCGUCCACCGCCCUGGUGCUCUCGGCAUGGCGUGGUCAACGUGGUCAAGGAACGGCUUCCAUCGGACGUGGACUGUAUGUGGAGAGGCUGACAGCUGGGUCCACGGCCGCAACAAGGAAGUGCCUCCUUAUUACGCGCAAAAUAAUUAUUCCUCCACCUGACAGCGGGGACCCACCGGACGGGCCACCAUAUUUCGCGAAAAAAAUGUUUCCCCCUGACUGCUGGGACCCACCAGCUACAUCUUCGCACGCAAGGAAGUGCCUGGCAGUUGGGACCCACCUGGUCGAAGCGUACGUAGCGUUGUCAUUCUGGUCGCGAACGUGUACGUACAUACUGGUCGAUGUAGAGGCGCGCAUGUGCCGUAGUAGAGGCGCGCACGUAGCAUGUACACGUACGUACAGCGGCCAGGGUGCAAGAAAGUAAAUACGGCCACGUACGUACAUAUGGGAGGGGUCUCGAACGCCUACUCGCGCGUACGUACGGCCAGGGCUCGUGUACAUGGCUGGGUCGGAACGGAGAAACAACAUCGUCGUCGUGUUCAUGGGGAGCCAACCAGCUGGGUCGGAACGGAAUGCGUCGUCGUGUUCAUAGGGAGGGCUUGGACGGAACAGCCGAUGGAAACGAGGCCUGGUGUACCGCAGAACGGAGGAAACGGCCUUGUGUUCGACUGGACACGUUUGAAAUGGGAUCCUGUUCAUCGGGAGGGGUCUGGCGUACCGCAAAACGGAGGAAACAUACCUCCUAUGGUCGAAACAGGGGUCCUGUUGAUCGGGAGGGGUGUGGCGUACCGUAAAACGGAGGAAACGGACAUGUGUUGGAGCGCUACGGUCGAAACGAGGGUCCUGUUCAUCGGGAGGGGUGUGGCGUACCGCAAAACGGGACUCCACGAGGUACUGUUCAUCUCCACCGUCGACCCCCUCCAGCCUCCACGAGCUACUGUUCAUACACCAUCGACCUCCUCCAGCCUCCACCUGCGACUGUUCAUCAACGGGCUCCUGUUCAUCCAGCCUCCGCCGCACGCUACUCCACCAGCUACUAUUCAACCAGCCCUCUCCACGGGCUCCUGUUCAACCACCCAUCCACAGGCUACUAUUCAUUCAGCCCUCCACCGUCUACUGUUCAUCCUGCCCUCCACGGGGUGGUCCUGUUCAUCCUGCCCUCCACAGGGUCCUGUUCAUCUAGCCCCAAGCGGCUUGACGAUCGGGGUCCUGUUCAUCCACCCCCACCCGGAACUGUUAAUCCAAACCCACCAGCAACGCUCAUUGUUCAUCCAGAGGCAACGCCACGGGGUCCUGUUCAUCCACCCCCACUGGGAACUGUUCAUCCAACCCCCCCAGCAAUGCUCACUGUUCAUCCAGAGGCAGCAUCGAUCGGCUUCAGUUAGCAGCAGUAGCGAAGGAAUCGCUCGAUCGGGUUCAGUUAACAGCCAUCGAUCGAUCGCUCGGGUUCAGUAACGCGUAGCCUGCAGUGCAAUCGCUCGGGUUCAGUUAGAGCCCAACACCUCGCACCCACGCGCGUGCGUGUACGAGAGAAACGCGCAUCGCUCGGCCCCGACCACCCACCGUAACCGGGAACACCCCGAUAUUUUCCUCGCCCUUGCUUCUACCACGGUUUUUUCUAUCAUGGAUGGCCCAAAGAAUGUGAUGCAGCUGUGUCUCCGGCCCGCCCAGGACGAAAAGCCCAUUUUUUGUCAUCAUUUUUUGUCAUAGAAGUAGGACCCCACCACAUCUAUGAUGAUAGCAGGAUUUGUCAAAAUUAUCGUCAUAGAAGUGUCAUAAGUAUCACAAAAAAAAUUGUUCGGCCCAAAUUGUCACGGAUGUGUAUUUUUUUUGUAGUGACCUCAUCGCUACACCAGCGACUAUAUUGCCCGUUCCUCCUUGUCGCUACACCAGCGAAUCUAUCGCCCGUUCCUCCUUGCCGCUACAGCAGCGAAUGUAUCGCCCGCCCCGAGGCACUAGCAGGGUCGCCACCCCGGGGCAAGCGAAACUUCACCUCGACCUUGCUCUAAUACCAAUUGUUGGAAUUUUUGCCACAGGAUCGAUCACAUCAAAUCACACGAACGCACGCGCACAAAAACUGAUAGCCGAGGGGACCUUCUCGUGCCCUCUUUUCUUCCUCUUUACUAGAUUGAUCUUUGUUGCAAUGGGAGAAGUGCUUAGCUUUGGGUUCAAUCUUGCGGUGUCCUUUCCGAGUGACAGCAGGGGCAGCAAGGAACGUACUGUAUUGUUGCCAUCGAGGCUAAAAAGAUGGGGUUUAUAUCAUAUUGCUUGAGUUUAUCCCUCUACAUCAUAUCAUCUUGCCUAAUGCGUUACUCUGUUCUUAUGAAUUUAAUACUCUAGAUGCAUGCUGGAUAGCGGUCGAUGUGUGGAGUAAUAGUAGUAGAUGCAGAAUCGUUUCGGUCUACUUGACACGGACGUGAUGCCUAUAUACAUGAUCAUGCCUAGAUAUUCUCAUAACUAUGCGCUUUUCUAUCAAUUGCUCGACAGUAAUUUGUUAACCCACCGUAGAAUUUUCUAUCUUGAGAGAAGCCACUAGUGAAACCUAUGGCCCCCGGGUCUAUUUUCCAUCAUAUAAGUUUCCGAUCUAUUUUAUUUUGCAAUCUUUACUUUCCAAUCCUACAACAAAAAUACCAAAAAUAUUUAUCUUAUUAUCUUUAUCAGAUCUCACUAUUGCAAGUGGGCGUGAAGGGAUUGACAACCCCUUUAUCACGUUGGUUGCAAGGUUCUUAUUUGUUUGUGCAGGUACUAGGGAUUUGCGUGUAGUCUCCUACUGGAUUGAUACCUUGGUUCUCAAAACUGAAGGAAAUACUUACACUACUUUGUUCCAUCACCCUUUCCUCUUCAAGGGAAAACCAACGCAUGCUCAAGAGGUAGCAAGAAGGAUUUAUGGCGCCAUUGCCGGGGAGGUUUACGCCAAGUCAAGUCAAGAUUUGAUCUACCGUCAACGAGCCGAUUUUUGGCACCGUUGCCGAGGAGAUCUACGCACAAGUCAAGACAUAGCAAGUACCAAUCACAAACCCUUAUCCCUUGCAUUACAUUCUUUGCCAUUUGCCUCUCGUGUUCCUCUCGCCCACUUCACCUUUGCCGUUUUAUUCACCCUCCUUCCGUUCGAUCUUGUGUUACUUCUACCUCUUGAGCACUGCGUUGGUUUUCCCUUGAAGAGGAAAGGGUGAUGCAGUAAAGUAGCGUAAGUAUUUCCCUCAGUUUUUGAGAACCAAGGUAUCAAUCCAGUAGGAGGCCACGCUCAAGUCCCUCGCACCUACACAAACAAAUAAAAACCUCGCAACCAACGCAAUAAAGGGGUUGUCAAUCCCUUCACGGUCACUUACGAAAGUGAGAUCUGAUAGAUAUGAUAAGAUAAUAUUUUUGGUAUUUUUAUAAUAAAUAUGCAAAGUAAAAUAAAAGGCAAUAAAAUAGCUAAGUGUUGGAAGAAUAAUAUGAUCGGAAACAGACCCGGGGGCCAUAGGUUUCACAAGUGGCUUCUCUCAAGAGCAUAAGUAUUACGGUGGGUGAACAAAUUACUGUUGAGCAAUUGAUAGAAUUGAGCAUAGUUAUGAGAAUAUCUAGGUAUGAUCAUGUAUAUAGUCAUCACGUCCGUGACAAGUAGACCGACUCUUGCCUGCAUCUACUACUAUUACUCCACACAUCGACCGCUAUCCAGCAUGCAUCUAGAGUAUUAAGUUCAAAAGAACAGAGUAAUGCUUUAAGUAAGAUGACAUGAUGUAGAGGGAUAAACUCAUGAAAUGUGAUAUAAACCCCAUCUUGUUAUCCUCCAUGGCAACAAUACAAUACGUGCCUUGCUGCCCCUGCUGUCACUGGGAAAGGACACCGCAAGAUUGAACCCAAAGCUAAGCACUUCUCCCAUUGCAAGAAAGAUCAAUCUAGUAGGCGAAACCAAGCUGAUAAUUCGAAGAGACUUGCAAAGAUAACCAAUCAUACAUAAAAGAAUUCAGAGAAGAUUCAAAUAUUGUUCAUAGAUAAACUUGAUCAUAAACCCACAAUUCAUCGGUCUCAACAAACACACCGCAAAAGAAGAUUACAUCGAAUAGAUCUCCACGAGAAUCGUGGAGAACUUUGUAUUGAGAUCCAAAGAGAGAGAAGAAGCCAUCUAGCUAAUAACUAUGGACCCGAAGGUCUGAGGUAAACUACUCACACAUCAUAGGAGAGGCUAUGGUGUUGAUGUAGAAGCUCUCCGUGAUCAAUGCACCCUUCGGCAGGAUGCCGGAAAAGGCCCCAAGAUGGGAUCUCAUGGGUACAGAAGGUUGUGGCGGUGGAAUUAGGUUUUCGUGGAUGCCUCUGUUGGUUUGGGGGUACGUAGGUAUAUAUAGGAGGAAGAAGUACGUCAGUGGAGCAACAUGGGCCCCACGAGGGUGGAGGGCGCGCCCAGGGGGUAGGCGCGCCCCCCUGCCUCAUGCUCUCCUGGUUGAUUUCUUGACGUAGACUCCAAGUCCUCUGGAUGACGUUGGUUCCGAAAAUCACGUUCCUGAAGGUGUCAUUCCGUUUGGACUCCGUUUGAUAUUCUUUUUCUGCGAAACUCUAAAAUAGGCAAAAAAACAGCAAUUUGGGCUGGGCCUCUGGUUAAUAGGUUAGUCCCAAAAAUAAUACAAAAGUGUAUAACAAAGCCCAUUAAUCAUCCAAAACAGAAUAUAAUAUAGCGUGAAGCAAUCAAAAAUUAUAGAUACGUUGGAGACGUAUCAAGCAUCCCCAAGUUUAAUUCCUGCUCGUCCUCGAGUAGGUAAAUGAUAAAAACAGAAUUUUUGAUGCGGAAUGCUACUAGGCAUAAUUUUUUAAUGUAACCCUCUUAAUUGUGGUAUGAAUAUUCAGAUAUGAAAGAUUCAAGAUAAAAGUUUAAUAUCGACAUAAAAGUAAUAAUACUUCAAGCAUACUAACUAAGAAAUUAUGUCUUCUCAAAAUAACAUGGCCAAAGAAAGUUCAUCCCUACAAAAUCAUAUAGUUUAGUCAUGCUCCAUUUUUGUCACAUGAGAAUGCUCUCAUCAUGCACAACCCCGAUGACAAGCCAAGAAAUUGUUUCGUACUUUAGUAAUCUCAAACUGUUUCAACCUUCACGCAAUAGAUGAGCGUGAGCCAUGGAUAUAGCACUAUGGUUGGAAUAGAAUAUAAUGAUGGGGGUUAUGUGGAGAAGACAAAAAAGGAGAAAGUCUUACAUCAACACGGCUAAUCAAUGGGCUAUGGAGAUGCCCAUCGGUUGAUGUUAAUGCAAGGAAUAGGGAUUGCCAUGCAACGGAUGCACUAGAGCUAUAAAUGCAUAAAAGCUCAACAAAAGAAACUAAGUGGGUGUGAAUCCAACUUGCUUGUUCACGAAGACCUAGGGCAUUUGAGGAAGCCCAUUGUUGGAAUAUACAAGCCAAGUUCUAUAAUGAAAAAUUCCCACUAGUAUAUGAAAGUGAUAAAACAAGAGACUCUCUAUCAUGAAAAUCAUGGUGCUACUUUGAAGCACAAGUGUGGAAAAAAGAGAGGAUAGCAUUGUCCCUUUUUAUUAUAUUUUUUGGGGCCUCCUUUUUUUAUUUGGCCUUUCUUUUUUUUGGCGCAAUGCUCUAUGAAUGAUGAUCAUCACACUUCUAUUUAUUUACAAUUCAAUGAUUACAACUCGAUACUAGAACAAGGUAUGACUCUAUAUGAAUGCCUCCGGCGGUAUACCGGGAUAGGCAAUGAAUCAAGAGUGACAUGUAUGAAAAAUUAUGAACGGUGGCUUUGCCACAAAUACGAUGUCAACUACAUGAUCAUGCAAAGCAAUAUGACAAUGAUGAACGUGUCAUGAUAAACGGAACGGUGGAAAGUUGCAUGGCAAUAUAUCUCGGAAUGGCUAUGGAAAUGCCAUAAUAGGUAGGUAUGGUGGCUGUUUUGAGGAAGAGAUAUAAGGAGGUUUAUGUGUGACAAAGCGUAUCAUAUCACGGGGUUUGGAUGCACCGGCGAAGUUUGCACCAACUCUCAAUGUGAGAAAGAGAAAUGCACGGUACCGAAGAUGCUAGCAAUGAUGGAAGGGUAAGAGUGCGUAUAAUCCAUGGACUCAACAUUAGUCAUAAAGAACUCACAUAAUUAUUGCAAAAAUCUACAAUUCAUGAAAAACCAAGCACUACGCGCAUGCUCCUAGGGGGAUAGAUUGGUAGGAAAAGACCAUCGCUCGUCCCUGACCGCCACUCAUAAGGAAGACAAUCAAAGAACACCUCAUGUUUCAAAUUUGUUACAUAAUGUUUACCAUACGUGCAUGCUACGGGGCUUGAAAACUUCAACACAAGUAUUUAUCAAUUUCACAACUACUCAACUAGCACAACUUUAAUAUCACUACCUCCAUAUCUCAAAACAAUCAUCAAGCAUCAAACUUCUCUUUGUAUUCAGCGCACUCAUAAGAAAGUUUUUACUAGUCUUGAAUACUUAGCAUAUUAGGAUUAAUUUUCCUAUUUAAACAAAUUACCAUGCUCUUUAAGACUCUCAAAAUAAUAUAAGUGAAGUAUGAGAGAAUAAUAGUUUCUAUAAAACAAAACCACCGCCGUGCUCUAAAAGAUAUAAGUGAAGCACUAGAGCAAAAAACUAUAUACCUCAAAGGAUAUAGGCGAAGCGCAUAGAGUAUUCUAAUAAAUUCCGAAUCAUGUGUGUAUCUCUCAAAAGGUGUGUACAGCAAAGAUGAUUGUGGUAAACUAAAAAUAAAAGAAUCAAAUCAUACAAGACGCUCCAAGCAAAACACAUAUCAUGUGGUGAAUAAAAAUAUAGCUCCAAGUAAAGUUACCGAUGGAAGUAGACGAAAGAGGGGAUGCCUUACGGGGCAUCCCCAAGCUUUGGAUUUUUGGUGUCCUUAGAUUAUCUUGGGGUGCCAUGGGCAUCCCCAAGCUUAGGUUCUUGCCACUCCUUGUUCCAUAAUCCAUCAAAUAUUUUACCCAAAACUUGAAAACUUCACAACACAAAACUUAACAGAAAAUCUCGUGAGCUCCGUUAGCGAAAGAAAACAAAACACCACUUCACGGUACUGUAAUGAACUCAUUCUUUAUUUAUAUUGGUGUUAAUCCUAAUUUAUUCCAAGUUCUCUAUGAUUUAUAAACUAUUUUAUUAGCCAUAGAUUCAUCAAAAUAAGCAAACAACACACGAAAAACAAAAUCUGUCAAAAACAGAACAGUCUGUAGUAAUCUGUAACUAACGCAAACUUCUGGAACUCCAAAAAUUCGGCCAAAAUAGGAAGACCUAGACAAUUUGUCUAUUGAUUAUCAGCAAUUGGAAUCAAUAUUUUAUCACUCUCUGGUGAUUUUUAACAAUUGUUUUCAUGAACAGGAAGUUUCUGGAAUUUUCAACAAGAUCAAAUAACUAUCAUCCAAGAAGAUCCUAUAGGUUUAACUUGGCACAAACACUAAUUAAAACAUAGAAACAAAUCUAACCAGAGGCUAGAUCAAAGAUUUAUUCCUAAACAGAAGCAAAAAGCAAGAAAAAUAAAAAUAAAAUUGGGUUGCCUCCCAACAAGCGCUAUCGUUUAACGCCCCUAGCUAGGCAUAAAAACACGGAUAGAUCUAGGUAUUGUCAUAAUAAUAGGAUAGAUCACGAAAACUCAUUUCAUAUUCUCUACGUUCAGCAGCAAAUUUUCUUUGAGGCAAGCAAAAUUAAUCAAAAGGGCUAAAUUUAAUGGGACAAGAGUCCCCAAGAUCAAUUUUGGGAGGUAUAGGUUCCUCCUUCGGCCCUUUGUAUUGCACAACCAAUUCAUCAUUAUAAGCAUUCUUCUGACAGAACUUUGUGAGCCUAUACUCGAGAGAAUAUCCUAGCUCAUUAUUUCGGAUAGCAAAAUCAUUAUUAAGUUCAGAAAUUCUAUCAACUAGAACAUUGGUAGGAACCCUUUUUCUAAGGUUUUCAUUAAAAGCAACAUAGUCUAGAGAUUGAAAACGCAUUAUUUCCUCUUGAUCAAAGAGGAUUGCCUCUAUGGGAGAAUGGUCAGCGUCCACCCUAUAGUGCGCAAAGAUUUCUUUGGCCUCUUUUAUUAUAAAUCUGAAUUAAUGAGCCAAGAAAAUAGUAGCGGCACGCUUAACAGAAGAAUGCUCAAUAUUAGAAAAUUCUAAGGAAAUCCUUUGUAUGCAAGGAUGCAUGUGCAUAAAUUGUCUUUCAAGUUAACCACAAGCAUGGCGAUAGCGUCCGCAAGACUACUAGUUCUAUGGAGAAUAGAACUACCCAUAGAAGGCAAAGCACCCGCACAAGUAAAGAAAUCUUGAAUAACCCCUUUUCCAAUGAUAUUACCGCUACCAAUUCAGAAUUUUUUUGUAUGUAAGAUAGGGGGUUCUUCAGCAAGAGCAUCAGAAUUUUGCAUGUUACAUUACUGUCCAUAUCGACAAUAAUUUCCCCAAUUUCAGACAUAACGGCAGAAAAAUACAGGGAGCAAGCGAAAGAGGCAAACGGAAAGAGGGGGCGAAUAAAACAGCAAGGGUGAAGUGGGGGAGAGGAAAACGAGAGGCAAAUGGCAAAUAAUGUAAUGCGGGAGAAAAGAGUUUGUGAUGGGUACUUGGUAUGUUGACUUUUGCGUAGACUCCCCAGCAACGGCGCCAGAAAUCCUUCUUGCUACCUCUUGAGCACUGCGUUGGUUUUCCCUUGAAGAGGAAAGGGUGAUGCAGUAAAGUAGCGUAAGUAUUUCCCUCAGUUUUUGAGAACCAAGGUAUCAAUCCAGUAGGAGGCCAUGCUCAAGUCCCUCGCACCUACACAAACAAAUAAAAACCUCGCAACCAACGCAAUAAAGGGGUUGUCAAUCCCUUCACGGUCACUUAUGAAAGUGAGAUCUGAUAGAUAUGAUAAGAUAAUAUUUUUUGGUAUUUUUAUAAUAAAUAUGCAAAGUAAAAUAAAAGGAAAUAAAAAUAGCUAAGUGUUGGAAGAUUAAUAUGAUGGGAAAUAGACCCGGGGGCCAUAGGUUUCACUAGUGUCUUCUCUCAAGAGCUUAAGUAUUACGGUGGGUGAACAAAUUACUGUUGAGCAAUUGUAUUAAUUGAGCAUAGUUAUGAGAAUAUCUAGGUAUGAUCAUGUAUAUAGGCAUCUCGUCCGUGACAAGUAGACCGACUCCUGCCUGCAUCUACUACUAUUACUCCACACAUCGACCGCUAUCCAGCAUGCAUCUAGAGUAUUAAGUUCAAAAGAACAGAGUAAUGCUUUAAGUAAGAUGACAUGAUGUAGAGGGAUAAACUCAUGAAAUAUGAUAUAAACCACAUCUUGUUAUCCUCGAUGGCAACAAUACAAUACCUGCCUUGCUACCCCUACUGUCAAUGGGAAAGGACACCGCAAGAUUGAACCCAAAGCUAAGCACUUCUCCCAUUGCAUGAAAGAUCAAUCUAGUAGGCCAAACCAAACUGAUAACUCGAAGAGACUUUCAAAGCUAACCAAUCAUACAUAAAAGAAUUCAGAGAAGAUUCAAAUGUUGUUCAUAGAUAAACUUGAUCAUAAACCCACAAUUCAUCGGUCUCAACAAACAAACCGCAAAAGAAGAUUACAUCGAAUAGAUCUCCACGAGAAUCAUGGAGAACUUUGUAUUGAGAUCCAAAGAGAGAGCAGAAGCCACUAGCUAAUAACUAUGGACCCGAAGGUCUGAGGUAAACUACUCACACAUCAUCGGAGAGGCUAUGAUGUUGAUGUAGAAGCCCUCCGUGAUCAAUGCCCCUUCGGCAGGACGCCGGAAAAGGCCCCAAGAUGGGAUCUCACGGGUACAGAAGGUUGCGGCGGUGGAAUUAGGUUUUCGUGGAUGCCUUUGUUGGUUUGGGUGUACGUAGGUAUAUAUAGGAGGAAGAAGUACGUCGGUGGAGCAACGUGGGCCCCACGAGGGUGGAGGGCGCGCCCAGGGGGGUAGGCGCGCCCCCUGCUUCGUGCUCUCCUGGUUGAUUUCUUGACGUAGACUCCAAGUCCUCUGGAUCAUGUUUGUUCCGAAAAUCACGUUCCCGAAGGUUUCAUUCCGUUUGGACUCCGUUUGAUAUUCUUUUUCUGCGAAACUCUGAAAUAGGCAAAAAACAGCAAUUUGGGCUAGGCCUCCGGUUAAUAGGUUAGUCCCAAAAAUAAUAUAAAAGUGUAUAACAAAGCCCAUUAAUCAUCCAAAACAGAAUAUAAUAUAGCAUGAAGCAAUCAAAAAUUAUAGAUAUGUUGGAGACGUAUCAGUUACCAUGUGCCUUCUUUUUGCUUGCAUCUUCGCUUGCUAAAAGAUCUAUGGAUCCUCAUCUGCUUGCCAAUCUUUUUAAGAGAUCCAAUUAUGAUGAACCAAUUUCUAGUGAUUUGAGUGCACUAGAUUAUCUUUAUGAGGUUUUGCUUGAAAUUCGUGAAUCUGAAAAUUGUGAUGAAGAAAUUUAUGAAGAGAUUCAUGAUAGCUCCUUGAAUAAAAAGCAUGAUUGCAAUUCUUUUACUAUAAAUUCUCUUGAUGUCAAUUGUGCUAAUAAUAUGCAAAACCCUAAGCUUGGGGAUGCUAGUUUUGCUAUGUCUACUACUUGUUGCAAUGUUCAUGAUUGGGGUGAUUCUUCUUAUGAUCUUGAAAAUUUAUUUAAGCCCCAUGAUGAAUAUGAGAUUGAUAAUAGUGUUUGCAAUAAUAUUUAAUGUGGGUUUGGAAGAGUUUCAACUUUAGAUCCCACAUAUUUGGAGAAUGUUCAAUCUUAUGGUAUUUUUGAUAAAAGUGGGUUUGGAGAGGUCAUGACUUUAGUUAAUGAUAAUCCCACUAUUUUGGAAGAGUGUCAACUUCACAUGCAUGUGGAUCAUGUUGAGAAUAUGUUAUGUGAUAGCUAUUUUGUUGAAUUUGCCUAUGAUCCUACAUGUAAUUAUUAUGACAGAGGAAAAUAUGGUUGUAGAAAUUUUGAUCUUACUAAAUUACCUCUCGUCAUGUUGAGAUUGCUAUCGUCUCUUUCUUCUUCCUUGCAUAUGCUAUGUUUUGAUUGCUAUGAUAAUUUGUUUGCUUAUAAAAUGCCUAUUCAUAGGAAGUAUGUUAGACUUAGAUGUGUUUAUUAUGCGUUCUAUGAUGUUCUCUUUGUGCUUUAAUUCUUGUCUUUGAUGUGAGGAUCAUAAAAAUUAUUAAUGCCUAGCUAGGUGUGUUAAACGAUAGCGCUUGUUGGGAGGCAACCCAAUUUUAUUUUUGUUCCUGUUUAGUAAAUAAUAAUUCAUCUAGCCUCUGGUUAGAUGUGGUUUUAUGUUUUAAUUAGUGUUUGUGCCAAGUAAAACCUAUAGGAUCUUCUUGGAUGAUAAUUAUUUGAUCUUGCUAAAAAAGUGAGAAACUUUCUGCUCAUGAAAACAAUUGUUAAAAAUUACCAGAAUGUGAUAAAAUACUAAUUCCAAUUGCAGUAGAUCAAUAAGAAAAUUAUUUAGGUCUUCCUAUUUUGGCAGAAUUUUGAGUUACAUAAGUUUGCGUUUGAUGCAGAUUACUACAGACUGUUCUGUUUUUGACAGAUUCUGUUUUUCCUGUGUUGUUUGCUUAUUUUCAUGAAUCUAUGGCUAGUAUCGGGGGGUAUGAACCAUAGAGAAGUUGGAAUACAGUAGUUUUAACACCAAUAUAAAUAAAUAAUGAGUUCAUUACAGUACUUUAUUGUGGUGGUUUGUUUUCUUGCACUAACGGAGCUCAUGAGAUUUUCUGUUGAGUUUUGUGUUGUGAAGUUUUCAAGUUUUGGGUAAAGAUUUGAUGGAUUAUGGAAUAAGGAGUAGCAAGAGCCUAAGAUUUUGGAUGCCCAGGGAACCUCAAGGUAAAAUUCAAGGAAAACCAAAAGCCUAAGCUUGGGGAUGCCCAGGAAGGCAUCCCCUCGUUCGUCUUCGUCCAUCGGUAACUAUACUUGAGGCUAUAUUUUUAUUCACCACAUGAUAUGUGUUUUGCUUGGAGCGUCUUGUAUGAUUUGAGUCUUUGAUUUUUAUCCUUGCUGUACACACCUUGCUGUACACACCUUUUGGAGAGACACACAUGAAUCAGAAUUUAUUAGAAUACUCUAUGUGCUUCACUUAUAUCUUUUGAGCUAGAUAAUUUUGCUCUAGUGCUUCGCUUAUAUCUUUUAGAGCACGGUGGUGGUUUUAUUUUAUAGAAAUUAUUGAUCUCUAAUGCUUCACUUAUAUUAUUUUGAGACUCUUUUAGAACAGCAUGGUAAUUUGCUUUGGCUAUAAAAUUAGUCCUAAUAUGAUAGGCAUCCAAGAUGGGUAUAAUAAAAACUUUCAUAUAGAGUGCAUUGAAUACUAUGAGAAGUUUGAUACUUGAUGAUUGUUUUUGAGAUAUGAAGAUGGUAAUAUUAAAGUUCUACUAGUUGAGUAAUUGUGAAUUUGAGCAAUACUUGUGUUGAAGUUUGCAAGUCCCGUAGCAUGCACGUAUGGUAACCGUUGUGUAACAAAUUUGAAGCAUGAGGUAUUUAUUUGAUUGUCAUCCUUUGUGUGGAGGUCGGGAUCGCGCGAUGGUUAACUCCUACCAACCCUUCCCCUAGGAGCAUGCGUGUAUUGCCUGGUUUUGAUGACUCGUAGAUUUUUGCAAUAAGUAUGUGAGUUCUUUAUGACUAAUGUUGUGUCCAUGGAUUAUACGCACUCUCACCUUUCCAUCAUUGCUAGCCUCUUCGAUACCGUGCAUUGCCCUUUCUCACCUAGAGAGUUGGUGCAAACUUCGCCGGUGCAUCCAAACCCCGUGAUAUGGUACGCUCUAUCACACAUAAACCUCCUCAUAUCUUCCUCAAAACAGCCACCAUACCUACCUAUUAUGGCAUUUCCAUAGCCAUUCCGAGAUAUAUUGCCAUGCAACUUUCCACCGUUUCAUUUAUUAUGACACGCUUCAUCAUUGUCAUAUUGCCUUGCAUGAUCAUGUAGUUGACAUCAUAUUUGUGGCAAAGCCACCAUGCAUAAUUUUCAUACAUCUCACUCUUGAUUCAUUGCCCAUCCCGGUACACCGCCAGAGGCAUCCAUGUAGAGUCAUAUUUUGUUGUAGUAUCGAGUUGUAAUCUUUGAGUUGUAAAUAAAUAGAAGUGUGAUGAUCAUCAUUAUUAGAGAAUUGUCCCGAAAAAAAAGAGAAUGGCCAAAUAAAAAAGGAAAGGCCCAAAAAAAAGAGAUAAAAAGGGGACAAUGCUACAAUCUUUUUUCCACACUUGUGCUUUAAAGUAGCGCCAUGAUCUUUAUGAUAGAGAGUCUCUUAUUUUGUCACUUUCAUAUACUUGUGGGAAUUUUUCAUUAUAGAACUUGGCUUGUAUAUUCCAACAAUGGGCUUCCUCAAAUGCCCUAGGUCUUCGUGAGCAAGCAACUUGGAUUCACACCCACUUAGUUUCUUUUGUUGAGCUUUCAUACAUUUAUAGCUCUAGUGCAUCCGUUGCAUGGCAAUCCCUACUCCUUGCAUUGACAUCAAUUGAUUGGCAUCUCCCUAGCCUAUUGAUUAGCCGCGUCAAUGUGAAACUUUCUCCUUUCUUGUCUUCUCCACACAACCCCCAUCAUCAUAUUCUAUUCCACCCAUAGUAUUAUGUCCAUGGCUCACGCUCAUGUAUUGCGUGAAAAUUGAAAAAGUUUGAAAAGGCUAAAGUAUGAAACAAUUGCUUGGCUAUUGAACUUUUGUCUUGAAUCUUUCGGAUCUGAACAUUAAGGCCACAUUAAAGAAAAUUACAUUGAAAAUUAUGUUGGGUAGCAUUCCACAUCAAACAUUCUGUUUUUAUCAUUUACCUACUCGAGGACGAGCAGGAAUUAAGCUUGGGGAUGCUUGAUACGUCUCCAACAUAUCUAUGAUUUUUGAUUGUUGCAUGCUAUUAUAUUAUCUAUUUUGGAUGUUUAAUGGGCUUUAUUAUGCACUUUUAUAUUAUUUUUGGGACUAACCUACUAACCAAAGGCCCAAGUUGCCUAUUUCAGUGUUUCGCGAAAAGAAAUAUCAAACGGAAUGAAACCUUCGGGAGAAUCAUUUUUAGAACAAACGCAAUUUAGGAGACUUGGAGUGGACGUCAAGGAAGCAACGAGGCGGCCAUAAGGUAGGACGGCGCGCCCCUACCCUCGUGGGCCCCUCAUGGCUCCACUGACCUACUUCUUUCACCUACAUAUACUCAUAUACCCUGAAAACAUCAAGGAGCACCACGAAACCAUAUUUCCACCCCCGCAACCUUCUGUACCCGUGAGAUCCCAUCUUGGGGCCCUUUCCGGCGCUCGCCGGAGGGGAAAUCAAUCACGGAGAGCUUCUACAUCAACACCCUAGGAGCAUGCAUGAGAAGAGCAUGCAUGAAGAGGGGUGCUGGGAUGAGCAUGCGCGAAGAGGGAACAACUAUGCUGAGACGAGAAUGCAACCAAACACACUAUGGCGAGCGUUCGCAACUACGACGUUCGGUUUGCCCUUGGCUCUUCACCCCUUCGAGAAGACGAACAAUGAUUUUACUACUACUUAUACAAUAUCGAAUCCACUGCUGCAUGUCCGUCCACCACAUGCGGGAGGGAUAGCUUGUUGUAUACUCUAUAUUUGCUGCAACCUCUAACAUUUACCCCACCACAAAUUAAAAUAUAUAUUCCUAUUGUGACCAGAUGAGCAUGAAAACUACAAUCACCAGGAUGACAGGUAGGGCCAGAAGAUUAUUUUAAUCAAAAAAAGCAUGGAGCCGACCCCAACGAUUUUAAGCAUACAGACACGGUACACGCUAUCCUAGACUACUCUACACAUGAAACUGCCACACGAGCAUCCGGGUUGCGCUUGGCUCUUCGCCUCUUCGGGAAGUCGAACAAUGAUGGAGUACUAUUGCAGUGGAGGAGUACUAAAAUUUUCUUCUGGCCAUCUGUCACCGAUUGAACUGCUGCAUGUCCACCGCGUGCGGGAGGGAGAGCGUGUAGCGACCGAAAGCUUCUCCUAGUCCUGCAGCCACCACGCUCAUGGGCGAGGGAGGGACGUAGCUUCAUUGACUUACUGCUCCUGCCUUUGCGUGUAUGACAGGUAGGCCUAAUAGGUGGGUGGCCCACCUGUCAUGCAGCCAGAGGUAGGUGCACGAGGGAGAGGGCGUUGUAGUAAUCAAACUUCUCGGUCUUGUACGAUUUGAUGCGACACAUCAAAGCACUGCACUUGAUAUAUUUCAAUAAUUUGCAUUUACCGAUGCAUUAAUUACAAUGCAUGCAUGCAUGUCGUGACUCUCCUUUUGAUACUUGGAUGUGUUGAUUUAAUGCACCUUGCCAAAUUUUGACUAUAAAUUUAACUAACCAAAUGUUCAUGCAUGUCACAAAAAAUUACAUAAUUGAAAACUAUGUUCAAAUACGAAUCAAACGAUAUAAUUUUUAUUAACAUGCACUAACAUUUUGUCAGUUAAAUCUUUGGUCAAAAUUUAGUACCAAUUACAAAGGGGCCCAAUAAAUAUUGCACUCUCACAUUUUGUUUCGACGAUACUCCCACAUAGAAAAUAUAAAUAAUAAUGCAUGUUGGGGCAGCCCACGUUUCCGAUAAUUUUAGCCGUGGGCUUUUUCACAAAUUUUACGAGGGGGUGGUUGUUCAAUUAAUGGAGGGUCUUGUACCAAACUUGAACGAUACAAAGUGCGACCUGGCACACCAUAACACCACUUGGAAUAAGCGGGUAGCUCUCUCAAAAAACAAUCAACAACUCAAAAAAACGGCGACCUGGCACGUACACAAUUUUAAACGAUUGUUUUGAUGGAGUGAAAAAGGAAAACUACCCCACUACGUAUAUAUAGGCUGGAGCCUUCGCGCUUGCUUGCUAGGGUUGCUCUAUUCACACACUCUCAUCCUCUCUAGAUCUAAACAAGAUAGCGGUGGUAACACUGUCUUUAUCCCUUCAAAAAAAUUGUCUUUCUAUCCUCACCGCUGGUUACAGAUCCGGACGUAUCCCCCUCCGCCGGUGAAUAGGACACUAAUAGGAAAAGGGCUAUAGCUAAUAUGGAAAUUAAUGGCGCACCAUGUAUGUGGUGCGCCACUACUAUAUAGCAGUGGCACACUAGAUACAGGUGCCCCAUUAUUGACAUAUUACUAAUGGAGCACCUGAUGUGUGGUGCGCCAUUACUAGUUUAGAAAAAAAAUAUAAAAAAUUGUUAGUAAUGGCGCACCAGGGGAUUGAUACGUCUCCAACGUAUCUAUAAUUUUGAUUGCUCCAUGCUAUAUUAUCUACUGUUUUGGACAUUAUUGGGCUUUAUUAUUCACUUUUAUAUUAUUUUUGGGACUAACCUAUUAACCGGAGGCCCAGCCCAGAAUUGCUGUUUUUUGCCUAUUUCAGAGUUUCGCAGAAAAGGAAUAUCAAACGGAGUCCAAACGGAAUGAAACCUUCGGGAACGUGAUUUUUAGGAAGAUUAUGAUCCAGGAGACAUGGACCCUACGUCAAGAAACAAAGGAGGAAGCCACGAGGUAGGGGGGCACGCCCUCCACCCUCGUGGCCCCCCUAUUGCUCCACCGACGUACUCCUUCCUCCUAUAUAUACAUACGUACCCCCAAACGAUCAGAUACGGAGCCAAAAACCUAAUUCCAUCGCCGCAACCUUCUGUACCCACGAGAUACCAUCUUGGGGCCUGUUUCGGAGCUCCGCCGGAGGGGGCAUCCAUCACGGAGGGCUUCUACAUCAACACCAUAGCCUGUCCGAUGAAGUGUGAGUAGUUUAAUUACCUCAGACCUUCGGGUCCAUAGUUAGUAGCUAGAUGGCUUCUUCUCUCUCUUUGGAUCUCAAUACAAUGUUCUCCCCCUCUCUCGUGGAGGUCUAUUCAAUGUAAUCUUCUUUUGCGGUGUGUUUGUUGAGACCGAUGAAUUGUGGGUUUAUGAUCAAGAUUAUCUAUGAACAAUAUUUGAAUCUUCUCUGAAUUCUUUUAUGUAUGAUUGGUUAUCUUUGCAAGUCUCUUCGAAUUAUCAUUUUGGUUUGCCCUACUAGAUUGAUCUUUCUUGCAAUGGGAGAAGUGCUUAGCUUUGGGUUCAAUCUUGCGGUGUCCUUUCCCAGUGACAGUAGGGGCAGCAAGGCACGUAUUGUAUUGUUGCCAUCGAGGAUAACAAGAUGGGGUUUUCUAUCAUAUUGCAUGAAUUUAUCCCUCUACAUCAUGUCAUCUUGCUUAAAGAGUUACUCUGUUUUCAUGAACUUAAUACUCUAGAUGCAUGCUGGAUAGCGGUAGAUGAGUGGAGUAAUAGUAGUAGAUGCAGGCAGGAGUUGGUCUACUUGUCUCGGACGUGAUGCCUAUAUACAUGAUCAUACCUAGAUAUUCUCAUAACUAUGCUCAAUUCUAUCAAUUGCUCAACAGUAAUUCGUUCACCCACCGUAAAAUACUAAUGCUCUUGAGAGAAGCUACUAGUGAAAUCUAUGGCCCUCGGGCCUAUCUUCAUCAUAUUUAUCUUCCAACACUUAGUUAUUUCCUUUGCUUUUUUACUUUGCUUUUAUUUUACUUUGCAUCUCUAUCACAAAAAUACCGAAAAUAUUAUCCGAUCAUAUCUAUCAGAUCUCACUCUCGUAAUUGACCGUGAAGGGAUUGACAACCCCUUAUCGUGUUGGUUGCGAGGAGUUAUUUGUUUUGUGUAGGUAUGAGGGACUCGCGCGUAGCCUCCUACUGGAUUGAUACCUUGGUUCUCAAAAACUGAGGGAAAUACUUACCGCUACUUUGCUGCAUCAGCCUUUCCUCUUCAAGGGAAAACCAACGCAGUGCUCAAGAGGUAGCAAGAAGGAUUUCUAGCGCCGUUGUCGGGGAGUCUACACAAAAGUCAACAUACCAAGUACCCAUCACAAAUCCCUUAUCUCUCGUAUUACAUUAUUUACCAUUUGCCUCUCGUUUUCCACUUCCCCACUUCACCCUUGUCGUUUUAUUCGCCCUCCCUUUUCGUUUGUUUGCCUUGUAGUCAUGGCUAGUCCUUUAUCUUCUUCGUUGUCUCCCGAAAAUGAAGUUCUCAAUUUUAAACAAAGGGAGGGAGAAAAUCUAAAAGAGGCUUGGUAUAGAAUUUUCAAUGCUCAAAAUAGAUCUGCCAGGAAGCAAUCUACUUCCGUUCUUCUCCGCAAUUUUUAUGUAGGCGCUAAUCCUUGGUAUAGAUAUAUUCUUGAUACCAUUACCGGAGGGAAUUUCUUGGGUAGCCAUACUUUUGACUCUUAUAAUGCUAUAAUAGAUUUAUUUGGCUCACCACCUCUUUUGGUUAAUGGAACUAUGUUAACUUUGGAGCAUGUAAUGCAAAGACUUGAAAUUAUUGCAAAUAAAGUUGCUACCGUAGAGUUAAUUGAAAAUCUGGAUAAAAAGAUCCACAACCAAAUUACCCAAUAUGGAUCUAAGGUAGGAGUCACUUUGAAAAAUAUUAAGGAGAAGGAACCCAUAGUUAAUGAGAGAAUAAAUCAAGAUUCCACUAGAAUCGAUAAACUUGAGGGUAUCAUUACCAACUUGGGAACCGCUUUUUCUUUCAUAAAGAAUACUCCAAGUCCUCCAACUAAAAUUGCCAAGCUUAUGUAUGUUCCUAAAAAUAAGGGUGAAUCCUCUAGUAAGGAAGCUGCGGAUCUUAAAUCUAUAAGUAUCCAUCCCAAUCUUUUUGCUAUCAUUAAGGAACCAUUUGCUACAAAUGAAUUUUUCGAUCUUGUUCCUAGAAGCUUGAUAAUUAAUAAAAAUAAAGAAACUCUAAAGGGUGAUAGAUGUCUUAUUUAAGAAUUGCCUACCAAAGAUAGCAAUACCUAGAUCUAUCCUUGCUUUUAUGCCUAGCUAAGGGCGUUAAACGAUAGCGCUUGUUGGGAGGCAACCCAAUUUUAUUUUUAGUUUUUUGCUUUUUGCUUCUGUUUAGGAAUAAAUAUUUGAUCUAGCCUCUGGUUAGAUGUGCUUUUAUGUUUUAAUUAGUGUUUGUGCCAAUUUAAACCUAUAGGAUCUUCUUGGAUGAUAGUUAUUCGAUCUUGCUGUAAUUUCCAGAAAGUUUCUGUUCACGAAAACAAUUGUUACAAAUCACCAGAACGUGAUAAAAUAUUGAUUCCAAUUGCCUCUGAUCAAUAAACAAAUUUUCUAGGUCUUCCUAUUUUGGCUGAUUUUUUGGAGUUCCAGAAGUUUGCGUUAGUUACAGAUUACUACAGACUGUUCUGUUUUUGAUAGAUUCUGUUUUUUGUGUGUUGUUUGCUUAUUUUGAUGAAUCUAUGGCUAGUAACAUAGUUUAUAAACCAUAGAGAAGUUGGAAUACAGUAGGUUUAACACCAAUAUAAAUAAAUAAUGAGUUCAUUACAGUACCUUGAAGUGGUAUUUUGUUUUCUUUCGCUAACGGAGCUCACGAGAUUUCUGUUGAGUUUUGUGUUGUGAAGUUCUCAAGUUUUGGGUGAAUUUUUUUGAUGAAUUAUGGAACAAGGAGUGGCAAGAGCCUAAGCUUGGGGAUGCCCAUGGCACCCCCAAGAUAAUAUAAGGACACCAUAAAGCCAAAGCUUGGGGAUGCCCCGGAAGGCAUCCCCUCUUUCGUCUACUUCCAUCGGUACUUUACUUGGAGCUAUAUUUUUAUUCACCACAUGAUAUGUGUUUUGCUUGGAGCAUCUUGUAUGAUUUGAGUCUUUGAUUUUUUGUUUACCACAAUCAUCCUUGCUGUACACACCUUUUGAGAGAGUCAUACAUGAUUUGGAAUUUAUUAGAAUACUCUAUGUGCUUCGCUUAUAUCUUUUGAGCUAUAUAGUUUUGCUCUAGUACUUCACUUAUAUCUUUUAGAGCACGGUGGUGGAUUUUUUUUAUAGAAACUAUUGAUCUCUCAUGCUUCACUUAGAUUAUUUUGAGAGUCUUAAAUAGCAUGGUAAUUUUCUUAAAUAAUCCUAAUAUGCUUGGUAUUCAAGAUGUGUAAAACUUUCUUAUGAGUGUGUUGAUUACUAUGAGAAGUUUGAUGCUUGAUAAUUGUUUUGAGAUAUAAAGAUGGUGAUAUUAGAGUCAUGCUAGUUGAGUAGUUGUGAAUUUCAGAAAUACUUGUGUUAAAGUUUGUGAUUCCCGUAGCAUGCACGUAUGGUGAACCGUUAUGUGAUGAAGUCGGAGCAUAAUUUAUUUAUUGAUUGUCUUCCUUAUGAGUGGCGGUCGGGGACGAGCGAUUGUCUUUUCCUACCAAUCUAUCCCCCUAGGACCAUGCGCGUAAUAUUUGCUUUGAUAACUUGUAGAUUUUUGCAAUAAGUAUAUGAGUUCAUUAUGACUAAUGUUGAGUCCAUGGAUUAUACACAAUUUUCUUCCUCCCACCAUUGCUAGCCUCUCUAAUACCGCGCACUUUUCGCCGGUAUCAUACACCCACCAUAUACCUUCCUCAAAACAGCCACCAUAUCUACCUAUCAUGGCAUUUCCAUAGCCAUUCCAAGAUAUAUUGCCAUGCAACUUUCCACCGUUCCGUUCAUUAUCACACGCUCCAUCAUUGUCAUAUUUCUUAGCAUGAUCAUGUAGUUGACAUUGUAUUUGUCGCAAAGCCACCGUUCAUAAUUCUUUCAUACAUGUCACUCUUGAUUCAUUGCAUAUCCCGGUACACCGCAGGAGGCAUUCAUAUAGAGUCAUAUUUUGUUCUAAGUAUCGAGUUGUAAUUGUUGAGUUGUAAGAAAAUAAAAGUGUGAUGAUCUUCAUUUUUAGAGCAUUGUCCCAAGUGAGGAAAAGAUGAUGGAGACUAUGAUUCCCCCACAAGUCGGGAUGCGACUCCGGAUGAAAAAAAUGAGAGAAAAGGAGAGAAGGGACAAUGUUAGUAUCCUUUUACCACACUUCUGCUUCAAAGUAGCACCAUGAUCUUCAUGAUAGAGAGUCUCUCAUUUUGUCACUUUCAUAUACUAGUGGGAAUUUUUCAUUAUAGAACUUGGCUUGUAUAUUCCAAUGAUGGGCUUCCUCAAAAUGCCCUAGGUCUUCGUGAGCAAGUGAGUUGGAUGCACACCCACUUAGUUUCUUUUGUUGAGCUUUCAUAUACUUAUAGCUCUAGUGCAUCCGUUGCAUGGCAAUCCCUACUCACUCACAUUGAUAUCUAUUGAUGGGCAUCUCCAUAGCCAGUUGAUACGCCUAGUCGAUGUGAGACUAUCUUCUCCCUUUUUGUCUUCUCCAAAACCACCAUUCUAUUCCACAUAUAGUGCUAUGUCCAUGGCUCACGCUCAUGUAUUGCGUGAAGAUUGAAAAAGUUUGAGAAUGUUAAAAGUAUGAAACAAUUGCUUGGCUUGUCAUCGGGGUUGUGCAUGAUUUAAAUACUUUCUGUGGUGAAGAUAGAGCAUAGCCAGACUAUAUGAUUUUUUAGGGAUAGCUUGCUUUGGCCAUGUUACUUUGAGAAGACAUGAUUGCUUUGUUAGUAUGCUUGAAGUAUUAUUAUUUUUAUGUCAAUAUUAAACUUUUGUCUUGAAUCUUACCACAGUUGAGGAGAAUUACAGUUGAAAUUAUGCCAAGUAGCACUCCGCAUCAAAAAUUCUGUUUUUAUCAUUUACCUACUCGAGGACGAGCAGGAAUUAAGCUUGGGGAUGCCUGAUACGUCUCCAACGUAUCUAUAAUUUUUGAUUGCUCCGUGCUAUAUUAUCUACUGUUUUGGACAUUAUUGGGCUUUAUUAUUCACUUUUAUAUUAUUUUUGGGACUAACCUAUUAACCGGAGGCCCAGCCCAGAAUUGCUGUUUUUUGCCUAUUUCAGAGUUCCGCAGAAAAGGAAUACCAAACGGAGUCCAAACGGAAUGGAACCUUCGGGAACGUGAUUUUUAGGAAGAUUAUGAUCCAGGAGACUUGGACCCUACGUCAAGAAACAAAGGAGGAGGCCACGAGGUAGGGGGGCGCGCCCUCCACCCUCGUGGGCCCCCUGUUGCUCCACCGACGUACUCCUUCCUCCUAUAUAUACCUACGUACCCCCAAACGAUCAGAUACGGAGCCAAAAACCUAAUUCCAUCGCCGCAACCUUCUAUACCCACGAGAUCCCAUCUUGGGGCCUGUUCCGGAGCUCCGCCGGAGGGGGAAUCCAUCAUGGAGGGCUUCUACAUCAACACCAUAGCCUCUCCGAUGAAGUGUGAGUAGUUUACCUCAGACCUUCGGGUCCAUAGUUAGUAGCUAGAUGGCUUCUUCUCUCUUUUUGGAUCUCAAUACAAUGUUCUCCCCUCUCUCGUGGAGAUAUAUUCGAUGUAAUCUUCUUUUGUGGUGUGUUUGUUGAGACACGAUGAAUUGUGGGUUUAUGAUCAAGAUUAUCUAUGAACAGUAUUUGAAUCUUCUCUGAAUUCUUUUAUGUAUGAUUGGUUAAUUUUGCAAGUCUCUUCGAAUUAUCAGUUUGGUUUGGCCUACUAGAUUGAUCUUUCAUGCAAUGGGAAAAGUGCUUAGCUUUAGGUUCAAUCUUGCGGUGUCCUUUCCCAGUGACAGUAGGGCAGCAAGGCACGUAUUGUAUUGUUGCCAUCGAGGAUAACAAGAUGGGGUUUUCAUCAUAUUGCAUGAAUUUAUCCCUCUGCAUCAUGUCAUCUUGCUUAAAGCGUUACUCUGUUUUCAUGAACUUAAUACUCUAGAUGCAUGCUGGAUAGCAGUCGAUGAGUGGGGUAAUAGUAGUAGAUGCAGGCACGAGUCGGUCUACUUGUCUCGGACGUGAUGCCUAUAUACAUGAUCAUACCUAGAUAUUCUCAUAACUAUGCUCAAUUCUGUCAAUUGCUCAACAGUAAUUCGUUCACCCACCGUAAAAUACUUAUGCUCUUGAGAGAAGCCACUAGUGAAAUCUAUGGCCCCCGGGUCUAUCUUCAUCAUAUUAAUCAUCCAACACUUAGUUAUUUCCUUUGAUUUUUUACGUUGCUUUUAUUUUACUUUGUAUCUCUAUCACAAAAAUACCAAAAAUAUUAUCCUAUCAUAUCUAUCAGAUCUCACUCUCGUAAGUGACCGUGAACGGAUUGACAACCCCUUAUCGCGUUGGUUGCGAGGAGUUAUUUGUUUUGUGUAGGUACGAGGGACUCACGCGUAGCCUCCUACUGGAUUGAUACCUUGGUUCUCAAAAACUGAGGGAAAUACUUAUGCUACUUUGCUGCAUCACCCGUUCCUCUUCAAGGGAAAACCAACGCAGUGCUCAAGAGGUAGCAGGGAUAGUGCGCCAUUACUAGUUGACAUAGUAAUGGCGCACCUUCACCAAAGUGCGCCAUUACUAUGUGUAUGCCUUGGUCAAACCUUGGUCAAACUUAGUAAUGGCGCACUUUGUGUAGGUGCGCCAUUACUAAGUUUCACUUUGACAGGUGCGCCAUUACUAUGUCAACUAGUAAUGGCGCACUAUCCCCUGGUGCGCCAUUACUAACUUUCUUUGCACCCCCCCCUGUGGACCGCCUUUUCAGUUUAAAAAAAUAAAAGAAAAUGAUGGAAAUGUCAAAAAAUAAAAGAAAAUAAGUUUCCCAUGUGAUAUGUGGUCUAGUUGUUGGGAAAAUUUACAAAUAUGAAUUUCGACUUUAUUUGCAAAAUCUCUAUGAAAUUUAGUAAAAUGGGCAUAACUUUUGCAUACGAACUCGGAUUAAAAGGUUUUUUUAUAUGAAAAAUCAUCUACUCGAAAAGUUACAUCCGAAUUGAACCGGGGGAACUUUGUUCAAGAUUUUCAGAAUCCCCAAAACCUAAAAGAACGAAAGAUACGGGGCUUUUAUGAUCUAGAGGGGGGGAAAUGGAAAAAGUUUCAAACUUACUAGUGGCGCACCGUUUGCUAGGUGCGCCACUAGUAACAGAAAAAAAAAUGGUUUUGAAUUUUUUUCAAAAUAUGAUACGUAAUAUGACAGGGAUGUUUGAAAUAUUUUUCCAAAAUUUCAUCACACUCAUGAACAUGAACAAAGUACUAGACAUCAACAAGGUUUAAUAGGAUUGAUAUGAUAGAUAUAUCAAUAAGUGCCUAUGAAGUGAGUUGGUGCUGGGGUUGGAUAGAACUGCGAAGUUAAGCGUGCUCGAGUUGGAGUAGUGUGAGGAUGGGUGACCUUUUGGGAAGUUUGACCACGGAGUGCGAUUUGACCCGAGAUUAAGCCAUAGUGACUCGAGAUUAUGAAAAAAAAUUGAAAUUUUUUUUUUUGGAAAAAAAAAUUCUGAAUUUUUUUUUGAAACAAAAUUGUUAGCAAUGGCGCACUUCUAUGUGGUGCGCCAUUACUAUCUGCCAUUACUAAGUCAGAUAGUAAUGGCGCACCAGAUAGGCAUAAUAAUGCCGCACUAUAGGUGCGCUAUUACUAUCUGGGAUACUAAUGGCGCACCAGAGGUGCGCCAUUACUAUUUGUUACUAAUUGUGAGAUAAUAGUGGCGCACCUAUAGUGCGCCAUUAAUGGCCAAAACAGGUGCGCCACUAAUUAGCCUUUCCUAGUAGUGGGAGGAGGGGCAGCGUUUAGGCCGUCGUCGACAGCGAGGGAGGAGACCCACUGCCGGCCGCACCAUUAUCUCUGGCCGAGUGCCGGCGUGGGAGGUCCUCCGAACCCUUUGUCAUUGCCCUAGUGUGGGCAGAUCCGGCCUCCCGCCGCCCACCUAUCCACAUCCCGACGACCUUCAGGUAUAUUUUCCUUUGAAACUGCCAUAGCUCUACUUCCCCAGCUCGCUACGUCGCUGCAUGUGCAUCGUUUUCUACCUCUCAGCCCCUCUCGAUCGGAUGGUCAAACGACACAUUUUUUUCUUCUAUUGUUAGAGGUAAAGCUACUUCAUGGAGUCGAAUCUUGUACUUGGUUCAAACAAGAAAUAAAGUGGGGGUGGGGGAAUUUAGUAUGUACAUCGGACUUGGUACAAACAGGAAGGAUAGGGGGUGAAAGUAGUACAGACUGGUCAUCCAACCGGUCUCUUGGUCGAAAAGGGAAAUAUAGGGGAAACGCUGUACACAGUGGUAUGACCAGGACUAGAUUUGCUAUCCACACAUAAGAUGGUUGCAUGCAUCGUUAUGAUGCAGAGGCCGGGGGUACGCCUCCAUUUCCAAAAAAACAUAGGAGUAGGUGGCUAGAGGGAACAAAAAUGGGACCAACCCAGAUAUGUUUCUUGGAUGUUUGUUACUCGGGGCAACAAACUUUCAAUCACCACUUUAUGCCCCGGUUUAGGUACAUGGUGCUGGACUGUUGGUGCACCCACUGUCCCAUGCCCUUAUACCAAAUAUUUAGCUGUUCUUAAUCUAAUGCCCCUAGUAAAAUGAAGCCAUGCCACUAUUAUAAGCCAUGACAAGUUUAGCCAAAUGUUUUUGCCUGUAAUUGUUUGAGACUCUGACUGUUUCCUCUGUAGCUAUUUGUGCAAAUAGGGAUAUCUAUUUCACCUGGUUGCUGUUGUGACCUUUUGGUGCACUCCACAAAACACUUCUUAAAAGAAGUGACUUUUGUGCUGUUUAACUGGAAUGUCAGAAUGGAACAAUUGGUUCAUUUCGGUGGAACUGCACAAAGGGAGAUCUGUGUUCCAAUCCUCAUCAUCCAUAUUGGCACCAUAACCUUCCUUUAGGUAAGAAUGAUAUGUAAUGCAUGAGUUCAUCUCUAUUUUGCGACUGGCAUGAGAAAAUAAUGUUAUUGUUUACUAGUACACUUGUACUCCCUCACUGACAAAACCAAUUCUGAAAUAGAAGGCCAAUCAUGUACUUGGUCACCCACUGGUGAGGAGAAAGAGAAACAGAGCAUGAAGAGGAGGAAGAAGAAGAAUAAACAGUGCCAAGUUGAUAUUGCUGAAGCCGAGGCCUCAGUCGAGGCCAUUCAAGGGCUCCAGCAACGUCUACCUUACAUGUGAGACGAUCCUCCAGGGAGCCCUUCCACUUCUGCAUAUUGUCCAUGAUGAAUUUGAUGCUACUGUUAAUGUAAUAUGCUAAUGUCUUUCUAUCCUUUCUCACUAAGCUAAUGAAGGUUUCACCCUGUUCCUGCUUGUACAAACAAGGAUCAUGUUGUGCCAAUCAUACAUUUUAGUGGAACUACACAAGACAAUACAAUGAACUGUAUCCCAGCCAGUGCUUUAACUCUGCUGGAGGUUCUUGAUAAUCUUUCGAUAUAAUCUGAGCACUGGUAAACAAGAGUGAUUUCAACCAUACAUUUGAAGUGCACAAAAAUAUAUACUAUUGAGUGAUUCCAGUGAGUGCUUUAUCAUCUCUUCUGGGACUACAUGAAUAAGCUUUUUUGCUCAGGUUGGUACUGGCCUAAGGCCUUCAUCCAUAUUAGUUUGUUGUCAUCUCUAUUUGUAUCGUGCUACUGUCAUGAGAAACUCCUUUAUCUUUGCACGUUAAAGUUUUGCAACCUAUGAUACAUGGCAAUGCUUUGAGUGUUGAGUUAAUUGGCACUAAUUAAAUAAACUAAUACCUCUCUUUAAGAAACACUACUAUGUUGCUAACUUUACCCGUUAAGAUAAUGAGGGUGCUUCUAUUUGUUUGUGUAUGUUUCAUCAACUAGUCCCACUAUUACAGUAAUCUCACUCUCUCAAUAUAUGUGCCAACAGGGAUGCUCGAUUUUGGUGGAACUGCACAAAAACUUUGGGUGCUUCAUUGCCUUGACAGCUUCCUUCCUUUCCCGUCAGUCGCUAAUCUGGGCUUGCUUCCUUCCUUUGCUGUCAGUCGGUUGGCUUAUCUCGGCUUCCAGCCAAAGGAAAUAGUAAUUGAUAUGCUACCUCACAUAGGUUGUUACUGGUCUUUAUCCUGAUUAUUGUGCUUGUCAUAUGUAUUGGUAAUUUGGUAUUGUGCUACUGUUUGCCGAUUUCAUAAAUGAGUAACUUGGAGCCUGAACUCGCAGGCAAAUAAUUACAUUGGGUGAUUUCAGUAGAACUGCACAAAAAGAUCAGAUGGGCAGGUACUUAUGCUGCUGCUAUGUACUCCAAAGUUCACUGAGACAAGCAUCGAUGUUGACAAGAAGAAGUGCCUAUAUUCAUUCGAGUAUCAACCAGCGUCAACCAGUUGUCAAACUCCAGGCAUUAGGAGAUUGAAUGCCAAAAAUAUUGCAUGGCGCAUAGCCCAGAAAAACGCAGUCCAGUCUUUGGUCCCAACUUGUGCCUUUUCAUUAUCGGCACAUAUGGUAGCGAACUGUAUGGCAUGGAGUCUAAAGAUUCUAGACAAGUUGGUUGACGCAUAUAUUCAUCUGGCACUUAAUCAGUCUGCACGCCAGGGAUGCUCCAUUUCAGUUGAACUGCACAAAAAAAUUGGGUGGUUCACUUUCUCAACCGCCUCCUUUCUUGUGUGCAAUGAAGAAUUUCGGCGAGCUACAGGACCAAGAUGAGACAGUAAACUAGUUGGAUGAAAGUAGUGGCCAAGUUGCUCAAACCUCCCUCGGAACAAGGCCACUAUUUGAGGAUAAACCUACAAGCAAAGUUCAGAUUGUCUGUGCUGCUUCUUGUGUACUCGAAAGUUUACUCGUACAAGCAUUAAUUUUAGCAAGAAGUACCUCUGACUGAACACCAUUUACCAGUCUGUACCCUAGGUAAUUAAAGUUCGUACAUGGAUGAUAUUGGCUCUGAUCUCAAUCAUUUGGUUGCAUAAACAUACUGAACAUGUGUAUAUCUGAAUCUUUUUGUGAAUUAUCUAUGAAUAUUGUCGUGUGAUCUAUAUCAUUUGGAUGCAUAGACAUGCUGAACUUGUGUAUAUAUGAAUCUUUUGAGUUGUUGAUUGUGAAUGUUGGCUAUCAAUAUGAACGUGUCCUGUGAACCUGAGUUUGAUACGAAUGUUUACUUGUUCUGUUGUACUUGUGUGUGAACUUGUUAGUAUGUCUACUGUGGGAUUUGUGACGUGUGGGUGUCAACGGCACACCUUCUCCCCGAGAAGAAUUGCACCUGCUUUGUUAGGGUAGCAACGGCGCAUCAGCUCUUUUUAAUAUUUUUGCUCUGUCUUCCCCCUCCCCCGCUCAACCCCUGCCGUAAUGUUUUCGGCCUCAAAACAAGCAUAGUAUUGCGUUGUUUUUGGGGCUUGAUGAAAAAUCGAGUGUUGGUUUCUGUAGGUUGGCCCGCCCAGCAAAUGGGCUGCUGGUCCACCAUGGACUGGGAGGCUAAAAAUACAAGUUAUAUGGUGAAGAGGCAAGUAAAAAAACGCCAUCGAGAGCCAUCCACUGAAGAAAACAAUUGCGUCUGAUGUGCUUCUUCAGUCGGGCCGCCGGCCCCCUCUUUAAUCCCGUUCGCUCGGCGAUCUAGCUGGUACUACCAUUUUUUCCAGAGGGCGAACAAGUAUCAGCUACGACUAGGUAUGCGUAGCCCACGACAUACGGACACAGUGGUUUCAACUUAUUUUUUGAGGUCCAUACCGGCCUAUGGGCCUCCCAGCGUAGGUUUUACUUUUUCUUAAAGAUCGGCAACCCAAUGUAUUUUCUUAAUAAAACGCAGAUCUCUCUUCUAUUUAUCUCUAUAUAAGAAUAAUAAUGUUGUGUCCAAUUUGUGUUUUCCCUUCUAACCACAUUAUAUAUAUUUAUAUUACUACUAUUAUUGUAUAUUUUAUAGAGACUUAUAUAUACAUUAUAAAAACAUCCUACGUGUUAUUAACUUAUAAAAGUAAAUGUUUAACAGAAGUUGGCAAGGAAAAUCCUGGUUGUUUUUGUCUCACGGGUAGAAAAAUCCCGGUGAUUGCGUACAAAAGCUUGCGAAGAUUUUAAGGACCAAUGUAAUAAUAACGCACUCACUUUUAUUUUGAGCAAUAACUCGCGAAUUUGUUAAUUUUAUAUAUAAAAAUGUGUCGCAACGGCUUAUUUUUUGAUAUUAAUUGCUCCUUCUAACCUAACAUUAUAUAUAGAACGAGCCCAGCUAAUUCGUGUAUUUCAAGAAAGUGCAAAUGGGCUGGGAUUUCUUAGAAAAUAUUAAAUGGGCCGCAUUGACGCGAAAUUAUUUGUUCACCCAGCCUAGCAAAUGGACUGUACAUUCUAGAAAACAUGGGUUAAAGUAUAUGCCACAUUUUUGCAGGCUAACAUGUGGGACAAUAGGUCGAAGCCUACGCAGGGCGUUGUCAACUUGGUCAACAAAUGAUUAUGACAUCCACAACCAUUGGAUUUAUAUCCAAUGGACGGAUGCACCUUCAAUCUCUCGUCUUCUUCCUCCAGCGUUGCGGGGACCGCCUGGUCCGGCCUCCGGCGGCUAGCAGCUCUUCUUAGCACGCAUCGCUGCGAAGCACUUCCCCACCGCCGGCCAGGCUAUCCCUCCACCCCUCCACACCUGCUGUUAUUCUCCACCGACUGCAGCCCCACGCCGCACUAGAACCAGUUAUAACCCUUGUACUCCUCUCAAUCUGCGACCCCACCGCCGCGUCUUCCCAUCUCCGGGUCGUUCCCGUCUGGGGCCUCGCUGUCGUCCACCGCCUCGCUGCGCUCGGCGCGGUGUGGUCAACAAACGAGGGUCAUCGGAAGAGGACUGUACGUGGAGAGCCUGACGGCUGGGACCGACGAGGUCCAUGGUCGCACGCAAGGAAAGUUCCUCCUUAUUAAGCUGAAAAAAUGUUUCCUCCCCCUGACAGCUGGGACUCAUUGACUGUAUCUUCGCACGGAAGGAAGUGCCUCCUUGUUAUGCGAAAAAAACUAUUCCUCCCGUUGACAGCUGGGACCCGUCAGAUUUGGUGGCUGACUUGUGGGCCUACUAAGCCGACGUGUACGCAGGGCUUUAUCAACUUAAUCAACAAAUGAUUCUAGCAGCUCGACCGUUGGAUGUUAAUCCAACAUCCGUGCUCCUUCUUCAACCUCUGUUCUUGCUCCUGUCUCCCGUGGGCGGCAGUGCUGCCGCGCACCCGAACCAGUCAAGUUUCCCACUCCUCUACAUCUAUGACUCCACUGCCGCGUCUUCCCCAUCUCCAGGCCGUUCCAGUCUAGGACCUCUUCGCCGUCCACCGGCCUUGGUGCACUCGGCACGGUGUGGUCAACGUGGUCAACAAACGAGAGUCAUCGGAAGAUGACUGUACGUGAGAGGCUGACAGUGGGGACGCACCACGCCCAUGGACGCAUGCAUGCAACUGCAUCCUUUUUACCCUAAAAAAUAAUGUUUUCUCCCCCUGACUGCUGGGACCCACCAGCUACAUCUUCGCACGCAAGGAAGUGCGUCCUUAUUACGCCAAAAAGAAUGAAUACUACCGCUGGCAGCUCGGACCCACCAGCUAUAUCUUCGCACGCAAGGAAGUGCCUCCUUAUUACGCAAAAAAAAUGAAUACUCCCCCUGCUAGCUGGGACCCACCAUAGUGGGAGGCUGAUUUGUGGGCCUACUAAGUUGAUGCAGAAGGAGGGCUUUGUCAACUUAGUCAAUAUGAACGAUUCUCGCUCCAGUGACCGUACGAUGUCCAUCCAACGGCCGUAGUGCUUCUUCAACCUCUGGUCUUCUUGCUCCAGCUGCCCAAACAAGCGUCGGCCGUGCCGCCUGCUCCUGCCUCCCAUGUCCGGCUGUGCUGCCACCGCUGGCCAUGCCAUCCCUCUAUACUCACCCACACCUCCAGUUAUUCUCCGGCGACGGCAGCCUCACACCGCAGCCGAAGCAGUCAACCCACGUACUCCCCUCGGCGUGGGCAUCCACUGCCGCGUCUUCCCCGUCUCCGCGUCGUCCCCUUCCUAGUCCUCGCCGUCAUCCACCGCCCUGGUGCUCUCGGGGCGGCGAGGUCAACGUGGUCAAGGAACGACUUCCAUCGGAAGAGUACCGUACGUGGAGAUGCUGACAGCUGGGUCCACAGCAGCAGCAAGGAAGUGCCUCCUUAUUACGCGCAAAAUAAUUAUUCCUCCACCUUACAGCAGGGACCCACUGGACGGGCCACGGUAUUUCAUGAAAAAACGUUUCCCCCUGACUGCUGGGACCCACCAGCUACAUCUUUGCACGGAAGGAAGUGCCUAACAGUUAGGACCCACCUAGUCGAAGCGUGCGUAGCAUUGUCAUUCUGGUCGCGAACGUGUACGUACAUACUGGUCGAUGUAGAGACACGCACGUGUUGUAGUAGAGGCGCGCACAUGUGCCAUAGUAGAGGCACGCACGCAGCAUGUACACGUACGUACAGCGGCCAGGGUGCAAGAAAGUAAAUACGGCCACGUACGUACAUACGGGCGGGUUCUCGAACGCCUACUCGGGCAUACGUACGGCCAGGGCUCGUGUACAUGGCUGGGUCGGAACGGAGAAACUGCGUCGUCGUCGUGUUCAUGGGGAGGCAACAUAAUGCGUCAUGUUCAUCGGGAGGCAAUGGAACGCGUGUUGUUCAUCGGAAGCCAACCGGCUUGGACGGAACAGCCGAUGGAAACGAGGCAUGGCGUACCGCAGAACGGAGGAAAUGGCCGUGUGUUCGACCGGCCACGGUCGAAUCGGGAUCCUGCUCAUCGGGCGGGGUCUGGCGUACCACAAAACGGAGGAAACGGACCUCCCACGGUCGAAACGGGGUCCUAUUGAUCGGGAGGGGUGUGGUGUACAACAAAACAGAGGAAACGGACUUGUGUUGGAGCGCUACGGUCGAAACGGGGGUCCUGCUCAUCAGGAGGGGUGUGGCGUACCGCAAAACGGGACUCCGCGGGAUACUAUUCAUCUCCACCGUCGACCUCCUCCAGCCUCCACGGGCUACUGUUCAUCCACCGUCGACUGAUUCCACGGGCUCCUAUUCACCCUCCGUCGACCUCCUCCAGCCUCCACCUGCGACUGUUCAUCCACGAGCUCCUGUUCAUCCAGCCUCCACCGUGCGCGCUCCUCCACCGGCUACUGUUCAACCAGCCCUCUCCACGGGGUCCUGUUCAACCACCCAUCCACGGCUACUAUUCAUCCAGCACUCCACCAGCUACUGUUCAACCAGCCCUCCACGGGUUCCUGUUCAUCCAGCCCUCCACGGGGUCCUGUUCAUCCAGCCCUCCACAGGGUCCUGUUCAUCCACCGGCUCGAUCGAUUGGGGUCCUGUUCAUCCAGCGACAACGGCCUCUACUACCACGGGGUCCUGUUCAUCCAACCCCCCACCGGGAACUGUUCAUCCAAACCACCCCAACAACGCUCACUGUUCAUCAAGGGAAGGAGGCAGCAGUGUUCGAUCAGCUUCAGUUAGCAGCAGUAGCGAAGGAAUCACUCGGGUUCAGUUAACAGCAAGGGAUCGAUCGAUCGCUCGGGUUCAGUAACGUGUAGCCUGCAGUGCAAUCGCUCGGGUUCAGUUAGAGCCGAACGCCUCGCUCGGGUUCAGUUAGAGCCCAACGACUCGCACACACGCGCGUACGUAUGAGAGAAACGCGCAUCGCUCGGCCCCCAACCCUCCACCGUAAUUGGCAACUCCCUGAUAUUUUCCGCGCCCUCGCUUUUACCACGGUUUUUUCCAUCAUGGACGGCCCAAAGAAUGUCAUGCAGCUGUGUCUCCGGCCCGCCCAGGACGAAAAGCCCAUUUUCUGUCAUGAUUUUUUGUCAUAGAAGUAGGAGCCCACCACAUCUAUGAUGAUACCGGUUUUUGUCACAAUUUUCGUCAUAAGCAUGACAGAAAAAAAUUCGUUCGGCCCAAAAUGUCACAGAUGUGUCUUUUUUUUGUAGUGUUUCUUGUGUGCGAAGAUGUAGCUGGUGGGUCCUAGCAGUCAGGGGGAAACGUUUUGUUUGCGAAAUAUGGUGGACCGUCCGGUGGGUCCCUGCUGUCAGGUGGAGGAAUCAUUAUUUUUCGCGUAAUAAGGAGGCACUUCCUUGCUGCGGCCGUGGACCCAACUAUCAGCCUCUACACAUAUAGUACUCUUCCGAUGGAAGUUGUUCCUUGACCACGUUGACCACGCCGUGCCGAGAGCACCAGGGCGGUGGACGACGGCGAGGCCGACGAUGCGGAGCCGGGGAGGACGCGGCAGUGGAUGCCCAUGCGGAGAGGAGUAUGAGGGUUCACUGGUUUGGCUGCGGUGUGAGGCUGUCGUCGCCGCAAGUUAACUUUGCGGCAGCAUAGCCGGCUACGGCAGGUAGGAGCACGCGGCACGACCAACGUUAGUUUGGGCGGCUGGAGCAAGAAGACUAGAGGCUGAAGAUGCACUACGGCCGUUGGAUGGACAUCUUACGGUCACUUGAGCUAGAAUCAUUCAUAUUGACUAAGUUGACAAAGCCCUCCGUCCGCGUCAACUUAGUAGGCCCACAAGUCAGCCUCCCACUAUGGUGGGUCCCAGCUAGUAGGGGGAGUAUUCAUUUUUUGUGCGUAAUAAGGAGGCACACUUGCGUGGGAAGAUAUAACUGGUGGGUCCGACCUGUCAGCGGGGGGAACAUUUUUUCCCGAAAUAUAGAGGCCCUUCCGGUGGGUCCCAGCUGUCAGGUGGAGGAAUCAUUAUUUUGCCCGUAAUAAGGAGGCAUUUCCUUGCAUGCGGCCGUGGACCCAGCUGUCGGCCUUUCCACGUACAGUCCACUUCUGAUGGAUGUCGUUCGUUGACCAGAUUGACCACGCCGCGCCGAGAGCACCAGGGCGGUGGACGACGGCGAGGCCUAGGAAGGGAACGACACGGAGCCAGGGAACACUCGGGAGUUGCCCACGCAGAGGGGAGUACGAGGGUUUACUGGUUCGUCUGCCGUCGCCGGAGAAUAACAGCAGGUGUGGGUGAGUAGAGGAUGGCUAGGCCAGCGAUGGGAGUAUGGUGGGGCGGUGGCGCCUGUCGUUGUCAAAACCGGCGGAUCUCGGGUAGGGGGUCCCGAACUGUGCGUCUAAGGCGGAUGGUAACAGGAGGCGGGGAACACGAUGUUUACCCAGGUUCGGGCCCUCUCGAUGGAGGUAAUACCCUACUUCCUGCUUGAUUGACCUUGAUGAUAUGAGUAUUACAAGAGUUGAUCUACCACGAGAUCGUAGAGGCUAAACCCUAGAAGCUAGCCUAUGGUAUGAUUGUUGUUGUCCUACGGACUAAACCCUCCGGUUUAUAUAGACACCGGAGGGGGCUAGGGUUACACAGAGUCGGCUACAAGGGAGGAGAUCUACAUAUCCGUAUUGCCAGGCUAGCCUUCCACGCCAAGGAGAGUCCCAUCCGGACACGGGACAAAGUCUUCAAUCUUGUGUCUUCAUUGUCCAAUACUCCGGCUAAAGUAUAUAGUCUGGCUGUCCGAGGACCCCCUAAUCCAGUACUCCCUCAGUAGCCCCUGAACCAGGCUUCAAUGACGAUGAGUCCGGCACGCAGAUCGUCUUCGGCAUUGCAAGGUGGGUUCCUCCUCCGAAUAUUCCAUAGAAGAUUUUGAACACAAGGAUAGUGUCUGGCUCUCAAAAACAAAUUCCAAAUACCACCGUAGAGAGUAUAAUAUUUCCACAAAUCUAAUCUCCUGACAGCUUUUCUUAACGUGACGUUCUGCUGUGAUCUGGUCAUGACGAACCGUUUUUUCAUAGCGUGCCACUGCACGUGUUGCGAGGCGGCUUUGUUGGCAUGUCUAGUCGAAGCAGAGAUCGUGUCCCUCUUUUCACGGGAUUCUCAUCAAUACGAGUGUGGGUAACCCAAUCGCGCCCGCUGGUAAGACUCCCCGAUUUUAGGCAAGUUCCAGGUGGUCGUGCGGAGGGCGCUUGAUAUUCACCCUCUUUAUAAAGGCAUCAAGGCCUGUCCUUUUCUUCUUGUACUCGAUCUUUCCUUUCUCCCACCUCGAAUCCCAGCACCCAAGGCGGAGGCCAAGCGCUUUGGACCUUCAAUCAUGUCCGGAUCCAACCUUCAAGGCCGGUGGGUGGCCUCCUCCGUCACAGAGGAGGACAUCAAAAAGCUAAGAGAAGCCAGGUAUCUGACCGCCGAAAUCUCGCACAGGCUGCCUGCUCAAGGGCAGGUCAUCCCCACUGCCGAACCCAACGAGAGUGUCGUAUUUGUUUCCCACUUCCUCCGAGGGCUAGGCUUUAUUCUUGAUCCCUUUGUUAGAGGGCUUAUGUUCUAUUACGGGCUCGAUUUCCAUGAUCUGGCUCCGUAUUCCAUCCUUCACAUCUUGUCGUUUAUCGUCAUGUGUGAGGCCUUCCUCCGCAUCGCCCCACACUUCGGCUUAUGGCUCAAGACCUUCAAUGUGAAGCUGAAGUUGAUCGAUGGGCAACACGCAGAGUGCGGAGGCGCCAUAAUAAGCAAACGCGUCGAUGCUCCAUGGCCAAAGGGAUCCUUCCCCGAGAUGUCCAACUUAUGGCAGCGGGAGUGGUUUUACAUCACGGCUCCCCAAAGUACUAAGUGGGUAGCUGCCCCUGCCUUCCGUUCGGCCCCCCGCCACAACUGGCGUCAUGGCUCAACAAGGGGCUGGACUGGGGGCCGGCUAAUGACGUGCCGACAUUCAAGAGUCGCAUCCGGGAUCUCCUCAAGAGAGAUGUCAGCCUUGUCAAAGUAAUGCAAGUCAUGCUAGUUCGUCGGGUCCUGCCAUGCCAACGUCGAUCUCUCCGUAUGUGGGAGUUCAACCCGGAAGGACCGCGAAGCAUUCAGCAAUUCUUCGGCAUGACGCUCGAAGAGAUGUACAGAUUGUUCUUCGGAUCACGAAUAAAGUGUCCGGACACCACCGAGGAUGUGGGCCUAAACUGCAAUCGUCCAGACACCCAAGUAAGUAAUUCUUCAGCUGAACAUACUGUCUCUUUAUUUAUCAUAACAUCAUUCUGAAAAGUCGAUCUUUGACCAGGACUGGAUAAAAAAGGCGAAGAUGAUUAGGUGUUCGGCCCCCUUCCCGAAGGCUCACCGGAUCCUGUACUAGAUAGGAUGCUUGAGGUUGCGCCUUAUCAAGCGCCAUCAGGGGAAGAUAAUGUUGGGGAACGUAGCAGAAAUUCAAAAUUUUCCUACGUGUCACCAAGAUCAAUCUAGGAGAUGCUAGCAACGAGAGGGGAGGAGUGCAUCACAUACCCUUGUAGAUCGCGAGCGGAAGCGUUCAAGAGAACGGGGUUGAUGGAGUCGUACUCGUCGUGAUCCAAAUCACCGAUGAACCUAGCACCGAACGGACGGCACCUCCGCGUUCAACACACGUACGGAGCGGGGACGUCUCCUCCUUCUUGAUCCAGCAAGGGGGGAGGAGAAGUUGAUGGAGAUCCAGUAGCACGACGGCGUGGUGGUGGAAGUAGCGGGAUCCCGGCAGGGCUUCGCCAAGCAUAAGCGGGGAGGAAGAGGUGUCACGGGAGGGAGAGGGAGGCGCCAGGGGCUUGGGGUGCUGCUCCCAUGCGCCUCCCCACAAUAUAUAGGGGUGGAGGGGGCUGGUUUCUUUCCCUCCAAGUCCAUUGGGGCGUUGGCAAAGGUGGGGGAAAGAAAUCCCAUCAUUUCCCUUCUCCACUUAUUUUUAUCCCCCUUUUUUAGGGAUCUUGAUCUUAUCCCUUCGGGAUAUGAUCUUAUUCCUUCUAAGGUGGGAUCUUGGUGCGCCUUGACCAGGGGUGUGGGGCCUUGCCCCCACUACCCACGUUCAUGUGGGUCCCCCCCAUGGAGGUGGGCCCCACUUCAGAACCUUCUAGAACCUUCCCGGUACAAUACCGAAAAAUCCCGAACAUUUUCCGGUGCCCAAAAUAGGACUUCCCAUAUAUAAAUCUUUACCUCCGGAGCAUUCCGGAACUCCUCGUGAUGUCCGGGAUCUCAUCCGGGACUCCGAACAACUUUCAGUUAACCUCAUACUAAUAUCUCUACAACUCUAGCGUCACCAAACCUUAAGUGUGUAGACCCUACGCGUUCGGGAGACAUGCAGACAUGACCGAGACGACUCUCAGGACAAUAACCAACAGCGGAAUCUGGAUAACCAUGUUGGCUCCCACAUAUUCCACGAUGAUCUCAUCGGAUGAACCACGAUGUCAAGGAUUCAAUCAAUCCCGUAUACAAUUCCCUUUGUCAGUCGGUACGUUACUUGCCCGAGAUUUGAUCGUCGGUAUCCCAAUACCUUGUUCAAUCUCGUUACCGGAAAGUCACUUUACUCGUACCGUAACGCAUGAUCCCGUGGCUAACUCCUUAGUCACAUUGAGCUCAUUAUGAUGAUGCAUUACCGAGUGGGCCCAGAGAUACCUCUCCGUCAUACAGAGUGACAAAUCCCAGUCUCGGUUCGUGCCAACCCAACAGACACUUUCGGAGAUACCUGUAGUGCACCUUUAUAGCCACCCAGUAACGUUGUGACGUUUGGUACACCCAAAGCAUUCCUACGGUAUCCGGGAGUUGCACAAUCUCAUGGUCUGAGGAAAUGAUACUUGACAUUAGAAAAGCUCUAGCAAACGAACUACACGAUCUUGUGCUAUGCUUAGGAUUGGGUCUUGUCCAUCACAUCAUUCUCCUAAUGAUGUGAUCCCGUUAUCAAUGACAUCCAAUGUCCAUGGUCAGGAAACCAUAACCUUCUAUUGAUCAACGAGCUAGUCAACUAGAGGCUUACUAGGGACAUGUUGUGGUCUAUGUAUUCACACAUGUAUUACGGUUUCCAGUUAAUACAAUUAUAGCAUGAACAACAGACAAUUAUCAUGAACAAGGAAAUACAAUAAUAACCAUUUUAUUAUUGCCUCUAGGGCAUAUUUCCAACAGUCUCCCACUUGCACUAGAGUCAAUAAUCAAGUUCAUAUCACCAUGUGAUUAACACUCAAAGUUCACAUCACCAUGUGACUAAUACCCAAGAGUUUACUAGAGUCAAUAAUCUAGUUCACAUCACCAUGUGAUUAACACUCAAUGAGUUCUAGGGUUUUAUCAUGUUAUGCUUACGAGAGAGGUUUUAGUCAACGGGUCUGCAAAAUUCAGAUCCGUGUGUGCUUUACAAAUCUCUAUGUCAUCUUGUAGAUGCAGCUACCACGCGCUACUUGGAGCUAUUCCAAAUAACUGCUCUACUAUACGAAUCUGGUUUACUACUCAGAGUCAUCCGGAUUAGUGUCAAAGUUUGCAUCGAUGUAACCCUUUACGACGAACUGUUUUACCACCUCCAUAAUCGAGAAAAUUCCUUAGUCCACUAGAUACUAAGGAUAAGUUCGACCGCUGUCAUGUGAUCCAUUCCCGGAUCACUAUUGUACCCCUUGACUAACUCAUGGCAAGGCACACUUCAGGUGCGGUACAGAGCAUAGCAUACUGUAGAGCCUACGUCUAAAGCAUAGGGGACGAACUUCGUCCUUUCUCUCUCUUCUGCCGUGGUCAGGUCUUGAGUCUUACUCAAUACUCAGACCUUGUAACACAGCCAAGAACUCCUUCUUUGCUGAUCUAUUUUGAACUCCUUCAAAAUCUUGUCACGGUAUGUAUUCAUUUGAAAGUACUAUUAAGCGUUUUUUAUCUAUCCUUAUAGAUCUUGAUGCUCAAUGUUCAAGUAGCUUAAUCCAGGUUUUCCAUUAAAAAACACUUUUCAAAUAACCCUGGAUGCUUUCCAGAAAUUCUACAUCAUUUCUGAUCAGCACUAUGUUAACAACAUAUACUCAUCAAAAAUUCUAUAGUGCUCCCACUCACUUCUUUGGAAAUACAAGUUUCUCAUGAACCUUGUAUAAACCCAAAAUCUUUGAUGAUCUCAUCAAAGCGUUCAUUCCAACUCCGAGAUGCUUACUCCAGUCCUUAGAAGGAUUGCUGGAGCUUUGCAUACUUGUUAGCAGCUUUCAGGAUUGACAAAACCUUCUGGUUGUAUCACAUACAACCUUUCCUCAAGAAAAUCAUCGAGGAAACAAUGUUUUGACAUCCUAUCUGCAAGAUUUCAUAAAUAAUGCAGUAACUGCUAAUAUAAUUCUAACAGACUCUUAGCAUCGCUACGAGUGAUAAAGUCUCAUCUCAGUCAACUCCUUGAACUUGCCGGAAAACAUCUUAACGACAAGUCAAGCUUUCUUAAUGGUGACACUUACCAUCAUUGUCUGUCUUCCCUUUAAAAUCCAUCUGUACCCAACAGCCUUACGACCAUCAAGUAGUUCUUUCAAAGUCUAUACUUUGCUUUCAUACAUGAAUCCUCUCGGAUUUUAUGGCCUCAAGCCAUUCGUCGGAAUCCGGGCCCACCAUCGCUUCUCCAUAGCUCGUAGGUUCAUUGUUGUCUAGCAACAUGACUUCCAAGACAGGAUUACGUACCACUCUGAAGUAGUACGCAUCCCUGUCGUCCUAUGAGGUUUGGUAGUGACUUGAUCUGAAGUUUCAUGAUCACUAUCAUAAGCUUCCACUUCAAUUGGUGUAGGUGCCACAGGAACAACUUCCUGUGCCCUGCUACACAUUAGUUGAAGUGACGGUUCAAUGACCUCAUCAAGUCUCCACCAUCCUCCCACUCAAUUCUUUCGAGAGAAACUUUUCCUCGAGAAAGGACCCGUUUCUAGAAACAAUCACUUUUGCUUCCAGAUCUGAAAUAGGAGGUAUACCCAACUGUUUUGGGUAUUCUAUGAAGAUGCAUUUAUCCGCUUUGGGUUCGAGCUUAUCAGCCUGGAACUUUUUCACAUAAGCGUCGCAGCCCCAAACUUUUCAGAAACGACAGCUUAGGUUUCUCUAAACCAUAGUUCAUACGGUGUCGUCUCAACGGAAUUGCGUGGUGCCCUAUUUAAAGUGAAUGCGGUUGUCUCUAAUGCCUAACCCAUAAACGAUAGUUGUAAUUCGAUAAGAGACAUCAUGGUAUGCACCAUAUCCAAUAGGGUGCAGUUAUGAUGUUCGGACACACCAUCACAAUAUGGUGUUCUAGGCGGUAUUAGUCGUGAAACAAUUUCCACAAUUUCUUAAUUGUGUGCCAAAAUCGUAACUCGGACAUUCAUCUCUAUGAUCAUAUCACACACAUUUUAUCCUCUUGUCACGACAAUCUUCAACUUCACUCUGAAAUUACUUGAACCUUUCAAUAAUUCAGACUUGUGUUUCAUCAAGUAAAUAUUCUCAGCAUCUACUCAAAUCAUCUGUGAAGUAAGAACAUAACGAUAUCCACUGCGUGCGUCAGCACUUAUUGGACUGCACACAUCAAAUGUAUUACUUCCAACAAGUUGCUCUCUUGUUCCAUCUUACUGAAAAUGAGGCCUUUCAGUCAUCUUGCCCAUGUGGUAUGAUUUGCAUGUCUCAAGUGAUUCAAAAUCAAGUGAGUCCAAAUGAUCCAUCUGUAUGGACUUUCUUCAUGCAUAUAUACUAAUAGACAUGGUUCGCAUGUCUCAAUCUUUUCAAAAAUGAGUGAGUCCAAAGAUCCAUCAACAUGGAGCUUCUUCAUGCGUUUUAUACCAAUAUGACUCAAGUGGCAGUGCCACAAGUAUGUGGUACUAUCAUUACUAUCUUAUAUCUUUUGGCAUGAACAUGUGUAUCACUACGAUCGAGAUUCAAUAAACCAUUCAUUUUAGGUGCAAGACCAUUGAAGGUAUUAUUCAAAUAGAUAGAGUAACCAUUAUUCUCCUUUAAUGAAUAAUCGUAUUGCGAUAAACAUAAUCCAAUCAUGUCUAUGCUCAACGCAAACACCAAAUAAUUAUUAUUCAGGUUUAAACCCAAUCUCGAUGGUAGAGGGAGCAUGCGAUGCUUGAUCACAUCAACCUUGGAAACACUUCCAACACAUAUCGUCAUCUCACCUUUAGGUAGUCUCCGUUUAUUCCGCAGCUUUCAUUUCGAGUUACUAACACUUAGCAACCAAACUGGUAUCUAAUACCCUGGUGCUACUAGGAGUACUAGUAAAGUACACAUUAAUAUAAUGUAUAUCCAAUAUACUUCUGUCGACCUUGCCAGCCUUCUCAUCUACGAAGUAUCUAGGGUAGUUCUGCUUCAGUGACCGUUCCCCUCAUUUCAGAAGCACUUAGUCUCGGGUUUGGGUUCAACCUUGGGUUUCUUCACUAGAGCAGCAACUGAUUUGCCGUUUCAUGAAGUUUCCCUUCUUGCCCUUGCCCUUCUAGAAACUAGUGGUUUUACUAACCAUCAACAAUUGAUGCUCCUUCUUGAUUUCUACUUUCGCGGUGUCAAACAUCGCGAGUUGCUCAAGGAUCAUCAUGUCUAUCCCUGAUAUGUUAUAGUUCAUCACGAAGCUCUAAUAGCUUGGUGGCAGUGACUAUGGAGAACCAUCACUAUCUCAUCUGGAAGAUUAACUCCCACUCGAUUCAAGUGAUUGUAGUACUCAGACAAUCUGAGCACAUGCUCAACGAUUGAGCUUUUCUCCCCUAGUUUGCAGGCUUAAGAAACUUGUCAGAGGUCUCAUACCUCUUGACGUGGGCAUUAGUCUGAAAUCCCAAUUUCAGUCUUUGGAACAUCUCAUAUGUUCUGCGAUGUUUCAAAUCGUCUUUGGUGACACAAUUUUAAACCGUUAGCAUCACACACUGAACUAUCACAUAGUCAUCAAAACGUGUAUGUCAGAUGUUUCGUAACAUCUACAGACGACGCUCGAGGUUCAGCACACCGAGCGGUGCAUUAAGGACAUAAGCCUUCUAUGCAGCAAUGAGGACAAUCCUCAGUUUACGAACCCAGUCCGCAUAAUUGCUACUAUCAACUUUCAACUAAAUUUUCUCUAGGAACAUAUCUUAGUAGAACUAAAGCGUAAGCUACGACAUUAUUUGCAAGGACCUUUUGACUAUGUUCCUGAUAAUUAAGUUCAUCUGAUUAUUUAAUGAACUCCCACUUAGAUAGACAUCCCUCUAGUCAUCUAAGUGAUACAUGAUCCGAAUCGACUAGGCCGUGUCCGAUCAUCACGUGAGACGGACUAGUCAUCAUCGGUGAACAUCUCCAUGUUGAUCGUAUCUACUAUACGACUCAUGUUCGACCUUUCGGUCUCUUGUGUUCCGAGGCCAUGUCUGUACAUGCUAGGCUCGUCAAGUCCACCUAAGUGUUUUGCUUGUGUUCCGAGGCCAUGUCUAUACAUGCUAGGCUCGUCAACACCCGUUGUAUGCGAACGCUAGAAUCUAUCACACCCGAUCAUCACGUGGUGCUUCGAAACAACGAACCUUCGCAACGGUGCACAGUUAGGGGAAACACAUCUCUUGAAAUUUUACUGAGGGAUCAUCUUAUUUAUGCUACCAUCGUUCUAAGCAAAUAAGAUGUAAACAUGACAAACAUCACAUGCAAAUCAUAAAGUGACAUGAUAUGGCCAAUAUCAUCUUGCGCCUUUGAUCUCCAUCUUUGAGGCGCGGCAUGAUCACCUUCGUCACCGGCAUGACACCAUGAUCUCCAUCAUCAUGAUCUCCAUCAUCGUGUCUUCAUGAAGUUGUCUCGCCAACUAUUACUUCUACUACUAUGGCUAACGGUUAGCAAUAAAGUAAAGUAAUUACAUGGCGGUUUUCAUUGACACGCAGGUCAUACAAUAAAUUAAGAAAACUCCUAUGGCUCCUGCCGGUUGUCAUACUCAUCGACAUACAAGUCGUGAUUCCUAUUACAAGAACAUGAUCAAUCUCAUACAUCACAUAUAUAUAAUUCAUCACAUCCUUUUGGCCAUAUCACAUCACAUAGCAUACCCUGCAAAAACAAGUUAGAUGUCCUCUGAUUGUUGUUGCAUGUUUUACGUGGCUGCUAUGGGUUUCUAGCAAGAACGUUUCUUACCUACGCAAAAGCCACAACGGUGAUAUGCCAAUUUCUAUUUACCCUUCAUAAGGACCCUCUUCAUCGAAUCCGAUCCGACUAAAGUGGGAGAGACAGACACCCGCUAGCCACCUUAUGCAUCAAGUGCAUAUCAGUCGGUGGAACCUGUCUCACGUAAGAGUACGUGUAAGGUCGGUCCGGGCCGCUUCAUCCCACAAUGCCGCCGAAUCAAGAUAAGACUAGUAAUGGUAAGAAAAUUGAACAAAUCGUCGCCCACAACUACUUUGUGUUCUACUCGUGCAUAGAAUCUACGCAUAAACCUGGCUCAUGAUGCCACUGUUGGGGAACGUAGCAGAAAUUCAAAAUUUUCCUACGUGUCACCAAGAUCAAUCUAGGAGAUUCUAGCAACGAGAGGAGAGGAGUGCGUCUACAUACCCUUGUAGAUCACGAGCGGAAGCGUUCAAGAGAACGGGGUUGAUGGAGUCGUACUCGUCGUGAUCCAAAUCACCGAUGAACCUAGCGCCGAACGGACGGCACCUCCGCGUUCAACACACGUACAGAGCGGGGACGUCUCCUCCUUGAUCCAGCAAGGGGGGAGGAGAAGUUGAUGGAGAUCCAGCAGCACGACGGCGUGGUGGUGGAAGUAGCGGGAUCCCGGCAGGGCUUUGCCAAGCGCAAGCAGGGAGGAAGAGGUGUCACGGGAGGGAGAGGGAGGCGCCAGGGGCUUGGGGUGCUGCUCCCAUGCGCCUCCCCACUAUAUAUAGGGGUGGAGGGGGCUGGUUUCUUGCCCUCCAAGUCUAUUGUGAGGUUGGCAAAGGUGGGGGAAAGAAAUCCCAUCAUUUCCCUUCCCCACCGAUUGUUAUCCCCCUUUUUUAGGGAUCUUGAUCUUAUCCCUUCGGGAUAUGAUCUUAUUCCUUCUAAGGUGGGAUCUUGGUGCGCCUUGACCAGGGGUGUGGGGCCUUGCCCCCACUACCCACGUUCAUGUGGGUCCCCCCAUACAGGUGGGCCCCACUUCGGAACCUUCUAGAACCUUCCCGGUACAAUACCGAAAAAUCCCGAACAUUUUCCAGUGGCCAAAAUAGGACUUCCCAUAUAUAAAUCUUUACCUCCGGAACUCCUCGUGACGUCCGGGAUCUCAUCCAGGACUCCGAACAACUUCCGGUUAACCGCAUACUAAUAUAUCUACAACUCUAGCGUCACCGAACCUUAAGUGUGUAGACCCUACGGGUUCGGGAGACAUGCAGACAUGACCGAGACGACUCUCCGGUCAAUAACCAAUAGCGGGAUCUGGAUACCCAUGUUGGCUCCCACAUAUUCCACGAUGAUCUAAUCGGAUGAACCACGAUGUCGAGGAUUCAAUCAAUCCCGUAUACAAUUCCCUUUGUCAGUCGGUACGUUAUUUGCCCGAGAUUGGAUCAUCGGUAUCCCAAUACCUUGUUCAAUCUCGUUACCGGCAAGUCACUUUACUCGUACCGUAACGCAUGAUCCCGUGGCUAACUCCUUAGUCACAUUGAGCUCAUUAUGAUGAUGCAUUACCGAGUGGGCCCAGAGAUACCUCUCCGUCAUACGGAGUGACAAAUCCCAGUCUCGAUUCGUGCCAACCCAACAGACACUUUCGGAGAUACCUGUAGUGCACCUUUAUAGCCACCCAGUUACGUUGUGACGUUUGGUACACCCAAAGCAUUCCUACGGUAUCCGGGAGUUGCACAAUCUCAUGGUCUAAGGAAAUGAUACUUGACAUUAGAAAAGCUCUAGCAAACGAACUACACGAUCUUGUGCUAUGCUUAGGAUUGGGUCUUGUCCAUCACAUCAUUCUCAUAAUGACGUGAUCCCGUUAUCAGUGACAUCCAAUGUCCAUGGUCAGGAAACCAUAACCAUCUAUUGAUCAACGAGCUAGUCAACUAGAGGCUUACUAGGGACAUGUUGUGGUCUAUGUAUUCAGACAUGUAUUACGGUUUCCAGUUAAUACAACUAUAGCAUGAACAGCAGACAAUUAUCAUGAACAAGGAAAUACAAUAAUAACCAUUUUAUUAUUGCCUCUAGGGCAUGUUUCCAACAGAUAAAGGGAGGAACAAAGAAGCCGAAAGCGAGCCUCACUCAUUAUUCAUCCAAACCGGGGGAAUUAGUGCCUCCGCGAAGGAGGAUAACCGGGGAGAAGAAUCUAAAAUUCCCUCUCCCCAAGGAAGGAAGAGGGCCGCCUCUGAAGACUUGGAAACAAUGGUUUCAGAACGAGGGAAGAAACCUUUGUCAGGGGGCCCUACCCCGGAGGGCAUCCUUACCACACACUUCCCGCAAGGGGACCAGCCCUCCACCGAGCUGUAAGUAAACAAAAGCACUUUAUAGUAAAUAUAUCUUACUUUAUUUCCGAGGACAAUAACCGAGACGUAUGUCUUGUAGUUCAGAUCGUAGCCCUUCUCGACAGAGUUCAGCUUCGGGGGAUCUUCUUCCAGAGAUGAUGGAGAGCGAAACGCCUCCCCAUGCCUCCCCGCCUCAUGAGGCGGACGACCCAGAGGUGUUUUCACGAAGGAUUUCUCCCGAUCCACCAAGGCCAGAAGGUAACCCUUCGGCCUCCCGAAGUCCGGAGUAUUCGGCUCCUAAGGGGAGCAACAGAAAGAGUCCAGGACUGUCCGGUGCACGACCAGACGCACUGAUGAAUCUUCUGGAGCAAGCGGCUAUCUCAGAAGCACAUCGUACGCUAAUGGGUACGUUGGUUGAGAGGAUUUCAUCCGCCGAAAGCGGGUUGCACGAAGCUUUUAUGAGCCUGCUGAGAGGCUUUGAGGUACGCAAAGUAAUAUGUAUAUUUUUUACGGUACCACACACACUAGGUGUGCCCUAUGCUGAUAGUAGCCCCUGAGACUCUGGUUGCUGUGAAAAAGGCGGCAAACAGAGGAUCAUAGUCCUAGGUAAUUACCGUGCUGCUUUCAUGCGCAGGCGGCUGAGGGUCCGGUGGCUAGCCAGACUGGUGAGUUUGUCGAACUGAAGCGGCAACUUGAUGUGGCCGAUGCCGACAUCGUGCUUGUAAACCGGCGGCGCGACGAGGCACAGGGUAUGUAUUCUCCUGUGGUCAACAUAUAUCAAGAGGAGCAUGAUGCUAGUAUCUAUAAUAUGCUGUGAUUGCAGAUGGAGCUGCCACCGUGGAGACCCUUCGGGCGGAACUUGCCCAAGCCAAGGAACAAGCCAAGAGGAGUGAUGCGGCCCCCCUAAAGGCAGUUGAAGAGUUAAGAGCCGAACAGGCUGCGCAUUGCCAGAGCAAAGAGAAAAUGGCCAAGAUGGCUGUUGAGUUGAAAGAUGCCGCCGACCGUUAUGAGCUUCUUGAAAGGGAAAGUCAAACGAAGACGGUGGACCUGGAGAAAGCCAUGGCAGCAGUCAAGGAAACCCGCUCUAAAAUCAGAGUGGCGAAGGAGGAGCUACGUCAAGCCAGAGAUAUCACCACUGGGAAGCCCUUUUUGUUGCGGACGAAGUUCGGAGAUACUAAGUAUGCCCUUCUGGAUCAAUUAUGGAGUUCUGUGGACGCGUACUUGGAUUUGGCAGCGAGUGCUGCUGAUGCGACCAAGUUUUUCAAAGAUCAAAAGGAUCACGAAGUGGAAAAAUUGUUCUGGUCGCAGUUCAAUGCUCCAGCGCGUCCGCUGCUGUUAAAUGAGUGAAUGGCCGAGUGGGCCGAGCUCCAUAGGUUGUCCGGACUAGCCAUGAGGUCUGUCGUGGAUCGUCUUUGGCCGGAAGGACCAAGGCCGAAUAGUUAUUUUGGUCUAGUGCAAGGAUUCCUUGGUGCUGUGCCGCAUAUCGACGCUGUAAAGAGGUCGGCGUGCAUAGAGGGUGCGCGGAUGGCUCUUGCCCGUGUCAAGACAUACUGGGCAAAGAUGGAGGCCACCGCUAUUGCAACCCAGAAUCCGGCCGUAGGCCAGGUUUCGGCCGAGCAUUAUUUUGAAGAAGUCCUAGAAGGUGCUCGUUUAAUAGAGGCUCAGUGCUCGAAGAGUGUCAUGUUCGAGUGACAUGAAUCCCAAUUGUAAGGACAAUACUAUUUGAAUUAUGAGGGCUGUGUUUAUACUUUUGCCUGAAAGUAUUAUUAUGCCUCCUGUACGGUCGUUUAUGUAUAUAUAUAUAUAUAUAUAUAACCUGAAAGUUUGCAGUCGUCGGCUUCAGCCCCCACGCAUAUAAUGCGGGGGUGUUCGCAAAAGCGCGUGUUCACACUUGAUCCAACGUCUUGGUCCAUUAAGGAGGUGGUAGCGCGGCGAACGAGGCAAUCGGACUAUAUUGCUUUAACACUUUCACUUAACCAUAGGAGUUUGACAAUGGGGCUACUAUAUAGCCCCUGGUACUUCCGCGCUCAUCCAAGUACGGGGCGCGUACGUAGAUGACCGGGAAAACCGGCCCUUCGUUAAUGCGGAGGAAUCCCGAAGAUUCCGCUAAGUCAUCGAGUGGUUGAACAGUCUCGCGCUUUAUCAUGACAGUCAGUUUUCGGCUUUCUCUACUGAGGUGCUCAUCCGGAUGAACCAGGGCACAAUCACAGUAGUUCUCCCGGUGCCACCUUAGCCGAUAGAGCGGAACGUAAGGUAGCAAAACGUGGGAGCCGAGCAAACCCAACAUUUGACCAAAGACAUGAUUCGGAGCUGGUGCAUAUAAGGCCAAUCUCGCGACGCCGAACACUCCCUAAGGUGUUCGGUCUUUACACAAUGUACCGGGCUAAGUAACGCCCAUGAUAAUGGACCCUAAAUUUCCAGGUACGUGCAUUAGUCUGUCGUGGCGAAAUGCCAACAACGCCAGCAUCCCUCACGGUUGUGUUAGGUAUCGGGGGAGGGGGUCAAGCAACAAGAGACAGUAAGAAAGGUUUACACAGGGUCUUAAUCUAAAAAGAAACCUUUGAGCGGGGCCCUGCUGCACGUCUGCGCCUGUGUCUCCAUUGUGCCGUAUCCUGGAAGGGUGUAGCACGAUUGUCAUAUGUAAAAGAGAAAAAAUUAGAUGAAAGUUCUCAUGCGAAAAACUGAUUAUUCUCAUUAAAAUUCAAUCUAAAUGAGGUAAAGCCGAACUGUAGUCCUUUUUACAUGCGGGAAGCCCCUGGUACCGCCUAUGGGGGUAUAUCCAUCAAACCAAUCUCAGGUUUAUCUAAGCUGUUAUAGCUAGUGGUGCACCGGACUUGUCUAGCCGUGUCCACGGUCUUGACAACCGACCAUUUAUUCUGGUUGGAAAGGCCAUUUAGUGUUCGGCUGCUAAAGCCGCCACACGUUCUCCCGCUUGCAAGGAACGCUCAGUGUUUCCGCUAACUAUGAUGAUGCCACGUGGACCGGGCAUCUUAAGCUUAAGAGAAGCGUAAUGCGGUACUGCAUUAAAACAAGCGAAGGUCGUUCUUCUAAGUAGUGCUUGAUAGCCGCUGCGGAAUGGAGCGAUGUCGAAGGUUAACUUUUCACUUCGGAAGUUGUCGGGAGAACCGAAUACAACCUCUAGUACUAGAGAGCCCGUACAACGUGCCUCUGGGCCUGGUAUUGCUGCUUUAAAGAUAGUGCAGCUUUGGCUGAUUCUUGUCGGGUCUAUCCCCAUUUUGCGGACUGUGUCCUGAUAUAUCAGAUUAAGACUACUGCCGCCGUCAAUGAGGACUUGGGUGAGAUGCUAUUCGUCGAUUAUUGGAUCUAGCACCAAGGCAGCCAAUUCUCCGUGCCGGAUACUAGUCGGGUGAUCCCUAUGAUCAAAAGUGAUCGGGCAGGCCGACCAAGGGUUGAACUGAGGGGUGACGGGCUCUACGGUGCAUAUGUCUCGGAGUGUGUGUUUGCUCCUUUUUUUUGUUACGUGAAUCAUGUUCACUAUUUUGACCUUUGUGGGAAUUUUUUCUGUCCCCCAGUGUUUUGCUGGCGAGGCUCAUCCUCAUCUUCACUUGGUGUCUCCCUCCCCUUGUGUUCGGCGUUUAGCUUGCCGGCCUGCUUGAAGACCCAGCAUUCUCUGUGGGUGUGAUUUGCAGGUUUAUCGGAGGUGCCAUGAAUCUAACAUAAUUUGUCUAGAAUCUUGUUUAGGCUGGACGGUCCAUCUCUGCUGCCUUUGAAAGGCUUUUUCCGUUGACCGGCUCGAGAGCCCCUAAAUCCGGCGUUUACCACCGUGUUGUCUGGGCUGUCUUCGUUAUUUCGACGCUUACUUUUACUGCGUCGUGGUUUUCCAUUGCCAUCCUUGACUUCAGAUGUGCCUGGGUCGCUGGUGCUACUACAGGCCAGCCAGCUAUCUUCGCCCGCGCAAAAGCGGGUCAUAAGGCUUGUUAGGGCUGCCAUUGUCCUUGGUUUUUCUUGGCCGAGGUGUCUGGCGAGCCAUUCGUCUCGGACGCUGCGUUUGAAAGCUGCUAAGGCUUCAGCGUCCGAGCAGUCGACGAUUUGGUUCUUCUUAGUGAGAAAUCUGUUCCAAAGCAUUCAGGCUGACUCUCCGGGCUGUUGAAUUAUAUGACUUAAAUCGUGUGCAUCCGGAGGUCGGACAUAGGUCCCUUGAAAGUUAGCCCUAUCCUCAAGGUCCUCCCAACUUCUAAUUGAAUUUUUGGGGAGGCUCUUCAGCCAGUGCCGAGCUGGUCCUUUCAGCUUGAGGGGCAAGUACUUGAUGGCGUGGAGAUCGUCUCCGUGAGCCAUAUGGAUACGGAGGAUGAAGUCAUCAAUCCAGACCCCAGGGUCUGUCGUUCCGUCGUACGCCUCUAUGUUCACGGGUUUGAAUCCCUCUGGAAAUUCGUGAUCCAGCACCUCAUCGGUGAAACAUAGGGGGUGCGCGGCACCCCUGUAUUUGGAUGUGUCAUGGCGUUCUGACGAUUGUAGUGUUCGUUUUUGAUUCUGCGCUGGAGCGCGCUUCCUAGAUCCGUAGAUGAAUCUGGUCACGCCAGCUUUUGAUGCAAGUCCUUGCGUGAAUCGUGUGCUGACUUAUGUGCGGCCUUGUUAGCCGCCCUAUCGCGGCCACGAGGUGGUCGAUCCAACCGGUCGGCCGUUUUAUUUUUCGGCUGUGUAGGCUCUAAGGCCUCAUCAUUGAAUUCAGGCAACAGCUUGCGCUUUGGAUAGCUCUUUGUGUGGUGACUGCCACCAUACUUUUCUAAAGUGUCGAGCACUUUGUUCCAUCUUCUGUGGAGCGUAUUCUGCGUGUCCUUAAGCCUUUGCUUCUGCUUCUUCAGACUCCUCGUGGUGGCAAUAAGCCUUCUAUGGAGGUUCUCUUGUUCCAAGUGCCUUUCCGGGAUGAUGUGUGCAUCGUCGUCCGGACUGUUUUCCUCUCCGGAGAGAGGUUGCUGAGCUUUAUCCUCGGCGUCGCCGUGAUCGGACAGCGGCUCCGUACUAUGUUCGUUGUCCGCUGGUUCAUUGUCGGAGUAAAUGGCCACGGGUAGCCCAACCGACUACCCCUGGUUCUUCAGAAAAAUUAUCAGGCCUUCGGGCCUUCAAGCACUCCAAGCAUUUGGGCCGCCUUCCCUGGCCGGCUACCUCUGAAGCCGACUCCCAGAAGGCGACCCAGCCUCAAGCAACCCCUCCCCAGGACGAUUACGGGGUGGCCGACUCCAAGAAGCCGGCAAAGAAGGACGCCGACUCCUAGGGGCCGGCCGAGACCUCAACUACCAAAGCCGUUCCCACAUAACGACGACAAGACGGGGAGUGGCCACAGUGCGGCCCACUACCCCCGAAGCCCGAGGCAGGCAUGGCUACAGGAAGCCGUACGGGACGGCUGUCUCCCGUGCGGCUUGGCACUGUAGCCAUGCUAGCCUUGACGUCAUCCACGACAGACUCCCGUACAGCCCACGGGCGGCGGGCCCCUUCAGCCAGAGAGAGGCGUGGAGGCGGCCCGGCCUUUCCCAGUCGGCCAAGGGCGUAGCCGGCUCCCAGAAGCCAGCUACUCCCUUCCUCGAAGCAGGAGCCCCAUUAAGGAGACAAGACGAGGUAAGGCUACAGUGAGAGCCCCCAAGGCGGCCCACUGUAGCCACGCUCACCUCGACAAAGCCCUCGUCAUCAGAGGCGAGGCUACAGUAAGCAGCCGCCGACAAGACCCUAGGCGGUGGGGCCGGCCUGUCGACUAAGAAGCCGGCAGCCGGCGGGACCCACCAGCCGGCGGGGCCCAAUUGCCGGCGGAGAAGCCGGCAAGCGUAGACACUGACGGCUGGGACCAGCUCCCAGUCGGAUUACCAUUGUACCCCCGGGGAGUAGGCCUAUAUAAACCCCCCGGAGCGCCCAUUCAAAGGGUGGGCCUCUGAUCAUAGUUGGCUUCAAAACAUAACACACACACCAUAGAUAGAGAGAAGAUAGAGCUAGCCUUGUUCUUCUUCUCCCUUGAACCCCAAAACAGCUCUAGGAGCGAUUGUAGCUACUUUCACCGAUCUAGUGACUAUGCGGAGACCCCGCAGAGCAGGACUAGGGGUGUUAUCUCCUCGGAGAGCCCCGAGCCCGGGUAAGAUCCGCCGGCGUGCAUGUCUUCGCCUCAUCCCGUUUCCAGGCACCGGCGACGUCUUAUUGGCACCCACACAGAUAAGCCAUCCCUUGGCAUAUGUCGCACCAACCACCCGACAUUUGGCGCCCACCAUGGGGCCAGGUGCACCGUCGUCCGGAGACCUGUUCUGGACGGGAACCCUCUUCCUCCCCCGUGAGCACAGCCAGCCUGCUGCGCCCGAUGGCGUUUGCCUCGACGGGGCUGCAAGGCGUCGACGACGCCUGCGCAGCGAGUCGCCUCGCCGAUCUUCUCGGCGAGACUCGCAUCUCCGAUGAGCCUGCGUCCGACGCAGGCACCGACUACCCCGAGAGUCGCCUCGCUAGCCUCCUCGACCAGCUUCACGUCUCCAGCGAGCCUGCUGCAGAUGUGGAGUCGGUCGGCUCCACCGACCCGAUGCUCGUCGACUUCGACACCGCAUCGCUUGACGCCUACCCCUCCGACGUGGUGGUCUUCGACGACCCCCUCCCUCGAGCUGACAGCGGCAGCAGCGCUGUCACCGAAGUGCUGGUCAUCAGCCACGUCGCCAACUCGGGCGAGAACGCCCACGACGCCCUGCAAGCGGCAAUGCACGACCUCUCCGUCCCCAUCCCGGCCGAUGCCGACGCCGAGACCCUGGAGGCACGCCGCCUUGCCCUCAUCGCGGAGGGCCAGAAGAUAGCCUCCAUGAGAAGCCUCACCGAGGCCCACCAGCGCGAAGUCGACCGCGCCGCCUUCGGUACACCGCCGCCUAGCGGCCCGAGCCGAGCCGGCUUCGUCAAGAACCGCGGCGCGGCCGUUGCCAGCAUGCUGGGCGCAGAUCGCCCCCCCUACGCCACCCCGCUCGAGAAUCUGCGAGCCGCUCAGGCGGCUGCAGAGGAGCUCAAUGGGCUGGGAGCCGACGAGCUCCCCUACAUGACAAGACGGAUCCAGCAGCUGAUCGACGCGGCUGCAGAACGGCACGAAGCCGGCGCCCAUGCUGGUAGUCAUCCCCCGCGCCGGGAGCACGCCGCGACGUCCCGCUCGCCGACUGCGAGCGGCGCGCGCCAGAAGAAAGACAAGGAGCCGGCUGCCAACCGCAGUCGGACUCGCAUCACUAUCGAGCACGACGCGGAGGGCCGCCCUUGAGCAGUAGAGCACCAAGGAAAUCAGCCCCCUCCUCCACCUCGAAGAGAAAGACGCCUCACUCCGCCGCCCAUCACACAUCCGACUCUUGGCGACCGACUCGGCCGCCGAGAAGGAGUCGGCGAAAAUGACGCCCGCCACAGGAUCGACCGCCUUGCCCGAUCCUUGGCGUUAGAAGAAGAAGACGAUGUCGGCCCGCCAUGCUUUGGCCCCCGCAUCCGCGACGAGCCCUUCCCCAAAGGGUUCUCGCUCCCCAGAGACACACCCAAGUACAACGGGUCGGUGAAGCCGGAAGAUUGGCUCAUCGACUACUCCACAGCCGUCAGCAUAGCCAACGGCAAUCGGCGCGUCGCCGUGAAGUAUGUCCCCCUCAUGCUGUGACACCCAAGUUUUUAUUUGAAUUUUUCAAAAGAUUUUUAUUUGACUUGAGGGAGGUGAUUUAAAUUUUUUUUUUCAAAAGAACUCUCCCUUUCAAAUAUUUUUUUAUGGCAAAAGUUUUAUUUGGAUUCACCCAAGAUCUGUCUUUGGUCUUGGAGGUUCUUGCUUUUCAUUUGGACUCAAGACAAAAUACUUUUCACUUGGGAAAAUGCCUUUUGGAAAUCUCUUUGAAAUUUGCACUAUGGCUUUUGGAAUAAUCCUUUACCACCUUCAACAUUUCCCUCUUGCCAUGGCCUUAGUGCAAAUACUCUCUCCUAACCCUCCCCUCAUCUUUGGAUCAUGUUUGGCAUCUAAUCCAGCAAGUUGAACCUCCCCUAUGUUUAUUUUCCAUUUAAAUCUUAUUCAAAUAAAUUUCUGUCUUCUAUUCUAUCCAUUGGUGAUUUACAAAGGAACUCUACUUUCUGUUUUGAUUUUUGCCCCCAAACCAACUCUCCUGCCUAGUCCUUUGAACCCUCAACCAAGAUCCAUGAAGAUCCACUGGUCUUCAGUUCAAAUUUUUCAAACUACACAUGCUGCAAGUUUGGACCAGAUUUGUCAAAUUUGGUGAAAUUCAUUCAAAUCCUUCUCCAAAAAUUCCAAGUAAAAUCAGGCAGCCUCUGGGUGCAUUGAGUGGUCACCUCACCAAGUUACAGCCCCAGAAAAAUUUAUCUCAUAGCCAAAUCUUUCUGUCGAACACCUGCAGUGCAUUGUCAGUGUCAAGUUUCAGUUAAGUUCAGAGAACAUUGCAGUGCACUGUCGUUUUCUUCAGAACCCGAUGUCGAUCUCACCAGUGCCACUGUGUCGCCUUGCUCCUCGUCCCCUCCCCCUUGUUCCUGCACCGCACGAACGCCUGGCACCUUGCGGACGUCGGCGACGAGCAGCAGAAGGUGCGCCGCCCCGUGACCGACGCCAGCGGCGGCUUUGCGGCCGCCAGCGGGAGGCACGGCGCUGACGGCGCCACCCAGCGCCGCCCAAGCCACCGGAGCUCGCCGCGUGGCCUUCAACUCCCCCGAAUGCGUUGCCGCUCUCAUUGUGAACCGCAGGGCGCGGAGCGCGCUCUCUGCCGCCGUCGAGCCCGUGCGGCCAUCUCACCGUGGACCGACACCAUUACGCCAAGACCAACUCCGUUUAGCUGUGGAAUGACACCAGUAACCUCCACUGAUGCUGCCUGGCCACUCAAACCUCCUACCAAUCCACUGCAUCGCUGUAAUCGCUCGCCGGAGAUUCUCCGUUCACGGCCACCCCGUCGAUCCGCCUAUAAAUAGAGGCCCCGAGCUUCAACUCGAGCACCCACCAUCCCUGCACUCCACCUAGAGCACGCCUAGCCACUGGAAGAGCCCCGAGGAGGUCUCCUUCCUCGACUCCGGCCGCCGCGACCCGCCACGGGAUCCAGCUCGAUUCGCCCCCGUGUGUGCACCUCCGCCUCCCUUGUCUUGCCAGUAGCUUCACUAUGCAUCCCUCCCUCUGACCCGCGCUUCAAUUUGAAGUUUGCAGCCCUCCACCGGAGUUCCCCACCAUCACCCGAGCCGCCGUCCGCCGGAGAUAGUGUCGCCGUCGACGUGGUGCUCCCCGUUGGUCGAGUCCACCACCCACCGACGCGGAAGAACACGCUGAAGCUCUUGGUACCCUCCGAUCCUCCUAACUCGCCGUGGUUCGACGCCGGCGUCCACCGCAGUCUUCGGGCGCCGGCGAGCUUUUCAAACCUGACAUGUGGACCCCGCAUGUCAGCCUCUGUUAUAUUCUCCCUCGAACCGUUUUCUGUUGGCGCCUUCGGGCAAAUACGCUUUCCCUCUUGAGCUUGCGCAUUUCCAAUCGAACCGUUUUCUGUUUUCUCAGUUAAAACCCUGGAACUUUUCUGUUUCAUUAUAGAUAAGUCCCUGGACAGAAACCUUUAUAACUUUUUAAUAAAAAUGGAUUUUUGAGUGAUUCUUUUUCUGACAAUCUUCAAAUUUUGACUAGCUUUUUAUGGGAUUUAUUUGAAAAAUAUUUGGAGAAGUUUCUGUGCACCCAUUGGUUUUCACGUUAGUACCCGUUUUUCGUGAUUGCCGUAGGUUCCAGAAGAGGCGACGAAGCCGCGAACUUCGCCGAGCUAGACUCCGACUUCUCCGAACCAGGCAAGCAUGUUUGAACAUUUGAUAUGAUAAGUGUUUUGCAUGUUUGCUUGAAAGUUCGUGCGUGGCAUAUGAGUGUCGGCAAAUACCUCGUUGCUUGUAAGGUAACUACCCGCAUGUUCCAAAGUUGUGAUGAUCUCUGAUGAGAGAUGGCCUAAUCAUGUGGUGACAUGAAGGGCAGCAAGGUGGUACUGUUGUAGCAUACCAGCCUUGCGUCAUCCGACUUUCUCCGACGUUAACAUGGACGGAGUCACGUUAUCGUUCUUUCCCCCUUCCGUGCUACCACAUGUUUCAUUUGCCAGGAUGCGGUUUAGUAAGUUGGUAACCUCUUUCCGUGUACACACCAUACAGAGAGGCCGGGAUGAUGGUACCUUGGCCCAGGAUUAAAGCCAGUCAUCCGGUCAGGGGGCAUGGGUGUUUCCGGUUGGGACCGAGAGGGGGGGCACCCCCUUAGAGCGCGCGUAUAGAAAUUUGAUCCCAUGCUACGCGAGGUUGUAGCCUCCCCGUCUCAAGUUUUUCUUGAACGUUGCCGAGGGUGAUCCCUGGCUUCGGAAGGUUGAAUUGGGUGUGUACUAGUUAGACGUGUUUCUUCCAAAACACCGUAGACGGAACUAGUCCCUGUGACUACUGAAAUCCGUUGGCUGUGGUUAAGUACAAACUCUGCAGAGUCAAUUCCUUCCAAGUCAUCGUAUCCAUGAUCAAGUAGUGAAAUCAGUAUAUCCAUAUCUAUCCGCGUGGAAAACUUGUCCCCGGCGAACAAGCUCAAGUGGUAAAUCCAGUUUAAUUAUUAUUCCUGUGGAUGGACUAAAUUUUUAUUCGUCUCGUACUUGUGAUAAUUUAUGUUCCCGAACUAUUAAAUUAUGGAACUGCAAUAUAAGCCCUUCAUGUGACGUCGCUCAGACGUCCGACUGCGGCGUGUCUUUUGUUUCUUACUUUAAAUAUAAGCCCUUUAUGUGAUGUCGCUCAGACGUCCAACUGUGGCACGCACUGCCUUUAUUUUCUGUUAUAAGCCCUUUAUAUGGUGUCGCCCCGACGCCCGACUGUGGCAUUAUUAUUCUCGCAGUUUCCUCUCGAGGAGUCAUUCAGACCCUCGUUUGGCACCAGCAUUAUUAUUCUCGCAGUUUCCUCUCGAGGAGUCAUUCAGACCCUCGUUUGGCACCAGUAUUACUAUUCUGCAGUUUCCGCUCGAGGCGUCAUUCAGACCCUCGCUUGGCACCCAGUAUUUAUUAUCUCUAUGUCUGAACGCACUGGAUAAAUUGUUCAUAUGCUUCAUGUUUACAUUUGUUAUAUCUUAUGUCCGAACUGUCUUGCGAGUACUUUCAUAGUACUCACCUGGCUUGUUGAUUUGGCCAGAUGUUGACGAAGGCGAUCUCUUGGAUGAAGAGUUUGAUAGCGCAUCCGACGCCUAGAGGAGUCCCAGUCAGUCCUGUGCGAUCCCGGAUAUUGGUCACUGUAUUAUAUACGCUUCCGCCACUCGCAAUAAGUCUCCUCGAGCCUCACUCCGACGCUCGAAGAGCUGUAGUCUUCAGAAGUCAUAUCACUCGCUUCGCGGUGAUAUUUCCACCACCGUUAUUAUCGUGAGUUAGUAGUAUGCCACCCUAUCCGCCGUCUUGUUUUAUCGGCGUGCAUGUAAUAAAUUGUUGGGCAGUCUCCGCUCAACCUUGUAUUAUAUUUAGUACUCCUGGUAUUUUUCUUCUGUGACCAAGAUAUUGUCUACCAGUGAGAAGGAAUUCUUCCUUACUGGUCCAUAAAAGGGAUUGGUCUCUCAAUAAUUAUUUUAUUGAAAAACCGGUCGUGACACAUGCUGCAAGGCACGGCACGCACAUGGCCCAACAGCCUCAAGCCCUACAGCAUCAACAGUUGGCUGGACUUCACCGAAGUCUUCGUCCGCACCUUCACCAGCACCUGCAAGCGGCCUCCCAAGCCUCGCCAGCUCUCCGUCUGCGUCCAAGGGCCCAACGAGUCGACCCGCGACUACCUCACGCGAUGGGCCGAGCUCCGCAACUCCUGCGAGGGAGUGCACGAGGUCUAGGCCAUCGAGUACUUCACCGCUGGGUGCCGAGAGGGCACCCUCCUCAAGCACCGACUCCUCUGCGACGAGCCGGCUACCCUCGACGAGCUACUAGUCAUUGCCGACAAGUACGCCACCGCCGACUCCUCAAUGAAGACCGAGCUCCGAGUGGACGCCUCGGGGAAAGUAAUUGCUCUGGCUCCCAAGACGCCGGCUGACGACCCUAAUCGGCGCCCCUACCAGAACGACCACAAGCGCAAGGGCCCCAUGCCGACUUCCUCCAGUCGGCAGGUGGCCACAGUUGAAGACGAGCAGCCCGAAGAUCGGCCCAUUCCCAAGAAGAAGGGUGGCCGGCCGCCUUGGCAGCCGUCUUUCUCCUACGAGCAAGCUCUAGACGCCCCUGCAAGUUCCACAGCGGCGCGAAGCCGUCCAACCACACAACCCGGAAAUGCCACUGGCUCACCCGCAUCACCAAGGGCGAGGGGAUGUUGCCGCCUCCGCCUCCCGGCCCGCCGCCCCCAGCCCCCCAGCAGCUGGCGGCUCGGCCGGCAGUCGGCGCCAUCCAAGACGAAUUUCCCGAAGAGCAUGCCGCCUACAUCGUCUUCACCAGUCAAGCCGACGACAAGCGCAGCCGACGCCGACAGCACCAAGAAGUGAAUGCAGUCGCCUCUAGCACCGCCGAGUUCAUGCUGGAGCCAGGCCGACCACCCAGAGGUGAUGCCUUCGCCUGGCUCCUAUGCAGUGGUCUUGGACGUCACCCUCGCGACGGAGAGGCGAGCUGCCAGAUUUUCCCGCGUCCUGAUAGACGGCGGAAGCAAUAUCAACAUACUGUAUCGCGAAGCUGAACAUCAAAGCGAAGCAGCUCAUGCCGAGCCGCACCGUCUUCCAUGGUAUCGUACCCGGCCUGUCUUGCUCUCCAAUCGGCAAGAUCAAAAUGGAUGUUCUCUUCGGAGACAAAGAUCAUUUUCGCCGGGAAGCAAUAUGGUUCGAGGUAGUGGAUUUGGAGAGCCCCUAUCAUGCACUGCUUGGCCGACCUGCUUUGGCCAAGUUCAUGGCUGGGCCCCACUACGCCUACCUGAAGAUGAAGAUGCCGAGCUCGAAGGGGAUCAUCACGGUAGCCGGCGACUACAAGAAGUCCAUCGAGUGCGCCAUGGCCAGUAGCCGGCUGGCCGAGUCCCUCGUGGUGGCAGAAGAGAAGAAGAUGUUGGAACGGGUUGUGGCCAUGGCCGGCAAGCAGUCGGCCUUGUCCCCCAACCCCAAGGAUUGUGAUGCGCAUGGCUCCUUCCAGCCUGCCAAAGAGACGAAGAAGAUACCUCUGGACCCGGAGAACCCGGAGAGGUUCGCUGUCAUUGGGGCGAACUUGGACAGUAAAUAGGAAGGCGAGCUCGUCGACUUCCUCCGUGAGAAUCGAGACAUCUUUGCAUGGUCCCCAAAGGACAUGCCGGGUGUCCCGAAGGAUUUCGCCGAGCACAAAUUACAUGUCCGAGCUGACGCGAAGCCGGUCAAGCAACCCCUCCGCCGACUGUCAGAAGAGAAGCGAAGAUCGUGGGAGAAGAGAUAGCCCGGCUCCUUGCCGCCGGCUUUAUCAUGGAAGUGUUCUUUCCAGAGUGGCUUGCCAACCCAGUUCUGGUUCUGAAGAAGAAUAACAAGUGGCGUAUGUGUAUAGACUACACGAGUUUGAACAAGGCCUGCCCAAAGGAUCCGUUUGCUCUGCCACGGAUUGACCAAGUGAUAGACUCCACAGCCGGAUGCGAGCUGUUAAGUUUUUUGGAUGCAUACUCAGGGUAUCAUCAGAUCAAGUUGGACCCGGCUGACCGCCUGAAGACUGCCUUCAUCACACCUUUUGGAGCUUUCUGCUACCUGACAAUGACAUUCAGCUUGAGAAAUGCUGGUGCCACUUUUCAGCAUUGCAUGCAGAAAUGUCUCUUGAAACAACUCGGCAGAAAUGCCCACGUCUACGUAGACGACAUUGUGGUGAAGACAGAGAAGCGCGGUACCUUGCUGGAAGACCUGAAAGAAACAUUCGCCAACUUGCGCCGAUUCCAGAUCAAGCUCAACCCCGAGAAGUGCGUGUUCGGAGUCCCAGCCGGCCAGCUGCUAGGCUUCCUGGUCUCCGAACGCGGCAUUGAGUGCAACCCCGUCAAGAUCAAGGCCAUCGGGAGGAUGGAGAUUCCCACCAAGCUGCAAGAUGUGCAGAAGUUCACUGGCUGCUUAGCCUCCCUGAAUCGUUUUAUCAGCCGACUAGGAGAGAAGGCCCUCCCCCUGUACCGACUCAUGAAGAAGUCCACUCACUUUGAGUGGAAUGAUCAAGCCGACCAAGCCUUCCAUGAGUUGAAGAAAAUGCUGACCACUCCACCUGUCCUGGCUGCGCCGACUGAGAAGGAGCCCAUGCUCCUCUACAUCGCCGCGACUAGCCGAGUCAUCAGCACUGUUGUUGUGGUCCAGCGCCCGGAGGAAGGCCGAGCCCAGCUAGUCCAGAGGCCGGUCUACUAUCUGAGUGAAGUACUAUCCAGCUCAAAGCAAAACUACCCGCACUACCAGAAGAUGUGCUAUGGAGUGUACUUCGCUGCCAAGAAACUGAAGCCCUACUUCCAAGAGCACCCCAUCACGGUCGUGUGCACUGCCCCGCUCGCCGAGAUCAUAGGCAGCCAGGAUGCAUCCGGCCGGGUGGCCAAAUGGGCCAUUGCGUUGGCGCCCUACACGAUCUUCUAUCAACCCCGCACCGCCAUCAAGUCGCAAGCAUUGGCCGACUUCCUCGUCGACUGGGCCGAGACCCAGUACCUACCGCCGGCUCCCGACUCUACCCAUUGGCGGAUGCACUUUGACGGGUCCAAGAUGCGCACCGGCUUGAGAGCCGGCAUCGUCCUCACCUCUCCCAAAGGCGACAAGCUCAAGUACGCGCUGCAGAUCCACUUCGCCGCCUCCAACAACGUCGCCGAGUACGAGGCGCUCAUACAUGGGCUCUGGCUAGCCAAAGAACUCGGCAUAAGCCGGAUCCUGUGCUACGACGACUCAGACUUGGUGGUCCAGCAAUCAUCUGGCAACUGGGAUGCCAAGGACGCGAACAUGGCGAGCUACCGUUUCCUCGUCCAGCAGAUAAGCGGAUACUUCGAAGGGUGCGAGUUCCUUCACGUGCCAAGGGCCGACAACGACCAAGCAGAUGCCCUAGCACGGAUCGACUCCACCCGACAAGCCAUACCGACUGGCGUCUCCCUCCAGCGCCUCCUCAAGCCGUCCAUCAAGCUGUCUCCAGAGUCGGAUUCCAUUUUUGUACCGCCUGCGCCAGAUACAGUCGGAUCCGACUGGAGAAAUCCCGCAGGCGGCACGGGGACUUCGACAACCGGCCCAGGGACUACCGUAGUCGCACCCGGCCCGGGGACUUCAGAACCCGGCCCGGGGACUUCAGAACCCGGCCCGGGGACUGCAGCAGUCGGCCCGGGGACUGCAACGACACAAGAAGCGGUGGCCGACUCCAAUUCAACGCCACCCAACCCACCCACCCGAGUCAUGGUGGCCACAUUAACAGAAGAAGAAGUCACAGCUCCCUCAUGGGCCCAGCCCAUCUUCAAGUUCCUAGUCAGCAGAGAGCUGCCGGCUGACGAGAUCUCAGCAAGACUAGUGCAACGACGAGCCGCAGCAUAUACAAUAAUCAACAGAGAGCUUGUGAAGCGCAGCGUCACUGGAGUCUUCCAGCGUUGUGUCGAGCCAGAAAAAGGAGUAGCAAUCCUCAAAGACAUCCACCAAGGCGAGUGCGGCCACCACGCAGCCUCAAGAUCCCUUGUGGCUAAGGCUUUCCGCCAUGGUUUCUUCUGGCCGACUGCCUUGGAAGAUGCUAAAGAAAUAGUCAAGAGCUGCAGAGGAUGCCAAGUUUUUAGUUCGAAGCAACACCUGCCGGCUUUUGCCCUCAAGACCAUUCCCCUCACUUGGCCUUUUGCCGUCUGGGGACUGGACAUGGUGGGCCCUUUCAAGACAGCCCGCGGCGGCCUAACACAUCUACUUGUUGCCGUGGACAAGUUCACAAAGUGGAUUGAAGCAAAGCCGAUUAAUAAGCUCAAUGGGCCGACUGCCGUUACAUUUAUCACCGACAUCACUACUCGGUACGGCGUGCCGCACAGCAUCAUCACCGACAAUGGCACGAACUUCGCCAAAGGAGCACUGGCACGUUUCUACGCGACGCAGGGCAUCCGACUGGACUUAGCGUCCGUUGCCCACCCGCAGUCAAACGGCCAGGUCGAGCGAGCAAAUGGACUCAUCCUCUCCGGCAUCAAGCCCCGACUGGUUGUACCACUGGAGCGAUCGGCCGGCUGCUGGCUCGAAGAGCUGCCGGCUGUCCUCUGGAGCCUGCGCACUACACCCAACAAGUCAACCGGCUUCACUCCAUUCUUCCUCGUGUACGGUGCCGAGGCUGUCAUCCCAACAGACAUCGAGUUCGACUCGCCUCGGAUCACCAUGUACACGGAGGAGGAAGCCAAAGAAGCAAGAGAAGACGGCGUCGACCUACUAGAAGAAGGCUGGCUGUUAGCCCUCAGCCGGUCCGCCAUCUACCAGCAAGGGCUGCGCCGCUACUACAACCGCAAGGUCAAGCCAAGAUCCUUCCAAGAGGGCGACCUUGUGCUCCGGCUGAUCCAGCGAACAGCCGGCCAGCACAAGCUCUCGGCCCCUUGGGAAGGCCCUUUCGUCGUCAGCAAGGCACUCGGCAACGACUCCUACUACUUGAUCGACGCGCAAAAACCAAGAGCACGCAAGAGAGACGACUCCGGCAAGGAGUCGGAGCGACCAUGGAACGCAAACCUCCUAAGACGAUUUUACAGCUGAAAAGCAGUAUGUAUCACGGUCCCCUUUUGUAUUAAGUACAAACCAACAGGCCCCCCGAACAAUACUCGGGGACUGCCUUUUAUUUAUCUAUGAAUGACGAGUGUCAUAACCAUGAAUGUAUUAUUAGAUUUUGAAUUUUUGUCCAGCACUGGGUUCGACUAGUCGGCCCGGGGACUGGCCGCCUUAAGCUAUAUCGAAAGUUUUUCCUAAAGUCAGAAAAGUGGUGCGCCGGCUCCCGAGUCCUCUCUUGUUGAAAGUCGCAGCUCAAAGAACUGACUGUCCGACUAGCAAGAGGAAAGACAGAAAGGACGCCCACACGAAAAACGGCUAAGGAACAACGAACCUAUAUAGCAAAGAGACGGCCUCCAAACAUGCCUGCCGGCUACCAGAGCAGCCGGUUGGCCGGCUUCCUAAAAAACUUAGCUUUAGUCCAACAAAGCUAGAGUACUUCCCCCCCCCCCAAUCGGCCAAGCACUCCCCCGGCUACAGAUUGCGGAGCAACUGUUGGACUGGGGAGGCGGCAACCAAGGGAGGGCGGCUAAGGAAAAAGCAGAAGGACAACAAGCAAAAGUACAAGGAAAGGCCAAUUGCAUAAGCUAUAUAUACAUAAAGCCGCCAACAAGCCGGCAACAGAUAUAAGUUCGAAUACACCCAGUGGGUGGAAUUGUGCGAAUUUAACCAAACAUUGUUCUAAAGAGUAACAAGACAGGAAAAGCAAAAGACGGCAGACUAGGGCGCGACAUGGAGGCCGAGCUGGUCGGUGAAGGCGGCCUUGCCGGCUGAAGGAGUGGCCGACUAGAAGGCCCCGGCUUGACCACCACCUGUGGCAGGAGACGCACUCGCGCGCGACGUAGUGCUGGAGGAGCGGUCAGGCUGAGGCUGGCCGGCUACUCCACCAGCCGGCUCGGCCUCUUCACCCUCUUCCUCCUCCUCUUCGCCCUCGUCGCAGGAGUCGAUCUCCUCCUCCGAGUCAUCACCAUACGCCGGGUCCAGCCCGAACCACUCUUCCGGCUGGGCGACUCCAUUGUCGUCCACCUCGGGGGCGAAGAUGGUGGUGUCGGUGUAGUCAGCGAUCGCCGAAGCCCGCCGAAUGAUGGCCGGCCGCGCCGGCUCCAGCUCCGUGUCGGCUUGCUGCCGCCAGGUAGCCAGCUGGUCCAGGCUCAGGGUGGGAUACCAAGCCUUGACGAACUCCAGCGCCCGCCUGGUGCCGGAGCGAGCCGCCGAGGCCUUCCAAGCCUCGAAGCGGCCGACUGCCACCUCCAGCCAGUCGGCAGUCCGACUGGGGGUGCGAGGGACCACUUGGCCGGGCCAGAGGGCGGCCAAGACCUGCGCCCCGGCACGCUGAAGCCGGCUGGAUGCGAGCCUGGAUCGCCAGGAGCUGUUCCUCCAGCGAGCGGCCGGCGGUUGGCGAGAUCUCAAAGCCGGCCUGCCUCCGCGCUUGGCGACGGGCCUCGAUGGCCUGGUUGGCGGCAGUCGAAUAGCCAGGGAAAUACUCUACGCGAAGAAGAAGAAAGGAAGAAAAGAACACCAAAAUCAGAAAACAAGCCAAAGUGGCAGAUGGCAAGAAAGGACGAAGAGGUAGGCGGCUUACCGUCAACCAGAUCUUCGAUCUGGCCAUAGCCGAAGACCAGAGUCUGCCUGGCAUCUGCCCAGCCGGCCGCCUCCGUCUCGAACUCGGCCUGGAGAGUGGCUUCGCGGUCUUGCGCCGCCUUCAGUGCCGCCUUGUGACUUUCCUCCUAGUCGGCCAGCUUCUUGACCAGGCGGUCGCGCUCCUGCACCAAGGCGGUGAGCUCGGCAUCCUUGGCACGAAGAGCAGUCUGGGACUCUCCCAGCUGUGCCCUCAGACUGGCUUUGGCCAUUGCAGAAACGGAAGAAGAAGAAGAAGAAAAGUAAGAAGUCGUCAAGGAAGAUCCGACCCGACUGAUCAGCAGUCGGCCCGAAUCUCGGGGACUACACCCAGUGGGUGCGCUGACGCGCCCCCACAUGAGAUAAAGAACAAAUCACAUACCUCGGCUCUCGGUAAGGUCGGCGGUCUUCUGAGUCAGCUCCCGAGCCUGGGAGAUGAAGGCGGCCGCUUGAAGGUUGUGGUAGUCCUGCAAGAUGGACAGAAGACCGAAGUGAGAACAAAAACAGCAAAGACAAAACCUCCAAGAAGUUCCAAGCCGCCUGCUCAGCAGCCGACUCGGAACUCGGGGACUACACCCAGUGGGUGCGCUGACGCGCCCCCACGAAAGAAAUCAAGAUCAAGAGGAGAAAUCAAGAUCAAGAAGAAACAAGACGGGAAUACUAACCCGGAUGGCCGCUCGCGUUGCGAGGAACUCGUCGGUGAACUGCCUCAGCGCCGCGGCUUGGCUUUGGAGCCGGGUCCGGACGUCUUGUGCAGCCACAUUCACUACGGCUGUCCCUCCGCCUGGCGUCCACCCCGAGGUAGCGCUGGCCGCCUCCGCGUCUCGGACCGACGAGCUGGAGCCCACGGCCGGCUGUGGCUCCGACGCGGCCUUCUGUGGCUCCGACGCGGCAUUCCCCGCGCGCCGGCUCGGCGGCACCCAGACCGCCACCUCAGCCCUCGCGGCCGGCUCGCCCUCCGCCGACUGUGCAGGCGGCGGAUCAGGCCGGCCGCCUUGGGCCGCCCCAGUUGGCGGGGUCGGCUCCGGCGCCUUCUCCAAGAUGAUGACGUCGUCGCCGCUUCCCCCCAGCCCCGGCUGGUCACCGCUGGCUCCCCCUGGCGAAGGCUCCAUGUCCCCAGGCGCCAUGACGCGCAGCGGGGUGACCAUCAAAACCUCCCCUGCCGCCGCCGCGGCCUCAGCCUCUGCCUGGGCCCUGGCUGCGGCCUCGGCGAGUGCCUUCGCCGCCUCCUCCUCCCGUGCCGCCUGGGCGGCGGCCGCCUCCCGUGCCUCCUGCUCCUCCCGCGCCUCCCGCGCGUUCCUUUCCGUCGCCUCCUGGAGGUCGGCGCGGGGGUCCACGCGGCGGGUGGUGCUCCUAGAGCCCCUUGCCGACUCAACGACGGAGCCGGCAGCCGCCCGCUCAACUGACAACGCAGCUCUGAUCGUUGAAGAAAAAGACGAGAGUUCAAGAACCACCAAAGAAAGAAAGAAAGACAGUACACAAAGAAAGAUUCGGACUUACGCCGACACGGUCUGCGGUUGCUUCACCACCUUGCGGAAGCGAGCCGCCUUCGCGGCCGCCUCUUCCCGCCUGGUGGCUCCCGCCCCGCCUCUGGGUUUCUUCGUUCGGCUGCCAAACAGACCCUGGGCGGCGCGACGCUUCUGCCCUCCGCCCCGAGCAGGCGGUGCAGCAGAGGAACCCGCGCCGCGUCCAGACGCCGGCUGGCGGCGCGGGACGGCUUCAGCCUCAUCGUCGUCUGGCCAGUCGUCAAAGGUGGCGCUGAGCCCGGAGCCGCCUGCCUCGCCGCCGGCUUGGCCACCUCCCGGCUCGACGUCGUCGUCCAUACCGACCGCCCUCAGGUCGGGGUCAUCCAGAUCAUGUUCGGUCCGGUCGGGGACGAAACGGCGCUCCACGUCUGACCCGCCGGCCGGCCGAAGCAGAGGGCUCUGUCGAAGAACAAGCCGACUAAGUCAGAGUCGGCCAAGAGGUGCUCGGCAACAAGGAGAAAAAGAAGAGACGAGGAGAGCAUACCGUAGGCGGCGGGUUGGCUCGGCUGUAUGGCUCCUUGUCGAACUGCCACUCCACGGACAGUUUGCAGUUCGCAAGGUAGUUCACCAUAAAGGCCACCUCCUCCUGCGGCAUCUCCUUGGUGCACAUCCGGCUCGGAUCGAGCUGGCCGCUCAUCUGACAGAUCAGAUGAGGCCGGCUCUGGAGCGGAAGAACCCGGCGCGUGACGAAUGCGGCCAGAAGAUCGGGCCCCGUCAGGCCCUCCGACUGGACCAUCACCCGCAGUCGGGCGAUGGCGGCGUUUCCAUCCGGCGUCAGCGUCACAGCCCGGAAGGACCACUGGGGCAGCCUGCCCGCCCGUGGGCCGGCUACGUAAUCCGGCAGGUUGAUGUAGUCGCCCCGCGGAGCGAUGUUCCGCACGUAGAAGUACGACUUCUGCCACUUCUUCACCGAUUGGAUCAGCGUGAUGAUGGGGAAGGGGUUGUCGGCGACCGAUCUCCGCGACGCGAUGAAGGCACCAGUCUGAGCCGGCACGCCCCGCAUGCGCGUGCCUAGCUUCGACUGGAAGAACUCCCCCCAGAGCUCAAGGGUGGGGAGGACGCCGAGGUAGCCCUCGCACAGGGUGACGAAGGCGGACAGCAGCACCACCGCGUUUGGGGUGAGGUGGUGCGGCUGGAGCUGGUAGAAGUCGAGCCAGGAGCGGAAGAAGGCGCUCACUGGUAGGCCGAAGCUGCGCAAGAAGUGCGAGCGGAAGACCACCCGCUCGCCCUCCUGCGGCUCCGGCCUGAUUUCCCUCGCCGGCGCGCGACGGACCUCCACUUUCUCCGCGCCGGGCAACCGCCGUGUCUGGCGGAGGAACUCGACGUGGUCUUCGUGCACGUUGGAGCCGUCCCAAUCCCCGCCAUACUGCUCCGUGGCGGGAGGCAUGGCGAAAGCUAGCGCGGCGGCGGAGGAGCGUGCGGUGGAAGAGCGCGGCGGCGAGGCGAUGUCGCAAGAACUGGCAAGAGGAAGAAGACGGUGGAAGUAGGAGGAGCGUGCGAGGGCCUGCCGCCCUCCACCUCCCCCUACUUAUAGCCUCACAAGGCCGAAGAGGCCGGACGUGGGGGGGAGACGUGGGAUUAACUGCGCCUGCUCCCCCCACGUCUCGCGAUUAUUGCGCAUAAAUGCGAGCCGAAACUGCCGCACGGAGCGUGCGGGCAGUUUCGGGAUACAAAGGAUCCGCGCUUGCGCCGGGGCGCGGACGUGGCGGGCCCCCUCCCUGUGGCGACGUCCCAUCACGUGCGUGGGCUGGCAGGCUUUCCGGCCACGUGGUUCGCAGACGGCCAGUGGCCGGCCCGCGGCCCGGCGCGCGCGCCAGCGGGCUCCCGCCCUCCGACUCCGAAAGAUUUCGACUCAGGCGGCGCGCCUGACCAGGGCCGGCUCCCAACUGCCGGCUUGUCAAGAUAGGAAGCUGAUCGAGCUUCUCAACCCCUACUCCACCUCGAAGCCCAAUCAGCUUCGGGGACUACUGUCGGAGUAAAUGGCCACGAGUAGCCCAACCGACUACCCCUGGUUCUUCAGAAAAAUUAUCAGGCCUUCGGGCCUUCAAGCACUCCAAGCAUUUGGGCCGCCUUCCCUGGCCGGCUACCUCUGAAGCCGACUCCCGGAAGGCGACCCAGCCUCAAGCAACCCCUGCCCAGGACGAUUACGGGGUGGCCGACUCCAAGAAGCCGGCAAAGAAGGACGCCGACUCCUAGGGGCCGGCCGAGACCUCAACCACCAAAGCCGUUCCCACAUAACGACGACAAGACGGGGAGUGGCCACAGUGCGGCCCACUACCCCCGAAGCCCGAGGCGGGCAUGGCUACAGGAAGCCGUACGGGACGGCUGUCUCCCGUGCGGCUUGGCACUGUAGCCAUGCUAGCCUCGACGUCAUCCACGACAGACUCCCGUACGGCCCACGGGCGGCGGGCCCCUUCAGCCAGAGAGAGGCGUGGAGGCGGCCCGGCCUUUCCCAGUCGGCCAAGGGCGUAGCCGGCUCCCAGAAGCUGGCUACUCCCUUCCUCGAAGCAGGAGCCCCAUUAAGGAGACAAGCCGAGGUAAGGCUACAGUGAGAGCCCCCAAGGCGGCCCACUGUAGCCACGCUCACCUCGACAAAGCCCUCGUCAUCAGAGGCAAGGCUACAGUAAGAAGCCACCGACAAGACCCUAGGCGGUGGGGCCGGCCUGUCGACCAAGAAGCCGGCAGCCGGCGGGACCCACCAGCCGGCGGGGCCCAAUUGCCGGCGGAGAAGCCGGCAAGCGUAGACACUGACGGCUGGGACCAGCUCCCAGUCGGAUUACCAUUGUACCCCCGGGGGGUAGGCCUAUAUAAACACCACGGAGCGCCCAUGCAAAGGGUGGGCCUCUGAUCAUAGUUGGCUUCAAAACAUAACACACACACCAUAGAUAGAGAGAAGAUAGAGCUAGCCUUGUUCUUCUUCUCCCUUGAACCCCAAAACAGCUCUAGGAGCGAUUGUAGCUACUUUCACCGAUCUAGUGACUAUGCGGAGACCCCGCAGAGCAGGACUAGGGGUGUUAUCUCCUCGGAGAGCCCCGAACCUGGGUAAGAUCCGCCGGCGUGCAUGUCUUUGCCUCAUCCCGUUUCCAGGCACCGGCGACGUCUUAUUGGCACCCACACAGAUAAGCCAUCCCUUGGCAUAUGUCGCACCAACCACCCGACAUUCAUCCCACUCUGUCGCUGGAUCCGUGUGGUCGUUGUUUCCUCUGGGGUCGACCGGGGUAUUAUUUUUUCUUGCGCUGUUUUACCGAGGCGGGAUUUGGAGCAGCGCCUACGCCGUCGCUUUGGUUGCUUCUCGAGGGAACUAUCCCUCGCUGCAUCCUUCCGUUCCUUGUCAUUGUUUUCUUUGGGUGUAUCCACCAUAUAUAUAUCGUGUGCUGAAGUGGCUGUCCAGCGCCCUGUGGGCGGUGGUUCCUGCUCUUCUCCUGCAUCGUCGUCCAUACCGUCCAUGUCUUCGGAGUCGAAAUCGAGCAUGUCGGUUAAGUCAUCGACAAUGGCUAUUAAGUGGGUGGUGGGUGGGGAACGAAUUUCUUCGUCGUCCGCCUCCCAUUCGAGCCAGACAUAGUUCGGCCAAGGGCCUCCUGACAAGGAGAGAGACCUUAAUGAAUUUAGCACAUCGCCAAAAGGCGAGUGCUGAAAGAUAUCCGUGGAGGUAAACUCCAUGAUCGGCGCCCAAUCAGAUUCGAUAGGCAUGGACGCAGGCGGUUCGGGGCCUGUGGCCGGGGACGAAUCCGAGGAUCCAGCAACACAGGUCUCAUAGGAGGUGAAGUCAGCAUUCGGCUCUAUCGCCAGUGAGUGUGUGGCCUCCGAGGCGGGGUCCAUCCACCCGUCCUCGGACGGCGCAAUCGACUCCGGAUCUAGGGCCGGAGUAGCCAUAGGUGUGAUCUCCCGAACACCGUCCGGCGAUAGAGCUAAGUCGUGCUCGUCGUGACUGUGAGGCGCACCUGACAUGGGCUCGAAUCCGUCAAAGAUCAAGUCUCCGCGGAUGUCGGCAGUGUAGUUUAAAUUCCCAAACCUGACCUGACGGCCAGGGGCGUAGCUCUCGAUCUGCUCCAGAUGGCCAAGCGAGUUGGCCCGCAGUACGAAGCCGCCGAAUACGAAGAUCUGUCCGGGGAGGAAAACCUCACCCUGGAUCGCAUCAUUGGCGAUGAUCGAAGGACCAGCAAGCCUUUAUCGCGACGGCACAGUGGAACUCUCAAUGAAAUCACCAAUGUCGGUGUCAAAACCGGCGGAUCUCGGGCAGGGGGUCCCAAACUGUGCGUCUAAGGCGGAUGGUAAUAGGAGGCGGGGGACACAAUGUUUACCCAGGUUCGGGCCCUCUCGAUGGAGGUAAUACCCUACUUCCUGCUUGAUUGAUCUUGAUGAUAUGAGUAUUGCAAGAGUUGAUCUACCAUGAGAUCGUAGAGGUUAAACCCUAGAAGCUAGCCUAUGGUAUGAUUGUUGUUGUCCUACAGACUAAACCCUCCGGUUUAUAUAGACACCGGAGGGGGCUAGGGUUACACAGAGUCGGUUACAAGGGAGGAGAUCUACAUAUACGUAUUGCCAAACUUGCCUACCACGCCAAGGAGAGUCCCAUCCGGACACGGGACAGAGUCUUCAAUCUUGUGUCUUCAUAGUCCAAUAGUCCGGCUAAAGUAUAUAGUCCGGCGAGGACCCCCUAAUCCAGGACUCCCUCAACGCCCGCGCAGCAGCACAGCCGCCCGUGGGAGGAUGGAGCAGGCAGUCCCGUCGGCGCUUGUUUGAGCGGCUGGAGCAGGAAGAGCAAAGAUUGAAGAAUCACGACGGCCGUUGGAUGGACAUCGAACGGUCACUGCUCUCGUGUGUUGACUAAGUUGACACGGCGUUGCGUGUCGGUCAACCUUUCUUUAGGAAAGCGUACGUGUCAACCUAUAGUAGGCGCACAAGUCAGCCUCUAAUGUGUGGAAAACAACAUACAUCCCAUCUGCCAUUAUUUGUAAUUAUUUACAGCCCAUUCGCUAAUUCUUAAGGAUUUUUUGGCGCCCAUCUUCUUUUUGUUAGCAUUACAACCCAUAUUGUGGCCACGGUUAAUAAUUAUAUGAAAUUUUGCAUAUUUCUGUGCGGUCAACUAUUUUUAAUCCCUACAUUUCGAGUCACAUUCAAACUAAUUUGAAAAAUAAAUUCAUAUCAAUAUAAGAUCCAAAUAAUUGUCCACGCAUAUAAAUCAGUGGAAUUUAAAAUCUCGAAAUGGAAUAAAAGAAUUUUGAAACUAAUUGUCGGUUUGAUUUGUUUUAAAAAUGUACAAUCCAUUUCUCAUUACAGAUAGCCCAUUUUCUCGUCUUGAAAGAUUUGCAGCCCAGCAGGGCUGACAAAGCAAGUAGGCCGCGGUUGGGCAUUCUACAAAAGAACAAAAAAACUCGGCUAGCCAUUUUUAGAAUGAAAAAAAACUACUGGGCUGGUCUUGUGGUAAACAUAAAAGAAAAGGCUGGCUAGACAGGGCAGAGUGCCCCGCACAGCCCAGUUGACACCCUACUUCCAUCUCAAAAACAAAGAUAACUGGGCAGGCUACUUCCCUAGAAAAAGUGGGAAGCUACUGGGUCCCUCGUGUCAGCCGCUCGUUGUGCAAUUCUCUCAUUUAUUGACUACGUUGACAAUGGCAUGGGACCCAGAUGUCAGAAAUCCAUUAGGAGGAACCAUUUUUCUGGCUUGAAAUUAGGAGGCACUUGCUUGCGUACUGCCAUGACCCUGGUGGGUCCAUGCUGUCAUCCUCUCCACGUGCAAUCAUCUCCGGAUUGUGUACGCGUCCACCUAGCUAGUAGGCCCAGAAGUCAGCCUCUAAACCUGUGGCGGACAAAUACAACACAUUUAAAAAAAUAACAGCCCAUUCCAUAUGUUCACAUGGAAAGUUCAACAUACAGAGCAAAGUAACAGGUCUGACCAGAUAUGGAUUACUAAACUUCCAGGUUCACAACCAUCAUAGCCAAGUUAACUAUCUACUCCCACUAAUACUCUAGUGUACAAGUACUGACUUACUCCUAGAUAACUAGAUGAUGUCGGCUGCCAUCUACAGUACACGCUAAAUGCCGGCACCAACGUCCUCCUCCUCGCCUCGGACUUGCCGAGGGUGCGAUAGGGUGCGUUGCUCGCGCCCGUUGGCCCUUUCCAUGCCGGCGUGGUCCACCGAAGCUUCGACUUCUAAGCGGGGAACCCACUUCACGAGCUGGUAGUAAAAUUCGGCGUCGCGCAUGCGUGCGUGCCCGACAGCCUCUAGGGAUAUUUGUCAGGCAUCGUCCUCCACGUAGUCGGCCCAGUCGUGGACGCUCUGCUCACGACUCAAAGCGGCGGUGCGCUGCUGCUCCAUGCCCUGCUGGCGGCGCAAAUCCGCGAUACCCUGCCCCUUCGCCAGGCGGUCGCACUCCAACAAGUCCUCGACCUCCGCAUUGCCAUCUAAAGACCGAUAGAAUGCCUCCUCCCUCGGUCUUCCUUCCGGUGAAUAACCGAACACUAGCUCCGGCGAUGAGCGUCUCUAGCAUCGCCUAUUACGGACGGUCGGGGACAUGACGGAUGUGGCGAGAGUGAGGGCAAGUGGCGAGCGACGUCGGGCCAGUGGGGGUUGUGAGGGGAGCCGAUAUGGCGAGUUGGGUGAUGGUGCUACCGGAGAACGCUGGGAACUAGUAAUUAUAUGCGGAUAGUGCACUCAAAUCAUCCAGAUGAGGUACUCCCUCCUUGUCAAAAAUGAUUCCACCACUCAUCAUCUACCUUGGUUGGUGAGAUUUUUGAAUUGAGCCCUGAAAACGGAAAGGAGGUAGUAUGUGCGUGAUCCGCUAUUUAUUCGUGUAGGAUCGACUAGGUCAGAUAGUGUACGUGUAGGAUCGCAUUAGCUGAUGAACGUUCGCUGGUAGAUAAGGCAUUUGCGAACGUUUUUGCUGGCAGUUUCUUCAGAUUCUUCUGGCAUUUUCUUCACAACAGCUUGUCAGUUUCUUUAGAGGUAGGUAUUUUUAUUCAUAAAACUACCACCUUUGGAUCUUGUGUCGCAACUAAAACUGCCAGGAGCGUAUUAGUAGGCUAGCUAGUGAUCAAUAAGUAACUUGUAAACACUGAGCGAACAAAAAUAAGGAACUGCUAGUAACUUGUAAACACUGAGAACACAGAAAUCAGGAUCGUGGUGUGCACAGUAGUAAGAGCCGAUCCGUUCGAAAUGUUCACACGAGACUCACAGGCCUGGCAUUGUAAUAUGUUCACAUUAGUAGCACAAAUUCACAACCAACUAGUAACAUGUUAAUGCAUCUCAAUGAUUCACAGAUCAUAUACAAAUAUGUAGCUCCAAAAGCAAAGAUCUAGAAAAAACAUCUGUUCUACCUACUAAAAUGCAUGAUUCUCUGGGCCAACAUUCAGUACAGAGUGAAAGACAAAUUUGUUUGUGAAGUCUACAAUUCCUCUUGCAAAUGUUAGUGGUUUCACCAACAGCUGGAACCAUGAGAAUGAACCACCGAUGACGGAGGAACAUCCACUACAAUAUGAUUUGGUCUUCUCUCGAUCACACGGCGAGACUAUUUUCGGAAUACAAACUUUAACUUAGGCAAAAUUAUGCCCAUUGUAUAAACAGACCAAAGCAAUGAAGCACCUUAUCGUGGAAUUGUCACAUCAGAUGUCCUAGCAGAAUGACUUAGUCAUUGAGCCAUCACAUAGGGUUAGCUUAAAGGUGUCAAACGGGACAAAGGACACAAGGGGUUUAUACUGGUUCGGCCCCUUGCGGUGAAGGUAAAGGCCUAAUCCAGUUUGAGGUGGUAUUGAUUAUCUCUCGAUUACCAGGGAGCGGAUAUGCUUUCCCUAGCUUUCAAUCUGUUGUUUCCUGCCCUAAGUCGCCGCCGGGUCGUCCCUUUAUAUACACAGGUUGACGCACAGCGGUUCGUGGAGUCCCGGCCGGCUCAUAAAGAACGUGUCCGGCUCGGUGACUAACUAUACAUGCCUUAUAAUGCAAGUUAUACUUAUAUGGCAGUUUACACUUGUUGGGCCUUAAGUCGCCUUUGGGCUUCGGGCCCUCAAUGAGUCUACAUUAUAACCGCCAUCUUCAGCAUCUUCAUGGGCUUUGUUUUUGAUAAACCGCCAUGAGCAUAACCCGGCCCCUCCUGAGCGGGUUAUACUCAAUAGUUACAUCCCCAACAUUAGGCCCCAGGUUGAUUUCAACUUGUUCAUAUCAAUCUUCAACACUUAGGGAAAAAUCCUUCUUCAAUAUCUCUGUGUAGCCUCGUAAAUCACCAUGACGUCAUCUCCUCAGAUUGUGGUAACCCGCCAUGAUGUCACCAGUCAUUAAUAUUGCACAGAGCCCAAAUCUUAAUAAAUCUUCUCUUUUCAUGAGUGUCCAAAAAUCGUGGCAUCUGUGCUGUCAUAACCAUUUUUUGGCCUCCUCGAUUACCGUGCAUGUCACUUAUCCUUUCAUCUUAUAAAUAGGGACGGGGAUCCCUUUCACUUUCCCCCCUUCUUCUUCAUCUCUGUCUUCCUCCCCGCGACGCCCCAGCACCCGAGCUCUGCCGCCGUCGUCGACCUUCUCCUCUGCCUCAACCACGGCCGCUGCAUCAACCUGUUUUGACCAGAUUCCGUCCGCACACUUCCGCUGUCGAACAGCCCUGGUGAGUUCUCCUUCCUCCUCUUCCUAUAGAUCCCAUUAGGGUUUCCUCAAGUUUGUCAUUAGUUCAUCUUCACUUUCCACUGCAGUUCGUGAUUUUUGGUUCGAACUUGGUACUCCUCCUAUGCGGUGGUAGUUGUAGCACUCCUUUUUACUAUUUAGAACAUCUCUUCUGCAUAAGAAAACCAAUCUGGACCCAGGAACUGCUCGAGUACUGAUAUUUAGGUCUGAAUAUCUUUCCAUUAACUGAAGGCCGUAGAUCCGAAAUCAUAGCAUCAAUAUGUGAAACCUGUUUUUCUCAAUACUUAGUGAUUCAUUCAUCCUUAGAUCUGUACUUUCAAUAUCUGUAUGGGCGGCUUAGCUCAGAAAUAGUAACCUGUCAGGUAUCAUUAGUCCCCUCUUAAGCCGUCAAUAGUGCUUUGUAACUUGGUAAUGCCAAUCUCCGGCUCAACACCUAUGCAUGCUUCAUUAUCGUUUGUCUUUUAACCAUAAGCUGGCUUAACCAUGUAAUCUUGAACCAGCAUAAUCUUUCUUUUAGAUUAUUGAGAAAAUGGCUAAGACAUACACUUCUUGCAACUGGGUCCAAUCCCCGGUUACCGAAGAAGAACUGAAUAACUUUGUCGCCACUCGCGCCUUAGCUAAGAAAGAGGAUAUCCACUAGAGGGCCCCUGGUGAAGAAGUCCCUCCUCCACCGAAAGAUGGAGAAGUAAUUGUUUUUGCUGACCAGUUGGGUCGGGGUUUCAGCCCACUCGGCUCAAAGUUUUUCCGCGGUGUGCUUCAUUUCCUCCAACUGCACCCUCAAGACAUCGGACCCUACUCCGUGUCCAACAUCUGCAAUUUCCAAGUAUUCUGUGAAGCUUAUCUUCAAGAAGAGCCCACAGUUGAUUUAUUCAGGGAAUUCUAUUAUUAAACCGCCAAACAGAGUUUGUCGAUGGGCCAUGCCAAGAGCUCGGUGGAGUAAUUAUUCAAAAGAGGAAAGAAGUCAGCUUUCCCCAUGCCAAGCUGCAUAGUCACCCCAAAGACUAGAAACAAACUUGGUUCUAUUGUCAAGAUACAUCUCCAGCUGGUGAGAAUCCUCUGCCGGGUUACCAUGACCACCGACUUAGCAACAAACAUCCACUCCCCCAACGGCUCAACGCAAAGGAACAGGCCAAAUAUGCACCAGGCUUUUCAAAGCUCAGAGCCUUUAUGGCCAAUGGUUUAUCCGGCAUCGACUUUUGCCGGUGCUGGCUGUCUUGGAGUAUCUUGCCAUUAAGCCGUCGCCCCGGCUUAAUGUGCGAAUAUACUAGUGACGUAAAAGAUCCUCGGCGCCAUUGUGACAUUCAAUUGUCUGAUGCGGAAAUUACUCAAGCCACCAAAAAAUUGCUGAAUGAAUCUGUAAAGGAGUGUAGCAAAACCAGACUUAGUCCUUUCUGCACUUUCAACAAGCCGCCAGCUAUAAGAGUUGCACAUCUUCUGCUUAAUCCAUACUCUUGAUAAAUUUUUAUUAUAUUUUCAAUCUUAACAGGCUGAUGAUCCAUUUUGGAAGAGGAAAAUGCAGGAUAAGCCGGCCAAACUGGCUCGUACCAAAACCAAAGCCACCAAGAAAUCUACCAAGAAGAAGACUGCCGAUUCUGGCGGUUUAAACAUUGAUGAUGACGACGAUGACAAUGAGUCAUAGGUAGAGCUUGACUCUCUUGGCUCCUUUUUAUGUAUCUCAUUGACAAUGAUUGUUAUCGGGGCGACGCAGAGGCCAGCCGUGCAGGUGACGCAGAGGUAAUUACUCUCCCUUCCGGCUCAGAACCUCUGCCAACACAGAAAACCCGACAAGCGAGCCGGAAAGUAAGCUUUUCUCACCCUCUAGCUCACUUGGAUCCCAACUUUCUUUUGAAGAAACAUCAACAUGAAGCUCGCCAAGUUAGCCGGCAUAGUGGUGGUUAAAUCACCUCCUCCGGCUUACCAAAUACGCCGGUUCGCAAAUGCCGCCCAGAGGUCUUUCAUAUUUCUAAUGUACUUUAUCCCAAGGCGGGUCAUUUCCGAUAACCUCUUAACCCGUCUGAUUCAAACUAUCAGGGGACUCCUCAUUCCUCCUCUGGCGAGUCAACUGGAACUCAAAUCCUAACUUUCAAGACUGUACCUGGGUAAGAAUAUAUUCAACCAUCCAAAUCUUAUAUCUGAUCAUUAUGCUGACCUCUUUAUGCUCCUUAUUUUCAGGGGCCAAGCAAAACCUAGGAAGAAGGCUAAGUUGAAUAAGCCGGUCGACGAUCCUAACCCGUCUGAACCGGAAAAACAACAGUCAGAACUUGCUAUCCCAAUUGCUGAUGCCACCCUUAAUGAUCCUCCUCCACAAGAUCAUGAAGUUUCUCCAGAUGAUUUAGAUGUUGAGCCGGUUCUCUCUAAGCCACCAAGCCCAAUUAAACCCACUAAGGAGAAGACUGACGAUGUUCUUGUCAUUGGAUUUGGAUUCACAGCUCCGGGUCAACCCUCCGUCUUAUCCAAGCACAGCGCAAAAGAAGAAAUUUCUGCUGAAGAUAAAGGCAAGUGGAAGGUAGACUUGGAGAGCUACACCCAUUUCAGUGCCCAAGACCUCCACUCUGGCUAUCUGAAUCGUCUGUAUACCAGCCGUGACUUCGAAGCCGGCUUAGUAAACCUGAUGAAGGAGCGCUAUGAGGUAAAUGCUGCCACUCUUUAUAUGAAUAUACUUCUCUUAGCCGGCAAGUUUAUUGGACAUGAUGGAAUAGAAUGUGUUGUAAACUUUUAAAUAGCCGCCUAGAUCAACUCCAGUAGCCCCCAAGGGCCGGCUUAUUCUUUCAAUAUGAACUAGGACUUUAUAAUACCAGCACUUCGAUUUUGCCCCUGUAGCCCCCAUGGGUCGGUUUAACAAAUUUGUUAUGUCAAAACUUUAAUAUGGCAAAAAGCAACAUUGCAUCCGUAGCCCCCAAGGGUCGGCUUAACAAAUAUGUUAAGUCGAGACUAAUCAUCUUGUAGGAAAUCCAUAAGUCCAUUCAUAUUCUUCGUAAGCCGGAUCACCACCAUUUGUCCGGAUCAUCAAAUUACUUCGUCUGUUGACAAGAGCAAUAUGCAUUAGCCCCCAAGUGCCAAGUAUAAUACUUGUAUUGUGCUUGGGACUUCACAGUAUUUUAAGAAGAAAUAGACAUUAGCCCCCAAGUGUCAAGUAUAAUACUUGUAUUGUGCUUGGGACUUCGAAUAAAUUCAUUGUCGUCUCAUUAGUUGUUUAUCUCUUGUAGGCUGAGCUUAGCACUAAAGAAUCCCAAGUCGCAGACCUUCAAGAAAACAUCAAGUCUCAACAAGCACAUACCUCCAAAGCCAAAGAUGAAUUGACCAGUGAUUUAGCAGCGACGGAGAAAUUGAAGGAAAGCUUCAAAGCUGAACGAGCGGGUUGGGAUAGAGAGAAUUCAGCCCUGCUGAAGAGGGCUGAAGAUGCUGAAGCAGCCCGUAAACCGGUAACUGCAGAGCUGCCGGCUUAAAAUAGCAAAUAAAUGCCAUGAAUGCUACGGUUUUCGGUAAAUAACUACAUCUUAACCUUUUUAACAUAUGUUAACCAAUGUGCUGCGCCUUACAAAUAUCCUUGAUGAAACAGGAUCCCGAGUUACCUACCUUGGCUCCGACAUGCGGAAAAAAUUGAAAGCCGCCUAUACGCUCAAAGAACAGUUAUAUACUGGUGCACAACGGGUCAUCUGGACAGCUGCUCACAACAAACCAGCUCCAACACUUAUCAAGGAUACGUUGGAGAAACUAUCUAUGCUGCCUCCACGGAUCGAAGAGUUAAAGAAAUCAGCUGCGAGAGCCGGUGCUCUUACCGCGCUAACCCGGGCCAAAGCAUGGCUAGCUGAUCUUGAAGCGGCAUACUUGGCAAAUGGCUGCCUGAGCAUAAAAAAAGAUGGGACACCCUUCAGCGCAGAUGACUUCGCCGCCAUUAGAAGGCAAAUGCGUCCUUUGGCUAGUAAACUGGCUGCAGACACUGAUCUUACACAUUACCGGCCGUUUUAUGAUGCCAACAAUAAGAAAAUCAAGGCGCCAACUCAUGAUGCUCCAGACCUGACUCCUCUGAUUCGUAAGCACACUUAUGCCCCUGAUGUUGAUCCAUCGACACUUAUAAGUGAUGAAGCUGUAUUCAGAGCUUUAACUGGGAUCGACUAGGCAACCACUGACUUCCAACCAUUGGGUGAAGAGGAGGAGGAUGAACCGGCGUUGGACGAUCCACAACCUUCAACGCAGCAAGGCCAAGAGUCAUAAGCCGGAGGCCGGCUUAGCAUCUACUUUCUGUGAAACUGCUAAGACAAUUAUUGCUUCGGGGCAUCAGAUGCCUUUGUAAUAGGCUAGUUAAACUCUUGAUCUGCCAUGCCAUCAUGCAUGUUUUGUUUUGCAUGACAUUGUUGAUUUGCCAAUGGAGGAUCUGCUACUUAUGCUUAUAAUACCAUCAAUAUGAAUUUGUUCCUGCAUACAAACAGAUCACAAGUGCCCUGGCGGUUUACCGCAGGACGGGUCAUAAUAUCCCAUAUAAAAGCACUAGUGACUAAAACAGUUCAUAACCAGGGCUGGUUUAAACAUAACCAUAUAUAAUUGCAAAAAUAUCAUACCUGUGAUAUUUAAUCAUACUGUCGGCUUAUCAUACCAGUGCAGUAAGGGUGAUAACUGAAGAGAUUGAGCACAUAAUGCCCUAUUCAAUUAUCAUAUACUGCCAGCUUACAACGCCGUAUACAACAAGGGGUAAUAUCCCAAAUCUUAGAGCACAAUGCUUCCAAGUAUUUAAUAUCAUAUACUGGCGACUUAUAGUUCGAAGCCAGGCCGGGUUAUCAAAAACCACGAAUACAUUCAAAUAUGAGCCAUAGAGACUAAGGCUACACGGCCUGAAUCGUUUUAAAUCAUAUGUCAAGAUAUUACAAAGAUGAACCCAAAAAUGUUCAAAUAGACAUAAGAAAUCAGAAAAGCAAGGCUUUCAUAGGCCGCCAAGCGUAAAUCUCAAGUGCUUUCAAAGGGCCACACAACCACCGAGUUAAACCUUCAUGCAAACCUUAUAAGCCGGGCCUCACAUGACCAAUCGUCCUUUUAACUUUGACAAGUUCAGGGUCUUGUAUAAGAUUGACUGUCAAAAGUACGGCGGGUCAUUCCAGUCAAUCUGGGAGGAGUGGCAGACUUAAAAAAGGCAAGAUAACCCGGGUUUUUAGGUGAAUACACCUGGCUUCCAAGCCUGGCUUCCAAGCCUGGCUUUUAAGCCUAUUACAAGGGUCAAAAAACUCUUGUCCAUUGAACAAAGAGCCCCCAAGUACCAUUUUAUUAAAGGCAUACAAGCCGGAUCAAGAGGGUAAUCAAGGCUCUUCUCAUUAAAUAGGUCGCCCCCAAAUGAUAUCAAAGCAGGGUACCUAUGUUUGAGUUGUGCUUUGCAACAGACUCUCUUUGGUCCCUUUAACCUGGGUAGCAAGCCCCCCAAGUAUUCUGUAAUCAUAGCGUAUAAGCCGGAUCAAAGGGUAAUCAUAGAUAUGCUCAAUGAGCAAGAAGCCCCCAUAUGACCAUAUGAAGUGUAAGUAAAGGCCCAUUAUUAUCAGAAAUGAAACGACAGAAGCCCUGCUUUCUCAGGGAUGCCGGCUUUAUUAUAUUCAUCAUAAUAUAUACAUUGUCAAAAUAUGUACAUCAUAAGAUCCAGUAGCUCAGGUGUAAUAAGGCCGAAGAUGAGCAAUAUUCCACGGCCGGCGGGUCUCCUCCUCCGACGUGCGUGAGUCCUUAGGGCCUUGAACGUCGACAAGGUAGUAUGAUACAUUGUUCAGAUUCUUGCUGACCACAAAGGGUCCUUCCCAAGGUGGGGAUAGCUUGUGCAUAUCAGUUUGAUCCUGGAUAAGCCGGAGCACCAAAUCACCCUCUUGAAAGGUUCUGGUCUUAACCUGGCGGCUGUGAUAACGGCGCAGAUCUUGUUGGUAAAUCGCCGAACGAGCCACCGCGAGGUCACGCUCCUCAUCUAACAGGUCAAGUGCAUCCUAACGUGCUUUUUCAUUGUCAGCUUCAACAUAAGCUGCCACGUAGGGCGAGUCAUGACGGAUGUCACUAGGAAGAAUCGCCUCUGCUCCGUAAACCAUGAAGAAAGGCGUGUAACCCGUAGAUCUAUUGGGGGUAGUAUUGAUACUCCAUAACACUGAGGGUAACUCUUCCACCCAACAACCCGGCGUUCUCUGCAAAGGAACCAUAAGUCGGGGCUUGAUGCCCCUCGGGAUCUCUUGAUUGGCUCUCUCAGCUUGACCAUUAGACCGGGGGUGAGCCACUAAUGACACGUCAAGCCGGAUAUGCCCACGUUGACAAAAUUCUUUCAUAGCACCUUUGGAUAAAUUAGUGCCAUUAUCAGUGAUAAUGCUAUGGGGAAAACCAAAACGGAAAAUCACCUUUUUGAUGAAUUGAACCGCCGUCGCCGCGUCACACUUAAUGACCGGCUCUGCUUCAACCCAUUUUGUAAACUUGUCAACUGCCACCAAAAGGUGAGUCUUUUUAUCUUUGGACCUUUUGAAAGGCCCAACCAUAUCAAGCCCCCAGACUGCAAAUGGCCAAGCAAUUGGAAUCAUCCUCAAUUCUUGAGCCAGCACAUGAGCUCGUCGUGAAAACUUCUGACAACCAUCACAUUUACUGACUAGAUCAUCAGCAUCAGCGUGAGCCGUCAGCCAAUAAAAUCCAUGACGGAAAGCUUUGGCUACGAGAGACUUAGAACCAGUGUGAUGACCACAAUCUCCUUCAUGAAUCUCUUGUAGAAUCUCACAGACUUCUUGAGGAGAAACACAACAUUGAAACACCCCUGUGACACUGCAAUGAUGCAACUCUCCAUUGACAAUAGUCAUUGACUUAGACCGCCGGGUUAUCUGCCUGGCCAAAGUUUCAUCCUCACGUAACUUGCCCCGGGUCAUAUAAGCCAAAUAUGGAACCAUCCAGUGAGGAAUAGCAUGAAGAGCCGACACCAAUUGUGCUUCCGGGUCAGGAAUAGCGAGAUCCUUUUCUGUAGGAAAUUUGACAGAAGGGUUAGGCAGAAUAUAUAAAAAAAGUGGCUGCUUAUCAAUAGGAGCAACAAGGACUGGCGGCUCAGCUAGCUGUUUCUUCAAGGCUUCAAAAGCUUCAUUAGUAGCAUCACUCCAGACAAAGUUAUCUAUUUUCUUCAUCAUCUGGUACAGCGGUAUAGCUCUCUCACCCAGCCGGCUUAUGAACCGGCUUAAGGCCGCAAUAUGACCCACCAAACACUGAACAUCAUUGACGCACGCCGGUUUAGCCAAGGAUGUUAUGGACUUGAUCUUCUCCGGGUUAGCUUCAAUGCCUCUUUCAGAAACCAGAAAACCCAAAAGCUUGCCUGAUAGCACGCCGAAGACACACUUGGUCGGGUUAAGCAUCAUCAUAUAGACAUGGAGAUUGUCAAAUGUCUCCUUCAAAUCAUCUAUCAAAGUUUCCUUCCUUCUGGAUUUUACAACAAUAUCAUCCACAUAAGCAUGAACAUUACCCCCAAUCUGAUUAUGAAGAAAAUUCUCUACACAACGCUGGUAAGUCGCCUGGGUGCUCUUGAGCCCGAAAGGCAUAGACACAUAGCAGAAGGCUCCAAAAGGAGUGAUGAAAGUUGUCUUCUCUUGGUCCUUAACUGCCAUCUUGAUCUGAUGAUAACCAGAAUAAGCAUCCAAAAAACUCAAACGCUCACAACCCGCCGUAGCAUCAAUAAUUUGGUCAAUACGAGGGAGAGCAAAAGGAUCAGCCGGACAAGCCUUGUUUAAGUCCGUGUAGUCGACACACAUACGCAAGGUGCCAUUCUUAUUAAGUACCAGCACCAGGUUAGCCAACCACUCAGGAUGAAAGACUUCAACAAUGAACCUAGCCGCCAAGAGCCGGGCCACUUCUUCACCAAUGCCCUUACGCCUCUCUUCAUUAAAGCGACGAAGGAAUUGCUUGACUGGCUUAAACGUCAGAUCAAUAUUCUGAGUGUGCUCAGCGAGUUCCCUCGGUACACCUGGCAUAUCAGAAGAUUUCCAUGCAAAUAUGUCUCGGUUCUCACGGAUGAACUCGAUGAGCGCGCUUUCCGAUAUCGGAUCCAGAUUAGCGCUGAUGCUGAACUGUUUGGAUGAAUCACCAGGAACGAAGUCAACUAGCUUAGUGUCAUCUGCCGAUUUGAACUUCAACAAGGGAUCAUGCUCCGUGGUUGGCUUCUUCAAAGACUUCAUAUCCGCUGGGUCAACAUUAUCUUUGUAAAAUUUCAAUUCCUCUGUUGCACAAACAGAUUCAGCGUAAGCAGCAUCACCUUCUUCACACUCCAAGGCUAUCUUUUGACUCCCAUGCACCGUGAUAGUGCCCUUGUAACCUUGCAUCUUAAGCUGCAGAUAAACAUAACACGGUCGUGCCAUGAACUUGGCAUAAGCUGAUCGUCCAAACAGAGCGUGAUACGGGCUCUAAAUCAUGACUACCUCAAAUGUUAAUGUCUCCGCCCUGGAGUCAUGUUCACCUCCAAAGGCCUUCCAAAGCGAUCUUGCCUACAGGAUACACCGACUUACCAGGCACAACUUUGUGGAACACAGCAUUGGACGGGUUAAGAUUCUUGUCAGUUAAUCCCAUGCGAUGGAACGUAUCAUAAUAAAGGAUAUUAAUACUGCUGCCUCCAUCCAUGAGUACCUUAGUGAACUUGUACCCUCCAACCUGCGGUGCUACCACCAAAGCCAACUGACCCGGAUACUCAACCCGGGGCAGGUGAUCCUCACGACUCCACACAAUGGGUUGUUCAGACCAUCACAAGUAACGAGGAACCGCCGGCUCAAUGGCGUUCACAACCUCUUAUGGAGCUUCUGAUCCCGCUUGCAUAAACUCGUGGUGAAGACGUGGUACUGCCCACUAUUCAACUGCUUCAGGUUGUUCUGAUAACCAGACUGCUUCUGCUGAUUCCCCUGACCAGACUAUUGAUGGAAACCACCUUGAUUGCCCUGAUUGCCUUGGCCCUGGAAGCCGGAAUUAGAACUGCCGCCACCGUAACCCGGACCAUGAGAGCCGGAACCUGACCCGCCGCCCGGCCCAUGAUUAUUCUGGAAAAGAUCGGAAUUUUUGUACUCUUUCAUAAUGAACCAAUCCUUCCAGAGGUGAGUGGCUGGCCUUUCCCGUGUGCCAUGCUUCGGGCAGGGUUGAUUCAUCAUCUGCUCAAGAUUGAAACCUGACCCUCCAAACCGGGGAGGCGGCUUUCCCUUACAACGCUGACCAUUAUUCAGUGUGUUGGUAUUGGCCACAAAAUCCAAAUUAUUAUCAGCUUUGCGCUUACCAUUGCCCCCCUGACUCCCCGGGUUAUGAUACUGCCCCCUGGUGUUGCCGCUCUUCUUUCCCUUUCCCGGCUUUUCAUCAUCAGACUCGGGGUCCUUGGUACCAUUACAGUCGGCAUACUUAACCAGAGUCACCAUCAGCUCUCCCAUGUCGCCGCAAUGGCGCUUGAGCCACCCUAGCUUCUACUUAAGGGGCAUAAAACAACAAUUCUUUUCUAACAUCAAGACUGCUGAGCCAGCAUUGAUGCGAUCCGAUGAGUGCAGGAUACACUAGUAGGAAAAGGGGCUUUAACCCCGGUUUGUAAGGGCCUUUUGUCCCGGUUCUCGAACCGGGACUAAAGGGUCGUUACUAGUGCCUCCCACCUUUAGUCCCGGUUCUUACACGAACGGGGACAGAAGGUCCUCCACGUGGCCGCUGCUGCCAGCCCAGGCAGGGGGCCUUUGGUCCCGGUUGGUGGCACCAACCGGGACAAAUAGGCAGGGCCUUUUGUCCCGGUUGGUGUCACCAACCGGGACCAAUAGGCAUCCACGAGUCAGCAGCUGGCAGUAGCUGAGGUAUUUUUUGAAAGGGGGUGGUUUAGGGGUUUUGGGGGGUUAAUUUAGGUGUUUCAGAUAUUGUGUUAGCUAGCUAAUUAAUAGAGAGAAGUGUCCUCUCUUAUCUCCGUGCUUGGUCGACACUACGUACUAUAUACGUAUGGAGAGGAGUAGACACGCUAGCUAGUAAUCAAAUGAAGGAAACAGAAGAUCGUCAUGAACAUAUGCAUACAGAGAGAAGUGAUAUCGACCACCCUCUCCUUCUCCGAGAUAUUGGUCGAACAACAAGUUCUCGUAUAUCUAUCCGACACUACCGGCUACAUAUAUACAAUAAUUAUCUCUUACAAUACAAUCUCCUAAUUAAAUUGUAGGAACACAGGGUCCACAUAGUAUUCUCCGUUUUCAGCGAUCACGUGGUCAAGGAAGAACGCCGCCAAUUCCUCUUGAAUUCCUCGCAUACGAUCUUCUGCUAGGAGUUCAUCCCGCUUCCGAAACAUCUAAUUUGAAGAAGGAGGUCAAUACAUAUAUAUAUGAAUAAAUGAAACUCAACACAAAUGAUGGUAAUAAAAUAAAAUUGUGAAUAUUAUUGCUUACGCACUUCAUAUUGUUCUUCAGUGUAGCCCGGCUCACAGGUCGUGUAGCGGAUGGACUCGCAAACGUAGUAUCCACAGUAAUUAUUCCCAGGUUCCUGCCACAACCACUUUACAAGAAAUAGAGGUCAAUCAAACUGAUAAGCAAGCAUGCUAAAUGGUAUUGAUGAAACUAGCGCUUGAAUCACUAGGAGAUGCGCGGAACAUGCUACUAUAGUACUUACUUUCGGGUGUUUAAAUUGCAGCUUCUUCGGCAGUCCCGGAGCUUUUGUGGUGAAUUUUCUCCAAACCCUACCAGACAAAGAAAACAAUUACUUGAUAUCAGGAAAUGAACAAAGUUGCUGAUAUGGUGGAUAAUGAUCGAUUUAACUUACUUCUCGAGCAUUUGAAUCAUGUUCGCAUAGUCCUGGGGAUCUUUUCGUCUCGAGUCUAAGACGGUUACUACUCCCUGCUCAAGCUUAAUCUCUAGGAGAAUAUAGUGGAAGCUGUGCAUGCAUUCAUAAGUCAUCAAUUACAUUACCAUAAACUGGACUAAUAAGGGAAACCGAAUAUGCACAAGACAGUAACACUCACUUGAAGUUGUAAGGAAAGAGUAUUAUAUCUUUGUUUUGAUUUAAUACCAACGAUUGUAGCAAGUUGGCCUCGGCUUCUUUGGGAUGUUUUUCAACCGUAUAUGCAUCUAUGAGAUUUGUGUUAAUGAACCCAAUAUCACCGAUUUGUCUUUUCUUCAAUUCGGCGAUCUUCAAUCUGCAUAAUAUAGCGAGGAUAAUUAUAAAUACAUGCAAUGAAAGAGCUGACCUAUAUAGAGAGACUUAAUGACAGAAGUAGUACUACUUACAGACAGUAGCAAGUGAUCGUUGUUUUAUCGAGGGCCUUUUGAUUGUAAAACUGGAAGAAAUCCUCAAAUGGAACAUUCAGCAGUUCAAUUCCAACGAGGUCAUGCUCCGGUUUAACUCCCAGCAUCAAAGUACUCGUCCCAUCAGACUCUCUGCAGGUUUUCAUGUACCAAUCAUGUAGUCUUCGCAUCAUCGUUGAUAGAGAUCUUUCAUCUUUGACGAGAAGCUUCCCGUAAUGGUAUUUGUGUUCGUCCACCUCCAUGAUUUCAUAAUGUACAUCGUCGGGCAGGUAAUCUCCAAGAUUGCUAUAACCGGGCACCGUACUCGGAUCAUUAGCGACGAUGUCUUUUGACACCUUGAGCGGGGGGCACGAUUGGUUCGCUUGUUCGCCGAGCUGGGCAAUUUUUUUCCCAGCUCGUCGUUCUUUUAACCUUUUAUCACUGCCAGUACUUCCCGACCGCUCCGCUUCGGCAUAUGUCUUUGCAAGAAUGCGCUCAUAGUUGCCUCUCGGCGGAGACUUUGGUGGUUUUGUCAGGGCAGCCAGAGUGCGCUUUGCUUUCACCAGAUCUACCUUCUCCUCCGGAGGUUUCUUUGCUUUCACCCCUUCAAAGAAGUUCUUCACUUCGGCUCGCACGAUCUUCACGUUCUCCUCCUCGGUCCUCUCGUAUGGUAACUUCUCUGGAGUCUUCAGAGAAGGACCGAAUCUGUAUUGCCUCCCGCCUCUGGCAGCUGUACUACUAGAUGCCGGUAGAGCAGACGGAGCGGCUGCGGCUGUCUUCUUUACUUGCUUACGAGGCGGAGGAGAAGGACUACAACGCGCCGGAGCAGCCGCAGCGGCGGCGGGUCUCUUCCGCCCUUGCUGACGAGGCGGAGAAGGAGGAGGCUGGCUGCUCUGGCGCGCCGGCGCUGGCGGAGAAGGAGGCGGAGUGCCGUCACGCGCCGGAGAAGGAGGCUGAGUGCCCUGAUCACUCGCCGGAGGAGGAGGCGGAGGAGGAGGCGGAGUGCCCUUACUCGCCGGAGCCAUCCAGUUCGGAAGCUUGAUGAGCUCCUUCCGCCAUAGGCAUGGAGUCUUCAGAGAAGAACCCAGCCGAGUCUCCCCUUCACCGGUAGGGUGGUCAAGCUGGAGCUCCUCAAAUCCCUCCGUUAUUUCAUCCACCAUCACCCUAGCAUAUCCUUCUGGAAUCGGCCGGCAGUGGUAGGUUGCGCCGGGUUCAGGAGGUAAAACAGAGCCAAGAGCCGCCUUGACUUUGAAGUUCUGCCAUUCCGCCAUAAGGUGGCAAUGUUGAGACUCCGUGAUAGCAUCCACGGGGUAGCUAGCAGGAGCCACAUGCUCCAGCUGAAGCAGCUCGGUGGAAGCCACGCUGCUUAUCCGCUGAGAUGGCGGUGUAGCUUCGGGGGCAGUUUCGGCAUGCGAUUGCCGUCUCGUUCCUCUAGUGCUUGAACCCUUUCGUGCAGCUUCUGAAUUUGGAUCUGCUCCACUUUUUCCUCCUCUCCUGGGUUUUGUAACCGCCCGCGUCCGGAAAACCAGCCUUCCACGGAAUGGAGCCUAGCGUGCCUCGUGUCCGUCCAGGGUGCUCAGUAUUCCCGAGGGCCAUUGUGAGCUCGUCGUUCUCUCUGUCUGGAACGAACGUCCCUUCCUGCGCUGCAUCAAUAUAUUGCUGAAUCUUCUUGACUGGUAUUCUCAAAAGCUCGUUUGUCCAAACGCACCUCCCUGAUACAGGGUCCAAGGUUCCGCCAACCCCGAAGAACCAAGUCCGGCAACGGUCUGUCCAGUUCAUUGUUUGUGGUUCGAUCCCUUUUCAAGCAGAUCAUUCUCAGCCUUGGCCCACUUAGGUCAGGCUUUGAGGUAGCCACCUGACCCCGUGCGAUGGUGAAUCUUCUUCUUCGCAGCAUUCUUCUUGUUUGUCGCUGACAUCUUCUUUCUCUUUUCUGAUGUCUUGUGGGCCACAAAUGCGGGCCAGUGAUCUCUGAUCUUCUCAUACCGGCCGAUGAAUUCUGGUGUCUCUUCUUUGUCGACAAACGUUUUCAGCUCAUUCUUCCACCUCCUGAAUAGGUCUGCCAUCUUCUUAAGAGCAUGAGACUUGAUUAAUUGCUCUAUAACUAGCUUCUCCGGAUCCUCCUCUGGCGGUAGGGUGAAAUUUGCCUUCAACUCAGUCCAAAGAUCAUCUUUCUGCAUAUCAUUGACAUAAGACACCUCAGGGUCUUCCUUCUUAGGCUUAUACCAUUGGUGGAUGCUGAUCGGGAUCUUGUCCCUAACUAGAACCCCGCACUGAGCAGCAAAUGCAUCCUUUGUCCGGAUGGGUUCAAUCGGUUGGCCGUCGCGCGCGAUUGCUGUGAUCUCAAACCUUUCAUCCGAGCGCAACUUUCUCUUCGGGCCUCGUCUCUUUACCACAGUUGUGCUCGAUCCGGAGGGCUAGAAAAAAGAAGAAAGAUGAGUGUUAAUUUCUUUCGACAUUGAUGGUUGGUCGGAAGAAAUUGACGAUGGCCCAGGUACACAUUCUUCCUGCUUUUGUCCAGGUAUAUACUUUAAGUGUCAUCUAAAAAGUGUGUGCAUGUGUGGUAUCCCUUGUUUCUCUGUCCUGAAAGGUUACUGAGAGCGGGCCAAUCGUUGAUGGUUACAAACAGCAACGCGUGCAGGUUAAAUUCCUCCUGUUUGUGCUCAUCCCACGUACGUACACCGUUUCCAUUCCACAGCUGUAAAAGUUCUUCAACUAAUGGCCUUAGGUACACAUCAAUGUCAUUGCCGGGUUGCUUAGGGCCUUGGAUGAGAACUGGCAUCAUAAUGAACUUCCGCUUCAUGCACAUCCAAGGAGGAAGGUUAUACAUACAUAGAGUCACGGGCCAGGUGCAAACUCAGCCCAGUACUUUCUCCCGAUUUUUCUCCACUGCGACCCGUCAGCGAGUGCUCUCAACUUCCCGUCUUUCUUACGGUCCUCACCAUGCCAUCGCAUCAACUUGGCAUGCUCUUCGUUUCUGAACAGACGUUUCAACCAUGGUAUUAUAGGAGCAUACCACAUCACCUUCGCAGGAACCCUCUUCCUGGGGGGCUCGCCGUCAACAUCACCAGGGUCAUCUCGUCUGAUCUUAUACCUCAAUGCACCGCAUACCGGGCAUGCAUUCAGAUCCUUGUACGCACCCCGGUAGAGGAUGCAGUCAUUAGGGCAUGCAUGUAUCUUCUGCACCUCCAAUCCUAGAGGGCAUACGACCUUCUUUGCUGCAUAUGUACUGUCGGGCAAUUCGUUAUCCUUUGGAAGCUUCUUGUUCAAUAUUUUCAAUAGCUUCUCAAAUCCUUUGUCAGGCACAGCAUUCUCUGCCUUCCACUGCAGCAAUUCCAGUACGGUACCGAGCUUUGUGUUGCCAUCUUCGCAAUUGGGGUACAACCCUUUUUUGUGAUCCUCUAACAUGCGAUCGAACUUCAGCUUCUCCUUUUGACUUUCGCAUUGCGUCCUUGCAUCGACUAUGACCCGGCGGAGAUCAUCAUCAUCGAGCACUGGUUCCUCUUGAUCUUCAGCAGCUUCCCCCUUGCAGCAUCAUUGGGCACAUCGUCUAGUUCCUCUUGAUCUUCAGCAGCUUCCCCCGUUGCAGCAUCACCGUAUUCAGGGGGCACAUAGUUGUCAUCAUCCUCUUCUUCUUCGUCGUCUUCCAUCAUAACCCCUAUUUCUCCGUGCCUCGUCCAAACAUUAUAGUGUGGCAUGAAACCCUUGUAAAGCAGGUGGGUGUGAAGGAUUUUCCGGUCAGAGUAAGACUUCGUAUUCCCACAUAUAGGGCAUGCACAACACAUAAAACCAUUCUGCUUGUUUGCCUCAGCCACUUUGAGAAAAUCAUGCACGCCCUUAAUGUACUCGGAGGUGUGUCUGUCACGGUACAUCCGUUGCCGGUUCAUCUGCGUGCAUUAUAUAUAAUCAAGUGUGUCAAAAACCAUUACAGAACAUCAUGAAUAGAUAAUUAAGUGACCAAAUUAAUAGAAGUUCAUCAUCACAUUAAAACCAAAGUACAUACAUAGUUCUCAUCUAACAACAUAUAUAUAGCUCUCCAAAGCAUCUAAUUAAUUAAACCAUACAUUGAAACUAUGUAAAACAUUUCAAUGCGAAAAAAAAUGCGAUCAUAAUCGCAACCAAGGUAACAAUUGAUCCAACGGCAUAAUGAUACCAAGCCUCGGUAUGAAUGGCAUAUUUUCUAAGCGCAUUGCAUCCAUCUUGAUCUUGUGAUCAUCGACGACAUCCGCAACAUGCAACUCCAAUAUCAUCUUCUCCUCCUCAAUUUUUUUAUUUUUUCCUUCAAAUAAUUGUUUUCUUCUUCAACUAAAUUUAACCUCUCGACAAUAGGGUCGGUUAGAAUUUCCGGUUCAACCACCUCCUAGAUAAAUAAAAUCUAUGUCACGUUGGUCGGUAUAUUUGUCAUAAACAAUAAAUGAACCAAAUAGUUAUAAAAAGAUAAUAUAUACCACAUCCGAAUCAUAGACAGGAUGAGGGCCGACGGGGGCGGAUACAAAAACCAUCGCACUAUGUAAUAAGAAGGAAUAAUAAAAGUAACAAAAUUAGACAAGUAACUAUCUAAAGUAAGAAUUUUUUCCUUUCAGAAAGAAGAUAAGAACAAGAGGCUCACCACAGUGGUGCUGGCGACGAGAUCGGCGCGGGCGAUCGACGGCGGUGAGGACGGGGACGGGACGUGACGGACCGCUAAACCUAGACAAAUCUCGGGGAAAAUGGAGCUCGGAGGUCGAGUUUCGAGAGGACAAAGAUUAACUAGUGUGUCUCAGACAUUUCAUCGAACACCUCAUGUGCAUAGGAGGUCAGCUAGAGCACCCAAAUGCCCUCCCCUCGCUGGCCAGAAACAACAGAGCACUCUGGAGUGCUCUGCUGUGGCGAUGGGGUAUAUAUAGGGAACUCAUUGGUCCCGGUUCGUGGCACCAACCGGGACUAAAGGCCUUUGGUCCCGGUUGGUGCCNNNNNNNNNNNNNNNNNNNNNNNNNNNNNNNNNNNNNNNNNNNNNNNNNNNNNNNNNNNNNNNNNNNNNNNNNNNNNNNNNNNNNNNNNNNNNNNNNNNNNNNNNNNNNNNNNNNNNNNNNNNNNNNNNNNNNNNNNNNNNNNNNNNNNNNNNNNNNNNNNNNNNNNNNNNNNNNNNNNNNNNNNNNNNNNNNNNNNNNNNNNNNNNNNNNNNNNNNNNNNNNNNNNNNNNNNNNNNNNNNNNNNNNNNNNNNNNNNNNNNNNNNNNNNNNNNNNNNNNNNNNNNNNNNNNNNNNNNNNNNNNNNNNNNNNNNNNNNNNNNNNNNNNNNNNNNNNNNNNNNNNNNNNNNNNNNNNNNNNNNNNNNNNNNNNNNNNNNNNNNNNNNNNNNNNNNNNNNNNNNNNNNNNNNNNNNNNNNNNNNNNNNNNNNNNNNNNNNNNNNNNNNNNNNNNNNNNNNNNNNNNNNNNNNNNNNNNNNNNNNNNNNNNNNNNNNNNNNNNNNNNNNNNNNNNNNNNNNNNUAUUUAUUUUACUGCUGCUGUUUUUAUUUAUUUUAGUACUGCUAUUUUUACUUAAUUUAUUAAGGUUUAUUUAUUGUAGUUACUAUAGUUUAUUUUAUUUUAUAAGGUUUAUUUAGUUUUAUUUAUUUUAUUAAGGUUUAUUUAUUUUAUAAAUAUAAAAAAUGAAAAUAGAUGCGCUUAUAGAGAAAAUUCAUCCUAAAUUCAUAAUAAAUUUCUAUGAAAUUUACUGUGAAUUUAGGUCAAAUUCCCUGUAUAAGGGCAUCUAUUUUCACUUUAAAAGGCAGAGAGGGAAGGGCUUAUAAACUGGUGUGAGCGCCCUUCGUUUGGUGAGGUGGGACUAAACACUGGCCACAACUAGGACCAGCCCUUUAGUCCCGGGUUGUGGUAUGAACCGGGACUAAAGGGUGGUGGGCCAGGAGUGUGGCCCUUUGGUCCCGGUUUGUCCCACCAACCGGGACCAAAGGGGCCGGACGAACCGGGACCAAUGCCCCCACGAGGCCCGGCAGGUCCCUGGCCGCACGAACCGGGACGAAUGCUCACAUUAGUCCCGGUUCGUGACUGAACAGGGACUAAUGUGAAUAUUGCCCUGUGACCAAAGCCCAGUUUGCUACUAGUGAUAGUUGAGACCCGACGCACCUAAUGGGUUGUUGACUCGCCCUCUUCUUGGACACAGGCAUCCAUAUCCACAAUUGACAUAGGCUGCUUGCACGUAUCUUUAAAAUUCUGAAUAAACCGGGCUUUUAACUCGGCCCAUGACCUAAUGGAGUUGGCAGGCAGCCCUUUCAGCCAAGUACGGGCCGUCCCAUCCAACAUCAUGGUGAAAUACUUAGCACAUGCAGCAUCGCUAACAUCCAGCAAUUCCAUGGCCAUCUCAUAACUCUCAACCCAUGAUUCAGGGGGUAAAUCAGCUGUGUAGUUAGGCACCUUGCGAGGACCCUUGAGAUCCUUGGGCAAACGCUCAUUACGCAGAGCCGGCAGUAGACAUGGCACACCCAAAGUUCUGAAGGUCACGCAUGUCUCCAUCGAUGUUGUCAGAUGAGCCGGAGAAUAUUGACGAGCCAUGUACUGAACCGCCAGCUCAGCCUCCCGACGCGCUCUACCCUGAUCCACCAAAUUCUGAGCAUUAGCUCCAGCGUGCACCGGGUCGUGCCCACGGGGCGGGUUGCGGUAUCGUCCACUGCUUGACAUAGCUGGCUCUUCAAUAUGCCUGCUAUAACUUCUGCUUGGACGUGGCGUGGAGUGGAUACGAUCCUGACUGUAUGAAUAAGCCGCCUGCUGAGCCACAGCCGUCUGGAGCAGUUCUCCGACUUGUCGUAUUUCCAUUGCUGCAGGUGAUUCACCUUCAACCGGUAGAGCUGCCAGCCGUGUCGCCGCAGCGAUCAUCUUAUCCAAAGGGUUAGAAUAAUGACCCGGCGGUGUCGGCACAUACUGAGGCGGAGCAGUAUUAAGACGGGGCGGCUCCGUUGUUCGCGGCUGAACCGGCGCUCCGGCCCCAGGUACAUCAACCCGGUUUACCUCCGGCAGGUUACUGGUCCCCGCACCAGGCGUAUUGAAGAGGUUUCUCGCCUCAUAGACCAGAGGUAAACGAGUCUGAUGCCUCCUCCUCAUGACUUCAUUUGAAGCGUUUUGAUCCAUCGUGAGCUGGAAAGACUGUGAUUGAAUUCCCUGGGCCUGAGCAUCUAAAGCAACCCGCUCCGCGGCCAUCCUGGCAUUCUCCGCGUUCAGCUCCUCCUUAGCCAGUGCUAUCUCGUCACGCAAUUUUGCAACCUCCGCAUUAUGCUGAACUUGAUCCGCCGGGUUAACCUCCGCUUUUAACAAUGUUGUCAGAUUGUCCAGUAAGUCGGUUAAGACCUGAGCCAGCGGGCGCACAGGUCCUCCUGCCCUAGCAGCCGUCGCCGCUGCUGACCCGCAGAUCUUUGCUGCCGUAGUCGUAUAAUUCUGUACUGGCUGUGUACCGGCCAUGAAGAUCGCGACACUGUUUGACGGCUCAUAGUGUUCUGGGAUACUGUCGCCAUCAGAAUAGCCCCCAAGUCGGCCAUCCUGCAGUUGAUACAGCGACUCGGUUUCACCAGUGGACGACUCACCAUUAGAAUAGAUGACCGUCUCACCACCAGACACAGAUCUAUCCUCAGAUUCCGCCCCAUGGAUGAAUGCCACAAAGGCACGUUUCACGGCGGGCUGAACUCGGGCGGGUGACGUACGCUGAGCCGUCUCGAUGAUGUCAGUCCAGAUGUCCAGCUCAAGGCCCGGCUCGCCGAUCUUGCCGAUGAAAACAUGAAUUCCGCCGAAGGGGGCCCAGUACCCGUACUCGAUUGAGCCGGCCUCGGGGCCCCAGCCUGCAUCGUCGAUGUAGAGCUUGCCGCGAUGACUCUUGGUCAUCCGGCCCAUAGCGUAUCCCUUGAUCCCUUUGAAGUUGCCCUUUAAGAACUCGAAACCACCGUGCGCUGGCCCCAUGGUGGGUGCCAUCUGUCGUGGAAUAGUCACGUCGGAUGUCCUAGCAGAAGGACUUAGUCGUGGAGCCAUCGCACCGGGUUAGCUUAAAGGGGUUAAACGGGACAAAGGACACAAGGAGUUUAUACUGGUUCGGCCCCUUGCGGUGAAGGUAAAGGCCUAAUCCAGUUUGAGGUGGUAUUGAUUAUCUCUCGAUUACUAUGGAGCAAAUACACUUGUCCUAGUUUUCGAUCUGUUGUUUCCUGCCCUAAGUCGCCGCCGAGUCGUCCCUUUAUAUACACAGGUUGAUGCCCAGCGGUUUGCGGAGUCCCGGCCGGCUCAUAAACAACGUGUCCGGCUCGGUGACUAACUAUACAUGCCUUAUAAUACAAGUUAUACUUAUAUGGCGGUUUACACUUGUUGGGCCUUAUGUCGCCUUUGGGCUUCAGGCCCUCAAUGAGUCUGCAUUAUGAACCGCCAUCUUCAGGAUCUUCAUGGGCUUUGUUUUUGAUAAACCGCCAUGAGCAUAACCCGGCCCCUCCUGGGCGGGUUAUACUCAAUAGUUACAUGCCCAACACACCUAGUGUUGGCCAAUAAAUAGUAUAGUACUACUUUUGUGCAGUCCAUGAAAUGACUAUCUAGUCUUUCUGUGUCUAUUUUCAAAUGGCACUACAUGCAGUGACUAUACUAUUCUUUUGUGCAUUUCCCCCAAAAUUGCGGUCACUUUGUUUGUUCAGGCAGACAUCUGUCUACGCAAAUAUCAACCAGCUAGUAAACAUAUACCCCACCUUGUAUUUCGGUUUAAACACGUCUCUUCCGCUUAGAAUGUGUCAUGUUUUGCACUGGACAAUUUGAUACUGUCAUGUCUUGCCCUGGACAAUUUCAUACUGAAUUGAUUUGCUGGUUCAGAGUAGAAAUAUAGCGCCUAUUCUUCAUCAGACCAAGGAUAUCCAUGUUCGCAGUGAUGGAAGAGGUGAAAUCAAUACAACCGAAAUUGAGCAUCCAAUCAUUGAAUCAUGUCCCGCACCUCCAAUGUAGGUCCACCCUGCCAAUAAAUUCACAUGCAAAUCACUAAUGUUACUAUCUAAUGACAGUGCAAAAAGAGUAGCAAGAUAGGAGCAAACCAUGUACCUUCGUAAUGACCAACUCAUAGUGCCACCAAUUGGAUAUAAAGGUUUGGAAGAAAACAUGCUCCUAAUGUUGAACCAUUUGGACUUUUUGUGCAGCUCCACUAAAAUCGAGCAUCCCUGUUUGCAUAGAUAUUGAAAGUGUGAUUACUAUAAAAGUGGCACUAGUUGAAGCAUAGACUCACAAAUAUAAGCAUUCCAAUUUCUUAAUGGGAAAAGGUAGCAAGACUAUUUCUAACCACCUGUUUGAAGGAAUAAAUAAGGAAACAGCGGCUGAUGUCAGGAAGGCAUACAUAGUUUUUUCUAAAAAAUUGAACCAUUCCUGACCUUUCCUCUUCUUUUAAGCAUAUUUUGUGCAGUUCAACUAAAAUAAAAUGCCAUCAUCGCCUUGACAAUUCAGUGACAUUGUACAAAAGGAAAUGACUUAACAUUACAUCAUGAUGUGAGGUUACAUCAUGAUGUGAGGUAUGUAGUCGAUAGGCAUUAGAAACAAACAUACAGACCUCCUCCGAUAACAUAAUGAACAUUAAUUUUAACAAAGGUGUGACUAGAUUUACCGGGAUAAUUUGAGUGAACUCUACACCCUCUGUUCCUUAAUAUAAGACGUUUUCGCAGUUCAAUUUAAAGUACCCAAACGUCUAUUAUUUAGAAAAACAGAUAGUAGUUUUCUUGAGCACAUAUCUGGGAAAGCUUGCCAAACUUUAUAUAUGUCCAUACGCUAAUGUAACACCAUUCGAAUAGUACAAAUAUACACUAAUCCAGUGGCUAGUCCAACAGUCGAAUACUUAUUUUAUUAAAGGGUACAGUACAAUGGUUUUACUGAACAGAUUUUCAUAAGCUCUAGCACUGGAAGAUUUCUAUAAGAAUUAACAAUACAAAAUGUAAAGGUAACAAGUUUCAGCAUUGGUAUACUAGCUGUGCAAGAGCAUUAAACCAAAUACAAAAGUCUGAAGGUAACUAGCAUUAUUUACUAAUGACAGUAUAAAAAAUUGCAAACCAUGUACCUUCAGGGUAAAUAUCAUUUCGAACUCGAGGGGACAUAAAAAUUCCUAUCCCAAUUUUGAUAAUCGAUCAAACAUAAAAACUUGAUCGAACGAAUCAAGAGAACAACCGGAGGAGGAGGUGCCCACUCUUGACCUUUCCUCUUGUCUUCAUAAUUUUUUGUGCAGUUUAACCAAAAUAAAAUGACAUCAGCGCCUUCACAUUUUGGUGACACUAUACAAAAAAAUUGACUUAUCUCAUGAAAGUUAGGUAUGUAAUCUAUAAGCAUUAACAGUGCAAAAAUCUAAAGGUAGUAACAAGUUUCAUCGUUGGUAUACUGGCUAUGCCACAACAUUAGAAUGCCUUAGCUGAAAAUUCUUUAAUAGAUCCACAAUCAACAGCUAACCCUGAAAUAAUCCAGUGACAUUAAAUGGCAUUGCUUAAAUUUAUAGGUGGCAUUAGACUGCGUGCGGCAUUAGUUAUGUGGCUUCACUUUAGUAGUAGCAUUGCUUGACUUGACCGCUGGCGUUAUACUAACAGCAAAAACGUGGCAAUAAGAGCAUGGGAGGCCUAUUCGGACAGUGGGCGCACCAGUACGAUGUACCUCCACGGACACAUAGAGUGGUGAGGGAGGUAUGGUUGCCCAGAGCAACAAAUUUCCAGGUAGCAUAUGUGGAUUACAUCCCAUUUUUGUUCUCUUUAGCCACCUUAUUCCUAUGUGAGGACAACAAACCGAUCGACCUAGUCAUUCUCUAUUGUGUUGUCAUGCCUUUCUACCCUUUUUCAACCAAGAGACACGAGACUUGUUCCUUAGCUACUGAUUUUCCCCUUUUCAACCUAGAUCCGGGUUAGAUGCCUAGUCUCUUGGACAGUACAUUCUCCCUUCCUUUCCUUAUUCAACCCAGACAUGGAUUAGUCUACAUGAAGUAGGGUUUCCUUUAAUAGUGCAAAUUAAGGUUUUCGUCUGCAUGACCAGCAGAGCAAAGGAUAGCAAAUUGGGAAGAUGGUGGAGUGGAAACAUAUCCACAUGCAGCGACAUGGCAGAUGGGGCAAUAGAACAAGGGUAUGGUUCGAAAAGAGGUAGCAUACCUGAGAGUCGGCGGGAAGUGGCUUCGCUCUUGGUUGUCGUCCUCCGCACACACUACGGCAGCGAGCUUGGGGACGGCGGCCAUCCCGCGCGGGUGCUAUGUCUGAGAGGACGACCUUGUCGCAGUGCGUGACCUCGCUCGCCGACGACGAGUGCGUCAACGCUGUACGUCCUUUUCUUCCCCGGCGGAUCUAAGAUCACGGUGAGGAGGGAGAGAGAGGCCGUCUUUUUAGAUCUGGAAAGAGGGUGAUUGGUUGAGAAGCAAGUGGGCAGCCCUUAGCAACAAAGCUCUAAAGCUCUAGCCUAUAUAUAUUUUUUGAUACUAGUACUAGAGGUGGAGUAGUGGUAGAGUAGUUUAUAUUUUCUCUGCAUACAGUACCAGUUAGUCGUGCUUCAAAACUGAACGGCACGCCAUUAAAAAUAAAGGCCGGGGUGCCUCUUCGUGUACCCUGGCAACCAUCCACCGCCUCUUCGCCUUUCCCUCUCGAUUUGGAACUGCUGUCGCACGCUCUUCCUCCCUCCUCCAUUUGCCUUCACCGUUCUUUCUGCCAUUGUUUGAUCGUCUUUUCCAUGGAGGGAACAGGCCGAACGACCCCGUUAUUCUUGCCCCGAUCUGAAAGAUGACGUGGUGGAGGAACUCAUUGAUCGGUGCGACGUCAUCACCUCGUCUAGCAUGGCAGGUUCGUUCAAGAACAUUCUCGACUCAACUAAUAACAUCAUUACAAAAAAACCAAGGGUCCGGGAGUGGUUUGAUCUCCCCUAUCUUCUUCACCAUGACCCUGCUCGCUGGCGCGCGGACGACGGAAGCCUCGCCUUGUGCAAGUUGAUGCCGCUUGAUAAUGAUAUGUGUGAUGUUAAGAUGUCAUCGCUUAAGGAUAGGGCCAAUGCAGGCGUAAAUGGAGAUUGGGUUGUUUAUAUUGGGCACAACUGUGAGUGGGAACUUGUGAAUGUGUACACUCGUCACCGGGUUCCACUUCCAAAAAUCUCAGACUGCCCAGAGGUUGAGCACACCGGUAUUCUACGUAGGUUCUAAUACGACCAUGGUGACUGUCGUCUAAGAAAGAUAGCAAUUUGUCGAGUUCCCAACAGCUCUUGGGAUUACACGACCUAUGAAGUUGUUGCUAUCUUCCACAAGCUUGUUUCCAUCCUUACUUCCAUGCCUCAAUGGAUAUUGCUCAAAAAUCAAUUUCUGUACACGGAUGAGUACUGUGAUGCAAUUCAAUACGAGGGUCUUGUGUUUGCUGCCACCACGCGUGGCACUGUUUUUGCAUGGAAUCCUAAUGCUUUCGGUACGUUUGUCCUCCACCGUAAAUAUAAUUUUUUCAUCCACAUGCAUGUGGGUUAGCUAGUUUCCCUUUACUAAUUAACCUUUUUGUGUUUCCAAGGUCCUGUGAACAUUCCACCACCUAUACUUGAAAUUUUUUAUAACCAAGGGGGAGAUGACAAUGAUGAUGAUCACGAUCAUGAGGACCCAUAUACUCAGUGGCGCCUGGCAACUUAUUCCGAUGGAUCACCUAUUCUUGUGUGUAUACAGGGCACUGGUGAUGUUACUAAGGAAGCAGGGUGUUGUCUCCCAUGGUCGCACUCUCCGGACCUAUUCCAACAUCCGUUGCAGGGUAUUCGGGAUGGAUACUACUAUGCUAGUGCCAACACCUUCUCCCUGGUUUAGUACUGAUACUCUUGGAGGAAACUCGCUCUUCCUUGGACAAAACUAUCCAAUGAUGGUGAAAGGCGAUCCAGCUGCUGUUGACACAACAUUACCACCAUUUAUGAGAAGGAGUUGUAUCAAUACCUUGGACAUUACUAUGGUUCCCUACCGUGGCUAUCAAAAUAUGCAUCCAGAUAUAGGCUGUUUCAGCCCAGAUGAUCAGUCCUGCGUUGGUCUCGAGAUUGACAAUAGCUGGCCCUUCCCAGAGGCUUACCUAUGGUUCAAAGCAAGCGUGUCCAAUGCGGAGGAUUGGUUGAGCUGAAGUUCAUUUCAUUGCUUGUUAUUUGUUGUGUGAUGAAAACUUUAGUAUUUACUAGAAUGUUUUAUUGGAACUAAUCUACAAUCCAACAUGUAUCCUCGAUGUCGUUGUGUGUUGAUGACUUGUUGUAUGUAAUGAAUUGUACAUUUGCAUAUGCAUGUCAUAAACUCAAUUUAUGAAUGGUUUUCGACUCACUUCUUGCAGUGUUAGUGUCGUAGUAGUAUAGCCAGCAUCCGGUUAUAUGAAGUUGCCACAUCACAUAGAGCCAACCAAUAUUGGAGUAUGCUAGCACAAUAGUUAGUUCUAGUUAGAUCAACUAGAGCUAGGUGUCGCACGGAGGCUGAGAAAUAUGGUGAUAGCGUGACUGCGUGAGGUGGGCUUGUACUUAUUAUGAUGUAGGCACAGGGCUUGCCGUGUUUCCUACUCCUCCUGUCUAAAUGUGGAGAAGAUUUGGUCAAGUUCUUCCUCCUUUUGCCGACACAUGGGACAUCCAGCAUCCAGGUCGUGUCAUGCAAGAAAAUGGAGCGCUAGUUGAAGCCACGUGAUGUGCAUCUUGGGCUAAACUGUAAGUAGAAUCUUACUACUCUUGAGUAACUCCAAAAGCGGCCAUCGAAGAUCUUUAUUGGAUUUUUUUUUUCAUCACCAGCACAUCGAGGUGAAAGAUGUGCAGGUUCAGUGGUUCCUCUUGCGUUUUCACUAACAUGUGGGACCGCAUGUGAGCAAACAGACGAUGGGCUCCGCGCGUCUGUUGCCUGGCUGAGAAGAGAGAUAGAGGAGAGCUGAGCACAGCCUCGGGAAAUUUGUUCUACCUAACCAACACCUCGAUAUAGGCUCGAUAUAGUGGGGUGGCAUAGCAUUCACGUCUAGCAGUACGACACACGCCACCCACACGAGUCCCAUCUGACACCAAUUUUCUUGGAGUCCGUGCUACAGCCAUCUCUUCUCCCUCCUGUUUUCUCAGCCAUCGCGCGAUGGGCGGGGUGGGGGUUUGCCGAUAGUCGGUUUUCUCAACUGUGGUCCCACUUGUAAGUGAAAAUGUAACACAGCACACAUUCCCCCUUGAGCGGCGUGCCGGACCAACCGUGUGGGGGUGCGACGCGAACACGGCAGGCUUUUCCUUUUGAACUUGUAACUUGUAAAAUUAGGUUCUGCUCCAUGGCGCGACCGAUAGAUAGAAAUAACGAUUUUCCCUAGAGUAAUGAGAAGUUUGGUUCUAGCGCGGUUCAUGCAUGGAGUACGUACGAAAAUUGUGAAGUUGAUGCGAAAGGUAAGAUAAUUACUAGUAGUACCAUAUACUACUACAUGGAUUUGACGAAAAGAUAAAGAUACAUACGGAUCCAUGAACGACAUCAUCACGCCCAAGUGCACCAGGUCACCAACGGACGUGCGAGGAUCAACGGCAUUGGCGGCGAGCUCAACGUGCUUCUAAACAAUGCCGUCCAAGGUUGGCCUGCAGUCCAAGAAGGCCAGUGACCUAUCGUCCUCCUCUGGCACGUAGUAGUCCUUGUGGACGAUUUGCGCGUAGACGUGGACAUUCUCCGCCGCGACCUUGAGGUGGACAUUCUCCGGCACGACGGCAGGCAGUCGCAGGGCCACCAGUACGUCAAAGAGGUUGUCACUAUAGAGGCCGUUGAGGGUGGCGGGCAUCGCAAAGCCUGGGCGCGUGGGCUGGAGGCGUACGUCAAUGUCGUCCGUGAGCUUCUUGACAACGGUGAACUUGUCGAGGAAGCCGACGAGGACCUCAUCAAACAAGGAGACGAAACUGCCGUCCAAGCGGCCUCUUGCCCUGGCGGCCUCAAGCACGAACUGGAGAAGUUCCUCGGUGCCAGGCCGCAGGCCGACGUCGUGGACCAUCUGGCACAGCCGGCUGAUGCUCGCGCUCAUCGCCUCCAUGGGUCUAGCUUCUAGUCAACUGAUCUUGCGAUUGGAGUGAUCACUCUUGCCCUUGGUUAGGGUGCGUAGGUGCGUAGGAUUUCGUGGAUUGGACUGGCGGGGAGCCUUUAUAUGAGAAGUGCAGACUGUGUUGCAUUCAUGUGUGUGUUGGCCAUCUACUCCUCAGCCCUCUACUGCACCUGCCUUUGAAUGUAUGACAGGUGGGCCAGCCACCUGUUGGGCCCACGUGAUGUACACCCAAAGGCAGGUGCAUUAAGUCAAUGAAGCUGCGUCCCCCUCCGUGCGGGUGCAGUAUAGUCAUCUCACCGGACCUCUAGUGGGGGCCAAACGAGAGAACUUUGAUGUUUACUGGUUUAUUGCUCCCCUUUGCAUUUUGCACCAAGUUUUGACCUUUAAUUUAACUAAUAAAGUGUUAAUGCAUGUAACCAAAAAUGUUGUGUAAGUCACCUUACAAAAACCAAAUAAUCCCAAAACACUUAGGCACGGUACAUUAACUCCCUCCUUGUUUCUUAUUUUGUGACAUAUCAACCAAUGAGAGAUGUGGGCCGUGCAUGCUUUCAAUGACUUGAGACUACCAAGCAUGACAUGCAUUGGUUCGUUCAUUGCAUGUAAUGCUAUUAAUUAGCAAAAAGACAUUAAGUUCUCUCGCUUUCCCCUUCAUCUUGGUCACGGUGCACAACCUAAGAGCAUGGUUAAUAGUAUAGCCAGUUGCUGGCUAUAUGAUGUUGCCAUGUCAUAUAGAGCCAUCACUUGUAGCCACCCAUACAACAAGGUUAGGUAUAAGGCUGGCAAUAAGAGUACUACUUUUUCUCAUCUUCUCUCUCUUUCUUCAUAUUUAUUGUAUCGGCCUAGGAAUCCGCAUAUAGCUAGGCUCUUGCAUGAGAGCCCACUCCUCUUUUUCACGUGCUCUAAGAUGACUUAUACACCUAGACGGAGGGAGUAGUAUCAAGUCAUUGGAUGCAUACGCACCCCACGUCUCGUAUUGGGUGAUUUCUUUUUUCGUGGCAAACAAUAGGGACUGAGGUGGGUAGUUAAUAUACCGCGCCUAAAAGUUUUGGGAUUACUAUUUGUUUUCAUAACAUGACUAAUGCACCCGUAUGGAGGGAGUACAAUAGUAGUCUUUGAUUGCAAUUUUUUGCUGGUAGCUUACAAAGCUGAGCGCUCGGUCAGUACAAUAGUAGUCUGAUUGAUGAGACUUCAGAUUUGAGACAUCUAGCCGAAGGAAUAAAACAAUACACCAUGUAUUUAUUUACAGAGGGAGUAGUACAUUUUUUGUGACAUGUAUUACUAGAUAUUGCUAGUCAAAUACUAAAUCUAGAUGGACGUGGUAGUACUACUAAAUCUAGACGGUGGUGCUAGUACUAGUAGUAGUGCUACCAAUGUAGUAGUACUGUACUACCCGUUGUUCAAAUUAUUAGGUGCUUCUCCUCACAGUGAAGUGACAAGACCCUGCGCCGGAGAUGACAUCUGAGUGUAGGCUCCGUGUUCGGCAUACCAUAGUCAGCCUCACCGUCUGCAGUCACUAUCGUCAUGGCUGUAGAGCUACCCUGCUUACAACUAGCCGUGUUGACACAAUUUCCCGUAUGUAGAUGCCCGUGCAUUGCAUGGAACACCAAGAUUGGGGGUGGACGGCGCCGGCAGCGGCCAUUGUGCCAGAUUUUUCCAUGGCCUUCUAGAUUUGGUGGGGAGGAGAUAAGGCUGAUUGUGAGAGACAAUGAUUUGUUUGUAAAUAGGGAACUUGUGCGGGAAUAUUUUUGCAAAACUGCAGAAGUUUUGUUUGUGCUGGUGCUCGCCAGGCUCUGACUGCCAGAGCGAUGCUGGUGCUCGCGGGCUGCGGCCCGGGUCCUGUCCGCGACCGGCCCGCUGCUCGCCCGUACUGGCACGGGCCGUUCGGCUCCCGACGAGCCGAUCACCGUGAUCAUCUUCUUCUUGGGAGCCAUGGCGAUGAAGAAUUGCUAGGCUAACUGCUAGACUAGAUUCUCACAACUGCACCCCCCUACCUGGCGCACCAAAGAUGUCGGUGAGGACACCUAUGGGAUCACUGGGAUCCCUUCUUUGGUCGGCGGGCGCGGGGUCGUGAGAAGAGCAGGUUUAGGAGCUAGCACACAGAUCGUUUACCCAGGUUCGGGACGCGAGGAUGGGUAAAACCCUAGUCCUGCUUUGGUGGAUGUAUUUCAGAGUGUCCUUGAGCUCUUCAACUAGCUACGGUGGCUUCCCCGUUUCAAAGAGCCGAAUCCCUCUCCUGGUCACCUCGGGCCUCCUUUUAUAGGCAAAAGGGGUUGCCACAGUGGCACACAGGAGGUGGAAAGGCCUACAGUGCGUGAGCUUAUCGCACGGCAUUACAGGGCAAAGUGCAUUAAAUGCGCUACUUAGGUGUCCAUUAGCUUUAUCGGGGGCAGGAACGAGGCCCGUCCGUCGCCGCUCUGCCUCGCUUCGACACGCGCCCAGGCCAGCGGCGCAUGCAGCGCCAUGUAGGCAGGCAGGCUGCUGAGGUGGCGCGGUGAGGGCCUUCACGAAGAUCUGCAUGCCACCACGUAGGUGCUUGCUGGGUCGGUGUAGAGGCCGCCCGUCGCCACGUAGGUGCCAGCCCAGUUGGUUGAGCUAGCAGCUGCAUGCGAACGGCGGCGGAGCCUUGGCUGCCGUGGGCUGGCAGCGGCCGUGCUGAUGCCUUCGGCAAGGUUCUUGCCGGGGGCCCGGCAAGGGUCUUGCCGUGGCAUUGCAGUCGUCCCCGGCAAGCGCCUCCCUCGGCUGGGAUCCCGUCGAGGGUCGCCUUCUUCUGGUUCUAAUCUGAUCUCAUGUAUUCAUGAUCUUGACAAAGAUCUGCAUGCCACCACGGAGGUGCCUCCCGAGCCCUGGUUCCAACGUAGCUGUUGACGGCGUCCGGAACCCCUGGGCUCAAGGGUGGCUCGCUCCGCUGGUGUUGGGCGAGCUGCCCCGGCAAGGCUCUUGCCGGGGCUGAUGAGGCUGCCCAAGGGUCUUGCUGGGGGAACCUGCUUCGCCCCUCUGCUCUUUGGGUUCUUGAUCUUGGCGUUGUCUUGUUUGUCUUGGGCUUUGGCUUCCCUCCUCUGCCCUGCUAAGUGUGGCCGUGGCGCGCGGCUCUGACUGCCCGUGCACAAGUAAAGGGGUCAAAAGAAGAGCCCCUACUUUUGUACACCGACAGGAGCCCCCGGGCCUGGGCCACACAUAAGCGCGACGCGUUGUUGGGCCAGGCCCAGAACGGUGCGUGGGCAGGUGGGGCGGAUUUUUGCCAUAGUAACUGUUCGUCCACUGCGCUUCCCCACGAUCCGCGUUGAAUGCGCGACAUGGAGGGUCGUGCGUGACGUGGGGGUCAUGCGUGGGGUGGUUCCCGCACGCAUGUGUCACAUCGUGGUAAAGAGGCGGCUCGCGCCUUCCCCAUAAAAAGAGGGGGGCGUGGAGGCGCAACUCAUUUACUGAGUGGACUCGUGUCGCGGUCUUCAAGGCACCCACGCCCCAUGAUCACGGGGCGGGGAACGGUCGCCUCACCCGUCCUCUCGAUCCUGCUCGCUCGCCAUGCGUCCUCCAUGCAGGUGGCAGGCGGUGGAGGCGGGAAACCGGGCCGUCGCUGUUUGGGGUAGCGGGUCGGUCCCGAUUCCCUGCGCCUCCGAUGGCUGGAUUGGUCGAGUGGGGCGGCCGAGCCUCGACCCCGCCCCUUUAUAAGGAGGGGGAGGGGGGCGUCGUCCCACGUUCUCCCAGUAUCCUUUUUCUUCCACUUCCGCCCCUUCCUUCCACCCGUCAUGGCGAGAGGGGGCGCAGGCCCUUCAACGGUGGGGGCGAGGGUCGCCGCUCGACAGCGCAUCCCUCCUUCCCAUGAGCCCGCGGUGGCGGAGCUGGCCACGAGAGGAAGGGGGAGGGGGCGAGGCCGAGGUCGCCGCGGCGGUCGGGGGAGAGGGGGGCGAGGCAGCGCGAUGUCCGUGCCUCCGCCAGCGAUGUCUCCCGCGAUGGAGGGCCACGUCGGGGACCAGCCCCGCGAGUUCUUCAUUAGGCUGUGCCAGCCACCGCGUCGUCGCCUCCGUCUCCCCACCCCCUUUGCUCAGGAGAUGGAGCUCGAUCGGCCCCAGUCCCUUAGGCUGCACAUGAGGGGCUACGGGAACGGAGGUACGCGUGUCGACGUCGACUUCCCCGCUCCUCACAUCAUGUACCUCUGCCGCAGGUGGAAGACGUUUGCUCGCAUCCACAGCCUGUCGGCGGGGCUCAUCCUCUACUUCAAGUUAAUGGAGGGCGGCCUGGUCUCCGUCAGGAUCUUUGGAGAUCUUGGAACUCGCCUGAAGUGCUGCGUGGAGAGCUCCUCCGAUGAUGAAGAUUCCUCCUCAAGCGGGAGUGAUGAGGAGGACAGCGACAGCGACGACGAGGGCGUCAAGCGGCGGGACGCCGACCCCGACUCCGGCUGACCGCGUCGCCCCUCCCUCGGCCACGCGCCCUGCCGGGGGCCUUCCUCGUCAAGCUCUCCAUCGGCGCGUUCCCCAUCGCCUCCUUGGGCGGCUGGCGUAGGAGGGCUGGAGAAGGCAAAGAAGGCGGGCGGCGGCCGUCAAACCGGAGUACGUGGGCACCGACGCCUUUGUCGUGUAUUGUCGGGCCGCUGCCUCAUCUUCCAGCUCCUUCCCCGGCAUCGGGAUGCUCUCUUUGUGCCUUCUGCUUCUCGCACGUCACCUAGGCGCUCCAUUCGCCCUCCUGCUAUCUUGUUCCACCUUCUGAGGAGAGGAACAAGAAAGGGAUUACGGGCACCUUAUCUCUUUUUAGUUUGUAAGCCUGCGGGCACUUGUUAAUUUUAAGACUUGUAAUCCCCUUGCUCAUGUUUUUUAUUCUGUACGAACUGUACCUGUAUGGGAUGUUUUUAAUGAAAAAGGGUGCUUGUUGGGUUCUUUGUGCGUGAGCGAGGCCCAUGCCAAGGAAUGAAUCCUUGUUAUUUUUAAGAUAAACAUUGUCGCCCGGCAACAGUCCUUGUUGUCCCCCCACCUCGGUCGACCAUUCUCGCGCUCUUGGCGGGGGCACGGGUGAAGCAGAGUUAGGCCCCUCGUACAUUUCGUGGCCACCACGUCUACGACCCGGUCCUGUCCCAGUGGCUUGGGUACAAGAAGAAGGGGGAGCACGGUGGUUUCGGAGUGAAACGAGGUCUCAUUUGUCCCUGUUCCAUACGGAAAUGCAUAACAGGGGAUGAAAAACUUAUCUGAAUCCGCAGCCCCCUGGCAGUCUUGGCUUGCCGGGGCCGGAGCGCCGGUCCGUUCUCUUUCUUCCAAGCGGCUCAGCAGAAGUGUCCACGUGCCCUGUGAACGAAAGAGGACAGAAAGGCGCACACUCGACCUCUAGGCUAGGGGUUAGUCGCCGCUAAGCACUAUCAACCCUAAUCGAGGGGGAGACUCAACCUAGCAUGAAUGCUAUAACUUAGGGCGCCAGCGCUUGAUUUAUUUAUGCUCAGGGUCUGCGCCUGGCUUUGUAUAGAGGGUUACAUGCCUUGCCGGCAAGGCUUGUACAAAAGGUGGUUUGCCGGGGGGCCCGGCAACCAUGCCUCAUGGGUAAAACUUGCGAAGAUGUUCGAUGUUCCAGGAGUUGCUCACUGUAAUAGGAUCUUCGGUCUCCAGGCGGACUGCGCCAGGCCUAGUGACUCGUAUUACCCGAGAAGGUCCUUCCCACUUCGGCGUCAACUUGUUGGAAUUAUUGGCCGACUGAACGCGCCGAAGAACAAGGUCGCCUUCCUCAAAGCUUCGGGCAUGAACCUUGCGGCUAUGGUAGCGGCGCAAGGCUUGCUGGUAGCGUGCUGCUCUCACAGCCGCCCGAAGACGAUCUUCCUCAAGGAGCGUUGCGUCAUCUUGCCGCAGUUGCUCUUGCUCAAGCUCGUCGUAAGCGAGCGCUCGAGGUAACCCGUAUAUGAGUUCCGUGGGGAGAACUGCUUCUGCCCCGUAUACCAGGGCAAAGGGUGUCUGGUCAGUGGCUCGAUUUGGCGUUGUCCUGAUCGACCAAAGAACUGCCGGCAACUCAUCAAUCUAGCGCCUUCCACUCUUGUGCAGCCUGUCAAAAGUCUUUGUCCUCAGGCCUCGCAACACUUCAGCAUUUUCCCUCUCUGCCUGGCCGUUGCUCCGUGGGUGUGCCACGGAGGCGAAACAGACCUUGCUACCGAGGUCUUGGAUGUAUUGCAUGAAUGUGUGGCUUGUGAACGGCGUGUCGUUGUCGGCGAUGACUCUGUUUGGCACACCAAAACGGCAGACUAGCCCCUUGAAGAAUUUGACGGCUGACUGUGUUGUCACCUUCCUCACUGCUUCCACCUCCGGCCACUUUGUGAACUUGUCGAUCGCAACGUACAAGUACUCAAAGCCCCCGACAGCGCGGGGGAAAGGGCCCAGGCCCCGAGACUGAGAAUGCCAGGAAAGAGGAAUUGUUUGAAGGGCUUGAGCUGGUUGAUGAAGCUUCUUCGAAUGGAACUGACACGCUUCACACUUGGUUACUAGUGCCUUUGCAUCCUGGAGGGCAGUGGGCCAGAAGAAACCCUGCCGGAAAGCCUUGCCGGCAAGGGCCCUCGACCCUAUGUGGGAUCCACAUAUGCCUCCAUGUAUUUCCGCCAACAGCUCUAGUCCUUCUUCCCGGGGAAUGCACUUCAAUUUCACACCGUUCGGUCGCUUUCCUGUACAGGACAUCAUCGACGAACUGAUACAUAGCAGACCGACGGGCUACUUUCUCCACUUCUUCCUGCUCCUCAGGAAGUUCCCCUGUUUGGAGGAAUCGUACGGUAUGCUGUGCCCAUGCCGGAGCCUGGGGCUCGACGGCAAGGACCAAAGGCAUUUCUUCUGCCAUUGGAGCGGCCGUCUCUACGGCCAGGGCUUGACGGCCUGCCGGAGUCAGUCGCUCCUUGGCAGGCUCAGGAUCCACGGCAACACCCUCGCCGAUGGCCCCUGGGGGCUCAGCAGGGAAGUACUUGUCGGGGCCUAUUUUCCUCCGUUUGUUCUUCUCCGUUGACGGUUCCACGGAUGGUUGUGUUAAUGGAAGCAAAAAAGUACCUGGUUCCACAGGUAGCUUGAAUGCAGCGCGCUUCGACAGGUAAUCGGCGGUGUCGUUCUCCACUUGGGGAACGUGCUCCGCUUGUAUACCGUCAAAGCGCUCCUCCAGCUUCCUCACCUCAUCUAUGUAGGCCUCCAUCAACGGGCUCUGAUAAUCUUUGUUGACUUGUCUGACGACAAGCUGCGAAUCACCCCUGACGAUGAGCUUCUUGACCCCGAGGUCUGCCGCAAUCCUGAGACCGGCAAGCAACCCCUCGUACUCAGCAGUGUUGUUUUUUUUGACUGGGACUCAGCAGUGUUGUUGGUGGACAUCUCGCUGGGAAAGUGCAUCUAGAUUACAUACUUGAGGUGCUCUCCGGUGGGUGCGACAAGCAGCACACCAGCCCCGUCAAAGUACAUAAUCCAGUCGCGAGCUAUUUCCUUGCCGGGGAGAGUGGUCUCCUGGAUUUCCUCGUCAGGCAUUGAGGUCCAUUCCGCAAUGAACUCUGCCAAGACUCUGCUCUGGAUCGUCGAAGUGCUUUCAAACUUCAAACCAAAGCUUGAUAACUCCGAGGCCCACUCCACAAUCCUUCCGGUUGCGUCUGGGUUGUGCAGUAUCCGUUGCAACGGGAGGCGGGUGAUGAUAGUGAUCUCGUGGGCUUGGAAGUAAUGACGCAGCUUCCUCGAGGCCAUAAGGAGGCCGAAGAGCAAUUUCUGCACACUGGAGUACCUUGACCUAGCCCCCUGCAAGAGGGAGCUGACAUAGUAAACCGGGUGCUGCACGAUCUUCCUCUUCGGCACCACUCCACUUGGCUGCGCGGGCUUUGUCCUGAUGGCGUCAGACUCUGCCGGGGGCCUUGCCUUGCCGGCACCAGGCCCUGCCGGGGGAGUCUCUGACUUGCUGUCCGCCGGUCCUGCCGUUGUCACUACCUCUUCGUCAACCUUCCUCUGCGCCACUAGCGCGGCACUGACCACUUUAUUCGUCGCCGCCAGAUACAGCAGCAACGGCUCUUGUGGUUUAGGCGCAACUAGUAUCGGUGUAGAAGAAAGGUAUCUCUUCAGGUCUUGCAGCGCCGCCUCGGCCUCUGGGGUCCACUCCAUUGGGCCCGCCUUCUUCAAGAUCUUGAAAAAGGGAAGGGCGCGCUCAGCAGACUUGGAGAUGAAUCGGCUCAUAGCAGCAAUGCAGCCAGUGAGCCGACACACAUCCUUGAUCCGCUUGGGCGCCUUAAUCUGCUCGAUAGCCUUGAUCUUGUCUGGGUUUGCCUCGAUCCCACACUAUGACACAAAGAACCGAAGAAGUUCGCCGGACGGAACACCGAAGACACACUUCUCAGGGUUCAGCUUGAGGUUGAUCUUGCGCAGGUUGGCAAACGUCUCUUCUAAGUCUUGUACAAGAGUUGCCCUGUCCUUGGUUUUGACCACUAUGUCAUCCAUAGAGGUUUCCAUAUUUCUAUGUAGCUGGGGUUCAAAACCAAUUUGGACUGCCCUUGCAAAUGUUGCACCAGCACUCUUCAACCCGAAAGGCAUCCGUAAAAAGCAAUACGUACCACAUGGGGUGAUGAAUGCUGUGUUCUCUUUGUAUUCCCUCGUCAUGAAAAUCUGGUGGUAGCCCGAGUAGGCAUUGAGGAAUGAUAACAGAUCACACCCGGCCGUGGAGUCAACAAUCUGGUCGAUGCGCCGCAACGGGAAGGGGUCCUUGGGACAAGCCUUAUUGAUAUAUGUGUAGUCAAUACAUAGCCUCCACUUGCAGUUUGCCUUGCGCACCACCACCGGAUUGUCCAACCACGUCGGAUGGAGCACUCCCCUCACCAAGCCUGCUGCUUCCAACUUACUAAUCUCCUCUGUGAUGAAUUCCUGCCGUUCGAAAGCUUGCUUCCUGACCUUCUACUUGACGGGUCGCGCAUGGGGACAAACAACAAGAUGGUGGUCAAUCACUUCCCUGGGAACGCCAGGGAUGUCAGAUGCUUGCCAUGCAAACACAUCGACAUUCGCUCGCAGGAAAGUGACGAGCGCGCUUUCCUAUUUGCUGUCGAGGGUGGAGCUUAUGGUGAAAGCCCCUCCCGUGCCAUCCUCCCUGAUGGAAACCUUCUUUGUCUCUGGUGGCGCAGCUCUGGAUUUCUUGCUCUUGCCGGUGGAGCUCUCUGGCACGUCCUCGACGGUAGCACAACACUCCGAAGAGGUGCGCUUGCCGGAGUGGGUGCGAGAGGUCUUGCCGGUCUUCUUCUUCCCUCCCGGGGCUUCAGCGGCAGGAGCAAGUGCCUUGGCGGCAGUUGCUGCAACUUCUUCCCGGUAGAGUAGGUCGGUGCAGAUCAGUGCGUCCUUCUUGUCGGAGGGGACGGUGAUGAUGUUCAUCGGCCCAUGCAUCUUCAGCAUGUUGUAGGCAUAGUACGACGCUGCCAUGAACUUGGCUAGUGCCGGGCGGCCGAGGAUCCCGUUGUAGGGCAAGGGGAUCUCGGCUACAUCGAAGACAAUCCUCUCCAUCCUGUAGUUCAACUCGCCUCCAAACGGCACAGGCAAUGUGACCUUCCCCUUCGGCUGGCUCCUUCCUGAGUUGACCCCUUGAAACGUGCCCAUUUCCUCGACGUCUCCAUCAGGAAUUUGCAGUCUUUUGAUCAUAGCGGGCGACAUCAAGUUCAGAGCGGCCCCACCGUCAACCAACAUCUUGUUCCCCUUGAGGUUGUGUAUCAUUGGUGAAACCAACAACGGCAAACACCCGACCGUAGUUGUGCGGUCAGGGUGGUCGUCGGUGUCAAAGAUGAGGGGCGUGCUGGACCACUUCAGUGGCUUCUGAGCGUCGAACGAGGGCUCCGCUGCUGUGAUCUCACACGCCCACUAUUUGAGCUGGCGGUGAGAAGUAUGCAGCAAGGCGCCAACGUCGACGCACAUGGCCUCCGUAGCCUUCUGGAACUCAUGCUCGCCGGAUUCGUCGUCCUCAUCAUGAUCAUUGUCUUCCUACUUCUUGUCACGGCCCCGAGCGGGCCUCUCUUGCUAGUUAUCCUUGCCGCGGCGACCCCCUUGGCCGCCACGCUUCUUGCCGGAUCCUUCGGCACCAUCCUGACCCUUCUCCUUGUCCGGCCUUUCAUACUCGGCCUUUUGCUUCUCAGCAAGCAGCUCGACUUGUCGGCAGUUCUGGAGGUCGUGGCCCUUGGUGCGGUGGAUCUUGCAGUACUGCUUGUCGAAGCCCCCUGGCUUGUCGGCAGCCGCCAAGCCCGGCAGGCGGCGCACCCGGUAAUCUCCUUGCGGGGGUCGUCUGCCUUGGCCUUCUUAGUGGCGCCGGUGUCGUCGGAUCCCUCGACGGCAAGCACGAUCUUGCCCUUGUGCUUCCUGUUGCGACGCCGACCCUUCUUCGUCGGGGCGGCAGUAUCUUCAUCGGUAGAGUCGGUUUCCGCGCCGGCGUGUUCGCCGGGGUAAUUCCUACCCUCUUCUGCCCGAGCGCAUCUAUCGGCUAGAACGUAAAGUUUGGCAACAUCCUUGACCUUGUUCAUUGCCAGCUCUUCACGCAUCUUGCGGUUGCGCACAUUCUGAUGGAAUGCGCUGAUCACGGUGGCAGGGUGAACAUCUGGGAUGUUGUAUUGCACUCGGCUGAACCUCUGUAUGUACUUGCGUAGGUUUUCACCUUCCUUCCGGGGAAUGAUAUGCAAAUCACUCGCUUGGGCAUGAGCUUGGUGGCCUCCCGUGAAGGCACCAACGAACUCAUGACAAAGGUCCGACCAAGAAGAAAUGGAAUCUACCGGCAAGUGCAUCAACCAAGACAUGACAUUGGGUUUCAGGGCCAACGGGGAGUAAUUGACCAGCACCUUAUCGUCGCGAGCCCGAGCGGCCAGCAUUGCGAUGGUGUAGAUGCCGGGGAACUCCGACGGGUGGGUCUUGCCGUUGUAAUUCUCGCUGACGUCGGGCUUGAACGUACGGUGGGAUGGCCACUGGAACUGUCGCAGCUCACGGGUAAAGGUCGGGCUACCCACCUCGUAAGGUAGGCCGUCGGAGCCUUCUAGAGCGUGGUGGACAAUAGCGGGCCCCGCCCUCCUGUCUAACUAGUGGCGUGUAUUGCGCCGGCGCUCGAUGGUGGUUCGAGCGUCUUCAUGGGCUCGCUCCCGAAGAACUUGGCGCUGGUCGCGGUGGGUCCAUGGGUCGGACGAUGCUAUGGAAAUAUUAUCACAAGCGUCAUCACGGCGGAUCGACACCCGCGGUGGCUGGCGUGGAGGAGGAGAGUGCACCGUGGCCGUAGCACCCCCGGCCCCUCCACUGCUGGCAUCCAGUGGUUCGAUGGAGCGCCGGCCCGAGGGCCCUGCUGGCCGUGGCUCGUCUUGAUUGGCAAUGCCGACAAGGCUCCGGAUGGUGGCCCUCCAUUCGUCGAGCUUCUCCGCAGCAGGAGGGAAGUCGAGGAGUAGCUGCGCGCGCGCCAAAGCUUCUGCUGGCGUGGGUGGCGGCAAAAGCUGCGUGGACCAUGGCGCGCUUCGACUUCUAACCGCGUUAGAAGGAGCUCUAUCACGGCCCAGCGGUUGCGUGCCGUUUUCGCCAGCACUUCGGCGGGCAUGCUGGCCUCCUUCGUCUCGCAGAUGAUGCACAUGACUCUUCCCUAGGCGGCGUCCGGGGUCCCCAGCGUGGUGGCGCUACUCGUCGCGCGCACCCUGGGAAGAGCGCGUUGUGGGCGCCGGCGUGGGCGCCUUGGAGGUUGCUGCGCCGCCCGUGGGUGGCACAGCGACACUCCUGGAGGGCCCAGGCCCGUCUUUGGAUUUGGCGGUGUGCGGCCCGUCGCCUGGCGCACGAACGACGCCGCUCGCCAGGCUCUGACUGCCAGAGCGAUGCUGGUGCUCGCGGGCUACGGCCCUGGUCCUGUCCGCGACCGGCCCGCUGCUCGCCCGUACUCGCACGGGCCGUUCGGCUCCCAACGAGCCGAUCGCCGUGAUCAUCUUCUUCUUGGGAGCCAUGGCGAUGAAGAACUGCUAGGCUAACUGCUAGACCAGAUUCUCACAACUGCACCCCCUACCUGGCGCGCCAAAGAUGUCAGUGAGAACGACACCUAUGGGAUCACCGGGAUCCCUUCUACGGUCGGCGGGCGCGGGGUCAUGAGAAGAGCAGGUUUGGGAAUAGCACACAGAUCGUUUACCCAGGUUCGGGCCGCGAGGAUGCGUAAAACCCUAGUCUUGCUUUGGUGGAUGUAUUUCAAAGUGUCCUUGAGCUCUUCAACUAGCUACGGUGCCUGCCUCGUUUCAAAGAGCUGAAUCCCUCUACCGGUCGCCUCGGGCCUCCUUUUAUAGGCAAAAGGGGUUGCCACAGUGGCACACAGAAGGUGGAAAGGCCUACAGUGCGCAAGCUUAUCACACGGCAUUACGGGACAAAGUGCAUUAAAGGCGCUACUUAGGUGUCCAUUAGCUUUAUCGGGGGCGGGAACGAGGCCCGUCCCGUCCGUCGCCACUCCGCCUCGCUUCGACACACACCCAGGCCAGCGGCGCAUGCAGCGCCAUGUAGGCAGGCAGGCUGCUGAGGUGGCACGGUGGUAGGGCCUUCACGAAGAUCUGCAUGCCACCACGCAGGUGCUUGCUGGGUUGGUGUAGAGGCCGCCAGUCGCCACGUAGGUGCCUGCCCAGUUGGUUGAGUUAGCAGGUGCAUGCGAACGGCGGCGGAGCCUUGGCUAGCGUGGGCCUGGCAGCGGCCCUGCUGAUGCCUUCGGCAAGGGUCUUGCCGGGGGCCCGGCAAGGGUCUUGCCGUGGCGUUGCAAUCGUCCCCGGCAAGGCGCUUGCUGGGGGUCUUGUGGAUUCCCUCGGCUGGGAUCCCAUCGAGGGUCGCCGUCUUCUGGUUCUCAUCUGAUCACAUGUAUUCAUGAUCUUGACAAAGAUCUGCAUGCCACCACGGAGGUGCCUCCCGAGCCCUGGUUCCAACGUAGCUGUUGUCGGCGUCCGGAACCCCUGGGCUCAAGGGUGGCUCGCUCCCCUGGUGUUGGGCGAGCAGCCCCGGCAAGGCUCUUGCCGGGGCUGCUGAGGCUGCCCCGGCAAGGGUCUUGCCGGGGGAACCUGCUUCGCCCCUCUGCUCUUUGGGUUCUUGAUCUUGGUGUUGUCUUGUUUGUGUUGGGCUUUGGCUUCUCUCAGACUUCCCUCCUCUACCCUGCUAAGUGUGGUCGUGGCGCGUGGCUCUGACUACCCGUGCACAAGUAAAGGGUCAAAAGAAGAGCCCCUACUUUUGUACACUGACAGGAGACUUUGUCAUUUAGGCUUAGACGCUUGCGGUGAUCUGCACGACAUUCAUUGUUGCGCCAGAGCACGGCAAAUCUCAUUACCUUGAGCACACUUGCCUCUAGAACAAAGAACCUGGCCAAUUUAAUCUCAGAUGUGCUACCUCGGUAGUCGAUCAAAUCAAUUUCUGUAAGAUGGAGAUCAAGGCAUUCGAUGAGAUUGUUAUAGUGCAGCACAAUUUUCAAUUUCGGGUCUUUUUUAUCUGCAAAAGAAGAGAACAUAUUAGAUCAGCUGGGUGUAUAAGAUAGCCUUGUCAUCAAGAGGUACCAAUAUCAUUCGCUCAUACAAUAGGGUUGGCUGGCUAGUGAUAUUUUUUCACUCUCUCUCUCUUUCUCUUUCCUCUCAUUUACCUAGGAGCACGUGAAGAGCUUGGGCAUUUGUUGCCUUGCACUAUGUAGCCGAUGCCAUAUUUCUCAAAAGUAUGCCACAUAAUACGCAUCCAUGUCAAAUCAAAAGAUUUUGGCACCACUCUCGCGAUGUGAGAGAGUUGGCACCGCUGUGCACACAGACCCACACGUAUAAACAAAUCAAUCAUACCAACUACACCAGCCUCUCACUCUCCCAAACUAGUUUUUUAUUGCCUCAGUCCUCUCUCUGACUCCCACGCAAGUGUUUUCUCAUUGCGUGAGUUAAUUUGGCACCGAAGCAAAGUAGGUGAUCCAGAUUGGGGCACCAGGUGAGCAAUGGAGGGGCAUCGAUGCCAAAUGCAUCACAAGUGAAUUUGGCACAUGUUUUGGCCUACAUAGUGGAGGGUCGUUAUACCCCACUUUUGUACUACCUCGUAUGUAGUGUAAAAUUUUGACCAUAGAUUUACCUAAGAAAAUGCCAAUGCAUGUCACCAAAAAUUAUACCAUUUGAAAUUAUGUUCAAAUAUGAAUCCAACGAUAUAAUUUUUAGUGACAUGCAUUAAUAUUUUGUCAGUUAAAUCUAUUGUCAAAUUUUGAUACGACAAAAUAGGAAGUGUAAACGAGGAUGGAGGUAGUACUUGCUCUUAGGGUAACAUUAGAGUUACUAGUCUAAGAUACUUUCCACCAUGACUAGCCUAGGCUACUAUAUUAGUUCUACAAAAAAAGAUGCAGGUGAUCACGUGAGAAAAAAUACUAAAAACAUUUCUUUCGGUGCAGUGUGUAGAUGCAAUUUUGAACACUACACUUGUCAUCGUAAUUUGGGAAAAUUACGGAAAAAUUGAGCUACGUUGUGAUUACCGUUUACUAAUAGGAAAGAAGUUUCACCUCGAUGAGUAGCUUCUCCGUGCACGGAAAGCAUGUAAGGAAUCCAACAACUUGAUCCAGAUUGGGGCCGAUAGAUUUUAUUGCCAAGAUCUUCACUGUGUGCAUAGACUGGGUCAAGCUUGUGGGAACCAUUUUCUAGAAGACAGUCGUAAAUACAUCAAGAAGAAAUUUAAAAAUGUGAAUUUCAAGAAGACGGGUAAGAAGAUGAGUGUUGUACCUGAAUGAAUACGGAUCCAAUAAAGAGUUCGGAGAAUAUGACAGAGGAGUACACCAACGCUAUCAAUUUCGGCGCGUCAAUGACCCUGAUUUUUGUUGGACCUUCUAGAUCACAUACAAGCAAUCUCUCAAGGAAAGAUGCAUUCUCAAUGACCAUAACGUGGAACAGCUGGAGUGAUCUCUUCCCAAUUGAUGUCUUGUUGCGGGGCCAGCAAGACACAUAAAUCCAUCGAAUAUUCGUCAAGGCGAUGUGGAGGCUAAUGAACCCGUGGAUCUGCUCAAGACGAAGGUACUCGAGCGCAGUACAGCUAUGGAGCAGGUGCUCCAUAGCCUUCUUCGAGAUGACAAAGUCGAAGAGGUCGAGCUGCUGGAGUUGAGGGAGAAGAAGGGCGGGCACGACAUUAUUCUAGGGAAGAUAGCAGGAGCUGAAGCUGGCGCGGUGCAGCGUUGGCGUGAGGCGGAGCGCGGACGGUGGCAGAUAGCAACAUCGUCUAGCUUCAAAGAUGAGCUCCUCGAGCUGGUCUAGGGCGUGGGAUAAGAACCACUCGUCGAACUUGGCUUGGACCUUGCAGUUGGUACUGAACAUGCGGUUGUCAAGGCGUCUGGCUGGCCCAGGGUGCGAUGAAAGGAUGUUGGAGACUGCGGCCAUGCGUUUGCAAUACCCGUCGCAGAGGCGGCUGUCAACGGUGAGGUUGAGGCGGACGCGGCGCCAGAGGGGACGCCACCGCCGGGAGAGCAGGGCGGUCCACACGGCAGAUUUGGUGGGGAGGAGGCCGAUGAUGACGAGCAACAUGUCGUCGGCGAGGUUGCUGAUGAAGUCCAGGCUCGCCGGAUGCGGUUUUGGCUCGAGCCGCCUCCGCUUGUUGGCUGCCUCGUCGUCCAUCUCAACCAGCGGCGACGCCGGUGUACACUUAUGCUAGUGUGUGUUGUGUGCUGGCCUGUUGGGUGUGCGCGAGUGCGUCCUUCUGUGCAUGCCGCCGUGCAGUGGUGGAUUGUGCGCGAGUGCAUCCUUCACGCAGAAGAAGUGUGCCCUCAAUUUACUAGCGUGCGGGGUACUACCCCAAGUGGUUUCAACUUUGUUUACUUCACCACGUGUCAGAUGGGCCUCUAGUUUACUUAUUUUCACCCACUGCCACAUGGGCCAGCACACGAAGAUAGAGAACACGAGCUGACAAGGCAGCAUGUGGACUGGUUGACCGGUCAACUAAACAAUAUACAGAGCUAUACGCUGACACAGUGACCGUAUAAUCCGUUAGUAUAGAGAGUUCGAGUGAGAGGGGAGGCCCGUGAGAGAUAGUAGAGAGAGAGAGAGAAAGAGCUACUCCCUCUGUUCGAUAAUUUAGUGCCAACAUUUUUUUAAAGUCAAACUUUUGAAACUUUGACCAAGUUUAUAAAGAAAUUAGUUAUAUCUACAAUACCAAAGAUAAAUGAUAGUAUGAAGUAAGUACAUGUUGUGAUGAAUCUAAUGAUUGUUCCAGAUGUAAAUGCUUUUCUCCACAUAUACCUGGUCAAACUUUUCUGAGGUUUGACUUUUCAAAAUAUCCAUAUGCUUAUGGACGUGAGAGAGUACCUAACUAGAGAGAGUGUGUGUGAAAUAGAAAGAGUGGCUGAAAAAAGUGUGUGUUUAUGUGUGAAAGAGACAUGGACAACAAAUGAUAAAAGUAGAGAAAAAGUGUGUGUGUGUCUUAUGCAAACAUAUCACACAUGCAUCUUCGACAGCGGAAGCAAGGUGAGGAGAUAGUGUGUGGUUGUUUGCAACUGAGACAGAAAGACCCCUAGCACGUGGCCAAGAGGGGUCUGACAAACAAGGGAGAGAGGUCGAGAGAGACGUACAGAGAAAAUGCAGACAUGGGGAGGAGAGAGUGUAUGCUUGUCAUAGAGAGAUCCCCUGGAGAUCGUGAUGGGACUAAAUGGGUGGGAGAUCUAGUGACAAGGUGUGUGCGCGAUAGAAGAUACCCCAAGAGAUAUCGAGAUAGACGUAUGGAUGGAAGGAGGCAAUACGUGUGUUCCUGAUGGCUAGUGAGAGAUAAUCAUACUUAGGUGGGCAGUGCGUGCGCCUAUGAUGGAGUGAGGGAUUAUGUUACUUAGGGGGUGCGUGUCACAUAGAGAGAGCACAAGGGCGGAGAGUGUUAGAUGGGUCUAUGUAGCGCGAGCGAGACAUGUGUAUGUGUGAACCAUGGAGAUAUAAAGUUUGAGAGAGAUAGAGGAGCCCCGAUAAGGCUGAGUGGUGCGUCAGAUGGCUAAGAGGGCAAAAGAGAUAUUCCAUCCGCUCGAUAAUGCAGUGCAUAUAAAUUUUUUAGAGUCGAACUUUGGAAACUUUGACCAGGUUUACGCAAAUUUUAAUUAUAUCUACAAUACCAAAGAUACAUCAUACGAAACUACAUCCCAUGAUGAAUCUAAUGGUAUAUGUUUGUCGUUCUAGAUGUAAAAAAAUUUCUCCACGUACAUGGUCAAACAUUGUGAUGUUUUUGACUUUUCAAUAAAUCUAUAUGCUAUGGACUGAAGAGAGUGCCUAAGUCGAGAGAGAUCAAGUGUGUGUGAAGGAGAAUGAGUGAGUGUGCAAAAAGAGUAUGUGUGUGAAAGAGAAAGGGACAACAAAUGAUAAAUUAGAGAGAGAGUGUGUGUUUGUUUGUUUCUUAUGCAAACAUAUCACACAUGCAUCUCCGAGAUAGAGAAGCGAGGUGAGGAGAUACACGAAGAUAGCUAGUGCGUGAUUGUUUGCAACGGAGAGAGACACCCAUAUAGCACAUGUCGAAUAGAGGUCUGGCCAACAAGGAACAAAGGUCGAGAGGGAUGCAUGGAGAACAUGGACGCAUCACUACAAAAAAAUUGAAACUUCCGUCAUGAUACGUGUUUGUCACAGUAGGUCACGUUUUCUAUCAUGCAUGUACAUCCAUGACGAUUUUAUGAUAGAAUCAAGAUAGUCAUACCCGUGCUGUCGUAGAAGUGUUCCAUGACAUUACCAAAAUUAUCAUCACGGAAGUGUCCACUUCCAUGAUGAUAAAUCGCGCAUCACAGAAGUGCUUUCGUCAAGGGUCACCGACACGUGGCAUCCACCAUAACGGGUCGCCGUUAAGCAAUCGGGUCCGGUUUUGGAUCCGGUAACCCGUUAACAGCCCGGACCAAUGGGAAAUAUCCACGUGUAAAAUUCUGAUUGGCCGAAGGAAACACGUGUCAGCUCAUCAGUGGGUCAGAUAGGCGCAUAUGAUAUGUCAACACGUGCGACGGCCCACGAUUGGCCCAUUUAGCUUACAAAGGCCGGCCUGUUUUACUUGCUCAAAACUUAGCGGGCUGGCCCAUGAAAAGCCUACCCGAAAUCGGCCCAACAAUGUCAUGUGGGCUGUCAAAUAUAACACCAGCCCGUUUCACUUUCAGGCCAUGUAUGGCCCACUACGUCUUUCGGCCCAUAUGAGGCCUUCGUAUCUUUAGGCCCUUUAGAGACCCACGGUGACUCUAGCCCAUAAUGAACAGUAAAUUUCUUUGUACCCAUUAACGGCCCAUGAUUCACAUGGGUCGUUUCCAGCCCGUGUUAGCUUUCGGCCUACUGACGGCCCAUACGUUCUUGGGCUCCUUUCCUGCCCUCGAUUACUUCCGGCCCGUCCUAUAUUCUGGCCCAUUAAUGACCCGUUAUGCCUAUGGCAGAAUUAAGCCUUUGCUGUCCUCCGGCCUGUUAACGGCCCAUUACCGUGCUGGGCCAUUACCAAUUAUGCCUGUUUACGACCCAUGUUGACCCAUUUAUCCGAUGGCCCGAGGCCCACCGAUUCUAUGGCCCUGUUGGAGGCCCAUUUAUCUACGGCCCAUAGGAGGCCCAUGGAUCCUUCUGCCUGUAGGAGGCCCAUGGAUCCUACGGCCCGUAGCAGGGUCAAGGUUACCAUGGUCCGUAUAUGGCCCAUGGUUGUUGUGGCCACUAGCAGCAAACCAGGGAAAAAGAAAACUAAGAAAUAAAUAAGCUGAAACUAACGCUAGGGUAUUAAGGCGAUUGCACACAUUACAUCCACUGGGCAUCAAAGAUCGCCACCAGUGCAAAUAUAGGGAACACCCUACACUAUACAAAAAUGGCUUGCUAUUUUCUUCAGCCGGUGGCUGCACGUUAAGAACAAAUUUUUUAUCGCAACAAAACAAAUUACAACUAUAAAACAAAAGGAAGGUUGGCAUAAAAGUUAACAGUCAGGCAGAUAAAUGCACCACCAGAAAUUCAGAAGCUCAGUUCAUUUGACCUGACUGUUACCUUUUCAUGCUGUAUUGUCCGAUGGAGCACCAUAACCUUCGCCUUCAUUUCUCCUAGGCUCCUGAACAACAUAUCAAAUGUCUGAUAGUCCGGUUUCAAAACCAUGCAUAUCUUGACGACAUCGAACAAUGUCUGUCCUUGUUUCACAAAGGGUCUUUGUUAGGGAAUGGACUUGUGUCUGGAACGCAGAUAUAACAUUGUUUUGAGCUUGCAUAUCUUGAUCAUGAGGCAGGUUGGACGAGAUUGCCUUAACAACCAACCCAGUAUUACGCGGGAACGUGCUUUUGGUACUGUUAGUGGACAGGUACUGACCCACUGCAUCAAGAGCUGACAUUGCGGUUAUAGUUGCCUCGCCACCUUCAAAAGAUGGCGGUUCCACCAUUUUUUCCAUAGCUUGCUAAAAAGUUGAGUUUUUACAUUAGUAGUACCAGAACUAAAGAUAUUAAGGAGGCAGCAAAACCAAACAAAAUAGCUUUGGUCUAUAUACAGAACUUAUUCUGGUGAACCCAUGUAAAAUAUUAGUAGUAUUUUACUGCAAAGUACAUAAUAAAACCAGGUUCCAAACAUAUGACCAUGUACCAUGGCUAAUGUAUUGUCUAUUUCUUCACAUUGUAUUGACAACUAAGGAUAAAGAGACAAAGUUUAUAAUACGGUAAGCAUAGUAUGACAUCAUUCAUAUCACAAAACAACUGAGAACAGACAAACAGGCAAUUGUAACGUUGUGUGGGCAAGUCGAGCACAGAACUAGAUUACAGGUCAAGAUCAAAGGAACAUCACUCCUCUCUUUUAAACCUUGUAAGGUGCAAUGAUACGCUAAGAUAAUUGUGUAUAAAAUUUAAAAGAGUAAUAGACAUUGGCUGCAAACCAUGCAGUUCAAGGCACGAGUCAGAGUAAGUAGUAGUUAAAAGGCAUGAGGAUUAAGGAAUUACAACAGCGGCUUUGACUGGUGUAGUCAUGCCCUUCGUCUUGCUGGUGUGACAGUCCUUGAAGAUUUCCACAACAUUUGGUUCAUGUACUUUUGGUCCUUGCGGGCUUUCCUCUGCAUUUGGAACAAGUCAAUAUAGAUCUGAUAAUAUAGUAGAGCAAAAAGAGUGAAACAACAGCUAAUUACAAGAGCCUCGCAGUGUGCAAUAUAGCUACGAGAUCCUGUCGUCUGUUGAAAUUUCACUUUCGUAUAGUUCGCCUUGUUCUUCGAACAGUUCACCUACAAGAAGAUAGAUUUGUGUGGCACAUAUGUAAAUAGGACUUCAACAUGUGAUCUGAUCACAUAUAUAUAAUGUACCUGAUACUUUGGAUCAGACCAGUGUUUAACGAGGCCUCUCCAGUCUUAAUCCGAUAUAUUUUCCACUUGAGAUUUUGGGCAAGUUCACUGUUAGCCUUGCCUUCAAAGUGAGUUUUCCUCAAGUUAUAUCAAUACAGUCGCAAAGCAGACUUGAAAACAUGGGUGCAAGCUUGUCUGGUUGCAUCAUCUUGGCUAUGCAACUUGAACCUCAUCUAUUGUAAAAUAUGGGAGUCUCAUUAUCAGCAACCUAGAAAGUAUGGGACAAAGCAAGACGAUAUUACUAGUUUCCAUAAAUAACCAUACUUAUAGAUAAAUGGUUGAGGAAGGUGUUGAACUGGGUUUCGUUUUUGUCAUUCCUGUACUGAUCCAUGUUGGGAGGAUACGUACAUGACACCUAACAGCAACCGCUGCCUCUGAUACUAACUUGGCUGACUCUGUAGCAUCACGUGGCCUUUUUAAACCUGCCUCAAAAUGGAUCUUCAUUCUUCCUCCUCUAGAUUUAGUUAACCUAUCGAGCAUUAUCCCUGAUGUGUGUUUCCUCUUGCGCCUAGGUGCUAGUCCAACAACGAACAUAGGAAGUGUUAGUGUACAUCAAACUCUGAGACUACAUAUAAAGAAGCAUGCUGUUGGGGAACGUAGCAAUAAUUCAAAAUUUUCCUACGUGUCACCAAGAUCAAUCCAGGAGAUGCUAGCAACGAGAGAGAGGGAGUGCAUCUUCAUACCCUUGAAGAUCGCUAAGCGGAAGAGUUACAAGAACGCGGUUGAUGGAGUCGUACUCGCGGCAAUUCAAAUCGCAAAAGAUCCGAUCUAGCGCCAAACGGACGGCGCCUCCGCGUUCAACACACGUACAGCCCGGGGACGUCUCCUCCUUCUUGAUCCAGCAAGGGGAGAGGAGAAGUUGAGGGAGGACUCUGGCAGCAUGACGACGUGGUGGCGAUGGAGCUCGUGGUUCUCCGGCAGGGCUUUGCCAAGCACUACGGAGGAGGAGGAGGAGUUGGAGGAGGAGAGGGCUGCGCCAGGCCAGGGGUGCGGCUGCCCUCUCUCUCCCUCACUAUAUAUAGGGGGAAGGGGGUGGAGGAGGCGCCCUAGGGUUCCCUAGGGGAGUGGCGGCGGCCACAGGGGAAACCCUAGAUGGGUUUGGGCGCCCCCACCCCUGGGAAACUUGCCCCCCAAGCCGGGAGGGGUGGCUGCCCUAGGGGAGGCGACCCCACCUCUCCACGUUACAUGAGAGGGGUUGGGAGGGGCGCACAGCCCCUUAGUGGGCUGGCGUGCCCCUUCCCCUUGGCCCAUAAGCCCCCCCCCAACGCUUGCCGGGGCCUCCGAAACACCUUUCGGUCACGCUGGUCGUCACCCUGUACUCCCGGAACAAUUUCGGACUCCAAUACCCUUCGUCCAAUAUAUCGAUCUUCACCUGCGGACUAUUCUGGAGUUCCUCGUCACAUCCAGGAUCUCAUCCGGGACUCCGAACAACCUUCGGUAACCACAUACUAUUUGCCAUAACAACUCUAGCGUCACCGAACCUUAAGUGUGUAGACCCUACGGGUUCGGGAACCAUGCAGACAUGACCGAGACACCUCUCCGGCCAAUAACCAAUAGCGGGAUCUGGAUACCCAUAUUGGCUCCCACAUGUUCCACGAUGAUCUCAUCGGAUGAACCACGAUGUCGGGGAUUCAAUCAAUCCCGUAUACAAUUCCCUUUGUCUAUCGGUAUGUUACUUGCCCGAGAUUCGAUCGUCGGUAUCCCAAUACCUCGUUCAAUCUCGUUAUCGACAAGUCUCUUUACUCAUUUCGUAACGCAUGAUCCCGUGGCUAACUCAUUAGUCACAUUGAGCUCAUUAUGAUGAUGCAUUACCGAGUGGGCCCAGAGAUACCUCUCCGUCAUACGAAGUGACAAAUCCCAGUCUCGAUGCGUGCCAACCCAACAGACACUUUUGGAGAUACCUGUAGUGCACCUUUAUAGCCACCCAGUUACGUUGUGACGUUUGGUACACCCAAAGCAUUCCUACGGUAUCCGGGAGUUGCACAAUCUCAUGGUCUAAGGAAAUGAUACUUGACAUUAGAAAAGCUCUUAGCAAACGAACUACACGAUCUUGUGCUAUGCUUAGGAUUGGGUCUUGUCCAUCACAUCAUUCUCCUAAUGAUGUGAUCCUGUUAUCAACGACAUCCAAUGUCCAUGGCCAGGAAACCAUGACCAUCUAUUGAUCAACGAGCUAGUCAACUAGAGGCUUACUAGGGACAUGUUGUGGUCUAUGCAUUCACACAUGUAUUACGGUUUCCAGUUAAUACAAUUAUAGCAUGAAAAAUAGACACUUAUCAUGAACAAGGAAAUACAAUAAUAACCAUUUUAUUAUUGCCUCUAGGGUAUAUUUCCAACAGUCUCCCACUUGCACUAGAGUCAAUAAUCUAGUUCACAUCACUAUGUGAUUGUAAUGAAUCCAACACCCAUGGGGUUUGUUCAUAUCUCGCUUGUGAGAGAGGUUAUUAGUCAACGGGUCUGAACCUUUCAGAUCCGUGUGUGCUCUACAAAUCUCUAUGUCAUCUUGUAGAUGCAGCUACCACGCGCUACUUGGAGCUAUUCCAAAUAACUGCUCUACUAUACGAAUCCAGUUCACUACUCAGAGUCAUCCAAAUUAGUGUCAAAGUUUGCAUCGACGUAACCCCUUACGACGAACUCUUUUACCACCUCCAUAAUCGAGAAAAUUCCUUAGUCCAUAAGUUACUAAGGAUAAGUUCGACCGCUGUCAUGUGAUCCAUUCCUGGAUCACUAUUGUACCCCUCGACUAACUCAUGGCAAGGCACGCUUCAGGUGCGGUAUACAGCAUAGUAUACUGUAGAGCCUACGUCUAAAGCAUAGGGGACGACCUUCGUCCUUUCCCUCUCUUCUGCCGUGGUCAGGUCUUGAGUCUUACUCAAUACUCACACCUUGUAACACAGCCAAGAACUCCUUCUUUGCUGAUCUAUUUUGAACUCCUUCAAAAUCUUGUCACAGUAUGUAUUCAUUUGAAAGUACUAUUAAGCGUUUUUUAUCUAUCCUUAUAAAUCUUAAUGCUCAAUGUUCAAGUAGCUUAAUCCAGGUUUUCCAUCGAAAAACACUUUUCAAAUAACCCUGUAUGCUUUCCAGAAAUUCUACAUCAUUUCUGAUCAACAAUAUGUUAACAACAUAUACUCAUCAAAAAUCUAUAGUGCUCCCACUCACUUCUUUGGAAAUACAAGUUUCUCAUAAACUUUGUAAAAACCCAAAAUCUUUGAUCAUCUCAUCAAAGCGUACAUUCCAACUCCGAGAUGCUUACUCCAGUCCUUAGAAGGAUUGUUGGAGCUUUGCAUACUUGUUAGCAUCUUUCAGGAUUGACAAAACCUUCUGGUUGUAUCACAUACAACCUUUCCUCAAGAAAAUCGUCGAGGAAACAAUGUUGUGACAUCCUAUCUGCAAGAUUUCAUAAAUAAUGCAAUAACUGCUAAUAUAAUUCCAACAGACUCUUAGCAUCGCUACGAGUGAGAAAGUCUCAUCGCAGUCAACUCCUUGAACUUGUCGGAAAACAUCUUAACGACAAGUCGAGCUUUCUUAAUGGUGACACUUACCAUCAUUGUCCGUCUUCCUUUUAAAAUCCAUCUGCACCCAACAGCCUUACGACCAUCAAGUAGUUCUUCCAAAGUCUAUACUUUGUUUUUAUACAUGGAUCCUCUCUCGGAUUUUAUGGCCUCGAGCCAUUCGUCGGAAUCUGGGCCCACCAUCGCUUCUCCAUAGCUCGUAGGAUCAUUGUUGUCUAGCAACAUGACUUCCAAGACAGGAUUACGAACCACUCUGAAGUAGUAUGCAUCCUUGUCGACCUACGAGGUUUGGUAGUGACUUGAUCCGAAGUAUCAUGAUCACUCUCAUAAGCUUCCACUUCAAUUGGUGUAGGUGCCGCAGGAACAACUUCCUGUGCCCUGCUACACACUAGUUGAAGUGACGGUUCAAUAACCUCAUCAAGUCUCCACCAUCCUCCCACUCAAUUCUUUCGAGAGAAACUUUUCCUCGAGAAAGGAGCCGUUUCUGGAAACAAACACUUUUGCUUCCAGAUCUGAAAUAGGAGGUAUACCCAACUGUUUUGGGUAUUCUAUGAAGAUGCAUUUAUCCGCUUUGGGUUCGAGCUUAUCAGCCUGAAACUUUUUCACAUAAGCAUCGCAGCCCCAAACUUUUAAGAAACGACAGCUUAGGUUUCUCUAAACCAUAGUUCAUACGGUGUCAUCUCAACGGAAUUGCGUGGUGCCCUAUUUAAAGUGAAUGCGGUUGUCUCUAAUGUCCAGCCCAUAAAUGAUAGCGGUAAUUCGAUAAGAGACAUCAUGGUAUGCACCAUAUCCAAUAGGGUGCAGUUAUGAUGUUCGGACACACCAUCACACUAUGGUGUUCCAGGCGGUAUUAGUUGUGAAACAAUUUCCACAAUGUCUUAAUUGUGUGCCACACUCGUAACUCAGAUAUUCAUCUAUGAUCAUAUCACAGACAUUUUAUCCUCUUGUCACGACGAUCUUCAACUUCACUCUGAAAUUACUUGAACCUUUCAAUAAUUCAGACUUGUGUUUCAUCAAGUAAAUAUACUGAGCAUCUACUCAAAUCAUCUGUGAAGUAAGAACAUAACGAUAUCCAUUGCGUGCCUCAGCACUCAUUGGACUGCACACAUCAAAAUGUAUUACUUCCAACAAGUUGCUUUCUUGUUCCAUCUUACUGAAAAUGAGGCCUUUCAGUCAUCUUGCCCAUGUGUUAUGAUUUGCAUGUCUCAAGUGAUUCAAAAUCAAGUGAGUCCAAACGAUCCAACUGUAUGGAGUUUCUUCAUGCAUAUCUACCAAUAGACAUGGUUCGCAUGUCUCAAUCUUUUAAAAAACGAGUGAGUCCAAAGAUCAAUCAACAUGGAGCUUCUUCAUGCGUUUUAUACCAAUAUGACUCAAAUGGUAGUGCCACAAGUAUGUGGUACUAUCAUUACUAUCUUAUAUUGUUUGGCAUGAACAUGUGUAUCACUACGAUCGAGAUUCAAUAAACCAUUCAUUUUACGUGCAAGACCAUUGAAGGUAUUAUUCAAAUAGAUAGAGUAACCAUUAUUCUCCUUAAAUGAAUAACCGUAUUGCGAUAAACAUAAUCCAAUCAUGUCUAUGCUCAACGCAAACACCAAAUAACAAUUAUUUAGGUUUAACACCAAUCUCGAUGGUAGAGGGAGCAUGCGAUGCUUGAUCACAUCAACCUUGGAAACACUUCCAACACAUAUCGUCAUCUCACCUUUAGCUAGUCUUCAUUUAUUCUGUAGCCUUUUAUUUCGAGUUACCAACACUUAGCAACUGAACCGGUAUCUAAUACCCUGGUGCUACUAGGAGUACUAGUAAAGUACACAUUAAUAUAAUGUAUAUCCAAUAUACUUUUGUCGACCUUGCCUGCCUUCUCAUCUACCAAGUAUCUAGGGUAGUUCUACUUCAGUGACUGUUCCCCUCAUUACAGAAGCACUUAGUCUCGGGUUUGGGUUCAACCUUGGGUUUCUUCACUAGAGCAGCAACUGAUUUGCCGUUUCAUGAAGUAUCCCUUCUUUCCCUUGCCCUUCUUGAAACUAGUGGUUUUACUAACCAUCAACAAUUGAUGCUCCUACUUGAUUUCUACUUUCGCGGUGUAAAACAUCAUGCGUUUCUCAAGGAUCAUCAUGUCUAUCCCUGAUAUGUUAUAGUUCAUCACGAAGGUCUAAUAGCCUGGUGGCAGUGACUAUGGAGAACCAUCACUAUCUCGUCUGGAAGAUUAACUCCCACUCAAUUCAAGCGAUUGUAGUACUCAGACAACACAUGCUCAACUAUUGAGCUUUUUUCCCUUAGUUUGCAGGCUUAAGAAACUUGUCAGAGGUCUCAUACCUCUUGACGUGGGCACUAGUCUGAAAUCCCAAUUUCAAUCUUUGGAACAUCUCAUAUGUUCUGUGACGUUUCAAAACGUCUUUGGCGCCUCAAUUCUAAACCAUUAGCAUUACGCACUGAACUAUCACGUAGUCAUCAAAACGUGUAUGUCAGAUGUUCGCAACAUCCACAGACGACGCUCGAGGUUCACACACCGAGCGGUGCAUUAAGGACAUAAGCCUUCUGCGUAGCAAUGAGGAUAAUCCUCAGUUUACGGACCCAGUCCGCAUAAUUUGUACUAUCAACUUUCAAAUAAUUUUUCUCUAGGAACAUAUCUUAAAUAGUAGAACCAAAGCGUAAGCUAUGACAUAAUUUGCAAAGACCUUUUGACUAUGUUCAUGAUAAUUAAGUUUAUCUGAUUAUUUAAUGAACUCCCACUUAGAUAGACAUCCCUCUAGUCAUCUAUGUGAUACAUGAUCCGAAUCGACUAGACCGUGUCCGAUCAUCACGUGAGACGGACUAGUCAUCAACGGUGAACAUCUCCAUGUUGAUCGCAUCUGCUAUACGACUCAUGUUCGACCUUUCGGUCUUCCGUGUUCCGAGGCCAUGUCUGUACAUGCUAGGCUCGUCAAGUCAACCUAAGUGUAUUGCGUGUGUAAAUCUGGCUUACACCCGUUGUAUGCGAAUGUUAGAACCUAUCACACCCAAUCAUCACGUGGUGCUUCGGAACAACGAACCUUCGCAACGGUGCACAGUUAGGGGGAACACAUUCUUGAAAUUUUAGAGAGGGAUCAUCUUAUUUAUGCUACCGUCGUUCUAAGCAAAUAAGAUGUAAACAUGACAGACAUCACAUGCAAAUCAUAAAGUGACAUGAUAUGGCCAAUAUCAUCUUGCGCCUUUUGAUCUCCAUCUUCGAGGCGCGGCAUGAUCACCUUCGUCACCGGCAUGACACCAUGAUCUCCAUAAUCAUGAUCUCCAUCAUCGUGUCUUCAUGAAGUUGUCUCGCCAACUAUUACUUCUACUACUAUGGCUAACGGUUAGCAAUAAAGUAAAGUAAUUACAUGGCAUUUUUCAUUGACACGCAGGUCAUACAAUAAAUUAAGACAACUCCUAUGGCUCCUGCCGGUUGUCAUACCCAUCGACAUGCAAGUCGUGAUUCCUAUUACAAGAACAUGAUCAAUCUCAUACAUCACAGAUAUAUAAUUCAUCACAUCCUUUUGGCCAUAUCACAUCACAUAGCAUACCCUGCAAAAACAAGUUAGACGUCCUCUAAUUGUUGUUGCAUGUUUUACGUGGCUGCUAUGGGUUUCUAGCAAGAACGUUUCUUACCUACACAAAAGCCACAACGGUGAUAUUCCAAUUGCUAUUUACCCUUCAUAAGGACCCUCUUCAUCGAAUCCGAUCCGACUAAAGUGGGAUAGACAGACACCCGCUAGCCACCUUAUGCAUCAAGUGCAUGUCACUCGGUGGAGCCUGUCUCACGUAAGAGUACGUGUAAGGUUGGUCCAGGCCGCUUCAUCCCACACUACCGCCGAAUCAAGAUAAGACUAGUAACGGUAAGCAAAUUGAACAAAUCAUCGCCCACAACUACUUUGUGUUCUACUCGUGCAUAGAAUCUACGCAUAGACCUAGCCCAUGAUGCCAUUGUUGGGGAACGUAGCAAUAAUUCAAAAAAUUUCCUACGUGUCACUAAGAUCAAUCUAGGAGAUGCUAGCAACGAGAGAGAGGGAGUGCAUCUUCAUACCCUUGAAGAUCGCUAAGCGGAAGCGUUACAAGAACGCGGUUGAUGGAGUCGUACUCGCGGCGAUUCAGAUCGCGGAAGAUCCGAUCUAGCGCCGAACGGACGGCGCCUCCGCGUUCAACACACGUACAGCUCGGGGACGUCUCCUCCUUCUUGAUCCAGCAAGGGGAGAGAAGAAGUUGAGGGAGGACUCCGGCAGCACGACGGCGUGGUGGUGAUGGAGCUCGUGGUUCUCCGGCAGGGCUUCGCCAAGCACUACAGAGGAGGAGGAGGAGUUGGAGGAGGAGAGGGCUGCGCCUGGCCAGGGGUGCGGCUGUCCUCUCUCUCCCUCACUAUAUAUAGGGGGAAGGGGGUGGAGGAGGCGCCCUAGGGUUCCCUAGGGGAGGGGCGGCGGCCACAGGGGAAACCCUAGAUGGGUUUGGGCGCCCCCAGCCCUGGGAAACUUGCCCCCCAAGCCGGGAGGGGUGGCUGCCCUAGGGGAGGCGCCCCCACCUCUCCACGUUACGUGAGAGGGGUUGGGAGGGGAGCACAUUCCCUUAGUGGGCCGGUGUGCCCCCUCCCCUUGGCCCAUAAGGCCCCCAACGUUUGCCGGGGCCUCCGAAACACCUUUCGGUCCUGGUCGUCACCCGGUACUCCCGGAACAAUUCGGGACUCCAAUACCCUUCGUCCAAUAUAUCGAUCUUCACCUCCGGACCAUUCCGGAGUUCCUGGUCACGUCCGGGAUCUCAUCCAGGACUCCGAACAACCUUCGGUAACCACAUACUAUUUGCCAUAACAACUCUAGCGUCACCCAACCUUAAGUGUGUAGACCCUACGGGUUCGGGAACCAUGCAGACAUGACCGAGACACCUCUCCGGCCAAUAACCAAUAGCGGGAUCUGGAUACCCAUAUUGGCUCCCACAUGUUCCACGAUGAUCUCAUCGGAUGAACCACAAUGUCGGGGAUUCAAUCAAUCCCGUAUACAAUUCCCUUUGUCUAUCGGUAUGUUACUUGCCCGAGAUUCGGUCGUCGGUAUCCCAAUACGUCGUUCAAUCUCGUUACCGGCAAGUCUCUUUACUCGUUCCGUAACGCAUGAUCCCGUGGCUAACUCAUUAGUCACAUUGAGCUCAUUAUGAUGAUGCAUUACCGAGUGGGCCCACAGAUACCUCUCCGUCAUACGGAGUGACAAAUCCCAGUCUCGAUUCAUGCCAACCCAACAGACACUUUUGGAGAUACCUGUAGUGCACCUUUAUAGCCACCCAGUUACGUUGUGAUGUUUGGUACACCCAAAGCAUUCCUACGGUAUCCGGGAGUUGCACAAUCUCAUGGUCUAAGGAAAUGAUACUUGACAUUAGAAAAGCUCUUAGCAAACGAACUACACGAUCUUGUGCUAUGCUUAGGAUUGGGUCUUGUCCAUCACAUCAUUCUCCUAAUGAUGUGAUCCCGUUAUCAACGAGAUCCAAUGUCCAUGGCCAGGAAACCAUGACCAUCUAUUGAUCAACGAGCUAGUCAACUAGAGGCUUACUAGGGACAUGUUCUAUGUAUUCACACAUGUAUUACGGUUUCCAAUUAAUACAAUUAUAGCAUGAACAAUAGACACUUGUCAUGAACAAGGAAAUACAAUAAUAACCAUUUUAUUAUUGCCUCUAGGGCAUAUUUCCAACACAUGCAACUAUAACUUGACUCCAGCAACUACCUUCUUCCUGUUGAAGCUCACAAAGUUAAUCUGAUCUUGCCAACUCAUCUUUGGUCAAGAGUGCUUCGUAAGUAGUGUCAGGUGGCAAGGGAGCUUGGGAACGUGCUGCUAGCUGAGUUGACCAAUUAGUAAAUCGUGCAGCUGGUGGAACGUGUUGCAACAACUAGGGAUGUCUCUGGUUGUUUGGUGGCAGCUAUUUGUUUCUGUUUGGCUUGUUCUGCAACUCGUGUAGCACGGGAUACCCUGUUUUUACAAUUUUUUGCUGGACUCUGACCUUCUAUUGCACCAUCAGUACCACCAGAAUCUGCAGGAUUCUUCCGCUUCCCGUUCCCUGUCAAUCUGUGUUGCUCCCUCUUUCUCUGUGCCAUGUUAAGUCUAGUCGACAAGAAAAACAAAUAACAAUUUAGUUCUUUAGAACAAAUUGAUGCGUGAUACAGACGAACUGAACUUUGAUGUUAGACAACCACAUGAUAGGAGGAUGUAAUAUGUACGAAAAACAGGACGGCAUGAGAUAACUAGAACUAUGAUGUGUAAACUAAGCAGAAGACAUUUCACUAAAUUAGAAGCAAUGCAAUGGAAGGUAGACACCAUAUGAAAGAUGCUAUAAAUAUCUCUCUGCCAAGUUAACAGUGUCUCAUCAUAACUGGCGUUUAAACAAAUGUGAAGCAGUACAAGAAAUAAAUCAUAUGCAAGAUGCAAACAACAUCACACUACCAAGUUAAAGGUCUCUCGUCAUUAGUGCCAUUGCAUAUUCACAGCAUUGCAUAUUCACAGCGUAUGAUGUGUAAAAUAAGGAGAAGGCAUUUCAAUAAAUUAGAAGCAAUGAAAUCUAGACACCGUAUGAAAGAUGCAACAAAUAUCACUCUGCCAAGUUAAAACUGUCGCGUCAUAAGUGCCAUUUCAACAAAUUAGAACUAGUACAAGCUAGAAAAGAAUGCGAGAUGUAACCUAUAUCACACUCCCAAGUCAAAUGUGUCUUAUGAUAAGUGAUUGGUGCAGGUUACACAACAGUAGUACUUUGAUGUAAGAACAUGGUGUGGUAGACAGAUAUUGUAUGUUCUAGAAAUAGGAACACGUGUCUUAUUCACAAGUAUAAUGUGUAAAGUAAGCAGAUGGAACUCAACAAAAUUAGAAAUAAUACAAGCUAGACAUCGUACAUAACAUGCAACCACAUAUAACAAUGCCAAGUUAGAGGGAGCACCUGUGAUGGUGCACUAGGGGAGGCGUGCUCAUCAGCAACACAACUACGUUGAGUGGCUAUGCAUGUGUUGUCUUCGAAAUCAUCUUGGGGGGAUGGAGAACUAGAAUCUGUAGAGGCCGUCAGUUUGGAAGGAGCACCUUUAUCCGCUGCCUUGAUAACUUCCUUCCGGUUUAUUGUUUUUGAAUUGUCAAGUAAAACCGAAAAGAAAAAACAAUAAAAUUCACUCUUCAGAACUCAUUCGUGCAUGAUACUGACAAUCACUACUUUGAUGUAAGGCAAACACAUGAUACCAGGAUGGAAUAUGUACGAAAAACAGGACGACAUGGCAUAUAUUCACAACUGUUUGUGUAAACUAAGCAGAAACCAUUUCAACAAAUUAGAAGCAAUGCAAGAUAAACACCACAUGAAAGAUGCAACCAAUAUGACUCUGCCAAGUUAAAAGCGUCUUAUCAUAAAUGGCAUUUCAACAAUUUAGAAGCAGCGCAUGCUAUAAAUCAUUUGAAAGAUGCAACUAAUAUCACACUGCAUAUACUAAAGGUGUCUCGUCGUAUUGAUUUAUGCGGGAUACAAAAAACAAUAGUUUUAUGUAAGGACAUGCUUAAUAGACAGAUGUACUAUGUUCUAAAAACAGGAAGGAAUGUCACAUUAACAGGUAUAAUGUAUAAACUAAGCAGAAUAGCACAUGCAAUUUAACCAGAUUGGAAGAAUUACAAUCUAGACACCAUAUGCAUCAUGCAACCACAUAUCACACUGCCAAGUUAGAGCAAGCACAUGUGAUGCUAGUGUAGGGGAAGUGCGGUAAUCAACUACAGAUCUACGUUCACUAUCUUCAUCUGGCCUUGCUGUUUCUUGAGAAUCAUGUCGGGAGGCUGACACUGCAUUCUUUAAAUGAGGAUCUUUACUCAUAGUAGUCCAUUGGCCUGAUUGCCUCAUCAUAAGUGAUUGAUGAGGGAUACACAAGAACAUUAGUUUGAUGUAAGAACAUGGUUAAUAGACAGAUGUACUAGUAUGUACCAAAAAUAGGAAGGCAUGCCAUAUUCAAAGGUAUAAUGUGUAAGCUAAGCAGAUGCAAUUUAACCAAAUUGGAAGCAAUACAAGCUAGACAUCCGGUUGGAGUGGUGAGCAUGAUCAUCUAGGACCUGAGGGCCUGGUGGGAGGCGGGCUGCUUCGCCACCAUCGUGGCUUUUUAGUUGGCUUCCAGGUGAUGCCUAUCUGUGCUGGGAUUGUCACUGGCUCGGCCAGUGCCCUGACUAGCUAUUUCCUUAUCCUAAUAAAGACCGACUUCGGCCUUUCGAAUACAAGCAAGACACCAUAUGCAACAGGCAACCAGAUAUGGCACCGUGAAGUUAAAGCAAGCACCUGGGAUGGUGGUUCACUGCGAGGGAGGUCAUCAACUCCAGAGCUACGUUUACCGUCUCCAUCUACUGACACGGCACCUAUUAUAAGGCCGAAAUGUGUAUGGCCUAUCCGCGUACGACGCUGGAGCAACUUCUCUCUUUUCUUUUUUUGCUUCUCUCAUAGCAGCAGAGUCUGAAAUACCCUUGGAUAAAAACACAAUAGUGAGAGUAUGGGUGAAGUGUGUGCAGAACUAGUGCACUGUAAAAGUAGCAGAUAGCAGGUGGCUGAAAAAUAAAUGAUAGGAGACAUAUGAUAGCUCUACAACAUUGCAUGGCAAACCAAAUUAGAUUCUACUCCGUAUGAUUUUGUAAUAUAUGAGCACAGGAAAUGCAGGUACUCCACCAGCACACCACCACAUGUGGUCCUAUCAAGAUAAUAGUCGACUGAAAAUAGGUCAGUCGAUUUUUUUAUGAACUGUCCAAUCUAUAAGGAACGGGCAGAUGGCCUUCGUCUACCUCCCGCCAGUCACUAUUGACAAUCUUUCUCGAACCGCCAACGACCACCGGCCCAGACCCCUGCCUCCGCCGCCCCGCCCUCCCCUCGAUCUCACACCACCGCCAUGCUUGACAGCGCCCCAGGCCAUCCCUUUAAUCCCGGCCGACCUCCAGAUCGGGCGCCAGCAGCUCUAGGCCCCACACGCCCCUAAGAUAGACACUGAGGCGCUGCUUCCCCAGGCGUAAUAAGCGUACUAGCACUUGUUACACCGGGAAUGCUUCCGUUAAUUGGAAAAUCAACUGACCAGGAAUGGAAAUCCAGGGGGCGACGGACCUCUUCCUAAGGUGAAAUGGUAUAUGAGGAGAAACCUUGUGCAUCGCGAGUUACUAGGAACAUCUAGUAUCAAGAAGAAGCGGUCAACUAGUGUCUUAUGUUGGAUGAAUACUGUGCAAGCAGACACGUAAGAUUUGCACGAAUAAGGGAAGAGGAGUACCAUUUCUGGUUGCCAGUGUGGUCGCCUCUGUAUGUCGCGCCGAUCUUCUUCUUUUUGUCGGGGAAACCGAUGUUUUGGAGGAGGGUGCAGGCUUGGACGAACCCAUGGCCAAAUUGUUGAUUGUGUUGCCGUGGUCGUAUGUCGGCGGAGGGGAAGCACAUCCGAGGCGGCGAAGGACGUUGUAGCAGGAACAACUCCGGUGCGGUGGACGGUGGCGAAGUUGGAGCGGCAGCGGUGAGGCGCAGGACGGCGUGGUUGAACUGGCUCGGGUACGGACAGCUUGGCCUCGACUUCAACUACUAGCCUUGGAGGGCAUUGCGGUUGAGGUUGCGGUGGACGACGACGUCGGGGUAUUGGCUCCGGCGUGAUGGAGGAGGGCGGCGGUUGCUGGGUGGGAUGGGGUGGCAGAUGGAGGACGUCGGGGUUUCGCGGCUAGUGCAGGGGUAGUUUUGGCGCCCACUGAGUACGAAUGGGGAAUCGGAUGGGGGGAGCUAAGGGAGAACCAUGUUUCGGUCUGGGACGCGCUUGUUGGAUUUUUUGAACAGAUGGGACGUGCUUGUUUGAAAUUUGGGGAAAGUACAAACUUUGCCCCCUCUUAAAUUUCGGACCUACUGCGGGUUGCGGGUAGGAUGGGAAUCCCAGGUGUCCCAAAUAGUGGGCGGGAGUGAUUUUGGCCGCACGCAUCUGUGCUUAGGCGGCCAUUGUGUAUGAAUGUUUUUCGGAGGCGGUUGUGUGGCGUCUAGAUGAAACUACAAACCUACCCCGGUUUAGACAUUUGGACGUCGGGCCGGUAGGUUUCACGGGUCGGAGUUAGAAAGUAAUUUCCUUCUACUACCAAACAUUGGUCUCGCGUGGUUUUGGGCGAGUAGAGGCUCUUUUGGCGCUUCGUUCGAAAUUUUGAAACAGAAGCAUUCACGUUUAGAGUACUCUUGAACUUUGAGGAUUGACCGAAAUAGACAACGUUAAAUUUGACCUUGUAUGUUUGAAAACUUCAUUAAAUUAUCUUCUUCUUUUUGAAAUUUUGACACUUGAAAAUCCUAUAACUAGGAUUAUUUUGGAAUGGAGGAGCUAAAUUUGAAUCUAUUUUGUACAUGACUAUAUGGUAUUAUGUACAAAAUCAGAGCAAAGAUUGGUGCCCCCAUAAUUUAGGUAUGAUUUACAAAUGACAUGAUAUCGAAUUCAAAUAAUUGAAUGGACUUCAUGUUGAAUUCGAUUUUUUUAAACCACUUUAAGUUGAAUUCAAAUGUAUGCUAGUUCAUAGCUAGCUAUUUAUAAUGUUCAUUGUGUAACUUUCGUAUGUAUAAUGUGCUUUACACCCACAACAUGAACUAUACUCACGUUUAUAUUGGCUUGCUAAAGUGAUGCAUUGUCUGGAGUUCAAAAUACUAACUACGUGGAUCAAUUAUGUCGAAUAAUAACAUAGACAUGCUCAAAUUCGAUAGAAUCUAGAUGUCUGAUGGAUCAGUGACCGUUCCUUACGCGAAUUGCAAAUAUCAUGAUCCCAUCCUAAUAUUUGGAUACAAUUUAUAUCUUUAAUCAAUGUGUACAUCAGUCUUUUACGUGUAGUUUCACUCUCCAUCGGUGGUCUCUCAGACAUGCUCACACACUCUCUCCCGAGGUGUCUUUCUCACAGACAUGCGCUCAAUAUAACCCUCCCUCCCUCUCGUAACCAUUUACGACUGUUUUCACUAACCUUUAUCAUAAGCACUCUUCCUCUCACAAGCAUACACACGCACAAUCCCCAUCGACCCUUUCUAUAUAAAUAGACAUGUCUACGUGUCUCUUUUACGCCAAUCAUCUUUAGGCCUGUCUCUCAUGCAUUGUCUCACACCUCUCUUCCUAAUCGACGAGUAUGAUUCUAGCAGCGCAUUCUGUAGGAUGCCCCAUAAAGUUAGGUUGGAUGAAUAGUAAUAUCAGAGAUAAGGGGUUACCUUAGUCCGAGAACCUAGGGUUACAAAUCCUAGCCGGCUUUGUCAGUGGACACAGAGUCCUUCACAAUUCUACUAUCUUUGUCUUGUACGACUAGUCAUCCAUGGGUCUCCCUAAAUGCGUCACGGGCCAACCAACGUGGUGCAGGACGGAACUGGACCAAGGGCCUCACCUCGACCCACCGGACCUCACGCGGUGACACACCCUCUACCCCCAGGUCUCAUUAUCUUCUCACACCCACACAUACCAACACAGACACCACACAAAAAAAGUUCUCACUACUGCAGGAUGCUGCUAACGCGAGACUACAAUCAGAGACCCUUCGAGAAACUAUGUGCGAUGCAAUAAUCGCAAACGGUGCUAUAUGAAAACAAUCAGAAAUGUAUAAAAUGUUUCGAUGAUGGAUGCAUCAAACACGGUUCAGGUUUUAGUUGCAUGUGUGAUGAACGGCAUACGGUUCAGUUCAAUGAACUGUUUGCGAUGAGGAGGAACAAAAGAAACAGGCAGCUAGAUGAAGGCGUGUGCAAUAUAGAGCAUACGGUUCACUCGGAUGAACUAUUUGUGAUUAGGCAACACAAAAGAAACUGGCAGCCAGAUGAAGGUGUGUGCGAUAUACAGCAUAUGGUUCACUCGGAUGAACUGUUUGUGAUUAGGCAACACAAAAGAAACGGUCAGCCAGAUCAAGGUGUGUGUGAUUGAGGGCAUACGCUUCAGAAGAAUUAACUGUUUGCGAUUAGGCAACAGAACAGAAACUGGUAAGCCAGGUCAAAGUCUCUUCGAUUGAUGGCAUACACUUCACAUGGAUGAACUGAUUGCGAUUAGCCACAACAAACUGAAACAGUUAGAUAGAUCAAUGUGUGUGCGCUAGACGGGCACACCCAUUCUAAUUAAAAGAAGCGUGCGCAUGGUAAUAACGAGCGCGCACGGUUGUUGGAACAAGACGUGUGCUGACAUUGCCUAUUGCGGUGCACCCUAUGGUGCAAACGCCACGUACGCGGCCGAGAAGGCGUACGUGCCCACGUUACGCCUUCCGGGAAUAGUGCUGCACUUAUAACCGUCAGUAAAUUUUGAGCAUGCGUCCCGUCACAUUCCAAAUUGCAAACCUGUUCACACCGAUCAAAGCCUAAACGGCUUCCCACUUAGGAGCGUAUUACUACGCGGUUAUAAAUACUACUACUCCAAGAUGACUGCACAUUCCUCCUCAACUCCUCAUCCACAAAAAGUCAAAAACAAACAGGUCAUUCAUCAUCAUUCCCUUGCGUCCGCCAUGGCCAACGUGAGUUCUGGGUCGAGAGAUUGCCACCAGGGAGAGGCGAGCCUGGAAGCGGGAGCACGAGAGAUGUCCUGCCUCGCCGCGAUAGCAGCCAACAUGUCCCGCCGCACGGCUGUAGCAGCAGAGAGGUCCCGCCGCGCCGCCGAAGCAGUACGGAGGACCCGCCGCGCCAUUGAUGCAGCAGACUGGUCCGGCCGCGCCGCAGAAGCAGAAGAGAUGUCCCGCCGCUCCGUGAAUGCAGCAGAGAUGUCCUCCCUUGCCGCGGCGGCCUGGGAAAAUGCCUCGCGGGCAGGCGAGGACUCUAACAGGCGCAUGCGUGCUCUCGUCCUUAGGCAGAUGGAUCAGAUCUCUAGGUGGGCGAGGUUGCAGGAUGACCUGCAAGCCUCGUUUGAAUAGUCUACCGACGUCGUCCGGCAACUAAAUGAGAGCAAUUCUAAGCUCCGGGCUGAGCGCGACCAGCUGAGGGCAAAGUUCGUCGGAAGUGCAGAGCAGCAGGAAUAAACCAGUGCCCUGUUGAAGAGGACUGGCGUCAUCGUCGAGAAACAUAUGGGCGAUAAUGCCAUGCUGUGCAACGAGCGCAGAAGGCUGGUGGAGGAAUCCGUGGAUGCUCUCAACCAGCAUCUUGAGGACAAGAAAGAGCUCAUCGCCGCCCGCCGCGGAGACUAGUUGUCUUCCUUCUUCUUUUGCCCUUGUGUAUAUCGGGCGUUGCCGCUUGUGGCUUUUUUAAUUAUGUUUAUAAAUACGUACGACAAUUAUUAUCCAAUGUCAUCGUCCUUAUAUUCAUCAUGCUUGCUAUAAGUCGCAGUCGAUGCUAUAUAGGUCCGUCGGAUCUUACAUCAAGAUCCGUGCAAAACUUUAUUUUCAAAUUUUCAUUUUUCUCUCUUAAAUCUCAGUCCAGUGAGACAUAUAGCCACGCCGUCGAACAGGUGCUCGGGCGCCAUUAAUGGAGACGUUGGGAGGGAGGUGCAUGGAGGGUAGCGGUCAAAAGGGCUCUCCUCCCGAUGAGCACACGCAGGGGUCUGAUCGCACGCCUCCCGUACUCAAAUAGCUACCCCGCACGGCACCUCCUAGCAAAUAAAAAAAGGGGACACGUGGCCGCACCUAAUUGGUAAGUUGAACCCCCACGGUUUCAAUAAUACUUGUGUUUCCGAUUUGUAACGUGACAGCACUUGUUCCAAAAUGACUUUAUUGAUUGUUAAUGUGUGCGCCUUCGCAAAUCAGACAUAAAAAUUGCCACAACAUGUUGGUGCCAUGUCAUGAGACCAUGCCAAGUUUCAUGAUUUUCAGGCGUGUUUUGGAAUUACAGGAAUUAAAAAACCAGUUUUCUCAAUCUUUCCGGCCGAGCCACGACGCCCAGAUGUUUGAAUUUCACUCCCAUCUCUUGCAUGGGACCUAGAAAUUCACCCAAGGACACACAUGUGAUUUUUCAAACAACUUUGGUGCACUGGAGCAUGUGCUUGUAGUUCAAACUUGAAUUAUGCACAUUAAAUGCCCAGAAACUCAAUUAAUCUAUAAAAAAGGCCAAACAAACCCAGAAUAAUUCCAAAAUUUAGCACGGUACUCCUAUUUGGUCUAAUCUGGCUGUGUACAAAAAUUAAGGCGGGAGAAGGCAGUGUACAUAUGUCAUUUCGCACACGGAGGUGACACGUUCUCUCUCGGAACCACGAGCCUUCUGUCGGAUGUGGGGUUCCGGCAAACCCUUAAGGUUCGAACACUGGGGUGCGCGCAAAGUCUUUCCCUCCUACCGAUCUACGCCCUAGCUCGCUAAGAUCUCGCGGACGAACUCGACGAACUCACAACACAAAGAGACACGGGAUUUAUACUGGUUCGGGCCACCGUUGUGGUGUAAUACCCUACUCCAGUGUGGUGGCGGUGGAUUGCCUCUUGGAAUGAUGAUGAACAGUACAGACGGAAGAACAGCCUUCUGAGGUUGAGGUGUUCUUGUGCUUGGUUGCUUAGCGGGUGAGAGCUGGGUGAACUGCUCCAUGCCCCUACGGUGGUGGCUAGCUCUACUUAUAUAGGCCCUGGUGCUCUUCCCAAAUAUUGAGUGGGAAGGGAGUCAACAACGACGGGCAAAUUUGAAGGGGGACAACUAGUACAAGCUAUCCUGACAAAAGUGGUCUUCGCCUGCAAAAGGCUCUGGUGGUGACGCCGUCUUGGGCUCCACGAUGACCUCCGUCUUCCCGUCCUCUUGGUCUUGGUCUCGUUGCAUCGAUAUAGCAACCUUUGCCUGAUGCCUCGGUACUCCUCGCCUGCGGUGGCCUCCUUAGCACCAAAGAGGAAACAAGGACGCUGCGCGCGCUGGCGCCCGCCUUGUCUCGAUCGUCAUGGCUCACGUCACGAGAGCCUCGUGAGGUUUGCCCCGCCUUGAUAUCUCCGCUCCUCGUGAGCCUCCCUGACUAGGCCACUCCUGAGGAGGUCUUGCGUCGUCCUCCUCGCGAGGCUUGGCCCCUCGCGAGGGUCUUAGAUGCCUUGUUGAUGAAGAUGGGCUGUACGGCCUGCUGGCUUAGCCACGCCGUGGGCUGCAGGCAGGCAAGUCUGGGGACCCCCGUUCCCAAAACGCUGGCAGUAGCCCCCGGGCCCAAGGUGCGCUCGGGCUUGGCUUCGCGGCGAAGCCAAGGGUCAAGUACGGAGCACCGCGGGCCCCAAAAGCCUGCGGCCUCUGUUAACGCGUGGCGGUUGAUUGGACGUGGGCGUCUCUGCUUCUCCAUGCUGCCUCGGCAACUGCUCGACUUGACAAGUCCCUGCGACAUGCAAGGAAAACCAUCAUUACCUGCGAUCGUGGGAGGCGGCGGUUGGCCUUCUCUUGCUAUAAAUAGGGAGGGGGCGGAGCCCCCGUCGCCCAUCUCUUCCUUGCUUGCUUGCUUCUUCUUCCUCGCUCCAUUGCUUGCAGUGCCACCAAUGGCGCCAUGAAGGAAGUUCUCCGCCGCCGAGAAGGGAAAGGCCCCUCGCGAGGGACCCGGCUCCCCCCAAGCACGGGCGUGGCCGUCCGCGCAAGCACGCCGCGUCCCCCACCGUGUCCCACUGUCGAGGCGGCGCCGCGGCACGCGGAGGGGGUCGUCCUAGUCAUGGUGGUCCAGUUGAUGAGGGGAGGCGUGCUAUGGUGGCGUGGCCUCCCCGUCCACGCUUCCAAUCAGCGAAGGUGUCGCUGGAUUUCGUCGUCUGGUCGGAGAACCCGGCCGGCAACUGGCUCCAACUUCCACGCUUCUUCGUCGACGAACUGCCGGCCCCUGGUCUAGGUGGACUCUGGUUGCAGGCGGAAGGUUAUUGCAGCAAGGCCUCUUGGGUCGUGGUCGAGACUUCCGCCGUGGGCAACAUAGCCCUGGCUGGCGGCUGGCAGACGUUCGCCCACGCGCGCGGCCUGGGCAGGAGGUGCACCCUCCAUUUCAAGUACGAUGGUGGAUCGACCCUCUAUGUGAGGGUGUUUGGGGAAGAUGGUCGCCACGCCGAGUGCUGCCCCGAGACGAACGACAGUGAGGAGGUGCUCGGCCUUGGUGAUAGUGGCGGCGAGGAUGAAGGCGAGCCUGCCCUCGGCGGCGACCGUGUCUCUUCUAGCUACGGCAGCUCUUCCUCCGGCAACAGCUCCAGCAGUGGUGGCUACGACCAGCCGCUGCGCCGUCGCGCCCGCUUCGAAGGCGGCAGCAGGUCAUCUCGUCGCCGCGCCUCCAUGAAGCGCGAGGAAGGGUCUGGCUAGGCUCGGGGCGUCGCUAGGGGCCUGCCUCCGCGGAUCGCCGCAACGCCGCUUUUGUUUUGCUCUUUUUUCCUGCAUCAAAAAAUGAAACCAGUAUGGGCCCAGAGGGGCGUGUGUCGAACUGUGGUUCCUUGGUUAUUGCACUGUGCGCGUUAUUCCCGUGCCGUGUUGUUAUUUUGCGCAAAGAUAACUUAACCUGGUCCAUUCAGGACGCCCUCUUCCUUACGAGGCGCUUAUUUCCUCGUGUCCAUCUUGCCUUGGUGGCCUGCAUUCGCUCAGGAACUGCAAAAACUCGUGAGGAAGUGCGUUAAAAGAUUUGCCGUCCGCCCUGGCCCUAACCUGGCGCUUUGUAUCGCGGUACCUGAGGGCACGGACUAGAAAAGGUGCGCCAGCUUUUGGGCUCGAACGAGGGUGGCUCGCGAGAAGGCAGAGAGGAGAAAAAUGCUCGCGAGGGCACCUGCCUAGCCCCCUCGCGAGGUAUGUGAGAGAGAGAACACGAGCAAACUAGAGCCGGAAAAUGCAGUAAGAGGCGAGGGAAUCAAAUCAGCAAGGAACACCAAAAGCAAACUUCGAUUAAGGAAAAGCGAGCCAACUACGGAAAGCAAAUGAAAAGCCGCGUCCGGCACCUAAUCUAAUCUUCAAGUCUUCUCACCAGCGCGGAGCUAAGUGCUGCCACUAGGCAUGGGCGGGAGCCCCAGGGCCUGAGGCCGGCGCUCCUGAGACUCCGGGGCGUGUACAGCCCCAACUCGUUAUUACGUGAGAUUGUCACGGGCGGCGAUUCUUCACAGGCACCGGGCCUUCUUCACAGGCUCUGGGCCUUUCUUCAUAGGCUCCGGGCCUUGCUUCAUGGGUAGAACUUCUGGAGGUGCUGGAUGUUCCAGGCGUUUUGGAUAGGUACCCCGUCUUGUGUCUCCAGGCGCACGGCGCCAGGCCUGGAGAUGUGGACGACCUUGAACGGGCCCUCCCACAUUGGUGAAAGCUUAUGCAGCCCUUCCCUGGAGAGGACCCGCCUCAGGACGAGGUCGCCCACCUCGAGCGUCCUGCAGUGGACGUUGCGGUAGUGGUAUCGCCGCAGCGCUUGUUGGUACCUUGCCGCCCUUAAUACAGCUUCGCGACGGCGUUCCUCCCCCAGCACGAGAUCCAUCCCCCGUGUGGCGCCCUGCUGCGUUUCGUCGAACGCCAGGACCCGUGUAGAGCGAUGCUUGACCUCGUGAGGGAGGACUGCUUCAGCUCCGUAGACAAGGAAGAAUGGAGUCUCGCCCGUUGGCUUGGUGGCGGUGGUGCGGAUGGACCACAUCACGGACUGGAGCUCAUUGUGCCAGCCCCUGCCGCAGGCCUCCAGCUUCUUCUUGAAGGUCCUGGUCUUGAGGCCCCUCAGGACCUCCGCGUUGGCGCGUUCGGCCUGGCCAUUGCUCCUGGGGUGCGCUACCGAAGCGUAGCGGAUCUGCGUUCCAAGGUUAGCACAGUAGGUUUUAAAAGGUUACUAGUAAACUACGAGCCGUUGUCUGUGAUGAUGCGGUUGGGGACCCCGAAGCGGCUCACGAGGCCCUUGAUGAACUUGACAGCAGAGCCGGCUGGGAUGGUACGGACGGCUUCCACUUCCGCCCACUUGGUGAACUUGUCGAUGGCGACGUACAGAUAGUGGUAGCCCCCUGGCGCCCGAGGGAACGGGCCUAGGAUGUCCAGCCCCCAGACCGCGAACGGCCAUGUGAGCGGGAUGGUUUGGAGGCCCUGAGCAGGCUGAUGGAUUUGCUUGGCAUGGAAUUGGCAAGCUUCGCAGGACUUCACCAGCUCGGCUGCGUCGUUGAGUGCUGUAGGCCAGUAGAAUCCACUGCGGAACACCUUGCCGACGAGGGUUCGUGAUGACGAGUGGUGUCCGCAGUCCCCGCUGUGUAUGUCAAUCAGCAACUCCCUUCCUUGAUCGCUGGAGAUGCAGCGCAGCGUGACAUCGUUCGGUCGUUUCCUGUAUAACUCGCCAUCUUGGAUACAGUAUGUCGUGGCUUGCCGGGCCACGCGCUCCGCGUCCUCUUAUUUCUCCAGCAGCGUCCCGUGCGUUAGGUACUCCUUGAAUUCCUUGGUCCAGCAUUCCUCCUGGGGCUCGAGUGCCAAGAGCAGCCGAGCUCCUGAGGUCGGGCCACAGGCUGGGGCUCCCGUGGCCGGAGGCUGUGGGAGCUCCUCCCAAGGCUGAGUCAUGCUUGAAAGAGGUGGCGUAGCUGAUGGCUUGAAGAGCCGCUCCUCAAAGACACUGGGCUCCUGCGGCUGCCGCUUGGACGCUAUCCUGGCGAUGUCGUCGGCUUCCUUGUUGGUGCCUUGGGGCACGUGCUGCAGCUCCAGGCCCGAGAACUGCUUCUCCAUCUUGCGCACCUCCGCGAGGUAGGCCUCCAUUGCUCGUCCUUCGGCUCGUACACCUUGUUGGAGAAGUUGACGAGGAGUUGCGAGUCGCCUCUGACGGUGAGGCGCUUCACCCCUAGAGCCGCCGCAGCCUUCAGGCCAGCUAUGAGGCCUUCGUAUUCUGCGAUAUUGUUGGAGACCUUCUCGCCGUGCUGAAAGCUGAGAUGCAUGGCGUAGUAGAGCUUGUCCUGAGUGGGCGAGAUGAGCACUGUCCAACCCCCGCGCCCUGGUGCGCGAAGGCGCCAUCGAAAUACAUGACCCAGCUGUCUGGAGCCUCGCUUCCUGGGGAGGUGGACCGGUCUUCUCCUUCCUCAAGUGUCGGGGCAUCCGUCCAUUCUGCCACAAAGUCAGCGAGCGCGGCCCCCUUGAUGACCCUGGUAGUGCUGAACUCCAACUGGAAUGCUUGCAAUUUGAUGUUCCCCUCAGCGACCCUUCCGGCUGAGUUAGGGCUCCUGAGUACCCUCUCCAAUGGAUAGGCUGAGACGACCUUGAUGGGGUGGCCCUGGAAGUAGUGUCGCAGCUUGCGUGAGGCCAACUGGAGUGCGAGCAGGAGUUUCUGGGGCAUGGGGUAGCGCGCCCUCGCGUCCCCGCAGUACAGUGCUGACAAAGUACACCGGGUGCUCGACAAGGGCUGGCACACUGUCGAGGCUCGGGUCUUGCGGAGAUCGAGGCAUAUCUUGAGGUGGAGGGGUUCCUGAGACCUGACUGUCCUCAUGAGCUUCUGCGAUGUUACCCUGCUGAGCUUGGUCUUCCACCGCUAAUGCCUUUGCUGUGCCUUCCUGACCCUUGGCUUGCCGCUCCUCCCGAACCGCCACCAGCGCCGCGCUGGCGGAGUACGGGGUGGCGGCAAGGUAGAGUACCAGAGGUUCGAGAGGCCGUGGUGCCACCAUCACCGGGGGCUGGUGAGGUAUUUCUUGAGGUCUUGGGAGGCCUGGUCGGCCUCUGGAGUCCACUCGAACGGGCCCUUCUUCUUCAUGAGCUUGAAGAAGGGCAAGGCGUGCUCUCCCAGUGGACUGCCGUCUUGCUCGCUGCUUCACGGGGCGUAUAUUGGGGCACACCCUUAGAUGAUGCUGGAUCACCUCCCUCGGACCCCUACCAGCUGAAUAGGCUCCCACGCGAAUAUCUCCUUGUUUGCGCGCAAGAACCUCACCAAGGCUUCUUCUUGUCCUGGGUCGAGGCUGGCUCCUAUGGUAAAGGUGGCUCCUAAAGACCCGUCCUUGUUGACCGGCACCUGCUUGGUUUCCGCCUUGUCUUGGGUGAACAGCCACUUCUUCUUGGUAGGCGCGGCCUCCUUGGCCUCGGGGGUACCAGCGCCGGCGGGCUGUGCUGCUACCGCGGUCUUGAAGGCGAGCCUGAGCACCGUCACGGCCUCCUUAGUGUCCCCUUGAUGGUGAGGACACCCUUGCUUCCUGGCAUCUUCAUGAGGUUGUAGGCUGGGUGAGUCGCCACCAUGAACUGAGCGAGGGUCGGGUACCCGAGGAUGGCGUUGUACGGGAGACCGAUGCAGGCGAUGUCGAAGUCCACCAGCUCGGUGCGGUAGUUGUCGCGGGUGCCGAAGGUGACAGGGAGGCGGAUCUGCCCCAGAGAGUGAGCAGCUCCACCACCCACUCCAUAGAAGGGCUUGCUGAGGCCGAGCCGCUCAAGCGGCAUGUGAAAGAAGGCUGAAGGCUGCUACGGAGAGCAAGUUGAGGCCAGCACCACCGUCGAUGAGGGUCUUGGUAACAGCCACGUUGUAGAUGGUGGGCGUGCAGAGCAUCGGGAGCAUUCCGGAGCCGGCGGUGGAGUCGGGGUGGUCUUCUGACCCGAAGGUGAGGUCGGCCUCUAGCGCGGCCCAACCCGGCGGAGCCCCCGGGCGCUUGGAUGUGGCCCCGAUCUGACGGAGGAACGGCUUGACGUGGCGGUCUAAAGGUGGUGCUUGAGAGCCGCCCAGCAGGGCCGCGACUGCGUGGUGCGCCGGCACCGCGUAGCGAGCGGUGAAGAGGUCGCAGAGUUCCCCCAAGAAGCCACCGUGGAUCCCGGGAGGUUGAGUAGCCAAGGGCGCGGCUCGCCAGCGAGGGCCAUGGGGAACCAUUUGGCCAUGAUCUUGUCGUCGCCUCCGGCUUCGAGGACAGCCUACUCGUACGCCAGCAGGAACGGCGUCGGGUCUGCCGCGCCGUCGUAACGCGGCGGCAUCUCUGGCUUGAACUUGGUCGGCCACCACACUCGCCGUAGGGCAGGGGCUAGGGCUCGGUACCCAGACGCCCCGCUGUUGGUGUCGGCCGCAGAGGUGGAUGGCGGGGCACCUGCUAUGGGGGCGAAGUGCGGAGGCGCGGGGCGCAGGUUGGUGGAGAGGUGCUCCGGCGCACCCCUACCUGGCGGGCCAAAUGUCGGAUGUGGGGUUCCAGCAAACCCUUAAGGUUCGAACACUGGGGUGCGCGCGAAGUCUUUCUCUCCUACCGAUCUACGCCCUAGCUCGCUAAGAUCUCGCGGACGAACUCGACGAACUCACAACACAAAGAGACACGGGAUUUAUACUGGUUCGGGCCACCGUUGUGGUGUAAUACCCUACUCCAGUGUGGUGGUGGUGGAUUGCCUGAUGCCUCGGUACUCCUCGCCUGCGCUGGCCUCCUUAGCACCAAAGAGGAAACAAGGACGCUGCGUGCGCUGGCGCCCGCCUGGUGUCGAUCGUCAUGGCUCACGUCACGAGAGCCUCGUGAGGUUUGCCCCGCCUUGAUAUCUCCGCUCCUCAUGAGCCUGCCUGACUAGGCCACUCCUGAGGAGGUCUUUUGUCGUCCGCCUCGCGAGGCUUGGCCCGUCGCGAGGGUCUUGGAUGCCUUCUUGAUGAAGAUGGGCCGUACGGCCUGCUGGCUUAGCCAUGCCGUGGGCCGCAGGCAAGCAAGUCUAGGGACCCCCGUUCCCAGAACGCCGACACCUUCUUGAGGGAAGCUCCGGUUUGCAAGAAGCUUACACCAAAGCUUGUCCCAAUUCGGCCAAAAAAAUGACCGCAGCAUGUUGGUGCCAUGUCAUGACGCCAUGCCAAGUUUCAUGAUUUUCAGGCGUGUUUUGGAAUUACAGGAAUGAAAAAACCAAGUUUCUAAAUCUUUCCGGCCGAGCCACGACGCCCAGAUGUUUGAAUUUUACUCCAGUCUCUUGCAUGGGACCUAGAAAUUCACCCAAGGACACACAUGUGAUUUUUCAAACAACUUUGGUGCACUGGAGCCUGUGCUUGUAGUUCGAAUUUGAAUUAUGCACAUUAAAUGCCCAGAAACUCAACUAAUGUAUAAAAAAGGCAAAAUGAUCCCAGAAUAAUUCCAAAAUUUAGUAUUGUACUUCUAUUUUGGUCUAAUCUGGCUGUAUAAAAAAUUAAGGCGGGAGAAGGCAGUGUACAUAUGUCGUUUCGCACACAGAGGUGACACAUUCCCUCUCGGAACCACGAGCCUUCUUGAGGGAAGCUCCGGUUUGCAAGAAGCUUACACCAAAGCUUGUCCCAAUUUGGCCAAAAAAAUACCGCAGCAUGUUGGUGCCAUGUCAUGACACCAUGCCAAGUUUCAUAAUUUUCAGGCGUGUUUUGCAAUUACAGGAAAUAAAAAACCAAGUUUCUCAAUCUUUCCGGCCGAGCCACGAUGCCCAGAUGUUUGAAUUUCACUCCAAUCUCUUGCAUGGGACCUAGAAAUUCACCCAAUGACACACAUGUGAUUUUUCAAACAACUUUGGUGCACCGGAGCCUCUGCUUGUAGUUCAAAUUUGAAUUAUGCACAUUAAAUGCCCAUAAACUCAAUUAAUGUAUAAAAAAGGCAAAACGAGCCUGGAAUAAUUCCAAAAUUUAGCACGGUACUUCUAUUUGGUCUAAUCUGGUUGUUUAAAAAAAUUAAGGCUGGAGAAGGCAGUGUACAUAUGUCGUCUCGCACACGGAGGUGACACGUUCCCUCUCGGAACCACGAGCCUUCUUGAGGGAAGCUCCGGUUUGCAAGAAGCUUACAACAAAGCUUGUCCCAAUUCGGCCAGAAAAAUUACCGUAGCAUGUUCAUGCCACGUCAUGACACCAUGACAAGUUUCAUGAUUUUCAGGUGUGUUUUGGAAUUACAGGAAUUAAAAAACCAAGUUUCUCAAUCUUUCCGGCUGAGCCACGAUGCCCAGAUGUUUGAAUUUCACUCCAAUCUCUUGCAUGGGACCUAGAAAUUCACCCAAGGACACACAUGUGAUUUUUCAAACAACUUUGGUGCACUGGAGCCUGUGCUUGUAGUUCAAAUUUGAAUUAUGCACAUUAAAUGCCCAGAAACUCAAUUAAUGUAUAAAAAAGGCGAAACGAACCCGGAAUAAUUCCAAAAUAUAGCACGAUACUUCUAUUUGGUCUAAUCUAGCUGUGUAAAAAAAUUAAGGUGGGAGAAGGCAGUGUACACAUGUCGUUCCGCACACGGAGGUGACACGUUCCCUCUCGGAACCACGAGCCUUCUUGAGGGAAGCUCCGGUUUGCAAGAAGCCUAUACCAAAGCUUGUUCCAAUUCGGCCAAAAAAAUUACCGCAGCAUGUUUGUGCCAUGUCAUGAGACCAUGCCAAGUUUCAUGAUGUUCAGUCGUGUUUUGGAAUUACGGGAAUUAAAAAACCAAGUUUCUCAAUCUUUUCGGCCGAGCCACGACGCCCAGAUGUUUGAAUUUCAGUCCCAUCUCUUGCAUGGGACCUAGAAAUUCACCCAAGGACACACAUGUGAUUUGUCAAACAACUUUGGUGCACUGAAGCCUAUGCUUGUAGUUAAAAUUUGAAUUAUGCACAUUAAAUGCCCAGAAACUCACUUAAUGUAUAAAAAAGGCCAAACGAACCCAGAAUAAUUUCUAAAAUUUAGCACGGUACUUCUAUUUGGUCUAAUCUGCCUGUGUAAAAAAAUUAAGGCGGGGGAAGGCAGUGUACGUAUGUCGUUUCACACAAAGAGGUGACACGUUCCCUCUCGGAACUAGGAGCCUUCUUGAGGGAAGCUCCGGUUUGCAAGAAGCUUAGACCAAAGCUUGUCCCAAUUCGGCCAAAAAAAAUACUGCAGCAUGUUGGUGCCAUGUCAUGACACCAUGCCAAGUUUCAUGAUUUUCAGCCGUGUUUUGGAUUUACAGGAAUUAAAAAACCAAGUUUCUCAAUCAUUCCGGCCGAGCCACGACACCCAGAUGUUUGAAUUUUAUUCCCAUUUCUUGCAUGGGACCUAUAAAUUCACCCAAAGACACACAUGUGAUUUUUCAGCAAACUUUGGUACAUUGGAGCUUGUGCUUGUAGUUCAAAUUCGAAUUAUGCACAUUAAAUGCCCAAAAACUCAAUUAAUGCAUAAAAAUGCCAAACGAACCUAGAAUAAUUCCAAAUUAAAACACGACACUCAUGUACUAGUUGCAUGUUCACUUUACAAAAAUGUUCUAGCAAUUCAAACACCAUCCUUUCCCUCCGUAACACCAUUUUGUCUUUCAAAACAUAAUGAAAAACUCAGGUAUACCACAAAUAGUUUACUAGAAAGAAUCGUGUGGGAUGCGAUAUAAAAUAUCUUGGUGCACCGUCUUGUCUGGCUUACGCAGGAAGCUUCAUCAUCUACAUUCCACCGCCCCCGCUUGAACCACACUUGCGCGCCAGUUUCUCGCGGCACUGAGCAAAUUUUUUUUGCCACCGCGGAAAUAUCGAUCUCCCCACACCCUCCCUCCUACCGAAAGCCACAUUUCCACUGUUCCUCCUUGCUUUCCAAGUUCAAACCUUCACUGCUGCUUACUGGCAGCUCAGCCUCCUCGCCGGCGACCCUUCUUAUUGCAGCGCCGCCUCCUUGCCGGCUACCCUUCUUCUUGCAGCGCUGCCUCCUCGCUAGCGACCCUUCUUCUUGCAGCGCCGCCUCCUCGCCGGCGACCCUUCUUCUUGUUGCACGGCCUCCUCGCCGCCGACCCUUCUUCUUGCUGCGCGGCCUCGUCGAUAUGGUCAGGUAAUCACACCCCACCCACACCAUCCUCCUCCUUUCCCGUCCCACAUGCCCCGACUGACGGAGUGACACCUUCCACCGAAAUCACUGCCCCCUCCUCCAAUUUAGCGCCGCCCAUAGCCAUUUUACACGUAGUAUAACGUGGAGCUAAGUAGCAUGCGGCUGCACACGCGAACGAGGUCGCUAUGGCUGACAUGCGUGUCGACCGCGAGAUCUUGGAGGAGCACCUAGUCUUCGAGGCCACCGUCGACACCGCCGCGCGGUUGUCUACUUUAAAAUACAGUUCGUGAUGUUUUCUCGAGGCCACCGCCAGUGCCUUCUAGUGAUAUGUCCUCUGUAAUGUUAAUAUGCAAUCUGAUGUUCAGUUAAUAGUUUGGUCCUCUGAAAUGUAAUGUUCAGUUAACACUUUUGUCCAACAAUUGCUACAUUUCGUAGUACUGUUCUCAAGCAUUCUUUGUUUUGUUAACUGUCUUAUCUUCUAGUACAUGUUUCUAAUCUGCAAUGCCAUGCUCAGUUAACUAUUUUGGUUCAUUUGGUCUGCUGUCCAUUUAACUGUUUGGUUCAGUUCUGCAAUUUGAUUUUCAUUUGCUGUGGGUACAAUUUUGUAUUGUUAUUCAUGUGACACCAAUCGAAUUUGGCUGUACUCAAUACAUAUACUACUGAUAGUAUGGCAACUCUCAGUUAACCUGAUCAAGAUCUUCCUUAUGUGUGUUGCAGGGAAACAAUGGGAGACACUGUGGCUUACCAUCGAGGUUUGUUCAAGCAGGGUCCUUUGGCUAAUACCACAUUAUUGUGCAGUUGCAGAAAUCAUUCUAAUAUUUAGGUUUCUUACAAUUUGGUCUUGCACAUGUAGGUCCUGCUGUCAGAGGCUUAGACCCACUGUUCGACCCAUUUUGCAUAUGGGGAAAUGAGAUGUCCAUGAAUAUCAGUCAAGUCAAGAAACUAGGAAAGAUUGUUAGGAUGAAGAAACUUGCGACGAAUAACAGAAAGAUAUUUGUUUACACAAUGAAGAAGACAUCAGUCAACUAUAGGAUGGUACCAACUCUUUUACCUUGCUUUUACCCCUUGCGCCAUUUCAAAAUUUACAACAGUGAUUUAUGCAUAGGUUUGUUUUCUGUACUUUUCAAAGCAGUUCACCGAUGAUUACCUCUCAAACCACCUGCAUGGUCAAGAGGCGAGGAAGGUAUUCAUUCAACACCCAUGGUACAAUAUUGAAGUCUUGCUGAAGAGGACGAAGGUUGGGCGGGCCAUUAUCCAUAGCCACUGGCCUAAAGUUGCAAGGACAUUCAACAUCACUGAAGGCGCAAUAUUUGCCUUCAGCUUCUGCAGUUUCCCAUAUGAGAUUCAUCUGUCUAUUUACCGUGUAUGAUGCUACUUUCCAAAGGUUUUUUAUGCUGCAUGUGAAACUUGGUGCUGUUGUGUAAUGGCGUAACUGAGUGCCGAAGCUAUCUGAUGUAAUUCGAUUAUGAAAUCCUUGUUGCGUUUAUACGGAUAUGAAAUAUCUGGUGUGUUUUAUAAGAAAUAUCAGUUUGAUUAGUACAUGGAUUAUCAAUAAUAGGCUAAUUACACUGCUUAUUGGGGUUUUAUAUUGCAAACGGUUACUCAGACAUCACUGUGGGCGAUGAACUCAAACAACCCGCACAGUUUCUAGAAAGUAGGCGUGUUCGAUCAACUAACAAUCACACACUGCUUCUGGCAGCGAACUCUUUGCAUUAGGCCACCUUGCACAAACGUUUCCACAAAAAGAACUGUGUGGGAUGUACAUACCUACGGAAAUGAUUUUCUGGGAUUCACCGUGUGGGGUGUACAUACCUACGGAAAUGAUUACUGGGAUUCACCGUGUGGGAUGUACAUACCUACGAAAAUGAUUUCUGGGAUUCACCGUGUGGGAUGUACAUACCUACGAAAAUGAUUUCUAGGAUUCACCGUGUGGGAUGUACAUACCUAUGGAAAUGAUUUCUGGGAUUCACCAUGUGGGAUGUACAUACCUACGGAAAUUAUUGGGUUUCCAUGCCACGCCCAAUCGCACACGGCCCCAGCCUGGGUCCCACGAGGGCCUAUCCCCGACGAUUUCUGGGUCAUGUGGGAAGGACCCCCCUAUCGCCCACACUCACUUGGCGACGGUUCCAAAUGCUGUCGCUGAAAGGGGUUUUAAACCGUUUGUUUAGGACAUCGCUGAACCAGUGUCUCCUCGUGCCUUUAUCCCCUCCCCCCUUGCAUAUACACACUAAAGGGAAUCUCUCGUCGUGACAUCAUAUUCGUCUCUCUCUCUAGACCUCUCUCAUUUCUCGUGCUAUCUCUCCCACGCCCCCUCCCCCGCGGGCCCCUCUAUAAAUGCCUCUCUCAAAUAUGUAAUACACACACAUACCUCUCUAGGCCCUACCAAAUACAUCAACUACACAUUCACACAUGUUACGUCACGUACCCCAUUGAUCUAAAAAGCCCUCUCUUCACGUUUAUUUCGCAUACAACAUUCCUUUUGAAUAAAGUGUGGCCAAUUUUUUUAGAAUUUCUAAAUAUAUACAACAUUACAUAAGUUAUAUGGAGGAGUAUGAACGUUUAUUUGCAUUACAUGGUGCCCACAAUGAUAUUUAUUCUGCACUUUGAAUUUUUAUAUUUUAUAAUAUAUAUAAAGUUAGUCAUAAUAAAGAGAAACGAAGAGCAUCUCUCUCUCCAUCGCAUACACCCCCUCUACGCCCCUUUCACGUACGCACACGAACUAUCUCCAGGUCCUCUAAAAGUAAGGCCCCAGCACAUUCACGCAUGUUUCAUCCUUCUCUCGCGAUAUAUACAGUGACGAUCAUUGUAUUUGAAGCGAAAGCACGAUACAUACAUUGGACUUCAGAAUCCACUCAUUACGGUCACCAUUUACGUUUUGUGGUUAUUAUACAGUCGUGGGCUCACCGUACAGCUCUGUAUUUGCUCAAGACACGACUAGUUGACCAGUUAAACGCUCCACAUGGCACCUCUAGUGUUGCAUCACAUUAUCUCACUACCAUUGGGCCCACCUGUCGGCUUGUAUCUACUCUACAUCUACAUCUACACUCUUAUAACUACAAUCUUAUAAAAAACAGAAUUGGUGAUGAUGGUGUGCUUGCCAUCCUGCCAUAUAGGCCGUCCGAUUUAUAUCUGACGAAUAGCAAGGAAACUAUGGCAAUUUUGCAAAAAGGUACCCACACACCUCUCCACAUAUGCAAAUAAGGCCUUCCCUCAUUCAUCCUUUUGUCUCACAAGAUAAACUAGUCAUACAAAUGCAUCUUGAUGUUACAUGCAACGCACGGGCAUCUUGCUAGUAAGAAUGAAAACAAACGACAAAAAAAUAUUGGACGGUGGUUCGAAGUCAUGACCGCGGGCACAGCGGACAAGGUGGCAUUGUAUUGGUAUGCUGAGCCGUUUGUUUUAACACACAGGAGCUGGUGUGGUGAUUAUACACACAUGCACGCAUGCACACGAACUGCAUGCACACAACACUCACACGAACAAAUGCAGCCACGCACGCACGCAACACUCACAUGUACACACGCAGCCACGCACGCACACAACACUCACAUGGACACACGCACGCAUGCAUGCACACACCGCAUGACCAACACACACUCUCACGCUCAAGUGCUCAACCUACACGUGCAUGCGCACACAUCAGGCCUUGACAGACACAUACACAACCAGGUGAUUCCCGCGCUCGGGUUGGAGUCUUGUCGCGCCUGCAUAAAUUUGUGUUUAUCUGACCGUUUUCCUAUGCGAACUGACAGGUGGGAUCCAAGGAACGUGGUCAAUUUAACUAUUCAACAUGGUGCCACGCAGACUAUUUGGCCGGUCAACAGAGUGCAAUCCGAUGUUGAAUGGUGAGCAAGUGACCGUAUAAUCACCGCAAAACGUAUAUAGUGACCGUAAUGAGCGUAUUCUGAAGUUCGGUGACCGUAUUAUGCUUUCACUCUGUGGGCCCUCCAAAACUACAUCUCUACACGUUCUAGCAUGUUACAUCUAACAACUAUGCAAUACAGCACUACUACUACACUCUAACACAAUAAAUCAUAUGUGUUUUUAGUUUUACUAGAUAUCAUAUUGUUACUUAAUUAUUCAGUUUGCAUACAUUAAAAUUGCCUUCCAAAUGUAUGGCCAGUAUCAUCUACCGCGUGGGAAAAAUUACGCCUUUCCUGUUUAAUCGGGUUUGUAUCAAUGGAUCAUGCGAAACAACAAAACUAUAGUACUAUACAGUACAAGUGACAGUUCACUGGGCAGCUGUGUCGUAAGAGUGGAGGCUCAGUUUCAUAAAUGUUCUAGUCCCUUCCGUAGACAUGUGGGACAUCAAGCUACCGAGUCCACGUGCCAUACCGAAAUACAAUGCAGAGCAGCAGGGGUGAAGCACCCCAGUCAUGGCGCCGGCGUAGUAAUGAGCAAUGAGGCAUCAAAUCACAAAGCUGCACCUUUCCCACAGUUAAGUUGGAGGGACGAAGUAAUAAUAAUGCUAGUAAAAAAAGAAGUUGGAGGGACGAAGCAACCAUCAUUUCACUCGUUGCUGAAUCCGCUUCUCCCUCAUCUUCUUCAAGUUAACCACGUGUUGCUUCUGUUGUUGUUCUGCCUCAUGUGGGACGCAGAUCGGCUUGGAAAAGCACUGACACGUGGGACCGCAUGUUAGCAAACCGCCAGGCCAACGUCCUCUAAAAAUAAGAAACCUCCCCCGCCAUCCGUGCUGCAAAAUCACCUCCUUUUUACUAAUCUUGAUUCUAUAAUUUUUAGAUCAAUAUAAUUGAGAUUUGUAUAGAUAGCACACAGGAGCAAAACCAAGUGGUACGAUUAAGGGCAUCCACAAUGUGUAGCCAAAUGUGAAAAUAGCUUUUGUCAUUGAUGGGAACCAUUGUGGACGGUGCUGCCAAAGCCAAAAAGAUGGAACCGAAGCUCCCUGAUUGAUUGAUUGAAGGAAUAGAAAAAUGCAACGUCUCUCCUCUUUAUCCCAUGCUUGGACGCAUGUACAAUAUAGAGCAUAGAGUCUACUCCCCUGUCCCUUCUAUCACAAAUCACAAAGCAGUGAGGCGUCAAAUCACAGAGCACGGACGAAGCAACCAACAUUUCACUCUUCGCUGACUGCGCUUCUCCAUCGACUUCUUCGAUAAACCACACCUCACCGCACUAAGCUGGACGGACGACGCUAUUGUGUACUAGUAGUACUAGUACAUUUACGCGUCCUUUGGUCCAACAGACUUCCUGGAUGCAAAUAAGGCGGUUGUCUUGGCUUGCACGCGGCACUUGCGAACGACUUACCGUGGUCUCCCUCAAUGGUGUUCUCCGUCGAAAGCACUUUGCCAAACCACAACGUUCAAGAUAUCGUCGACGUCACCGCAAUGGGGAAGGAAGUCAAAUAGUUAGUACCUCCAUUUUUUUGUACACCAGGCCAGUAUAUCAAAAUUACAAUUUGCAAAAGGUCACUAACACUAAUUGAGGCAAAAUUGAUGGGGUUUGCCUCGUACCAGCAACCAAGGACAUUAAUAUACCCUUGCAUGCAUGCGGAAAUGGGAACAUUUGUUUGCAUGGCGCUGCAUUAAUCAAGCGAUGAGGAGUGAGAUGGGUAGCUCUUUGGGCUUUGGAGAAACAAAACGCAUUAAUUGACACGUCAAACGAGAAUUUGUAUCGAUGAAUCCCGCGAAGGAAAACCCCGCCUUUCUUUUUUAACACUAGUACUCCUAGUACGUACGUACUUACCCUGUUUGGGUCUAGGCCUUGCAUUGCCAUACUUCGCCACACAUUUUUGCCAAGCUUGCCUAAAGUUUUCAAAAUGAAAAGGAGGUACACUUGCGCACGGCUGUCGCGGUCACACCGCACCCUCAGACGGUCGCUCCUGCACGCCGCGGUCGCACCGCACCCUCACACAGUCGCUCCUGCACGCCGCAAACCCAACCAAGGGAACGCACCCUCACUGACACGUGCUACCACUGACAGAUAAUUUUCAUUCAUACAUUAUGUUUAUCCAACCGCAUGUUGGGGUGGAUCCAUACAGCGCGUGUGGUGGUCUGUUGGGGAAGAAGAAGAGUGAGGAAAGAAGGGUUAGGAGACGUAGGAUAUUCAUCCAACUGCCUAAAAUGGUGGACUGACCCAAAUGAUGAAAGUCAGGCAACUUGCAUAAUAGUAUAUGUUUUUACACAGCAAAAGAUCCCUAAAAAUAACAACAUAAAGAAAAACUAUCACUGCUCGCGGAACGAGACAGCCUCGUCGUCUUUGGCUGCCGGCGCGAACCAGCCGUAGCUGCCGACAUGUGUCUCCGCACCGUGGUUGUCCUCGGCCUCCAGCUACUCAUUCACGUGGAGCGUGCGGGCGCUCUGCACGGAUGAGAGCACCGCCCGGUUCAAGUCGAGUACGUCCGGUUCCGCCUACAGGAGGGCCUCAAUGGCAGCGGCAUCCACGCACUCCGCGUCGAGUUGAGCCUCCGCCGCCCGGUUCAAGUCCAGGACGUCCGAUUCCGCCUGCAGGAGGGCCUCGAUGGCAGCGGCAUAUGCGCAUUCUGCGUCGAGUUGAGCCUCCACCGCCCGGUUCAUGUCUAGGACGUCCGGUUCCGCCUGCAGGAGGGCCUCGAUGGCAGCGGCAUCCGCGCACUCCGCGUCGAGUUGAGUCUCCGUCGCCCGGUUCACAUCCACGGCAUCCGGUUCCGCCUACAGGAGAGCCUAGAUGGCAGCGGCAUGCGCGCGCUCCGCGUUGGUUGAGCCUCUGCCUCCCGGUCCUCCUUUAGUGUCGCCAGGUUGAACCGCUGGUCCGCCUGCACCAUGGGGGACCCGGACGCCGGCACGAAGUCGUCGUCCAUCGUCUCAUACCCAUCGGGGGCCUUUUGCGCCGAGACCUCCGCCAUGAACAUUGGAUCGGCUUCCUCCUCCUCGUAGCUUGGCUCCAGAGAACUCAGGGAUUGGCCCGCCGCGAAGCGAGCUUGGGAAUGGAGGUAUGUGGCGCCGACCGUCGCCGCGAUUUCUGCGCGGCGCUCCGGCAUCAGCAUCUUGUAGUACGUCAUCUUGCGGUGCACCAUGGCUUUCCGGCGAACUAGGGGACGCUUGAUGCGGGCUAGGUGAUCGAAAGGUGGGGGAAUGGGCUGGAGAGUAGGUGUGGUUUUGGGGUAGUGGCUGCUGUAGGCCGAGCAGCGAAGGUUCUGGUGUGAAUAGUGGUUCCGGCCGAGCAGCGAAGGUCAAUCAGUUUUGACUGUACAUCGCUCUUGUCGCGUUCGCGUUGCACCCCAACACGCUGGACCCUCCACGUCGUCGACCGAAUGAAACGCGCUUCGUCUUGUGUUUUUGCUCGCUUGUGGGACCGCAGUUGAGAGCAAACCGACGUCCCUCCCCCUCCCCCGCCCGCGUCAUUUAUACUACCACUCCCUCUGUUUUAUGCGGAGUAAAUAAAAACAGACGGAGUAUACUACGGAUGAGGAUCCCUUGACAUGGCCGAACCCAUUGAGUAACUGACAUGCGGGGCCUAGCAAGCAUGGGGUCCGCCAGUAAGUGACCGAAAGGGAGGGUAAGGCAGGGAUACCUAUGUCAGAGGAUCCACUUCCACUACUACUCCCUACUUCCAUCUAUAGGGCCUAAUGCGUUUUUGAGGCUAACUUUAACCAAAUGUUAGAGUAAUAAUAUAUGACAUGAAACUUACACAAACCAUACGGUCAAAUUCGUAUGUGAAAGGAGCUUCCAAUGGUAUAAUUUUCACAUUAUACAUCACAUGUACUAUUAAUCUUGUCAAUAGUAAAAGGCGGUUUUGAAAAACGCAUUAGAGCAUGGUUAGUAAUAUAGCGAGUCGAUGGCUAUAAGGAACUGCCAUGCCAUCUAUAGCCAUCAUCUAUAUGCACUCAUACAAUAGUGUGGGCUAUAAGGUUGGCUAUUUACCGCAAAAAAUAAUAUAAAAGGUUGGCUAUUGUAUUAGUACUUUUUCCCGUCUCCUCUCUAUCUCUUUCUUCAUAUUUAUUGUAUUUACCUAGGAAUGCGUAUAUAGCUAGGCUCUUGCAUGAGAUCUCACUCCCCUUACUUUUUCACAUCUCUCUCCUUCACAUAGUCAAAAGUGCCAUGUAAGUUGGCUCUUAGAAUGGUUAUUAGGUUGGCUCUAAGCAUUUAAUAUUUGCAUGAGCAAGGUAUACGAUUGGAAGGCUGGUCAUAGUGGAGAGUAACUUAGACUAGUAACAUGCAUAUGUUACUAGUCUAUGUUACUACCUUCAUAGUGGGUGGUGUCAUAUGUGUGGUAACAUAGUUGGGUUCAUUUAUUACUUUGUAGACUCAAUUUGCAUCUCCUCAUUAACUACCUGCCACCUCACCAUUUUUGCUUAUGUGGCAUCUAUGUUACUACUUAUGUUACUCCCACUAUGACCAGCCGAAGAGAGUUGCAUGCAUACUAUUUUUUCUUGAUCUAUGAGCAAGGUAUAUGAUUGGAAGAGCCCGCUUCACUCUCUCUCCUCUCUUCUCACUCCUCCAGGUAGGAUUUUAAUGACAUGACAAGUCUCAUAGCCUACUGACUAGGCCUUAUUAGACUUGCUCUUAGGCCCUAUAUAAAUGGAAGGAGGGAGUACUAUGAGAUGUUGUCAGUACUCCACUAGUACUAUUGGACAGGGAGCUUAAAAAAAGUUACUAUUGGACUGGCUAUACGUGGCGAAAUCCUAGUAGGAAGAGCAUGCGCGAGAACAAGCAUAUUCACGUCGUUGAAAAAAAAUUGGAAACCAUCUCUGUUUGAAUACAAAUCUAGUAGUACGUACGAAUUUAACAAUAUUGAUUGGGUGUUGUUGAAUGUUGAUACUUUUUUCUGUAAGUUUGAUCAAAGUAGAGAUACUUUGACUACAUAAAACUUAUAUGUAAACGAGAAAGGAUCGGAGGGAGUAUAUUCUACGUUCAAAAGUGAAACGAACAUUGAAUACCCUUUAUAUAUGAUUUUCGGAUGCUAUGAACACCGGUUCAAAAUUUUGAAUCCGCCUUAGGUAUCACACAUGCACCCACUCAUUUUCUCUCGAUUUCAUCUCGGGGUCCGGAGAUCGAUUGAAACAGGACUAGGGUGGGUACAAUACGUUCGUUUCACUUAUGAACGUACAAUAUACUGCCUCCGAUACCCACAGACCCCCUCCCCCCCUCCCGCGGGUCAUCUCUAUCAUAGAAAUAGACCAAACCUUUAUCUCCUUGCACGACACACAAUUGAUCUCUCAACAUCAAUCGAUCUCGUCAAGAUGUGUCGGGGCAUGAACCAAAUGGGAUGUCAAAACUAAGACGGGAAGCGACACGUAGUGGAGGCAAAGUGAAACUUUAAAUGAACCAUUUGUUUGUAUGCAUGUCGAACAAAUUACAACAUUGGAAAUACAAGCAUGGUCUAGGCCCACAUGCGAAUGAUACUCGGUGGAAUGUUCAAAUGACGCAUGCGGGACGAUGGACUCGACCAGAGGGCAGUAUGAUCGAUGGAGAAAAGGGUUGGAGAGGAAUGAGGAAUAAGCAACGCCGCAUGAUUAUAAUUGAAUGGCUCAAAUAAACAAUAAGUUGUCUCGUUUUCCCUUCCGUCUUGGUCACGGAGUAAGAUACUCCCUCUAUUUUUAUUUACUUUGCAUAUUAGGUUUGACGGAAGUCAAACUUCAUAAAAUUCGACAAAGUUUAUAGAAAACUAGCAAGAUGCCCGUGCCUUGCACAGAACAUCAAGAUCUUGUGGGAGAAAAGGAUGAACGAGGGAAGGCCUUAUCUGCAAAUGUGGAGAGGAGUGCGAGUAAAUUGUCAUAGUUUCCUUCCUAUCCGUUAGAUAUAGAUCGGACGGCCUAUAUUGCAGGAUGGCAGGCACACCAUCAUCACCAACUCUGCUUUUUAUGUACACUAGCAAGAUGCCCGUGCGUUGCACGGAACAUCAAGAUGCAUUUGUAUGAGUAGUUUAUCUUGUUGGAGAAAAGGAAGAAUGAGGGAAGGCCUUAUUUGCAAAGUGGAGAGGGGUGUGGGUAUCUUUUUGCAAAAUUGCCAUAGUUUCCUUCCUAUCGGUCAGAUAUAAAUCGGACGGACUCUUAUAAAAAACAGAGUUGGUGAUGAUGGUGUGCCUGCCAUCCUGCAAUAUAGGCCGUCCGAUUUAUAUCUGACGGAUAGGAAGGAAACUAUGGCAAUUUUGCAAAAAGGUACCCACACACCUCUCCACAAUUGGAAAUAAGGCCUUCCCUCAUUAAUCCUUUACUCUGACAACAUAAACUAGUCAUACAAAUGCAUCUUGAUGUUACGUGCAACGCACAGGCAUCUUGCUAGUAAGAGUAGAAAUAUGAACAUUUACAAUAGCAAAUAUAUAUAUGUUAUUAUUUCUGUCUAUGAACUUUGUCAAAGUUUAGAAAGUUUGACUUUGAGCAAAGCUAAAAUGCGGAGUAAAUAAAAGCAGAGGGAGUACGCAGGGACUAGUAUAGUUACUACAGCCGGAACAUGGUAAGUUGGACCCCUAAAUGCGGGCACGCACCGGGCACACCUCAAUUAUUCUUUCAAAUAGUCGGACACGUACAUUUAGCACACCAUCCGGCUACUUAAUAAAGUGUUAUGCUUCACUACUUGAAAAGGAAAACGGUGGUACCGUACCCAAAACCACCACACUUGGGGCUAGGGUAACAACUUGGUACUGUACCACAUUUGAACCAGGGCACAAAAACCACCUGUUAUGCGCCUAAUGUGCAAUGUGGAGCACUGACACUCAAAUAUGGCCGGGAAAACAGGGAAACUGACAUGUGGGGCACACCUGUCGGGACGACGUGGCGCAGACUAGUCCAAUGGAGGAGUUGGCCCACGACCUCCUCGCCACCGGCAACCGUUCAUGUGGGUCGUGGGGGCCAGCAACGUGGCGCAGCUCCAGCACCGCCUCUAGACAGGGCGACCGCGGUGAGUGACACGCUCAUCGUCGCUGGACACGGUCGGUUUUAGUGUGCCGAGGGUGGCAUUAGCACUGUGGAUGACCAACAGAUCAACACCCGUCUCGUCGAGGAUGCACGGGGCGCCGAAGUGCGCGUGCGCCGCGACGCAUCCACGGAGUGGUGUAGCACGGCCAACUGCAUCCCCAGGACCUGAGACCAUGCCGGGUUGUCUUGCUUUUUCAAUGACAUGUGGUGUCGCAUGUGAGCAAAGGGCAUCUCCAACGUUGCCACGACCGCAUCUGACCACCCUGGCACACCAAAAACCCUCGUCCCUCGUGCCAUCGCGCGGUGCGUUCCCAGCCGGCGCCAGCUCCCCGCAUUCAUGCCGUCCGUCCGUAUGCCGUCGUUAACAGGCUCGAUGCCCUAGGAACAAACUUCGGUGACUUAAUGACAUGCCCGGAUGCUUUGGCCUCACCGGAAUGCGCUACUUAAAGCGGCAAUGCCCAGCUAACCUGCACACCAUAGCACAUCGUCCUGCUACCUGGCACCGCAUCCGCCAUGACCGCGAGCGGGAACGCUCUAUGGGAGAGCUUUGUCUUCGGGGAUGAAGCUUGAGGUCGCCGCCCUCACUCAAGUCGCUGCUCGCGACAAAAUAGUGGCAUAGCCGGACACGGACGCGACCACACAAGCGGUGGCCACGAUGGCGGCCGACGAUGGGAGCAUCGUCAGCCACGUGUCCUACUUGCUGCCGCCAACUUCCGGCACCGCCGAGGUCGGGGACUCCUCCGAGGAUGAGUAGGGCAUGGGAGGUGGUAGGGCAUGGUGUGCCAACUGGCCGGUCCGUCUCCCGUGUUCUACUCUUCCUCGCCGAAGACUGCACCUUCAUCUUGAACCCCGCCACCGUACAUGGAGAUCGCAGAUGGAGGACAUCGGUCGCCGCCGUAGAAUAGGUUUAGGGUUGGGUUUCUUUUAUUUUUUUGUCCUAUAAAAGUUCGAAAUGUAAUGAAAAUCUGCCAUGUUUGCAUUAAUCUCGGCCGGUGUAUAUGAACUUUCACAAUAAUAUAGUAUAUUGUAGGAGUGCUGGCAAGAUGCCCGUGCGUUGCACGGAACAUCAAGAUCUUGUGGGAGAAAAGGAUGAACAAGGGAAGGCCUUAUCUGCAAUUGUGGAGAGGAGUGCGGGUAAAUUGUCAUAGUUUCCUUCCUAUCUAUUAGAUAUAGAUCAGACGGCCUAUAUUGCAGGAUGGCAGGCACACCAUCAUCACCAACUCUGCUUUUUAUUGAACCGAGAUAAAGCUAACAUGCAAAGUAAAUAAACACAUAGGGUCUACAUACACAAUUUAUCUUAGGCACUCCAAUAGUACGUCCACUACACAUUCACGCAUUUCACAUCUUUCUACAUCUAUGGGAACGUAAAUUACCUCUCUCUCUCCUCCCUGAUUUUCAUGGUGGUGGGCCCCUCCACCCCCCAAUCUACAAUCAACAGCUCACAUGUUUCACAUUACGUUAAUAACGUAACUGGGAUUAUGUAGGUGUAGCAUUACUCGUCCAAAAAAACCAACUAAGCCAAUCUCCCAGCAUAUCGCACGGGAAAAGACCCGGCCACGCAGUUUUAGUCGGGAUUACCGGAUUACUAGUAGUAGUACCGGUGGAUCGCGCGAAGCACCAAGUUUUUUUUGAGGGGGCGAAGCACCUAGUUUAAAAGGAAAAGGGGGUACACUCACAACACCCCUGUCACGGUCGCACUACACCCCACACACGUUCGGUCCUGCACAUGGCUCACGCAAACGGAACGCGCUUCGGCUUGCCUCUUCACUGACACGUGGGACUGCACUUGGAGAAACCAACCAUGCNNNNNNNNNNNNNNNNNNNNNNNNNNNNNNNNNNNNNNNNNNNNNNNNNNNNNNNNNNNNNNNNNNNNNNNNNNNNNNNNNNNNNNNNNNNNNNNNNNNNNNNNNNNNNNNNNNNNNNNNNNNNNNNNNNNNNNNNNNNNNNNNNNNNNNNNNNNNNNNNNNNNNNNNNNNNNNNNNNNNNNNNNNNNNNNNNNNNNNNNNNNNNNNNNNNNNNNNNNNNNNNNNNNNNNNNNNNNNNNNNNNNNNNNNNNNNNNNNNNNNNNNNNNNNNNCCUUCGGCCAACUAGCUAAUAAUAUUCCCCAACCCCCCCUCCACUCCAUUCGCUCCGCCAAAGCUGCCGUCCCCGUCGCGCUGAUACAUCGACGCCGCGGUUCAUCGAGGGGACGCACGGCGAUCCUCUCGCUCCCACAGUACGCUCUCAUAGACUGCCGUCGUUGAGCCGCGUCGCCACCGCUGGCGACGUUCUUGUGGAGGCGCAAGGCGGUCAGCGCCGCCACCGCUGGCGACAUUCGUGUGGAGACGCACGGCGGUCAGCUUCUCCCACGGUACGUGCAUUCUAGACAGAGGCCCCGUGCAUGUCGGUGUAGCGCUGAAUGUUAGCUGACAGACGUUGUUAAUCUCACUGUUUUCCGAAUUAGUUUACUAUCAAUAUGCUCUGCUUAAGAAGCUUGCUUGCCCUGUUCUGCACUCUGCUUAGCUGAGAUGGCAUGCCAAGCCCGAUUAGUUGCUAAAAUAUCAUGCCAUAUAUUUAUUGUGACGUAGAUUGACAUGGUCUAGUAGCCAAUUUGUUAGGUGGAAUAGCUCUACACCGUUUUAUACUCGAUCUUUGUUCGUGGCUGUGUGCUCGGCCUCAUUGACUGCUGAAACUGCCUGCCAUAAUUUAGCACUCAAAUCUGUUUGCUGAAUUAGCUUUAAAUAUAUUUCAUUACUUAGAUCUGCUCGUCCAAAUAUCUUGCCAUAGCUCUAGACAUCGACCUAGGUAUUUUUUUCAGACUUCAUAAAAAAAGCAUAUAUGUUUUUCCUGUAAUAUCUAGUAGAAGAACUAAUUUGUAUGUCUAACAGAUGGACAUGACUUGGAUAACUUAUGCUCCAAGAUUCUCCCCUGCAUAUGUCGAGGGGGUUGAAAACUUCAUGAACUUUAUCAGAGCUGAGUACGGUGGUCCGAAAUCAGAUGUGCUCUGCCCGUGUAGCAGCUGUAUGAAUUCAGUUACAAGACCCCGGUCAACUGUGCAAAAUCAUCUACACUUGUAUGGGAUGUAUGGUGAAGCUGUGAGCGUCAAUGUUAGUGACUACGUGGAAGCAGCAGAUCACCAUCUUGAUCUGCCUGAUGCUCAGUUGGAAGAGGAGGAGGAGGAGGUGGUGGUGGCGGAGCUAGUGAGUUUGACCAACAUUGAAACAACGCUACGAAAUGCUCGUGCAUUUCGUGAAGUUUCACCUGCAGAAGAAAAAUGGUGGGCCCGCAUGUUGGAACAAUGCAACGUGGCUGUCACCCAGGAAAUAAGCUAUCAUUUUCUCAGCUAUGGUCACCUUUCUUCAGGUGAAGACAUCUGAGCGGACGACCAACAAAUCAUUCGAUGCGAUGUUGGAUGCUUUCCGCAAAGCUUUCCCAGAUGCAUCUGAGCUGCCACACACCUACAGUAAAAUGAAGAAUUUCCUUGGUGCAGUUGGAAUUGGAUAUGAUAUGAUCCAUAUUUGUAAGAAUCAUUGUGUUCUGUUCCUGAAGGAUUAUGCCAACUUAAGUGAAUGCCCGAAAUGCAAAUCAUCAAGAUGGAAAGAUGGCGAUGCUGUGAAGAGGAUUCCUCAUAAUGUUCUGAGACAUUUUCCAAUUACACCAAGAUUGCAGAGGUUGUUUCAUGAUGCUGAAACAAGUGAGGAUGUACUGUGGCAUUCUAGGAACUAGGAGUACAUAGAUCAGAAUGUAAUGAGCCAUCCAUCACAUGGUAGUGAGUGGAAAAGCUUCAAUCAGAAACACAAAAAGUUUGCUGCUGACCCGAGAAACAUUAGACUUGGCUUAGCUUCAGAUGGAUUUAACCCAUUUGGCCACCAGAGCGCCACAUAUAGCAUGUGGCCAGUGCUUGUUAUCCCUUACAACAUGCCUCCAAAUGUCUGCACCAAAGAAUCAAACUACAUGAUGGCCUUGCUCAUCCCAGGUCCAAAAAGUCCUGGAAACGAUUUUGAUUUAUUCAUGGAGCCUCUUGUGGAGGAACUUCAACAGCUAUGGAGGGGUGUUCUCACUCGAGACCUAUAUAGCAGCCCACCAGCUGAUUUCUUUUUGCGUGUUGUUAUAAUUUGGUGCAUCCAUGAUUAUCCGGCUUUGUGCACUAUGUCAGGGCGAACGACACAUGGUUACAAUGCAUGUGUUCGUUGUGACAGAAAUCCGCUAUCAUAUGCAAUACUUAGCAAGAUCUGUUACAUUGGACACCGCUAUUUCCUUGCCAAGGACAAGCCAUGUCCUACAAAAUACCGAACACAUGUAUUCAAUGCAAAGCAUGAAAACCACAAUGCGCCAAAGAGGCUCACCACCGAUGAGUUGCAAAUGGAAUUAGAGAAGGUCAGGCAUAUUACACCAGGAAAUCAUCCUGGCAAUGGUAGCGGAAAAAGGAAGCGUGGCAGGGCAGAAGAGAGAUUAUUGUUUACCCGCAGGUGGGACUUGGAGUAUUGGAAAGAUUUGGAUCUGCGGCAUAAUCUUGAUGUGGUGAACAUCGAGAAAAUAUAUGUGAUAGCAUUAUCGGCACACUUCUUAAUAUUGAAGGCAAGACGAAAGAUACCUUAAAAUCUAGGAUUGAUUUGACACACCUCGGUAUCAGAAACGAUUUCCAGGUGGAAGAUGAAGGUAAACCACGGGAUAUGGCACUAGUUGUGUACGUCUUGGACAAGGUAAAAAGAAAAGAAUUCUGCGAGGUCCUGUCACGUGUGAGAUUCCCACAUGGAUUUCCUUCCAACCCUGAAAUGGGAGUCAGUGCAGAUGGAAACAAGGUACAAGGGUUGAAAACUCAUGGCUGCCACGUCCUACUUCAAAUGGUUUUACCUGUUAUCCUUAGAGGAUUGGGCCGCCCUGACUUAUACAGAGCAGUUGCAGAGUUGGGACAAUUCUUCAGAGACAAGAUACCAACUAUCCUAUGCAACCUUGAGAAGAUAUAUCCUCCAGCCUUCUUUGAUGUGAUGGUGCAUUUGGUUGUUCAUCUACGUGAUGGGGCACUACUUACAGGUCCAGUAUAGUAUGCCUAGAUGUACCCUAUUGAAAGGUGGCUAGGCACUUUCAAGGGCUAUGUUAGGAAUAGAGCUAGACCCGAGGGUCCCAUUGCAGAGGCCUACAUUGCUAUAGAAGCGUUGAUUCUGCUCAAAAUACAUUGAAAUAGUUGAUCAGCUCAGCAAAGAGGUGAGUGAGGACAAUCCCGGGCUCAAUUUUUUCGAUUAUUCUGUUCGAGUUAUAGGGAAGAGUCGACAAGAGGACAAACCUAAAGAUUUGGACAAAAUGGUUUGGUAUGUGUUGAAUAACUAUCCUGAGAUACUACCUUAUAUCAAGUAAGUGCUAAGUACUGUAGCUUAUACAUCAUAAUCUACUAAACUUGCAAUACAUUCUUAUAUAUUUAGAUGUUUGACGUGAUCACUAUGUUGUUCAACAUCUACAAAAAGGAGUUACUGCCGCAAUUUCAAAGAAACAUUGACAAACUGGUUAUGGCAGGAUUUACGAAAUGGUUCAAGAGACAUGUAAGCUUUUGAAUUGCACUAUCGGUUUUUUAAUAUAUUGAGUACAUAAGAUGAUCAGCUUGUCUAUUUUCCUGUCAAAAGAUGUUGUUUUAUCUACUAUGUGAAAUUGUGUUUGCUAUGACAACUGAAACCUGAUGAACGUGUUGUUUAGUACUUUGCUGUGAGAAUAUCACUUGUUAUGAAUGUUCAUUUGUGUUUGGUGAUUGUAUGACGACUAAAACAUGAUGACAUUGUUGUUUAGUUGUACUGAUAUUUGGCUGUGAAACUUGAAUUUGAUGACAUAGUUUGCUAUUGGACUACAAUUUGCUCAACGUCUUCGAAUGGGAACAAAGCUGACCUGACAGGGCCUCUGCUAAUUUAUUUAUUUAUUACCAAAAGGGCAUAUGCUAUUUAUUUAUUUAGGAGCAAAAGGGGAUACCACCGAUUUCUAUUAAUAGAAAUCAUUAGAUGUUCACAACACUAUGCCCAGCCUGCUACACAGGUUUCAUUCAUUACUAGUUUCAGCAAAGUGCUCACGUCAUGGCCACUGAAUACAUCACGUGUGCUACCUACACUUCAAAUAAAGAGACAAUCAUCCUACAGAGCACAUCGAUUUUGCCCAUUAUCUUCACAAGCUCUUUCAUCUCCUCAUUGCUGUCAAGGUCGUUCCGCAGCUGUCGCUUGGCCAUGAUCAGAGGAACUGCAUCUUUAACCGUCUGCUCUGCAUCUUCGUCUUCUGUCGUUCCUUCAGUUACUUGUCCAACACCCCAACCUGCUGGUAUUGGGAUUCCAAGGCUAACCAAAUAAUCAGCGUAGUUGCGUUCCCCCACAUAAGAAACUUCCUAGAAAUACAAAUCACAUGAAUCUUCCCUUUUAUGCACGAAUCAAAUUGGAAGAUCAUGAACAACUAUUAAAAAAAUCAGCAACUGAAAGCAGCAGAACAACACUUAAACAUAUUAUUACCCCAUGAUUCGGGCAUUUGUAGAAGACUCGGCCAGGGUUGAGAAUUGUGGUUGAGACGUGACGGAUGACUCUAUGUGAUUUGCAGUAGUGGCACCACACCAACGGCAGCAUGUUGCAAUGAGCAACCAGCUGCAGUGCGUGUGCCGGCGGGGGUACCGGUGGUGACUUGGUGCAUAUCUGGUUUUUGCCUGCUGAAGAGCAGGUGGACGAGCAGCCAGCGGACAUGGUUGCUGCGGCCAGAGCUUCUGAUGCUAGACAAAGUAAGUAGAGAAGAGGAGAAGCGAACGUUGGAUAUGUUAGUUUUAUUACUUGCAGAGUAGCAUAGCACGAUAUAUAGUCAUAGUCUAGGUUUGGAUUCGAACCAGCUACAGGAGCACGUGUCUCUUUUCUCUAAAACUCAGCAAUGUCUCUUUACUGGUACACUAGCUUGUUCUAUACACCUUCUCAAGUCUUUGAUUUUCUUUCUCUUUUUUGCGAGGAAGGAAGGAGGACAAAAUUGAGAGUUACUGGGACUCGAACCCAAGACCUCUCGGUUGAAAACCAAGGGUGCUAGUCACUUAUGUGGCGAACGUUCCCUAGGAGGAGGACGGCAGACGAACGCAUUUUCCUCGCAAUUUUAGUUGCGACGCAAGAUCGAACGAUCGCAGUUUCGGGAAUGUUAUCAGGCGAACGAGCCCAGUUUUUCCUUUCUUCCUAUAUAUAAAAAAGUAUGCUACUUGGUGUCCGCUUAGUCAACAAAUGAUUGUGCCAACCUUGACCGUUGGAUUCACAUUCAAUGUAUGUCAUGUUUCUUCAGUCUCUUCUUCCUCCAGCCGCCAAAGCCAAACCAGCACCGGCGGGACCGCCUGCUCCCGCCUCCCACGGCUGGCACUGCUGCCGUGCACGCAUCAUGGCCACAUCGCACCCUAAAACUAUGCGCAUCUUCCCCAGCUCCUAUUCGUUCCCGUCCGAGGCCUCACCAUUGUCCUCCGCCUUGAUUCGCUCGCUGCGGCGCCGCCCUCCGGUGUUGUCAACAUGGUCAACAACCGAGAGGAAUAAGGAGAUGACUGUACAUGGUGAGGAUGACAGUAGGGACCCACCAGCGCGCGCAGUAAUUUUGUUUUUUCGGGACGGAGAAGGGUAUCAACUGGGUUGUUCGGGAGCUGUGGCCCAUCUAGCACAUGACCAGCCCAGUUUGUUUUUUGCAGAAUAAGCAACGUAGGCCUACUUGUUUUUCUACGCCCUGCUGUGCCGAAAAUCUUUCAAGACGAGGAGGGAUGCAUUUUGCCCAGAAAAUGGGCUAUAAGUUAUAAUAAGAAAUUGGCUAUAAGUAAUAUUAAAUGGGCUAUAAAAUGAAAAAAUACAGCAAACAUGCAAUUAUUUCCAAAAUACUUUUUUCUUUCAUAUUUUGAUAACUAAAUUUCAUUGUUUUUGUGCCGGUAAAAUUUCAUUGGAUUUAAAUUAAGGUAUGUUUACUUUUUAAAUUAAUUUGAAUCUGGCUAGAAAUUUCGGCCUGUAUGCUAUUUAGGACAGAUUUGGAGGUUGACUUGUGGGUCUACUAUUUAGGACGAAAGGCUUUGUCAACUUAGUCCACAAACGAUUCUAGCAGCAGUGACCAUUGGAUGUUAAUCCAAAGGCCGUGCUGCUUCUUCAAUAUCUGAUCUUCUUGCUCCAGCCGCCCAAACCAGCACCGGUGGGACUGCCUGCUCCCGCCUCCCUUGGCCGGCUGUGCUGCCGCACAGGCCGCACCGCCCCCACCCUACUCCAUUGCUGGCCAGGCCAUUCCUCUACUCACCCACACCUCCUGUUAUUUUCUGGCGACGGCAGCCGGACCAGUAAACCCUCGUACUCCCUACCGUGUGGGCAACCACUGUCGAGUCUUCCCCGGCUCCGUGUCGUUCCCUUCCUAGGCCUCGCCAUCGUCCACCGCCCUGGUGCUCUCGGCGCACCGUGGUCAGCGAACGACAUCCAACGGACGUGGACUGUACGUGGAGAGGCUGACAGCUGGGUCCACGGCCGCACACAAGGAAUGCCUCCUUAUUAGGCGCAAAAUAAUGAUUCCUCCACCUGACAUCUGCGACCCACCGGAAGGGCCUCUGUAUUUCACGAAAAAACGUUCCCCCGCUCACAGGUCGGACCCACCAGCUAUAUCUUCGCACGCAAGGAAGUGCCUCCUUAUUACGCACACAAAAAUGUAUACUCCCCCUGCUAGCUGGGACCCAGCAUAGUGGGAGGCUGACAUAUGGGCCUACUAAGUUGACGGGGACGGAGGGCUUUGUCAACUUAGUCAAUAUGAACGAUUCUAGCUCCAGUGACUGUAUGAUGUCCAUCCAACGGUCGUAGUGCUUCUUCAACCUCUGGUCUUCUUGCUCCAGCUGCCCAAAGCAGCGCCGGUCGUGCCGCCUGCUCCUGCCUCCCAUGGCCAGUUGUGCUACCGCGGAGGCCUCACUGCCCCCUACUACUCCCACCUCUAGCCAGGCCCUGUGGCGACGGCAGCCUCACACCGCAGCCGAACCAGUGAACCCUCAUUCUCCUCUCCGCGUGGGCAUCCACUGCCGCGUCUUCCCCGGCUCUGCGUCAUCCCCUUCCUAGGCCUUGCCGUCGUCCACCGCCUUGGUGCUCUCGGCGCGGCGUGGUCAAUGUGGUCAACGAACGACUUCCAUCGGAAGAGUACUGUACAUGGAGAGGCUGACAGCUGAGUCCACGGCCGCAGCAAGGAAGUGCCUCCUUAUUACACGGAAAAUAAUGAUUCCUCCACCUGACAGCAGGGACCCACCGGACAGGCCAUCGUAUUUCAUGAAAAAAAUGUUUCCCCCCUGACUACUGGGACCCACCAGCUACAUCUUCGCACGCAAGGAAGUGCGUCCAUAUUACGAGCAAAAAAAUGAUUCGCCCCUGACUGCUGGGACCCACCAGCUACAUCUUCGCACGCAUAGAAGUGCCUCAUAGUCGGGACCCACCUUGUCGAAGCAUACGUAGCGUUGUCAUUCUGGUCGCGAACGUGUCCGCACAUACUGUUGGAUGUAGAGGCGCGCACGUGUCAUAGUAGAGGCGCACACGUAGCAUGUACACGUACAUACAGCGGCCAGGGUGCAAGAAAGAAAAUACAGCCACAUAUGUACAUACGGGCGGGGUCUCGAACGCCUACUCGCUCAUACGUACGGUCAGGGCUUGUGAACAUGGCUGGGUCAGAACGGAGAAACUGCGUCGUUGUCGUGUUCAUGGGGAGGAAACGGAAUGCGUCGUGUUCAUCGGGAGGCAACGGAACGUGUGCUCUUCAUCGGGAGCCAACCGGCUUGGACGGAAAAGCCGAUGGAAGCGAGGCCUGGCGUACCGCAGAACGGAGGAAACGGCCUUGUGUUCGACCGGCCACGGUCGAAACAGAAUCCUAUUCAUCGGGAGGGGUCUGGCGUACCGCAAAACAGAGGAAACGGAUCUCCUACGAUCGAAACGGGAUCCUGUUGAUCGGGAGGGGUGUGGCGUACCACAAAAUGAAGGAAAGGGACUUGUGUUGGAGCGUUACGGUCGAGACGGGGGUCCUGUUCAUCGGGAGGGGUGUGGCAUACCGCAAAACGGGACUCCACGGGAUACUGUUCAUCUCCACCGUCGACUGCCUCCACGGAAUAUUGUUCAUCUCCACCGUCGACUGCCUCCAUGGGCUACUGUACAUCCACCGUCGACCUCCUCCAGCCUCCACCUGCGACUAUUUAUCCACGGGCUCCUGUUCAUCCAGCCUCCACCGCGCACUCCUCCACCGGCUACUGUUCAACCAGCCCUCUCCAGGGGGGUCCUGUUCAACUACCCCUCCAUGGGCUACUGUUCAUCCAGCCCUCCACCGGCUACUGUUCAACGAGCCCUCCACGGGGUCAUGUUCAUCCAGCCCUCCACGGGGUCCUGUUCAUCCACCGGCUCGAUCGAUCAGGGUACUGUUCAUCCAGCGGCAAUGGCCUCUACUACCACGAGGUCCUGUUCAUCCAACCCCCUACCGGGAACUGUUCAUCCAACCCCCCCCCCCAACAACGCUCACUGUUCAUCCAGAGGCAGCAUCGAUCGACUUUAGUUAGCAGCAGUAGCGAAGGAAUCACUCGGGUUCAGUUAACAGCAAUGUAUCGAUCGAUCGCUCGGGUUCAGUAACGCGUAGCCUGUAGUGCAAUCGCCCAGGUUCAGUUAGAGCCCAACGCCUCGCUCGGGUUCAGUUAGAGCGCAACGCCUCACACACACGUGCGUACAUACGAGAGAAACGCGCAUCGCUCAGCCCCCGACCACCCAACGUAACUGGGACUCCCCGAUAUUUUCCUCGCCCUCGCUUCUACCACGGUUUUUUCCAUCAUGGACGGCCCAAAGAAUGUCAUGCAGCUGCGUCUCCGGCCCGCCCAGGAUGAAAAGCCCAUUUUCUGUCAUGAUUUUGUGUCAUAGAAGUAGGACCCCACCACAUCUAUGAUGAUACCGGGUGUUUUCACAAUUAUCGUCAUAGAAGUGUCAUAAGUAUGACGGAAUUUUUUUUCGUUCGGCCCAAAAUGUCAUGGAUGUGUCUUUUUUUUGUAGUGCAUGGGGAGGGAGAGAGGGCGUGUUUGUGAUAGAGAGAUCCCCUCGAGAUCGUGAGGGGACUAUAUGGGUGGGAGAUCGAGGGACGAGGUGCGUGCGCGAUAGAAAGAUGCCCCGAGAGAAAUCGAGAUAGACUGCACAUGUUUGUGAUGGAGACUAAGAUUAGCUAGUCACAUACAUAUAGGGGGGCUGCGUGUGCCUACAAUUGAGUGAGAGACCAUCAUACUUGGCUAGGCAUGAGAUUGUGUGUGUGUGCGUGUGAGAUGGAGAGAGAAUGAGGGAGAGAGAUAGAGUUUUAGAUCGGUGUAUCGAGUGCGAGUGAGAUAUGCAUGUGUAUGUGUGACCCAGGGAGAUGGAGAGUUUGAGAGAGCCAGAGGGAAGAGCUCCGAGACGACAGAGUGGUGCGUGAGAGAGUUAUGGGCAACGAGCCAAGGAAUUUAUGUGUGUACGAUGAGUGCACCCAAGAUAUUUAGCUUGGACUAGAGAAUCAUACAUAGUGUGCGAGAGAGACCUAUAGAUGGAGUAUAUAUGCAUGCGAACUAGAAAGACCCCCCCACACACACACAAAGAGAGAGAGAGAGAUAUGGAGAGAGAGGGAGAGGGGCCAACAAGGUUUGUGUGUUGGAUGCGUGUGACAGAAUUGAAGAUUGUCGGCGAGAGACAGAGCAGGAGUCCGGGAGAGGGGGAGGUCGCGUUUUAUGCAUCAAAGACUGAUAUAAACCAUGUUUCGAUAUAAAAUUGCAUUCAAAUAUUUAAAUUGAAGAACAUGUUGUCUGCAAUCCACACAUGAAUCGAGAUCUGCGUAUAUCAAACAAGUUCAUUAAUUUAACUUUCAACAUGUUCAUGGAGUACUAUAAUACUGUACAACAUGCUACUCGAUUGAGGUGUUCAAUUUUGGAUUUAGUUCACUAUUUUGACCUUGUGAAUGAGCUAUUUCAUUGAAUUGAGAUAUUUCAUUUUGGGUUUGAUUCCGGUUUUUGAGUGGGUCAACUAUUUGUCAUAUAGUAAAUCGUUAGCAACGAGCAUGUAAAAACACAUUACUCCCGAGCAUCAACUUUCCAUCUAAAAAAGAAGUGGCAAGCUAAUAUUUCAAAAUUUGAUUCGAAUUGACUUGGUAAGGUAGACGUGGAUGCUCGUUCUCCCAAAAUUUGAACGAACCGUUAAACACCCUCUGCUUUGUGGAAUUCGCCCGAGAAAAUAAAUGGGAGACAUGAAAUUACCGACCUAUGUGGGACACACAUGAAUUGGCCCGUUGUACAUCGAGGGUAGGUUCGUAACUUCAUCCAAGCGUGCCUUCUCCUCGGCCGAAAUGACAUGUGCCGAAUAAUUCAUAAACCAUGGUCGGCAAAACACCCUCUCCUCGCCUGAAAUAGCUCGUGCCCACUAUUUCAAAACACGCUCUCCUCGCCUGAAAUCGCUCGCGCCCACUAUAUUUCAAAACACGCCCUCCUCGCCCGAAAUCGCUCACACCCACUAUAUUUCAAAACACGCCCUCCUCGCCCGAAAUCGCUCGCGCCCACUAUUUGGGAGAAGCAAAGUUACUGUACUAUCCCCAACCCUCAGUACACAGACCCAAGCCGUGAAGCCUAAAGGCAUGGGUAGAACUGUAACUCCCCCCACAUUUCAGACAAAUGCGUCCGUAAGACAUGGUUCCACUCCCCUCCCAAUUCCCCAUUCAUACCUCGUGGGCGCCAAAUCACCUUUUCCCCAGAAGCUCCCUUCUCCUGAGCCGCGAGACCUCAGCCCCUCCUCCAUGGCGCCCCCACCGCACCAAAUUCACAGCCGCCCUCCUCCCUAAUGCCGGAGACACUGUCCAUUUGCCAUCGUGCACUGGGCCUUGUGCCUCUUACUCCGUGCUGCUAGAGCUGCCUCGACGACGGCCGCGUGAACAGUACGGGAGCCGAUUCACCCCCGCCGUUCUUCACGGCGCCGGAGCGUCUCCAACUUCGGAUCCGUCCAGUGUCCCAGCGCUGCUUCCCCGUAGCCGUAAACCGUCACGACAUCUCUGCUUCCCUGUCGCCGGUAGCCACCGCAACCGCGCGGGCCUCACUGACUCGGCAGCUGGAGCUGCCUACUUCACCGGACCGCGAGAUAGGUCGCACCCUCAUCUCAAAUCACUUUAUUUAGGCGUCAGUUGUCUGAAUUUUUAUUCCGGGCCAAUAGAUUCCCAAUGGGAAGCAGCACCCCUCAAGGCGGCGGAGCUCCUAAGCUGCCGGUUGGCUGGUGUCUAACGUAAGGGUGCAGGGGCGCAAGUUCGCCGCGGAAGCAGCGCUUAGAUGGCUAUCUUAGAGUUGCGUGGGUUGAAGGUACUGCCGCCGCCGGAUCUGGAUGACGGCGAGUCUUUGUGGACUGGCCCAGGGGAGGCGCAACCACGGCAGUUUGGUGUGGCGGGGAGCAGGGUUUUGGCUAGGACCACGGACAGCAGAGGCAGGAUGCUCUGCCGGUGGUCGCUGGCUCUUCGGGGAAGAUUCUGAACAAUGUUAGCCGGGAGGCACAAGACGGGCAUCAAGCCAUCCGGCGUAGGUCGGACAGUACCAAAAUAAAAUAAAAUCAUGUGACCCCAAUUUAGUCUUCAGUCAACAGACGUGUGACCACUCUCGUACCUUGUUGUUCAUCUCUUAGGGUAUUUCUUCAGAUCAGGGAGAUGUGUCGUUCUAAACAUUAUGUGUUUUCUGCAUCUUCAGCCACACCAACUUCCGACUCACCGCAGCUGCUCCAACAAGGGAAGCAUACACCAGAAGGGAGCUAUAGUCCCCACUCAACAGUUCCCUGCAUCGAAUGCGCGUGCUCGAUAUGGAUAGCCACAACAAUGGCAGGGCCAUCGACAAGUCGGCACAUGAUGCUCAGUCCAAUGGAUGGCGGCCAGAUAGUUUGUACCCUCAUCUUACUUGUGUGCAACAUUUAUGGCUUUGUUAUUGACCUAAGCAUGGAAAAUAGAUUAUCAUAUUUCACUGUAUAUUCAUGCUGAUCUCUUACGGGUCUUGUUCAGGAGUUAAUGUUGUUCCAUAGUUCAGCUAAGAGACUUGUUCUUUAGGUAACAUUGUUCCAUAGUUAUCAUCCAUCAGCCAAUGCUAUCCCACAGGCUAGUGAUUAUAGUAUUAUACCACUUCUAGUAUUACCUAUGUUGUUCUUUAAUACUUUUGUGUGUCAUCUAGUUAAUCUCGAGUAGAAACGAUACAUAUUCUGUAGGUUUCAUCUGUGUUCUCCCUUUAGUUUUGGAGACUUGUUGCUGCUAGUUAACCCCAGUCCUACUAUUUAUGUCGUCUCCUAUAGGCACUCAUUACAUAAAUCUAACUACUAGUUGUCUUCCAUGCAUGUCAGAUAUAAUUGCACACACUGAUUUAUCCACAAGAACCUCGCGGAGAAAUUUAGCGGCAACCAAACUUGACGUCAAUGAUACCCAAUAUGAUGGAACAUGUAAAGGCUAUUCUUCAUGAGACUUGCAGAAAGAUGAUGAAUCAUAUUCACCCCACAAGGUCCUUGCUCUAACUUGGCCCUUGAUAUGGCUACAACAUGCAUAUAACACUGCAAAAAAAACACUUCCGUGAUGAUACGUGUUUGUCACAGUCACUACUGAAAUCAGCUAAUUUGCCAUCUGCCAGCUCUUUGCCGUCUGCUAGCUGACGGCAAAGAAGCUCUUUGCCAUCAGCUACUCAAAAGCAGACGGCAAAGAAACGGCAGACGGCAAAGAAGCUCUUUGCCAUCUGCGAGCUCUUUGCCGUCCGCCAGCAGACGGCAAAGAGAGAGGUGGCCCCCACCCCCCGCCCGUUUGGAAAAAACUUAACGGCCCACCUCUUUGCCGUCUGCCAGCAGACGGCAAAGAGGCAAAAGGGCGGACGACAAAGAGAGGCGGACAGCAAAGAGGACACUACCUAACGGCUCGUACCCCCCCGCCCGUUACUCUGUUCUCUCCUCGCCGAGCCCCGCCACCACUUCCCACCCCACCGCCGCCGCCGCCGCCCGCCGCGCGGCNNNNNNNNNNNNNNNNNNNNNNNNNNNNNNNNNNNNNNNNNNNNNNNNNNNNNNNNNNNNNNNNNNNNNNNNNNNNNNNNNNNNNNNNNNNNNNNNNNNNNNNNNNNNNNNNNNNNNNNNNNNNNNNNNNNNNNNNNNNNNNNNNNNNNNNNNNNNNNNNNNNNNNNNNNNNNNNNNNNNNNNNNNNNNNNNNNNNNNNNNNNNNNNNNNNNNNNNNNNNNNNNNNNNNNNNNNNNNNNNNNNNNNNNNNNNNNNNNNNNNNNNNNNNNNNNNNNNNNNNNNNNNNNNNNNNNNNNNNNNNNNNNNNNNNNNNNNNNNNNNNNNNNNNNNNNNNNNNNNNNNNNNNNNNNNNNNNNNNNNNNNNNNNNNNNNNNNNNNNNNNNNNNNNNNNNNNNNNNNNNNNNNNNNNNNNNNNNNNNNNNNNNNNNNNNNNNNNNNNNNNNNNNNNNNNNNNNNNNNNNNNNNNNNNNNNNNNNNNNNNNNNNNNNNNNNNNNNNNNNNNNNNNNNNNNNNNNNNNNNNNNNNNNNNNNNNNNNNNNNNNNNNNNNNNNNNNNNNNNNNNNNNNNNNNNNNNNNNNNNNNNNNNNNNNNNNNNNNNNNNNNNNNNNNNNNNNNNNNNNNNNNNNNNNNNNNNNNNNNNNNNNNNNNNNNNNNNNNNNNNNNNNNNNNNNNNNNNNNNNNNNNNNNNNNNNNNNNNNNNNNNNNNNNNNNNNNNNNNNNNNNNNNNNNNNNNNNNNNNNNNNNNNNNNNNNNNNNNNNNNNNNNNNNNNNNNNNNNNNNNNNNNNNNNNNNNNNNNNNNNNNNNNNNNNNNNNNNNNNNNNNNNNNNNNNNNNNNNNNNNNNNNNNNNNNNNNNNNNNNNNNNNNNNNNNNNNNNNNNNNNNNNNNNNNNNNNNNNNNNNNNNNNNNNNNNNNNNNNNNNNNNNNNNNNNNNNNNNNNNNNNNNNNNNNNNNNNNNNNNNNNNNNNNNNNNNNNNNNNNNNNNNNNNNNNNNNNNNNNNNNNNNNNNNNNNNNNCCGAGACCCCGACCCCGACACGGCACCCCGAGACCGACACGACACCCCGACCCCCGACACCUCCCGAAAAGGUGUUCUUUGGCCUUCCAGAAGCCGACGGGGUCAUAUAUUUGUGAAUUAUUAGUUAGGUCAUAUAUCUUUCGAUUUUGUUAUGAAAAACAUCAUAUAUAAUUGUGUUGAUUGGGUAGUUUUAAAUGUGCAGUUGUUUCAUCGCUGCGAGGUUUGGUGUUCGACGACCUCGCCGUGCGUUUGACGAGCUCUUCCCCUUCGUUCGUGGGUGAGCACAAAUGACAUGUCCUCCUCCCCCAUUAAUUAUUUGAUCUAUUCCGAUGAAACUUGAUAGCUAGCUAUAUAUGUGUCUUGAAUCAUCAGUAUGCGUAACCAAUAUGUGUCUCCCGUUCGAAAGCGUCAUAGUUAUAAAUAUGCAUGCAUUUGCAUAAUUAUAACCUUGAUUCUUUCGAAUUGUCCAACGCUAUCCAUGGACAGCCCAAGUAUGUUUAGAUUGGGUUCGUUUUCCCAUAUGCUUUGCUCCGGAUCCGACGCAUAAAUUUCAUCAGUGCCUCCCCUGUUGUUCUCCGGGUACACAUCCUCUCUGUUUAUUGCAGAGACGUGUAUCAGGAGAACAGCGGGGAGGUGCUGCCAAAAUUUUGCGUAGGAUCCGGAGCAUAGCAUGGGAAAAUGAACCCAAUCUAAACAUACUCGGGUGGGAUUAGGACCUAUCAUUACCUAUUAGAGUGUAGGUUGCAUGGACGUGCGUGGAUGUACACCGGUCACACUGAUGAAUAUAUACAUGGUGAAUUAUAUAUAUAUAUUUGUUGUGUGUCUAGUAGCUCUGAAAGUCAAGAUGAGUGAUCGUGCGUGGAUGUACACCGGUCACACUGGUCAGAACAAAUGGAGCACUGAAUGGUUCACAAAAACCAACGGGUUUUUGCGAGCCGCAUUUGCAAAUGGCCAGAGGAAAACCUGGUGCCCCUAUUUACGGUGCGGCAAUUGGGAAAAGAGGACAGAGGCUGAAAUGGGCAAACACAUGUAGAAGAGUGGUUUUACGCCCGAUUAUACGGUAUGGACAUUUCAUGGUGAGUCUGCCCAACGUGACCGAGCUGAGGUGGAUCAUCGUCGCACCGACGAGCGUGGUACCGGGAUGGAAAACAUGGUGCAAGACUUCGAUGAUGCUCCGGAUUCGGACGAGGAGAUGGAGGAAUCUGCAAAGGCCUUCAAUGAAAUGUUGGAGUCUUCAAAACGUCCGCUCCAUGAGCACACUGAGCUUUGUCAGUUGGAUGCCAUCUCACAAGUAAUGGCUCUGAAGGCUCAGUUCAACUUGGGCAGAGAAUGCUACGAUGCAAUGAUGACAGUAUUUGGACGCUUUCUACCCAAAGGCCAUGUAAUGCCUGCAAACCUGUACCAGUCGGACAAAAUCCUCCGUGCACUGAAGAUGCCCUAUGAUAAGAUACAUGCCUGUGAGAAAGGAUGUGUCUUAUUUAGGCUUGACUAUGCGGACUUGAACUAUUGUCCCAUUUGCAAGUCUUCCAGGUAUGUUGUGGUAGACAACGGUAUGGGUGAGAAGACACAGACCAAAAUCCCCGUUAGUGUUCUUCGGUAUAUGCCAAUCGUACCAAGACUUCAACGUCUUUUCAUGGUCGAAGAGACGGUCAGACAGAUGAUAUGGCACAAAACGGGCAAAAGAACCGAACUAGAUGCAGAUGGGAAUCUGAUGAUUGUACACACAUCGGAUGGUGUUGCGUGGAAAAAGUUUGAUGAAUUACAUGGUGACAAAGCGGCAGAUCCGAGGCAUCCUCGAGUCGGCAUCAGCACGGAUGGGUUCAGUGUGUUUGGUAUGACGGCAGCCCAAUAUAUUUGUUGGCCCGUAUUUGUCUUUCCACUCAAUCUCCCCCCCCGGACAGAUUAUGCAAAGAAAGAACAUUUUCCUGACAUUGAUAAUUCUAGGGCCCAACUAUCCGGGAAAAAAUAUGAAUGUGUACAUGCAACCGCUUAAGGACGAAUUGCAAGAAGCCUGGGAUAAUGGGUUCAAGACAUACGAUGCCUAUAGCAAACGAAACUUCAUAAUGCGUGUCUGGUACAUGUACGCGACACAUGACUUGCCGGCGUAUGCGCUAUUCGUUGGCUGGUGUGUGCAUGGAAGGUUCCCGUGCCCCACAUGCAAGGGGGCUCUUGAGUUUCGUUGGCUUCAGGCCGGUCGCAAGUUUUCUUGCUUCGACAUGCAUAGACAGUUCCUGAAUCCUCGCCAUAAGUUCAGGAAAGACAAGAAGAACUUCAUCAGAGGUAGAGUUGUCAAAAACUCUGCACCACCUGCAUUGACAGGCCAACAGACCCUGGAUCAGUUAAACGCUCUUGAGCCAGAUCCAGAGCGUCCAGGGUACUUCAACGGGUAUAAUUCUAAGCACGCCUGGACUCACAAAACAUGCUUAUGGGAUCUGCCUUACUUUAAAGACCUCCUUUGCCCACACAACAUCGACGUGAUGCACACUGAGAAGAAUAUCGCCGAGGCACUUUUUGGUACAUUGUUCGGCAUAGAUGGGAAGUCAAAGGAUAAUACUAAGGCUAGAGUCGAUCUGGAGGCGCUAUGUGAUAGGCCGUUACAAAACAUGAAAGAACCGAAAGGAAAGCAGAACUGGACGAAGCCAAAGGCAUGGUUCAAUCUUGGAAGGCCAGCUAUGAGGGAAAUUAUCUUGUGGGUGAAAAUGCAGUUGAUGUUCCCCGAUGGGUAUGCAGCAAAUCUACAGAGGGGAGCCAGUCUUGAUAAAUUGAAGAUAUUUGGUCUCAAGAGUCAUGAUUGGCACAUAUGGAUUGAGCGGGUAAUGCCGGUGAUGUUGCGUGGAUUCAUCCCUGAGGAUGAAUGGCUAGUACUGCCAGAACUCAGCUAUUUCUUCCGUGUUCUUUGUGCGAAAGAACUAUCGCGUGGCGUGCUAGAAGAAAUGGAAGAGUUGGCGCCGGAGUUGAUCUGCAAGUUAGAGAAGAUCUUUCCACCGGGCUUCUUUAAUCCAAUGCAACAUUUGAUUUUGCAUCUCCCGACCGAGGCAAGAUUGGGGGGGCCCGUGCAAAAUCGUUGGUGCUACCCAACUGAGAGGAUGCAGAAGACGCUUUGACAAAAAUGUAAAAAUAAACAUAGAAUUGAAGCAUCGAUGGCUGAGGCAUUCAUCACUGAGGAGGCGGCAAACUUCGUGACAGCACACUACGAAGCCAAAAAUCGUCAUUUGCAUAAUCCGAAGCCUCGGUACAAUGCUGACGACCCUAAAAAGGGUGGAUCCAACCUCAGCCUAUUCAAAGGGAAUCUCGCACCAGCCAGUGUUUAAAAUCCAGUAUCUUUGGAUAACGAACAAUGGCGGACCAUUUCGUUGUAUAUCUUCAACAACCUGAUAGAAGUGCGGUCGUACAUCGAGUAAGUUCUCGGUACAUAGUUUCGCAACUUCUAUUUCCUUUGAACUGCUCUUAUUCCUGGAUAUUUCAUACAGUCGAUACGUCGCCUUAUUCUCGUAUGGAGCGGUGAUCCAAAAGGAUUCUGUCGAAGAGUAUGAGCUUCUCGCAAAGCAAGGAGGCGGCUAUCCCGGUUUCAUCUCUUGGUUCAAACAAACGGUAAUUUCUAUUAGACUUGUAGGCUAAUUUGUAGGCGGCUAUCCCGGUUUCAUUCGCUAAUUUGUGCGUAAUGCAACAAUCCUUUCAUAUUAAACUUGUAGGCUAAUUCAGAGUCUAUGGACGCCGAAUUGAGACAAGUCGCUAAUGGUUUUGACUAUAAGGUCCGUUCAUUUGACAAAUACGACAUCAACGGGUAUCGCUUUCGUACCUAUGGCAAAGAGCUAUCUAUGGCCGACCGAAAGUCUACAAAUUGUUGUGUAUCUGCUAUCGGCGAAGGAGGUACCGAGUAUUAUCGGAGAGUUGAAGCAAUUUAUGAACUUCUAUUCUAUGGUGAAAACCCACCGAAUGUCGUAGUCUUCAAAUGUUAUUGGUUUCAGCCGAAGGAGACUAGAAGGACUCAUGAACAUAUAGGGCUAGUUGAAAUCAACCAAAGCACCCAUUUAGAUGUUCCUGAUGUCUAUAUUACGGCUCAACAGGCGACCCAAGUAUUCUAUCUACCGUGGGCCUGCCAAACUAAUCCAAAUCUGAAAGGUUGGGAUGUCGUUUAUGAAGUGCCGCCACGUGCUAGACUAUCGCCCCCAAAGGAAGAGGAUUAUGAACCUCACAUUAACCCAAACACAUAUGAAGGAGAAUUCUUCCAAGAGACACGUCUUUCCAAAAAGCGUUUCAAGAACCGCUAUACUUCACCCCAAAACAUUGAAGUAGACAGCAAUAGUGAAUCCGACAUCACCCCAGAGGAGGAACAAGAAGAGCCGGAACAAGAAGAGGUUACUGCUGCGGAUGACCUGUCAUUGCUUGACCGAUUACGUCAAGGUGGCCUUGCACAUGUUGAUGCCACUGAACCCUAUGAGCCCGUCAUUGAUUAUAGUGAUGAUGAUGAUUAUGCAUUUAUUGAUGAUACUGAUCGAGAUUAUUAGUAGUGUCAGGUAUUAAAUUUUUUAAUUUUGUACUUGAUGAUGAUACACUUAAGUGAUACACAUAUUAUUAUUCAUGUCGGUCUUUUUUUUAUGUUGUACUAAUUUCGUUUACUGUUUGUCAUGGCAGGUGUUGAAAGAUGGUGGGCGCUGGUCGGGAGCGCGCCAAGGCCCCUUCUUCGUCGGCGUGUGGUCUGAGGUCUUCCAUUCCAGACGCACCUCUCCGCCGAGCGUUGCUGGACAGUAUGGCCACACCGCCGGGCCCUUCUUCGUCGACCGCGGUGCCCAGCAGGGGACGAGGUAGGAAGAGAGGAGGUGGGGCACGUGGUUGCGGGAGAGGAGGUAGGGUGACUGCUACGGUGCCUUCCUCGCCGCCACCCCCAGCUGUUUCACCCGAGCACGUGACUGCUAGGGUGGACUCAUCCGAGGAGGAGGCUACACGGACUUUGGUCCACGAGCCUCCGGUCCACGGGUCUUGGGCCCACGAGCCUCAGGUCGACUGGCCUUCGGCCCACGAGACCCCGGAGGAGCACAUGUCCGGAUGGGGUACCUGGCCGGAUCAGCCCGAGGAGCUGAGUGGCCAUGCAGAUGAUGGCGGGGAGCCGACUGAUCUUGAGGAGGAGGGGGGCACCGUCUACCAGCGUGGUGCUACACGGCUCCCGUCCGUGCCGGCGACCCGCAAGCAGAAGUGGUUGAUUUUCCCUGAUGGGGAGAGGUACGUAAGUGCAUUUAAUAUUUUUGUACCUUGUGCAUUCACGUUUCUUCAAAUAACUAAUGCGUUGGCCUUGUCAUGCUACAGGGGUUGGGACCACCAUCAUAGUGUCCGCCGGCCCAACUCCGUCCUUGGAGUUCUUUGCCGGCAAAACUUCCCGGGGUUUGUCACGUUGCCUGGUGAGGGUCGGCUUCCAGAGCUUGGAUUGAGCUGGGAGCACUACGUGGCUGCCCCGGCCCCGCCGGAUGAGAUUAUCGACGGUGUCAUGUGUGACACGAGGGCAGACAUGGUGAUCAGAAAGUUCUGGGUAAUUUCUCCUUUACACAUUUAAAAAUCUUCAACUAGCUAGUUAUUAAUUGUACUAAUCAAUAUUGUCUCAUUUGAUUGCAGACAUUCUACAGGUGUGAGGAGGGAUACGAGGAGGACGUGGCACAUGUUAUCGAGAACGUCUGCAAGCGCCUACUCCAGAACUUACGGCACGUGGCUCGGGUGCAGGCUGUUCGAGACUACUACGCCUUGCGUGGUAUCAAGAAGACCAAGCCAGCGUGCCGCGAUAAGUUCCUGAGUAAGGAGCAGUACAUGAAGGUAAUUCUUAAGGCCUUCUACUUAAGUUCCUUCAUUUAGUAAUUCUUAGCCGUAGCGCUCAAGUUUCUAUUUGCUAACUUAGGCGCCUCCCAGAUGGUGUGCAGAUCGGAUGGAUUGUUGGGAGGUGUUGGUCGAUGAGUGGUGCUCAAAAGAAUGGCUAGCCCUCCACAACGAGGCCAAGGACAAACGUGCCCAAAUGGAAGGUGUGCCACACCAUCAAGGCAGCUCCAACUUAUAUCAGUUCGGGCGCAACUGGGUAUGUGAUUUGCUUCAUGAUUCAUGCAAUUCAUUCAUCAUGCUAGCUUGAGCCCUUUAAUUACUAAUUUUCAUUGUUUCUCUCUUUCAGGCACGCUACAAUAAGGCGGAUAAGGUGCCAGAGGUGUACGACUUGUAUGCCAUGGCCCACACUGCCUCUUUCAAGAAAGUCAAGGCUUUCUCUCAGUCUGACCUCGAUGAUGCAAACAACUUCACCAACAUCUCCUCCCACAACAAGCUCGUGAGAUAUAGAGAUGAGGGGAAGGCGAGGAAAGGGGAGGACUUUAACCCGAGCCAGGGUCCCAUUGAUCCAGAGCUGGUGAUGAUAUCUGGUGGCGGGAUGUCCCAUGGGUCCAUAGCCAUUGGAGAUGGACUUAUCCGUUGUCCUAGCACUCUCCCGGAGAUCAAGGCGCGCCAGUCGAGCUCCGCUCCUGAGAUAAGGCCUCGUGAACGGCCAGUGCAACUCGCCAUCAAGGUUAGUGAUACGUACUCAGUUAUCUUUCUCCAUUACAUUGUGUGCGCUUCCAUCAAUGAUUACAAAUGGUCAUGUGAGUGGUGUUGCAGGCUGCUAUACAGAGUGCGAGAGAUAGAACGGAGAAACUUCUGGCGGAGGCGGCGGAGAGGCAGCGGGAGUUGGAGGAGAGGACGACAAAGAUGAUGGAGGAGGAGAGGGCACGGAAUGACAUGCAGGCAAGGUCCAUGUACGAGCUCCUUGUGGUAAGUUUCUUCUGCAGAUUAGCCAAAACAUUCAUGUAGUGUUUGCCUCAUUACUAACUAGUAUGACUAAGUCGUCGAAACCAAAUGUGCAGUCUGUGUGCGAGAAGACAGGUCAGACCGCUCCGCCGAUGCCAGUGAUUGCUCCUGGGACCACGGUGAGUUUUAUUUCAAUGGACAUUACUUGCUAGUCUUAACAUUUGAGUGUCAUCAUGCUAACAAGACAUUGGAAAUGAUCUUUGGUGCAGCGUAACUCCAGACAAGCAUCGCACGAUCCUUCUCCAGCUACCGACACGAGCCACCCCGCUCCUACACCUCCUGGAUCUUGGUAAGUUUAUCUAGUGUUUUGCUUAACACAUGCAUAAAGACCUAGACUUAGCUUUAUUUCCUCCAAUGCUUACCAUAAUGACCUAGACUUAGCUUCUUCUCCUCCAAAAUGACUUAAUAAGCUUACUGACCUCCAAAACCAUCCAUUUUACCUAAGUUAGCUCUAAAACGAUCUGUACUUAGCUUACUUAUGUCAAAAAUUGCAUAAUUAGCUUAGUUAGCUCAUAGACGAUCCAUUUUACCUAAGUUAGCUCUAAAAUGACCCAUUUUACCUAGGUUAGCUUAUAAAUGAUCCAGUUCAUCCAAGUUAGCUCAAAAAUGACCCAUUUUACCUAGAUUAGCUCCUAAAUGAUCCAUUUUACCUACGUUAGCUUUAAAAUGACCCAUUUCACCUAGGUUAACUCCAAAAUGACCCACCUUACCUAGGUUAUCUCAUAAAUGAUCAAUUUCAACUAAUUUAGCUCAUAAACGAUCCAUUUCACCAAGUUAGCUAAAAAACGAUCAAUUUCACCUAAAUUAGCUCUUAAAUGAUCCAUUUCACCUAAGUUAGCUCAAAAAGAUCCAUUUCAACUAAAUUAGCUCAUAAAUGAUCCAUUUCACCUAAGUUUGCUCAAAAACGAUCCAUUUCAACUAAGUUAGCUCAUAAAUGAUCCAUUUCACCGAAGUUAGCUAAAAACGAUCCAUUUCACCUUAGUUACCUUAAAAACGAUCCAUUUGACCUUAGUUAGCUCAUAAACGACCCAUUUCAACUAAGUUAGCUCAUAAAUGAUCCAUUUCACCUUAGCUAGCUCAUAAACCACCCAUUUCAACUUAGUUAGCUCAUAUAUGAUCCAUUUCACGUAAGUUAGCUCAUAAAUGACAUGCUCUUCUUGUUCUAGUCUUCUUUUUGUUCUAGUCUUCUUCUUGUUCUACUCUUCUUGUUCUAGUCACCUAUUUCUAACUUUCUUAUUUUGCCAUUUUGCAGAUUUCAUUCACUUCAUGGAAGCUACUCUUCUUGUUCUAGUCUUCUUGUUUAUGUAUGGAUGAAACUUUGUUUAUGUAUGAAGGCUCUUUGUGAUAUGAAUGGAACUUUGUUUAUGUAUGAAGGAACUUUGUUUAUGUAUGAAGGAACUUUGUUUAUGGAUGGAACUUUGUUUAUGUAUGAAGGAACUUUGUUUAUGGAUGGAAUUUUGUGAUAUGAAUGCCUGUGAAAUAUAUCUAUACAUGUCAUAUAUAUUUGCUGUGAAAAUUAUUGGAUUUAAUAAAAAACAGAAAAAGAGCCAAUAUGUAGUGACGUGUAGAUGACAUCAUAUGGCGGACGGCAAAGACAGUAGAAAGUUUGCCGUCCGCUGGCAGACGUCAAAGGCAGUAGAAAGUUUGCCGUCUGCCAGCGGACGGCAAAGGCCUGCCGUUAGCCACUUAACGGACUGAGAGCACAAUUAUUGCCGUGCGCCCUCUUUGCCGUCCGCGGCAGACGGCAAAGGGCCUUUGCCGUCAGCCGCCAGGAAGCAGACGACAAAGUAGCUGUUUACCGUAGCCUACUUUGCCAGAGACUUUUACCGUCCGCGGCUGACGGCAAAGGCCUUUGCCGUCCGCCGUUCGUGCCUUUGCCGUCCGCCGUGGCAGACGGCAAAAUAGCUGAUUCCUGUAGUGAGUAGGUCAUGUUUUCUGUCAUGCAUGUACAUCCAUGACAAAUUUAUGAAAGAAUCAAGAUAGUCAUACAUGUGCUGUCGUAGAAGUGUUCCAUGACAUUACCAAAAUUAUCAUCACGGAAGUGUCCACUUCCAUGACGAUAAAUGGCGCGUCACAGAAGUGCUUUCGUCAAGGGUGACCGACACGUGGCAUCCACCGUAACGGAACGCCGUUAAGCUACCGGGUCCGGUUUUGGAUCCGAUAACCCGUUAACAGCCCCGUCCAAUGGGGAUUUUCCACGUGUAAAAUCAUCAUUGGCUGGAGGAAACACGUGUCGGCUCACCGUUGGGAUAGAUGUCAUCCACUCAUUGGACCCAAACCGCCUAUGAUACGUCGACACAUGGCACGACCCAACAGAGGCCCAGUCCUGUGAAAAGGCCGGCCCGUUUGACUUGGUCAAAAGGUGGCAGGCCGGCCCACGGCAAGCCUGUUAACGGCCUGUUCGCAUAUAGCCCAUUUACAGCCCGCUAACCUUGGGCCCGUUUACCGCCUAUCCGAAUUAGGCCUAGUAGCGUCAUCUGGGCCGUCCAAUAUAAUUCCAGCCCGUUUUAACCUCCGGCCCAUGUAUAGCCCAUGACGUCUUUCGGCCCAUAUGAGGCCCUUAUUACUCUCGGCCCAUUAACGGCCCGUGGUAAAACUAGCCCGUAAUGAACAGUGUAUCACUUUAUACCCAUUAACGGCACAUGGUGAAACUGGCCCGUAAUGAACAGUGUAUCACUUUAUACCCAUUAACGGCCCAUUAUUCCGUUGGGCAGUUUCCAGCCCAUGUUAUCUUUCGGCCUUCUCGGGGCCCAUUUAUUCUUGGGCUCAUUUCCACAUUCGUUUACUUACGGCCCGUUAAUGUCAUUUUCUGCUUGUGGGCCAAAUUCAGCCGGUGGUUACAGUCGGCCCGUUUGUGGCCCGUUAGUACGUUGGGCCGUUUUCAUACCGUCAUCAAAAUACGGACGAUUAACGACGGCCCGUUAUGGUCGUCCCAUGAACGGACGAUUUCAACUCUAGCCCAUUUACGGCCAUAAUGUGGUCUGUUAUUGGCCCAGGUUUGGCCAACCGAUCAUACGGCCCGUAGAAGGCCCAUUGAUGAUACGGCCCAUAGAAGGCCCAUUGUGUCUACGGCCCGUAUAAGGCCCAUUAUUUCUAUGCCACGUAGAAGGCCCAUUGUUUCUACGGCCCUUAGAAGGCCCAUUGUUUCUACGGCCCGUAGGAGGCCCAUGUUAACUACAGCCGGUGGGCAUCAAAGUUCGCCACCAGUGCAAAUAUAGGGAACACCCUACACUAUACAAAAAUGGCUUGUUGUUUUCUUCACCCGGUGGCUGCACGUUAAGAAAAAAAUUUGUAUCGCACCAAAACAAAUUACAACUAUAAAACAAAAGCAAGGUUGGCAUAAAAGUUAACAGUCUAGCAGAUAAAUGCACCACCAGAAGUUAGAAGCUGAGUUCAUUUGACCUGACUGUUACGUUUUCAUGUUGUAUUGUCCGAUGGAGCACCAUAACCUUCGCCUUCAGUUCUCCUAGGCUCCUGAACAACAUAGCAAAUGUCUGAUAGUCUGGUUUCAAAACCAUGCAUAUCUUAACAACAUCGAACAAUGUCUCUCCUUGUUUCACAAAGGGUCUUUGUUAGGGAAUGGACUUGUAUCUGGAGCGCAGAUACAACAUUGUUUUGAGCUUGCAUAUCAUGAUCAUGAGGCAGUUUGGACGAGAUUGCCUUAACAACCAAGCCAGUAUUACGCAGGAACGUGCUUUUGGCACUGUUAGUGGACAGGUACUGACCCACUGCAGCAAGAGCUGACAUUGCGGUUAUAGUUGCCUCGCCACCUUCACAAGGUGGCAGUUCCACCAUUUUUUCCAUAGCUCGCUGAAAAGUUGAGGUUUUACAUUAGUAGUACCAGAACAUAAGAUAUUAAGGAGGCAGCGAAACCAAACAAAAUAGCUUUGGUCUAUAUACAGAACUUAUUCUCGUGAACCCAUGUAAAAUAAUAGUUGUAUUUUAUUGCAAAGUACAUAAUAAAACCAGGUUCCAAACAUAUGACCAUGUACCAUCGCUAAUGUAUUGUCUAUUUCUUCACAUUGUAUUGAGGGCUAAGGAUAAAGAGACGAAGUUUAUAAUACGGUAAGCAUAGUAUGACAUCAUUCAUAUCACAAAACCACUGAGAACAGACAAACAUGCAAUUGUAACAUUGUGUUGGCAAGUCCAGCACGGAACUAGAUUACAGGUCAAGAUCAAAGGAACAUCACUGCUCUCUUUUAAACCUUGUAAGGUGCAAUGAUACGCUAAGACAAUUGUGUAUAAAAUUGAAAAGAGUAAUAGACAUUGGCUGCAAACAUGCAGUUCAAGGCACAAGUCAGAGUAAGUAGUAGUUAAAAGGCAUGAGGAUUAAGGACUUACAACAGCGGCUUUGACUGGUGUAGUCAUGCCCUUCUUCUUGCUGGUGUGACAGUCCUUGAAGAUUGCCAUAGCAUUUGGUUCAGGUACUUUUUGGUCCUUGCGGGCUUUCCUCUGCAUUUGGAACAAGUCAAUAUAGAUCUGAUAAUAUGGUACAGCGAAAAGAGUGAAACAGCAGCUAAUUACAAGAGCCUCGCAGUGUGCAAUAUAGCUACGAGAUCCUGUCUUCUGUUGGAAUUUCACUUUCGUAAGGUUGGCCUUGUUCUUUGAACAGUUCACCUACAAGAAGAUAGAUUUGUGUGGCACAUGCGUAAAUAGGACUUCAACAUGUGAUCUGAUCACAUAUAUAUAAUGUACCUAAUAGUUUGGAUCGGACCAGUGUUUAACGAGGCCUCUCCAGUCUUCAUCAGAUAUAUUUUCAACUGGAGAUGUUUGGAGAAGUUCACUGUGAGCCUUGCCUUCAAAGUGAUUUUUCCUCAAGUUAUACCGAUACUGUCACAGAGCAGACUUGAAAACAUGGGUGCAAGCUUGUCUGGUUGCAUCAUCUUCGCUAUCCAACUUGAACCUCAUCUGUUGAAAAUUAUGGGGGUCUCAUUAUCAGCAACCUAGAAAGUAUUGGACAUAGCAAGACGAUAUUACUAGUUUCCAUACAUAACCAUACUUACAGAUAAAUGGUCGAGGAAGGUGUUGAACUGGAUUUCGUCUUUGCCAUUCCUGUACUGAAUCCAUGUUGGGAGGAUACGCACAUGACACCUAACAGCAACCGCUGCCUCUGAUACUAACUUGGCUGACUCUGCAGCAUCACGUGGCCUUUUUAAACCUGCCUCAAAAUGGAUCUCCAUUCUUCCUCCUCUAGAUUUAGUUAACCUAUCGAGCAUUAUCCCUGAUGUUUGUUUCCUCUUGCGCCUAGGUGCUAGUCCAACAACAAACAUAGGAAGUGUGAGUGUACAUCAGACUGUGAGACUACAUAUAAAGAAGCAUGCAACUGUAACUUGACUCCAGCAACUACCUUCUUGUUGUUGAAGCUCACAAAGUUCAUCUGAUCUUGCCAACUCAUCUUCUGUCAAGAGUGCUUCGGAAGUAGUGUCAGGUGGCAAGGGAGCUUGGGAACAUGGUGCUAGCUGAGUUGACCAACGAGUAAAUCGUGCAGCUGGUGGUACUGUGGAAGGUGUUGCAACAACUAGGGUUGUCUCUGCUUGUUUGUUGGCAACUAUUUGUUUCUGUUUGGCUUGUUCUGCAGCUCAUGUAGCACGGGAUACCCUGUCGGUACAAUUUUCCGCUGGACUUUGACCUUCUAUUGCACCAUCAGUACCAGCAGAAUCUGCAGGAUUGUUCCGCUUCCCUUUCCCUGUCGUUCUGUCUUGCUUCCUCUUCUCUGUGCCAUGUUAAGUCAAGCCGACAAGAAAAACGAAUAACAAUUUAGUUCUUCAGAACAAAUGUACUUUGAUGUAAGAACAUGGUGUGAUAGACAGAUAUUGUAUGUUCUAGAAACAGGAACACGUGUCUUAGUCACAAGUAUAAUGUGUAAAGUAAGCAGAUGAAAUUCAACAAAAUUAGAAGCAACACAAGCUAGACAUCAUACAUAACAUGCAACCACAUAUAACAGUGCCAAGUUAGAGGGAGCACCUGUGAUGGUGCACUAGGGGAGACGUGCUCAUCACCAACACAGCUACGUUGAGUGUCUAUGCAUGUGUUGUCUUGGAAAUCAUCUUGGGGGGGAUGGAGGAGUAGAAUCUGUAGAGGCCCUCCAUUUGGAAGGAGCACCUUCAUCCGCUGCCUUGCUAACUUCCUUCCGCUUUAUUGAUUUUGAAUUGUCAAGUAAAACCGACAAGAAAAAGCAAUAAAAUUCACUCUUCACAACUCAUUCAUGCAUGAUAAUGACAAUCACUACUUUGAUGUAAGGCAAACACAUGAUUCCAGGAUGGAAUAAUACGAAAAACAGGACGACAUGGCAUAUUCACAACUGUUUUUGAGAACCGAGGUAUCAAUCCAAUAGGAGGCUACGCGCGAGUCCCUCGCACCUACAAAAAACAAAUAAAUCCUCGCAACCAACGUGAUAAGGGGUUGUCAAUCCCUACACGGCCACUUACGAGAGUGAGAUCUGAUAGAUAUGAUAGGAUAAUAUUUUUGGUAUUUUUGUGAUAAAGAUGCAAAGUAAAAUAAAAGCAAAGGAAAUAACUAAGUAUUGGAAGAUUAAUAUGAUGAAGAUAGACCCGGGGGCCAUAGGUUUCACUAGUGGCUUCUCUCGAGAGCAUAAGUAUUCUACGGUGGGUGAACAAAUUACAGUUGAUCAAUUGACAGAAUUGAGCAUAGUUAUGAGAAUAUCUAGGUAUGAUCAUGUAUAUAGGCAUCACGCCCGAGACAAGUAGACUGACUCCUACCUGCAUCUACUACUAUUACUCCACUCAUCGACCGCUAUCCAGCAUGCAUCUAGAGUAUUAAGUUCAUAAAAACAAAGUAACACCUUAAGCAAGAUGACAUGAUGUAGAGGGAUAAAUUCAUGCAAUAUGAUAAAAAAAACCAUCUUGUUAUCCUCGAUGGCAACAAUACAAUACGUGCCUUGCUGCCCCUACUGUCACUGGGAAAGGACACCGCAAGAUUGAACCCAAAGCUAAGCACUUCUCCCAUUGCAAGAAAGAUCAAUCUAGCAGGCCAAACCAAACUGAUAAUUCGAAGAGACUUGCAAAGAUAACCAAUCAUACAUAAAAGAAUUGAGAGAAGAUUCAAAUAUUGUUCAUAGAUAAACUUGAUCAUAAACCCACAAUUCAUCGGUCUCAACAAACACACCGCAAAAGAAGAUUACAUCGAAUAGAUCUCCACGAGAGAGGGGGAGAACAUUGUAUUGAGAUCCAAAAAGAGAGAAGAAGCCAUCUAGCUAAUAACUAUGGACCCGAAGGUCUGAGGUAAACUACUCACACUUCAUCGGAGGGGCAAUGGUGUUGUUGUAGAAGCCCUCCGUGAUCGAUGCCCCCUCCGGCGGAGCUCCGGAAUAGGCCCCAAGAUGGGAUCUCGUGGGUACAGAAGGUUGCGGCGGUGGAAUUAGGUUUUUGGCUCCGUAUCUGAUCGUUUGGGUGUACGUAGGUAUAUAUAGGAGGAAGGAGUACGUCGGUGGAGCAACAGGGGCCCCACGAGGGUGGAGGGUGCGCCCUGGGGGGGGGUAGGCGCCCCCCUACCCCAUGGCCUCCUCCUUUAUUUCUUGACGUAGGGUCCAAGUCUCCUGGAUCUUGUUCGUUCUGAAAAUCAAGUUCCCGAAAGUUUCAUUCCGUUUGGAUUCCGUUUGAUAUUCCUUUUUUGCGAAACUCUGAAAUAGGCAAAAAACAACAAUUCUGGGCUGGGCCUCCGGUUAAUAGGUUAGUCCCAAAAAUAAUAUAAAAGUGAAUAAUAAAGCCCAAUAAUGUCCAAAACAGUACAUAAUAUAGAUGGAGCAAUCAAAAAUUAUAGAUACGUUGGAGACGUAUCAAGCAUCCCCAAGCUUAUUUCCUGCUCGUCCUCGAGUAGGUAAAUGAUAAAAACAAAAUUUUUUAUGCGGAGUGCUACUUGGCAUAAUUUCAAUGUAAUUCUUCUUAAUUGUGGUAUGAAUAUUCAGAUCCGAAAGAUUCAAGAAAAAGUUUAAUAUUGACAUAAAAAUAAUAAUACUUCAAGCAUACUAACAAAGCAAUUAUGUCUUCUCAAAAUAACAUGGCCAAAGAAAGUUAUCCCUACAAAAUCAUGCUCUGUCUUCACCACACAAAGUAUUUAAAUCAUGCACAACCCCGAUGACAAGCCAAGCAAUUGUUUCAUACUUUUGACGUUCUCAAACUUUUUCAAUCUUCACGCAAUACAUGAGCGUGAGCCAUGGACAUAGCACUAUAUGUGGAAUAGAAUGGUGGUUGUGGAGAAGACAAAAGGGAGAAGAUAGUCUCACAUCAACUAUUAUCAACGGGCUAUGGAGAUGCCCAUCAAUAGAUAUCAAUGUGAGUGAGUAGGGAUUGCCAUGCAACGGAUGCACUAGAACUAUAAGUAUAUGAAAGCUCAACAAAAGAAACUAAGUGGGUGUGCAUCCAACUCGCUUGCUCACGAAGACCUAGGGCAUUUUGAGGAAGCCCAUCUUUGGAAUAUACAAGCCAAGUUAUAUAAUGAAAAAUUCCCACUAGUAUAUGAACGUGACAAAAUGAGAGACUCUCUAUCAAGAAGAUCAUGGUGCUACUUUGAAGCACAAGUGUGGUAAAAGGAUAGUAACAUUGUCCCUUUUCUCUUUUUCUCUCAUUUUUUUAUUUGGGCCUUUCCCCUUUUUUUAUGGCCUCAUUUUUCUCGUCCGGAGUCUCAUCCCGACUUGUGGGGGAAUCAUAGUCUCCAUCAUCCUUUCCUCACUUGGGACAAUGCUCUAAAAAUGAAGAUCAUCACACUUUUAUUUUCUUACAACUCAACAAUUACAACUCGAUACUUAGAACAAAAUAUGACUCUAUAUGAAUGCCUCCGGCGAUGUACCGGGAUAUGCAAUGAAUCAAGAGUGACAUGUAUGAAAGAAUUAUGAACGGUGGCUUUGCCACAAAUACGAUGUCAACUACAUGAUCAUGCAAAGCAAUAUGACAAUGAUGGAGCGUGUCAUAGUAAACGGAAUGGUGGAAAGUUGCGUGGAAAUAUAUCUCGGAAUGGCUAUGGAAAUGCCAUGAUAGGUAGGUAUGGUGGCUGUUUUGAGGACGGUUUAUGGUGGGUGUAUGAUACCGGCGAAAAGUGCGCGGUAUUAGAGAGGCUAGCAAUGGUGGAAGGAAGAAGAGUGUGUAUAAUCCAUGGACUCAACAUUAGUCAUAAAGAACUCAUAUACUUAUUGCAAAAAUCUACAAGUUAUCAAAGCAAAGUAUUACGCGCAUGCUUCUAGGGGGAUAGAUUGGUUGGAAAAGACCAUCGCUCGUCCCCGACCGCCACUCAUAAGGAAGACAAUCAAUAAAUAAAAUAAAUUAUGCUCCGACUUCAUCACAUAACGGUUCGCCAUACAUGCAUGAUACGGGAAUCACAAACUUUAACACAAGUAUAUCUCAAAUUCAGAACUACUCAACUAGCAUGACUCUAAUAUCACCAUCUUUAUAUCUCAAAACAAUUAUCAAGCAUCAAACUUUUCUAACUAUUCAACACACUCAUAAGAAAGUUUUUACUAUUCUUGAAUACCAAUCAUAUUAGGAUUAUUUAAGCAAAUUACCAUGCUAUAUAAGACUCUCAAAAUAAUCUAAGUGAAGCAUGAGAGAUCAAUAGUUUCUAUAAAACAAAUCCACCACCGUGCUCUAAAAGAUAUAAGUGAAGCACUAGAGCAAAACUAUAUAACUCAAAAGAUAUAAGCGAAGCACAUAGAGUAUUCUAACAAAUUCCAAAUCAUGUAUGGCUCUAUCAAAAGGUGUGUACAGAAAGGAUGAUUGUGGUAACCUAAAAAGCAAAGACUCAAAUCAUACAAGACGCUCCAAGCAAAACACAUCUCAUGUGGUGAAUAAAAAUAUAGCUCCAAGUAAAGUUACCGAUGGAAGUAGACGAAAGAGGGGAUGCCUUCCGGGGCAUCCCCAAGUUUUGGCUUUUUGGUGUCCUUAGAUUAUCUUGGGGGUGCCAUGGGCAUCCCCAAUAUUAGGCUCUUGCCACUCCUUGUUCCAUAAUCCAUCAAAUCUUUCACCCAAAACUUGAAAACUUCACAACACAAAACUUAGCAGAAAAUCUCGUGAGCUCCGUUAGGGAAGGAAAACAAAAGACCACUUCAAGGUACUGUAAUGAACUCAUUCUUUAUUUAUAUUGGUGUUAAACCUACUUUAUUCCAACUUCUCUAUGGUUUAUAAACUAUUUUACUACUCAUAGAUUCAUCAAAAUAAGCAAACAACACACGAAAAACAGAAUCUGUCAAAAACAGAACAGUCUGUAGUAAUCUGUAACUAACGCAAACUUCUGGAACUCCAAAAAAUCAUCCAAAAUAGGAAGACCUAUACAAUUUGUUUAUUGAUCAUCAGCAAUUGGAAUCAGUAUUUUAUCACGUUCUGGUGAUUUUUAACAAUUAUUUUCGUGAACAGAAAGUUUCUGGAAAUUACAGCAAGAUCAAAUAACUAUCAUCCAAGAAGAUCCUAUAGGUUUAACUUGGCACAAACACUAAUUAAAACAUAAAAACACAUCUAACCAGAGGCUAGAACAAAUAUUUAUUCGUAAAGAAAAGCAAAAAGCAAAAAAACUAAAAAUAAAAUUGGGUUUCCUCCCAACAAACGCUAUCGUUUAACGCCCCUAGCUAGGCAUAAAAGCAAGGAUAGAUGUAGGUAUUGCCAUCUUUGGUAGGCAAUCCAUAAUUGGCUCUCAUGAUAGAUUCAGAUGGUAAUUUUAUUUUCUUCCUAGGGAAGUGUUCCAUGCCUUUCUUUAAUAUAAAUUGGAAUCUAAUAUUCCCUUCCUUCAUAUCAAUAAUUGCACCAAUCGUUCUAAGGAAAGGUCUACCAAGAAUAAUAGGACAUGAAGGAUUGCAAUCUAUAUCAAGAACGAUAAAAUCUACGGGCACAUAGUUCCUAUUUGCAACAAUAAGAAAAUCAUUAAUUCUUCCCAUAGGUUUCUUAAUAGUGGAAUUCGCAAGGUGCAAGUUUAAAGAGCAAUCAUCAAAAUCAUAGAAACCUAGCAAAUCACACAAAGUUUUUGGAAUCGUGGAAACACUAGCACCCAAAUCACACAAAGCAUAGCAUUCAUGAUCUUUAAUCUUAAUUUUAAUAGUAGGUUCCCACUCAUCAUAAAGUUUUCUAGGGAUAGAAACUUCCAACUCAAGUUUUUCUUCAUAAGAUUGCAUCAAGGCAUCAACGAUAUGUUUGGUAAAAGCUUUAUUUUGACUAUAAGCAUGAGGAGAAUUUAGCACGGAUUGCAACAAGGAAAUACAAUCUAUCAAAGAGCAAUUAUCAUAAUUAAAUUCCUUGAAAUCCAAAAUAGUGGGUUUAUUAACAUCUAAUGUUUUGAUUUCUUCAAUCCCACUUUUAUCAAUUUUAGCAUCAAGAUCUAAAUACUCCGAAUUUUUGGAACGCCUUCUAGGUAAAGGUGGAUCAUAUUCAGUCCCAUCAUUAUCAAGAUUCAUAUUGCAAAACAAAGAUUUAAUUGGGGACACAUCAAUAACUUUUAGUUCUUCAUCUUUAUUUUCAUAGGAAUUAGAAGAACACGCUUUCAUAAAGCAAUCUUUCUUAGCACGCAUCCUAGCGGUUCUUUCUUUGCACUCAUCAAUGGAAAUUCUCAUGGCUUUGAGAGACUCAUUGAUAUCAUGUUUAGGUGGAAUAGAUCUAAGUUUUAAAGAAUCAACAUCAAGAGAAAUUCUAUCGAUGUUCCUAGCCAAUUCAUCAACUUUAAGCAAUUUUUCUUCAAGCAAAGCACUGAAAUUCUUUUGCGAAUUCAUAAACUCCUUAACACUAGUCUCAAAUUUAGAAGGCAUCUUAUUAAAGUUCCCAUAAGAAUUGUUGUAGGAAUUACCAUAAUUAUUAGAGGAAUUACUAGGAUAAGGCCUAGGAUUAAAGUUUCCUCUAUACGCGUUGUUACCAAAAUUAUUCCUACCAACAAAAUUCACAUCCAUAGAUUCAUUAUUAUUCUCAAUCAAAGUAGACAAAGGCAUAUCAUUAGGAUCAGAAGAAACACUCUUAGUAGUAAAUAAUUUCAUAAAUUCAUCCAUCUUUCCACUUAAAACAUUAAUUUCUUCUAUCGCAUGCACUUUUUUAUUACUAGAUAUUUCAAUGUGCCAUUGAGAAUAAUUAACCAUAAUAUUAUCUAGGAGUUUAGUAGCUUCUCCUAAAGUGAUUUCCAUAAAAGUGCCUGCCGCGGCCGAAUCUAAAAGAUUUCUAGAAGCAAAAUUCAAUCCGGCAUGAAAUUUUUGUAUGAUCAUCCAUAAAUUCAAGCAUGUGUAGGACAAUUACGUAUCAUUAAUUUCAUCCUCUCCCAAGCUUGUGCAACAUGUUCAUGAUCAAGUUGCUUAAAAUUCAUAAUAUCGUUUCUAAGAGAGAUGAUCUUAGCGGGGGGAAAAUACUUAGAGAUAAAAGCAUAUUUGCACUUAUUCCAAGAAUCAAUACUAUUUUUAGGCAAAGAUGAAAACCAAGCUUUAGCACGAUCUCUAAGAGAAAAAGGAAAUAGCUUUAGUUUAACAAUAUCAUUAUCCACAUCUUUCUUCUUUUGCAUACCACACAAAUCAACGAAGCUAUUUAGAUGGGUAGCGGCAUCUUCACUAGGAAGGCCGGUGAAUUGAUAUUUCAUGACAAGAUUCAACAGAGCAACAUUGAUUUCACAAGAUUCAGUAUCGGUAAGAGGAGCAAUCGGAGUGCUAAGAAAAUCAUUAUUGUUGGUAUUGGUGAAGUCACACAAUUUAGUAUUAUCUUGAGCAAUCGUGACAAGCAAGCAAUCCAACACACGAGCAAACAAGACGCAAGCGAAAAAAGAGGCGAACGAAAAAGAGAGGGCGAAUAAAACGACAAAUAUGAAUUUUGACUUUAUUUGCAAAAUCUCUCUGGAAUUUGUAAAAUGGGCAUAACUUUUGCAUACGAACUCGGAUUAAAAAGUUUUUUAUAUGAAAAAUCAUCUACUCGAAAAGUUACAUACGAAUUGGAUCGGGGGAACCUUGUUUAACAUCUUCAAAAUCCCCAAAAACCUAACAGAACAAAAGAUACGGGGCUUUUAAGAUCUAGAGGGGGGAAAAUGAAAAAAAUCAAACUUACUAGUGGCGCACCAUUUGCUAGGUGCGCCACUAGUAACAGAAAAAAAUUGGUUUCAAAAAAACUUUUUUUUUGGAAUUUUUUUUCAAAAUAUGAUACGUAAUAUGACCGGGAAGUUCAAAAUAUUUUUUCAAAAUUUCAUCACACUCAUGAACAUGAACAAAGUCCUAGACAUCAACAAGGUUUAAUAGGAUUGAUAUGCUAGAUAUAUCAACAAGUGCUUGUUAAGUGAGCUGGUGCUGGGGUUGGAUAGAACUCUGAAGUUAGCGUGCUUGGGCUGGAGUAGUGUGAGGAUGGGUGACCUUUUGGGAAGUUUGACCACGGAGUGCGAUUUGACUUGAGAUUAAGCAUAUUGACCCAUCAUUAUCAAGAUUCAUAUUGCAAAACAAAGAUUUAAUUGGGGACACAUCCAUAACUUUUAGAUCUUCAUCUUUAUUUUCAUAGAAAUUUGAAGAACACGCUUUCAUAAAGCAAUCUUUCUUAGCACGCAUCAUAGCGGUUCUUUCUUUGCACUCAUCAAUGGAAAUUCUCAUGGCUUUGAGAGACUCAUUGAUAUCAUGCUUAGGAGGAAUAGAUCUAAGUUUUAAAGAAUCAACAUCAAGAGAAAUUCUAUCAACGUUCCUAGCCAAUUCAUCAACUUUAAGCAAUUUCUCUUCAAGCAAAGCAUUCAAAUUCUUUUGUGAAUUCAUGAACUCUUUAACACUAGUCUCAAAUUCAGAGGGCAUCUUAUUAAAAUUUCCAUAAGAGUUGUUGUAGGAAUUACCAUAAUUAUUAGAGGAAUUGCUAGGAUAAGGCCUAGGAUUAAAGUUUCCUCUAUACGCGUUGUUACUAAAAUUGUUCCUACCAACAAAAUUCAAACCCAUAGAUUCAUUAUUAUUCUCAAUCAAAGUAGAUAAAGGCAUAUCAUUAGGAUCAGAAGAAACACUCUUAGUAGCAAAUAAUUUCAUAAGUUCAUCCAUCUUUCCACUCAAAACAUUAAUUUCUUCUAUCGCAUGCACUUUUUUAUUAGUAGAUCUUUCAGUGUGCCAUUGAGAAUAAUUAACCAUAAUAUUAUCUAGGAGUUUAGUAGCUUAUCCUAAAGUGAUUUCCAUAAAAGUGCCUCCCGCGGCCGAAUCUAAAAGAUUUCUAGAAGCAAAAUUCAAUCCGGCAUAAAAUUUUUGUAUAAUCAUCCACAAAUUCAAACCAUGAGUAGGGCAAUUACGUAUCAUUAAUUUCUUCCUCUCCCAAGCUUGUGCAACAUGUUCAUGAACAAGUUGCUUAAAAUUCAUAAUAUCAUUUCUAAGCGAGAUGAUCUUAGCGGGAGGAAAAUAUUUAGAGAUAAAAGCAUCUUUGCACUUAUUCCAUGAAUCAAUACUAUUUUUAGGCAAAGACGAAAACCAAGCUUUAGCACGAUCUCUAACAAAAAGGAAAUAGCUUCAAUUUAACAAAGCAGCAUUGAUUUUUCAUGACAAGAUUCAACAAAGCAGCAUUGAUUUCACAAGAUUCAGUAUUGGUAAGAGGAGCAAUCAGAGUGCUAAGGAAAUCAUUAUUGUUGGUAUUGGUAAAGUCACAUAAUUUGGUAUUAUCUUGAGCCAUCGUGACAAACAAGCAAUCCAACACACGAGCAAACAAAAAGCAAGCGAAAAAGAGGCAAACGGAAAAGAGAGGGCGAAUAAAACGGCAAGGGUGAAGUGGGGGAGAGGAAAACGAGAGGCAAGUGGCAAAUAAUGUAGUGCAGGACAUAAGGGUUUGUUAUGGGUACUUGGUAUGUUGACUUUUGCGUAGACCUCCCCGGCAACGGUGCCAGAAAUCCUUCUUGCUACCUCUUGAGCACUGCGUUGGUUUUCCCUUGAAGAGGAAAGGGUGAUGCAGCAAAGUAGCGUAAGUAUUUCCCUCAGUUUUUGAGAACCAAGGUAUCAAUCUAGUAGGAGGCUACGCGCGAGUCCCUCGCACCUACACAAAACAAAUAAAUCCUCGCAACCAACGCGAUAAGCGGUUGUCAAUCCCUACACGGCCAAUUACGAGAGUGAGAUCUGAUAGAUAUGAUAGGAUAAUAUUUUUGGUAUUUUUGUGAUAAAGAUGCAAAGUAAAAUAAAAGCAAAUAAAAAGCAAAGAAAAUAACUAAGUAUUGGAAGAUUAAUAUGAUGAAGAUAGACCCGGGGGCCAUAGGUUUCACUAGUGGCUUCUCUCGAGAGCAUAAGUAUUCUACGAUGGGUGAACAAAUUACUAUUGAGCAAUUGACAGAAUUGAGCAUAGUUAUGAGAAUAUCUAGGUAUGAUCAUGUAUAUAGGCAUCACGUCCGAGACAAGUAGACCGACUCCUGCUUGCAUCUACUACUAUUACUCCACUCAUCGACCGCUAUCUAGCAUGCAUCUAGAGUAUUAAGUUCAUAAAAACAGAGUAACGCCUUAAGCAAGAUGACAUGAUGUAGAGGGAUAAAUUCAUGCAAUAUGAUAAAAAAAAACCCAUCUUGUUAUCCUCGAUGGCAACAAUACAAUACGUGCCUUGCCGCCCCUACUGUCACUGGGAAAGGACACCGCAAGAUUGAACCCAAAGCUAAGCACUUCUCCCAUUGCAAGAAAGAUCAAUCUAGUAGGCCAAACCAAACUGGUAAUUCGAAGAGACUUGCAAAGAUAACCAAUCAUACAUAAAAGAAUUCAGAGAAGAUUCAAAUAUUGUUCAUAGAUAAACUUGAUCAUAAACCCACAAUUCAUCAGUAUCAACAAACACACCGCAAAAGAAGAUUACAUCGAAUAGAUCUCCACGAGAGAGGGGGGAGCAUUGUAUUGAGAUCCAAAAAGAGAGAAGACGCCAUCUAGCUAAUACUAUGGACCCGAAGGUCUGAGGUAAACAACUCACACUUCAUCGGAGGGGCUAUGGUGUUGUUGUAGAAGCCCUCCGUGAUCGAUGCCCCCUCCGGCGGAGCUCCAGAACAGGCCCCAAGAUGGGAUCUCGUGGGUACAGAAGGUUGCGGCGGUGGAAUUAGGUUUUUGGCUCCGUAUCUGAUCGUUUGGGGGUACGUAGGUAUAUAUAGGAGGAAGGAGUACGUAGGUGGAGCAACAGGGGGGCCACGAGGGUGGAGGGCGCGCCCUGGGGGUAGGCGCGCCCCCCUACCUCGUGGUCUCCUCCUUUAUUUGUAGGGUUCAAGUCUCCUGGAUCUUGUUUGUUUUGAAAAUCACGUUCCCGAAGGUUUCAUUCCGUUUGGACUCCGUUUGAUAUUCCUUUUCUGCGAAACUCUGGAAUGGGGAAAAACAGCAAUUCUGGGCUGGGCCUCCGGUUAAUAGGUUAGUCCCAAAAAUAAUAUAGAAGUGAAUAAUAAAGCCCAAUAAUGUCCAAAACAGUAGAUAAUAUAGCAUGGAGCAAUCAAAAAUUAUAGAUACGUUGGAGACGUAUCACUCGGCCAGUGCCCUGACUAGCUAUUUGUCUUCUGGUGCUCACGGGAUGGUGGUUCAUGUAAAAAUAUCUUUCCUUAUCUUAAUAAAGACCGACUUCGGCCUUUCGAAUACAAGCUAGACACCAUAUGGAAUAGGCAACCACAUAUGACACCGCGAAGUUAAAGCAAGCACCUGGGAUGGUGGUUCAUUGCGAGCGAGGUCAUCAACUUCAGAGCUACGUUUACCGUCUCCAUCUGCUGACACUGCACCUAUUAUAAGGCUGAAACGUGUCUGGCCUAUCCGCGUACGACGCUGGAGCGACUUCUCUCUUUUCUUUUUGCUUCUCUCAUAGCAUCAGAGUCUGAAAUACCCUUGCAUAAAAACACAAUAGUGAGAGUAUGGGUGAAGUGUGUGUAGAACUAGUGCACUGUAAAAGUAGCAGAUAGCAGGUGGCUAAAAAAUAAAUGACAGGAGACAUAUGAUAGCUCUACAACAUUGCAUGGCAAACAAAAUUAGAUUCUACUGCGUAUGAUUUUGUAAUAUAUGAGCACAGGAAAUGCUGGUACUCCUCCAGCACACCACCACAUGUGGUCAUAUCAAGAUAACAGUCGACUAAAAAUAAAUAGGCCAGACGAAUUUUUUAAUGAACCGUCCGAUCUGUAAGGAACGGGCAGAUGGCCUUCGUCUACCUCCCACCAGUCACAGUUGACGAUCUUUCUCGAACCGCCAGUGACCACCGGCCCAGACCCCUGCCUCCGCCGCCCCACCCUCCCCUCGACCUCACACCAUCGCCGUGCUUGGCAGUGCCCCCAGGCCAUCCCUUUAAUCCCGGCCGACCUCCAGAUCGGGCGCCAGUAGCUCUACGCCCCACACGCCCCUAAGAUAAACACCGAGGCGCUGCUUCCCCGGCGUAAUAGGUAGACUAGCGCCUGUUACGCCGGGGAAUGCUUCCGUUAAUUGGGAAUCAAUUGACCAGGAAUUGAAAUUCAGGGGGGCGACGGACCUCUAGCUAAGGUGAAAUAGUAUAUGAGGAGAAACCUUGUGCAUCGCGAGUUACUAGGAACAUCUAGUAUCAAGAAGAAGCAGUCAACUAGUGUCUUCUGUGGGAUGAAUACCGUGCAAGCAGACACGUAAGAUUUGCACGAAUAAGGGAAGAGGAGUAACAUUUUUGGUUGCCGGUGUGGUCGCCUCCACAUGUCGCAACGAUCUUCUUCCUUUUGCGGGGAAACCGAUGUUCUGGUGGAGGGUGCAGGCUUGGACAAACCCAUGGCCAAAUUGUUGACUGUGUUGCCGUGGCCGUAUGUCGGCGGAGGGGAAGCAGAUCCGAGGCGGCGAAGGACAGUGUAGCAGGAACAGCUCCGGUGCGGUGGAGGGUGGCGAAGUUGGAGCGGCAGCGGUGAGGCGCAGGACGGCGUGGUUGAACUGGCUCGGGUACGGACGGCUCGGCCUCGGCUUCAACUACUGGCCAUGGAGGGUGUUGCGGUUGAGGUUGUGGUGGACGACGACGUCGGGGUAUCGGCUCCGGCGUGAUGGAGGAGGGCGGCGGUUGAUGGGUGGAAUGGGGUGGCGGACGGAGGACGCCGGGGUUUCCUGGUGGAGAGGUAGUUUUUGCGCCCACGGAGUACGAAUGGGNNNNNNNNNNNNNNNNNNNNNNNNNNNNNNNNNNNNNNNNNNNNNNNNNNNNNNNNNNNNNNNNNNNNNNNNNNNNNNNNNNNNNNNNNNNNNNNNNNNNNNNNNNNNNNNNNNNNNNNNNNNNNNNNNNNNNNNNNNNNNNNNNNNNNNNNNNNNNNNNNNNNNNNNNNNNNNNNNNNNNNNNNNNNNNNNNNNNNNNNNNNNNNNNNNNNNNNNNNNNNNNNNNNNNNNNNNNNNNNNNNNNNNNNNNNNNNNNNNNNNNNNNNNNNNNNNNNNNNNNNNNNNNNNNNNNNNNNNNNNNNNNNNNNNNNNNNNNNNNNNNNNNNNNNNNNNNNNNNNNNNNNNNNNNNNNNNNNNNNNNNNNNNNNNNNNNNNGGGACGCGCUUGUUUUUGGCUUUUUUGAACAGAAGAUGGGACGCGCUUGUUUGAAAUUUGGGGAAAGUACAAACUUUGCCCCCCUCUUCAAUGUCGGACCUACUGCGGGUCGGGGGUAGGAUGGUAAUCCCAGGUGUCCCAAAUAGUGCGCGGGAGCGAUUUCGGCCGCGCGCAUGUGUGCUUAGGAGACCAUUGUGUAUGAAUGAUUUUCGGAGGCGGUUGCGUGGCGUCUAGAUGAAACUACAAACCUAGCCCGGUUUAGACCUUUGGACGUCGGGCCGGUAGGUUUCACGGGUCGGAGUUAUUAGAAACGUAAUUUCCUUGUACUACCAAACAUUGGUCUCACGCGGUUUCGGGCGAGUAGAGGCUCUUUUGGCGCUUCGUUCGAAAUUUUGAAACACAAGCAUUCACGUUUAGAGUACUCUUGAACUUUGAGGAUUGACCUAAAUAGACAACGUUAAAUUUGACCUUGUAUGUUUGAAAACCUCAUUAAAUUAUCUGCUUCUUUUUGAAAUUUUGACACUUGAAAAUCCUAUAACUACGAUUAUUUUGGAAUGGAGGAGCUAAAUUAGAAUCUAUUUUGUACACGACUACAUAUGCUAUUAUGUACAAAAUCAGAGCAAAGAUUGGUGCCGCCAUAAUUUAUGUAUGAUUUACAAAUGCCAUGAUAUCAAAUUCGAAUAAUUGAAUGGACUUCAUUUUGAAUUUGAUUUUUUAAACCACCUUAAGUUGAAUUCAAAUGUAUGCUAGUUCAUAGGUAGCUAUUUAUAAUGUUCAUUGUGUAACUUUCAUAUGUAUAAUGUGCUUUACACACACAACAUGAACUAUACUCACGUUUAUAUUCGAUUGCUACAGCGAUGCAUUGUCUGGAGUUCAAAAUACUAACUAUGUGGAUCAAUUGUGUCGAAUGAUAACAUCGACAUGCUCAAAUUCCAUAGAAUCUAGAUGUAUGAUGGAUCAAUGACCGUUCCUUACGCGAAUUGCAAAUAUCAUGAUCCCAUCCUAAUAUUUGGAUACAAUGUAUAUCUUUAAUCAAUGUGUACAGCAGUCUUGUACGUGUAGUUUCACUCCCCAUCGGUGGUAUCUCACACAUGCUCACACACUCUCUCCCGAGGUGUCUUUCUCGCACACAUGCUCUCGAUAUAACCCUCCCUCCCUCUCGUAACCAUUUACGACUGUUUUCACUAACCAUUAUCACAAGCACUCGCCCUCUCGCAAGCAUACACACGCACAAUCCCCAUCAACCCUUUCUAUAUACAUAGACCUGCCUACGUGUCUCCUGUACGCACAUUAUCUUUAGGCCUGUCUCUCACUCAUUGUCUCACACCUCUCUUCCUAAUCGACGAGUAUGAUUCUAGCAGAGCAUUCUGUAGGAUGCCCCUUAAAGUUAGGUUGGAUGAAUAGUAAUAUCAAAGAUAAAGGGUUUACCUUAGUCCGAGAACCUAGGGUUACAAAUCCUAGCCGGCUUUGUCAGUGGACAUAGAGUCCUUCACAAUUAUGCUAUCUUUGUCUUGUACAACUAGUCAUCCAUGGGUCUCCCUAAAUGCGUCACGGGCCGACCAAUGUGGCGCAGGACGGAACCGAACGAAGGGCCUCACCUAGACCCACCGGACCUCACGCCGUGACACACCCUCUGCCCCCACGUCUUGUUAUCUUCUCACACCCACACAUACCAACACAGACACCACACACACACACACACACAAAAUUCUCCUGGUGCCUCUAUCCACUCCCCCCUUGCAUAUACACACUCAAGGGAAUCUCUCGUCGUGACGUCAUAUCUGUCUCUCUCUCUAGACCACUCUCAUUUCUCGUGCUAUCUCUCCCACGCCCCCCUGCCGGCCCCUCUAUCCAUGCCUCUCUCGAAUACGUAAUACAGACACAUACCUCUCUAGGCCCUGCCAAAUGCAUCAACUACACAUUCACACAUGUUACAUCACGUACCCCAUUGAUCUAAAAAGCCCUCUCUUCACGUUUAUUUCGCAUACAACAUUCCUUUUGAAUAAAGUGUGGCCAAAAAAAUAUUUUAGAAUUUGUACAUAUAUACAACAUUACAAAGUUAUAUGGAGGAGUAUGAACGCUUGCAAUGCAUGGUGCCCACAAUGAUAUUUAUUCCGCACUGUGAAUUUGUAUAUUUUUAUACUAUAUAUAAAGUUAGUCAUAAUAAAGAGAAACGAAGAGCAUCUCUCUCUCCAUCGCAUACCCCCCUCUACGCCCCUUUCACGUACGCACAAAAACUAUCUCCAGGUCCUCUAAAAGUAAGCCCCCAGCACAUUCACGCAUGUUUCAUCUUUCCCUCGCGAUAUAUACAGUGACGAUCAUUGUAUUUGAAGCGAAAGCACGAUAUGUACAUUGGACUUCAGAAUCCACUCAUUACGGUCAGCAUUUACGUUUUGUGGUUAUUAUACAGUCACGGGCUCACCGUACAACUCUGUAUUUGCUCAAGACACGACUAGUUGACCAGUCAAACGCUCCACGUGGCACCUCUAGUGCUGCAUCACAUUAUCUCACUACCAUCGGGCCCACCUAUCGGCUUGUAUCUACUCUACAUCUACACUCUUAUAAAAUACUAGCAAGAUGCCCAUGUGUUGCACGGAACAUCAAGAUGCAUUUGUAUGAGUAGUUUAUCUUGUGCGAGAAAAGGAUGAACAAGGGAAGGCCUUAUUUGCAAGUGCGGAGAGGGGUGUGGGUAUCUUUUUGCAAAAUUGCCAUAGUUUCCUUCCUAUCCGUCAGAUAUAAAUCGGACGGCCUAUAUUGCAGGAUGGCAGGCACACGAUCAUCACCGACUAUGCUUUUUAUAAGAGUAGGGAUAAAAUACACUCUUAUAAAAAAACAGAGUUGGUGAUGAUGGUGUGCCAGCCAUCCUGCAAUAUAGGCCGUCCGAUUUAUAUCUGACGGAUAGGAAAGAAACUUUGACAAUUUUGCAAAAAGGUACCCACACACCUCUACACAUUUGCAAAUAAGGCCUUCCCUCGUUCAUCCUUUUCUCUCACAAGAUAAACUAGUCAUACAAAUGCAUCUUGAUGUUACGUGCAACGCACGGGCAUCUUGCUAGUAAGAAAGAAAACAAACGACAAAAAAAUAUUGGACGGUGGUUCGAAGUCAUGACCGCAGGCACAGCGGACAAGGUGGCCUUGUAUUGGUAUGCUCAGUCAUUUGUUUUAACACACAAGAGCUGGUGUGGUGAUUAUACACACGCGCACGCAUGCACAUGAACUGCAUGCACGCAAUACUCACACAAACACAUGCACCCACGCACGCGCAACACUCACACGUACACACGCAGCCAUGCACGCAUGCAACACUCACACGCACACAUGCACGCAUGCAUGCACACACCAGUACACCACACGACCAACACACACUCUCGCGCUCAAGUGCUCAACCUACACAUGCAUGCGCACACAUCAAGCCCUGACAGACACAUAGACAACCAGGUGAUUCCCACGCACGGGGUAGAGUCUUGUCGUGCCUGCGUACAUUUGUGUUUAUCUGACCUUUCCCCUAUGCAAACUGACAUGUGGGACCCACUAGGAACAUGGUCAAUUUAACUAGUCAACAUGGUUCCACGCAGACUAUUUGGCCGGUCAACAGAGUGCAAUCCGAUGCUGAACCGUGAGCAAGAGACUGUAUAAUCACCGCAAAACGUAUAUAGUGACCGUAAUCAGCUUAUUCUGAAGUUCGGUGAACGUAUUACGCUUUUCUCUCUGUAGGCCCUCCAAAACUACAUCUCUACACGUUCUCGCAUGUUACAUCUAACAACUAUGCAAUACAGCACUACUACUACACUCUAACACAAUAAAUCAUACGUGUUUUUAGUUUUACUAGAUAUCAUAUUGUUACUUAAUUAUUCAGUUUGCAUACAUUAAAAUUGCCUUUGAAAUGUAUGGCCAGUAUAAUAUACCGCGCGGGAAAAAUCCCGCCCUUCCUGUUUAAUCGGGUUUGUAUCGAUGGAUCGUGCGAAAUAGCAAAACUAUAGUACUAUAUACAGUACAAGUGAAAGUUCACUGGGCCGUCGUGUCGUGUACUCCUCCGUCGUAAGAGUGGAGCACUUGCUUUCAUAAAUCUUCUAGUCCCUUUCGCCGACAUGUGGGGCAUCAAGCUACCGGGUCCACGUGCCAUACCGGAAUACAGUGCAGAGUAGCCGGGGUGAAGCACCCAGUCAUGGCGCCGGCGUAGUAAUGAGCAAUGAGGCAUCAAAUCACCUUUCCCGCAGUUAAGUUGGAGGGAUGAAGUAAUAAUGCUAAAAAAGAAGUUGGAGGGACGAAGCAACCAUCAUUUCACUCGUUGCUCAAUCCGCUUCUCCCUCAUCUUCUUCAAGUUAACCACGUGUUGCUUCUGCCGUUGUUCUGCCACAUGUGGGAAGCGGAUCGGCUUGGUGAAGCACUGACAUGUGGGACCGCAUGUUAGCAAACCGCGAGGACAACGUCCUCUAAAAAUAAGAAAUCUCCCCCACCAUCCGCGCGGCAAAAUCACCUCCUUUUUACUAAUCUUGAUUCUAUAAAUCUUUUAGAUCAAUAUAAUUGAGAUUUGUAUAGAUAGCACACAGGAGCAAAACCAAGUGGUAUGGUUAAGGGCAUCCACAAUGUGUAGCCAAAUGUGAAAAUAGCUUUUGGCAUCGUGGGAACCAUUGUGGACGGUGUUGCCAAAGCCAAAAGGAUGGAACUGAAGCUCCCUAAUUGAUUGAUUGAAGGAAUAGAAAAAUGCAACGUCUCUCCUCUUUCUCCCGUGCUUGGACACAUGUACAGUAUAGAGGACAGAGUCUACUCCCCUGUCCCUUCUAUCACAAAGCACAAAGCAGUGAGGCGUCAAAUCACAAAGCACGGACGAAGCAACCAUCAUUUCACUCUUCACCGACUCGCUUCUCCAUCGUCUUCUUCGAGAAACCAUCUCACCGCACUAAGCUGGACGGACGACGCUAUUGUGCACAAGUAGUACUAGUACAUUUACGCGUCCUUUGGUUCAACGGACUUCCUGGAUGCAAAUAAGGCGGUUGUCUCGGCUUGCAGGCGGUACUUGCAAACGACUUACUGUGGUCUCCCUCAAUGGUGUUCUCCGUCGAACACACUUCACCAAACCACAACGUUCGAGAUAUCGUCGACGUCACCGCAAUGGGGAAGGAAGUCAAAUAUAGUUACUACCUCCAUUUUUUGUACACAAGGCCAGUAUAUCAAAAUUACAAUUUGCAAAAGGCCACUAACACUAAUCAAGGCAAAAUUGAUGUGGUUUGCCUCUUACUAGCAACCAAGGACAUUAAUAUCCCCUGCAUGCUUGCGGAAGUGAGAAGGUUGGUUUGCAUGGCGCUGCAUUAAUCAAGCAAUGAGGAGUGAGAUGGUUAGCUAUUUGGGCUUUGGAGAAAAAAAUACGCAUUAAUUGACACGUGAAACGAGGAUUUGUAUCGAUUAAUCCCGCGAAAGAAAACCCCGCCUUUCUUUUUUAACACUAGUACUCCUAGUACGUAGUACUACGUACUUAUCCUGUUGCGGUCUAGGCCUUGCAUUGCCAUACUUCGCCACAGAUUUUGCCAAGCUUGCCUAAAGUAUUCAAAAUGAAAAGGAGGUACACUUGCACACGGCUGUCGCGGUCGCACCGCACCCUCACACGGUCGCUCCUGCACGCCGCGGUCGCACCGCACCCUCACAUGCAUAGUCGCUCCUACACGCAACGAACCCAACCAAGGGAACGCACCCUCACUAACAUGUGUUGUCGCAUGUGAACAAGCCAAACUCAGCCAUCCUACCGUUGACACGUAAUUUUCGUUCAUAGAGUAUGUUUAUCCAACCGCAUGUUGGGGAGUAUCUGUACGGGCCGUGCGGUGGUCUGUUGGGGAAGAAGAGGUGAGGAAGAAUGGUUAGGAGACGUAGGAUAUUCAUCCAACCACCUUAAAUGGUAGACUGACCCAAGUCAGGCGACUUGCAUAACAAUAUAUGUUUUUACAUAGCAAAAGAUCCAUAAAAACAACAACAUAAAGAAAAACUAUCACUGCUCGUGGAACGAGACGGGCUCGUCGUCUUUGGCUGCCGGCGCGAACCAGCCGUAGCUGCCGACGUGUGUCUCCGCACCGUGGUUGUCCUCGGCCUCCAGCUACUCGUUCACGUGGGGCGUGCGGGCGCUCUCCACGGACGAGAGCUCCGCCCGGUUCAAGUCUAGGACGUCCGGUUCCGCCUGCAGGAGGGCCUCGAUGGCAGCGGCAUCCGUGCGCUCCGUGUCGAGUCGAGCCUCCGCCGCCCGGUUCAAUUCCAGGACAUCCGGUUCCGCCUGCAGGAGGGCCUCGAUGAGAGCGUCAUCCGUGCGCUCUGCGUCGAGUUGAGCCUCCGCCGCCCGGUUCAUGUCCAGGACGUCCGGUUCCGCCUGCAGGAGGGCCUCGAUGGCAGCGGCAUCCGCGCACUCCCCCUCAAGUUGAGCCUCCGCCGCCCGGUUCACAUCCACAACAUCCGGUUCCGCCUGCAAGAGAGCCUCGAUGGCAGUGGCAUGCGCGCGCUCCGUGUCGAGUUGAGCCUCUGCCUCCCUGUCCUCCUUUAGUAUCGCCAGGCUGAACCGCUGGUCUGCCUGCACCAUGGGGGACUCGGACGCCGGCACAAAGUCGACGUCCAUCGUCUCAUACCCAUCGGGGGCCCGCUGCGCCGCGACCUCCGCCAUGAACAUUGGAUCGUCUUCCUCCUCCUCGUGGCUUGGCUCCAGAGAUUUCGGGGAUUGGCCCGCUGUCAGUGUCAAAACCGGCGGAUCUCGGGUAGGGGGUCCCGAACUGUGCGUCUAAGGAGGAUGGUAACAAGAGGCGGGGGACACGAUGUUUGCCCAGGUUCGGGCCCUCUCGGUGGAGGUAAUACCCUACUUCCUGCUUGAUUGAUCUUGAUGAUAUGAGUAUUACAAGAGUUGAUUUACCACGAGAUCGUAGAGGCUAAACCCUAGAAGCUAGCCUAUGAUUAUGAUUGUUCUUGUCCUACGGACUAAACCCUCCGGUUUAUAUAGACACCGGAGGGGGCUAGGGUUACACAGAGUCGGUUCCAAGGGAGGAGAUCUACAUAUCCGAACUGCCAAGCUUGCCUUCCACGCAAAGGAGAGUCCCACCCGGACACGGGACGGAGUCUUCAAUCUUGUAUCUUCAUAGUCCAACAGUCCGGCCAAGGUAUAUAGUCCGGCUGUCCGAGGACCCCCUAAUCCAGGACUCCCUCAGUAGCCCCUGAACCAGGCUUCAAUGACGAUGAGUCCGGUGUGCAGAUUGUCUUCGGCAUUGCAAGGUGGGUUCCUCCUCCGAAUACUCCAUAGAAGAUUUUGAACACAAGGAUCGUGUCCGGCUCUGCAAAACAAAUUCCACAUACCACCGUAGAGAGUACAACAUCCCAGAAAUCUAAUCUGCCGACAAAUUUCAUAGCAUGACGUCACGCCACGGCCCGAUCAUUAUUCGAACCGUUUUUCUCAACCAGCUACUGCACAUAUUGCGAGGCGGUUUUCUUGGCACGUCUUAUCGAAGCAGAGAUCAUGUCCCCUUAUCACAGGAUUCUCAUCAAUACGGGUGUGGGUAACCCAACCGCGUCAGCAAUCAUGGCGCUUGGGGAAUAAGCGAGUUUACCAGGCAAGUGGGGAGGCGCACAGUUUCUACUGCCCUUAUAAAGGGAUAAGGACCACUCUCGCGCACUCGAGCUCCAGCGCCCAAGUUCUCAUUUUCUCCGCAAAACCAUUCCAAACAUGUCCGGAGCGGGAGGCAAGUGGAUGGUCUCCUCCGUUACGGAGGAGAACAUUACGAAGGUCCGGGAAGCCGGAUACCUGGCCGCAGACAUCGCGCACCGGCUCGCAGACGCAGGGCAGAUCAUCCCUACUCUAGAACCCCACGAGAGGGUUGUAUUCCUUACCCACUUCGUCCACGGGCUGGGAUUUUCCCUCCACCCAUUUGUCUGCGGGCUCAUGUUCUACGAUAGGCUGGACUUCCAUGAUCUGGCCCCUAAUUUCAUCCUCAACAUCUCGGCGUUUAUCGUCGUGUGCGAGGCCUUCCUCCGCAUCAAGCCCCACUUCGUCCUGUGGCUGAAGACCUUCAACGUGAAAUCGAAGGUGGUGGUCGGCCAGCAAGCGGAGUGCGGAGGCGCCAUGGUGGGAAAAAUGCCCAACGUCACCUGGCUCGAAGGCUCCUAUGUGGAGACCGUGAAGGGGUGGCAAUCGGGGUGGUUCUACAUCACCGAGCCGCGCGACACCAACUGGGUGGCAGCCCCCGAAUUUCGAUCCGGCAUCCCCAUGCGGCUCACCUCCUGGAAAGAGAAGGGCCUAUCCUGGGGCUCAUCGGUGGAGCUGACCGGACUCCAGAACUGUGUUAAAAACAUGAUAAGCAAGAAAAUCAAGCUUGUCAACGUGGUCCAGGUCAUGCUCUUCCACCGGAUCCUCCCAUGUCAAAGACGGGCAUUCAAUAUGUGGGAGUUCGACCCGGCCAAGCACCAGAAGCUGCGAGAGCUUUUCGACACGACGCACCAAGACGUUUGGAAGGUGCUAUUCAAGGCCGCCGAGGUACCUCCUCCCCUUACCGAGGAUCACGGACUCAGCGCAAAGCGCAUUGCCAAUCCGGUAAGCUCUUUAUAUCUCAUAAGAUGUUCCUUUCCCCAGUAUAAUUAUGUGAGGGAUCUGAGCCUCCACGCCAUUUUAACAGGACUGGGUAGCGACAGCGGAGCGGAUUGAUUGUCCGGCCCCACUGCCCGAAGAUCCAGCAAGGGCUCUCUUAAUGGAGAUGCUGGUUCCGGCGCGUUAUGAGGCGCUGGAGAAGAAGGCCAAGAAGAAGGCCGUGGGGACCAGGAAAGGUCUCCGGCGCAAGGUUGUAACGGACUCAUCGUCCGAUAACACCGAGGCGCCCUCCUCCCACGAAAACAAGGAGGAGCAAGAGGAAAGUUCUCCCCCCCCUAGCUUGGGGAGAUAAGAAAAGGAAGGCCGCCCCAUCCGGGGAGGCCGAAGGGUCCAAGAAGGGAAGGACCCUCCUUCCGGACUACUCCACAACAGCCGCUUACAGCGACGAGGAGUGGUUGCCCAGGGACAAGCCCCUGGCGAAGUCGUAAUUAUCCGGAUACCAUAAUAGUUCUGGUAUGUUUUGUUUUAUUGCUUCUUAUCAUGCCAAACAUGAUCAUGCAGUCCAUCCAAAGCCCAUAUCGACGUAUCCUCUUCGGAUGAGUCUUUGGGCCAGUUGGCGAUGAACAGCGAUUCACUCCCGACUGCCACCUCCCCCCGCCCUACAGACGACGUCGAGGUGUUGUCUCAAAGGGCACUGAACCAAGGGGAGAUAGUUCUGGAAGCGCCCCAAGGCGACAUCCCAGACGCUGGGCGCAUGGGGAGCAAGACUCCCAUGGGCUCUAAUGACGGGGGCAGCCAGUUUGGCCCCCAGCCAAAUACUGCGCCGGAGCCUCCAGUGGUUCCGGACUCUGUCAGGCGACCCCUCGCUAAGGGGGGCGAGCCGUCUAUGCCGAUGGCCUUUGUCCAUCCAGAGGCAUUGGACAACUUGCUGGAAGCGCUUCGCGGCGCUUCCAUUGACGAAGAGCACCGCACUAUCAUGAGUGCGGUGGUUGAGAAGGUUCGGUCCACCAAAAGCGGACUGACUGAAGCCUGUGCCAGCCUCCUAACAGGCUUUGAGGUAAGUGAUCAAAUUAUGAGAAAAUGUUACAGCAUAGACAGUAGCCUCUGAUGCUCUGUUUGGUGUUCGCAAAGAAAGGCCGAACAGAGGAUCAAAUAACAAUCACAGGAGUCUCAUCAGAAUAUGUCUAUGCGAAUAAGCAGGCUUCGCUGCUAGCCACUGCCGCUCGUACUACGGAGGUCUCCGGACUGAAGCGGGACCUUGAGAGGUCCAGGGAAGAGCUCGGCCUUACCAAGAGGCAGCUCGAAGAGAACAAAGGUAAGUGAUACACCGUCCGUAUAUUGAUAAAGAGAAAAGAAGGUUGUUGUUAGAUCAUAGGAUCAUCAUGAAUUUUGCUAGGGGCCACGACCGAAGUGGCGGCCCUGAAGAAGGCAUUGUCUGAGGCCGAAGACAAAGCGGCCAAGGAGCGCACCGAGCGCGAGAAGCAAGAGGCCCGAGUCAGCGAGGUCAGCAAGAGCUCCAGGAUUUUGUCAAGAAAUACGAGUCCUUGGAGCGUGACUCUAAGAUGCAGGGGUCCGAGCUUGCGAAGGCCCUCGAGAGCGCACAAAAUGCCAAGGCCGAAGCCCAAAAGGCCCUCCAGGAGAUUCAGGCGGUCAAGAAGAUAGCGGCGGGUAAGGCUUUCAUUAUGCAAAGCAAGCAUGUGAAGUGAACUUUCCUUUUACUUACCCGAAUUCGGAGCUCUCCAGGAGCGUUCGCAGACCUACCCAGUAGUGUAUCGGAUGCUGCGGAGUUCUACCGGGCCGAGGAAGGGAGCUCGACGGAGAAGUUGUUCUGGUCUCAGUAUACUGGGACCGAACAUCCGAUGUCCUUGAGCGACCAGCUGAAGCAACUAGUCGAGCUUCACAAGGCGGCCGUACUGGCCAUGAAGGGUCUCAUAGUCCGGAUGUGGCCUGGCGAGCCCCUGCCUGGCAGCUACUUCGGCCUGGUAAAGCGGCUUGUGAAUGCCUGCCACGGUUUGAAGUCAUAAAGCGGUUCGUCUGCAUUGAAGGUGCGCGUCGGGCCUUUGCCCGUCCGAAAGUGCACUGGGCGAAGAUGGACGCCGAAAAUCUGGUGAAGGAGGGGCCGCCGGAGGGCAAGGAGCAUCGCCACCCCGAAAAGUAUUAUGACAGUGUCCUGAAGGGUGCUCGCCUUGUGGCGGAGGAAUGUGCUAAGGAUGUAAUAUUUGAAUGAAUGUACUCAUGUGAUCCUGUAAUAUGAAAACGAGUUCAUGUGCGCUAUAUAACGCUUGUUGAUUUAAAAUAUUACCUUCUGUGCGGCCGUUUAUAAAAUCUGAGAGUUGGCUAGUCGUCGGCUUCUGCCCCCAUGUAACUAGUACGGAGGUGUUCGGGAUAGAUCUUAAACACUCUUUAUCCAAAAAAUUGGUCCUUUAAGGAGGUGUUUAGGGCAGCGAACAAGGCAAUCGGACUAUACAGCUUUAUCACUCUCACUUAGCCAUUGAAUUCUACAAUUUUAAAUUUUGGCGAAGCCCCUAGUAUUUGGAAGGCCGAACUUGGGGCACUAUGUACGCCGAAAUCGGACAAGGCCGAUUCCUCGCCCGAAGCGGAAAAAAUCUUUAAGGAUUUGAGACCUCUCGAACAGCGACCAGCUCUCGCCGCAUCAUAACAGUCAGUUUUCGGCUUUCUCUACUGAGGUGCUCGUCCGGAAGAACCGGGACACAAUCGCAGUAGUUCUCCCAGUGCUACCUUAGCCGAUAUAGCAGAACGUAAGGCACCAAAACAUGGGAGCCGGGCAAACCCAACUAUUGACCCAAGACAUGAUUCGGAGCUGAUGCAUAUAAUGCUACAAGUUCGGGGUGCCGCACUGUCGAAAGUGUUCGGACUUUUCUUGCCGUGUUAUGGGGUACACUGAAGCCCCUGGCGCACUGCUCGUACCAGAAUGUACGGAUGCAAUUUGUCGUAAAUAAGCAGACAAGGAAAAAGAUGAAGAAAUGUAAUAAUAAGCUAACGCUGUACAUUGUUAUUUAAAUGAUACGACAAAGCGUAUGUAUACAAGUAGUGUAAUAAGCAAAAAAAUAGGACUAUUUGACAUGUCCUAUCGAAGGGCAAGCUGCGUAUGGGUUUGUAAAACAGGUAUAGCGAUCGUUAUCAGAGACCACCUGGGGAUUCCCUUGUACGUCAGAGCUUCUUGCUUCCUUGGUAUUUCCUUCCCGUAAUGGGUUCGAUAAUCAGGCUAUCGGAGAGGGCUUCCAGAGAAUAGGGUCCUGAAAGAGAGAAAAUGAUAAAGAUAUACGGGCCCUGAGGCGGUUGAGCUGCAUUGUGGGCCGUGCCAUAGUCGUGCCUCCGCCUAUGCCCAUGGUAUCUUGAGUGUGUAAUUGUGUACGAGCGGCGCAAAUUUUGCCGCUUGACUGGGACUAUGACGGAGGCCGAAUUGCUUGGCGAGCUCUGAACAUGCCGGGCGAUCCUAUUGCAGGGUACUCCGGACUCGCUUGAAGGUCUCCGGGGGCUUUAUCGCCGAAUUGGCAGUUUGUCUCAGAAGGCUGCUUUGCACUUCUGCUGCGAGGGCCGCAGUGUGCUCCUCCAUACGGAGCGAGCAUUCUGUGUUUCCAUUAACUGUUAUAACCCCACGAGGUCCUAGCAUUUUGAGCUUGAGGUAUGCAUAAUGCGGUACCGCAUUGAAUCUGGCGAAUGCGGUUCGUCCGAGCUGUGCGUGAUAGCCACUGCGGAAGGGGACGAUAUCGAAGAUUAACUCCUCGCUUCAGAACUUGUCCGGAGAUCCGAAGACCACUUCCAGUGUGAUUGAGCCCAUGCAACAGGCCUCUACACCUGGUAUGACACCUUUAAAGGUGGUUUUUGUGGGUUUGAUCCUCGAGGAGUCGAUACCCAUUUUGCGCACUGUAUCCUGAUAGAGCAGGUUCAGGCUGCUGCGUCCGUCCAUAAGGACUCGAGUGAGGUGAAAUCCGUCAAUGAUGGGGUCAAGAACCAACGGGCAGAACUGCCAUGACGAAUACUGGUGGGGUGGUCCCUGCGAUCGAAAGUGAUCGGACAAGAAGACCAUGGGUUGAACUUUGGGGCGACUGGCUCCAUCGCAUAGACGUCCCUUAGUGCACGCUUCUGUUCCCGCUUGGGAAUAUGGGUUGCGUAUAUCAUGUUCACCGUUUUCACUUGGGGAGGAAAUUUCUUCUGUCCUCCUGUGUUCGGCGGCCGGGGCUCCUCCUCGUCGUCGCUAUGCAGCCCCUUUUCCUUGUUUUCGGCAUUCAUCUUGCCGGCCUGUUUGAACACCCAGCAUUUUCUGUUGGUGUGGUUGGCUGGUUUAUUGGGGGUGCCGUGAAUUUGACACGAGCGAUCGAGUAUGCGGUCCAAACUGGACGGGCCCGGAUUGCUUCUUUUGAACAGCUUUUUCUGCUGACCGGAUUUAGAGCCACUGAAUCCGGCACUGACUGUCGUGUGUUGUUGCGGCGCUUGUGUCUGUUGCGAGGUGGCCUACCGUUGCUGUCUUCGGCAUCUGGAUUGCCAGGAUUUCUUGAUGUGUUGUUGCUGCGAGCCAGCCAGCUGUCCUCGCCCGCACAAAAGCGGGUCAAUGAGUGUCGUGAGGGCUGACAUGGACUUCGGCUUCUCUUGGCCGAGGUGUCGGGUGAGCCACUCGUCGCGGAUGUUAUGCUUAAAUGCCGCUAAGGCCUCGGCAUCCGGACAGUCGACAAUUUGGUUCUUUUUACUUAGGAACCGAGUCCAGAAUUUCCUGGCUGAUUCCCCUGGCUGUUGGGUUAUGUGACUCAAGUCAUCGGCAUCCGGUGGUCGCACAUAAGUGCCCUGGAAGUUGUCAAGGAAUGCGUCUUCCAAAUUCUCCCAACUGCCAAUGGAGUUUUCCGGCAGGCUUUUCAUCCAAUGUCGAGCCGGCCCUUUCAGUUUAUUGGGAGGUACUUCAUGGCAUGUAGAUCGUCACCGCGGGCCAUGUGGAUGUGGAGGAGGAAAUCUUCAAUCCAUACCGCGGGGUCUGUUGUACCAUCAUAUGAUUCAAUGUUCAUGGGUUUAAACCCUUUUGGGAAUUCAUGAUCCAUUACUUCAUCGGUGAAGCAUAGGGGGUGUGCUGCGCCACUGUGCCGGGCUAUAUCACGAUGCAGUUCAUACUAGUCUUGUCUGCUGUAUUCGGCUCGGCUGGAUUUGCUUCUAGUAUAUCCGGCGUGAUGGUCGCCGUCACGCAUUGGGGCGUGCCCUCGUGAUUCGUAGAUCGAUCUUUUAUGUCCUACUUUGUUUUCCAAUACGUCUCGCAGGUCCUGUGUGUUGCCCCGGGCCUUGGUGUUUUUGUUUGACUGGCGGCGGGGUGCGGGCUGUACUUCGGGCUGAUAUGCCGCUUUGUCUCGGCCAUGAGGUGGCCGGUCAGCCGCAUCAUACGCUGGAAGUCUAGGCUUUAAUGCCUCCUCCUCGAGUUGGGGUAGCAACCUGCGCUUUGGGUAACUUUUGGUUGGGCGCUCGAGUUCGUAUUCCUCGGCCGCCAGGACCUCGGUCCAUCUAUCCGCUAGCAGAUCUUGGUCAGCUUGAAGCCGUUGUUGCUUUCUCUUCAGGCUUUUGCUGUGGCUAUAAGCCGGCGCUUGAAGCGCUCCUGCUCGACGGGAUCCUCGGGCACGAUAAAUUCUUCGUCGCCGAGGCUCACCUCGUCUUCGGAGAGGGGCAUGUAAUUGGCAUCCUCUGAUUCUCCAUCUGCUGCCUGUUCCUUUGUGCUAGCUUGCCCAUCCUCCCGCUCGAAACCUGGCUAGAGGGGAUUGUCUUCGUCUUCGGCACUAUCCGCAGCGUUAUUGUCUCUUGUGCUGAUAUCGCUGCUUUUGCUAUGGCGGGGCUUAGAGUGGCGCCGAUGACGCCGGUGUUUAGAUUGCUUCUCGGGGGGAUUAUCCUCCGUUGCCUUAUUGCCAUCGCUUUCUUUGGGGGUGUCCACCAUGUAUAUAUCAUAUGAUGAGGUGGCAGUCCAGCGCCCUGUGGGCGGUGGUUCCUGUUCUUCUCCUGCAUCGUCGUCCAUACCGUCGACGUCUUCGGAGCUGAAAUCGAGCAUAUCGGUUAAGUCAUUGACAGUGAAUAUUAAGUGGGUGGUGGGUGGGGAACGAAUUUCUUCGUCAUCCGCUUCCCACUCAAGCCGGACAUAGUUCGGCCAAGGGCCUCUUGACAAGGAGAGAGACCUUAAUGAAUUUAGCACGUCGCCCAGGGGCGAUUGCUGAAAGAUAUCCGUGGAGGAAAACUCCAUGAUCGGUGCCCAAUCAGAGUCGAUAGGCACGGACGCAGGCGGUUCGGAGCCCGUGGUCGGGGACGAAUCCAAGGGUCCGGCAACACAGGUCUCAUAGGAGGUGAAGUCAGUAUUUGGCUCUAUCGCUACUGAGUGUGCGGCCUCCAUGGCGGGGUCCAUCCACCCGUCCUCGGAUGGCGCAAUCUGCUCCGGACUCAGGUGUGAUCUCCCGAACACCGUCUGACGGCAGAGCUAAGUCAUGCUCGUCGUGACUGUGCGGGGCACCUGGCAUGGGCUCGAAUCCGUCGAAGAUCAAGUCUCCGCGGAUGUCGGCAGUAUAGUUUAAGUUUCCAAACCUGACCUGACGGCCAGGGGCGUAGCUCUCGAUCUGCUCCAGAUGGCCAAGCGAGUUGGCCCGGAGUACGAAACGGCCGAAUAUGAAGAUCUGUCCGGGGAGAAAAACCUCACCCUGGAUCGCAUCGUUGCCGAUGAUCGAAGGAGCCAUCAAGCCUUUAUCGUAACGGCACAGUGGAACUCUCAAUGAAAGCACCAAUGUCGGUGUCAAAACCGGCGGAUCUCGGGUAGGGGGUCCCGAACUGUGCGUCUAAGGCGGAUGGUAACAGGAGGCGGGGGACACGAUGUUUACCCAGGUUCGGGCCCUCUCGACGGAGGUAAUACCCUACUUCCUACUUGAUUGAUCUUGAUGAUAUGAGUAUUACAAAAGUUGAUCUACCGCGAGAUCGUAGAGGCUAAACCCUAGAAGCUGGCCUAUGAUUAUGAUUGUUCUUGUCCUACGGACUAAACCCUUCGGUUUAUAUAGACACUAGAGGGGGCUAGGGUUACACAGAGUCGGUUACAAGGGAGGAGAUCUAGAUAUCCGAAUUGCCAAGCUUGCCUUCCACGCAAAGGAGAGUCCUACCCGGACAUGGGACGAAGUCUUCAAUCUUGUAUCUUCAUAGUCCAACAGUCCGGCCAAGGUAUAUAGUCCGGCUGUCCGAGGACCCCCUAAUCCAGGACUCCCUCACCAGCUACAAACCGAGCUUGGGAACGGAGGUCUCUAGCGCCGACCGCCGCCGCGAUUUCGGCGCGGUGCUCCGGCGUCAGCAUCUUGUAGUACCUGAUCUUGCGGCGCACCAUGGCUUUCCGGCGAACUAGGGGACGCUUGAUGCGGGCUAGGGGAUCAAAAGGUGGGGGAAGGGGCUGGAGAUUAGGUGUGGUUUUAGGGCAGUGGCUGGAGGCUGAGCAGCGAAGGUUCUUGUGUGAAUAGUGGUUCCGGUGACAACCGGUCAAUCGGUAUUGACUGUACAUCGCUCUUGUCGCGUUCGCGUUGCAGCCCGGCACGCUGGCCCUCCACGUCGCUCACCGAAUGGAACGCGCUUCGUCUUGCGUUUUCGCUCGCUUGUGGGACCGCAGUUGAGAGGAAACCGACGUCCCUCCCCCUCCCCCGCCCGCGUCAUUUUAUGCAGAGUAAAUAAAAACAGAAGGAGUAUACUACGGAUGAGGAUCCCCUGACGUGGCCGAAACCAUUGAGUAACUGACAUGCGGGGCCUAGCGAGCAUGGGGUCCGCCAGUAAGUGACCGAAAAGGAGGGUAAGGCAGGGAUACGUAUGUGAAAGGAGCUUCCAAUGAUAUAAAUUUCACAUUAUACAUCUCAUGUACUAUUAAUCUUGUCAAUAGUCAAAUGCGGUUUUGGAAAACGCAUUAGAGCAUGGUUAAUAAUAUAGCCAGUCGAUGGCUAUAAGGAACUGCCAUGUCAUCUAUAGCGAUCAUCUAUUUUAUGCACUCAUACAGUAGUGUGGGCUAUAAGGUUGGCUAUUUCCCGCAAAAAAAUUAUAAGGUUGGCUAUUGUAUUAGUAGUUUUUUUCCAUCUCCUCUCCAUCUCUUUCUUCAUAUUUAUUGUACGUAUUUAACUAGGAAUGCGUAUAUAGCUAGGCUCUUGCAUGAGAGCUCACUCCCCUUACUUUUUCACAUCUCUCUCCUCCACAUAGGCCCUAUAUAAAUGGAAGGAGGGAGUACAACUAUGAGCACUGCAUACUCUAGUACAGAUGUUGUCAGUACUCCACUAGUACUAUUGGACAGGGAGCUUAAAAUAGUUACUAUUGGACUGGCUAUACGUGGCGAAAUCCUAGUAGGAAGAGCAUGCGUGAGAACAAGCACAUUCAUGUGGUUGAAAACAAAUUGGAAACCAUCUCGAGUACAAAUCUAGGAGUACGUACGAAUCUAACAAUAUUGAUUGGGCGUUGUUGAAUGUUGAUACUUUUUUUAUCAAAGUAGAUAUACUUUGACUACACAUAAACCUUAUAUGUAAACUAGAAAGGAUAGGAGGGAGUAUAUUGUACGUUCAAAAACGAAACGAACAUUGAAUACCCUUAAUAUAUGAUUUGCGGAUGCUAUGAUCACCGGUUCAAAAUUUGAAUCCGCCUUAGGUAUCACACAUGCCCCCACUCGUUCUCUCUCGAUUUCAUCUCGGGGUCCGGAGAUCGAUUGAAAGAGGACUAGGGUGGGUACAAUACGUUCGUUUCGGUUAUGAAUGUACAAUAUACUCCCUCUGAUCCCCACAGACCCCCUCCCCCCGCGGGUCAUUUCUAUCAUAGAAACAGACCAAACCUUUAUCUCCUUGCACGACACGCAAUUGAUCUCUGAACAUCAAUCGAUCUCGUCAACAUGUGUCGGGGCAUGAACCGAAUGGGAUGUCAAAACUAAGACGCGAAGCGACACGUAGUGGAGGCAAAGUGAAACUUAAAACGAACCGUUUGUUUGUAUGCAUGUCGGACAACUUACAAAUAAACAUUGGAAAUACAAGCAUGGUCUAGGCCCACAUGCGAAUGAUACUCGGAGGAAUGUUCAAAUGAGGCAUGCGGGAGGAUCGACUCAACCGGAGGGCGACAUGAUCGAUGGAGAAGAGGGUUGGAGAGGAAUGAGAAAUAAGCAAACGCCACAUGAUUAUACUUGAACGGCUCAAAUAAACAAUAAGUUUUCUUGCUUGGCCUAUAUAGUGAAAGGCGUAAUGCGCAACGUGGAGCACUGACGCUCGAAUAUGGCCGGUAAAACAGGGAAACCGACAUGUGGGGCACACCUGCCGGGACGACGUAGCGCAAACUAGUCCAAUGGAGGAGCUGGCCCACGACCUCCUCGCAACCGGCAACUGUUCAUGUGGGUCGUGGGGGCCAACAACGUGUCGCAGCUCCAGCACCUCCUCUGGACAUGGUGACCGCGGUGAGCGACCCGCUCAUCGUUGCUAGACACGGUCGGUUUCAGUGUGCCGAGGGUGGCGUUAGUGCUGUGGCACAACCAACAGUAUGUUUGCUUUGUGCCCAAGGUUGCCCCGUCAAAGCGUUGGGUAGCCAAAAUUUUGGUUGAGGUUUUGGUUGCCCAUGAUUUGGCCGACAUCGGCAAGAAAAAUGAACUAGAGUUGGCUAGAGUUCAUUGGCAUGCCAAAAAAUGGCAACCAUCCAAACAAAGACCAAUCUUUGGGCCAUGACCAAAAUUUUGGUAAGGUGCACUUUGGCCACAAUCCAAACACACCCCAACACCCGCCUCAUCGAGGAUGCCCAGGGCGCCGGGACGCGUCCGCGGAGUGGUGUAGCGCGGCCAACUGCAUCCUCAGGACCUGAGACCAUGCCGGGUCGUCUUGCUUUUUCAAUGACAUGCGUCAAUCGCAUGUGAGCAAAGGGCAUCUCCAAUGUUGCCACGACCGCAGCUGAGUACCCUCGCACACCAAAAACCCUCGUCCCUCGCGCCGUCGCACGGUGCGUUCCCAGUCGGCACCAGCUGCCCGCAUUCAUGCCGUCCGUCCGUAUGGCAUCUUUAAGAGGCUCGGUGCCCGAGGAACCAACUCCGGCGACUUAAUGACGCACCAGGAUGCUUGGCCUCACCGGAAUGCGCUACUUAAAGCGGCAACGCCCAGCUAACCUCCACACCAUAGCGCAUCGUCCUCCUACCUGGCACCACAUCCGCCAUGACCGCAAGCACGAACGCUCUGCGGGAGAGCUUGUCUUCAGGGAUGGAGCUCGAGGUCGCCGCCCUCGCUCAAGUCGCCGCACAAGCGGUGGCCACGCUGGCGGCCGACGACGGGAGCAUCGUUAGCCACGCGUCCUACUUGCAGCCGUCCAACGUCCGGCACCGCGGAGGUCGGGGACUCCUCCGAGGAUGAGUAGGGCAUGGGAGGCGGCAGGGCAUGGUGUGCCAACUGGCCGGUCCAUCUCCCGUGUUCUACUUUUCCUCACCGGAGACCGCACCUUCACUUCAUGGGUCUUGGACCCCGCCCCCGUACAUGGAGAUCGCAGAUGGAGGACGUCGGUCGCCGCCGUAGAAUAGGUUUGGGGUCGGGUUUCUUUUAUUUUUCUAUCCUAUAAAAGUUCGAAAUGUAAUGAAAAUCUGUCGUGUUUGCAUUAAUCUCGGCCGGUGUAUAUGAACUUUUACAAUAAUAUAGUAUAUUGUAGGAGUACUAGCAAGAUGCCUGUGCGUUGCACGGGAGAUCAAGAUCUUGUGGGAGAAAAGGAUGAACGAGGGAAGGCCUUAUCUGCAAAUGCACAUUCACGCAUUUCACAUCUACGGGAACCUACGAAAGGGUUAACGUAAAUUGCCUCUCUCUCUCUCUCCCCUCACCUGAUUUUCAUGGUGGUGGGCCCCUCCUUCCCCCCAAUCUACAAUCAACAGCUCACACGUUUCACAUUAUGUUAAUUACGUAACUGGGACUACGUAGGUGUAGCAUUACUCAUCCUAAAAAACCCAACUAAGCCAACCUCCCAGCAUAUCACACAGGAAAAGACCCGGCCGCGCUGUUUUAGUCGGGAUUACCGGAUUACUAGUAGUAGUAUCGAUGGAUCGCGUGGAGCAACAAGUUUUUUUUGAGGGGGCGAAGCACCAAGUUUAAAAGUAAAAAAGGCGGUACACUCACAGCACCCCUGUCGCGGUUGCAUUGCACCCCACACACGUUCGGUCCUGCACACGGCUCACGCAAACGGAACGCGCUUCGGCUUGCCUCUUCACUGACACGUGGGACUGCACUUGGAGAAGCCAACCAUGCGCCAAACUCCCCCCGCCCAUCGCGUGAAAAUCCUCCGCCCCCCCACCCAAAAAUUCCCCCCAAAUCCUAGAUUCAACCGUCCUUCGGCCAACUAGCCAAUAAUAUUCCCCAACCCCCCCCCUGUCCCCCUCCACUCCAUUCGCUCGGCCAAAGCCGCCCUCCCCACCACGCCGAUACGUCGGCGCCGCGGUUCGUCGAGGGGACGCACGGUGAUCCUCUCGCUCCCACAGUACGCUCUCGUAGACUGCCAUCCUCUAGCCGCGCCGCCACCGCUGGCGACGUUCUUGUGGAGGCGCACAGCAGUCAGCGCCGCCACCGCUGGCGACGUUCGUGUGGAGACGCACGGCGGUCAGCUUCUCCCACGGUACGUGCAUUCUAGACUGAGGCCCCGUGCAUGUCGGUGUAGCGCCGAAUGUUAGCUGAUAGACGCUAUUAAUCUCACUGUUUGCCGAAGCAGUUUACAGUCAAUAUGCUCUACUUAAGAAGCUUCCUAGCCCUGUUCUGCACUCAAUCUGCUUAGCUGAGAUGGCAUGCCAAGGCUGAUUAGUUGCUAAAAUAUCCUGCCAUAUAUUUAUUGUGACGUAGAUUGCCAUGGUCUACUAGCCAAUCUGUUAGGUGAAAUAGCUCUACACUGUUUUAUACUCGAUCUUUGUUGCUGCGAUGGCCUUUCAUAGUUCGAUGGUUGUGUGCUCGGCCUCAUUGACUGCUGAAACAGCGUGCCAUAAUUUAGCACUCAAAUAUGUUUGCUGAAUUAGCUUUACAUAUAUUUCGUUACUUAGAUCUGCUCAUCCAAAUAUCUUGCCAUAGCUUUAGACAUCGACCUAGGUAUUUUCUUCUGGACUACAUAAAAAAGCAUAUAUGUUUUUCCUGUAAUAUCUAGUAGAAGAACUAACUUGUAUGUCUAACAGAUGGACAGGACUUGGAUAACUUCUGCUCGAAGAUUCUCCGCUGCAUAUGUCGAGGGGGUUGAAAACUUCAUGAACUUUAUCAGAGCUGAGUACGGUGGUCCGAAAUCAGAUGUGCUCUGCCCAUGUAGCAGUUGUAUGAGUUCAGUUACAAGACCCCAGUCAACUGUGCAAAAUCAUCUACACUUGUAUGGGAUGUCGGUCACAUAUACUAGGUAGGUUCAUCAUGGUGAAGCUGUGAACGUCAAUAUUAUUAACUACGUGGAAGUAGCAGAUCACCAUCUUGAUAUGCCUGAUGCUCAGGUGGAAGAUGAGGAGGAGGAGGAGGUGGUGGCGGAGCCAGUGAGUUUGACCAACAUUGAAACAAUGCUACGAAAUGCUCGUGCAUUCCGUGAACUUUCACCUGCAGAAGAGAAACUGUGGGCCCGCAUGUUGGAACAAUGCAACAUGGCUGUCACCCCAGGAAAUAAGCUGUCAGUAUUCUCAGCUAUGGUCACCUUUCUUCAGGUGAACACAUCUGAGCGAAUGACCAACAAAUCAUUCGAUGCGAUGUUGGCUGCUUUCCGCAAAGCUUUCCCAGAUGGGUCUGAGCUGCCACACACCUACAGUAAAAUGAAGAAUUUGCUUCGUGCAGUUGGAAUUGGAUACGAUAUGAUCCAUGUUUAUAAGAAUAAUUGUGUUCUGUUCCAGAAGGAUUAUGCCAACUUAAGUGAAUGCCUGAAAUGCAAAUCAUCACGAUGGAAAGAUGGCGAUGCUGUGAAGAGGAUUCCUUGUAAUGUUCCGAGACAUUUUCCAAUUACACCAAGAUUGCAGAGGUUGUUUCAUGAUGCAGAAACAAGAGAGGAUGUACUGUGGAAUUCUAGGAACCAGAAGUACAGAGAUCAAAAUGUAAUGAGCCAUCCAUCACAUGGUAGUGAGUGGAAAAGCUUCAAUCAGAAGCACGAAAAGUUUGUUGCUGACCCGAGAAACAUUAGACUUGGCUUAGCUUUAGAUGGAUGUAACCCAUUUGGCCACCAGAGCACCACAUAUAGCAUGUGGCCAGUGCUUGUUAUCCCUUACAACAUGCCUCCAAAUGUCUGCACCAAACAAUGAAACUACAUGAUGGCCUUGCUCAUCCCAGGUCAAAAAAGUCCUGGAAAGGAUUUUGAUUUGUUCAUGGAGCCUCUUGUGGAGGAACUUCAACAGCUAUGGAGGGGUGUUCUCACUCGAGACCUAUAUAGCAGCCCACCAGCUGAUUUCUUUCUGCGUGUUGUUAUAAUUUGGUGCAUCCAUGAUUAUCCGGCUUUGGACACUAUGUCAGGGCGAACGGCACAUGGUUACAGUGCAUGUGUUCGCUGUGACAGGAAUCCGCUGUCAUACGCAAUACUUAGCAAGAUCUGUUACAUUGGACACCGUCGUUUCCUUGCCAAGGACAAGCCGCAUCCUAGAAAAUACUAAAGACAUGUGUUCAAUGCAAAGCAUGAAAACCGUGAUGCGCUAAAGAGGCUCACCGCCGAUGAGUUGCAAGUGGAAUUAGAGAAGGUCAGGCAUAUUACACCAGGAAACCAUCCUGAUAAUGGUAGCGGGAAAAGGAAGCAUGGCAGGGCAGAAGAGAGAUUAUUGUUUACCCGCAGGUCCACUUUGUGGGAUUUGGAGUACUGGAAAGACUUGGAUCUGUGGCAUAAUCUUGAUGUGAUGCACAUCGAGAAAAAUAUAUGUGACAGCAUUAUCGGCACACUUCUUAAUAUUGAAGGCAAGAUGAAAGAUACCUUAAUGUCUAGGAUUGAUUUGACACACCUGGUUAUCAGACAGGAUUUGCAGGUGCAAGAUGAAGGUAAACCACGGGAUAUGGCACCAGCUGUGUACGUCUUGGACAAGGUAAAAAUAAAAUAAUUCUGUGAGGUCCUGUCACGUGUGAGAUUCCCACAUGGAUUUGCUUCCAACCCUGAAAGGAGAGUCAGUGCAGAUGGAAACAAGGUACAAGGGUUGAAAACUCAUGACUGCCACUUCCUACUUCAAAGGAUUUUACCUGUUAUCCUUAGAGGAUUGGGCCGCCCUGACUUAUGCAGAGCAGUUGCAUAGUUGGGACAAUUCUUCAGGGAACUCUCCAGUAGAAAUAUCAGGAUGGAUGCUUUGGAACGUCUUACAGACAAGAUACCAACUAUCCUAUGCGACCUUGAGAAGAUAUAUCCUCCAGCCUUCUUUGAUGUGAUGGUGCAUUUGGCUGUUCAUCUACCUGAUGAGGCACUACUUAGAGGUCCAGUACAGUAUGGCUGGAUGUACCCUGUUGAAAGGCGGCUAGGCACUUUCAAGGGCUAUGUUAGGAACAUAGCUAGACCCGAGGGUUCCAUUGCAGAGGCCUACAUUGCUACAGAAGCGUUGACAUUGUGCUCAAAAUACAUUGAAACAGCUGAUCAGCUUAGCAAAGAGGUGGAUGAAGACAAACCCGGCCUCAAUGUUUUCGAUUAUUCUGUUCGAGUUACAGGGAAGAGUCGACAAGAGGACAAACCUAAAGAUUUGGACAUAAUGCUUUGGUAUGUGUUGAAUAACUGUCCUGAGAUACUACCUUAUAUCAAGUAAGUGCUAAGUACUGCAGCUUAUACAUCGUAAUCUACUAAACUUGCAGCAAAUUCUUAUAUAUUUAGAUGUUUGAUGCGAUCACUAUGUUGUGCAGCAUCUACAAAAAGGAGUUACUGCCACAAAAUCCAAGAAACAUUGACAAACUAGUUAUGGCAGGAUUUGCGAAAUGGUUCAAGAGCCAUGUAAGCUUUUGAAUUGCACUAUCAGUUUUUUUAAUAUAUUGAGUACAUAAGAUGAUCAGCUUGUCUAUUUUAUAACCAUAGGUUAAGAAGAUGCGGGAGGAUGGGCAGGCAGUUGAUGAUGCCCUUUACUCACUAGCAAUGGGUCCUGAUACUCGGGUAAGACAUUAUGAAUCUUGCGUUGUUGGAGAUGUGCGCUACAACACCCUUGCACGAGACGAAGGCAGGAAGACACAAAACAGUGCCAUCAUGAGCACGGAUACGUAUGACAAAGAGACAACUGAAAUGUAUGCUAACAUAACAGACAUUGUUCAGUUGCAGUAUAUCUCCAGUUUCGAGGAUCAUCGGUGUGUGGUUCUGUUGUGCUGUCGUUGGUAUAACCUGUUUUCCAGGAUCGCAAAACCUAGAGCUGAUGAUUAUUUCAAAUCCAUCACUGUCAAGGCGGCGUACCAGACCAACGAGCCUUUUAUUUUGGCAAAUCAAGCAACACAGAUAUUUUUCUUGGAAGACACAUUUGCACGUAACGAUGACUGGAGAGUAUUGCAAAGGUUUGAGCAGAGGAUUUCGUUUAAUGAAGUUGCACAACAAGAUGAUGCUUACACUGCUCCUGAUGUACAAGAUAACACAGAUGUUCCUAAUAUCUUUGAGAACCAUCACGUCAAUGACGCCGGCGAAAAGAUUGCCUGUCGUCUUGUGGACAUACAAGAGUUGAUCAAGAAGAAGCGAACGUUCGAGGACGUUGAGGACAAAGAAGAAGAUGACACUGUGGGGAAUUACGAUUCAGACUGAUACACAUGGCGAAGAUGUUGACGCUGCUACUGCGGAUGAUGAUUACAUUGCUUUUGUCGUAUUUGCCUGUCAGAAGACGUUUUUUAUCUACUAUGUGAAAUUGUGUUUGCUAUGACAACUGAAACCUGAUGAACAUGUUGUUUAGUAUUUUCCUGUGAGAACAUCACUUGUUAUGUAUGCUGAUUUGUGUUUGGUGAUUGUAUGACGACUAAAACAUGAUGACAUUGUUGUUUAGUUGUACUCAUAUUUGGCUAAAAACUUGAAUUUGAUGACAUAGUUUGAUGUUGGACUGCAAUUUGCUCGACGUCUUCGAAUGAGAACAAAGCUGACCCAACAGGGCCUCUGCUAAUUUAUUUAUUUAUUAGCAAAAGGGCCUCUACUAUUUAUUUAUUUAUGAGCAAAAGGGGAUACCCCCUGAUUUCGCUUAAAAGAAAUCAUUAGAUGUUCACAACACUACGCCCAGCCUGCUACACAGGUUUCAUUCAUUACUAGUUUCAGCAAAGUGCUCAUGUCAUAGCCACUGAAUACAUCACGAGUGCUACAUACACUGCAAAUAAAGAGACAAUCAUCCUACGGAGCACAUCGAUUUUACCCAUUAUCUUCACAAACUCUUUCAUCUCCUCAUUGCUAUCAAGGCCGUUCAGCAGCUGUUGCUUGGCCAUGAUCAGAGGAACUGCAUCUUUAACCUUCUGCUCUGCAUCUUCCUCUUCUGUCAUUCCUUCAGUUACUUGUCCAACACCCCAACCUGCUGGUAUUGGGAUUCCUCGGCUAACCAAAUAAUCAGCGUAGUUGCACUCCCCCACAUCAGCAACUUCCCAGAAAUACAAAUCACAUGAAUCUUCCCUUUUCUGCACGAAUCAAAUUGGAAGAUCAUCAACCAAACUAUUAAAACAAUCAGCAACUGACAGCAGCAAAACAACACUUAAACAUAUUAUUACCCCAUGAUUCGGGCAUUUGUAGAAGACUCGGCCAGGGUUGAGGAUUGUGGUUGAGACAUGACAGAUGACUCUGCGUGAUUUGCAGCAGUGGCACCACACCAACGGCAGCGGGUUGCAAUGAGCAACCGGCUGCGGUGCGCGUGCCGGCGGGGGUGUGAUGAGACCCACAGGCGAUGGUACGGUUGGCGACUUGGCGCAUAUUUGGUUGUUGCCUGCUGAAGAGCAGGUGCACGAGCAGCCAACGGACAUGGAUGCUGCGGCCAGAGCUUCUGAUGCUAGGCAGAGUAAGUAGAGAAGAGGAGAAGCGAAUGUUGGAUAUGUCAGUUUCAUUACUUGCAGAGUAGCAUAGAACCAUAUAUAGUCAUAGUCUAGGUUUGGAUUCGAACCAGCUAUAGGAGCACGUCUCUCUUUUUUUCUAAAGCUCAGCAACGUCUCUUUACUGGUACACUAGCUUGUUCUGUACGCCUUCUCAAGUCUAUGACCUCCACCUGACAUCUGGGACCCAUCGGAAGGACCUCUGUAUUUUGCGAAAAAAAACGUGCCCCCCGCUCACAGGUCGGACCCACCAGCUAUCUUCGCAUGCAAGGAAGUGCCUCCUUAUUACGCAAAAAAAAAGAAUACUCCCCCUGCCAGCUGGAACCCAGCAUCGUGGGAGGCUGACUUGUGGGCCUACCAAGUUGACGGGGACGGAGGGCUUUAUCAACUUAGUCAAUAUGAACGAUUCUAGCUCCAGUUACCGUACGAUGUUCAUCCAACGGCAGUAGUGCUUCUUCAACCUCUGGUCUUCUUGCACCAGCCGCCCAAACCAGCGCCGGUCGUGUCGCGUGCUCCUGUCUCCCGUGGCCGGCUGUGAUGCCGCGAAGGCCUCACCGCCCCCUACUACUCCCACAUCUGGCCAGGGAGUCCCUCUACUCACCCACACCCCCUGUCAUUCUGCGGCGACGACAGCCUCACACCGCAGCCGAACCAGUGAACCCUCGUACUCCUCUCCGCGUGGGCAUCCACUGCCACGUCUUCCCCGGCUCCGCGUCGUCCCCUUCCUAGGCCUCACCGUCGUCCACCGCCUUGGUGCUCUCGGCGCGGUGUGGUCAAUGUGGUCAACGACCGACUUCCAUUGGAAGAGUACUGUACAUGGAGAGACUAACAGCUGGGUCCACGGCCGCAGCUGGCUCCAUGGCCAUAGCCCAGUUUUUUUGUGAUUUGCCAAGUAAGUCGCUUUGUCAGGCCUGUUGGACUGCAAAUCUUUCAAGACGAGGAGACCUUCAUUCAGCUGGCCGAGAAAAUGUCCUAUCAGUAAUGAGAAAUGGGUUGUACAUUUUUAAAACACAUCAAACCGGCAAUUAGUUUCAAAAUUCUUUUUUUUUAUUUCGAGAUUUUAAAUUGCAUUGAUUUUUAUGUGUGGAAAAUUUGUUGGAUUUUAUAUUGAUAUACAUUUAUUUUUAAAAUCAAUUUGAAUGUGACUCGAAAUUUUGGGAUUAAAAACAGUUCGGACCGCACCGAAAUAUGCAAAAUUUCAUGUAAUUUUUUAACCGUGGCCACAAUAUGGGCUGUAAUGCUAAGAAAAAAAUAUGGGCUCCAAAAAAACCUUAAGAAUUAGCAAAUGGGCUGUAAAUUAUUAGAAAUAAUGGCAGAUGGGUUGUAUGAUGUUUUCCACAGAUUUGAGGCUUUCCUAAAAAAAGGUUGACACACAAGCAGUGACUGUUGGAUGUCCAUCCAACGGCCGUCGUGCUUCUUCAAUCUCUGCUCUUCCUGCUCCAGCCGCUCAAACAAGCGCCGGCGGGACUGCCUGCUCUCCCCUCCCUGCGGCCGGCUGUGCUACCGCGCAGGCCUCACCGCCCCACCGUACUCCCAUCGCUGGCCUAGCCAUCCCUCUACUCACCCACACCUGCUGUUAUUCUCCGGCGAUGGUAGACGAACCAGUAAACCCUCGUACAGUCGUACUCCCCUCCGCGUGGGAAACAACUGCCGAGUCUUCCCUGCCUCCGUGUCGUUCCCUUCCUAGGCCUCGCCGUCGUCCACCGCCCUGGUGCUCUCGGCGCAGCCUGGUCAACAUGGUCAACGACCGACAUGCAUCUGAAGUGGACUGUACGUGGAGAGGCUGACAGCUGGGUCCACGGUCACGCGCAAGGAAAUGCCUCCUUAUUACGCGCAAAAUAAUGAUUCCUCCCCCUGACAUCUGGGACCCACCGAAAGGGACUAUGUAUUCGCGAAAAAACGUUACCGCCGCUGACAGCUUGGACCCACCAGCUAUAUCUUCGCACGCAAGGAAGUGCCUCCUUAUUACGCACAAAAAAUGAAUACUCCCCCUGCUAGCUAGGACCCAGCUAUGUCUUCGCACGCAAGGAAGUGCGUCCUUAUUACGCACAAAAAAAUGAAUACUCCAUAGGAAGAGUACUGUACGUGGAGAGGCUGACAGCUGGGUCCACGGCAGCCGCAAGGAAGUGCCUCCUUAUUACGCGGAAAAUAAUUAUUCCUCCACCUGACAGUAGGGACCCACCGGACGGGCCACCGUAUUUGGUGAAAAAAACGUUUCCCCCCUGACUGCUGGGACCCACCGGACGGGCCACCGUAUUUCGCGAAAAAAACGUUCCCCCCGCUGUCAGCUCGGACCCAGCGGAAGUGCCUCCUUCUUACGCACAAAAAAAUGAAUACUCCCCCUCCUAGUUGGGACCCACCUUGGUGGGUGGCUGACUUGUGGGCCUACUAAGUUGACGGGGACGGAGUGCUUACUACUAGGAAAAGGGCUAUAGAUAAUAUGGACACUAAUGGCGCACCAGACAUGCGGUGCGCCACUCCUAUAUAGCAGUGGCGCACCAUGUGUUGGCGCACCAUGUGUUGGAAAGCUUUCUUUAUGUUGUAGAUCUACUUUUUUCUCCCUCCAAGAACGUGCACAUGCACUUUUUAUGGCCUAGCUAGAUCUAUGUAUGUUUGUGGUGUUGCAUAUGUUUGUGGUGUUGCAUAUAUGUUUGUGUUUGCAGGUACCGGUAUUUGAAAUGCGAUAGUUGCCAAUAUUUUGCCGGAAUGUUGAUUCAUUUCCGUUUCAGCGAGAAUUUUGGCACUAUGCAUUCUUUUUGGUCCUAUUUCUGGCAAAGUCAUGCCAAAUUUUUUCUUGGUUCUAAAAUAUCGUUUUGCUCUACCCCGCAUGCGACCAUGGUCUGCACGAUGACCGAAGGCAUCGUGAGUAGGUUUUUGAUCUCCGCGAAGGCCGAGAUGCUUCAAAAGAACGAGACAGAGAUAAGAUGUCUGUGUCGAAGAUGCAAGCUGAGGAGCCUUAUGGACCCGGAUUCCGUACAGGUGCGGGGCCACCUGCUCUUGCGUGGUUUCAAGGAUGGCUAUCGGUGGCAAGGUGAUGAAGAUGAUUAUGAAGUCGUCCAUGGGGGCCGGGCAAGAAAUGAGGAAGGGCAGCAAGACAACCGCGGCGAGGGCGGGCGAGAAGACUAAGAAUCUCCAGGACAUGAUCACGAAGUAGAUGCAGUACAUAGUCAUCAUGUAGAAGAUGCCGGACAUGAUGAUGAGGAAGAUGCCGGAGCAGACGAAUGGCAUGAUCAUGAAGAUAAAGAUGCCAGAGCAGACGACGAUGGACCAUCGAUGGGCUGGGUGCAGGACCCUCAUAUUCAAGAGCUGCUUCUCAAGCAGACGGAUAACGCAAGAGCUGCCGCCCGAAAGAAAGCCAAGCUGGAUCAACUAGAGAUAGACGCGGUUACUCCAUUGUAUGAAGGAUGCAGGCCCGAGGAUACCCGCCUGAAAGUAAUGCUCAUGGCUCUAGAGAUGAAGGUAAAACACAAAAUGACCGACGCAUGCUUCGACGAGAACAUGUCAUUCUGGCACGAACGUCUUCCCAAGGGGAACAAGUACCUGACCAGUUUCGAGGAGGCGAAGAAAAUCGUGUGUCCUCUGGAUUUACUUCACGUGAAAUACCAUGUGUGCAUGAACAAUUGCAUCAUUUAUCGGGAUGAGCACACGGAGUCUACCAUAUGUCCGGUGUGCGGCGUCACUCGAUACAAGAAGAGGAAGAAAGCUCCUUGAAAAGUGGUGUGGUACUUUUCGAUCACUCCUCGUCUGCAGCGGUAUUUCGCGGACCCUAAGGUAGCAAAGCUCUUGCGUUGGCACGCGGAUAGGGAGGAGAAGAAGCGAGAAGAUGACGCAAAUGAUCCGGAGAUAAAUAAAAAAGACAAGAUGUUGAGUCACCCUAAGGAUGGGAGCCAGUGGCAAGCGUUGAACUUCGAAUACCCAGAAUUUGGGAACGAUCCAAGGAACAUCGUGCUGGGCCCGAGCACCGAUGGAGUCAAUCCGUUUGGCAGCCAGAGAAGCACACAUAGCACCUGGCCUGUGUUUGUGUGGAUGUACAACCUUCCCCCUGGUUGUGCAUGAAGAGGAAGUACAUUCACAUGAGUAUGCUAAUUGAAGGGCCGAAACAACCAGGGAACAACAUCAAUCUGUAUCUGGGGCUGCUGAAGGAGGAGCUAGACACGCUGUGGAAAAUGCCAGCCAAUACGUGGGACGCCGCAGAGAAAGAAUAUUUCCCUAUGAGAGCCGCACUGCUCACGACGGUGCAGGAUUAUCUCGGUUACAGAUAUGUCGUGGGGCAGGUGGUCCACGGAUUUUCUGGAUGCGUCAGGUGCAUGGAUGACACAACGUAUCGCCAGCUAGAUAGAGAUCCCGGGUCUUCGAAAACCGUGUUCAUGGGACAUCGAAGGUGGCUUCGCGACGAUGACCCAUGGAGGAAACGCAAGGAUCUGUUCGAUGAUGAAACCGAAACCCGAAGACGCCCGCGUACGAGGAGCGGCGAGGAAAUAGACGAGCUGUUGAAAAAUUGGAAAGAUUGCCCACUGCCGGGAAAGCAGCAAAAGGCACUAGAGCCGGGAAAGAAGCGAAAGGCGCAAGAGCCGCUGCUGAAGGUAUGGAAAACGAGGUCUGUUUUCUGGGACUUGCUGUACUGGAAGAUCCACCGUGUGCCUCACAGCCUUGAUGUCAUGCAUAUCACGAAGAACGUGUGCGAGAGUCUGCUUGGUACCCUGCUCAACAUGCCAGAGAGGACCAAAGAUGGGCAGGAAGCAAGGGCAGACUUGAAAUCAAUGGGCAUCAGGGAGGAGCUUCACGCUAAUGAUGAUGAUGAUGAGGCGAAGCAGGACACGGAAAGUCGUCGCAAAGGCAGAAAGGCCAAGAAGACCGGAAAUGACUUCCCUCCCGCGUGCUUCACUCUAAGUGAGGAGGAGAUCGAUCAGUUUUUCACCUGCCUCGUAGGAGUAAAACUUCCUUACGGUUACGCGGGGAAGAUAAGCAGAUACCUAGACUCAGCGAAGCAGAAGUUCAGCGGGAUGAAGUCUCACGACUGUCACGUGUUGAUGACGCAGAUACUUCUAGUUGCAAUCCGUGGGAUCAUGGACGCGCAUGUCUGUGAAACGCUAUUUGGCUUAUGCAACUUUUUCGACGUCAUCUCCCGGAAGUCGGUUGGCGUGAGGCAAAUCAGAAGGCUACAGGAAGAGAUCAUGGUGAUACUAUGCGAGCUUGAGAUGUACUUCCCGCCCGCAUUCUUCGACGUUAUGGUGCAUCUGCUGGUCCAUAUCGUGGAGGAUAUCAUCCAACUCGGGCCGACGUUCCUGCACAGCAUGAUGCCGUUCGAAAGGAUGAAUGGUAUCAUCAAAGGAUACGUUCGCAACAUGUCACAUCCAGAGGGAAGCAUAGCCAGGGGCUUUCUGACCGAAGAGUGCAUCUCCUACUGCACGAAUUAUCUAGGCAUCGAGAACCCCAUUGGUCUGCCCGUCAACAGGCACCUCGACAAACUCGCUGGAUGGGGUCACCGUGAGGGUCGCCGCGAAAUGCAUGUCGACUUCGAGGGUCGACUCGCCGACUUUGAAAGAGCAAACCUAGUCGCGCUACAACACAUAGACGUGGUCGAUCCUUGGGUAGUAGAGCACAAAACCUUUAUCGAGAAGACGUACAAUGACCGAGGCCAACAGAGGACGGACGGAGAUAUAAUUAAAGAGCACAACUCAUGUUUCACGCGUUGGUUCAAGCAGAAGCUUCUGUCGUACCCUUUACAUGAGGAUUCUUCCGCGGAAGAACAACUCAUAUUCGCCUUGUCACAGGGCGCUGAGCACAACCUGAUGACGUAUGAGGCGUACGAUAUCAACGGCUACACAUUCUACACCGAGGGAAUGGACAUGAAGAGCGAUGGUUAUCAGAACUCUGGGGUAACGAUGGAAUCCUACACCGGUAACGACAAGGGCAGAUACUACGGAAGGAUCGAGAGAUCUGGGAGCUGAGCUACGCUGGAGAGAAGGUCCCGAUGUUCCGUGUCAGAUGGGCCAAGAGCGUCCUAAAAGAAGACCGGUAUUUCACCACCAUGGUUAUACCCGAAGCCAAAUCCAAGACCGCGGGCGCAAACGUCACCGCGAAAAAUGAGCCAUGGGUACUGGCUUCCCAAGUGGACCAAUGCUUCUUCAUUACCGACCCGUCAAAGCCCAGUCGUGUUCUCGUGAGGAGAGGCAAAAGGAAGAUCAUCGGAAUGGAUGAAGUCACCAAUGAGCAAGACUUCGACAAGUACGGCGACCCAAAGAUGGAACAUGACGACGACGAUGAAGUACGAGCAUACACCACAAGAAGAAGCAGCACCACCCUACCCAAAGGACGUCCGUUCAAGAGAAGAACUCCAUUUACGAAAAAUAAGGGCAAGAAGAUUGUGAAUAGAUAGCUAGCUAAGAUUGAUUGUAUUUAAAUUGUAGCCUUCAUUUCUCGAUGAAUAUUUUUAAAUUUCAUGGGCACUUUUUAAUAUUAUGUUUAUUACGGUAUUGAAUUUCUAACUCACAAAAAGUAUUGAAUUUGUUAAUUUUUUUGAACUCAUGAAUAUUUUUAAAUUUCAUGGGCACUUUUUGAAUUCAUGAAUAUUUUUCAAAUUUAUGUGUUCACAAUCCCCCGCUCCACCGUCGCCGACCCCCCGCACCGACCCCCCGCACCCUCCCCCGCUNNNNNNNNNNNNNNNNNNNNNNNNNNNNNNNNNNNNNNNNNNNNNNNNNNNNNNNNNNNNNNNNNNNNNNNNNNNNNNNNNNNNNNNNNNNNNNNNNNNNNNNNNNNNNNNNNNNNNNNNNNNNNNNNNNNNNNNNNNNNNNNNNNNNNNNNNNNNNNNNNNNNNNNNNNNNNNNNNNNNNNNNNNNNNNNNNNNNNNNNNNNNNNNNNNNNNNNNNNNNNNNNNNNNNNNNNNNNNNNNNNNNNNNNNNNNNNNNNNNNNNNNNNNNNNNNNNNNNNNNNNNNNNNNNNNNNNNNNNNNNNNNNNNNNNNNNNNNNNNNNGCCCUCCGCUAGGCAACAAAAAAUCCUAAAAAAACUUACUAAUGGCGCACCGCUAGGGGGUGCGCCAUUUCUAUCCAAGAAAAAAAUAGAUUACUAAUGGCGCACUACCAGGAGGUGCGCUAUUGCUAUCAAAAAAAAUUCUAAUGGCGCACCGCUAGGGGGUGCGCCAUUACUAAGCUUCCCCCAGCUAAUUCCCCUUCGCCCGAUCCCUUCGUCCCUCGCUCGCCAGAUCCCCUCCCUCGCCACACCCUCACGCCCCCUCCACCCACGCCUCCCUCCUUCUGCCGCCCGGUCGUCGUCCCCUGCCGCCCGGUCGUCGUCCCCCGCCGCUCCUUCGCCGCCCCGCCCCAGCACGUACGUCCCCUCCCUCCCUUCCCCCAUCGCCGUAGCUUCUCCUCCUCCUCCUCUCAUCGCCCGUGCCUUCUUCUGCUCGGAAGGUCAAGAAGGCGGCCAAGGACGCCGACGACGGCGACGCCGGGCCCCGGCUCAACAACGACAUCAUGGGCCCCUUCCUCCGGAUCGCCGCCCGCAGCCUCCUCGACGCCGGCGUCCUCUAGGUGAUUCCUCCUCUCUCCUCCCCUCCUUGCCCCUAGGUUUCUCUCCCCGCCGGCGGCCCCUCCGCCGUGCCUCACGACGCUAAGGCUGCGGCGGCCUCCGUCCCCCGCGCUGCCUCCCGUGCCCCACGCCUCCUCCGCCCCCUGCCGCGCGAUGCCCGCCCUGUGAACCGCUACCGUCCGUGGCUGUGUUGGAUCAUGCCUAUCAGGUGUAGAUAUAUAAAGCAUGUGUAGAUAUUGGAUCAUUCUGAAAGCGUGUUUUUCAGUAAUCAGUUCUGUAAUCAGAUAUUGGAUCAUUCUGAAAGGAGAAAAUAAAUCAUGUGUUGGAUCAGCCUAUCAGGUGUAGAUGUAUAAAGCAGGUGUAGGUUCAGUACAGAUUGCCUUUGUUCAUACAGUUCUAUCAGGGGCGCAUGUUUCGCUUCUACAUUUAGUAGAGUCUGAAAGUGUGUUUCUUCCAUCAGUUCUGUACACCCAUAAUAAUGCCUUCUUGGCAUUUAGACAUUCCAAAAUAGAACUUUGUACCAAGGCAAUGUAUUAUGCUCGCUAUAGAUCUGUAUGUUUUCUACUAUUGAAAUGUGGUUUUGGUUCUUAUAUUGCUUUUUUUAUUUGAUGAUUCUUCAAUUGUUUUCUGAAGAUUGCUGAAGAGCACAACUUUCUGAUCUUUGAAGACCGCAAAUUCACUGACAUUGGGAACACAGUAACUACGCAAUAGGAAGGGUGAGAGUAGAGUAAAAAUAAACCACCUAUUAAGUUUGUUUAUUUUAUAUUUACUGACAUAAGAUAACUAGGGCUUGAUGUAUGGAGGCUUGUCUACUUGCUGCUAAUACAACAUAAUAUUUGAUAUGAGCAGGGUGAACAACCUUCAGGUCCCGGGAAUCUACUCAAGGCUGCAGACACUUCUUGUCUCACUUCUUUUAGCAUCGGUAUAAUAUUAAUAUUAAGGAGUUUCUAUAAGUUCAUUGUUCUUACCUGCAAAUUUAAAAUGAAAGCACAAUCAAUCCAUAUUAAAGACUUUAGGUUGGUUUUGUUUUGAAGGUUCUUACUAGGGUUCUUCUCGGCUGCAAUUCCCUGGUAUAUUGGUGUUUUUCUUCUAUUCUUUGUCGCUUUGGAUCACCAGGAGAAGCCUGGAUUGAUUGCCUGCGAAGUUGCUGUAAGUACUCCAUUUUCUAAAGCUUAUCACAUAGUACUAGCAUUUUCUUCCGGUGCAAAAGAAAAGGGAUGUUGUUUUUCCUUUGUAUAAAAUGAACUGAAAACACUUAGAUACUUAUUAAUGUUUCUUUACACGAAUACUUCCUGUAAAGUUGAUUUUAUAAAGCUGUGUGAUCUUUGUUUCUGAGACUGAAAGUGCUUCUAUCUCAAAAAAAGAAGAAGCAAAAAAUUAAAAGUGCUCAUCCUAGUGGUAGGCACAGCUCCUGUCACUUGUGACCAUUGCUGCUGGGAGCUUGAUGGCAUCUUGCCGCACGCCCUUCCCUUUUAAUGCUGCUCCUUAGAGAUCUACACCACCUUGUAUACUAUUCACAGAAAUUUAUAACACUUAUGCAUUUCAUUCAUCUAAUUACUGUAACCUGUUCUGCCAUUUCAAGCCAUAUAUACUAUUCAGAGAAAUGUAUAACAAUGAUUGCUGUAGUAGCUCUAGGCAGAGCAUGGCAUGUUACUACCAUAGAGGUACCCAAAUAUGUAGGUGUAGUUUGUGUUUUUAUUUGUUCACACUGUCGCUGUAUUGCUCAAUUAGACAAUUAGUGUUUAUGAAGAAGAAGAAUAAAGUUGCUGCUGUUGUUGUUAUGCAUGUAUUCACUGCUGCUGCUGCUGUACUUGUGAUGAUGCUACUUGUGAUCUUAUGAAAUGACCCAUUGGGGACUUCAUUACGCGGGCAUAAUGAUUUUGCAGGUACCCCGAGAGGCCCUUGAGUUUGCCGGAAUGUCGAUUGACUUCCGUUCCGGCAAAUUCGGGUACUCCAUAUGUCCUAUUUUCAGCAAAGGUCAUGUUGAAAUUUUCCGUGAAUUUUAGCAUGACUUUGGUAAAAAUAGGACAUAUGGGGUACUUGCGACUAAUGCAUGGGCCGGGGUAUCUUAGUACUUAAUUAAGUAGGAUCAACUGCCCCUUUAUUCUUGCUGCAUUAAACCAUAGGUGGCAAUAGAGCCAAGUGAUUAGGCCCAACUUAGAAUUCUCCUUCCCUUUUCUUGAUAGGGUAUAUUAUUAGAAGAUACCCAUAUAUAUCAGUCAACCUAGGGUGCCUCGGCAUCGAUAAACCCUAAAUGAUGAAAACUUAACUUAGCAUUUAGGGAGCCUCAGCGUCGACAAACCCUAAAUUAUAAAACCUUGGCUUUUAGGGUGCCUCGGUGUCGAUAAAAACCUAAAUGAUGAAAGCUUAGGCUUUUAGCGUGCCUCGGCGUCGACAAACCCUAAAUGAUAAAAGCUUAGCUUUUAGGUUGCCUCGGUGUCGAGAAACCCUAAAUGAUGAGACCAUGAUCUUGUUCCUUGACAAUAACCAACUUUUUGACCAAACUUUUUUCCUAUUUAGAGCGAAACAUGGCCCACAACGAUGAGGCCGGCGGUUCGGGCGGCAAGGCAUUUUGGGAGAUGUCCCAGGAGAUGGAGGAAGAACCUCACCGCUAUGAGGACGCCGCGGAAGACACCGAUCCUGACUACACCACCCCUAGUGGCGUCGGGGAUGACACCACUGAUUGUGCCGCCAAGGAUGCCACCACUGAUGAUGGCAGCGCACGCACGGAUGGCAGCCAACCGAAGAGGCAACGGAAGGACCGGCGCCCGAACGAGCUCGACACCGUCAAGGAGGAAUUUACUGAAGUGAACUCCGAAGGGGAUCCAACGGCGCCCAAAGAAUUAGUCAAGGGGUACUCGGUUCAGCUCGGGUGCAUUCUCCGGAGCACCGUCUCGAUCAACACCGAGAACCUAAGGCAUAAGGACCGAGGGAAUUUGCGCAACCUCCUCUUCACGAGCUGCAUGAACGAUACAAGUUCCCCGCUGACUUUGCUAACACACGCCUCUCAGGGAAUAAAGUGAACAGUGCCGCCCUCACGAAGAUGAGCACGACCCUGUUUACUUGGAGAAGCGCGGUGAAGAUAAUGAUUAACAAAGGUGAUAGUUAUGAGAAGAUCAAGGCGAAACAUCCUUCGAUCAACGAAGAUGACUACAAGGAGUUCAAGAUCAAGUGCGAGAGCGGCGCAUCCGAGGAAUCAAGUUAGUAGGGGAAAGAGAUGCGGGACUUGAACUUAGGGGUCCCCAAACUCGGUCCCGACGGUUACAGAGUGGCGGAACCUAUAUGGGACAAGGAGGACGCGGAGCGUGCCGAGCAAGGCCUACCGCCCUGCUUCGAGAAAUACCGUGACAAGCAGACCAGGAACUAUGUCAGGGCCCGGUACAAGGAGGACCCGGUAACAAAGGAGCUUACCACGGAUCCGAAGACCAAGGCGCUUGAGGGUGUUCUGGUAAGGGAUACACCCCCGCGUAAUUAGCUCCAUAUGGUUGCAUUCUAAUUAAUGAAGCCAAAUUUCUAAAUGGUUCACAUUCCUUCCGCACGAGACUGAAAGCAGUAGCGCGGGGGUCGUCUCAGAGCUCCCCUUGGGACAGCACUCUAAAUAGGGCGUUGAACAUAAUGAAAAACAAGGAUAAGCUCAGUAAGCCGUCGUCAGCUGGUCGUGUGGCCAGCAAAGGCUUUUCCACAAAAUGGUCUUCAUACUAUAACGCUGGUGGGCGAAAGGAGAAAAAGACCAGCUCGGAAAGCCAGUCGCGCGAGGUUCAAGAACUCAAGGCACAAGUGGCGUGGAUUCCAGAGAUUGUCCAAGAGCAAGUGCAACAGCAACUGGGAACGACGCUCACCGCCAUUGUGCCUACCUUAAUUCAGGGGCUGCAGACGUGGAUUGCGGGCGGCCAACAGGGGCCGCCCCCGGUUCCCAGCUUCACGGCCAGCAACUCGAACAACGCGCAGGCGGCGCCAUUGGUGUCUCCGGCGGAGGCGGUAUUGGUGUCUCCGGCGCCGGCACGGGCAUUGGAGCUUAAUGCACCCGGGUGUAUGCUGGCCGGCACCUCGGCAGCAAGCGGCCCCUCCGUCAGUUGCACGCCCACCGUUGGCGGUGCGUCGACAUUAGCCGAGCUCGACGCCAUCAUGGUAACUAAGCCUCUCAGCCGAUGACUUCAUCUCCUUGCCUUUGACUGGGCAUCCCUGACGCCCUACAUGUUUUCGCAGGGCGCCGCCGACGUUCCAUGCACUCUCCUGCACUUCGUGGGCGGCGAGUUGGUCGAUGUCGCCAAGGGCAGAAUCGUUCAACCGGGCAACCCCGUGUUCCACGGUAAUCCGAUGCCACCCACCGUGUAUAGGGUUGAACUGGUUCCGGUGCUGCCAGGCUGCGACGAGUUGUUACCUCCGAUUCAACCCGCUGGGGCCGACGAAGAUGAUGUGAUGACCCUCAGCGCCUGCGUAAGCUGGCCCCUGCUUUGGCCGAAGAGCCAGAUUCAUUUGGUGCGGGGGACACCACCCCAUAGACAACACCGCCAGUCGUGCCGGCGCCAAGCCAUGGCAAGACCGCCGCAACGCUACCGGGCAUGCCGGACAUCCCUAUGGCACAGGAUCCGGACAUGCAUAUGGCACAGGAUCCGGACGACGAUGACAACGACGACGGUACAUUUACCAACGUCGAUAAGUACUUUGCCGAACAUGGGUACGGUGACGAAUUCUUCGGGCCUCCUUCUCAAGAACCCAACCCUAAAAAGACGACCGCGAUCUAGCUGGUACCGCGGAGAAACCCAAUUGCAACAGGCGUCGUCUGGCGUUCAGUUCUCAGGAGACGCCUCCAGCUGCCGCCUUCACCGAGCCUCAGAUAGCCGAGGUGCGGAAUAUUAUCAGCCCCAACACACUCAAGAAGGCGGUCUCUGAGCAGAACUCGAUCCCAUUACAGCAGAUGAGGAAGAAGGGACGGAAACGAAAGAAUAACAAGGGCGGUGUGAGCCAGCCGGCACCGAGUAUGAUCCGUGCUCAGGACGGGCCACCUUCACCUAAGGAUAUCUUGAGGAGGGUGCAUGUGGCGGGUAGGCUGAUGCUACCGACUAAUCUGCUCAAUGCUGCAACCGGUGCUAUGCGGAGUCUGCAUGACAGUGUUCUUUCUUUGGAGAAGCGGCGUCUCUCCGAGAAUGAUGUGGCAUACCUGGUUUUCGUGGCCAAGGUGCCAGAGGGCAACGGCUUUGUGGAUAGCGCCAUCGGGGGUACGAUCGUCCUGCGGUUUGAUGACAUCUUCGCUAUGUUUAACCUUCAUCCGCUGCACUACACCUUCGUUCGGCUAUUUUCGCUGAGUAUGGAGAUGCGGAUCAUUAGAGACAAGACCCCGGACAUCAUGAUAGUCGACCCCUUCUACAUGCGUGCCAAGAUCUUGGGCAGCGCUGGGGACCGGCAAGUCGCGAGUUCAUACCUCGAAGGCGUCAUUCUGGCAAACCCAGAUAAGGAUAACUUCCUCGUGCCUUACUUUCCCGAGUAAGUCAUCCCCUCACCGCCCCGUAACAUAUGAUUUCUUAGAUUUCUAUCGUUCUUUCUUUUCCUAACAUUUCGUGUUUUGUGCAGUGACAUACAUUGCACACUCAUCCUCUUAAGCCCGAAACAUUCCAUGGCCACGUAUUUCGACCCGGACCGUCAGUCGAAGAAAGACUACACAAAUAUCAAGAAAGUUCUUGAUGAUGUUCUCCCCGGCUACGCCAGAUCUGGAGGCACCUUCAGUAGGCCAGUUCGUAGGUACGGCAAGCACAUUUUCACCGACAAUACGACGUUCUCCUGCGUCAAGCAGCCGCCUGGCAGUCAGAAGGAUGCCUACUACGCCCUCCAUCACAUGCGGGCGAUCGUACGGGACCAUAAUCACCUUCUGCUACCAAAUAAUCUCAAAGAUCGGGCCGCACGCUUGUCGGCAAUCCAGGACGCGGACAUCAGACAAGAAUUCUUUCGCAUCCAGUCGGACUUUGCGGAAAUCAUCCAUCAAGAUGUCCUUCGUACCUUGGGGCAGUUCUAUCUCAGAUAUCAACCGUCCAACAGUGAGAUAGAAACAACGCUACAAAUGCAGGCUGACAAUGCCCGCGAUUUCAUGACCAUCACGAAAGACGACGGCUUCAUCCACGCUCCGGUCCCUGAGUCGAGUCAAAAGUAGUGAUGCUAUGUAGUUCUGAAAUGUCGAUUGGCUCAUGUUGUAAUAUUAAACUUUAAUGAACUUGUAUGUCUCUUUGGUUUGGACAGUCGUUCAACUUAUAUGUAAUCGAUGCUAUUUAUUAGUAGGACCAUGAAUCAUGCUAUUAAUGUGUUGCUUUUCUCUUCCAAUCCUUUUGUUGCAUACUUAUAUAUUGCUUAUGUAUUGUCUGUAAAUUUCUACUAACGUUUUGUUUGGCUAGUGCAUAGAGAUGCCAUCGUAUGUUGUGUACAAGGGUAAGGUUCCCGGAGUCUACGACGACAGGGAGGAGUGUCAGAGACAGGUUCACCGUUUCAGCGGUAACAGUUACAAAGGGUACACCACUAGGGCGAAGGCGGAAGCUAGAUACGCGCGCUAUCUAGCGGGAGAGAGGAGGGAGCGGAGGAGGAACCAGAUGAAGACCAGUUUCAUCGCGAUGAUGCUAAUCGUGAUGACCGCAACUCUCUUCUAUGUGAUGGUAGUUUAGAUGAUCGAUAUCGACUUGUAAUGUGAAGACAAACUCGCUACUCGCGGUCUCGAGACUUGUAAUGUUCUAACUUUGUUUGGUCUUCUGAAUUUGGAGACUAAUAUAAUGAAUUGUAUUCGGAGACUAAUCUUCUAUUGUAUUCAAUAACUCUACUGUUUAUAUGUUGUGAUGUCUAUAUUCUGUGCAGUAAUAUGUUUUGUAACCUGUGCAAAUAUCAGAAAAUAAAAAAAAUCCCUAAUAUUCAUACUAGUAGCGCACCACCCAGCACUUUAGUGGCGCACUGCAAAAUACACACUAGUGGUGCGUCAUCAACAAGUGCGCCAUUAGUAAGCCAGAGCACAUGGUUAAAUAUGGCCCCCUGGGAGGCAUACUAAUGGCGCACCGUAUGGUAUACUAAUGGCGCACUCCCUGGUGCGCCAUUAGUAUCUGGUAUAAUAAUGGCGCACCUGUGGUGCGCCACUAGUAAAAAAUUCUAAUGGCGUGAUGCUAGUGGCACACCUGUAGUGCGCCAUUAGUAGGCAAAACAGGUGCGCCACUAGUAGGCCUUUUCCUAGUAGUGUUGUCAAUUAGUCAAUAUGAACGAUUCUAGCUCCAGUGACCGUACGAUGUCCAUCCAACGGCCGUAGUGCUUCUUCAACCUCUGGUCUUCUUGCUCCAGCCGCCCAAAGCAGCGCCGGUCGUGCCGCAUGCUCCUGCGUCCCGUGGCCGGCUGUGCUGCCGCGGAGGCCUCACCGCCCCCUACUAUUCCCACCGCUGGCCAGGCCCUGCAGCGACGGCAGCCUCACACCGCAGCCGAACCAGUGAACCCUCAUACUACUCUCCGUGCGGGCUUCCACUGCCGCAUCUUCCCCGGCUCCGCGUUGUCCCCUUCCUAGGCCUCUCCCUCCUCCACCGCCCUGGUGCUCUCGUCAUGGUGUGGUCAACGUGGUCAAGGAACGACUUCCAUCGGAAGAGUACUGUACGUGGAGAGGCUGACUGCUGGGUCCACGGCCGCAGCUAGGAAGUGCCUCCUUAUUACGCGCAAAAUAAUUAUUCCUCCACCUGACAUCGGGGACCCACCGGACGGGCCACCGUAUUUCGCAAAAAAGAAGUUUCCCCCUGACUGCUGGGACCCACCAGCUACAUCUUCACACGGAAGGAAGUGCGUCUGGGCAAAAAAACGAUUCGCCCCCCUGACUGCUAGGACCCACCAGCUACAUCUUCGCACGCAAGGAAGUGCCUCACAGUCAGGACCCACCUGGUCGAAGCAUACGUAGCAUUGUCAUUCUGGUCGCGAACGUGUACGUACAUACUAGUCGAUGUAGAGGCGCGCAUGUGUCGUAGCAGAGGCGCGGAUGUAGCAUGUACACGUACGUACAGCGACCAGGGUGCAAGAAAGUAAAUACGACCACAUACGUACAUACGGGCGGGGUCUCGAACACCUACUCGCGCGUACGUACGGCCAGGGCUCGUGUACAUGGCUGGGUCGGAACAGAGAAACAACGUCGUCGUCGUGUUCAUGGGGAGCCAACCGGCUGGGUCGGAACGGAAUGCGCCGUCAUGUUCAUCGGGAGGGCUUGGAUGGAACAGCCGAUGGAAACGAGGCCUGGCGUACCGUAGAACGGAGGAAACGGCCUUGUGUUCGACCGGCCACGUUUGAAACGGGAUCCUGUUCAUCGGGAGGAGUCUAGCGUACCGCAAAACAGAGGAUACGGACCUCCUACGGUCGAAACGGGGGUCCUAUUGAUCGAGAGGGGUGUGGCGUACCGCAAAACGGAGGAAACGGACUUGUGUUGGAGCGCUACGGUCGAAACUGGGGUCCUGAUCAUCGGGAGGGGUGUGGCGUACCACAAAACGGGACUUCACGGGAUACUGUUCAUCUCCACCAUUGACCCCCUCCAGCCUCCACGGGCAACUGUUCAUCCACCGUCGACCUCGUCCAGCCUCCACCUGCGACUGUUCCUCCAUGGGCUCCUGUUCAUCCAGCCUCCACCGCGCGCUACUCCACCGGCUACUGUUCAACCAGCCCUCUCCACGGGCUCCUGUUCAACCACCCCUCCACGGGCUACUGUUCAUCCAGCCCUCCACCAUCUACUGUUCAUCCUGCCCUCCACGGGGUGGUCCUGUUCAUCCUGCCCUCCACGGGGUCCUGUUCUUCCAGCCCCAACCGGCUCGAUCGAUCGGGGUCCUGUUCAUCCAGAGGCAACACCAUGGCGUCUGGUUCAUCCACCCCCACCGGGAACUGUUCAUCCAAACCCCCCAGCAAUGCUCACUGUUCAUCCAGAGGCAGCAUCGAUCGGCUUCAGUUAGCAGCAGUAGUGAAGAAAUCGCUCGAUCGGGUUCAGUUAACAGCCAUCGAUCGAUCGCUCGGGUUCAGUAACGCGUAGCCCGCAGUGCAAUCGCUCGGGUUCAGUUAGAGCCCAACGCCUCGCUCGGGUUCAGUUAGAGCCCAACGCCUCACACCCACGCGCGUGCGUGUACGAGAGAAACGCGCAUCGCUCGGCCCCGACCACCCACCGUAACCGGGAACACCCCGAUAUUUUCCUCGCCCUCGCUUCUACCACGGUUUUUUCGUCAUGGACAGCCCAAAGAAUGUCAUGCAGCUGCGUCUCCGGCCCGCCCAGGACGAAAAGCCCAUUUUCUGUCAUGAUUUUUUGUCAUAGAAGUAGGACCCCACCACAUCUAUGAUGAUACCGGGUUUUGUCACAAUUAUCGUCAUAGAAGUGUCAUAAGUAUGACAGAAAAAAAUUUGCUCGGCCCAAAAUGUCACGGAUGUGUCUUUUUUUUGUAGUGUAAUGUCCUGGAGUGCAUCUACUCUAUUGCAAUGCCUUGUGCUUACCCUGCUGAUCAUGCAUGUAAAUAUGGCAUGCCUUCCUAUUUUUCAGUACCUAUUCCAUUCAUGAUAACAUGUUUUCAAAUUCAAGUACUGUCAUUCUACUCUAUCGCAAUGCCAUCUGCUUAGUUUGAACAUCAUGCUUCGGAAGAUCUUAUACAUUUUUAUUCAUCAGUAUGUACUUCAUCUGUCUACCAUACUAUGUUCUUUUUUUUACAUUGAAGUGUUGUUCUAGUGGUCUCUUGCAAUGCCAUCUUAGUUUCCCAAUCAUACACGCAUAUGUUGCCUUAGUGUUUUUCUGUAUGUAUUCUGCUAGCAUACAGUUUUACAUUCAAGUAGUGUUUUUACACUGUUGUCCUGUCGUAUCCCUAGCUCUUACAUCAUACUCCCUCCGUCCGGAUUACAUUUCGCAGAAAUGGAUAAAACUGGAUGUAUGUAGAACUGAAAUACGCCUAGACCCAUCCAUUUAUUUUUGGAUGGAGGGAAUACAUGUCAAUAUGUCAUGCCUUUCUAUUCUUCAGUACCUAUUCCAUCUCUGCUGUAGCAUGUUUUUUAAUUGAAGCACCAUUCUUCUAUAUAAGGCAUGCAAGGGGAAGACGGCUAUGUUAGAAUCUGAAGGGUUACAAACCAGGUCUGUGCAAAAGAUCCAAACGCCACGAGAUAAUAAACCAACUCUAGUUUUCAUAGAUACUGCUCUAGCACAGAGAAACCCAACUCCCACUAAUAAUAAGCAGAUUCCAGUGGCCAAAGAACUAGUCCGCUCCAAUCCAGCAAAAAUAUACAACUCCAUUCUAAGAAGCGUGUGCGUAUCCUUGCAUCAUAAAUUUUAUAGCAUUCUGAUCAUAGUUUCUACAUGUUUCUUUCCCAUCUCUCUUUUAGAAAAUAAGGUUAAACGAUAGAAGACUUCCUCCACUGGGAUCAUAUUCGAGGAAAGUAUCUUGUGGGAAUUCUCUGUGCUCCAAUGCUGAUGUAUGUACAUAUUGUAUAUCACUAUAUUUUUACAUCAGCAUGUAUUUUGUUAAUCGGCGUGAAUCCAACAUGUAUCUGAUCUAAAAUUAGUUGUAGCAAAAUGUUAAAGCCGACAAUGUUGAUUUUUGUAAGGAAAACUUCCUGGUAGUUUUGCAUACUGAGCUGCAUGUGUGUACUAUCUCAUAUCAUGCACAUUACUGAAUUGUAGUGCUGCUCUGGUUUCCCAUUCAUUCACUGUGUCAAUGUUGCUUUCGUAUUACCUUACCAGGCUGAUGAUAGCUGUGCCAUAUUGUGUCAAUUUGGUUUAGGCUGGUGUGGUCUGGUUGCCCAAACGUUCGUUGUGUCAAUGUUGCUUUCCUAUUAUCUUACAUGGCCAAUGAUAGCAAUGCUAGUGUGUUAAUUUGGUACAAGCUACUGAAGAUAAGAAGAUAAACUCGGAAAACAGCAAGGCAACCCCAUUGUUUCUUUCCAAUAAAUCUUGGCCAGGUAAUAUGGCAAUAACUCUUGAUUAAUCUGUUCGGUUCCCCUCCUAAUUUGUGUUAUGAUGCAGUGGUCGAGACACUCUCCACUAUCAAUAAUACAAGCCUGCCAAAAUCGCCAUCUGAAUCUGUUCAGUUUCCUCUGUCUCGAAUGCAACGGAAAAAUGUAUGUUUGUGAACCAAUUAAUGGCUGAAGCAAUGAUGGAAAUGGUGGAGGAAUCAGAGGUGCACAUUCGUGCGCAACAACAGCUGAUCAAUGUUUUCAGAGACAGUGUAGCAAAGCAGCAAGAACUUGCCCACAUGCUUAUAGGCGUCAUCCGCACUGAGGUUGCAGAUUGUGACGUUGUAGAUCGUUAGGUUCUGUUCAUUUAUUUGCACUGGCAUCAAUCUUUGAUUGCCCAGUGGAUGUAAUUUCCUAUAAUAUAUGCUGGAUGUGCAACGUUUUUCCAUGUAUGCCGUACCUUUGCUUGAUCAGUUUUGGUCCUGUGCAUAAUUGCUCGUCGUAAUGGGCUCAAAUUAUCUAAUUGGGCCUAAAGACAUGUAUGAACUUUAGUGGGCCCAUUAAGUUAAUGGGUCGUUACCAGGCUGAAAGUUAAUGGUCGGCCCUCUUACCUCCCGGGUCGUUAACAUGCCGACAUCGAAGCGGGCAACAAGUGGGCCCAUUUGAUUUCACGGGCCGUUAACAGGCCGAUACUAAGGUCGGGCUACAUAUGGCCCAACUAUACUGUGGGCCUUUUGCAGGCCGAAAGAGAUAGCGGGCUCGUACUGGACCAUGAAGAGCAUGGGCCGCUAAGAGGCCGAAAGUCAGGUCGUAUUGUAAAUGGCCCAACUGUCUUGUGGGCCUUUAGCAGGCCGAAAGAGAAACCGGGCUGGUAUUGGACCAUUAAGAGCAUGGGUCGUUAAAAGGCCAAAACUCAGGUCCGACUGCAAAUGGCCCAACUCAUUUAUGGGCUGUCAACAGGCUGAAAGACACACCAGGCCGGAAAUUGGCCCAACACUUAAAUGGGUCGCUAAAAGGCCGAAAGAUGUACAUCUUGAAAAUUGGCCCAUCCUCUGAAUGGGCCGUUAACAGGCUAAAACCACAUCGGGCCGAUAUUGAGCCCAAAUAUAUAGCGGGAUGUUAACGGGCUCGAACUGACGAUGGGCUGCAAUGGAGUCAAAUCGUUAACGGGUCGUUGACGGGCCGAAUUGGCACAUAUAUAGGCCGGCCUACUAAUUCUUACUGGGCCAGCCUUUUUCACCGAAAUGGGCCACUGUUGGGCCGUGCCAUGUGUCGACCUAUCAUAGGCGCCUCCUGUCCAAUGAGUGGAUGACAUCUGUCCCAACGGUGAGCCGACACGUGGUUCCUUCGGCCAAUGAGAAUUUUACACGUGGAAAAUCCCCAUUGGUCCGGGCUAUUAACGGGUUAUGGAAUCCAAACCGGAACCCGAUAGCUUAACGGCGACCCAUUACGGUGGAUGCCAUGUGUCGGUCACCCUUGACGAAAGCACUUCUAUGACCCGCGAUUUAUCAUCAUGGAAGUGGACACUUCCGUGAUGAUAAUUUUGGUAAUGUCAUGGAACACUUCUACGAUAGCACAGGUAUGACUAUCUUGAUUUUGUCAUAAAAUCUUCAUGGAUGUACAUGCAUGACAGAAAACAUGACCUACUGUGACAAACACAUAUCAUCAUGGAAGUGUAUUUCUUUUGUAGUGUAGAUGACGUCACACUCAAUGAACAAUCAUUAUAUAGGCAUCACGUCCAAGAUUAGUAGACCGACUCCUGCCUGCAUCUACUACUAUUACUCCACACAUCGACCGCUAUCAAGCAUGCAUCUAGCGUAUUUAGUUUAUGAAGAAACAAAGAAAUGCAAUAAGAACGAUGACAUGAUGUACACAAGAUCUAUCUAUGUAGAGAUAGACCCCAUCGUUUUGUCCUUAGUAGCAACGAUACAUACGUAUCGGUUCCCCUUCUGUCACUGGGAUCAAGCACCAUAAGAUCGAACCCACUACAAAGCACCUCUUCCCAUUGCAAGAUAAAUAGAUCAAGUUGGCCAAACAAAACCCAAAUAUCGGAGAAGAAAUACGAGGCUAUAUGAAAUCAUGCACAUAAGAGAUCAAAGAAACUCAAAUAACUUUCAUGGAUAUAAAAAGAUAGAUCUAAUCAUAAAUUCAAAGUUCAUCCGAUCCCAACAAACACACCGCAAAAAGAGUUACAUCAUAUGGAUCUCCAAGAGACCACUGUAUUGAGAAUCUAGCGAGAGAGAGGAAACCAUCUAGCUACUAACAAUGGACCCAGAGGUCUACAAAGAACUACUGACACAUCAUCGGAGAGGCACCAAUGGAAGUGGUGAACCCCUCCGUGAUGGUGUCUAGAUUGGAUCUGGUGGUUCUGGUCUCUACAGCGGCUAGAAUUGAUUUUUGUCGACUCCCCUAGGAUUUCUGGAAUAUUGGGGUAUUUAUAGAGCAAAGAGGCGGUUCGAGGGGCACCCGAGGUGGGCACAACCCACCAGGGCGCGCCUGGGCCUCCUGGCACGCCCUGGUGGGUUGUGCUCCCCUCGGAGCACCCUGCAGGCGCAGCCUUGGCCCAUUAGGUGCCUUCUGGUCCAUAAAAAUCUCCGUGAAGUUUCAUUGCAUUUGAACUCCGUCUGGUAUUGAUUUCCUACGAUGUAAAAAACAUGCAGAAAACAGCAACUCGCACUUGGCACUAUGUCAAUAGGUUAGUACCAAAAAAUGACUAUAAAAUGAUUAUAAAACAUCCAAGAUUGAUAAUAUAAUAGCAUGGAACAAUAAAAAAAUUAUAGAUACGUUAGAGACGUGUAUCACGGCCGCCCAGCUACCGGACAUGGUGGGCGGCGACUUUAACCUCAUCCGGUUAGAGGAAGAUAAGAGCUAUAACUUGAUCAACUUCCCCAGGAUGCAAAUGUUCAACGACUACAUCGCGGACAUGGGGCUCCGCGAGCUAGAUAGAGUUGGUGCCAGGUUUACCUGGACCAAUCGCCAAGUUGACCCGACCCGGUCGGUGCUUGACCGGGUCUUCGCAUCACCUGAGUGGGACAUUGGUUGCCCCUAGCGUCACUCCAAGCGAUUACCCGGAUUGGGUCCAAUCACGUCCCCCUCCUUCUCUCUUCUGAGAACGAUCGGCCCCNNNNNNNNNNNNNNNNNNNNNNNNNNNNNNNNNNNNNNNNNNNNNNNNNNNNNNNNNNNNNNNNNNNNNNNNNNNNNNNNNNNNNNNNNNNNNNNNNNNNNNNNNNNNNNNNNNNNNNNNNNNNNNNNNNNNNNNNNNNNNNNNNNNNNNNNNNNNNNNNNNNNNNNNNNNNNNNNNNNNNNNNNNNNNNNNNNNNNNNNNNNNNNNNNNNNNNNNNNNNNNNNNNNNNNNNNNNNNNNNNNNNNNNNNNNNNNNNNNNNNNNNNNNNNNNNNNNNNNNNNNNNNNNNNNNNNNNNNNNNNNNNNNNNNNNNNNNNNNNNNNNNAACCUUCUGGCUGAACCAGCCCGGGUUUGCCGCUGUGGUGGCCGCACGCUGGCAUGAGGCUCGUGAAGCACCCCAUCGCUCCCUCUCGGUCGUCGACUACUGGCACUUUUCUGCUAAGCAGUCGCGCCAAUUCAUGAAAGGUUGGGUUGAUAACUUGGGCCGCGACAUUCGAGAGCGGAAUAAAGCUCUCCUAGAGGGCAUCCAGGCCCUAGAUCUACGGGCGGAUACCUCAGGCAUACUGGCGCCUAAGGGGAGGAGGCAUACGGUUAUUUACACGGACGAGGAGGCAUACUGGUGCCUAAGGGGUACACAGAAUUGGGUCCUCAAAGGGGAUGCCAAUGCCACCUACUUCUAGGCCAUCGCCAAUGGCGGGCGGCACCAUAACUCCAUCCCGCUUCUAUGGGACGGACAGACCCUUCUGCAGCAUCCGAAGGCCAUUCGGGCCCAUGUAGAUGGCUUUUACACAGACCUAUUCUCUUCCUCCCCAUGGGGAGGGUUGGCCUUUGCCCACGAUAUAUGGCCACCUCGCUGUUGUGUCUCGGCUGGGGAAAACGUGGCACUAACGUCCCCGUUCUCCGAGGCAGAAGUGUGGGCGGCCAUUAAGGGGAUGAACCCGUCCUUGGCGCCUGGCCCCAAUGGCCUUCCGGUCAAGUUCUUUCGGACCUUCUAGGAGGUCAUCAAGCCUGAGGUGAUCGCCCUUUUUGAGGAGUUCUAUGUGGGGUCCAUCGAUCUCUCCAGGCUCUACUUUGGGAUUAUCACCCUCAUCCCCAAAGUAAUUGGCGCUUCGGAUAUCCGCCAAUUCCGCCCGAUCACGGUGAUCAAUGUCAUCUUCCGCAUCCUUGCGAAGGGGUACGCCAAUAGGAUGGCCCCAAUAGCCGACCGAAUCACUCACCCGGAUCAGUCGGCCUUUAUCCAGGGAUGCUAUAUCCUUGACGGAGUCCUAGUGUUUCACGAAGCACUCCACGAGGUGCACGCCAUACACCUCAAGGCGGUCUUCCUGAAACUUGACUUCCACAAGGCUUAUAACACGGUUAGCUGGGCUUUCCUUCGGGAAUGCCUGCUCCGGAAGGGCUUCGACGACCGUUGGGUGACCCGCGUGAUGCAAUUGGUCUCCUCGGGCCGGACCACGGUCAACAUUAACAGCGAGAUUGGUCCUUACUUCCCCACAUUCUGUGGGGUGCGACACGGUGAUCGAUUCUCCCCGUUCCUCUUCAACAUGGUGGUUGAUGCCAUGGCAGCCAUCGUAGACAGAGCUAAGGCGGGGGGCGUAUCAAGGGCAUAGUACCGCAUCUUGUAGGCGGGAAUGGGCUCUCCCUCCUCCAAUAUGCGGAUGACACCAUUAUAAUGGUAGAAGGCUCUGCUAGUGACAUCACGAAAUUCAAGUUUCUCCUGCUCUACUUUCAGCAGAUGUGUGGUCUUAAGAUCAACUUUGAUAAGAGUGCGGUAAUGGUCUUGGGCUACCCUCAAGACGAAUGCAAGAGCAUCACGGACCGGCUUAAUUGUCAGCUCGGGAGCUUCCCCAUGACUUAUUUGGGGAUCCCAUUAGUGACAAGUGGCUCACGGUGGCCGAGUUGCGCCCUACGGUGGGCAAGCUCCAGCACCGCAUCGAGCCUUGGCAGGGGCGAUGGCUUUCUAAAGUAGCCCGGACCGUGCUCAUUAACUCGUCCUUGUCUAGCAUGCUCCUAUUCAUUAUGAGCUUCUACAGCCUGCCUGAGACGUUGCAUCAUGAGAUUGCUAGAGUCCAAGGACGCUUCUUCUGGGCUGGCGAGGGCGAUAAGUAGAAGUACCAUAUGGUGCGGUGGACUGAGAUAUGUAAGCCUCGUGAUCAGGGUGGCCUCGGGAUCAUGUCCUCCAAACGCAUGAACAUUGCUCUGCUGACUAGCUGGCUCUGGCGGAUUUCGAACGGAGGGUGGCUUGUGGCUCCGCAUCAUCCAGCGGAAAUACCCCUGUGGCCAGCCACUCGCCUUCUGUCAGCGGUCCGGGGGCUCCCAGUUCUAGAAAUCCAUCAUACAGCUCCUCCCAGUCCUCCGCAUAGGGACCUCGAUUGCGGUUGGAUCUGGCACCGCCAUGCUGUUUUGGUUUGAUCGCUGGGCUGGGGACGCACCCUUCGCGGCUCGCUUUCCUGGCUUGUUCGCCAUUGCGGUUGAGCCGAGGAUAUCUGUCGCGGUGGCCCUUAUUAACUUAGGGCAAUUCGCGUUCCGGCGACCGUUCGGACCUGCGGACACCGCCGAUUGGCAUGACUUGCUCGACUGCAUCGCACUGCACGAGACUAACCUGGAUAUGGGGGAUGACCGCACCAAGUGGCGUCUAGAGCCAUCUGGUCAAUUCUCCACUAAAUCCCUAUACCAGGCGAUCGCCCCCUCCCCGGGACCCGAGGCUCUCACCACCAUUUGGGAGAUCCGGCUCCCUUUGAAGAUUAGAAUAUUUUUGUGGCAAUGGAUCCGCGGCCGACUUUCGUCUGGCGUGGAGGUCUUGAAGCGCAACGGCCUUGGUGAUGGGUGUUGCUCGCUAUGUGGGCCCAAAGAGGAUUCGAACCAUAUCUUCUUUACCUAUGUGUUCGCGCAGUUCCUCUGGAGUUGUUUCCGCGAAAUAGUGGGUGGUAGUUGGGACCACAACAACUUCCCGGCUCUCUUCGCCGAACUCCAGGCAUCACCACCCUCGUCUCGCCACAUUAGGUGGCUGACUAUCGGUGUGCUCGCCUGGACACUGUGGACUGUUAGGAAUAGGCUCGUGAUCUAGCAUAUACCUCUUCGUCGUGCUACUGACGCUUUGUUUAAAUGGUUUGGUUACUUGCAGCUUUGGCGGCCGCUUAGCUGUCCCAGUGAGAGAGACGCCAUCACCUCCAUCAUCACCCAGCUUCGCGCAAUGGCUCUCCGAAUGGCUCCGCCGCUCCCCCCACCACCACCGGAGCCGGAUUAGAUCUUCCCCGCGUCGUUGACGCCACCAUUUGUGUUGUGCGUGCUUGUGUGUCUCUGUGUUGGGCUUGUUGUGCUGUGCCCACAGCUGAACUCCUUUGUUGUGUGUGUGCUUGUCUGUUAGACACUGCCUGCGGUGGCGGUGUGUGUGUUCAUGGAUGGUACUUUGUGAACUUUGUGCUCGGUGGUUGCUUUAUUUAUAAAGCGGGGCGAAAGCCUUUUUCGAUACAAAUGCAGCGUUUAUGAAACUGUCAGGCAGUGCAGAAAGGGAAAAAUUUGUGGACAGCAUCAAAUGGGCAGCUCUGGCACAUGGCACUAUUAGCAGGUCGCAAAUGGAGAUAGAUUCUUAGCUGCUGGCAGGAGCCAUGACUAGCAUUGGGCAGGACCUAUCCAAUCAUGCCAUACUGCGGGUAUACUUGAAAGUUCAUAAUCAUAAGAGGUUGUGGUUCUCCAAAUGUGACACAAGUCUAUAGUGCGAGGAUGAAGAACCAGAUGAAAGAUUGAUGUCGUUCAAAUGGGCGAAAUGCCCAACAUGUCCACGUAAAAGUUGUGUUUCACCCGAUUCUAAAAAAACACCAAAAAGCAAAAGAAAAGGGUGGUUUCUGACCGUAAAUUAAUUACAUUAUCAAAUAUUGAUCUGAUUUGACUAGCCAGAUGAAAACCAUUACAACCAGAUCUAAUUUGACUGGCCAGAUUCGUCUGUUUUUCCUUUUCUUUAUUGGGUUUUGAGUUUUUUUAGUGCAACAAUAGCAAACGAGUUGUGCCUGACAUUUCAUUUUCAUUCGAUUUGGAAACAAUCGCUCCAGGGACUGUCUCAUUCCAUGGAUCCCACUCCCAGUUAAUAGAAUGUUCCGAAUAUAUCCGGGUCUAAUAAAAUGAACCAUGAAAGCGGUUCGAGUACGAAGAGUAUAGGAAAACAAAGAAGUUUCAUUUAAAAUAUUCCAAUAAGAAAAACAAUUCUUAACGCUCCCAAGUGAAUCUUUAUUUCCAAACUUCAUUCUUGGUCUUUUUCCUGCUCUACAAACGUUUGGAACAACAACAUGCACCAUUACGGCAGGUCCCACUUCCCUUACCAUCUUGCUUGCAGUAGUGAUCACACGCGUUAACAUUUGGACAAGGGGAAGGAUCGUAGGGUUCUUGGUAUCCACCACAAGUGGCGUCUUCCAGGCCU
rnacentral:lncRNA from 1 species